AUUUUUUUUAAAUUUUAAAAAAUAUCUCAAAAUAUAUUUUAGAAACUCUUCUACUCUUAAAUAUCUCAAAAUAUUUUCUAAAAAUAUCCCAAAAUAUAAUUUAAAAAUUCUGUUACAAUAAAAUUUUUAAAAAAUAUCCCCAAAAACAGCUAAUCCAAACGGAUUUAAAGAUAUCCCCACCUUUGAAAACAUUGCCUACGGUUUAUAGAUGUCCCCGCCUUUUUUAUAUUUGUAUGUUUCAAAAAAAAAAGGACAUAUGAGCGAAAAUGCUUCUAAAGUACACUAGUACAAUAUCCAACAUCCAAGAAAGUAUAAAAACCCACAUGAAACCGUAACAAACAGUUUUCCAGUCAUCAUUUAUUAAUUUUGCCAUGUUGUUUUCAUGGCUGCUUUUCGUUGAGGUUGCUUCUUCCCUCUUUCUUUCUUUCUUUCCUUUUGGCUUUUUUUGAUUGGCCCCAUCUACAGAUUUCAAACAAUAGCGUAUGAAGAAUGGUGGUUGUGGAAGCAUGACGCAUGUAUAUUAUAUAUACAGUUGUGCAUUUGCUUCCAAUUGUCAAGCCAUAGAGCUUCUUGACAAUUGACAAAACCUUUCCUAUAAGAAAGUCAUCUUCUCUUAUCUACUUCUUGGCCAUCUCUUCAUCUGAACAACAAUCAUAGCAACGUCAUUCCUUUGCUUGAAGAGCUAUUUCUGAAGUUUUGCUGAAACUAUCAAGCUUUUUUUUUAGUGGAGGUUCGUUUUUCUCACUAUAAAUUUACAUGGUUUUAUUCUCUUUUUUGGGAGAAAAAAGUUUGUUAUGGAAUAGAUUUUUUUUCUUGGUACUUUAACUUCUGGGUUCUUGAUUGUUCAAUAUUACAGUCAUGCUGAUAUUUAGGAGAAAGAUAACCCACAACUUAUUUUUUGUAAAAGGUGAACUUUUUGUAAUUUGUGUCCUUUCGGGGUGAUAAAAACAUUUAGUAUGCUUGGAGGGAGGAUUCAGGAUUUCGUGCAAAUAAGUUGUGAGAUUUGAAGAAAUGAUGCAUCUGCAGAACUUCAUUUUCUGUUGCUCUUCCCAAGUCCACUGUACUAAGACUGUGGGCUAAACUGGUGUACUAGCAGAUGAUUUCGUCUGGCUAUUGAACUUGUAAAUUUUUUGGGUUUUGUAUGUUUGACUUGGGUAGAGAAACAGUUUAGUACGGAAAAGGGCAUCCGUUUGAUUUAAGAAAGUUUGUGGUGUUUGUACUUUAAGAUGAACUGAGUUUAUUGAUUGAAUUUAGUGAAGGAAUCUUAAUUGUUCACCACAGAGUACAGAUGUUUUGAUCCAUCAAUUAAGUAAAUUUUAAUUGGCUUGUGAGAUUUGACUACUGGCUUAGUGGAUCUUAUUUUAAUAAUUUUUGCUUGACUUUGUGGUGGGCACACUCUGCUUUUAAUUUUGUACAUUGGUAAUCAAGGAGCUCAAAAUGCUUGUUGAUCAUGAUUAAUUUUUCCCCAGUUGAUUAAACUAUUAAAACCAGACAGGCCCUUUACGGUUAGGUGUAUGGGCACUUGAAAUCUUCUCUAAUUCAGUAUCGGUGGAGGAAUAAUACCUUAACAUGGUUGAUAAUUUCAAGGUUUAGACUCGCAUCUAUGUUGGAAAGUUGCUUUCAGUAGUGCUAUUGAUGUUAUGAUGUUGUCUGUUUUGUGGGGAUAAUUUGAUAAGAAAUUUGUGAGAGAGUUUCAUUUAAAUAAGUUCUUGGUACUUUAUUCUUUCCAACUUAAGAAUUAUGCUUUGCCUUUCAAAAAAAGAAUUGAGUAUGCUUUGAACCAAUUCAAGAAAAGAAAGGAAGAGGACAAAGGUGGGGUGUCCCAAUGUUGCAAAAGGAAAAUUAGGUUCUCAUUAAAAUGAAAUAAUGUUGCAAAAGCAAUGUACUACUAUUCUGCAGGCGAUACAGACAAUGUAGUCCAUGUGUCCGUAAUUCCAUAAUUCCAUCAGUGGGGCUUCAUUACUGACUAAAAAUUGUUUCCUUCUUCAGGGAGAGUGAUAGGAGAUAGGCAGCAUGGAAGAAGGCUUGCUUUCUGGAAGAAGCAGAGAUGAAGUCACAAGUAGGAGCUGCUCUGCAACACUUAUGGUCGUUUUUAGUACUGCAGUUGCUGCCUGCGGCUCCUUAGCCUAUGGAUUUGCAGUAAGUAUGGAACAGAUGAAAAUAUGUACUAUUGUACGGUUUGAUGAAAAUCAAUUAUGAAAAAUUCUGAACAAAUUUUGGUUCGUAUGUGCACGUCUGUACUACUAUUUUGCAAAGUUUAUGUAGAAAUUAAUCUGUGAAGAAGUCUUUCACUGUGAUGCUUAACAAAUUUGGUUGUCGAUUAGGUAAUUGGUUGUUCCAUUAAAAUGUUUGGCAAAUCACCAAUCUCUAUUUGGAGAUAAUUUUUUAAAGGGAGAAAGUAUGUUAUUUCUGCGGAAACCAAAGGAGUCUGCCCUUCGCCUGUUAAAUGUUACAAUUGGGUCAUCUGAUAACAAGCAUGAAUUUGUAGCAGAAUAAGGUCUAGUGGAGACGUGUGUUCUUAAGGUACUUGCUUUUUAGGCGUUCAUGGGUUGACAUCAACUAAUUUCUGCAGGUUGGGUAUUCUUCUCCAGCUGAAUCAGGAAUUAUGCAUGACCUCGACUUAUCUAUUGCAGAAGUAAGUGUGUGCAUUUUACUAUAGUUGGUUGGUUGUUCCCUUCAUUAUCUUAAAAGAUUUCCAGUGCAUCAGGACAUAAUAGCCGACUGACAAGAUUAAAAAAAGGAAUCAGUAAGCUGAAGAAAUGCAUCAGUAACCUGAAGAAAUGCCUGCUUAAACAAGUUGCUGCAUGUUUAAAGGAAGGAGAAUGAGAAAAACUGAACAAUACAUUGAAUAUUUACCACAAAUUUCAUUUUAUUGACCUUUCUUUUACUCUUCUAGUACAAAUAUCUGUAUUUUGGUUGAUUAUUAGGUUUUGAGUGAGCAAUUAAUUGACGGGGAUCAGGAGAAAGUGCAUCAGAUAACCUAACAGCAACCGAUAAAAAUUGGCUUUGAUGCACGUGUCUUCAGGUGUAUUGUGAAUUUGUGUCCUUGUGGUGAUAUCGGUUUAGGAGAAACAAGGUCUUUAAAUGAACCACAACCUAACAAGUCUUCCUAAGCAUCUAAACUUAGUGUUUCUUGAGUUGGGGACAUACUUGAACAUAAUGCCGAUAAGAGGUGUUAUACUACUUUUCCUUUUUACUGGAAAGUUUUCACCUCUAGGACUAAUUAUGUUUCCUUAAAAGCCUGCUCAUUUCUCUUCUUCCACGUGAAUAAUGGGGGAAGGUACUUCAAGAAAGAGGAGUCAGCCUGUUCUUGUUUUCACAAGCCUUUGUAACGUCUUAACUUCAUUAAACUGAAGAAGGACUGAAUGUUGACACACUUGAGCUGCCUGAAUUAAGAAAACCGGAAAGGUGACUAACGUGUGAGUGCUGCAAAUGCGACUAGUUUGAAUUAUGGGGAAAACAACACGAUCUUGUCCCAAUUCUGUUUGGCUUCAGUGAAUGGUUACCAAUCUUAAACUGAUAUUGUGAGCUAUUCCCACAACCAUGUGCAAUUUUCUCUCCAUGUUUCCUGCACACAUAGAUACUUUUCAAACAUAAUAACUAUACUGGGGCCAUACAUUUGAAUCAACUUUAGUCUCAGUGGUUUAUUUUUGCACAGAGCAUACAUUCAUUGGUAUAGUACCAGAUUUUGUUGUGUAUUAGAAGGAGUAAGCUGAUCUUUUCCUUUUCUUUUUGCUCCGUGUGUAGUACUCUGUUUUUGGUUCAAUCUUGACUUUUGCUGGAAUGAUGGGUGCCCUAAUCAGUGGCAAAUUAUCAGAUUUUUUUGGCCGAAGAGUUGUAAGUUUCUUAGUUGUCGAAACUUGUCUCUUUACUUCUUACAGAAUUUUUGAAUAUUUCCAAUAAAAAUUGAUGUUUAAUGCAGACAAUGUGGAUUUUGGAGAUGUUUUUCAUUGUCGGGUGGAUUUUAAUAAUGGUUGGAAAGGUACUCUUAAUUCCAUUCUAUUUGUUCUACAGCUCGAUUUGAAUGUAUUUUCAUCUUUUUCUGUUAAAUGGCUUGAAUGAGAUAGUGUAUGUAAAUAAUAAUUCUUGGACUAGCUGCACAUCAUAUUUGUAGGAAUUGCGAUACUGUUUAAGCCAGAAGUUAAUCCAACCUUAGUUUACUGAUACUCUUCCAAAUGGAUUCUGAUAUUCUUAUUUUGGUGGGACUUCACAAUCAAAGCUGCAUAGUAAUUAAAUCCAUUACUAUAAUGAAUGAGUGAUGGUAGUAUGUUAUGUACUCAUGCACUCUGAUGAUUUUACUACAGCAGAUCUAAAGCAGUUUAGCCUACAUUCAUUACAGUGAGUUAAAGGAAAUGUAGCAACAGAAGUAGUUUGUUUUUGAAAAUUUAAGUAUCAAUAUCAGUUGGUAAAUGAUUAUCAUCUUUCUUUUAGAACAUUUUUUGUCUUUUAUGUUACACAUUAAAAUUAGGUUGGGAAAAAAAAAGAUGUUAAUGACUAUCAACUUGUAUAUACACUGCACAAUUUGUGCUUUUCUCAAUAAUCAUUGUGGUUCUCUUUUUCUUAGAAGUACCACAUCAGCCAGCUGUAAACAGAACACUCUUUCUGAACAGGAAAAAAAUAUUGCUAAUAGAUCACUAUACAUGUUCACUAGGUGUCCGUAAUUUCAGAAUGUUCUCAUAUUUUACUUGGGGAUAGUUUUGUUUCUAUUCAGUGACUACUCUAGCUUUGAGUGUCUAAUCGUAUUAUGCUCUUUUUGAAAGAAUGCUUGGUGGCUUGAUGCUGGAAGAUUUUUAAUGGGAAUCGGAGCUGGACUUCAUUGUUAUGUGGUAAUUGUUACAGUUAUUGCAUGCCCAUGCCCUUUGUUAUUUUCUCUGUGAAUUAUGUAUACCAUUCGUUACCAAAUUUUUCUUGCCAAGCAGGCACCAAUCUAUAUAGCAGAGAUUACUCCAAAGAACAUUCGAGGUGCAUUUACAGCUGUUGCUACGGUAUGGGAAAUAUAUUGUUUAUUCAAUAUAGCAGAUUCAUUGGCAUAUUUUCUUCUUCUUGUUCUUCCUUUUCAAUUCAUAUAUUUUUUUAACAAUGCACUGAUUGUUUGGCAGUUCACAGUAACUUGUGGCUUUUCAAUAAUGUUUUUCAUUGGGAAUUUCUUGACUUGGCGUUCAUUGGCUAUAUUUGGUAAGAAGUGUUGGCAUCGAAUUUUUAUCUGUUUCAUACGUUCCAACUUUAAGGGAUGUAAAUAGUUACAUUUGGUUACUUUUGCAGGAGUGAUGCCUAGUUUGGUCCAUAUAUUAGGUGUAUUCUUCAUACCUGAGUCCCCUAGAUGGCUGGUGAGUUCAACCGAAAAUUCUAGUGCAUCUGUGUUUCAUUUGCACUGUGUUCAUUUUUACUUCUCAUGAAUAUGGGGAUUGGGGUAACUUCUGGAUGUUUCAUAGAAUUUGGUAUGAUGAAUUUACUGAUGUAGAAUUACUUAAAAUUGUUCUUUCGCUUUUACCUGCACUCUAUGCUGAGAGGGUAUGAGUUAUCAUCUGCACAUGCAUAUGAUAGACUAAUCAAUGAAGCAUCUGCAGGCAAAGAUUGGCAAAGAAAAAGCCGUAGAACUAGCUUUACGGCGUUUGAGGGGAAAAGGUGCUGAUAUCUUUUCAGAAGCUGCUGAAAUUAAAGUAACUUCUUACUCUGGACUAUGCUCUUAAGCAUUGAGAUGAUCUUGUUUUUCAAGUUUGUUUGUGUUUACCAGCCAAGGAAUUCUUUAACCAUAGUGGUCACUGUUUAACAGGACUAUACAGAAACUGCCCAGCUACUCCCUAAAUCAAGAUUUCUUGACUUGUUUGACAGAAAAUAUGCUCAUCCACUUAUAGUAUGUUUUACUUGAAACUCAAGCUGGAUUUGGUUCUUCCUGUUAUUUUGUGAAGUUAAUAACUAACAUUUAUUUGCUAGGUUGGUGUGGGGUUGAUGGUUCUGGUACAAUUUGGAGGGACAGAUGGAGUUUCAUCUUAUGCCAGUUCAAUUUUUGAGGCAGCUGGUAAGCACCAUAUUGCAACUAACAUCUGAACUUCUCAACACAUCUCUAGAAUACUAUACUUCAACGAAUGAUGAUUUGAACAAUAACUUUUGACUAGGUUGCUCUGCUGGCCUUGCAUCUACUGUAAUGGCAACAAUCCAGGUUUCUUUCUCUUGCAAAUGAUGCCUAUUUAUCAGAAAAAUGUUACUUCAGUCAAAUAUCUCAAACUGUGUUUGUCAUUUUCAGCUUCCUUUUGCUUCUCUGAGCGUACUUUUAAUGGACAAAGCUGGACGGCGUCCAAUUCUGAUGGUUAGUUCGAAUCUGAUUGCCAAUUCUUUUUGGUUUCAGACAUGAGUACUGAAUAUAAUUGUUGAAUUGAAACUUUGUAGUUUACUGCUGCUGGAUCAUGCAUAGGAUGCUUUCUCGUAGGACUUGGGUUCUUCUUUAAGGUAUUAAAAUUUGAGUUUACUUAUUUUUUCGUUAAUAUUCCCUGUUAAUUUUCAUAGCUUUGCUUAUGUGGAUUAUCAAUUUAUCAUACUUUAACAUUCUGACUUGGUGGUAGCAGGAUCACAAUUUAUUUAAGGAGUUCUCUGCACCUUUAGCACUGACAGGAUUGCUGGUGAGUUUACCUGAUCCAAGUAGUUUUUUCCUUUUAUCUGCAUUUUCUUAUAAGGAUUUUUAGCCCCUUAGUGAUUUAUUUUUAGUUGCUAUUUACUUCAUAUGUUCUCUUUUUAAGUUAAUCUUGUGUAUGGUGGCCUGCAUUUGUGUCACUGUUGCAUGAUUACCUAAACGAAUAUGAAAAUUCCUGCUAUCCUUCCUUCUUGAUGAAGUUCUUCUCAAACAAAAAGGUUUAUCUACUGCCAAGCUUACUAAGAAUAUGCAUGGUUAAUCUGUUUUUUUCUCAAUAACCAGAUAUACUCCGCAUCGUUUUCAGCUGGAAUGGGCGGUACACCAUGGGUAAUCAUGUCAGAGGUAAGAUUUGCAUUUAAAGCCUUUUGAGGAAUGCUAGCCAUGAACUCGACUUUCUAUGCAUGACUAUAGCUAAACUGGGAGGACUGUUUUUAUUUCAGAUCUUUCCCAUAAACAUCAAAGGUACAGGUGGAAGCCUUGUGACCUUAGGCAACUGGUUUAGUUCUUGGAUCGUUACCUACGCUUUCAACUAUCUAUUUGAGUGGAGCUCAUCAGGUGAUGCAUCCCAUCUUUUUGAUUUUCUGGUUUCCUUAAACAUCUUUUUGAACAGCUUCUCUAACACUUAGAUUACAUGCUUCCAGGAGUAUUCUUUGUAUUUUCAAUCGUUUGUGCCUUAAUCAUUCUAUUUACUGCAUUAUUGGUGCCUGAGACGAAGGGACGAACCUUAGAAGAAAUUCAAGAAUCUAUGGCGCUACUCAAGUAGAAGAUUCCCAGAGAAGUAAAGCAAAGUUCCUAGAAAUGUUUGUUUCACAGUGCAAACGAGACACAAAAGGAAAAGAAAAGCAUUAGAUGUGGAUCUUCGGUAUAGGUAUUUUAGAAGAUCAAGGACAUUACAAUAUAGUUGGGAGGUCAGGGUCUGGUCCAGCACAUUUGCAGUUGAAGGAUGCCUUCAAAGGAGAUGUCUCACUGGAUUCUACAGCAUCCAUUCUUCUAUCAGAAUUGGAGUCCAUAUGCAUAUAAUCCCUAGGUAACUUGUGUAGAGAUAGUCCAUUCUUACAAUCAAAUUUUGAUUUACUGUUACAACUGGUAUAAAUGUAAAACGUUCUCCUCACCUACUAAGGUUUUGAGGAUACAUUCUUGAGAUGCUGAAACUGAAAGCAUCUCUGUUAUUAUCAUUGUUGUUGUAUAUACUGUAUUGGAUUAGUGGAAAAAGGAAAUGAAAAACUUGGGUGAAGUCUCAUAGAGUAUAUGUUCCAAUUUCUAGUCCCACCGGCAUCUGCAUCGAUGUAAAACGUUCUGUAAAUGUCAAAAGGAACAUGAUAUCAUUGCAAAUUAUGACUUCAAAGAAACAAAAUGGUAGUUUAGUUGUUCUGCAGAACACUAACUAGUGGAGACAAAGUGAUAAGUCUGCUAGAGUAAGUGCAAAAUCUUGAAAAGAACCUAAGUAACAGUGUAAUGAAUGACAAGCCAAUGAAAACAAGUGAAAAGCCCUGAUAGAAAAGCUAAAGAAUGUUCUGAUCAAUGGUAAGCGGUAAGCCAACAAGAAUCAGUGCAAAAGCAAGAAACAAAGCCAAAAAGCACAUUGUUGUGGGUCAUUGAGUUAGAUCCACUGCCAUACAGAAUGAAGCGAUCAGUGACAGCAUAGCUCUGAGAAAUUUUUGAUAAUUAAUUUCCCUAUCCAAACUAGUUUUUUACAACUUGGAGUUAAGAAAUAUUGUGACCCUACAAGAAAUCUUUCUAAACGGGAAAAGAACUAGAAGUUGCAGCUGUAUAGCAUAAUAAUGUGCUGGACAAGCAAAUAACAAAACUUAUUAAGAAGCAUUUGUCAUUAGUUCAAAAAAGACAAAAAGAACAGCCAACUGCUUGUUGCACAAUGGAUCUCUAAACUAGUACAGACAAAAAAACCACGCAAUCUACAGCAAAUCUUGCAUUAAUUUUUGUUGAAAUUCUUUUGAAAAAUGAAAUUAUCUUUUUUUUAAAAAAUUAUUUUAGUGUUAUUAUAUAACAAAUUGCAAAUUGUCUAUUAGAGAUUCCUUCAAGUACAUGUUGCAAAAGGGGGAUCUCUCUCUUGAGCAGCAAUAUUUUCUCAUGCAAACUGAGGGUAGUUGAAAUGUUGAACUGAAUAAGAACAAUCCGCUGCUAGUUGAUCUGCCAUUUGAGUUCAUUUGAUUUUGUCGCCAAAAGAUGAAGGCACCAAACACAGUUGAUUUUGAUGAAGAGGCCACUUCCCCUUUACUUGAAAGUGGAAGUUGUGACACUGAAAAUAAUGUAGAUGCUGAGAAUGAAAAGAGUAAUACUCCUGCAAAUGCUCUCACACCUGUGGUCAUAUUCAGCACUUCUGUUUCUGUCUUGGGCUCCUAUGUCUUUGGAACUGCGGCAAGUACAAAUCCAGCAUAAUGCAUCCCCAAUAAUGAUUGCUAUAAAUUCAGACUGACAGAUUUGAGUUCAUGUUUGACAUCUUUGCAUGGCAUCAUUGCUUUUAUAGUUCAACACAUGUAUUGUAUUACUGAACUUAGUUUUUCAAAGAAUCAAAAUUUCAAAUUAUUAUAUCCACUAACAUAAUACGUUAAUUUCUGAACAGGUCGGAUUUUCAUCUCCUGCUCAAUCUGUAAUUAUGAAUGAUCUAGGCCUUUCCAUAGCUGAGGUAGGUUGCUUGAUCUUCUUAAUGAUGUAAAAGAAAGAGUCUCUUUCCAAGGGCUAUAAUUAUCUUUACUUUGAAAAAAAAAAACUUUUUCAGAGUAUCAUUUAAUUGCUUGUGUGCAAGAUUAUAGCAACCUGUUAUUUUCUAUGAUAGAAGCACUCUUCUUUAGACAUUCAUUCUAGUUUUGGGUGAUUUUAAGAAAUGCUUAUUACUAUUCAUGUGAUGCCUGAACUUGCAAAUGAGGCUAAUGCAGGUACAUCCUGCUCUGCUUAGUAGUCUAACAAUUCAUGGUUUAUUUUGGAUCCAAAGAAAUUGGCAAAGAAACAACAAAGAAGAGUGGAAAGAUAUGGCAAUGGACUCAGUAACUUGUAGACUAAAUAACGCUUGAGAAUUGGCCAGAAAAAAAAGAUAAUAAAGAGUAAAGACAGAUGUUCAAUUCAAAAUGCUUGUAAUGCACUAUCUGAAUCACUCUUCAAAAAUUAUAUGUCUGCUUCUUGACUUGAAAAUGCUUCUGAUCACACAGAUAAAACUAGGUUUUUUAUCUCAUACAUUCUGGCUCUUCUAGAAAUUUUGCAUUGCAUACUUCUCAGGAGUAAAUAGGAACCAAAGUUUGAAAGGGUGCAGAAUAUGAGUUACUAGUUCUCUGGUUCCGUAGCCUUGCCAGCAACCUGUUUCUGAUGUUUCAGUAUCUCAUCACACACCUUGUGAUUCCUCACUUUGGUGAAGCUGCUGCUUUUUUUGCACUAGUGGCCAUCCCUGUGAAGGAUCAAACAUGAGAAAUUCUCUUCUUUUUGGUUGUUUUGCAGUACUCCUUGUUCAGUUCAAUACUAACAAUUGGAGCAAUGUUCGGUGCAAUACUGAGUGGCAAGAUAGCAGAUGCCAUUGGGAGGAAAUAUGUAAGUUCUGUAACACUAAGUUUCUACAGACAAAACAUCUAAAGAACUUCAAAUCUUUCAUAGACUGAGGAUCCACAUAAAUUUUCUCCUUCCGUUCUCCUUUACUUGGUGCUAUGGUAUUCAAAAGCAUGUAAAUAAAAUUUUUCGAUCACAUUAUGUCUUGUUACUUUUGGUCUUUUUGUCUAUACACACUAUGAAUAUUCUGCUUGCAUUCAUGUUAACUAGCUGAAAAGUUACAACAGGUUUAUCAGCUGAAAGUAAAAGAAAGAUAGAUUUUAUUUCUUUUUGUUUCUAACGAAAUGAGUUGAGGUAAAAUGCAGACGAUGUGGUUCUCAGAACUGUUUUGCACUGCAGGAUAUCUCGUACUUUUAACUUCAGAGGUACUUUUUCAUCUAUUCUUUGUCUCCAAUAAUUUCAGUCCUUUUACUUUUGGAAGUCACAAUCAGAUUCUUUAAAAGUAGGUAUCCCUGGAGUAAGAUUGUUGACAUCAUUACAGAGCAAAAUCAUGAAAUUCAUACUUGAUUUUUUUUUUCUUGUUAUUGAUGUAUUCUUCUCUAUCCUGUGGAAUGACAUUAUAAGCGGUUUCCAAGUAAAGAGCCUUAUUGAAGUGAAGUCACUAGGUUACUGAUAAUACUGGAUCUAUUUUUUCUUUCGUAAAUAACUGCUUGUCCAUUUUAAUAUUAUACUUUCUGUCUAGAUCAAAUCAUCAUCUAUUAGGCAAAACCUAUAAUGAUGAAUGGUGUGAUGAUAUGCUCCACGAUAUCAAAUUUUCCUGAGAUCAAAUUAAGUUGGUUGUGGUUGUCGACAGAGUGCUUUGUGGCUUGAUAUUGGAAGGAUUUCAACAGGAUUUGGAGUUGGGAUUUUAUCAUAUGUGGUAAUUAAAGUAAUCUUUCACUUCAAGUAGUUUCUGUAACAACUAUUGGAUACUCAGGAUGGUUCAGUUUCUGAAUCUCAAAUAGGUACCAGUAUAUAUCGCAGAAAUAACGCCUAAAAAUCAUAGAGGAGCAUUUACAAUUCUCAAUCAGGUAAAGAAAAAUGGUUGUACUAAUAAAACCUUCACUCCUGUAGACAGCUUCUGAUGCUAGAUGGUUUAAUUCUUCAGGUUAUGAUAUGCUGCGGCCAUUCAACAAUGCUUGUAAUUGGAAAUUUCGUAUCCUGGAGAAUGUUGGCUUUGAUUGGUAACUCUGUUUGCCCUAUUUCCAAUGGAUGAGAUGUAUGUCACCUUAGUGGACUUUCUUACCUUCUGUGUUAUUAUAGGAAGCAUUCCAUGUCUUCUACAGCUGCUAGGCCUUUUCUUCAUUCCAGAGUCUCCAAGGUGGCUGGUAAGUGUUAAAAAAUGUAGUAACGAAUGGUAACAGAAAUAUAUGCUUUUUAUCCUAUGCUCAAUCAAAUGGUCGAUGCAAUAGAGGAAAUUUAAUGACUCUUUAACUUUCUCCAGGCUAAGGUCAAUAGGUGGAAAGAAUGUGAAAGUUCUCUGCAGCGCCUUAGAGGAGCUAAUGCUGAUAUUUCAGGAGAAGCCAUUGACAUUAGGGUAGCAUUGAGAUUCAACCUCAUCACUGUUUCGUUUUUCUGGGAUAUGUUCAACAACAGAAAAACUAACAUCUAAUGCAUUUCAGGUCUAUACAGAAACCCUGAAACAAUUCUCGGACUGUAAACUGACUGACUUGUUCAACAGAAAAUAUGCUCACGCAAUGAUUGUAAGCCAUUUUCUCAGUCUGUAGCAUUAUAUAUUCAUAAUAUUGGACGUGAAAGUAGUCAAUCCUUUAAUUUUUCUUCAGGUCGGGCUAGGACUGAUGGCAUUUCAACAGGCUGGAGGGGUCAACACCAUUGCAUAUUAUGCAAGUUCAAUUUUUGAGUCAGCUGGUCUGUAAGAAAGUCUUGCUAUUAAUUAAAUCUCCUUGUUGAUGCUUUCAGAAAGACAACAAAGUAAUUGGUACAUCAAUAACUGAAAUCUGACAGGUUGUUCGGGUGCCACGGGGACUAUGGCGAUGGCUUCAGUUCAGGUUUUCCUACACUAUGCAUGGAAACUGUUAUGUUUUGGGAUUUUGUUUCAUACAUUCCAUGAAAAUUUGGUCUAUCUACAGCUUCCAAUGACCAUUUUGGGGAGUCUGCUAGUGGAUAAAUCAGGAAGGAUACCGCUCCUCAUGGUGAGCAAUUGGAGGUUUUUAAUUAAAAAAAUUGUAGAGUAUCAAUAUCAGCUCAAACCAAGUCUACUGUUCUUCCAGGUUUCUGCAGCUGGAUCAUGCUUUGGUUGGCUUCUAGUGGGAUUGUCAUUCCUAUUGCAGGUUUUGCCUUAAAUUGUCCAGUUCUUUCAAAUUAUUGAGCUUUUAAUAAAUUUAUGUACUCAAAGAACGUACUUGGCAAAGCAGGACCUUCAACUCUGGAAGGCCAGCCCAAUUUUGGCAUUAAUUGGUGCACUGGUAACGUUUCUUUUGGUUUGUUGGCAUUUGUAGACAAAAUGCAACAUAUAUUUAUUGUAAUGAUAUAUGGGAUUCUGCUAUCAGAUAUUUGUAGGAUCCUUCUCACUAGGAAUGGGAGGAAUUCCUUGGGUGAUAAUGUCAGAGGUAAGCCAUUCAACUUACAGUUAAAAAGUGAAAUCCAAAUGACCUUAAAAGUAAAAAAUUUCUAAGGAAAAACAAAAAACCUAGUUAAAUUAAGUGAUGCCCAGAGAAUUAAAAAAGCUGGUCUCAUGGUCUCAUUUUCAUAGGUCUUUCCCAUACAUGUCAAGGGUCUAGCUGGAAGCCUGGUGACAGCAGUGAACUGGCUUGGUUCUUGGUUGAUUUCCUAUUCCUUCAAUUUCCUUGUUCAAUGGAUUACCUCAGAAGGUAAUAGUCAGAACUUGAAGAUUAUUUGUCUUCAGAAUCCCUUUUGAUGUCUAGGCAUAGGUUGAAUUUUAAUGUCUUUCUUUUGUUUUCAGGGACAUUUUUUAUGUAUUCCAUCAUUGCAGGUUUAACUCUGAUAUUUGUGAAGAAGCUUGUUCCAGAGACCAAAGGGCGUACGCUGGAAGAAAUUCAGGCAUCCUUGGUUUUGUUUACAAGCAAGAAUUGAAAUCUUGAAUUCUCUCUAAUUCAUCAUUCUAGGAUGAGUUGAGUUGAUUUUUUUCUCACAAGUCUCCAUAUGAUGCUAAAUUGUCUGACAAAGGAUGCGAGUACAAACAACUGGAAGUGUUUAUGUGAUGACUACUUUAACCACUUUCAAUUCUUUGGACAUCAGAUAUAAUAUAUUUGUGAACUCAUGUAAUGUCAAGGGAAUGUAAUAUUUGUUGCAUUUGAAUUUAUAGUUUUUGGUACUUAAAUCUCAUAUAUUAAAGAAUUAAUCUUGUUGGUAUGUCAAGGGUAAAAAUGUUACAUCAGAAAUAUAAUUAAUUAUACACAAUUUCAUACCAUACUUGAAUAGUAUUGGAAGUCUAUGUCAUUUUGUAUAACAAGCUUAGAAGUUCUAGUCUUCUAGACAACCCAAUGGCAAAAGAGAGGGUAAAUUUUACUUUGCACCCUUCAACUAUGUAUACUUGGAUUCUCACUUUGAUCUCUAAAGUAUAAUCUGUAAAGUGUAAAACUUUUUUAUAUUUUAGUCCCUAAAAUGGGAUGGAUGUUAUAUUUAAGUGGAAAAGAUUUUAUACAUUCGGGAUUAAGCAUUCAAGUGAGACAAAUAUUACUUUAAGUGAGACAGAAUCUAUACCUCAUGGAUUAAAGUGGCUCGCUUUGAAGUUUAGCAACCAAAAUGAGAAUCCAAAUAUAGUUGAAAGGUGCAAAGUUGAAUCAACCCAAAGAGAAGUAGAUAAAGUAAUAAAAAUGGGAUCAAGGAUCUCACAAGUUGAAAUCUGUCCGGUUCAAAUUAGUUAAUGUAAUUUUUACCGUAUUUGGUGUAGAGUUAUAGAGUUUUGAUGUAAUCAACAAUUUAGUUGUAUUAGUUGACAAAAUCAAAUUAUAAUCAAAAUUGUACAAGUUUAGACAAAAAAUUUUAAGAAUUACACGCAUAAUUUAAAAUAAAUAAAACUCAACUUGUGAAGCCCUAGUCCAUAAAAAUGGUCAUAAGAGGCUAAGGAAUCUCCUAUAAGUAAUUCUAGUCACACAAUAGAGAGAUUACAUAGCAGCAUUCCAUUCUCUCAUUCAGACAUUGAGUGAUCCUUUUAAGGAGCAUGAGAAACCUUUCAUACUAAUUGUCUUAUGCCGAUAAUACAAAUGAAAGAGAAAACCUAGCGGACUUGUACACAAAUUUUAAUGUUCUUGCUUUGGUAGACAGUUGGUCCUGAUCCAACCUCAAACUAAGAAUUGCUAAAAAAACCUGCAACAAAUGAAAAAUGAGGCUUUGGUAGACAGUUGGUCCUGAUCCAACCUCAAACUAAGAAUUGCUAAAAAAACCUGCAGCAAAUGAAAAAUGAGUGAGUCAAGAAUAAAUCACAUUGCCAAAUAAGUCUGCUAUAUAUAAAAUUGACAUUCAAGAUACUUCAUCUGGAUUUAUCUGUCACACAUGAGUCAGCAAUCAAUAAAUUAUGAAUGCCAAACAAAUUUAGUUGUAGCAAAAGCCAGGACAAACUUCACGUUACCACCUGUUAUUUGUCCCUGUGCCUAUCUCGGCUGUAAAGAUCGAGUACAUUAGAAAAUCAAAAUAUUCACUACAAAGUACAAUGUACCAACAUCCCCUAGAAAAAGUUUAAAUGCAGCCAUCGUCCAAGCUUCUUCUAAUUUCUUCCAAAUAUAUAAGCAGCAGCAAAUAAAGAAGAGCCUUGUUGCAUGAAAGCUUUUUAAUAGGACUGCAAAGGAAUAUGUGGGUAUUUUUAAUAGGAUCAUAUGAGAAGUUUUAAGUGAUAGGAAAAAGGUUAAAUCCAGUACGGGCAUCCCAUAGUACAAUUUUGUACUCUUUUUAGAACGUGUUGUAUGUUUGUAAUCGUGGUUGUAUUGAUUUAUCGAGUUAGUAUACAAGAACAAAAUUUUGGGGUAUAACAAAGAAAUGUAAAUAUAUAUCAAAUCAUGUAAAAUGAACAAAAAUCGUAGAAUUGUACCAAACUCUCAACUGCACUGGCCCAAAUUCGUGUUUUUGGUAGGAGCAGACGUUGAAUUUGCAGUGAUAGGGGUGAGUUUUAGAUUUUGUUUAUAGAUGAGACAAUGAUGGAUGUUGGAGGGGAUAAACCAUGGUUGGUCUGAAAGAGAGAUUCCUGAUAGCUGGAAGUAGUUCCAUAAAAAAGCUAGAAUCCAAAAAGCCGCUUGCAAAGUGGGUAAAACCAAAAUGAGUUUUUGACCAUAAUUCACGAAGAGACAAAUUUAUACAUAGAAAUUCGCAAAUAGAAUAGUGUUAAGAGAUUCCUUCAACCACAUGCCCAGAAGGGGAGAUAUUUCUGAAAUGACAGCAUUUUCUCUGAAGUACUAGUUGAACUGUUGAACUUAUAAACAACGAUCCAUUACUAUCUAGUUGAUCUGCAAAUUGAGUUGACAUCAUUUGGUUUUUGUGGCCAAAAGAUGGAGGGACGAAACACAGUCGAUUUUGAUGAAGAGGCCAUCUUCCCUUUACUUAAAAGAGGAAGUUGUGAUACUGAAAAUGCUGAGACUGAAAAGAUUGGUAGUCCUGCUCCUGCUCAUAAUCUCACACCUGCGGUCAUAUUCAGCACUUCGGUUUCUGUCUUGGGCUCCUUUUCUUUUGGAACAGGAGUAAGUACAAAUCCACUAUAAUGCACCCUGGAUAAAGGUUGUCAUAAUUCCAGAAUAAGAUAUUGAGUUCAUAUUUUUGCUCUCUUUGCAUGGCAAUGUUGUAUAAUUCAACAGUUGCAUGGUGUCACUGAACUUAGGUUCAAAGAGUCAACUUUUGGAGUUGUUAUCUGUACUAAUAUGAUGCAUUCCUAUCUGUGCAGGUGGGAUUUUCAUCUCCUGCUCAAUCUGCAAUAAUGCAUGAUCUAGGCCUUUCCAUAGCUGAGGUAGUUGUCCUUAAUCUUCUUAAAAAUGUUAAAAAAAAAAAAAAAAUUAUCUGCCUUCAAGGACUGACUCUCCUUUUUUUAUUUUCCAGAAGGGAUCUGUCUCCGAGGAUUAUAGCUCUUUCUUUAUUUUUUUUUUCUGUAUACCCUUUGAAUAUUUGUUGCAAGAUUUAGCAGCCUGUCAAUUGUCUUUGACAGGAGUGCUCUUCUUUAGACAUUUAUUCCAAAUUUGUGCGACUUUUAUGAUGCCUGAACUCGCAAAUGAGGCGAAUGAUGCUACAUUCCACCCUUCUCUGCAGUCUAAACUUUCAUGGUUUAUUGUGGAUCCAAAGAGGAUGGCUGAAAAAGAAAGAAAUUACAAUGGACUAAUUAACUUGUAAACUAAGUUAUGCUAAAGAAAUGGCUGGGAAAAAGUCAAUGAAGACAGAGGUCAAUUCCAAGUGCUUAUAAUUAAUUAUUUGAAAUACUCUUCAAAAUACCAUAAAUCUGUUUCUCUUGAAAACCCUUCUAGCCAACAGACAGAAGUAGGCUUUUUACCUUGUCUAUGGUGGCUUUUCUAAAAAUUUUGCAUUUUACUGAGCUAAUACUUCGUGGAAGUAUUUUAUUUUAUGACAGCCUAAUUUUGAAAGAACGCUGGAUCGAAUUUCUGUUUAUGACUUUAUAGUUCUCUGGUUCCAGACAUCUUUCAGCUCUCUUGUUACUGAUGCUUUCAGUAUCCCAUCACAGUUCACACACCUUAUCACUUCUCAUUGUAGUGAAGCUCCUGCCUUAUUCACACUAAUGGCAUCCCAAAAGGACACUCCAACAUGAAAAAUACUCAUUUUUGUUCUGAUUCUGCAGUAUUCCAUGUUCAGUUCAAUACUAACACUUGGAGCAUUGUUUGGUGGAAUACUGAGUGGCAAGAUAGCAGAUAUCAUUGGGAGGAGAUAUGUAAGUUCAGCAUACUAAGUUUCUAGGGACAAAACACAUCAACUCCAAAAUCUUCCAUAGACUGAGGAUCUACAUAAAUAUUCUCUUUGUAUUCUCCUCUACUUGGUGCUAUGUUGUUCAAAAGCAUGUUAAUUCAUAGAUGACAUUAAGUCAUGUUACUUUUGGUCUACUUUUUUAUACUCGAUAUCAGAACUUCUGCUGGCAUUCAUGUUAACUAGCAAAAAAGUUAGGUUACUUGCUGAAAUUAGAAGGAAGAUAGUUUUUGCUUCUUUCUCCCUAACAAAAUGAGUUGUACAAAUGCAGGCAAUGUGGUUCUCACAAGUGUUAUGCGCGGCAGGAUAUCUUGUAAUUUCAUUUUCGAAGGUACUUUUUCAUCUGAUCUUUGCAUUUGGAACCCAUAAUCAGGUACUUUUGGUUUUGGAGGAGGUAGCCUUGGAAUAUGAUCGAUGAAAUCAUUACAGAGCAAAACCAUAAAAGCUAAUGCUUGAUUGAGUUUUUUUUUCCUUCUUUAUUAAGUUUUCUUUAUUUAUCCCACUGGAAUGAACUUAUAUGCGAUUUUCAAGUAAGGAUCCUUGUUAAAAUGAAGCCACUAGUUUGCUUAUGUCGUAGUCAUAAAUGACUGAUCGUCCAUUCAUCAUCUCUUUGGCAUAACGUACAAUAAUGAAUACUGUGCUGAUAUACUCCAUGAUAUCAAAUUUUUCUGACUCUAAGUUGGCUGUGGUUGUCGACAGAGCGCUUUGUGGCUCGAUAUCGGAAGGAUUUCAACAGGAUUUGGAAUUGGGAUUUUGUCAUAUGUGGUAAUUGAAGUAGAUUUGGGGUUCAGAUAUUUCAAAUAACAAUUAUUAAAUCCUCAGGAGGUAUUCAGUUUCUGAAUCUCAAACAGGUACCUGUAUAUAUAGCAGAGAUAACACCUAAAAAUGUUCGAGGAGCAUUUACAGCUAUCAAUCAGGUGCACAAAAAUGGUUUUCUAUUAAAGACUUCACUCCAGCUGACAGCGUCUGAUGCUAGAUGCUUUAAACUUCAGGUUUUGGUAUGCACUGGCCAUUCAACGAUGUUUGUAAUUGGAAAUUUCAUCCACUGGCGAAUCUUGGCUUUAAUUGGUAACUCUGCUUGCCUUCUUUCUAUUGGCUGAUCUGAUCGUUUGAUUGUCACCUUAAAUGGACUUCCUUACCUACUAUGCCAAUACAGCAACCAUUCCAUGCCUGCUACAGUUGCUAGGCGUUUUCUUCAUUCCGGAGUCUCCAAGGUGGCUGGUAAGCGUUAGGGAAAAUUUAAUGAAAAAUUAUAAAACAUUUGUACAGUUUGAAUUCUAAGAUUAAUGAAUUGCCUUAUGCAAUGUAGAGAAAACUGAGUGACUCUCUCUCUCUGACAUUCUCCAGGCUAAGAUCAAUAGGUGGAAAGAAUGUGAAAGUUCUCUGCAGCGCCUUAGAGGAGCUAAUGCUGAUGUUUCAGGAGAAGUCGCGGAAAUUAGAGUAGCAUUCACAUUCAACUGCUUCAAUGUUUCCUUUCCUAUGAAAUAUGUUUACUGACAGAGAAUUAACUUUUGAUGCAUUCUCAGGACCAUACAGAAACCCUGAAACAAUUAUCGAACUCUAAUUUGACUGACUUGUUCGACAGAAAAUAUGCUCACGCACUGAUUGUAAGGCUUAUUCUCAGUUUCUACCACUAUCUAUUCAUAGCAUUCGACAUGGAAAUACUCAACCCUUUUAACUUUUUCCCCCCCUUCAGGUGGGACUAGGAGUAAUGGGAUUGCAACAAGCUGGAGGGAUCAAUACCAUUGCAUAUUAUGCAAGUGAAACUUUUGAGUCAGCUGGUCUGUAAGCUUGUCUUGCUAGCAAAUUAUCUCCUUGUUGAGCUUUUAGAAAGAUGACAAAAUCAUCAAUAUAUAACUCAAAUCUUACAGGUUGUUCUGCUGCCGCGGGGAGUAUCGCGGUGGUGGUUGUUCAGGUUUUCUUUCCAUUCAGUAAAAACUGUUCUCUUUUGGGAUUCUGCUACAUACAUACCCAAAACAUUUGUUCUAUCUACAGCUUCCAAUGACCAUUUUGGGGAGUCUCCUCCUGGAUAAAUCAGGAAGGGUACCAUUAAUCAUGGUAAGAAAUUCGGAGAUUCGAAUAAUAUAUUUAUAGUGUAUCUCAAUAGCAGCUCACACCAAGUCCACUGCCAUUUUCAGGCUUCUGCAGCUGGAUCAUGCUUGGGUUGGUUUUUAUUGGGAUCGUCAUUCCUAUUAAAGGUUCUGCUUAAUUCAUCCAGCUUUUUCAAUAUGUUCAGGUUUAAAACAACUCUGUACUGAAUGAAUGUACUUUGCAAAACAGGACCUACGACUAUCGAAGUCCAGUCCAUUUUUGGCAUUCAUCGGUGCACUGGUAAGGAAAUUCCUGCAGUAGGAAAAGCCUUUCAUUAUGUCUUUUUCCUUUGGUGGCAUCACAAUGUAAAAAAAAGUCAAAAAAAAGGGACAUAUAAUUACCAAUAAUAUUUGGGAUGUUGCUAUCAGGUAUUUGAAGGAUCUUAUUCACUUGGAAUGGGAGCAAUUCCUUGGGUCAUAAUGGCAGAGGCAAGUCAUUCAGCUUCAGUUGAAUUUGAUAGCCAAAUAACCUGUAGAAGAUUUUGAGUAAUGCCCAGAUUAAGGCUUUCCUGGGCUCAUGGUCAGAUGGUUUCUUUUUCAGAUAUUCCCCAUAAACGUGAAGGGUUUAGCUGGAAGCCUGGUGACAGCAGAAAGCUGGCUAGGUUCUUGGAUAAUUUCAUAUUCUUUCAAUUUCCUUGUACAGUGGAUUGGCUCUGCAGGUAAAUAGCUGAAACCUGAAGAUUAUCUGCUUUCAAUAUCGCUUCUGAUAUGUAGUCUUAUAUUGAAUCUUGAUCUCUUUCUUUUGUUUUCAGGGACAUUUUUUAUGUUUUGCAUCAUCAAUGGUUUUGGUCUGGUAUUCAUUAAAAAAUUUGUUCCAGAGACCAAAGGUCGUACGCUGGAAGAAAUUCAGGCAUCCUUGGUAUUGUUUACAAGCAAGAAUUGAACAUUUGAAUUCAUUUAUUAUUGUUAUUGCAGGAUUUGUUAUAUUUUGUUUCCAAAGUCUAUGUUGUACUGUGAAGCUAAAUUUGUCUGACGAUACAAAGAAUUUGACAGAGGCCUAAGUGACUACUGCUUGUCAUUCUUUGCAUCAGAUAUAAAUGCCAGCAGCACCUUUAAUAGAUAUAUUGAAAAUGUUCGGAUUUUAAUACAUCCAUCUCUAGAUCCAUCUGUAUCUAUUUAUAUCAGCAUCUAUUUAACUACGAGCCCAUUUGGAUUGCAUUUUUUAGAGCGUUUUUGGAGAAAAAUUAUUGUAGAACCUUUUUUAGAAUGUGAUGCAUGUGAAUAAAAAAGAAAGAUUCGAAAUUGCGAAAAAAUAAUAUUCACAAAAAACGUAAAAAUUUUUCUUUGAAAAAUUAUAAUUCAAAUAAGACGUAUGCGAUUAUAAAAAUCAUCUGUUCUUCUUUUAAAAAAAUGCCUAUUUUUAUCUGUGAUGGACAAACAUGCAGAAAUGUCAAAUGUUUUGUUAAUAUAUUACUGCAUACAUCAAAACUUAACCCUUAGGGUGUGCAGUGGACUUUUUUCAUUGAAUUCUUGGAUUUUUUUUUUCAUUUUCAUUCUUUUCUUUUUUUUAUUAUUUUUAUGACCAGAAAUUUGUUAGUGUAGACUGUAGAUGGACUAAAAAAUAUGGCGUCUCCAAAUAUGUUUUUUAAAUUGUCUCCUAUCAAUAUAUCAAAGCAUUAAAAAGAAAAAUCUUUGAAGAAUCUUUUCUUGAUUGAAUUUCAAUCUUGUGUCAAGUAAAAGCAGACAAAGAAAAGGAAGGCCGUCUCUUAUUUUAUCCGAAACAAGACAACACAACCAAACAAACAAACAAAAUACUUGUGCAAAUCCUCUAUUAUUGAGUUGAAGUUGCUACCAAUGCCAACUCUCUAAAGUUCUUCUGCAUGUUCAGUUCAUCUCAUUUCUUUUCUUGUGUCCAUUCAUUUGAUGGAGCCACAAAGCAUAGUUGAUUUUGAUGAAGAAGCCAGCAACCCUUUACUUAGAAGAGCAAGUCCUGACACAGAAAGCCGUGAAGAUGCUGAGGCUGGGAAGAUUAGCAGCCCUGCUUCUUCUGGUGCCACAGCUUUGGUGAUAUUCAGCACUUUGAUUUCUGUCCUGGGUUCCUAUGUCUUUGGAACUGCAGUAAGUACAGAAAACUGUAACUUAACAGGAUUACUCACAGAAUGUUAUGGUAAAUUCAGAUCACUAGCUAAAAUCCUGAAUUUCUUGAAGGUUGAUAAUGAGGAUACAUAGUCUUUGAUAUCUUUGAUUUAAUGUCCAUAAUUGAUUUUAUAACUCAAAAAUUGGUGUGUUUGAUCUUAUUUUCUGAUAUGACUCCUAGAAAUGAUUGUGCUCAAUUGUUGAAAGAAGUUCGUAUGCAGGUGGGAUUUUCUUCUCCUGCUCAAUCUGGAAUUGUAAAUGACCUAGGCCUCUCAAUAGCUGAGGUAAUUUCCGCAGCUCUUUUAAGUAUGCGAUAAACUUCUGCCUUUAGAUCUUAACAGUUAUGUUCCUUUAUGUCUCUUUUUCUCAGUUUCAACAUAAACAGUUGGAGUUUGUGUUAUUUCCAACCCCUUCUUUAUGGAAUUCUUGUUGCAGUAUUCCGUAUUUGGUUCAAUAUGGACAAUUGGAGCAAUGCUUGGUGCAAUAAUAAGUGGGAAGAUAGCAGAUUUCUUUGGAAGGAGAGUGGUAAUGUCUCUAGCACUGUGGUUCUUUAGAUAAUCCAUCUCAGUGACUCAAAAUCCCUUUCAUUCAUUCCCUCCAGGGUCUUCAUUAAAUUUUUCCUCACAUCCUCCUUUCGUGGUCCUAAAUAGUGAGAUCCUAUAGUAUUCUUCAAUAACCUCAUCUCUUGUUUAGUUGUUCGUCAAUUUUGCGUUUCCUGGCUGAAGCAAAAGAGGAAUUUGUAGUUUACUUUGAUCUAGUUCUGCAGGCAAUGGGGUUCGCAGAAUUGUUUUGUCUUGUGGGCUGGACCGCAAUUUCAUUCUCACAGGUACUGAACUGUGUAUUUUAUUUUGCAUUCGUUUUGAUCCUUUUACAUUUGGUGGUCAUGGAAGAGAAUGAGCUUCAUAAAUAGAUAAUCACAGAGAUUUACUUCCAUGGAAUAUGAUUGAUAACUUCAUGACUGUGUAAUAUCCUCAAACUACAUAUGUUUUUGAUUUUAUAUUUAUCCUCUCGAAGAAGAAUUUGCUGUUUUUAGAUUCUGAACACAAGUCAUUGUAAGUUUUGCAUAUGGUAUUAUUAUUCUUGAUUGGAUGAUCAUCAUCUUGACAUACCUAACAAGGAUAAAUCCUAGGCAUCUGCGUGCUCUAUAAUAUAUAACUUUCUAAGAUCCUAACUAGAUCUUUUUGGUCAUUGACAGAAUGCUUGGUUGCUUGACAUUGGACGGUUUUUAGCAGGAUAUGGAGUUGGGAUUCUGUCAUACGUGGUAUUGACCAUUGACCAAAUAUUUUGUUUAUGAAUCUGCUCUUGGACUCUAAGAUAAUAUUUAGGUUCUGAAUCUGACACAGGUACCUGUAUAUAUAGCUGAAAUAACACCUAAAAACCUUCGAGGAGCAUUUACAGCAGUCAAUCAGGUAAAGCAAAUUGGUUGGAGAAUAAGAUUUUGCAUUCAAUUUGAUGGUUUUGAUGCUAGAUGCUAAUAAAACUUCAGUUGAUGAUAUGCUGCGGGGGGUCAGUGAUGUAUGUUAUUGGAAAUUUCACCUCCUGGCGUACACUGGCUCUGAUUGGUAAUUCUGUUUGUCCAACCUCCAUUGCCUCGUAUGAUUGUUAGUCAGUUAAAAAGGACUUUCUAUACUUUGUCAUUUCAGGAACCAUUCCAUGUAUACUGCAGUUGCUAGGCCUUUUUUUAAUUCCAGAAUCCCCCAGGUGGCUGGUAAGUUCAGACACAAUUCAGUAAAUCAACUUCUUGCUAUUAAGGAGUGCAUUAGUAAUGCUUUUAUGCAAAAUAUUCUGUUUUCUUACGAGAAAGUUUAGGGAUCUAUUUAGGAGUAGAAGACUUGUGUGAAACUUCCCCUUCAAUUAUGUUCCUUUAACCCCUGUAAUCUUAUCAAUUCAUUCAAUCAGGACAAAAACUGAACUAGAUCUGGACUUUCUGCAGGCUAAGAUGGAUAAGUGGAAAGAAUGUGAAACUUCUUUGCAGCGCCUUAGGGGAGCCAAUGCCAAUAUUUCUCAAGAAGCAGCUGAAAUCAUAGUAGCAUUCAGACUCUCUUUUAUGUACUUUCUUUCUUAAGGGAUAUUUUUGACAAGGAAAAUUGCGUUUCCAGGAGUAUACUGGAAUGCUUAAACAAUUGUCUGACACUAGGAUGAUUGACUUAUUCCAGAGGAAAUAUGCUCACGGACUCAUUGUAAGAUCUUCUACUGUUAUUUGAUUUUUAUAUUAGACUCAGAAAUUCACUAAAAUUAUAAAAUUCAAUCAGGUUGGAGUGGGUCUAAUGGUAUUGCAACAAUUUGGAGGGGUUAACGCCAUUGCUUAUUAUGCAAGCGCAAUUUUUGAGUCAGCAGGUUUAUAAGCUCUUUUUGCUACUGAUUCCAUCUGCUGAUAAUUUAAGAAAGGUAAUUGAGGGUACAGAAAUUAAUAUAUGAUAAGACAAUGACAGGUGUUUCUAGUAGGACUGGGACUUUGGCCAUGGUUGUUAUUCAGGUUUUCAUUUGAUUCACUGUUGUUCAAUGUUGGAUUCUGCUCCACGCAUUUGUAAACAUUUCUGUUCCAUCUACAGGUUCCAAUGACCCUUUUGGGGACUCUCCUAACCGAUAAAUCUGGAAGGGUACCACUGCUAAUGGUAGGAAGGUUGUCGUCAAUAAGCUUUUAGGUUUCUGCUGUUAAUAUCUGCUCAUACUAAGUCCAUUACUAUUGCAGAUUUCUGCAACUGGAACAUUGUUGGGUUGUUUCUUAACAGGAUUGUCAUUCUUACUACAGGUUCUAUUUAUCUUAAUACAUUUUACUCCGAAUUAAAUUGAUUGAUCUAUAAAAAUUUAUGUACUGAAAGAAUAUACUCCACAAAACAGGACCUUCAACUCUGGAAGGACAGUCCAUUAUUAGCAUUAAUCGGUGUGCUGGUAAUGCAAUUCUUAUGAAAUUGAAAUUUUCCAGUUUCAUUGUUUUCUUUGUAUACUGAAUAUAUUCUUAGAUCUGCUAGAAGUUUUACCACUUCAAACCUGCUUCUAAAAGCUCAAGAACUAUAUACAAUUGGAGACUUACAAAUCUUCCUGAAGUUCCUCUAGCUUAGUAAUAGCAGACUAGUACCAGCCACUGUGAGGAAAUGGUUACAAAUUGGAAAAAGGGAAAUACCAUACGGUACUAAUAUAUGAUAUGCAUCCUCCUAUCAGAUCUUUACAGGAUCUUUCUCAUUAGGGAUGGGCGGAAUUCCUUGGGUUAUAAUGUCAGAGGUAUGUCAUUUAUCUUUGAAGUCUUCAUAACUGAAUGCCACAAAAGGCAAUAACGAAAUUUUCAGGAAUGAGGAAAAACAGAUUUGUACUAAAUGUAGCCCGGAGUAGAUUCUUGAAUGAAUAUUUCCUCUGUCAGAUAUUUCCAAUAAAUGUGAAAGGUCUAGCUGGAAGCCUGGUGACAGUUGUGAACUGGUUUGGUUCUUGGAUUAUUUCCUAUUCUUUCAAUUUCCUUACAAAAUGGAUCAGCUCUGCAGGUAAUAAAGCAUGCAAAAACUUAAUCAUCCCUUUUAAGACUUAGUCGUCUAUUGAUCAUAUUUUUUUUUUCUCUCCAGGGACAUUUUUCUUGUUCUCAGUCGCAAGUGGUUUAACUAUCAUAUUCGUUGCAAAGCUUGUUCCUGAGACUAAAGGGCGUACCCUGGAAGAAAUUCAAGCAUCCAUGGUUUUGUUUACAAGGAAAAGCUGAAAUUUCAAAUCCAUUCUUCAUGGUUGUAGAGGUGUACUGUUCUAUAUGCCUGUUGCUUUGAUCUGCAUAUCUACAUCUUGUUUUUGAGUUAAUUGCUGACAAAAGCACAGAAAAUAAAAAUCCAUACUUCUCCAUAUGAUUGUAGUGACUAUUUAUCAAUCCCCCUACAGAUUAAAAAUGCUUGGAGUUUUGAGUACAAGUGACUUUUCAUUAGCAUGUUGUUCUAAGAAAUGCAAGUAGCAAAUUGCACCAGCUUCAAAUAUUGCAGUAAACUUAAACUGCAAUUUGAGCUGAUGUUUGGCCCUGCAAAAAGUAUUAAAGUCAUAAUAGCUUUGGUUGGAAAAUAUUGGAUAAUAGGAAUGUCGAAGUAGGUAUAACACAAACCUUUUGCAAUGAACCUAAGAAAACUUUCCUAUUUGUUUAUGGAUUACAAAUAUUGGAGUGGAUGAAGUGCCCAAUUUGUUGGCCAUCAUACCUUCAUGGUAGCACACAAAAAGAAAGAGUGUACUUCACCAAAUGGCUUUGUCAAAUUGUUAUGUUGAGAUCUAGCAUCAGGUAUUCAUAGGGUUUUGCCACUACUCCUAUCUAUGACUGUAAGGGGGAUUUGUCGUCUUAAACAGAAAAUUACUUAUUUGCAUCAUAAACAUAUUUUUUAAUACAUUUUUUUUAAAAUCUUUUUAACUAUCUUUUUAUCACAAAUACAUCACAUCACAAAAAGUGUUAUUAGUAAUUAUUUCAAAUAAACUCCUGUCCAAACGCACACGAAAAUGUACACUCAAAAAGAAGAAAACUAUUUUGGUCGAACCAAUAUCUCAAAAAAUCUCAAAGUAUUGCCUUCUUUGAUACUUUUUUGCGUCAAAUUCUUGGUUUUUAUGAUUCAGCUAAUUGCUACAAAUAACAUUCUUGGACUUGAUUGUUAGCAAAUUAUUUAUGUCUGCAGAAAUACAAGAUCCGGGAAUGUUAAGGAUACACUGCUCCUUUUUUUGGUUAUUCAUGAUCCUAUUAUAAUUUUCUUUUUAAUCAAGAGAUUAUGCUGGUGGAUUAACCUCACUGUAUCAAGAGAUCAUGCCCUUUAUAAAUUAUUGCCCCUUCACGAUUUACUCUUAGUGAUUUCAUGUUUAUACCAUUAAAAAAAAGAAGAAGAAAAUAUGCAUAUCUUUGAAGAAUAGAAAAAUAAUAAUGAAAUAUCCAACCCACUUGAAGCACAAAAAUGCACAAACCCUAAACAUUUUCAUAGUGCAUACCUUCAUGUGUAGACUUUAGUAGGAAUUCUCGUUUUAAUAAAAAAAUUUAAAAUUUUUAGAAAAUUGUUGAUUUUGAUCAAGAUGUACAUCUUGCUUGAUUAAUUUAUCAAUAUAUUCUAUUACAGAAUUAUUUUUCAAGGUUAAUUUUCUUGUUGAAGAAAAAAUUAUUAAAAGGAUGUGUUUGCAUGAGAAAUGAGUUGCAACAUUUAUUUUUCUCUAGAAUUGUUUGUUUUUGAAUGAUAUGUGGCGAUUUAAUAGAUGCUGGAAUAGAAAAUGGGACAAAAAAUCAUUUGCGUCAGUAGUAUAUGGACAUUAAAAAAAAAAGAAAUAGGAAAGAAAAAAAUGGUAGGGGGAGUGUGAAUUAAAAAAAAAAAAAUUGGGCGUCAUUAACAUUCUCCAACAAAAAUAUCACGUGCUAUGAUUUUGGAUUAUUGGGCCAAAUUCUAGAAUAAGACUUUUCUUUUUUGGAUCAAUUUGUUAAAAGACAUCUUGUGUGACAUUUUGGAUCAAUUUGGAAGAAGUUUGGGUCGGCGUCACGUAGUCCAUGGACCGCUCUGCUACUUUAGGAGCCACAAGGUUUUAAAUCCAAUCCAUGUUUCUUUUUAAUUGCCCCACUGCCCCGUGCUUUCCCCUAAGAUAUAACAUGUACUUAAAAAAAAAAAGGAAAAACAAAAUUUACAAGUACUAUUUGCAAGAUUUGAACUAUUUUGAGAAAAACUUGUGAAAUGAUAAAUUAACCAGAAAUCAAGCUUUAAUAACUUGUGAGUUGUGACCAUACUAACUAAUUAAGUCUAGGUUUGACCAAAGGAAACUAAUUAAAUCCAUAGCAUUGAUGAAUAUUUGAAAAAUGGGAGCUUCCAGUUAAAAAUCGGAGCCUCGAUGAGUCUAAUCUAAUUUCCACUUUAUUACAAGUAAACAAUAAUAGAUUAUGAAUAUUUGAAAAAUAGAAGUAAUUUCAUAAUUCUUGCACAACUAUGUUUGCACUCAAUUUUAAAAAUCAUUUAUUUAAAACAGUCUGUCCAGGGCACCCAUUAAAAUAUAUUUCAAGAGCUACAUUUUUGGAAAUAUAAGAUUAAUUAGGGAAAGUAAAUAAAUGUAAGGAAGGGUAGUCAAGAUUAAAUAAGAAAAAUAUAUAAAUACAAACUCGGAUAAUAAUUAUUAGUAUAUGUAUAUAUAUGGUAAGUUAGAUGAAUGAUAGGUGUGUGUGUUAACGAGUGCUCUUAGAGCACUCGCUAGAAAAACCCUAUAUAAAAUAUUUCUACCCUUUUUGGAAUUUUAUAAAUACUACUACACUCAAGGUCAUGUGGGCAGGGAAAAAGGGAUGUGAUUGCUUUAAAGGUCUAAGAAGGGUACUUUUGAAAUCUCAUUUUCUGGCAUUGUAAACCGUGAACUGCCAGUCUUCUUUUCAUUAUAGUGAAAUCAUCUUAGAUACUAGAAUUUAUAUAUUGUGAGACUUUCCUAUAUAUUAAAACUUAAAUGAGAAAAAAAAAAUGCAUUCCAAUAUUUCAUACAAUUAUGAUUAGAUUCUUCGUUUCCACCCGAAACUAAUCCACAAAACAAAACUUCAUGUUGCUUCUAUUACACAAACUAGUAUGUUGGACAACUUGUGCAAAAUCAUUUUCUGCUAAAGCACCUUUAUAUCACAUGUUGAAUGUGUACAUCUUUAAGUUUGUCACGUACGUCCUGCCAAAAUCUCCCCACCUUCCUUCCUAAUAUUGCUUAUAAACCAGCAUCACAUGCAUAACAAACAUAACUAAUCCCAAUCAAUAAUCAAACACAAAUCCCUGUUAAUUUCCUUCUUCUUCUCAUCAAUGGAUCUUCAACCAUGUCUAGAACAGCAACAACAAUCCCAUGCAAAUGAUUCAACACCAAAUGGAAAACCAUAUUGUAAUUCAAUACAACAUCCGGUGCACAAAACCUUAGCCACAGCCGCCAAUCUUGCAAACCUUCUGCCAACAGGAACAGUCCUAGCAUUUCGAACUCUCACCCCUUCAUUUUCCAACAAAGGAAGAUGCCAACCUUCCAACAAGUAUCUCACUGCAUUUCUUAUCGGAUUCUGCACGGUUAUCUGCUUUUUUUCCUCAUUUACUGAUAGCUUCUUUGAUAAACAUGACGGGAAGUUGUACUAUGGGAUUGCAACUUUCAAGGGCUUGUACGUUUUCAACAAUGAAUGUCGUGAUCAUGAUGAGAAAUCAGAGGGAGAAGACAUGAAGGAAUUGUCUAAGUACAGAAUUCGUUGGAUAGACUUUGUCCAUGCAUUUGUGUCACUUCUUGUUUUCUUGAUCUUUGCUCUGAGUGAUACUGACGUUCAAAAUUGUUUCUUUCCGGAAGCAGGAUCAAAUAUGGAUGCUUUGUUCAUGAAUUUGCCUUUGGGAGCUGCGAUUUUCUCAAGCUUUUUGUUCACUAUCUUUCCUACAAUUCGUAGAGGUAUUGGAUAUGCUGAUUUGCCUACCCGUGCAAAAUAAGAAAGUUUCCAUCCAAUUAGUCACUAUCCUCUUUGUAAGUGUAUAAUUUACAGAAAGAAUUCCAGGGCUUGUUUAUUAUUAGUCGCAACAAUAUAUAACGUUGAUGUAUAUACGUAAUAAACUCACAAAUUGUGAAACUUGAAUCCAAGAGCUCUAAAUCUUAUUGUUAGUACUAAGUGAUCUUUUACCAUUUUUUUUUUUUAAAAAAAAGGGAUCUAGCUCAUGUGUGUUUUUGCAGAACUAAAGCAGAAAUUGAGGAAGAAGAAAAGAAGAGAUGUUAGUUUUAUUGUGUAAAAGGAUUGAUUUGAAGAAAAACAAAUUUCAACGAUGACACAUGAAAAGGAGUUUUGCCCACUUCGAUUUAAUGUACGAGUUUUUUUUUCCAAAGACAUGACCAAUGAUGACAAAAGACAGGAAAGUGGAAACAAAUGAGUUCGGUUUUGAUUAUUUCAUGGAGGCUAGCUGGUCCUAGUUUGUUAAGAAAAGUAUGGAUGAAGUGCAUGAGAUUCUUUAAAAAUUCUUACGUUUUAUUAACUCACGAGCAUGGAAAAUUAUCAUGAUUGAUAAGAAUGGAGACGGGCAGGGACGGUUAUCAGAAGAAUCAUCCCUGAACAGUUUACCGUCAGGAUUUGGCCCAAAAAAAAUUAUACUUCCAGAUCAUUUCUUGUACCUCGUUUUUAACAACGUGUGUAGGGUCCACAAAAUUAUUCUAAGGUUACAGGUUGUGCAAACAAAGUUACGCUGUGUGCAAACAAACUUACGCGAUGUGCAAAAUGCACAAAAUCGCUAAGAACGGUUUGCAACCGUUCCUACCCGUGGUCCGAUAAGUACAAGUAUUUUAUGAAAAAGGACUAAUUACAAAUUUACAAUUAAUCCUCUAAAAUAUAUACUACUGAUACUCACUUUACACCUUAACUUUCUUUCUUUGUAUCACUUAAUUCUUUGUAAGACAAAAGUAUCCCUCUCUCUCUCUCUCUAUGUAUGAAUUGAAUCAGAAAACUGUUUUGGAGCUUUGAGAGUUCAAAUAAAAUGUGUAUCUUCAUUUUGCAACAGCUGAGAACCAAAAUUAAAAUAAUUUUAACUGCUAUGUGAUCACAAAAAAUUGUGAAUCUCCUUUGCUUUUCAUUUUCUAAAAACAAAAUAACUUGGACUCGGUCUCUGGAGAUGAACCUUUAGGUGCGAAGAGGAAGGAGUAGAAAAGGAAGAAGAAAGAGAAAAAGAAAAUAGAAAAGAAAAACAAAAGGGAAAGGAAAAAAAAGAAAUAAAAAAUUAUAAAAUCCAAACGAUAAAUGGGAUAGUUUUGUCUCAGAGGGGAUUUAAGUGACAAAAAAUUAAGAAAAACAAUUAAGAAAUAAAUUGAGAAUCAGGAUAUAUCUUCUAACGAACCCUCUAAAAAAUAACUAGAACGUUGCAAGAUAGGGUGAAAUGAAAAAAAAAAAUAGAUUUUUGUACUUAACAAUGAGUUUUGUUUUUUUCUGAGAUAAUUUGUCAGGUCAAUGUCGCAACCUUUGUCACGAACGGCCAUAGCACGACGUUGAUACAGUCGGACGAUGAGACAAUGUAGCCAUGUGCUCCCUUUUUUACUCUGAUACAGUCAAAACGAUGAGACAAGUUUUUCAGCUUCAACUUUGGAAUCGGAACGUGUAAAACAUGGCAACAGGAGGAAUCACUGUCAUGAAAGUUGCCUACACAAUUAAUCCAAAAUUGUGGAAGCAAUUUCAUGAGGAUAUCCAAAUUGAUUCAAAUGCUUCCUAAGAAUUUGUCUAGAAAAGGAAGAAAGAAAAAAAAAUUCCCAUUCGGAUUGCUAUUUUCUGGAAUUGAGGAUGAGGAGCUACUGCCUUCCGCACCCCCAAGGGAAUUUAUUGCUAUAAAGUAAUGCCGUUUGGCUUGAAAACGCUGGAGCGACAUAUCAAAGGGCAAUGCAAAGAAUUUUGAUGAUAUGCUCCAUAAGAAUGUGGAGUGCUACGUCGAUGACCUUGUGGUGAAAUCAAAGAAGCGAGAGGAUCAUAUUCAAGACCUUCGAAGAGUUUUCAACGCCUUCGAGAUACCAAUGAAGAUGAAUCCUUUGAAGUGCGCAUUCGGAGUCACUUCUGGCAAAUUUCUCGGUUUCAUCGUUCAUCAACGGGGAAUAGAAGUCGAUCGAUCUAAAAUUGAUGCCAUUGUGAACAUGCCUGAACCGCGAAAUAUUCAUGAAUUGAAGAGUUCAAGGGAAGUUGGCAUAUAUCCGGAGGUUUAUCUCUAAUUUGGCCGGGCGAUGCCAACCCUUCAGUCGACUGAUGAAGAAAGGGGUACCCUUCGAGUGGGAUGAAUCGUGUAGGAAUGCUUUUACAAGCAUCAAAACGUAUCUCAUGAAUCCCCAGUUUGGCUGCACCCAUCCAGGAAAACCAUUGAUUCUUAUAUUUCCGCUCAAGAACGGUCGGUUGGGGCCUUACUUGCUCAAGAAAAUGAUGAAGGUAAGGAGAAUGCGCUGUAUUACUUGAGUCGGAUGAUGACACCUAAUGAGUUGAAUUACUCACCCAUCGAGAAGUUGUGUUUGGCACUUAUAUUUGUCAUUCAGAAGUUAAAAUUAUUUUCAAGCACACACUAUUCGACUCAUAUCUAAGUCUAAUCCCAUUAAAUAUGUGAUGGCAAAACCUGUACUGUCUGAUCGGCUCGCGAGAUGGUACCUCCAGUUUCAACAAUUUGAAAUUAUUUACGUACCUGCGAAGGCUGUCAAAGGACAAAUAUUGGCAGACUUUUUAGCCGAUCAUCCCCUACCUGCCGAGUGGGAGUUGACUGAUGAACUUCCCGAUGAAGAAGUGUUUAUGGUCGAAUUGCCGUGGUCAAUGUAUUUCGAUGGAGCUGCCCACCGUGAUGGAGCUGGUGCGGGAGUUGUCUUUUAUACUCCUGAAGCAGAUAUAUUGCCAUACUCUUUCACUUUAACACGCCGGUGUUCCAACAAUGUGGCUGAAUAUCAGGCGUUGAUUCUCGGUCUUGAAACGGCUGUAGACAUGAAGCAGUUGCAUCUUAGAGUCUACGGUGAUUCAAAAUUGGUGGUAAAUCAACUCCUUGGUGUUUAUGAUGUCAAGAAACCUGAAUUGAUCCCAUAUUACAAGUAUGCAAGGCAACUCAUGGGAUAUUUAGGUAAUGUCACUAUAGAACAUAUCCCUAGAAAUUUCAACCAACAAGCUGAUUCUUUGGCAAGGGUGGCGUCCAUGAUCACUCUACCUUCUCAUCGAAAUCAGAUUUCAAUAUGUCAAAAUUGGGUCAUACCUCCGAUGUUUGAUGAAGGUAAUGAUAGUGAAGAAGAAAAUACUUAUCAUAUUUUUGUCCAUGAGAUCGAAAAGGAGGAUUGGCGUCACCUCAUCAUUGAUUAUCUUAAUCAUGGAAAGUUACCAGAAGAUCCUAAGAAAAGGGUUGAUAUACGUCGUCGAGCACCACGUUUCAUUUACUACAAAGGGACGCUUUACCGAAGGUCAUUCGAUGGGGUGUUUCUACGAUGUCUUGGAGAAGAUGAGGCCAUGCAAGCAAUGGAGGAGGCUCACUCUGGGAUAUGCGGUGCUCACCAGUCUGGCCCGAAAUUACACUUUCGUAUUAAAAGAAUGGGAUACUACUGGCCAACAAUGGUAAAGGAUUGCAUUGACUUUGCUAGAAGAUGUCAAGCAUGUCAAUUUCAUGGCAAUUUCAUCCAUCAGCCCCUGAACCAUUGCACCCAACUGUGGCUUCUUGGCCGUUCGAUGCUUGGGGUUUGGAUAUAGUUGGACCACUUCCAAAGUCUUCUGGCGGACAUGUUUUUAUUUUGGCGGCGACGGAUUACUUUUCAAAGUGGGCUGAAGCGAUUCCUCUAAGAGAGGUCAAAAAGGAGAAUGUAGUGGAUUUCAUUCGCUUGCACAUCAUUUAUCGGUAUGGAGUCCCGCGUUAUAUCAUUACCGAUAAUGGUAAGCCUUUUUGCAAUGUAGCAAUGAACAAACUUUGCGAGAAGUUUCAUUUCAAACAAUACAAUUCGUCCAUGUACUACGCUGCUGCAAAUGGACUCGCUGAAGCAUUCAACAAGACCUUAUGUAAUCUGUUGAAGAAAGUCGUGAAUAAAUCGAGAAGGGAUUGGCAUCUUCGAAUUGGAGAAGCACUUUGGGCAUACCGAACUACUUUUCGAACUCCCACGCAAGCGACCCCAUACGCGCUUGUUUAUGGUGUUGAAGCUGUUCUUCCACUUGAGUGUCAAAUACCUUCGCUAAGAAUUGCGAUUCAAGAAGGGCUCAGUGGAGAAGAUAAUGUCGUCUUCGCCUUGAGGAGUUAGAAGCACUCGACGAAAAGAGAUUGGAAACCAGCAACGGAUUGAGUGUUAUCAGGCCCGCCUUUCAAAAGCAUUCAAUAAGCAUGUCCGGCCACGCUCUUUCAAAUUGGAGAUUUAGUACUCGCUGUUCGGAGACCGAUCAUUCUCACUCAUGGCGGACAAAGAAAGUUUACUUAAGUGGGAUGGUCCAUAUGUCGUUCGAGAAGUAUAUACAAAUGGCUCAUACAAGUUGGUUGCUGAAGAUGGAUUAAGGGUUGGCCCCAUCAAUGGCAAGUACCUAAAAAGGUACUAUGCGUAAUCGAACCGCGAGAGCUCCUGGCCCGCAUGAGCUAAAACUGUGGAUGGCAACCACCAAUAGUGUAGUAUGUGGUUAAACUGCUGAAACACUCCACCAAGUCUAAGGUGGUAAACAAAUAGAUACUCCUGGCCCGCAUGAGGUUAAAAUGUGAACGGCAGGAACUACGUGUGACUUGAUUCCCUUGUUGGGAUACGUAGGCAGCUUGGAGGGCAACUUCUAAGUUCAGUUACACCACUCCAAAUCAAAUCCUUGUCCCUUGUAAAAAAAAAAAAAUUUUCUCUUUCCAAAAAAAAUAAAAAAAAUAAUAAUAAUAAUAAAAUGCUCCAUUUGAGUUCUUUUCUCUUAAAAAAAAAAGAGAUAAGAAAUGAAAAGCGUUUUAUUAUUAAAAAAAAAAAUCAUUACAUGAAAAAAUGAGUGAUUCAAGGAAAAGAAGAACAUGGUGGAAAGCUAAAUAUCAAAUUUGUAUUCCACUACAGCUACUUUAUAUGAUUCAAGUGCAGACUUCAUGUCCUCAAGUUCCUUCACAGCAUCAUCAGUCAAGAUGCUAGUAUUUCAAUGGAAGAUAGCUCAUCAUGCGCUUGGGUUAUUUCGGCUGGAUCUCUUUGAAAUCUCAUGCUUUUGAUCGAUAGUUGAGGUGAUUUCCAAGUUUGCUUCUCCAAACUGAUGAGUUCCUGUUGCAGAACCUUCUUCCUGGCUUCAAUGGAUUGCAACUCUUCUUCAAACUUUGCAAAUGACAAGUUAGUCUUCUCCCUUUGCCUUAACUUUCUCGAGUUGGACGGUCGCUUUGGAAAGGAGUUCUGCAUGUGUUUCUUUGCUCAUCCUUUCCCACGAUGAAGAUGCUAGAACAUCAUAAGCCUCCGCCUUGGCAAACAAUUCCAUCAAGUGGUCUUUUAAAGGGAGACCAUUGGCGGGAUCCGUUCUUGUGAUUUCUACAAUGAUUUCCUCUGCACACUCUUUUAAAGAAGAGAUCUGCUCAAUUGGAGUGUCAAGAAUCUGUCCGCGGAAAUCCAUCCACAAACUCUGCAAGUACUUUCUUCGAUGUGCCUGGAUCAACUUUUGGCCAUGAAAUUCUGAAACCAAUGCUACCUUAGGUUUUUCGAAUUUCGUGUGAACUAGUCAGCUCCUUCUUAUGCAUUGACGAAGUACCUCCACUGGGGGCAAAUUGUCUUGGAGUACUGAUAGCUACUUCGUCACUCUUGUUGUUUGAGAUUAUCAUCAGUUUCGAGUUCGGGUGAUGAAUUGUUACCAACACCUUCUUGACGGAAUUCAAGAAACGGGGGCUGAAAAGGAAAAAGUUAAAAAAAAAAUUUUAAAAAAGGAAAAAGAUGGAGAGAUGAUUACCUUAAGUGGCGACACUCCAACCGAACGGUGGUGUAAAGGAAAUCUCCUCCAAAUCAGAAGAUGUCCUCUUUCGAUCGGUUCCAAUGACGAUCUUGACUACUACUACCGCUCGCCAAUGAAUGGACCCCUUCUUGGGUAGAUCCGAUGUCCUGAACUUGAGUUCCUUCCUUUUCUAUAGCCUCGAUAGAAUCACGAUCGUCCACCGUUUCAAUUUCGAUAUCUUUUCAGUACGAGUUGCCGAUAAGGAUUUCGAAACUUUGGGCGGCGUCUUUUCGCUGGAACCGCUGGUUGCGCCUCUUUGAUGGCCUGCCGAGAGUCCUUGGAAGACUUAUUUUUUGUAGCAAUAUUUUUCGAGGGACUGCUAGUAAUUUUGUUCUUUCGCAGGUGGAUGAGGCAAGACCCGUUACAAUCUCUAUAGCUCCAUUAUGAUGCUGACUCGUUAGCGGAGGUAAUCUUACCCUUCUUCGAUGAUUGCUGAGGGAUCUUAACGGUGAAUUUAAAGGAAGUUGAAGAGACACUAUUUGACCGAGUCGACCACCAGGCGUCAUAGUCUUUUGUGAUCAAUGGAUGCUUCCUAUGCGCUGGUAUAGUCAUCCGAGAUCGCGUCUGUGUGCGAACUGAAGAAUCCCAUAGUUGAAUAGCCUCGCCCAAAGUGUAAGUAUGAGUGAUUUCUUUCAAGUUGUUGGGAAUGUCUUGACAAAAGCCGAAUUGUCUGCUAAACCUGCAAGGAUUAUAUUUUUCAAUAAUAAAAGUAUUGUCCUUACGUAGAGUUAAAUGGCAAGAGCGUUGACUAAUGAAAUAGCUCGUGAGUCUUGAUGAUAAGGAUCCGUCAUCGAUCAACGCCUUUUCUUCAUUCUCAGUCCAGCACAAUUUAGGGAGCAUCAAAGGAUUCACUUCUUUGAAAAUUUCCUCAUCUUCCAAUUGACCAUAAAAUAUUGUCAUUUUCUUACCACUAAAUCUCGUCAUGCGCGCGUGGUGGCUACUCACUUGAUUAUUCUCGUGAUAUACGUCAAAGUAUUGGCCAAUCCAAGCAUAGACGUAAUGGAUUGGAAAAGCUACCCCGCAUUCUCCAAGGUUAGGGGCGUAGACGAUCUCCCUCAACCCAUGAUAUAUGCUCGCAAGGACGGGAAUUGCAAGACAAAAUCUUUUCCCUGUAGCCAUUAAGCAUGCAACUUUAAAGACACUUGGGCGAAUGCGAUCGAUCUUUUUGCUUGGCAAAAGAAACUUGCAAAUCCAGCACGCUAUGAAUGCCGCAAUAUAGGUUUCCUUUCUUAAAUAUCCUGGAAUGUCCAGUGUGUCGAAAGGGACGUUGAAGUCCUUCGUAUCAGCAAGGUCGUAAGUCUCCACGCUUCCAGAAGGGUUGUAAGUCAUUUUUGGUUUAGAUGUGGUUUUCCUUCUAUUCGCUCUACUCGGAGGAGCACUAUACCUAGUCUCUCCUUUGAACCAGAAGCGAAUCCAGUCUUUCAUCCAUACCCCUUGGUCGUUCGUCCAAAGGUGGUAGUAGGCAGAAAAGAGGUGCCUGCAGCUCUCGGGGAAAGUGGCUUCCCUUCUUUGUCACGAGUGAGGAGCUCCCGCGCGAAGGAACAACUUCAUCGAAAAACGCGCCGUCAAUCGAAAGGCCACCAAGUCGAUAAAGGUCCCAAAGUGUGAUGGACAACUCCCCAAAGGGCGUAUGGAGCGUGUUCGUCGAGGGACACCAAUAUUUGAAGAAGGCCCGCAAGAUAUUUUCACAGCGAUCGUAGGAGUAUCUCGACGCGUAGACGGCUUCAAAUAUACCAGCACGUGUGAGUAUGUCUUUAUACCUUCCAAGCAUGUCCUCAACCCACUCCCACUCAUAAUAAUGGGAGGUGAAACACGCCUCACCGAAGAAGGACGAAGGGAUUUUUCAUGUAGCUUUGUCAACAUUGAAUCCCACGAACGGAAGUGUGAACUUGGCUAUUUCCGGAUCUCCAUUAUGAAGAGACGAGUUUAACACAACCACUUCUUCUUCUCUCGACGUAGUAGAGAAAGUCGACGGCGCCACCACUUCCUUAGUCCACUUGCUAGUCCAAUUGUCAAGAUGAAAGCAUCCUUCGAGGGAUAUGAAGGAUUCAGCGAGCGGGCCAAUUGCGGGUUUGUAAACAUGUAGUGACAAGCUUUUUGACUGCGUGCCUCCCCGUUCAUCUGUCAGCGAAAUAUGUGACAGUGGCACGGCGUAGUCCUUAAUUUGCAUGGUUACUGGAAUUUUGAAAAAAAGGCACGAGGUGGGCUAUCUACGGGAGGACAAGUUAGUAAAAUUGAAAUAUUGACAUGAGGUGGGGUAAAAAAAAAAGACAAAAAAAAAAAAAAAGCAAAGCAAAAAAAAAAAACAAUUGAGGUCGGAGUUCUAGAAAAAAAAAAGAAAAAAAAGGAAAAAAAAAGAUAUUUCUUGUUCAAAUAUCAUAUUGGGUAUUGUCCUAAUAGAUAAAAAAAGAAAGAAAAGACAAAAAAAAAAAAACAAAGCAAAGCAAAAAAAAAAAAAAAAACGAGGCAAACAAAAAAAAAGGGGGCAAACGAAAAAAAAAACAAACAAGCAAACAAAAAAAAACAGAAAAACAAAAAAAACAAAAACAGGGAAAAAAGAAACACUUAGCAAUUAAACAUUACGGACAGAAGAAAGGGAACUUCAAGUACCUGGUGAGCAAAAAGAAAAAAAAUUGUUCAAACACUACCAAUGGAUGACAGUUGAUGCUUGCGGCUCAGUGAAGAUCUUAAGCGUUAGACGCUGUCAAGACAAAUUAAAGCAAGUAUGGGUACCGUCGAUACAAGAAGGUAUGAAGGUGUGUGAACGAGAAUUAGAGCGACUACCUUCAAAGCUAUAGUGGAAGAAGCAACCAGAUCCUUCAAACGGCUUGCAACAUUGACAACGAAAAUGUUGUUUCCGAAUCUAUUGUUGCACAGACUACAAGGGUAAGCCGCGGUUCCAUGCAAAGUAGUAGAACAAGAAACACAAGCAGGGUGGUACCAUAGCUUGGAGGAGUAGUGCGUACCUUAAAAAUAAUCCUAGCGUAGCUCGGCACGUUCUGACCAACUCCAAAUUGAUUCUAUUAGUUUAAGGGGCGGCAAGGCCAAGCAAACUAGCAAAUUGUGAAUGACGGCAGUAGCAAAAAUAGGGGACGUAGCAGCGGCACCUCGUGACAACAAUAUUCGGGAAUCAAAAGGGAAGAGAAAUUUUUUUUUUUUCUUGAGCAAGUUCACGGCUUUGGACUUGGGGAUUUAUAGGACGAAUCUCUACUACAAAUCCGGAAGAAAGUUGAGUUUAAAUACAACUAGCUUCCUGGUCCGCUUCAAUCGUUUGAAGGAUAUCUUCAGGGGUCCUAGCAAUUAAGUCGGCUGUAUAUUGGGAAGUGGAUUCUACACUGGUUUCAGGGGGCUUGCUUCUAAAAAGGACCAGUUUAUUAUCCCAUGCGAUAUAGCUUCCAUUCAUGUUGGCCUUGGAAGGAAUUCUUGUCGCAACCAACCCCUAUAAGCUGAGCAAGUCAUGUCGGCAUGGAAACUUGCGCAGCGGUGGAGUUCAUGAUUGAUCAAAGAAUAGGAUGUUUGUCUCGCAAUUGAAGUUGAAAACUCUAGGCAAACCAAAGAGUAAUUUGCAUGCAAGGUGCACCAGGACAAAUGCUUACGAGGUAGAGUUCAUGUAUGGUUUCUGUUCGGGUAUUGAAGGCUUGUUGCGGUCAGCUUCUUAUUAAGUGAUUUACCUCACGAGAGUAAUCUCCGCAAAACUUCAGAACUCCAGAAGAGCUAAAUCCUUUGAUCCAAGGAGUCCUUAAGGUGAGUUUGAAGUUGAUUAGAAUCUGGCUUCGGGACCUUCCUGAUUGGUCAAUUGAGAUUGGAAUGUGCAUGUCCCGUAGGCUUCUAGUGAAUUUCAAAUCCUAAUGGAUAUGGUGUUUACCAUCCGAAGCCGAAAUUGGUUUACCGAAGUCUUUGGGAUUGCGUUGGUGUUAGUGGAAUUUGUGAUAACAUAGAGUUUUAAAUCAAUGUGGAGUUGGGCAAGUGAGCAAGCAUGACUUGUUGUGUCGUGGGCUAUGGUUGUGUUUCAACAAAGCCGUGGACUGGAGGUAGUUGCACGUUUGGGUCUUGGAAAUUGAGAUCACUAAUUCACCAAGUUUUGUAUGCAUUUGAUAACAUAGCGGUGGAAUUUAUAAUGUCUUGCAUGACCACCUUAUGUCAAUGAAAGCAUCUCCUUUAAAGUAUCAUUAGUCUAUAUUGGUCUAUGAGGCACUUGAUAAUACCAUGUCGUAUGACUUUGCCGGUGGUUUAAUAGACACGGCAUUGCAAAGGCUUUGGAUAAAGUCCAUGAGUUGAUAUUUGAAUUGCAAAACUUUGAGCAAAGCCAUGACACUAAAUGGACUUUGCUUGGAUUGAUAUUCAAACGGUGGACAUAAGGCUUCCAAAUGGAGUGAUCCGGCCUCGGGAAAUUGAAGGCACUAGUGGUCUUGGAAAUUGAGAUCAAUAAGGCAUGAAUUGGUGGUAUUCCACGUAGCUAUCCUAUAUGAUGCAAGUCAUUGAUAUAAAGUUUGCAAAGCUUGGAAUUUAGCCCAUUUAGGAGUUUUAUUUGAAAGGCUAAAAUAUCAACGGUGUUCAAGUUGAAACAAAAAAAAAUGUCAAAACUUGUCCGUUCAAAAUUUGCUUCGGUCUUCAACAUUCACGAACAAGUUUCGAGAGGGCAUUUGUAGACAAUGGAAUUUUAAUUAAAUUCUAAAAAUUACCAUUGGUCUAUAAAAUAUUUUUGUCCAAUCGGAUAUUGCCAUAUGACACGUACACUUGGAAAAAUUGGUUAUUAAAUGACCAAUUAUAUUUUGCCACGUGUCAAGGCGAGGUGUUCCAGAUCAAUUCAAAUUGCAGGGAUAUCUCCACCAAUCAGAUUAUAUCAUGUCACAUGUCCAUUGGAUAAAUAUCUAAAUAUUUAUUCCGUAUAAAAGGGAUAAUAUUUAGAGUUAUUUAAUCCAAGUAUAUCUCUUAUAUACUGCAAUAGCUUGGCCAGUCAAACGGCGCCAUGUCACGUGUCCCACGAGUUUGGCCAAUCGAUAAAUUUCUUAUCUCUUUAUUAAUAAAUAUAAAAUGAAGAGAUAAUAUUUGACUGGUACAGUCCUAAUAUGACUGCACGUCUUGCAAGACAAGUAAAGUGGUACAUAGGUUCUCAACCUCCACCUCUUGCUACACCUAUAAAUAGAGGUCUCUUAACCAAAUCAAACACACAGACAGAGACACAGAGAUAUCAAGAAGCAUCUCAUACACUCAAGUAUUGAAGCUUCAAGCUACGAAGGUCUGGGUCUCAAAGCUCCUCAAGUCUUCCGCAUAUCAAGGCUUGAGCCUUCAAGUAUUUUCAAAUCCUUCAAAUCUUCCAUAUCAAGAUUUGAAGGAGUCGGUGGUUGAUCCAAGAACAAGCUGCGAAGCCCUUGGAUUGGUGUUCGAGGAGAAGAAUCGAAGGAAGCUCUCCAUAAGUUCGAGAAACUUCCAGAGAUUGUACCUACAUAUUUUUGCUAAGUUUAUAUAGUACAUAUUUGUCGUGUAUUUCUUUUUCUUGUCGUUUUGCAGACUUGAAAUUUUUAUCGCGUACACUAUAGACCUGCCAUUUUGUAAGGAAUGCUAAGUGAGUUGAACGAAAUACAAAGUAAGAAAUAACAUGAAAGAAUUCCUAUUCAAGUGCAUCCCAUCAUGGAAACUUAAACUUUUUUAAAAAGGCAUGUAUUUACAUUGGUCAUUCUUACCUAUCUUUGGAUUUAUUGUCUAUACAUAUCUAAAAGCUUCAAAUUGAAAGAAUUGAUUACUUUGUAAUGCUUCUAAACUUAAUCAACACAAACAUUUCUCUUAUUACGUGAUAGAACAGUUGCAUUUCAUUCUCAACUGUCAAGAUUACCUUUUUCAAAAUCUAUAUGAAAAGCACAAUAGAAAGCAUUUGUUUGCAACUAUAAUAAAAGUUGGCUUUAGUUAUGAUUUUUUUUUUGUCAUCAAAGAACUACAUCUAGCCAGGAAAAUGCCACAGUCUCACAUCACCGUUUAAAGGCAAUAUCUAAGACCACAAAAUUCCUAGCUAAGGUUCCAGCAAAAAGAAAACAAAUCAUUUAAGAAAUUUUCUUUCCUCACUAAGCUUGUCAUUGUCUUUUGAAAAUACAACAAAAUGGAUAUAUCUACUUGUUUUGAAGUUUAAUUUAGUUUUAAAUUAUUUUGUUACUACACUAUCAUAAUCAUAACAUGAGAGAAAAUUCAACACAAUUGUUUACUAAUCUUUCUUAACGAGGACUAGGUUCUUUAGUUGAUAGCUGUAAAAUUAUUCUCCCUUUCUCUUGUUUUAGGGUUAAUGCCUUUUUACUUGUUAGAACUUGUUCUGUUCGUAUGGCAAUUCCUUAUAAUUGAGUAGGAGGUAUGUGCUGGAUAACAAUGGAGUUGCCAAGUAUUUAUCCACAUAAAUCUCCUUGAAUUAGUUUUGUAACUAAGAUUUACCAUCCAAAUGUUGAUGAAAGUGGAUCGAGGAUGUUAUUACCAUAUUGAAGUUGUUCAACAAUCUAUAAGCUCAGUGAGAAAAAGAGUGAUAUCUAAUCAAAAAAUAUAAUCUCUAGGAAAAUUUCCUAAAGCUUAUCAAUUAUUAUCCGUCCUACAUAAUAUCUUAUUAUAGUGAAAAAUUGCACAAUAAUAAAAGCAGGCCUUAGUUUUUUCUUGUCAUUAUUUUCCUUGCUACAUCUAGCAAGGAAAAUGUCAUUGUCUCACAUCACAUUUAAAGGUAAUAUCUAUGAUAAUAAAAUUUCUACCUAAGUUUUUAGUAAAAGAAAACAAUUCAUUUAGAAAAUCUUCUUUCCUCAUUAAGCUUGUUAUUGUCAUUUGAAAAUACUACGAAAAGGAUAUAUCCACUUGUUUUGAAGUUUAAUUUAGUUUUAGACCUUUUUUGUUGCUACAUAAUCAUAAUUUGAGAGAAAAUGCAGCACAGUUGUUCACUAAUCUUUCCCAAUGAGGACCAACUUCUUUAGUUGAUUGUUUUACAAUCGUUCUCCCUUUCUCUUGUUUAAGGGUUAAUGUCUUUUAAACUUGCUGGAACUUGGCUUGUUCUUAUGGCAAUUCCUUAUAAUGGAGCAGGAGGUAUGUGCCGGAUAAUGGUGGAGUAGCCAGGCACUUAUCCAUGUAAAUCUCCUUGAAUUAGUUUUGCAAAUAAGAUUUAGCAUCCAAUUGCUAAUGAAAGUGGGUUGAGGAUUUAUUGCCUUAUUGAAAUUGUUCAACAAUCUAUAAGUUCAGUGAGAAAAGAGAGUGAGAUCUAAUCAAAAUAUAAUAAAGUUUAUCAACUAUUAUCCGUCCUACAUAAUAUCAUAUUAUAGUGAAAAAAUUGCAUGAACGCAUGAUGCACGCUGUAUUUGUGAAAUAAUUAAGUUGUUGAAAUUAAUUCUUUGACAACAAUUAUGUAUUUGAUACCUUCACGAGUUAUAUUUAAUCAUGCCAUAGUGGAAAUAAUAGAAAGAAAAAAAUGAAAAGGUGCAGAGACAUUCUUGGACAACUGGAUGGCCAAUGAAACAAAAAAGGUAAAAAAAAUUAAAAUAACUCAUUUUACAAGCUCAACUACUUUGCCACACCUACCUAAAACAUGGUUUUCCCUUUUGCACAAAACAUGUUUUUCAUUGAUUUUGAAUUUUCAAAUUACUCCUCUACUUAACCCACAAUAAGGCACAAAGGUAUCAUUUUAGUUUAGGUAGACAAUAUCUUUAAUGAUAAAUACAAACUACCUCCCAUAUUCAAUCAAGUAAUCACUCCUACUUUCUUCAAUACGAUGACCUUGUUGUAUGAGUAAAUUCCAAGAUUGGUUAGCAAAUGCAUGUCUUUCCUAAGUCUCUCCAAAAAAAAUGAAAAAAGAAGAAUAUACAAUUUGGAGUGUUAAGGGUUUAUUAGAAUGUAGCGAUGUUUUAAUUAGUAAUAACCCAUGAGGGUAACCAAAUAAAAAAUUAAAAUUUAGUUAUAUAUGAAAAAAAAUAUCUGAUUCUGAAAGAUUUUAGCAAAUUCUAACUCGCCAUGUUCUAAAGCAUAGGAUUCUGCACCCUAACCAAGAUUUAUUUUUUAUUUUCAACUUGUGUUUAUUACACAGAAGGGUUUUCUGGAAUAAUGGUCAUAUAGUUUGAUUAAAGUUUAAUUUGGACAAAACACUUUACCAACCAAUAAGAUAACAUCCAUGGUAGAAGAUCAUCUAUAUGUGGAAUUCCCUUGAGAUUUGCAUGCUAAUCCUUUGCCAACUAUACUUUCUUGGAUGAUUUUCUUAUCAUCUCUAGAACUAUACACCUGUCUAUUUUUAAGGAAUGCUAACUGAGUAGAAUGAAAUACAAAGUAAGAAAUAACAUAAAAGAAUUCCCAUUCGAAUGCAUCUCAUUAUCAAAACUUAAAAUUUUUUUACAAAAAAAGCAUGUAUUUACAUUGGGUCAAACAUUAUAACCUAUCUUUCAUUUACUAUCUAUACACAUUUAAAAGUUUCAACUUGAAAGAAUUAAUUACUUGUAAUGCUUCGAAACUUAAUCAACACAAACAAUUCUCUUAUUUUGUGAUAGAAUCGUACCAUUUUAUUCUCAACUGUCAAGAUUAUCGGCUUCAAAAUCUGCAUGAACAACACAAUAAAAGACUUUUAUUUGCAACAAAUAAAAGUGGGCAUUAGUUUUUUUUCACCAAAGAGCUAUAUCUAGCAAGGAAAAUGCCACUGUCUCACAUCACCAUUUAAAGGCAAUAUCUAUGACAACACAAUUCCUAACUAAGUUUCUAGUAAAAGAAAACAAUUCAUUUAGAAAAUCUUCUUUCCUCAUUAAGCUUGUCUUUGUUAUUUGAAAUUACUACAAAAAGGAUAUAUCCACUUGUUUUGAAGUUUAAUUUAGUUUUAAACCUUUUUUGUUACUACUCUAUCAUAAUCUGAGAGAAAAUGCAGCACAGUUAUUCGCUAAUCUUUCUCAAUGAGGACCAGAUUCUGUAGUUGAUUGCUUUACAAUCAUUCUCCAUUCUCUUGUUUAAGGGUUAAUGUCUUUUAAACUUGUUAAAACUUGGCAUGUUCUUACGACAAUUCCUUAUAAUAGAGUAGGAGCUAUGUAUUGGAUAACAGUGGAGUAGCCAGGCACUUAUCCAUGUAAAUCUCCUUGAAUUAGUUUUGUAAAUAAGAUUUAGCAUCCAAUUGUUGAUGAAAAGUGGGUUGAGGAUGUUAUUGCCUUAUUGAAGUUGUUUAACAAUCGAUAAGCUCAGUGAAAAAAGAGAGCGAAAUCUAAUCAAAAUAUAAUCUUUAGGAAUAUUUCCUAAAACUUAUCAAUUAUUAUCCGUCCUACAUAAUAUCAUAUUAUAGUGAAAAAAUUGCACGUACUUAUGAUACAUGCAGUAUAUGUGAGAUAAUUAAGUUGUUGAAAUUAAUUCUUUGAGAACAAUUAUGUAUUUGAUAGCAUCACAAGUUAUAUUUAAUCGUGCCAUAGGGGAAAUAAUGAACAAAAAUGAAAAGAUGCAGAGACAAAUUCUUGGAUAACUGGAUGGCAUAUGCAACAAAAAAGGUAAAACAAUUAAAAUUAACUCAUUCUACAAGUUCAACUACUUUGCCACACCCGCUUAUAACAUGGAUCUCCCUUUUGCACUAAAUAUGUUUAUCAUUGAUUUUGAACUUUCAAAUUGCUCCUCUAUUUAACCCACAAUAAAACACGAGGGAAUCAUUUUAUUUUUGGAAGACAAUAUCUUUAAUGAAAUAUACAAACUGCCCCUUAUAUUCAAUCAAAUAAUCACUCCUACUUUCUUCAAUAAGAUGACCAUAUUGUGUGAGUAAAUUUCAAGGUUAGUUAGCAAUUGCAUGUCUUUCCUAAGUCUCUUAAAAAAAAAAAAAAAACAGAAGAGUACACAAUCCGAAGUGUUAAGGGUUGGACAGAAAGUAGCGAUGUUUUAAUUAGUAACAUCCUAUGAGGGUACCAAAUAAAAAGACUAAAAUUUGGUUGUACAUGAAAAACAAGAUCUAAUUUUAAAAGAUUUUGGCAAAUUGCAACUCACCACGUUUUAAAGCAUAGGGUUCUACACCCUAACCAAGAUUUAUUUUUAUUUUCAACUUGUAUUUAUUACACAAUAGGGUUUUCUAGAAUAAUAGUCAUAUGGUUUGAUUAAAAGUUUAAUUUGGACAAAGCACUUUACCAACCAAUAAGAGAAUGUCCAUGGUGAAAGAUCUUCUAAAUGUGGAAUCCCCUUGAGAUUUCCAUGUUAAUCCUUUGCCAACUAUAUUUUCUUGGGAGAUUUUCUUAUCAUCACCAGAACUAUAUACCUAUUUUUUUGUAAGGAUUUCUCACUGAGUAGAAUGAAAUACAAAGUAAUAAAUAACAUGAUAGAAUUCCCAUUCGAGUAGAAUUCAUCAUUAAAACUUAAAAUUUCUAAAAAAAAAAACAAGUAUUUACAUUGGGUCAAACAUUCCAACGUAUAUUUGGAUUUACUAUCUAUACAUAUUUAAAAGUUUCAAACUGAAAGAAUUAAUUACUUGUAAUGCUUCUAAACUUAAUCAACACAAACAUUUCUCUUAUUUUGUGAUAGAACUGUACCAUUUCAUCAUCUUUUUUUUAUUUUUAUUUUUUUAACUUUAAUCUUUAUUUAUGAACUGAAAAGAGUACAAAGAGAGACAGCAACCAACUACUGCCUAACAAGCUAAAGAAGCUCUACUCCUACGAAUGUUCGGAACGCCUAACCGAUCAAGAUUAACAUCACCCCUCACCAGGCAAGGCAACUCAGAAAAUGAAACAUAUGUUGAGUUAAACCCAGCGUCCACACCCACAUUGGCCAAUCUAUCCGCAGGCCUAUUCGCUUCCCGAAAGCAAUGAGAAAUCUCUCUAAGCAACCCCUUAGCAUUCAACACCUCCUGUAAACCUCGUUGCAACUGCCAUGGACACCUCACCGUUCCCGAAUAAUCUGAACUAACACCAAUGAAUCUGAUUCGAUGUGCAAAGCACUGUAUCCCCGAUCUACGGCCAACCGAAUCCCAUGAAGAAGCGCCUCCAAUUCCGCCUGCAAACUUGUUAGCUCCCCAAAAAAACAUGAGAACCCUAGCAGAAACCUUCCCUCAUAGUUACGAAUGAUGCCUCCCCCUCCACUCAUGCCAGGAUUACCUCUAGAGCAACCGUCAGAGUUUAGCUUCACCACCGACUGCUUCGGACACCGCCAACGAACAAUUUGCACAUGAUAACGACGUGCCAAACCAGCCACAGAUUCAAAGAACCUCGGCCACCGCGGCAAGAAGAAACAGUAUUCUUAAACCUAAUCUGGAAUAGGUCUCGCAGAUCACAAAAAAUUCUAUCACUGACUAUAGCAACAGGCAAACUCUGACCCUCGAACACAAACUUAUUCCGCAUUUUCCACAAGUGCCAACAAAUCAAAGACGGCAGCACACGAAAAAGAAACUGAAGAAACGGGUUCCGAGUAGGCUUCAACCACCAACCAAUCACCUUAUGUCGUAUUGUCGAGAAAACACCAAACCCUCCCACCACCACUUCAAAAGACUCCCAGAUUUGCCGUGGAACCUCCCCAGUGCAGAAAAUAUGAUCCAGAGACUCCUGACAUGGGAAGGAACAACAAAAACAGCGAGACGGCCCGACAACCCCAAGCUUUUGCAAACUAUCCAUCACUGGCAAUCUAGCCCCCAGCAGACGCAGCAUAAAAAAGGACACAUUACUCGGCAAUUCCUGACCCCAGAGGGAGGAGUAUAGACAAGACCUGUUACCAACCCCACGAGCACUUUGGUAGGCCGACGAUAGGGAGAAAUCCCCUGAGGUACUGGGAGACCAGACCAUUCUAUCCGAAUGCGUCUCAGCGGGAGGUUCAACACACAAGAUCUGCCCCACCCACCAGCUGGGCAGCACAGAGCACAGCCUCUGCACGUUCCACCGACCAUGCUCCACGAAAUCGGAUACUGCAUAUUCCUGGAAAGAGUCGACCUGGCGACAUAAAGGACCUUGUCCUAACCAAUCAUCAUGCCAAAAACUUGCCGAUCCAUUGGACAAGACCCAGCGAAUCUGCUGCUCAGCAACCCCCUGAAUAGAUAUCAAUCUCUUCCAAGUCCAAGAACUCCCCGGCGAGACGUCCGCAGAGCAAGGGUGGAAAUUCGGCAGUAUUUACAAUGUAAAAACUCAGCCCAUAAAGACUUCCGCAAUCUAAACUGCCACCAAAGUUUCAUCGAGAAAGCGUCGAACACAUCCCUCAACGACCUCAAACCUGCACCUCCCCUGUCAUAUGGCUGACACAACUGCUCCCAUUUGAUCCAGUGACGCCCUCUUCACCGCGUCAAAAAAUGUUACCGAACUGCUUACGAGACCAAACUUGCAAGUCCCGUUUGACAUUCCUCAGUUUAGCGGUUAAACGACUCAAAGGCGCCCAGAACAAGGAACUGCCCAACUCCAACUGUCAAGAUUAUCACCUUCAAAAUCUAUAUGAAUAACACAAUAAAAGGCUUUUGUUUGCAACAAAUAAAAGUGGGCAUUAGUUUUUUUUUACCAAAGAGCUACAUCUAGCAAGAAAAAUGCCACUAUCUCACAUCAACAUUUAAAGGUAAUAUCUAUGACAACAAAAUUCCUAACUAAGUUUCUAGCAAAAUAAAAUAAUUCAUUUGGAAAAUCUUCUUUUUUGACUAAAGUUGUCAUUGUUAUUUGAAAAUACUACAAAAAGGAUAUAUCCACUUGUUUUGAAGUUUAAUUUAGUUUUAAACCCUUUUUGUUCUCACACUAUCAUAAUCUGAGAGAAAAUGCAGUACAACUGUUCGCUAAUUUUUUCCAAUGAGGACCAGGUUCUUUAGUUGAUUGCUUUACAAUCAUUCUCUGCUCUCUUGUUUAAGGUUAAUGUCUUCUAAACUUGCUGAAACUUGGCCUAUACUUAUGGCAAUUCCUUAUAAUGGAGUAAGAGGUAUGUGCCGGAUAACGAUGGAGUUGCCAGGCGCUUAUCCAUGUAAAUCUCUUUGAAUUAGUUUUGUAAAUAAGAUUUACCAACCAAUUGUUGAUGAAAAGUGUGUUGGGGAUGUUAUUGCCUUUUUGAAAUUGUUGAACAAUCUAUAAACUCGGUGAGAAAAAGACUGAGAUAUAAUCAAAAUAUAAUUUCUAAGAAUAUUUCUUAAAACUUAUCAAUUAUUAUCCGUCCUAUAUAAUAUCAUAUUAAAAUGAAGAAAUUGCACGUACGCAUGAUGCACGCUAUAUCUGUGAGAUAUUACGUUGGUGAAAUUAAUUCUUUGAGAACAAUUAUGUAUUAUAUUCCUUCACAAGUUAUAUUUAAUCGUGCCAUAGUAGAAAUAAUGGAAAGGAAAAAAUAAAAAGUUGCAAAGACAAAUUCUUGGACAACUGGAUGACAUAUGCAACAAAAAAUGUAAAAAACUAAAAAUAACUUAUUCUAUAAGCUCAAGUAGUUUGCCACACUCACUUAUGACAUGGUACUCCCUUUUGUACAAAAUAUGUUUAUCAUUGAUUUUGAACUUUCAAAUUGCUCGUCUACUUAACCCACAAAAAGACAUGAAGGAAUCAUUGUAUUUUUUAUAAACAAUAUCUUUAACGAUAAAUACAAAUUGCCCCUCAUAUUCAAUCAAGUAAUCACUCCUACUUUUUUCAAUAUGAUGACCAUGUUGUGUGAAUAAAUUUCAAGGUUGGUCAGCAAUUGCAUGUUUUUUCUAAGUCUCUCCAAAAAGAAAGAAAAAAAGAAGAGCACACACUCUACAGUGUUAAGGGUUUGUUAGUAUGUAGCGAUGCCUUAAUUAGUAACAUCCCAUGAGGAUAACCAAAUAAAAAGACUAAAAUUUGGUUGUACAUGAAAAACAAUGUCAAAUUCUAAAAAAUUUUGGCAAAUUGCAACUCGCUUCAAAGCAUAUGAUUCUACACCCUAAGCAAGAUUUAUUUUUUAUUUUUAACUUGUGUUUUUUACACAGUAGGGUUUUUCGGAAUAAUGGUUAUCUAGUUUGAUUAAGCGUUUAAUUUGGAUAAAGCACUUUACCAAUCAAUAACAAUGUAUCUCAUCAUUAAAACUUAAAGUUUUAAAAAAGACAUGUAUUUACAUUGGGUCAAACAUUCUUACCAAUUUUUGGAUUUACUAUCUAUACGUAUCUAAAACUUCAAAUUGAAAGAAUUAAUUACUUUGUAAUGCUUCUAAACUUAAUUAACACAAAAAUUUCUCUUAUUUUGUGAUAGAACAGUACCAUUUCAUUCUCAGCUGUUAAGAUUAUCUCCUUCAAAAUUUGUAUGAAGACCACAAUAAAAGACUUUUGUUUGCAACAAUAAUAAAAGUAGGCAACAGUUCCUUUUUUGUCUCCAAAGAGUUACAUCUAGCAAGGAAAAUGCCACUGUCUCACAUCACCAUUUAAAGGCAAUAUCUAUGACAACAAAAUUUCUAACUAAGUUUCUAGCAAAAGAAAACAAUUCAUUCAGAAAAUCUUCUUUCCUCACUAAACUUAUCAUUGUCAUUUGAAAAUACUACAAAAGGAUAUAUCCACUUAUUUUGAAGUUUAAUUUAGUUUUAAACCUUUCUUGUUACUAAACUAUCAUAAUCUGAGAGAAAAUCCAGCAUAGUUGUUCACUAAUCUUUCCCAAUGGGGUCAGGUUCUUUAGUUGAUUGCUUUACAAUCAAUCACCCUUCCUCUUGUUUAAGGGCUAAUGUAUUUGUUACUUGCUGGAACUUGGCCUGCUCUUAUGGUAAUUCCUUAUAAUGGAGUAGGAGGUAUGUACCGGAUAAUGAUGCAGUUGCUGAGCACUUAUCCAUGUAAAUCUCCUUGAAUUAGUUUUGUAAAUAAGAUUUACCAUCCAAAUGUUGAUGAAAAGUGGGUUCAAUAAUCUAUAAGCUCAAAGAGAAAAGAGAAUGAGAUCUAAUCAAAAUAUAAUCUUUAGGAAAAUUUCCUAUAGGUUAUCAGUUAUUAUCCAUCCUACAUAAUAUCUUAUAAUAGUAAAAAAAAAAUUGCAUGUACGCAUGAUGCACGCUGUAUCUGUGAGAUAAUUAAGUUAUUGAAAUAAAUUUUUUGAAAACAAUCAUGUAUUUCAUACCUUCACAAGUUAUAUUUAACCAUAUCAUAGUUGAAAUAAUAGAAAAAAAAUGAAAGGGUACAAAGACAAAUUCAUGGACAACUGAAUGGCCUAUGCAACAAAAAAAUUAAAAAUAACUCAUGCUACAAGUUUGACUACUAAUUUGCCAUGCCCACUUAUAGUAUGGUUCUCUCUUUUGCACAAAACAUGUUUACCAUUGAUUUUGAACUUUCAAAAUGCUCCUCUAGUUAACCCAUAAUAAGAUUCGAAGGAAUCUUUUUAUUUGGUAUACAACAUCUUUAACGAUAAAUAUAUACAAACAGCCCUCAUAUUCGAUCAAGUAAUGACUUCUAUUUUCUUCCAUAUGAUGACCAUGUUGUGUGAGUAAAUUCCAAGAUUGGUUAGAAAUUUCAUGUCUUUCCUAAGUCUCUCCAAAAAAAAAAAAAAACAAGAAGUGUACACAAUCUGGAGUGUUAGGGAGUCAGUAGAAUGUAGCAACAUCUUCAUUAGUAGCAUCCCAUGACGAUAACUAAAUAAAAAUAUUAAAAUUAGAUUGUACAUGAAAAACAAAGUUCAAUUUGGUAGGACUAGGUUCUUUAGUUGAUUGCUUCACAAUUAUUCUCCCUUUCUCUUGUUUUUAGGUUAAUGCCUUUUUUACUUAUUGGAACUUAGCCUGUUCUUGUCAAUUCCUUAUAAUGGAGUAAGAGGUAUGUGUCGAGUAGCGGUGGAGUUGCCAGGUGCUUAUCCAUAUAAAUUUCUUUGAAUUGGUUUUGUAAAUAAGAUUUACCAUCCAAAUAUUGAUGAAAAGUGAGUUUGUGGAUGUUAUUUCCUUGUUGAAGUUGUUCAAUACUCUAUAAGUUCAGUGAGAAAAGAGAGUGAGAUCUAAUCAAAUAUAAUCUCUAGGAAAUUUUUUAAAGCUUGUCAACUAUUGUCUCUUCUAUAUAAUAUCUUAUUAUUUUGUAAAGAACUGCAUGUAUGCAUGAUGCAUGCUAUAUCCAUGAGAUAAUUAAGUUGCUAAAGUAAAUUCUUUGAGAACAAUUUUGUAUUUGAUACCUUCGCGAGUUAUAUUUAAUUGUACCGUACUGGAAAUAAUGGAAAGAGAAAAUAAAAAGAUGCAAAAACAAAUUAUGGACAAUUUAAUGGCUUAUGCAAUAAAAAGGGUAAAUAUAACUCAUAUGAUACAAGUAAAAGCUCAACUAUUACUUUGCCACGCCGAUUUAUAGCAUAGCUCUCCUUGAUCAAUUCUUUACACAAAACAUGUUUGUCAUUGAUUUUGAACUUUCAAGUUAGUCCUCAACUUAACCGAUUAGCUAUUGCAUGUCUUUCUUAGGUUUCUCCAAGAAAAACACGAAUAUUGCACAAUCUGGAGAGUUAGGAGUUUGUUAGAAUGUGGCUUGUCUUAAUUAGUAGCAUCCCAUUUAGUAACCAAAUAAAAAAGAUUGAAAUUUGGUUAUACAUGAAAAACAAAUUUCAAUUCUAAGAGUUAUUAAGGGUUAUCUUUGGACGCCGUACUUUUCCAACCUAUAAGGGAAUGUCCACAGUAGAAAAUCUUCUAUAGGUGGAAUUCCCUUAACAUUUGCAUGAUAAUCCUUGCCAACUACACUUGCAUAGAUGAUAUUCUUAUCUUCUCUUGAAUUAUAUAUCUCUUUUCUUUUCUUUUUUUUUAAAGAAAUGCUAAAUGAGUAGAACGAAUACAAAGUAAGAAAUAAUAUGAAAGAAUUUCCAUUCAAGAGGAAAGUUUUUGUGUGACAGCCCCAUCUCACCCUAAGGCAAACCAAAGGGUUCGGCGGACCGCCUGCCCAACUCUCGCCGGGACUCAGUCAUACCUCCAUCAAAAUCGGAAUAAAACUACAAGAAUUAAAACGAAAUGGAAGGGGCCGCUACCACGUCUCAGUCCAACCAAAUACAAGUAAACUUUGUUUGCUAUGAAAGAAUGUACAUUCCCGAAUCCGUAUGUCACCUAAAUAAGAGGAAACACUUUAAAAUAUUAGCAAAUUUACAAAUCCAAAAGGAAAUAUUAUAUUAAGAUACAUUUAGGGUUUCCAAAUUGUCAAGGAACUAUACCAAAAGAACAAGAGAAUUUCUACCUAGCUCAACACAUUCUUCAAAACAUUGAAGUUCCAAAAGAUGGUUCCCUGUAAGGAAAACAAGGAUAACGGAACGGGGUGAGCUAAAAACUCAAUGAGGUACCAACAGUAUAAAUAGUAGAAUCAGUAGAAUUCAUGAGAAAGCAUUUUGGAGGCACAUAUUCACAUCAAAUACGAGAAAUGAAUGAAUAUCACAAUGUAAAGGAUACAGGUGGCUCUCAGGAGCCAAAUCCCCGUUGCUAUACUUGAUCCAAUCUCGUUGACUCUCCGUCAACGUUCAAAUACAGGAACCAGUCCAAUAGAACACCACUUUAAUGCCAAAACCCCGUUCACCAAACAUACCCCUUACAGGGCCCGAACGCCAAACAGGAACAGGAAUGGUAAUACUCGAGUAUACCAGAAAUUCAGAAUCUCCAAUACCCAUAGAUUCCUCAGGAACAGGCACCCAUGGAUUGUCAAUUUCCUCGACCAAGCCCUCGCUGACUCGAUUCAAUUAACUCUCCAUGAAGUUGAGCUUAAGUUUAACAGGAAGGUCGUUGGAUACACUUCCAAACGACAUCAUAACAAGUGCAAGUAACAAAUUCAAGUAUAUAACAGGUACAAGUAAUAGAUUUCAGUUCGUUCAGUACAGGCAAGAGAACGAGUGUGAUAAAGUACACCCUCGUCUCAUACAAGAUAAACAGUCAGGAAAGACAUUCAAAUAGCAGUUUGCAAGUACAGAAAACCAGUUUAGCAAUAAUUCAGGGGAGUGGUGCACUCACCAGUUCAAGUACAGAUACUUCAAAAGUUUUCAAUUGAACCAAAGUAAAACAAUUGAAGAUUCCACAUCCAAAAUCGAGUAAAUAGAAUGCACAAGUGAGGCUCGACUGCUAGUCGUAUGCCUCGCCAAAUAAUUACUAAUGCAAGGUGCAAAACAUGAUUUUUGGGAACGAAAAGGUAACAUGAAGACCUAGGGUUCAAAUAACCCAAAAGGCCUUCAGUUCUACCAAAAGGCAACUCAAACUUAAAAGAACCAAACGGCCUAAAAAAUUGGACAGCAUUCCUCCUAAAUUUGCUUACUUUUCCGGCCAUCAAGGCUUCCUUUUUCCGUCAGUCAAUCCCAAAGUCACACACAAAAUAAUUUCAUUUCAAUAGCCGUUCAAUAGGCUCCAAGUAGUACAAGUACAAAUUCAAGCUAGUGAAAAGUUCGGAAAGGAAAACAGGUUUGACGUUGUUUUGCGUAACGGACACAACGGAGGCUACGCUUAUCGGAUUGGAAUGUAAUUUAUACUAUUUCGAAGCUAAGACAAAGGCCUAUAACUUUGAUGAAGACCACUCAGUCCAGUUCGUAGUGUAGCUAGGUCAAAAGUGCAAUAUAUGAAACCAGAAUCUCACAAAUAGGUUAGCUAACCGCACUAUGGUUAAACGAAAAUAACUUAGGCUACCGAGUCCGAAUGAGGUGUAUCUUAUGGCGUUUCGAAACCAAGACAUAUACUUACAUUUCUUAUGAAGACCUACAAAGCCAAAUCAUGCAUUUUCAUGGUCAAAAAUGGAAGUUUCCACGAAAACAGAAAUCUGGCGCGCGAAACAGGGUUCAUGGAUAGUCAAGGGUAUUUUGAUCAUUUCACAUGAUACAAUACUUGGAUUGAGCUGAAAUUUUUCAGGCAACUAGCUAACACCAUUUUCUACAACUUUCAUGUUUUAACCUAAGCCUGAUUCAUCCUCUAACAUGCUCAAAUAAAUCCGGUCAGAACAAGACAGAUUUGAAACCCUAACCUGAAAUUUUCCGCACAAGCUGAAAUUUUUCGCAAAUAACCGCAAUUAAUACACAAGAGCUUCAUUUAACACCAUAACAAGCUAUCAAUCCAAGACCAAUCCAUGAUUUUAAUAUAAAAUCAGAAAAUCCCCUCAUAAAUCAGAAAUUCACCAUAAAUUCCUUCAACCCAUGAAAUACUCCACAACAUAACAUACAUGACAACCACAAACCAUUAAUUAACCAAUACUAGAACAAAAGGAAACUUGUAUAUCCAACUUAUCUCAAAUUCAAGAAAGCUAUCAACUUAGAGCUUCCCUUCCAAAACCAAUCCAUCAAAAGCUUUAAACCACCAUAGUGAGCCCUUGUAUGAAAUAUUUUCCAAAAUCAUCGAUUAAAACUCAAGAUUUUGGCAAAGAUUGAAACUAGGAAAUUUGAGAGCUUUCUCUCUAUGAAGCUCGGUCAAGCCAGGUGAAAAAUGAAGAUAUUUUGGGCCAAAAAUAGGAUAAGUAAGAAAGAAACAGCCGGUCAAAGCCUCUGACCGACUGUGACAUGUCACAAUCCGGCCGGAAUCUAGCCGGAUUCGAGGCAGAGGCAAAACUCUUUUUUUUUUCAAAACUGCAAGGCAAUCUGGCCAGAAACUGGCCGGAUUUCCAGCCGGAUUUGGCCCCUUCCUCUUUUGAAAAAUUUUUCUUCUUUUUUCAAGUUUAAAAACUGCGUUCCUCCGCUCGUCCAACAAAGAUUUAUAUAAAAGGAAAACCCUCCUUUUCGGGGCGUCACAUUUUGAAAGGCAUGUAUUCACACAGGGUCAAAUAUACUUACAUGUCUGUCGAUUUAUUGUCUGUACAUAUCUAAAAGCUUCAAAAUUGAAACAAUUCAUUACUUGACAAUGCUUCUAAACUUAAUCAACACAAAUCUCUCUUAUAUCAUGAUAGAACAAUAGCAUUUCAUUCUCAAUUUUCAAUAUUAUCUCCUUCACAAUCUUUGUGAAGGCCACACUAAAGAGUUUAUGUCGAUAUGAGAAAAGGCUUUUGUUUGCAACUAUAAUAAAAUUGGGUAUUAGCUAUGUCGUUUUUUUUUUUUGUCGCUAAAGACCUACAUCUAGCAAGGGAAAUACCACACUAGUCCCACAUCACCAUUUAAAGGCAAUAUCUAUAAUGUCAAAAUUCCUAGCUAAGUUUCUCACAAAAAGUAAUAAUUUAGUAAAGCAUUUUUUCUUUACUCACUCAGCUUGUCAUUUGAAAAUAAAACAAAAAGGAUAUUCCCACUUGUUUAGGUGUAGAUAGGGCUGCAAACGAGCUGAGUCGAGUCGAGUUUUGGCCUAAUCGAGCCGAAUCUUGACUUAAUUUUAUUGAACUCUAACUCGAUCUUGAGUUCGACGAGCUGACAAUUUAAAAGUUGAGCUCGAGCUCGAAAAAAUAAAAAAUAAUUAUUUUAUUUUUAAAAAAUAAAUAAAAUAAUUUUUUUUAAUAAAUAAUAAAAUAUUAAGGAUAUAUAUGUAAUUUUACUAUUAAAAUAAAAAUAUAUAUAUACUUAAAAUAAAAGAAUAAAUAAUAUAUAUUUAAAAUAAUAUAUAUAUAUAUAUAUAUAUAUAUAUAUAUAUAUAUAUAUAUAUAUACUCGAGCUUGCAAGCCGGGUUUAAUAUUUUGAACUCGAUUUCGACUCGAGCCAACUCAAUAUCGAGCUCGCGAACGGCUCGAUUCAUUUGCAGCCCUAGGUAUAGAAAAUAAACGGAUCCUGUUGUAUUUGGCGAGAAAGAUUCCUUACCAAAAUUCUAUACCUUACGGCAAAAAAAAAUCGAAAAACAAGAACUCCAAAAAUCUGGCCUUUUUAAAGAGCAAUAGAGGACGCUAGGUGAAGAUGUUGGUAAGUUUUUUUUUUUUUUUUAAGAAAAUGAAAUUUUUCAAAGGAGAGAAAAUUGCAACUGUUAUGAUAUCGUACAUAAACUGAGAACUGAUAAAUUUUGGGAAAUUUUGUUAUGAAGUGGCUCUUUGCUGCCACUCAAAGUAUGGUGACAUCUAACAAACACAUCUCUAAUUGGGCUUGUCAAUUGGGUUGGACUGACCUAAGUUCAGUCCGUUCGGUCUUAAAUUUAUUCGAUUGAGUCUUAUGCAAUGCAAUAAGUUGGACUAAAAUAUUUUACUACUCGAUAUGAGUGUAAAUUGAAUUUGGUCUAUACUAAGGUUAACACACUUAAAAUUCGGCCCGACUAACAUAUGUAUAUUGAAAUGUAUACAUACAUACGUACAUAUAUAUAUUGUAAAUCUAAUUAUUUAUUUUUGGUAUCCACUACUAAAGUACUAUAGUGAUUGUAUUUUAAAUGGCUAAUUUUAUGAUAAAUAUUUUUUCUAUCUCUUAUGGAUGUUUUGGUAAAUUAUAGUACUUCUCAUCAUGAAAUUCAAACUAUUUUUUGUUUUGUUGUUGCAAUUUUAUUUAGAUAUUAUAUAACAUUUAUGAAUUUUCUAAUAGUUUCAUUUAACUAAAUUUCAUUAUCAUGAAAGACAUAUCUUUUUCUUUUUGAGUCAAACAGGAGUUACAAACUUGUGAGUGUAGCUGACUUGAGAUUAGGUUCAAAAGAAUGGUAUGUUAUGUGAAUUGAUUUUGAACGUGUCAAAACUCAACUCACAUAACCCAAUAGAAAAGCCUAUCCCCAACUUAUGAAGCAAAAAGAGUUUUUUUUUGUUAAUUGUGGCAUUUGUAUUAAGCUAUUUGGAAAAAUGGAAGCCCAAGUAAAGCAUAUAUGUGCUUGGUAUUCACUUCACACCGUAUUGGCUUGAGAAUUAUGCAACUUAGCAAAAGCUUGAAGACUUUCAAAAAGGAAGGUUGAUUUUGAAACACAUAAUAGGUGACACCACUGCAGGGCAAAUUUUUAAAGAUGACAUCAAUUUUCGGUCUAUACAUUUUUACUAAUGAAGAUUAUUUGUUUAUUUGUUUUCUAUAGCUUAAAACAAAUGAUCUAUUACUUGAUUGACCAUACAUGAAUUAUGAUGUGCAUACUACCCUGGUAAAAGGACAUGUCUCUGGCGAAAUAGUCUCUGCAACCACCAAAAUACAUCAAUCAGAAGGUGCUAGGGAGACAUCUCGAAGAGUUCUUUUUCAUUACUUAGAAGAUUCAAGUUUGAAAAUUCGUGAUGGAAAGGAAAAAUGUUGGUGAAUGAGUGAUCUAUACAUUUCAAAGUACUUUUUCUUCAUCAUGGUGCUACACAACUGGCUGAAAAUUUAGUGGAGACUUCAAGUCAUAACUGAAUCCAAAAAUGAAUCUUGAAAACAUUAAGAAUUUUGUCAAUCCACAACAAUCAAGAGACUAAAUUUCCUGUUCACUUUGAUCAGAAAUGAGAACGAAAAAAAGGAACAAAGGCAGAAAGAAAAUUGCUGUCCUUAUCAGUCAUCAUACACCAUGUUACUUUACAUUUUGACAAUUUCGCAAUUCGAUAACCUUACAAGACUAUGUUGACAGAGGCAUAGUUGAAAGAUCAAGAAAACAUUCUUGAAUCUACAUAAACUGCCAUAAUAAACGAAUACGGUAAAUUCAUGCAUACGGUUUCUGAGAGAAACAAAGAGUUUGUUUGGAUAAGAGUUAUUUGAUGAUUUAUUUGAGAUAAUUACUGUAGCACUUUUUGUGAUGUGAUAUAUGUGAGAUAAAAAGGUGAUUGGAAAGAUAAAAAGGUGAUUGAAAUUUGUGAAGUAAGUUUUUUUAUUUGAAAUCAAAGUUGUCCAAACAAACCCUUUCCAAUUGAAAACACUUUAAUGUCAUCACAAACAAGGAACUAGAAGAGAAAACAAUUAAAGUUGUCCAGUCAGGUUAAAAUCGCUCUAAUCUGUUAGCAAAAUGCAACUAAACUUUUUACGAUUCAUCUAACAUACAAAUACAACACCAAAAGGAUGUCAAUCUUUAACACAUGGAGGUUCAAUCCACACACUUUGCCGCUCCAUAUCUGCCUUCCAUGAAUCUUCAAUGCUCCAAAUGUUCUAGGCAAUUUGUUCCAUAUUUCCCUCAAUUGCAUUCCAUCCAAGGCUUUUCAGGCAAUUUAUACCACUCAUCGCCUCAAGGAAUAAAUCCUCCAAAAACCUAUUCCGAAAGAAGUAGCAAAUGCAGUCGUCCACGGUCCUCUCCAGCCUCAGCAGCCGGUACACAAAAGCGAAGCAUCACUGGCAAACAAUGUUCGCCCUGCCAAGCUUUUCGAAGCCCAUUUCCAGUCAGAAUUUCAAAGCUAGACCUAUCAAACCCGUAAACCUUCCACAGAAUCUCUCUUGGAAUCCCGUAACCCCUAAUAUCAUCAUCUUGAUUAUAAACUACAGCAGUUGCCUACCGAAUCUCUCCCCAGAUUCAACCAAAUGAACGGAUUCAAUCAGGUAAGCCAACCCCGACCCCCCAAAAAUAUCUCUCAUUUUUUAUCCAAAAAAUCGAACUAAUCACAAAGUUCCAUCCUGGAAACAAAAUAAAGCAUCGCCUCGACAUGAAUAUAAACCAUUACUUUUCACCACUCUGAACUUAAACUCGACAGGGACCAAAUAAGUGCUCCAAGUUCCAACUCCAUUCAUCAUCCCCGAACCUAUACGUGUCAAUGUGGGUAUUUCCACGAUUACGGUGGAAAGAAACGAAGAAAACACAAUCAGGAGAAUAGGAAUUUACUGAAAAAGUUGCAACAUCAACCUCAUAGCAAAACGUCCCGGGCAACGGGAUAACAUGGUUAGUGAAAGGUUAUGCAAGUUCAGAAUUUGCGAAACUGGAGAUUCUUCCUCUACUAAAUCUAACCCUUUCUUGAAGCGAAAGCCCUUGAUUUAUACUGCAAUUUGUUAUUACGAGUGAGGUAAGAACUUGAUUUUGGAAGUCCAAAAUAAAUCUUGUGGUUUUUCCUUCAUGUGGGUCGUAAAGUUUGUACUUCAUGAUGAAUUUCGGGGUGGUUUGUAGUCAAAAGGGGUUGCAGGAGUUGAGAACUGGCCAUGGCAGAUUGCUGAUUGGUCUUUUCUUGUUUGCCAUUUGACGCCAUCUUUUGCAGACUGCUCGGAAACGAAUUAAAGUGGAAGAAUUAGUUUGUUCUUGAUAACCCUAAAAGAUUUCUUUCAGGAAGAUUAGCCCAGGAUCUGGUGGAGCUGUUGUUUUCGGCUUUCUGCAGUUUCUCCAACACCAUUUUUGGAAGGGCCAAAACUGUUUACUUGGGGUUAAUCCUUGACCUGCAGAGGCUCUAUCUACAUGGAAAAGCGAUCCUACGGUGGAGAGUGGUUUUGAAAAAUAAGGGACAAAAUCGAUGGCUAAUAUAAAUUGGUUUUAGAUGUCAAAUUUUACAGAACUUCAAUUUUCCUAUCAUUAAGAAAUAGAUUUUUUUUUUGUUUUUUUGGAGAAUACUAGAUAGCCAUUUUUUGGAAAAUUUUCUAUAUUUAUCACAAAAUGUUUUUUUUUCUAAUUUCCUUUCUAUUUUUUUAAAUCACUAUAUAACUCGUAGAGAAAAAUGGAAAGAAGGGGGAAUAAUAAAUGAGUUCUUGCAGCAUAAGAUAGAUAAGAAAAGAAAAUAACUUGCCAUAUACAAAAAAUCCGUGAACUGCAGAUCAAAUUCGUUAAAAGCACAAAACUCGUAUGCAUGCACGCGAACCAGGCAUAGAAGUGGUCAAUACGCUUGGCACUCAAUUAGAUAAUUUUACAUUUUUCCCUUUGGGUAAUUCAGUACAUAUUAAAAGGGUUAACUUGGCUUUUUGACCCUAAAAUACUACCCUUAUCACACUUUCACCCCCUAACUUUAAUCGCUUAUCGUUAUUUUUUUUCUUAUUUUGUGAGUAAGAAAAGAAUAAGAUUUAAGAAAUGAAGAGAAAGGAAGGGAAAUUUGAGAUUUUUUUUGAGUGUGUAUAAGAUUAAUAUCGCUUUUCUUUCUAAGUUGCAACUACCGACGUAUUAUUUCAUUCAAUUUACAUCACAGUUGAAAAGUUAACCAUUGAAAUUCGAAAUUUUGAGAGAACCUCUAAAGCAUAAGUUUCUAUCCUAGUCACUUAUUUUCUUCUACAUAUCUUGUCCAUUUACUAAAAAGAAUUUAUAUAAGGCACACAUCAACUUAUUUUAUGGGAGCCUUUUGUUUUUACCUGUAUUAUUUUAUUGGAGGAAUGAGACUUAAGAAGUGAGAAGGAAGGAGAAUUUGAGAUUUUUGAGCGAGCAUAUAACAUUAAUAACACUUUUCUUUGUAAGUUGCAACUACCAACUUAUUAUUUCUUUCAAUUUGCAUCACAAUUGAAAAGUUAACUAUUGAAGUUCAGAAUUUUGGUAGAACCUCUAAAACAUGGAUUUUUUCGAUCCUAGUCACUCAUUUUCCUCUACAUUUCUUAUCCAUUUACUAAUAAAGAUUUUUAAAAAAUUUAUAUUAGGCAUACAUCAACUUAUUUUAUGGGGCCUUUCGUUUUUACUUGUAUUAUUUUUUUUUAUGUGUGGCUGGAGUGUGGUUAGUGUCAAUUUCAUUUCCAUCAUCACUAAACGCAAGUGCAACAUGUCAUUAUCAUUUGAUUCAUAUAUGUGUCUCUGUGUGCUUGGAUUAAGUUACAAAUUGACACAAGCAAUGAAGCAAAAGUCAUAGAAACAUUCUUGGAUUCCUUCUCUCGAGGCAGAUGAAUGGACAUGCAGAGCCAUUUGUUUUCAUUACACUCGUGAGACUUUGACUGCAGCUAAAUUUCAAAUCACUACGGCUACGGCACUUAAGACUGGUUCUACUAGUUAAAUUCACGAGCAAUUCCCCACGUUAUGAUGGAUUUAAAAAAUCAUUCCACAAACGGAUUAUUUGUUGUGGCGGCUUCUUGCACCAAGAGCCCUCACACUUGCGGAAUGUGAGAUCUAAGAGUUCGCAAUCUUCAAAUGCGAGGAAAGCAGACCUUUUGCUCCAAAGAAGAGAAUGUAUUUCUUCCUCCUUUCUCUAACAAUUAUCAAUUAUAUCUGACUGAAUAAUUCAAGUUUCUCUUCAAUAGAUUUUGUCAUCUUCUGUAACAAAAGUUAGCAACCACAAAUGAGAAAAUGUUGUCCUUUUUAGAUGAAAUAUGAAUCAAAACUUAGUGAAUUCGGUUAUACCUCGCAUUUGAAAAAUGCAAGCUUAACGAAAAAUGCAAGCACCUCAAAAGCUCACAUUUUUGUGAAUACGAAGAUUCCUCUUGCUGGAAACAUACAUCACAAUCUGCCCUUUUGAAAAUAAUUUUAGAAUUCAUCAUAAUCUUGGAAUUUUCUCUAAAUUCACAGGGAAGAAAAACUAGAUGAUUGCUGAACUCAAUAGAGAAUUAGAAAAACUCGUAAUAACGUACAUUGGCUUGAGACCUUAGAUGAAUUCUUGACAAAAUAGCACAUGUUUAACACUUACAAUGAAAUUUUUUUUCACACAAAUCUUUAAGGAGUAAGACAGAUAUCCAAUUCCAAGUUCUCAAAAUUACGAGCUUUUAUCAGACCUUUUAUUCAGAACAUUAUUGGCAGUGGAGCAGUACAUCCUUUAGUAUGACAAUUGGUAUCCAAAUAUGAUCCCAACAAGUAUGUUUUCUGAAAAUCUUUAGUGAGCGUUGGGGUGUAAUAUACAAAUGGUUUGUUUGGAUACCAUAUUAUUCCAAAUAAUAUAUAUUUUGCUUGCAUCAUAAACACAUUUCUCAACUCACCUUUUUAUAUUCCCAACCAAUUUUUUAUUUCACAUACAUCACAUCACAAAAAGUUCUACAGUAAUUAAUUCAAAUAACACUCUAUCCAAACAAACUGCAAUUGCUAAUAUUGUUGAUGGUCUCAGUGGAAAUGCCCUGUGGAAGACCGAGUCCAGCUGAAGUUAUUAAAUUAGUUCAUCCAUUCCAUCUCAUUCUCUAAUUCCUCGUGUUGAUCAGGCAGAUCAUUGCAAUGACUGCUUAUGAAAUUCUUCAAGAUAUUGUGCUGCAUGUGGACUAGUAUAACGUGGUGUGACAUAAAGAUGAUAUUCCCAUAUAUUUCGUGUAUCUUUUUUUCUUUUCGUAACAAAAAAGUUUAGGUAGGUUCGACUCCGAUCAUAUUACGAAUUAGAUUAUACCUCUAAGAUCAUAGGUAGUUUAUAAGAAUUCUUAUAAAUCGCCAACUAACGCAACUCUCAUAUCAGUAGCGGAAUUUUCAUAUAUCUUGUGAUUAAUAUGUUAACAUAGAUUCACAAUGCUACUUGUGUUUUUUUGUGGAUUAGAAUUAGGAAAUGAGUCCAUGAACCAUCUCUUCUUCCUCUUUCCCUACACUUGUGAAGUUUAGAGGACUACUCGUAUAAAAAAAGGCCAUUUUCCAUAAGUUGAUCAGACCUUCAAGGUAUUGCAUUGUCACUGGCUUCAAGAACUAUAUUGUUGUGGGCUGGAAACAGAUGGCACAACCAAGCAAAAAUUGGCAGAAAGAUGGCCAUGCUAGGUCUAAAUUGUGAGUUACCCUAAAUAUAUAUUUUCUUGCUAGCUCUGUUGAUGUAGCAUGGGAUCUACUUUUUUUUUUUUGGGUCACUUAUCAUCAUCUACAUCUAUACCUACUCCUAAUCCUAAUCUAGCCUAUACUAGGGGAGGGACCCAACAGGGUCACGGGAAAUCGAUGGGGACUAAACCACCAUCGGACCAUACGGGUGCACAGCACCCACAUAGAUCUUAAGCAUGGGAUCUACGUCUAGGAGAAAGAUAUCGAUGGUCACACUGAUUGGGAAAUGGGAUCUGAGUCUAAAUUGUGAGUUACGCCAAAGAUUAUGUUCUAGCUAGUUCUGUUGAUGUAGCGUGCUUAGGAAUGGCAACGGGGCAGCGUGGUCCCCAGCCCAAUGCCUCCCAGUCUUUCCCGCCCAGACUCGCUCUGUUGUCCCCGCGAGGCACUUGCGGGAACUAAUAAAAAUGUGUCCUAUAAUUGUAUUGUAAUCAAUAUUUUUUUGUCAAAAAUCAAGUACUUAAAAUACCAACAUAUAAUCAAAUCAUUAUUUAUUAUAAUUUCACAAUUGAAACCAAUAAAAACAAUCAAACAAAAGUUAUUUGAAUACAAUCCAACAACAUGAUGAGAUAAAUACAACUAGAGUAGUUAAGUUAUCACUUUUGAAUUUUAAGAAUCAUUCUAUCAAAACAUGCCAUUAGUCAUUAAGUCUUCAAUUUCCUUCUUUAAUUGCCAUUAAAAAUGUAAUAUAAAUGUAUUAGUAAAUUUAAUAUAACUAAUUAAUAAUUUUUAUUAGUAUAUAUGUAUAAUUAUUAAUGUUAUAUAUCCUAACAAUAUGUUUAUACCUAAUUAAAUUAUAUAUAUGUAUAGGAUUAAUCUUGUAUAUACUGUUAGUGUAUAUAUAAUCAUUGUUAGAUACAUGACACAUGCUCAAAAUUUGAAUUUGAAAUUAAAAUUUUGAUCAUAUGUCGUCCAUCUAAUGAUGAUAGUGUAUAUACUGACAGUAUAUAUAAGAUUUACUCAUAUAUAUAUACACACACGCGCACGCACACAUAUACAUCUAUAAAUCUAGACCUUUUUGGCAAGCAAGGUUUUUUGUCAAGUUUGUUUGUUACAAGUUUUUUAACAACUUUAGUUACAGUAAUCUCAAAAAUUUUAAACUAUAUACUUCAAAAUAUCCAAAUAUUUACACAUUUCAAAAAUUUUUUUACAACUUCUACAGUAAGUUACAGUAAAGUUUGGAUAAAAUCCAAAAAACUCACUUACCAAAUAGGACCCUAAUUUUUCUAAUGGAUGGUAGGGCAGGGAUGGAGUAAGGGUAUAUUCCCCCCCUCCCCGGCCUUGUUUUUUAACCGAGAGGAAAAAUCCGCCCCUUCCCGCCCCACCUCCCGCGCCCCUAUUAGCCCUCUGCGGGACAGGUGCCCGCAAUUGCCAUCCCUAAGCAUGCUUACUUUAUUUUUAUUUAUUGUAUUCUUUGUCUAGAUUGUUUGUUUGCAACUUAGGGCAGAUAAGUCUGUAAUUUCGUUUUGCUCUUUGCAAUUAUUAUAUUUGUUAGGAAAAUUUGUUCAAAAAGUCUUUCACAUUUUUGUAAAUGAAUUUUUUCUUCAUUCACUUUUAAAAUGUCAUUUUUAUAUCCCUUACAAAUUCAAGUUAGCAAUAUAUAUUCCCAACCUAAGUUUUUUACCACUAUUUCCCCUAAAAUCAUCAUGUGAUUUACAUGCAAUUAUCUUUCAUAUGCAAAAAAGUUAGAUUCCACUGCUUUAAUGGAAAAAAUAAGUAUGAAUUGGGUCCAAACUCACCUUUUAGGAAAAAUAAAUAUAAUUCGAUUAGAUCUUACUUUUUUAAAGCAAAAAUGAAUAUAAAUCGGGUUAUUUAUUUAAAUACAAAUAGGAUAUAGUAACAUUUUUAUCCUUAAAAAAAUGACUAUGGCCCUGUUUGGAAACUUGGUUUUUUACCAAAUUUGUAUAAAACUAGUUUUUUAACAACUUUUGCUACUGGAACCCCAAAAAACUUAUCAAAAAUUUUAACCUACACACUUAAAAUAUCCAAAACACAAAAAAAAAAAAAAAAUUCGCUUCCCCUUUUUUUCUUCUUCCUCCCCCACCACCACCUCCAUUGCCAGCUCCAUCACCAAUUUCCGGUGCCGGUCUUUUUUUUUCCCUCUCCCCCUCUUCCUCCCCUGCCAUCAUCCUCUCUUGUCUUUUUUUUUCUCUCUACAUCCGGCGCAGAGAGGGUGGUGCAGAGAGAGGCGGCGGGGGGGGCAGAGGAGGGAGGGGAAGGCGGUAGGGAGGGGGAAGCGGGAGGUGGAGUUGCAGCUGGGGGUAGCGGAGGUAACGGGGAAGAAGAAGAAGAAGAAGAAGAAGAAGAAAAAGAAGAAGAAAAGGAGAGGAAAGAAAAGAAAAAGGAAAGAAAGAAAAAGAAAAAGAAAAAGAAAGGGAAAGAGAAAAAAAAAGUUUUUCAUCUUACAAAAACUUCUACAAAAUUUUUCACCUUACAAAAAUUUCUACAAAAUUUUUUUAAAAACUUCUACAGUGCACUACAGUAAAGUUUUAGACAAACUCCCAAAAAAUUCAGGUUCCAAACAGGCCCUAUGUGUGGAUCAUGUGAUGAAUUUAGAGUAAAAAGUGAGUGAAAAUCUAAGGUGGGACUAAAUUUAAUCAACUUGAGUUUAUAAGGAACAUAAAGUUACCAUUUUAAAAGUAAAAAUGAAAAAAUUCAUUUGGCGUAAUGUGAUAGAUAUUUUGAAUGAUUUUUCCUAUUUGUUAUACUAUUUGGUAUAGAAUCACAAUUAUUUGUUGUAUUUGUGAACAAAAUAUAUAUAUAAUAUAAUGUGAUUAUAAAUUAAAGAUUAUAACAAAUGCAACAACAGCAGAGGAUUGAAUAUAACAUAACUGCUCCAGCCUCCAAGUUCGUUUAUUUGUAUCAGAUUGCAAUACCUUUACUGUAUCAAUGCCAGACAAGUUUUUUAGUAGGACCCAAAAAAAAAAAAUCUAGUCCCAAGUUGUAACAGAUCAUACAACACUUGUUAAUAUUAAUAAAAAAUCAGUGGCCAAGAGAGAGUAAACAGACCUACAUUUUUAUACUUUCAAUUCAAUAACAAUUAAUAAUUCCACCCAAAAAUAAUAUAUAUAAAUCAAAUCUGCAAAUCAAAAUAUCUGUUACACUUGUAUUAUUUAAGUCAAUUAAUCUAAUCCCUCCAAUAUUUAAUCCGAAAAAAAAAAUCCAAAUAUGAGUAUAUCAGUAUAUCCCAAACAAGGAUAAAUUACAUAUAACCCCUAUGGAUUCAUUUAUUGUCACACGACUUCAUAAUAUUUUAAAAUAUCCAUUUCACCCCCUAUAAUUUUUAUGUAAAGUGAAAAUUUGAUGAAAAAUAGCCUAUGAAAGGUUGUUAGGUGAAAUACCAAUAGCGCCCUUUUUAAAUGUCAAAUCAAUCAAUGGCUUAACCACCAUAUAUAAAACAUAGGUGAAAUUAUGUAGAUAUAUGCAAAAAUUAAAGAGAGAUUAAGUGAAUAUUUAUACAAUCAAUAAGAGAGUUAUAUGAUAUUAGCAUUUUAUCACAUGUGUUUUUAAAGUGCAUUUAGUAUAAAUAUCGUAACUGAUUAUACAUUCCAUCUAUGUUCUACUCUAUAUAUAUAAUCACAAAAGGAUUAUGUGAUUAUUUCAAAACUUUAAAGAGAUCAUUUGACAUUAUGUAAAACUAUAGGGGGUAAUGAGUACUUAUCCCAAAAAAAACACACACACACACAACACAAAAGAAGAAAAGCGCUGAUAAUGCCUUCCUUCCUUCAGUUAACACUCACGAAGGUUGCCAAGUCAACAUUUCGUUCGGUUAGGGGCAGCUUCUUCUUCAACCUCCCUUCCCUCCUCCUACCCCACUAGCCCCGCCGGACCAAGCCGAUAGGCGAAGACCAGAAUUCUUUUUAAAUUCAAAAUAAACAAAAAAAAAAAGAUACAGAGAAAUAAGCAGAAGAACCUUAUCAUACUAGGUAGUUCUGAUUUCUCAAUCGCCCGACCAAAUGGCACGGGCAAGAUUUACUCCGGCGGUCAAGACAAUAAUUCUGAUCCUCUUCUACGUCGUCGUAUUAAACUUCGGUGACGCAGUUUUCUCGCUUCAAAUUUCGCAGCUGGAUUUCAAUAAAACCUUUAUUUUUCCUAACUCCGGCGGUGAAGGUGGAACUGCCGACAAUACUCACCACACCACCAUGUUCCUCCCUCUUUUCCUCUCGCCUCCUCGGAUCAACCACUACUCCUCCUCUUACGAAGUUUCUGUCCAACAGUCCCGUCGCCACCUCCAGAGCCGCCGCCCGAAACGCUCGCAUGUCGCUUCACGAUGAUCUCUUACUCAACGGGUCGGUUCUUCGGCUUACUCUUCAAUUCAAUUCAGCUCCACUAUCUCGUUUGAGUUCUGAAUUUUAACACGGAUAAAUGAAAUCAGUGUUUGAUUUGGAGUUUUAUGAUGCAGUUAUUACACGACGCGGUUGUGGAUCGGAACGCCGCCGCAGGAAUUCGCUCUGAUAGUGGAUACGGGGAGUACUGUUACUUAUGUGCCUUGUUCCACUUGUGAACAGUGCGGCAAGCAUCAGGUGAGUUCAGCUAAGUUUCAGUUAAUUCACGUAGUCAAUCAGUUACGUUUGAAUAGAUGAGAAUGCCUUUUCAUUUUAUUUUAUUUUAUUUUAUUUUUCUGUUACAAUUGAAAGGUUUUGUGUGCUUGAGUAUUGGUUAAUCAUUCACUUUAUGUCAUUGAGACUUUUUCUUUUCUUUUCUUUUUGUGUUUUUUUUUAUUAACAUAUAGAUGGAGUCGUUCAGUUAUGAUGAAUUGGAGACAAUAGUUUAUAACGGUAUUUGGUAUCAAGUUGAGAUUUUUGUGUGACGUCUGAUGCAUCCGGUUGCAAUUACAGGCCAAAAAUAAACAAAAUAUCUUCUUGUUGAACGUAGUUUUGGCGUAGUGGUUGCCAGAGUAGGUGGCCAGGAAAUGCCAGAAUAUCAUGAUUGGCCAUUUACUUUGUGUUUGUUUGUGCUUGUGCAUCGAGAUUUGUUAUUUUGUGGUGUAUGAUUUCGUUUGCUUAUUUGGGGAAAUUGAGUGGAAUAUAUUGAGCUUUAAAAAUAUGGAUAUUGCAAUUAGAGUUGAUCGUUAUUGCUUUCUCUCUAUCUUCAUGACCAUUAGGACCGAGGUUUCAGCCAGAAUUGUCUACUAGCUAUCAAUCCUUGAAAUGCAACAUUGAGUGCAAGUGCGACAGUGAGAGAGAGAACUGUAUUUAUGAUAGGCAAUAUGCAGAAAUGAGUUCCAGCAGUGGGAUCCUUGGGGAGGAUAUCGUGUCCUUUGGUAACCUAAGUUCGUUUAGGCAUUUGGAAAUGAAUAUAGGGACCGGAAGUGAACAGGAACCUUCGUUGAAUCGAAUAUACAUGCUUCACAUUUGGAUAAAUUCGGCCUUCAAAGAAUCAAUGGCGCAAUCUGAGUUUUGAAGAUCGGGUCUAUCUAAGUUUUGAAUACAUAACCAUUGAAAAAUCAACUAGAAUUCAUAUAAUUGAGAAGGAUAAAGCAAAGUAUUCAAAAGUGAUAAAUCCAUCUGUUGAUAUUAAAAGGAAAAAGUUAAAAAAAAAAAAGAAUAAGUGAAAAUAUUAAUUGGCAACAUUAUCUUAAGUGAUCUUAUUUUGGGUAAAUUGUUAGCAAAAAGAAAAAAAAAAGUCAUAUUUAAUGUUGCUUGCUUUGGAUUUUACAUCUUUCUCUAUCUACGAUCAUAACUCAAAACUCAUGGUUUCCUGUACAAAAAAAGAAAAAAAUGAUAAUAGAACUUUUUCUUCUUACACGGCAGUCGUCUUUAAGCAUUGAGCAAAUUAAGUCAAUAGUCUUUUUGUGUUAUCCUUUUAAAACUUUGUUUGGGUUGUGAUCUUUUGGUGGAAUUUUUUUUAAUGUUUUUCGUGAAUAUUCUUUCUACACAAUUUCUAAUAAUCUUUUGUACCUCACGUAUAUCAUAUUAUAAAUAAGUGUUAUAGUAACUUUUCUCAAAAAACUCCCAAAAAAAUGCAACCGAAAUAGGAUAUUUCACCAUUUCAACCUUCCAUUUGUUUUCUAUCCUUCCCUUUGUUUUCUAUCCUUCCCCUUUUAGAGGAAUUCACAUAGUAGAAAUUACUUUUACAAAUUUAACCUAAAACAGCACAAGAUUAGAUUUCUCUCUUAUUCAAACGUCAAAAAUUAUGUUCAUUUAUCUUAAGCCCUUAUUUUAAUCCAAUGAUCUAAUCCUUUGAUAAUUGAAAGAAGUCUGCCUAACCAAAUCAGUCUUGUUUGUAUUGCCAUUUUUUUCUACAAAAUCUUUUCAAUUUUUGUGAACAUAUUUUUCAAUAAAAACUCUAAAAAAAACAAUCCAAAUGGAUUCUAAAACUAGUGUCGAACCGUCGAUGGGAUUAGACCAACUGGUAACGUUCAUUUAUAAAGACACCGACCAAACUUUUCCCGACCACAAAGGAAGUCGUCCUAAACUAUCAAACUUGACUAGAAUUCAAAAGCCACAAAUGCUGCAUCCAAUCUUAAAAAAAUGAUAACCCCACGUUCCUAUCACCAUCCUAUUCCCCCUUCCUCCUCCCAUCCUACCUGCCCACGCGGCCAAAACAAUCUAUAAAGGUCAGCUCAUGGCCUUCCUCAACCAUGUCAAACCCUCGCAGUUGAUGAACUUCCAUAAAAACAAUAACUUCCAUUAAUCUGCAAUAGCAAGAAAUGGCAAACAACGGCAGUGCAGAAAUGCAGGACUAUAACAAGUACCUCCCAAAGCGCAUAAUCCUGGUGCGCCAUGGGGAGAGCACGGCCAACACAGAUGACAAGAUAUAUGGCAUUACAGCAGAUCACAAAAUCCCAUUAUCCACGAAUGGGAUUGAGCAAGCCAGGCAAGCUGGUAGAAGCAUAUUGGAUGUGGUUUCUGAGCAGGGAAAUUCGCAGAAUUGGAAGGCCUACUUUUAUGUGUCUCCUUACGAACGUACCAGAUCAACUCUCAGGGAGAUUGGCCGGGCAUUUCCAAGAAACAGAGUCAGGGGAGUCAGAGAGGAGUGCAGGAUCAGAGAGCAAGAUUUUGGGAACUUCCAAGAUUAUGAGAAAAUGAAGGAGCUCAAGCAGAUCAGGAAUAGAUAUGGAAGGUUCUUCUAUCGGUUUCCUGAAGGAGAAUCUGGGGCUGAUGUCUAUGAUCGCGUUUCCAGUAUGUACCAUUAAGCUCUCUUAGAUAAAUUUUAUCUUUUUCAGUAUGCCGAGUAAAUGAGGAGUUGAUUUAGUACAACUUUUGCAGGCUUUCUUGAAUCUCUAUGGAGGGACAUAUACAUGAGGAGACUAACUCAUGAUCCUGCUGAUGAGCUGAAUCUAGUGAUUGUAUCCCAUGGAUUAGCUGUUCGCAUUUUUCUGAUGAAGUGGUUCAAGUGGACAGUCGAGCAAUUCGAGUCUCUCAAGAGUCCCAAAAAUUGCGAGUUUCGAGUUAUGGAAUUAGGGGCAAGUGGAGAGUACAGCUUAGCGAUCCAACAUGAUGAUGAAACGCUCAAAAGAUGGGGGUUCUCUCCUGAAAUGAUAGAGGACCAAAAAUUGAGGGCCAAUUACAGGGAUACUUGGAAUGACAGGAGUCCGUGGUACCUCAAUACUUUCUUUGAGUUAGCUGAUUCUGAUCAUGAAACUGCUAAGAAAGAUGGCCAUGAAGAUGGUCAGAACAAGUGAUUGUUUGCAUAUUUGUGAUUUUCCCAACUGAGAUUUUAUUGUAAGCUCUUCUGAUUCUGAUCAAAUGUAACCAAAACAAGUUACUUGAAUGAAAAUUUUUAAUUAACCACUGACACACAAAAUUUUCUCGCUUUCACCGGUCCAAAGCUUGGCUCAAUGAUAGAAAGGGCUAUUUCUUUUAUUCGAAAGGAUUCAUUGAAAUAAAAAAUAACGAGUCACCAUUGAUAUCGAUACAUCUGAGACCGCCAAAUGUUCGGGAGUUCCUCUAUUCAACCUUUUUCCUUCUUCUGCUGCAACGUUUGUCUACUAUCCUAAGUCUGUAUUUCUAUGUUGUCAAUUUUAGGGGGGUAAGAGCGAUGCUUGUAUGAAUUUAGACGCAAGUAAUCUUGCAAGCAAAAGUACUAUUUCUAGUUUUCCUUUUGAGUGUACUGUUAUCCUAAGCUUGUUUACUUUCAGGGUAAGGCAUCAUGAAAGUGCCCUUGGUAUGUUGAUGCUUUCGCCUUCCGUUGCUGGCAGGGAGGAAAAUUCUGAAAAGGAUGAUGAAAAGCAAAAGAGUUCUUGGAUUGCUUGUGAAAGGGAUGUAGAUUCUUUCUUAUUCAUCUUAUAUUCAUUUUUAGGGAGGCCAAACCUGACCUCAAAAAGAGCAAGAGCUAGAUUUCUUUCCUAUAUUCAUCUUAUAUUCUAGGAGCAAUUCAAAGGAAUCAGUGGUUUAAAAUGAACAAUUUUCCUUCAUAAUUGCAUAAUUCCAUUCUAAACUAAAUUCUAUUUGAGGAAGUUCACUCUUCGUUUGGAUUGAGGGAUUUAACAAAAAAUUCAAAAUCCUCUUAAAUCACUCUAAUUGUUUAGAUUAUUUAAAAAGGUAUUUGAAUUUCUGAAUCGCAAAUUAUUAUAAUGUUAAAAAUGUACUUUGAUAAUUGGUGAAUUAUAAAUUUAAAUGUUUUUUAAAUCAUCUAAACAACUAUAACGAUUUGAGUGUACUUCAAAUCCUUCGUCAAAUUCUUCAAUCCAAAUGAUGCUUUUAAUAGAAUUUUAUUCCUCAAUAAAACAUCAAAGUCAGAUACUACGGAAAACCUCAAAAGUUAUAUAUUUAGGCAUUAGUGUCUCAAGAUAUCACAUCAUAAUUAAUAGUAAUUAGAGUAUAUGGCAAAGGUAUUGUUGGAAAAUACCUAAAUCACUAAAUUACCAAAUCAUAUUGGUGAUUCACUCAAUCUAUCUUUCUUUUCUGUCAUUUCUUUUUAUUUUUUUCCCUUUUUCUUCGUUUCUCCACAGUUCGCGCCUAUUUCUUCCAUGUAAAAUUAAUUUACAGAAAUUUUGUUUUCCCAUUCAUGUUUAGUUUAUAAAUUACCCCGCUAAAUUUUUUUUCUUGUUCUUCACCAAUGCUAGUAUCUAUUUUUUAAAACUCUAUUCAGGAUGGAGAUUUACAUCCGGAAGUUUAUUUUCCAAAAUGAAAUUUAAAGGCUAGUAUUAAAUGAAUAAUAGCAAAAAAUAGAAAAGGGCCUUGGGAACAUAAUGUCGUCAUUAAUGGGUCACUUAUUCUGUUAAUGCUAAUAUAGAAUUAGAUAGGUGUCAGCAAUAUCCACCUUGGGGUGUGUCUUUUGAAAUCAGUUAACAUCAUGGAAAAGGAAAUCAAAAUAUGAGUAUUAGGGUUUUGAACUGAAUUUAGCUGUGUCUACGUUCUUUGUAUAACUAUCUUAUGUAUUCGAAUAUCCAUCCACUGACAUAGUGAUACGCAACUUGUUUAAUGUAAUGUUAUGUAGUGAGACAUUGAAUUUAUAAAAGUUUCUAAUCAACUUGGCAAGAAUUUAUACAAGUUUAAGAAAGUUGAUAUACAUGAAAUUAGUCAAGAAUUUUAAGAAUAUGGGCUAACUAAUGCCUGGUCAUUAAAUUUUAACGAAAUUUUUUUUUCAAGCAAAUUAACUUAUAACCUAUAAUCUUUCCAAAUCAAUUUCUAUUCCAUAAGGGAUUCUACUUCUAAAACAAAACUUAAAAGUUGGUAGUACGUAAAAAGCUCCAAUAAUACGUGGAAUUACAUUUGUGUUUGGAAAUAGAGUAAAGUCGUUAAUAUUAGUAAUAAGGGCAUUUUAGGAAAGAAAAACUAAAUUACUAAAUUAUAUUGGCUUUUUUUUAAAAAAAAAAUUAGUAUAAAUGGGAGGGUUCGAAUUUAAAAUAUUUCACUUACACUCCUUUCCCACGGCCAUCUAAUUCAUCCCCACCUAUCCCCACCCCUCAAGUGCUUUUGAUAUGUAUAGUGUAUAGAGAUAAAAUUUGUUUAGAAUACUAUCUAGCACGUAGUUUCGAAGAACAAAUUGAUAAGCGAUCCCCUCCUUGUCCUCUCUCAAGAGGCUUAUAUCUACCCUUUCACCGGUUCUAGCUAUUCUUUGAUUUGAAACACAGUCUAAACGCCCGUGCUACACACAGUAGAUCAUAUUUUUGGAAGAAAUUAUAAUUGAGGGAGGAAUUUAAAAAAGAGUAAGAAAUGUAUGUAAUUGUUCAUAUAAUUUAGGACACAUGAAAGUAUAGUUAAAAAAUGAGAUUUUGUAGUAAUAGUUCAAUAUAUGAUAAGAACAUUCCCAUUAUUUAUAAACUACCACAUUGAUGGAAAUUGGAUCCUAAAAAAAAUUAAAAAUCUAUAUCAUAAAUUGAGCGACAUAAGGGUUCAAUUAAAUGUAACUGAAUAUUUAAUUUGAUAAGUAAAUGAAAUACUUACAAAUAUUUAGGCUUUGAUUUGAUAAUCUUCUAUGAAGGUGGGAACAUUUUUCACACCAACCAACUCUGAGCAUGAAUGCCAAUAUUGGGAGUUUAAUUUAUUCUGUUGAAUUUUGUGGAGUUCGUACUAUAAAUAGGAAUGCACAAUUUUUGCAUGAAUUAAUGUGUUGGUCGAACAAUGUACCUCCAUUUUUCUAACAAUUAAGAGCAUACGAAGUUCAGAAUUAUCAUUUGUUUUAGAAAGUUUAUAAAUAAUAUUGCAUAAAAAUUUAUAUGUAAAAAUAAUUUAUACCUUCCCUUUUAAAUCUCUAAGAUAAGAAGCAUCAGAAUGAAAUAUAAAUCGUGCAUGUCUGUCUUGAAGAGCAAGGUAUAAGUUACCACUAGAAUUUUUAACUUGUAUGUUAACAUUGUAUCUGUUAAGAAAAAAUUUUGAUAUACGAUAAAAAAAAAUUAAAAUUAAAGAUAUAUGAAAAUAAUUACCUGAUAAUAGUGUCGACUACGUCAUUACAAUGAAUGCACACUAUUUUGAAAAAUGACAUUGCCAUGGUUGUUCGCAAUUUUUGCAUAACUCAUGAAACAUAUUGUCUAUGCUAAUGCUUUGAAUGUAAGUAAGUAUCCGAAAAUAUUUAAUCUAAAACCAUUCAAAAAACAUAUAGAUUACAAUUAUUAAUUCAAAAUAAUAUGUAGAUAAGUGUUCAUUAAUUAAUUAAUUGAGAGAAUUUUUACCGUAGGUGUCACUGCAAAAUGUUUCCUCCUUUGCAAUAUGGUGAGUUUGAAAUUUAGGCAUUGGUGAAAUGUUUGUAGGCGGGCAUGUUUCAUGGUGAAAUUAAGUUGAGGGCUAAAAUCGAUACCAGAAGGAAGUUGAAAGAGAUUGAUACCAAAAGGAUGUUGAAAGAGAUGGUAAUUUGUGAUUUUUGAUGAAAUUAUGUUGUUAUCUCUUAUUCUUGGGUUGGAGGAAUUUUAAUUGGAGUGGAAUUGUUAGUUCGAAAAGUGUUAAUUGAAGUGGGAAGGUAUGUGAAGGGAGGAGUUUUAGUUUGAGUAGAAUUCUUAUUUGAUGAAAAUGUAGUCGUGUGACAUGAUGUAUUUUACGAAAUAAAUUAAGUGUAAAAUGCUAAAAAAAAUGGAAUUGAGGGUGGGAUGGUGUGUGGAGGUUUAUUGUUAAAAAUUCCUUCUCUAAUUUAGGGAAAAUCGUUCAAAACGUCCCUCACAUUUUACAAGAUGACUUUUUUCGUCCCUCACUUUUAAAAGUGUAAUUUUACGUCCCUUACAAAUUCAUAUUGACCAAAUUUAGUUCCUACCUAGGUUUCUGACUAGUUUUUGGCUAGAAUCCACCAUGUGACUUGCAUGUGAUCAUUUUUUAAGGGCAAAAUUGUCAAAUCAAAUUUUUACAUAAUCUGAUUCAUAGUCCCUCACAUUUCACAAAAUGAAUUUUUUCAUCCCUAACAUUUUACAAAAUGAGUUGUUUCGUUCCUCACAUUUGAAAAAAUGAAUUUUUCCAUCCCUCAUAUUUUUCAAAAUGAAUUUUUUCAUCCGUCAUUGAUCAUGUAUACGAAUAGCUUUUUUUCUAUAAAUCCACGUAUAUGUCUAUUUGAUUUUACCUGAACAGUAUAAAUAACAUGUAAUUUAUCUCUAUUGGAUUUCAUCUAAACAUGUUAAUCGUAGUUAUACACAUGUUAUAUAGGGGUUUAAAACUAAUAAUUUUGUUUGAAACCGAUGUAUAUAUUUAUAUGAUUUUACCAUUUAAACCUAUUCAAUAUUUGUGACAUUUUUCUUUUGGUAAUAAUUUAUUUAUUGAGUUGUAUCAUAAGAUCAUCUAAUUAAUGCGUCCUAACUCGAAUUCUAUAAUUGUGCUAACAAAUUUCAGUUUAAAUCUGAAAUUUCUACUCGAUACUUUUAAAACUAACUGUUGAAUUAUUUGCCUUGUGAUUUUGUUAAAAUUUGAAAGUGCGAAUCACUUAUUUCUUUUUGCCAUACUUUUCUUUUGUUUACUUUUUCUAUCCAAAUUUAAUUCGAUAUAAACAAUCGAUAAUAUUUAGGAUUAAAUGCCUUCUUUAUUUUCAAAUUUUGAGUAAAAGAAAAUGAAUAUACGUGAAAAAUUAAUAAUUUUUUUAAACCGAUGUUUGUAUCUAUUUGAUUUCACCUGAACAGUACAAAUAGCAUGUGAAAUCAAAUAGAGAUAUAUUACACACUAUUCGUAUUGCUCAAGUGAAAUCAAAUAAAUAAAUAUAUAUUUAAAAAAAUUAUUCACACACAUGAUCAAUAAAAGAUAAAAAAAAAUUCAUUUUGAAAAAUGUGAAGGAUGAAAAAAUUCAUUUUGUGAAAUGUAAGAGAUGAAAAAAUUUAUUUUAUGAAAUGUAAGAGAUUAUGAAUCGAAUUAUAUAAAAUUUGAUAUGACAAAUUUGCCAUUAAAAUAUGAUUACGUGCAAGACACGUGGUGAAUUCUGACAAAAAACUAGUCAGAAACCUAAGUAGGGACCAAAUUUGACCAAUGUGAAUUUGUAAGGGACGUAAAAUUACAUUUUUAAAAGUGAGGGAUAAAAAAAGUUAUUUUACAAAAUGUGAGGGACGUUUUGAACGAUUUUCCCUCUAAUUUAUAUAGAUAUAGGAGCACUUCCUCUCUUUAGGGAGAAACCGCCUGUCCAAUCUUUAUUCUCCUUGUCUAUAGACCUUCCUUGUAUAUGCAAUUAAUUCCUCGAUCCAUUAAUGUGCAAGAGGAAGCGAUACAAUAUAAUUUCAGUAGUAAUAUUCCAUUAAUGUGCAAAAGAAAGCUUGAUGAACAAGCGCAAAAAGCCCAUAUAUUCUAUUUUCUAUUUUUUAAAGAAUUUUUUCUUCUCUUGACUCGCGCACUUGCCUUUGUGCUAAUUCAAGAGUUAGGAUGCGUUUGAUAAAACUGAAAUUUGAAAAUUAAAAUUUAAAAUUUAAAAUCUGAAUGCAUUAAAUUAUUGAAUUAUUAAAUAUUAAAUUAAAUACAUUUGAGUGUAUAUCACAUUCGAUGAUAAGUGAAUAAUUUAUUACUUAUUUUUUGGAGCAAAUUUUGUUUAGAAAAUUCAGUACCACUUAAUUAAUUUAGAUGCUCAAUUUUUUAUUAUCAAACGUGUCUGAACAUAAAGCCAUAUGACUUUGUUUGGAUCUCAAAUUUUUUCAAAUAAUAUUUCAUUUGCCUCAUUAACACAUUUCCCAAUACACCUUUUAAUAUUUUCAAUUACCAUUUUAUCUCACAUAUAUCACAUCACAAAAAGUGCUACAGUAAUUAUUUCAAAUAAUACUUUAUCCAAACAAAUAAUAUGAUUUGAAUAUAUUAAAUUUAAAUGCUGAAUUGAGUUAUCAAACAGACCUCACAGAAGGAAGUCCUUUCUCUAUAGCUAUUUAGUAAAUUCCUAAAGCACUUGCUUUAUAUUUAAUAAUGAGUCCUUGCUUGAUCCAACAAGGGCACUUCAGUAAACGACUUCCAGCUAAGGUAAGAAACAUCGUGUUGCGGUUUCUCCACUUUGUUACGUUCUCAUGAACUGAACUUGGUUGACUUACCUUGCACAAAGCGAAUAGACACUGUGCUGUGGAUCUGUUUCGGUGAGGGAAAGCUGAAGAAAGACUAGAAGAAUGAUUCAUUUGGAUCGACGAGCUUUUUCAACCCAAAAGCUAGAUAUCAAUGGAAUGUCCGUCUACUCGUAAAACAUCUAAUUAAUCUACAACUAAUCUAUCAGUUUUAGGGGAUCUCUCUGUACAUAUACAAGUUUGUUCGUUAUGGCAUAAUACCGUCGCCUAGUCGUAGCCACAUAUUAGCAGCACUCAAUCUGCAGGAUGGAAGUUUUGUUGGAUUAGAUCUUUGGUUUGGACCUAACAAAAAGGACUCUAGGCCUUCAGGCAAACAAGCUAGUAUGAGAGAAGCAAGCAAAACAGAAGUAGAAGCAUCUUGCUCAAUAGGAAUAGGUGUAGCUUAGAGUUAGUGUUUGUGUAAUUUAUACUCAAGCACACAAUAGUGCAGAAAUUUGUAUUACACCAAUUUCACUUAGAAAGUGGGGAUGAAAUGAUGAUCUUAUUGUUAAGGUGUUAUUUGCCCCCGUUGCACAAAGUAUUUGCUAUAGGGCUAUGGCAAAUUACCUUUAGAAUACAACAAGAUUUUUGAGAAACUUGAUAGCAAAUGUCAAGUUUAUUCUACAAGGAGAUGAUCGAGAUUCUAAUUAGUUUAUGCAUUAGAGACUUGCCAUUUUUAUAAUGAAAAGACAACCUAAGGGUUACAAGUUAUUCAGCCAUUAUUUCACAUAUUUAUGGACAUUCAUGAACAUUAAAAGGUACCAUUAAACCCCUUCGAUGGAUAGAGAACGUCAAAAACAUUUUAGAAACCUUUGAUUUCCAACCGGACUCUUUUAAGUUUCCAAAUUCUUUGUCGUAGCAAGUCUCAUUUCUAUUUCAUUCACAAUCUAUUCCAACAGUUAGAGUUUAGCAAGGGGUAAGAUGAGGAAAGUGGUUGCCAGAGAGGACGCCGAAGUGGCCUAUUAAGCAUAAGCGUAGUAGCGUCACUAAGCAAGGGCAGGUCCCUUCACUGUCCUCAUUCAAAUCAAAUUUGGGAUUGAAUCUAGCUUGUUCAGUGAAGCGAAUAAUGGUAAUUUACUAGUACUUUAGAAAAUAGAUCCUUAGUAACCCCGCUAAAUGUUGAUUCAACAUAAAUUCUACAUCUUGAAACCAAGUGAAUUUCGGAGCUACUUUAUGAUAAUGAGAACAAACAGCAAAAAAGCAUUACCGCUGCAAAGAUCAAUAUUCCAAUUGCAUACCAUAGAGUUGUAAUCCACUAGUUAUUCCAAAUGCUCUUCAGUAUUUCUUGGCCCACCGUUGGCCAAACCACCUGGGCAGCAGCCCCCAUGGUAAAGUUAAAGAGAGAAAAAGAACUCUCCUGUAGUUAUUGACAUUGCAUAUAUGGAUGGGUGCCUUACUGCCUUCCUUGCUUCGACUUGAAUGAAAUCAUUUAUCUCUACCUUGCAUAUAAAAAAAAAAAGCCAAGUUACUGUAGCUAACCAUCUUUUUGACACAUGUAUUGUAUAUAUUUUUGACAAGUGGACCUUUGGUUAUUUUACCUAAAUUUUUUCUUUCCUUUUUUGAUUCAAUUGGGCUAAAGAAUUAAAAUAUUUUUUCUCCUUGAGAAAAUCAACUCCAUCUCUUCCUUUUCUUCUUGCAGUAACUACUGUCAUCCCUCACCUUUUUUAUUUUUUAUUUUUUAAAACUAAUCUAACUAAGAUUGUUGCCAUGUUCUUUUUUUUUGUCAAUAUGAUAACUACUUAGCAAAAAGAAUUCUUUAUUAUUUUUUAUCCCAUUUUACAUUUUCUUUUCUUCCUUUUUUCUUCAUCUCUAAUCUCACAUGUUUGCUCUAUUUUUUUUUAUCAUAAUGUUAUAGCCAACUAGCAUUCGUUUGUUAAAUUUAUAGGAUGAUGUUUUAUUUAGUAGUUCUUCAUGGAUAAAAGGUGAAAUUUUAAAAUAUGUAAAAAAAAAAUUUAGAAUUCAUUUUAUACCAAUGAUCAUUUUCUAUGAAUAAUAGAACAAAAAUUCAUUCUUUUAUUUUCUUCUCCUAUGAUUUGAUUUCUUACUUCACAUUUUGACUUCUUACUUCACAUUUUGUUUCCUUUUCUUUGUUUUUUGGUUACAUUUUGUAAUUAUCUACAAUUUUGUGUAUUUGUUUAGGAGAAAAAUAUAUCAUGUGAUGUUUCCACCAAGAUAAAUCUAGCUAGACAUUCUUGUACCCCUGUUUUUCUCCAUUUCUUUCUUUUUGCAAUUACUUUAUGGCCUAUUAAAUUUAAUUGAAGGAUCCAAUAAGAUUUUGUAUAUAUUUAAACUAAAGUUCAUUUUUGUUUGUUUUUAAAUUACUCAAGUGUUGUAGUAUGAAUUGGAUUGGUAUACAAGGAUUGCAAUCGGUGGUGAAAGUCACAAUUGAGGCUUUCGGCCUAGAGUGCGACUUGACAAAAAAUUGUUAGAAAUUUCAAUUUUGAUUAGGAAGAUGUUUUUGCAAUAAAAAAAAUAGUUCAAUUCUAAUUUGUAUAUGUAGACCAGGAAAUAUGGCAAUUUAUAUUUUUAUCUAACCUUGCUAUUUAUAUUCAGGAGCUGCAGGAUAAUGUUGUCACUUUUAAGCAGAAUUUAAAUAGACGAACUGGAUUCUUCUAUCAAAAGAAAGAAAAAUAUGAAAGUUUAUAGUAAGCUAUAUUGAUGUUGAAAAUUGUGCCAUGUUUUAAUAGCUUCCUAAAUUUUUUCUCAUUAUUAAAGUACUAAAAGUAUUACGACUGCUUUUGAUUUAGUUUUAACUAAAACUAUACUACUAUUAAUACACCAAUGCACUUAUAGUGUAUUAAGUUUCUCUCCUUUUUGGGUAUCAUCAUAAUAGUGGUUCAAAAAUAUUUAUUUAAAUCACAAUAAAGAGAGAGGUUGACUUUAUAGAUGGAAUUUUCUUUUCACAACAAAUUUUGAGAGAAAUUUUAUUUAUACUCCAUAUUGUGUUAAUUGUGUUCCUACAAUAAACAAAAACUAUACAAUAAAAAUAAUAGCGAAAGUAUGAUUAACAAAAAUGAGAGUUCAAAUAAUAUUUGUCAAAUUUAAUUGCUUUAAUGCUCAAUUUUUCUCCUAUAUUUCUAUUAAUUCAUCAUGUGUCAAAAUAAUUUGAUGCUAUGCAUUCGACGGACAGUGGGCAUUUUGGUCAUUUUACACAGCGCGUAAUUUUGAUUGCACACGACGUAACUUUGUUUGCAUAACGUGUAACUUUAGUACAAAAAUUUACGGGCCCCACACACGUUGUGAAAAUUGAUAUACAACUUGUAAUUUGGACCGCACAAUUUUUUUGGCCAAAAUCUGGCCGUUGACUGUUCAGGUCCCUGCCCCUUGUCCGCAUUCGACUAAAUUUUUAGGGGGCCCAAACUGUGCUUUGCACAGUUCAAGUACCUCUAGUACCUGUUAUAUAAGAAGAAAGUGGAAUUAUUGUAGCAACCCCAAAGGUUGCCAAGUGGCUUCCUCUUCAUUUUGACAGAUGGCAUAUUUCUUUUCUUUUCUUCUUCUUGCUUUCUUUUUUAUUUUCACCUUAUUUCCUUUCUUCUUUUUUGCUAAAGAUAACUAAGCAAACUCUCAUCUACACUGCAAAUUCCUCAUUUAGUUCCUACUCUGUACUACUUUUCUUUUCUUCCCUUCAUCCUAAUUGUUUACGCUGCCAUUUUCUCUAUUGGAUUAGUUGAUGCAUUUUCUUUCAAUUUUGUCCACAAUUAACUAAAUGAAUGGUUUCAUUGUAGGAGACCAAGAAUGGGUUUAGUAUUUCCUUUCUUCCUUAGUCCAAUAAUCAUGAUUCAUGAUUUUCUAAUUUUACCAUGUCUCUUUGUAUAUGCUAUUUAAUUUUUUUUGGUCAUUUUUUGUGUUCUGAUCAGAAACCUUUGCUUAUUCCUUUUUUCGCCACUUCCUCCUUCAUGUGACUUUCUUUUCCCCCAUAAAAGAAGCAAGUUGAUGUUUGUAUGUGAUGCUAUAAAUACUUUUUUCCCCUAAAUCUAAAGAAACAUGUUUUUUCAGUUUUUUAAUUUUUAUUUAUUCUGAAAUAACUUUUUGGCCUUUUAUUUUUGGAAAAAAAAAAUCCUAAGGCUGACAAGAAAACGGGUAGUGAUUACAUGAAGAAUCUUUAGGCUGACAGUGAAAGAAUUGUAACUACUUCCCCUAUAAAAUAAUAAACUCCAUUAUACAUAUUCAUUCUAAUUCUAAUUUUUUAUUUAUUAAAACUGUUAUUUGAUGAUAGGGUGAUAGUGCUAGAGUGGAGGAGAAAGAAUAUGACAAAUGAAAGUUCAAGGUAAACGAUCAUUAGGAAGGAAAUGGGUGAGGCUUGUUGAAUUAAAAAGUAAUUAGAGUCUCUUAAUUUAUGGAUAGAUAAUUAUAUUUUGAUAUUUUGAUUUAUAUAAAGUUUCUUAAUAGUGAAAAGAGCUUAUUUACUAGAUAAGGUGGAUUAUGUGUAAAAUAAUUGUUGGGGCCAACAAUUUAGGAUGUGAAGAAAAUAUUUUGUAUCUUUUCAUUCAACAUUUUGAAUGACUAGCCUGUAUUCAUGAUAGCUAGUUUAUUUUCAUGAUUUUAAUUUUAGCAAAUGAUUGCCUAAGAAUAAAAGAAGUGUAAAAUUAGAUUUCAGAAUCUUUUGAUAAAUUGGUUCUAUAUGACUUUGUACUCUUAUCUUUUUUUAUUGUCCCUAAUGAUAGAUAAUGUAAUUAAAGUUUGAGGUGAUUGUUAGGUGUGGAACUGGACAUAUUAUUACUAUUUGACUAAAGGAGUUAGUAAUAUUUUGUCGAUUUAACUAGCUAAAAUGAUUGCAGUUGUGAAAGGAUUGCAUUUGGUGGAGGAAGUUAGCAUCGAGGUUUUCAGUCUAGAGUGUUAUUCAACAAAAUAUUAUUAGAAAAUUCUAUAUUGAUUAAGAAGACAUUUUUAUAAUCAAACAAAUUGUUGGAUUCAAACUUGUAUAUGUAGAUCUGGAAACAUGGCAAUUCAUGUUUUUUUAUUUAAAACUCUAUUUGUAUUUUAGAGGUGUUUGGUGAGAUAAUGUUCUCACCUAUUUAUAAUGCUAUUAGGCAUGAUUUUAAAUGGAUGGAUUAACUCACUUUUCUCUCAAAAAGAAAGAAAAAUAUGCAAGUUUGUAUGUUUUUAUUGAUGCUGAAGAUUGUGACAGAUCUCGGUGGCUUUCUAAGUUUUUUCUAAUUGUUAAAGUGCUAAAACAUUAUGAUUGCUUUUCGUUUAGUUACAACUAAAACUAUACUGCUAUUAAAUCAACAAUCCACUCACAAUGGCUUUCUCUUCUUUUUUGGUAUCAUUAUGUACACCUAAUAUUGGUUAAAAAAUCUUUGUUGAAAUCACAAUAACUUAGGGCUAAUUUCAUAGAUGAAAAUUUUCUUUACAACAAAUUUUAAUUGUUUUGAUAUUCAAUUUUUCUCUUAUAUUUCUAUUCAUUAUGUACCAAAAAGAUUUGUUACUAUAUAUUCAAUUAAGAUUCUAGGGGGCCCAGCUAUCCCUUGCACAGCCGAGGUACCUGUAGUUUGGAGAAGGUGAAAAUUGGUUCAUUCUCUCUUAAGUGAAUUGGGCUUGGGAGGUCUAGGAAAGAGUUGUUUUAAGACCUGAAGUAAAGAGGUCAAACCAGGUUAGAAACACCCUCAAGUUUUAAGGGGAAAAAAAAAGCAUUAAAUACGGUACUGGGGAUAGAAGCUCUGUUUUCAAACUCGGACCGGACCGGCCGGUCGAACCGGUUGAACCGGGAACCGGCCAGGUAGCCGGUCCGAGUCACAUUAGAAAACCGGAAAUUUAAAACCCGGUCAAAGCCGGUCAAAAACCGGGUUUGACCGGGUUUGACCGGGAAAAAACCGGUUUUUCCGGUUCAACAGUAUUUUUUUAAAAAAAAAAUUCAAACUUUUUAAUAUUAUGUUUUGACCCCCUAAAUUGUUAAAACUUAUUGAUAUACCUCAAAUAUUUGAUACUUUAUAAAUAUUGUCCUAAAAUUUGAUGUUAUUUUUCAAUUAAAUUCAUAAUUUUAAUUCUAAACUUGUUAAUAUUUAUUAAAUAAUAUAAAUUGCUACUUGAUUGUUCUAAUUUCUUUGUAUUUUUCUUGUUAAAUAUAUUGAAACAUCAAAUAUAUAUGAAUAUGCCUUUAUUAAUAUCAAUAUAUUAUUAGAUAUUAUAUAUAUAACAUUUUAAUUUUAAAAUAAUUUUUAUUUAUGACGUCAUCCGGUUCGACCCCUAUCGACCCCCGGUCGAACCCAUUGACCCCUGACCCCUGACCUCGGCCGAGUCGCUAUCCGGUCCGGUUCUGAAAACAUAGGAUAGAAGUGGAACACUUGACAGUAAGCAAUGGAGAUUGCCAGUGGUUUUGGUUUGGGGGGGGGUGGAGGUGUAUUUUGAAAAAAAUAUGAUGUUUCAUACAAAUACUUCCAUUUUUCUAAGACAAUUACAAUAAUCUACUAUUAAUUUUUGACAAACACUCAAAUAACACAUCAUUCAAAUAAAUAGACCCCAACAUAUUUUGGACAUGAAUGAUCCUAUUUCUAUCCCAAAGUUGUAAAAAGUAGAUGGAAUGGCUACAAGUAUAUCACUUUUUGCAAGUUUAAUAAUCAAUUUAGAGGAAAAAAAAUAGUUGAGUAACUAAAAGUAUAUAUAGGAUCUAAGUAGUUGGGAUAAAUUACUUAUUACCCCCUUAUAAUUUUACAUAAUAUCAGAUGAUCCCCCUGAAGUUUUAAAAUAGCCACAUAAUCCUUUUGUAGUUUUAUGUAAAGUGAAAAAUAGAUGGAAUGCACAAUCAAUUACAGCAUUUAUACUAAACACGCUUUUAAAGUGCGCGAGAUAAAAUCUGAAGAUCCAUGUAACCCUUUUAUAGUUUGUAUAAAUAUCCACUUUACUUCGCCAUGAUUUUCGCAUUUAUUCACGUAAUUUCCCUGUACUUUUACACAAGAUGGUUAAGCUAUCGAUUGAUUUAGUAUUUAAGUAAGGACACUAUUAGUAUUUCAACUAAUGACAUUAUAUAGACUAUUUUCCGUCAAAUUUCCACUUUAUAUAAAAUCAUAGAAGAUGAAAUGGUAUUUUGAAAUGUUAGGAGGAUCAUGUUGCAAUAGAUGAAAUCAUAGGGGGGGUUGUAUGUUAUUUAUCCAAGUAGUUGAGUAGCCGAUAACGUUUUUUUUUACCCUAUUUUCUAUGUUCAUUUCCCAAGGGUUGUUCAUCUACCCCGGCCUAGGGAAAAAAAGGGCUGCCAAAAUCUUUCUUGAUGAGGAAACUAUUAUAUCAUAAGUUUAACUCAAUGUAAAUAUAUGAUACUGUGUAAUCAAUACGUGAAUUCAGACCGAAGCUAUGUAAAAGCUGCGACGAAUCAAGAAUAGCUUCAUCAUAUGGCAAAAAAGUGUCAUUUAAUCAACUUGAAACUUUGAAACAUACAACUUAUAUCAAUUAUGAAAUGAAUCACAAUCUGCCAUGAUUUGUAGAAAUAUCUUUACAGUUCCAUUUUUCAAGAUAGGCCAAUCAUUAUCCCUGAACUGAGAGGAUUAUAGAAAUACAUCUAUACUAUGGCCAACACCAGCCAAAUCAGAAUUAUACCUCUCCUAUCCAAGCAAAUUAAGCAACCAUUGUCAUGUCUACCAUACUACAGAUGUCGGCAAUGGGCAUGCCCCAGAUUAGUGGAGAUGUCGAAUUUUAAUUUGCACUGAUCAGCACAAAGCAUUUAGGCAUUUCUUGUUCCACUUGUUAUAAGACUGUGCUUUUGCUUAAAAUAGCAAAAGCAACUUGAAUUGCAACUUUUGAAGGGAAGCCUUCAUGAGUACAUUAUCUUUAGUAUAAAAGUCAUUGGAAUUGCACAAAUCUAACUCAGAUUAUGAAAAUUAUAUUGCAAAAGUGGAAAUCGCAUUUAAAAUCUAAUCUAUAUUUUAAACAAACAUAAAAUAUAAAAAGAGGAGCUCACUGCACAAUACAAUUUAUAUCAUAAACUAAUAAUCAUUUAUUUAACCUUUUUUUUUAUAUAAACAUUUCAUAUAAUUUAUUGUUUAUAAGAUUUCUUUCUUUUUCAAUUUAUAAGUUAUAUUAAUGCUUAUUAAAUAUAAUAUAAUACUAUAUAAUGGUUUUGAGGACAAUUAAUUAAAGAAGACGAAAAAUUAACAUUCAAAAAAAAGAUUUGACCAAAUAUGAAAUAAUUUGACAAAAGCAUCAAUAUUUUGAAUGGUUUGUACAAUAUCAAUAUUUCUAGCUACUUCUUUUAAUUUUUUUCUUUUUCUCCACGAUGAACAAAUUAUGGUAAUAGCCCUGAAAUUGUUUGAUUGUUAAUUAGAUAUAUGAACAAUUUUUUAUUUUUCUUUUGGAAUUGGAUGACCUAAAUUUGCAUGGUAAACAAAAAUUAAUUAUUUGCUAACCACUAGGGUUGGCCCAAUGGCUAGAAGAAGGCUCUUAGGGUUUUCUCCGACAUCAAAUUCAAGGUUCGAAUUCUAUGCUUAGGGAUGAAAAGGGUGUGGGGAUGAGGGAGGGCAAUAAAUUAAAAUAAAAUAAAAUAGAAAAUACUUGUUUGCAUAAAUAUCAGUUGCACACUCUACCAUUAUUGUUUUUAUGUUACGUAAGUUGAAUUUGACAGAAUCUUGAUGAAAUUCCUCAAUAUGAAGUUAUAUGCACCAUUUUUUUUUUUUUAAAAAAAUGAUCAUGUACAUUCUUUGAAGUUGAACUCUUUGUAUUACUUUAUGUGUUAUUUCUAUUAAAAUGGGAGUAUAAAUGAUCCAUCACAUUUAAAUUUUUCUAUCUAACUAUUCAUUUUUUGAGAAUUGGAAUUUUAUUGGUAGAGUUAAUUGAGUUUUUUUUCUUUUAUUUUUUAGGCAGAAUCUAACAUAAACCACAAACAACAAUGAAUCUAUUAUCCUAAGAGCACUUUGUUUUGGUAUCAAUAGCAAUAUUUUUUAAAAUUUGAAAAUUUAAUUAGGUUGUGAUUGAUCAAGAAUUUUUAAUGAAAAUAAAAAAAUUAAAAGUAGAAUGCAAAGAGACACAUUGGUUUGGAGUGUUAUAUUUUGUUCAUAAUUGAAAUUUAAUAAAGGUUACAGUUUUUUUCUAACUACUAUAAUUAUUGCUAUUAUUAAAAUGCAAUAAAUCUAAUUAUUAGGGUGAAUGAUAUUUUAGACCAAUAGAUAACUAAAGACCAGAUCCUACUUAGGCCCUAUUUGAUAAUCCAAUUCAGCACUUAAAUCUAAUGGAUUCAAAUCUUAACAUAUUCAGACUGUUUGAUAAUAAAAAAUUGAACAUUUGAAUUAAUUAAGUAGCAUUGAAUUUUCUAGGUAAAACUUGCUUCCAAAAUUAAGUAAUAAGCUAUUCACUUAUUACUAAAUGUAAUAUGCACUCAAAUGUAUUAAAUUUAAUACUUACCAAUUUAAUAAUUUAAUGGAUUUAGAUUUCAGAUUUCACUUUCAGACUUCAGUUUUAUCAAACACACCCUUAACCUCUAAUGCUUAUUGUCAUCAAAUUGUUAUUUUCUUCUAAUACGACAUAAUGAAUUUUAAUCAUCAUAAAAAAAUAAAAAGAUUAUAAUAUGAGAUUUCAAUCAUCAAUUAAUAAAGGCAUAAUUGGACUAGCAAAAAACUAAGAUUACUUACAAUUGCAUUUUUAUGACACCUUUAUAAUUGAAAUAGUAGUACUCAAUUGGAGAAAAUAAAAUUCAAAACAUCAACCCAUUAUUAUCAUUAAUAGCAACCCCUCAAAACAAAAAAAAAAUUGAAAAUUAUUCAUAAAAUGACACAAAGUGUAUAGCAAAUGAAUCAAAAAGAUGAGAAUACCAUUCCAAUGAUACUGUAGUGCAAGACAAAAUUUUUACUGGCAGUGAUUGAAUAGUGCUACAUUUGUAUUGUUUUGUACAAACAAAGUCUAUCCGGCAAUCCAACAAGCCAUGCAAAAGCCACCUCCAAUGGGCAAAGAAAAGGAGAAAAAGAAAAGGUUAGCAUAUAUAAUACUCUAAUUUGUUAACCACCUUUCCUAUCUUGUGCAUAGAAACUAAUUGUGCUCAAAUUCUGCUUAAUUUAGCAAGUACGAUAGAUCUGCAGUAUCAUUGUUGGUGCUUGCAAAAUUCUAUUAGAAGACAUAUUUUGUUGCAAUUCAAAGAGAAAUGGAAUCUACCCAUAUUCUAUAGCGAGUAGUCCAUGUACACGUCCAAGUCUAUGAAUGUAUUAAUAUUUUUUUCACAAGGCUUGAAGUAGUCAUAACACAAAAUGAGACAUAGGCAGUCUUGAAUUGUCAAGAUGUUGAUAACGACCCACCAACACAUUCAACAGACGAAAGUAGUACUACCAUAACUUGUAAAUAGUUGGAUGCAAAAUGAGUCCUACAUACUCCAGAGAACUAAAAAAGUUGCAGCAUUUUAACUAUGAUGAAUCUGCAAAUGAGAAGUUCAGGACAACUUCUGUAGCCAAAAUUUGAUUUUAUAAUAGUUGAUAAUUAUAAAUUGAUUAUAAUAAACAAAUAUUAGUUAUGAAUAAACUAUUGGAUAAUAUUUUUAUAAACUAACAUAGUUUAUAAUAUUAUAAUAUAUUAUUACCAUAAAUAAACAAAUAUUAUUAGUUUAUGGUAAACUGCUAUACAAUUUAUUAUAAACUAGUAUUAUCAUAAAUUGUAUAUAAUACUUUAUAAAUAGAAAAUAAACUAUUUAAUAAUAUUAUAAACACCGUAAUAUUUUUGCUUUUAAUACAUUGUUUAUAACCAUAAACUGUUUAUAUAAUCUUAGUUGAAUAUAUUAGUUGUGUGUUUAAUAUCUUAUAUGAACAGUUUAUUAUACUGUUCUUAUUUUGUUUGUUUGUUUGUUUCAAUUAAACGUUAAUAUAAACGUUUUAUAAAUAGUGUUAAUAUAAACGUGUAUAAUAAUUUAUACUUAAUAUAUUUACCUUAUAUUGCAGUUUCAUUUUGAAAUAGGUCAAUAAAGUUACAAAAACUUGAAAAUAAGAACUACGGAAAUGCGUUUUCUUUUUAAAGUUUAGCGGUACCAAUUGAUAUUAUUAUAAAAUUGAGGGGAGGUUUCUGAAAUUCUCCCUUACAAUUAUGUGCAAACAAGCCACUUAGUUUCUUGACGUGGCAUAUAUGUGAUGUUUGUGCACAUGUAGAAGUCUUCUCCAGUAACAAAACUAAUCUUAUUCCAGUCCUCGUCCCAGUCAAUAACUUCUCCUUUUCAUCCCCUCCUCAACUCCGAUUUGCUGUUAGUUUUAGACCUGAUUCGUACAAAACAAACCCUGCAUUCGUACAAAACAAACCACAAGAUUUCUCAUGUCCUUGUUUGGUGACCAAACUUAAAACUUACGCAGGCAGUUGAUAUAAUAUGAGUUUUAGUGUAUUAUUAUAAGCCUUGGUGCAAUGGUUGAGUUUGAGUUGAAGUGGAAGUUUUGAUCAUUCAGGUAUUGAAGUGGAUUUUUAAUUAAAACAAUGGGUCGCUGUCCACUUUGUGAUUACUUAUAGGCUUUUGUGUUUUUUCGGUCCCUUUUGUCUAGAAGUUUAAAGAUUUGAUUACUCUCCUAUCUGCUUGUUUUUGCAGAGGAUAUUUAUGGCACACCCGUCAAACCACAGAGUGAGAAAUGGCGGAUUUUUGAGAUUCUUAUCGAUUCUUGUUGGCUUGAUAUUGGUUGUUUACGUCUGGAGACCGUCUCCAUCUUCUUCUGGACGGUCUCAUAAGCCUAAGAAGAAGUUUAAGGCUUUGGUUUCGUGUCCUGAAUGUUCUUGUGACUGCCCACAAUCGGAUUCAUUCACCCUGCCUUCAGGUUAGUUUUCUGAUUUUGCUUCUGCUUGAAUGAAUUAGGGGAUUGACUAGUUGAUCGCCUUUGUUCUUUCCUGUUUUCUCUGAUGUUCAUUAGUUAAAUAUGUCAAAAUGUAUCCUCUGCAUUGGUGCAUAUUGAGAAUUGAUUGUUAUUUGAAAUAUGUUUCGUUUUUACUCGUCACUAUUUGGAUGUGAAAUCACUGCGGCUGUCAUGGCUGUAUUCUUUGUUUCGUAGUAAGAUUAGAAUGCCAAGUUUCGGGUGAAUAAAGUGCCAUUUUUACCCGCAAAGAGAACCAGAGAAUAGGAUUAAUAGGUUUCGUAACCAGUGGGCUUAUCUUGAGUGAGAGGAUGCCAAGAUAUUGUUGGUGAAGGCAGUAAACUGAGAAUGAUAAGUCAGAUCCAUGUUGCGGAUUGUACUGACUUCUCCCAGGGAAGCUUCAUGAUCUAUGUUGAAGUUUUGAAGUGAAAGGCUUCCUCUUUGUAAUAUUUAGGUGUCUUGCUGUAAUAACUUUAGUAUUGAACUGCUGUGAUCCUUCUUUAAUUGAAUAUUUGCAGCUCCUUCUUUUGGUUUCUCUAUGCAUUCUUAUCUGUCCAUAAUGACUUCUCAUGUUCUUUUGUUUCAUCAAUUGCAGGUAUAUUUAACGUGUCAUCAUCAGGUAUGUUGAACCUUCCUCUUUGCUUAUCAUUAUGUUUCCCCGUUUGGCAAGUGAGUUUUUGUUGGUGUUUGUCUAAAACUUUACUGUCUAAAAAUCCUUGAUGAAGUUAUACAUCUUCCUGUUUUUCUUGAAGAACAAAAAUCCUUUAUACUUGAGUCUCAAUAGAAAAGAAGCAAACUGUAAAUUGAUAUGACAGAAGAAGAAUCUGAGAAGCGCAAUUUGUCAUUAUUUUCUGAAUCACAUUAUAACAAUUUCUGUUAAAGACAGACCUGUUAUAUCUCCAUGUCUUUAAAAAAUAGAACUAACCGGUAGUGGUAGUAGCAACCAAAUAUUGACUGUCAUGCCUCUCUCCCCCUCCCUCUCUGCAAUCUCCAUUGCAGAGAUACAGGCAAUGCUGUAGCUUAGACCAUAGUUGCAUUGAAAUGCAAUAUGAUUGGAAUCAACUUACGGGUUUUUUAAGUCUCUAACAGUAACAACUCAAACUUUUUUUCCCGAACUAACCACUGGUUUGUUUUGAUUGCAGGUUGUACCAGUGAAGAUCCAGAGAUGAAUGAGGAAUUGAAGAAGGAUACCAUAACUUUACUUUCAGAGGAGAUUAGCUUACAGCAAAAUGUAACACGGGAUAUCUUGGACCAUGCUUUGGAAUUAACAAUGGAUGCAAAGCAAAUGGCAUCAUUUCACCGAAGAGAAGCGCAGAAGUGCUAUGUACGUGUGGAUACUUGUGAGACUGCACGGGAAAGGGCUGAAGCAGCAUUACUGAAGGAGAGCAAAUUGACUCUGCUAUGGGAGGAACGAGCUCGUAACUUUGGCUGGAGAGACUAGAAGACAGUAUAGUUGGAAUCAACUCAUUAGAGCAUUUUUUUUGUGACUUACAUUAGAAAUUCAAUUGAUACGUUUAUGCACCAUUGCCUGUUAGCGAAACCUGUGAAUAUAGCUUCAGUUCUUUCACAUUUUAGGAUUUGAUAUCCAGUCAACCUGAGAGUUAUACUGCUGCUACAACGUAAUAUUCAUUAGCAUAUUCCUAGGUGCCUCCUGCUCUCUUUUCGUUGGGCAUAGUAACGAAUUUCAUUCAGGGCAGUAUGGAUUUUUUUUUUUUUUUUUUUAUUUAUUGUAGAUGGAUUGUUUGGCUGAGUCUUUUGUUGCCUGCUCUAUCGAUGAUAAUCUGUCGGAAAGAAAGUGAAAGAAGGUAAAAGUAGGCUUCUGAUUAUAAGAGAUUACUAACGGACUAUUCAACUGUGGUCCUUUAUUAUUCCUGCAAUGCACAUAGGGGUGUCAACGUGUCUGGUUUGGAUCCGGGUCCGACCCAGAUCCAAUAAAUUUUUCCGAAUUUAGUUUGAAAAAUAAUUCUGUUGAAAAAUAAUUCUGAUACCCAGACCACCUGUACCUGUAUCCGUUUACUCUAACGAAAAAAAUGGAUCGAAUAUGAAAUAUAGAAUUUCGACCCGUAUCCGAUCUGGACCCGAACAAUAUAUUAAUAAUUAUAAAAUAUAAAUAUUUUUAAACACACUCUUUUACCAAAUUAACAAUUUGGUAAUGAUUUUGUAGAUUAAUUUGUGGUUAAUUUUAGAUUGACUUUUGCGAGUUAUUUGUGAUUUAGCUUUAUAAUUUGAUCUGUUUAAGUUUGGAGUAAAUUUAUGAUUGGUUUUGAUUUUAAUUUUGAAAUGUUUAAAUUUGGAUCUUUUUUUUUCCGGGUAGACCCCACCUUGACUCGAGACCCAUCGGAUUCGAUUUCGAAACUCUAAGGUCAAGACUCAUUGAAUAUAUGACUUGGGUCUGAAUCUACUACAUAAAAGCGGUUCGGAUCCAAAAUUUUCAAUUCCGACUCGUUGACACCCCUAGAUGCACAUCCGACCAUUCUUUUCUUUCACAAAUGUUAGAGAAAACACACGCACACCUCUCACGCAAACGACGCAGAAGGCAUCGCUAAGAUCGGCCCCAAGGACAAUCUAAGGGGGAUUCAUAGAAAAAUUCCAUCCAGUCAAUUGGUGACAGAAAGGGCUCCCCAUGGACGUUAAACCUAGAGUAACUAUCCCACGAUCUUUCGAUGUGGGAUGGUGAACCCAACCCCCUCCCGUGCAAUCCUCGCCAGAAAUCUGGUUUUUGUCUUUCACAAAUGUUAGAGAUAACACACGCACACCUCUCACGCAAACAACGCAGAAGGCAUCACUAAGAUCGGCCCCAAGGACAAUCUAAGGAGGACUCACAGAGAAACCCCAUCCAGCCAAUUAGUGACAGGAAGGGCUCCCCGUGGACCUUAAGCACAUCUGACCAUUCAACAGAUGUAUUUUGUAAUCAUAUUACUGCAGGGUUUAACAUUUCAACCGCCCACCAUCAUGCAGAACACUACUCAAGUGUCAAAAUUUUUUUAAUCUUUACGAGUGUAAUAGUAGUAUCAUUAACAAUUAAAAAACUUGACUUGACACAUAGGCAAAACUUGACACUGCAUAAAAAUUUUCAAUAUCUUCUCAUAGUUCUCUAGAAAGGGCCAAAAAAUUUAUAAAUGCUUCACACACACACAAACACAAAAUGAUUCCAAUUGUCACCAUCCACAAUUUUAAAGAAAAAAGGUAAACAAGUUAGUAUCCAUCAUACCAGAUUUCCACCCUUUUCAGAGAUGAAGAAGAAAAGGUUAGAAUCUUCACUGAAAAGCAAGGGACUUUUGUCUUAAACAAUCAGAGAGAAAGUGUGACAAGCGGAAACAAGAUGGCCAUAAAGCUAAACAGAAUCUUCAUCUUUCUCCUUGCCUUCAUGUUUGAGUUAAAUCAACGAAAGCAAUACACCAGAACACGCUAGUACAAUAUUAAAUCACUGGCAGCUGAAGUAUACCAAGAUCUCUCUAGAGGGUCGGACUUUAUUAGAUCGCAACUAUACAUGUUUGGUAAGUGAAGUUACGAUACGAAAAAUUGGGAAGAUCAUAAAUCAAACCAAAUAUAUGCUAUCCAGAACUGCAAAACCGGCUGCAACCCCACCCUCAUUUGAGGAAGAGACCUUUGUGCGCAUCAAGUAACCGCAGUUGUCAUUCAUAAUCACCUUUGUUUUGUUCCUGCACGUUGAAGCCAAAAAAGCUGGUCAAUAAGGAGGGGCUAGAGAAUGAGCACCUACAAUUCUGAUUGGUGUACAGAAAUUACCUCAAAUAAGCGCCAUAAACCCCAAGUUCUGAUAUGGUUUGAUCUCUAUGAGAAACACCAUCUCGCAUAAGAAUGGCUGGAGAAACAGCAGGGAAAAUUCUUUGCAUAAGGAUGUAGGCUGCAUCUUCUUGGUUACCUGUCAUGUGCAACCUCAGUAGGGUCUCCUUCACAUCGUCACCGUAGAUGUUGUUUCCUGAAACGAAAUUGAUUCACAGUUAAUAACACAAAUCACUGUACUAGAGCUAAGGGUAGUGAUAAUAGUUAGAAAAAGAGACCUCCUCCUUCUCUUUGUGGUUUCAUCACAUAUAAUCCAGGUCUCUCAAUUGCAUCCUUGAUAAUUUGCAAGUCAUCUAGACUCCACAGCCCAGCAAAGCAUCUCCUUAGUUUGGAAAUGUCAUCUUUAUUCUCGAGAAACCUGUUUAGAACCAAGAAAUAGUUUGACCUCAGUUGGUAGAAGAGAGAAAUAGACUGUCUGUGUAAGAGUGCAAAGAAUAAUACUGAGUCCUCCGAGGCUUGACUCACUAAAUAAUACGGUUCAUCACAUUCCAUAUCAUUCCAUGUUCUUAGAGAGGUUAGAUAGUGCUUUUUUCUGAAUUAAAUUUAGAAGUGAUUUAAUUUCUCAAUGAAAUUUAAGGUUACAUAUUAGCUAAACAUGAAAAUGCCUCUUUUCGUGUGACGAUGACCAAGAGGCACUAAAGGGGUUUCCACUUUCUGGUUUACCACAAGAACGACUUGUGAUGUCAAAGGUGAUACCAGAAGUUUACAUUCACCUCCACCAGAAAGAAUGUUAAGAGCAAAGUAACGUUCUCCAAAAAUAACUGUAUCUCUCAUUUGUCUUAAUUGCAGUGCUUUUCCAGUAAAUUGCUCUCAAGCAACUAUUAACCAAAUUACCGACCCCAUCUUACAGCAACAUGACAUGUUUGAGAAGGUUUUAGUCUUACCUUUCAAGCACACCUGGUUUUGCAAGUUCUUGUUGGAUUUUCUUUGUUCCUGCCAGAUGAUAGGCAAUAGAAGGGCACUUGAUUGCGGAAGAUUGCUCCAUCAGUAGCCUAGCUCUCCAUUCCUAUCAUAAGAUGUACCGAAAAUAAAUCAAUAACAUCAACAAGCUACAUACAUAAAAUAAGACUUCUCAACGAGAGUAAGCAAUACAAUGAUACGAGCCGCGACCUCAAGUUCGUAAGAUGAAGUGUUUUAAAAAAAUAAAUAAACACCAAGUUGGAUGCAGAAUCAAGUAACACGUGAUAACCACAUCAAACACAACAAAUAUACAUAUAUAUAUCUGUGUGUGUGUGUGUGUGUGUGUGUCCCCUUAACAGCCAAACAUUUUCACAUUUGGACCAAUGUAUAUUGAGAUAAGCAAUAGUCGACGAAAACUCAUAGGGUAAAAAUAUCAGCAGCACAAGCAUGAAGCAUCUGUACUCACAAACUCUGAAGGAUAAUCAGUCGGUGCAUACCCAGCUCUGAAAUAGACGACUGCAACCGCUUCACCUCCUCUGCAAUGUCCAAGAAUUUGACUUUUUCAGACAAGAGCCACAAGUUGAUGUAACACUGAUAAUUGUACUUUUGUUCCUUAAGAUACAUACACAAGAAGUGUUCCAUCUGCCUGAAGCUCUCCUGUUGCAUCGAUUUCUGCUAAACUCUUCCUAAUAGUUGUUAUUUGAUAUGUGUCAACAAGUUAUGGAAACGCAUUCUAGGGUAACAUAUCAAUAUUCAGCUAUAACAACUUGCAUCUAUGGAUUUUAGGACAAAGUACCAACUAGAAGUAAAAUAGAUCUGAAAAUAACCUUGUCAUAAAUGAUAGAAUAGAAAAGGAUAUUGUUCCUUGAGUACUGCACAUAGCCAAUGUUGGUCAUACAUGUUGCGUUCUUCAGGUUGAACCACAACCAUAAUUACAGCCCUGUACAGAACUUUUAAGUUAGUCGCAGAUUGUGUGACCCAACAAUAGCAGCUUGAGAACAAUAACAAUAAAUUUAUUAAAACCAAACCUUGGGUUAUUAUAUUCAGUCCAAGCUUUGGCUAAAGCUUCAGCAAAUCCAUUUACAGCAUUAUUUCUGGGAACUCUUUCAGGAUCUAGUAACAGGUGUUCUCUAAAUUGAAGAAGUAACAAUCUGCGCACAGGAAGAAGGAUGAAAGAAUCUCAAUCUGGACUGCUAAAAUUAGCACACAAAGUUUUGUUUUCUUCAUAAUUAUUUUUAUCCCUUAAUCAUCUGUAUCUCUGGACAGACUUUUUCUUUUCACUUAAUUUCUCAUGAAUACACACACAUUGUGUGACAAUACAAGCCAGCUAGAACAUAGGCUCAUUUUAGGUAUAACCCCCCAAAUCAAGAGUAUUCAGCUAAAUAUUCAAGCAAAGACCUUCUUCUCCUUUAUUAGACUACUAUCACCAAACAUCAAAGUAAUGAGGGCUUCCACCCCCAAAUGAUUUAUAUGUGAACGAGGUUUCCUCAUCUAAUUAGUCAAUUGUUGUACUCAAUGUCCCCCAGGUACACCCUUUUUGCAUGUCCAUUAGCAAAUGCCAAUGUUUAAAUAAGUAAUGACCAUCAUAACACCUCAUGCAUUUUCUCUAAUAGAAAUAGAAUACAAGAAGAUGAUUAUGAGCUGAUUAUUUCAUUAAUAAUCAUAUUAGAAAAAUAUGCAUCCCAGCCAACAAUUUGAUAAAUGUCACUGAUGCAUAAAAAUCUUCAUUGCUGUAGCCUUAGAACAUUGCAAGAAGACAGCAAUUGUCAAACGAAUAAAAAUGAGUCAAGUUUGAUUUGUUAUAAAACUUUGGGUGGAGUGAAGGUUCCUUUCAUUAUAAAACUGAACUUGAUCACAUUUUGACAUUCACUAAAUCACGUGAGAUUUUCAUCAGCAAAUGUACUAGAAGAUUUCCUUUGUCAGUGCUAAAAAGUUAGUGAAACCAAUUGCAAAUAAACAUCCUACAACUGAAAAUUAAAGCUAUUUCACUUCCUUUGACAAUAGAGGAUAAGCAAAUAGAAAGACAUACAAAGCACUCCAUUGAUGUGCUUUCAACUAAUCAAAAAUGUAAAUACCUAAAACCUUCAGUGUAAACAAUUGCAGUGGCAUUUGCUGAGCAAUUUUGAAAUGCAAGAAUCAUUAAAAUCCAGAAUAACAUAAACACAGAGAGAGAAGGCAAGAACAAGUAACAAUUGAUAACCUGUGAAGCUCACUGACAAGACAACUCAGCCCGGGAAAAGAUGAUGAAAUUGUGUUAAGCUCUAUCUGAAGAAGUAAUUUGGUUUGUUCAUCUAACAUGUAAUCUGAGCGAUGCAAUCCCAAGCGUAUGUCCUGAAGAGCAGUUUCGGUAAAAGCUAGUAAAGAUGCUAACACCACAAAACAAAAUAUAGGAAAUCUACUUUUCUUUAUCAUUUUGCAUUGGUUAGUUUACAAAUAUCAGUUCCACUGAGAUGAAAUGAAGUAUACAGGUAACCAAAGAACUAUAUUCAAAAAGUAUUCCCUGCCCCUUCAAUGGCAGAUAAGAUAAUAAAAUUGCACAAGGGCACAACUCAGAACAGGUAAAUUUGAUCACAUGAAAACCCCCUCUUCCCCCUUUCCCUGUAAUAAAUCUGCACCCACAACCAUAGAUUAACAUCAAGUGGAGAACUAAAGGAUUUGAAACAGGGUGACCACUAAAAUGUGGAUCCCAAGUUAAGCAUCACAAAGCUAUAUUAAUGAGUAGCAGCAAAAAUCAGAGAGAACCAACCAGCAUAACAAGAGGAAGUGAAACAUCAAUUUCAUGCAAAGGAAUCUAAGUCAAAUGCUAUAAUCAGAAGCACCUCUUUCUUAUUGAUCUCUAACAUCUUGGAAUGAAUGUCCAAGAGUCUGGAUGUAAAUGUAUCUACUUUCUUUGUCCUGCAUUAUUGAAACAGAAGAGGAUAAUUAGUUUGACAAACACACACACACACAGAGAAAGGAAAUGUAAAGCAAAGAUGACCAACUAGAAAUACAGGAAACUAACAGCCUAAACAGCUACUUGUAACAGAUACAUAAGAAUGUUGUGAGCGGAGGAGAUUACCUAGAUAGCGACUCCUGCAAAAAAUUUCCAUCCAAACUCACACGAUCAACUAGUUCAUUAAAAAUAGGAGCUACUUCACAAGCUUGUUUCCAAUGACUUUCAGGGAAUGACAUAGGCAACAAGGCAAUUGGGGCAUGAACCAUUCCUACACCAGGCACUUUUCCUGAUCUCUGCAUUCAUUAAAAUACUACCAAACAUCAAAAUGUAGAACCAUAUGCAUCCAAUUCCAAGACUGUCCGUUGUAUUCAUCCUCCCCAGCAGUAACAAAGCAAAUAAGUGCUAUCCAAUGGAUAACUUUCUCGCACAUAAAUAAGUAUAAGGAUUGGAUAUCAACUUAAAAGACAUCUUAAACAGAAACGUUCAUUCAGAAUGCAUAAUUUUAAAUAUCACAUUAGUCAAAUGCAGACAUAAAUAAUAAACAAUUAGAACAAUCUAAAAGCUAUAAGAAAAGAAAAUUAGUAAACCAUAAAGAAAACAACCCUUGUUCAUUUGCAAUCUCAUCUUGUUGAUCAGAAUAAUAUGAAGAAACUAAAGCUACAAUAAUGCCCAAAAUAAAACAAGAAUCUUUUCAACAAUGACCUGUGAAUUUCUGUCACCAGCAACAAGGCCAUGAAGUGAACUCCAGACAAGAGCAUCAUAAGCAAUCUUUUGAACCAAUUCUUGGUCAAUACUAUGAGGAUCAAAACUGGGUUUUUGUAGAAAAUCAUUUCCUUUUUGGGUCUCCAUCUGUUCAACAACUCUGCCACACCUCAAAAAGAAAGGAGCUGAAGAUGGUGCUUUACCAAUGGUUUUUUGGGCUAGUUUCCUGAUAUGGGUUUGCAAGAAUUUAGAGGUGGGCUUGAAAAGAAGAUGAUUUGAAUGUGAUUUGUCAGAGAAAGUGCAAGUAGUUUUCGAGUUGGAUAUAGUGGGGCAGUAGGAGAAGGAGCAAGUGGAACUGGGAAAAGAGAAGGAGAGGGAGCUGCAAGAGGAAUAUCCAACACCCAUUUAGGCCUUUUUAGUAAAAGCAAGAAUCCAUGAUGAGACCCUUAUCAUUAAUUUGUUAGUAUAUUUGGCAGCCCGCAGCCGCACCGUAGAAUAUGCAGAAGAAUUUGGUUAUGAAUUUGGCUCUGCCGCAAACUUUACCUCAGCAGCAUCUUGAAUUCAGCUAGUACUUUUUAAAGGGAAAAUACUUGUUCUUGAUAGACGGCUCAAUUGAUUUCUUUCCUCUAAUGGCAAUUUUGAUGAUAUUUUUUUUUUGGAGUUAGCUAAUUUAGAUAGUAAUACCUUUUUUUUUUCUUGUCUUUUGGUUUUUGAAUGAAACUUGCUUAAUGAUAUUGGAAAAGAAUUAUAUGCAAAAAAAAAAGAAACUUUUUUUAAAAAAAAAACUCUAAUUACAAAUUUUUGGAUGACUUUUUUUUUUCAUUUUUAAUCACCUUUUUACUUGUCUUAUAUCAUCAAAAAGUUCUGUAGUGAGUUUGAAUUCGUUUGGAUUGUUAUUUUUUGAAAUAUUUGUAGAAAAAUAUAUUCUAGCAGUUUGAUAUCUAUGAGUAAAGUAAUUGAAAAAUGUACUUAUGAAAAAGUAAAAACUUUUUGUAAAAUUUUUUUUCUCAAAUAAUAUUCAACGAGAAAGGACUCAUAUUUCAACUUCCAAAUUCUUUAUUACUUCCAUAGCAUUCUCUUUUCCUAGACCGAAUCAACUCGAAAGCUCUCUAUAAUUAUUUUUUUCUAAUUCACUUCUCAUCUUUUUUUUUUUUUGUGAAACAUUUACUUUUCCAAUAUGAUUUUAUAGUUUGCUUAUACUCUUGCAUAGGAAUUUUAAAAAUUAUUUGUAGACAAAAAAAAAAAAUCAAUCUCACUUAUACUCUUGUAUUUAGAAAAUAGACUGACAAAUGCCUUUAGAAACGAAUAUGAAUGUCCAAAAAUAUUUUGCUUUGAAAUAAAUAUAUUUUUCACGGUUUUCAUAUGGAGUGACAUUAAUACUAAUUGCAAAAGGCAUAUUGGUUUCUUGGCUAAGUUUUACUUCGAUAAGAAAAGCGAAGAAGAGAUUUUUUUUCCUUUUUUUUUUAAAAAAAAAAAGAUGAAGAGAUUUAUAAUACAAGAAGGCUAUCUAGUCUCCUUUUCUUUAUUUUUUUUUUUACUGAUAUCCCUAUUAUUACAAUUAACUAGGAAUGUAAAUUAUCCCACUUAACAAACAUUAGACUUUAAAAGCGUUAGAAAAGUACAUUAUAAUUUGUAGAGAAAAUGACCUGUUUCAUCCCUUACAUUUCGUAAAAAUAUUCUUUUCGUCCCUCAUAUUUAAAACGAAGCAAAUUGGUCAUUCACAUUUAAAAAUCGAAACUUUUACAUCCUAGAAAUAAACUCUCAGUUGUGAAUCAAACCAUCUAACAAUCCGGUUACAAAUUUUAUGGGUAGAAUUGGUAGAUCACUCGCAAAACAUAUUUCCAACAAAUAAAUUAAAAUAAUUAAAAAAUCUUAAUUAAAACUCAUUUGCUUCUUCAAAAGAUCGAAAUAGUGCUAAAGCUCUCAAGCACUAAACCCUUAGACAAAUUCCUCAGUUUUGUUGCACUACGGGUUUAGUGCUUGAGAGCUUUAGCACAAUUUCGUUCUUUUGAAGAAACAAAUGGGUUUUAAUUAAGAUUUUUUAAUUACUUUAAUUUAUUUGUUAGAAAUAUGUUUUUGCGAGUGAUCUACCAAUUCUACCCCCAAAAUUUGUAACCAGGUUGUUAGAUAGUUUGAUUCACAAUUGAGAGUUUAUUUCUAGGAUGUAAAAGCUUCAGUUUUUAAAUGUGAAGGACCAAUUUGCUUCGUUUUAAAUGUGAGGGACAAAAAGAAUAUUUUUACGAAAUGUGAGGGAUGAAAUAGGUCAUUUUCCCUAAUUUGUAUCACAUAUCUUUUUCUAAUUUUAAAUUUUUUUCUCAAUGCCCCAAUAAAAUUACUUGACUUGGAAACUUGAUUUUGAGACCUUUCACUUCAAUACUAUUUAAUUAAAUUCAUAUUAUGCACAGUACAGACUUUUUGAAAUUGACUAAAAACUUGAUUUUGACACCUUUUACUUCAACACUGUUUCCCUAUGUUCAUAACCUGGACAAUAUGGCAGCAGUUUAUGAACUGAUUCCUACAUUUACCAUGCUGUAUAAAACGAAGGACUGAUUUAAUUUCAAUGAUGUAACACAUCUCACUUGACUUAUGUGCUACGCAAUUUAUCUUUUAAAUUAGAAGCCACCUUCAGAAUUGACCUCAGAGGCUUUGAUUCUUGAUCUCCAUCUUCCCUUCAAGGCAACCUUUCCAGUGAUGUUCUCUUGUUGUUGAUGGGGUAUAUCUGUUGGCGCAAAAAAUCACACGUACAACGAAAGCAAUUUUUAAUACAUAUAAAAAUAUGUGGAAAGAGGGAAAGAAAUAAACUCACAAUCAAACCUCCAAAAUUUUAUGAGCAAGAUGUGUCAAAUGUCACUAAAUUAUACCAUUGUGCUAAUCUAAAUCACUAAACUAUUUUUUUUAGUUGAAAAUGUCACUGAACUAAUCAAAUUGUAUAUUUUGCUUCAUUCCGUCUAAUUUGACAAUCAAAACAAACGGAAUGAAUAUCAUGAUACUUGCAGGUAGGAAUAACAAUUGGGAUGGGUGCCCUGCGGGGAAGUAAUAGGGGGGGAGGGGAAUUUUUCCCCUCAUUAAGAAACAAGGUUGGGGGUGGGAGAGUAUACCUCCACCCCACCACUUGUUAAAAAUAUAUAUAUAAUAUUUAAUUUAAUUAGUUAUAAAUUUGCAAUAAUGAUAUUAUCAGUUAUAAAUAUUAUAUAAUGUAUAUUAGUAUAUGUAAUAUAAUUGAUAUUAUCAAUUAUACUAAUAAUUAUGCAUGUCUACUAAUAGAAAUUAUUAAUUAGUUAUACUAAAUUUACUAAUACAUUUAUGCUAAAUUCCUAAUUAUACUUAACACAAUAACAUUUUUUUCUAAAAAAAAACACAAUAAUGACUUAGUGAUUGUAUUUAUUUCAAAAGUAAAAACUCGUUUACUUUAGUUGUAUUUGCUUCAUCAUGUUAGAUUGUAUUCAACUAGUUUUUGUUUGAUUAUUUUUAUGGGUUUCAAUUGUAAAAUUAUAAUGGAUAAUGACUUGGUGAUGUGUUGAUAUUUUAUUACUUAAUUAUUUGCUAAAAUUUGAUUACAAUAAAAUUAUGUGACAAAUUUUUAUUAACCGUGCAAGAGAAGCAGGGCGGCGGGGAAGGGGGGGAGGGAAGUAGUGGGCAGUAGGGUGGGGGGCAUGGAAGGUGUCCCCCGCUCCAAACUCGAUCUGUUGCCAUUCCUACUUGCAAGCUUAGUUUGUAGGGCAAAUUUGUCAAUUUAUCUUUUUGGUUGAUGUUUGUCUUCGCUCCUUAAACAUUAUAGAUAAUAAUCAGACUCUAUUCUCCUUUUUCACUAUAAAAUCCUUGUGAAUUUGUGCCCAAAUCUAAAAUGAGUUUCUCCUUGUUGUAUCUCAUAUCACCAUUGUUGUUUCUGGCAUGAUCUUUUCGCCUUUCAAGAAAAGUAAGAGAAUUUUUUCAAGUUUUCUCUUUGUCAUUUUUACAAAUAGGUAUUGGGCAUUACAUAAAAUGAAAUGUUUUAUUCAAACUUGUUUCUUGCUUUCCCAAAAUUGCAACCAAUAAAAAAUUAGUCCAAUAAAAGAAAAAAUCAUAUCUCACCGAUUCUUUUGUGGGCUAAAUGACAAAGAUUUGUAACCGUUGUCUUUUGAAUUGGCAUGACCUUUUCAAAAAAAGUAAGAGGAUUUUUUUCAAAAUUUUUCUUUGUCAUUUUUACAAACAAGUUUUGGGCAUUACAUAAAAUAAAAUUGUUAAGAGUAAAUCGCGCGAAAUGUCACUAAACUAUUACAUUGUGCCGCUUUUGAUCACUAAACUUUUUUAUUAGCCAAAAAUGUCACUAAAGUAGUAAAUCUGUGUUGUUUUGGUCAUUUCGUUUAUUUAUGCCGUUAGAAGAGACAGAAAGUAACUUUUUGAGGAAUAAUGUUGUCUACACAGAUUUUUGUGGCAAUGAAGGGACAAAACAAACAAUCAAUGAAAAAACACAAUUGUGAGGAGAAUCCAGCAAAAUCGUACCGCAUUAAUCUAUCAAAAUCAAAAUAAUCAGUGAGGAGAAUCAAAAAAUCGGCCAAAGACGAAGAUUAGUAGUGAAACACAGGUGAUAGAUGGUAGCAAAGCAGGUGAAAAGGCAAAGGGAUGAGUUCAUUGACCUGUACAUACUAUACGGUAAGAAAUCUUACAAUCCCAUCCUUAUAGAUUUGGAUAAUGUUUGAUUAAUUGUGUUGUAUGAGUUAUAAGUCUAAUGAAGUAUUUAGCCAGAGUGUUUAUUGGGUUUAGAGUUUGCCAAUGCGAUCUGGUUGUUUGGAUAAAGACAUAAGAACAAGUGAAAUCCCCUUUUGUUGUAGUAGUAGGUUGCAAAGGGACCUACAAGAACCCUCUAUCUGAUAAUUUACUCAUAAACAAACAAACUUUUGUGGCAGUUGUCCAAUUCGGGUUAAUUAACAAUUGGAGGUUACGUAUUUUUAUAGGAAGAACAAUGUGUAUGACAAUAAAAAAUAGUGAUUAACAAGAAUCGUGUUGUUUGCCUUUGCAAUUGUUGUGGUUCCUAAUAAACCUGUUUUUCCAUUAAAUUCCACCAUGGUGAUAAAAUUAAGGGAGACAAAUACAAGAAUUAUGUGGGUGGAUAGAUUGGUUAUUUCGAUUUUUCCUACACUGAUUUUAUGUCGAUUCAUGAAAUAAAUGAAAUAGUUGAAGAGUAUGGACAUAAUGAUACCAUGUUAUAUUAUUACAUUGACCCUAGUAGGGAUUUGAACCAUGGACUGAUGGAACUUCAAACGAUGAAGACAUUAGACAAUUCUAUUGUUGGGUUUAUGAGUACAAGUUGAUAGAAGUAUACCGUUAUCAUAUAACAGCUAAGGAAAGAUAUGAGUUGCAGAAGAAAAAGCAACUGGAGAAGUCCUCAAGGAUAAAGAGUUCAAUUGUAAUGCAAAAGUUUCUAGAAAAUGGAGAUAAAGGCUGCAGUCAAUCUGCUCCAACUCCUAAAUGUGCUAGAAAGUCUUGUAAAGGUACCAAAAAUGUGUCAAGCAUAAUACCAGCUCAUUUUGCUCAUGAGGAAGUUGAAGAUGACCCUACAAGUGGUGCCAAUUCUUAGCAACAUGAAGUUGAAGAGCAAGCUACUCCACAUAAUGACACCUUUUAACAUGCUAAAAAUAGUGCACAUGUUGCGGAGCCAUCAAAAUUGCAGAAAUAAUCACCUCAUAACAUUGAAGUGUUGAUGCCACCAAUAGUAUGAAAAAACAAAAGAUUAGGAAGACUAAGACGUCUGUAGGUGUUCAAUUUAUUUUCAAUUUUAUCUUUAGUUUUACUAUAGUUGAUAGCUACUAUAACUAUGUUCUAAUGUGUACAGGUGAGGAGAGUUAGACUUGUCAAUGAUGUCGACUAGUCAACUGUAGGAGCCCACAAAUAGUCUCUCCAAUCAAAGAGGAAGUUAUCUGAAAUAGACAAGAUAAGAAUCAAUACCAACUAUGAGUACUUGGGCAAAGAAUUCUCUUUCAAGAUUGGUAGAUGGGCUGGAAUAUCAAGGAGCAGUAAAAGUGGAAGAUCAGAUUAAAUGACUUAUGAAUAUUUUUUAGGGCUGUUUGGAUGUAUUAAAUCUUUUGUUUGGAUAACUUUUAUUUUGAUGUAUUCUAUGUCAAGGACAAUUAUAGACUAUUUACAUGUGAAACAAGGCUAAAGGCCUUAUUUGGCAUUAGAGUUUUUUGCCAAGUUUGUCUGCUACAAGUUUUUUAAAAAUUUUAACUACAGUAAUCUCAAAAAAAUUUUUAAAAACUUUAAACUAUACACUUAAAAAUAUUCAAAAAUUUAUACAUUUCAAAUUUUUUUAAAAAAAUUUCUACAGUAAGUUACAGUUAGGGAUGGCAAUCAGGUCGAAUUCUGGUUGGCGGGUCGGGUUGAGACCCAUGUAUAACAGAAAACCCGUUGACCCGAACCUAACCCGUCAACUCGAAACGGGUCAGGAUACCUGACACGAACUCGAAAAUUUCGGGUUGGUGGGUCGGCAAGUCGACCCAAAAUGACCCGAAACUUAAUUUUAAUUUAUUAAUUUAUCACUAUAAUUUCUAAUAAAAUCAAUUUCUCACAAAACUAAUUACAUAAUCAAGUAAUAAAAAUUUAAAUAAAUAAUCUCAAACCAAAUCUAAAAUAAAUUAAACACCGUAAAAGUGUUUUAUCCCAAACCCAAAUAUAAAUUCAAUUAAAUCAGUAUAAAAGUAAAAAAAUAAUAUAAUAUAUUAUUUGCCCAAAUAUAAUAAUUUCAACUUCACACAAGUUAAAUAAAUUCAUUUAGGAUUAAAUAAUUAAUGCCUUUGAAAAAAGGAAUAACUUAGUUUAGUUAGAUAAAAUAAUUUUAAUAUUUAUUAAAUUAUAUUUAAUUCGUAAACCGGUCAUAUCGGGUCACCCACGGGUUGAUCUAAAAUUGACCUGUUUUCUUUUCGGAUUCGACCCGAUUCUGAUCCGAACCCCUGAAAUCUCAACCCAAACCCAUUAAUUUCGUGUUAAAUUCGUGUCGUGUUUUCAGGUCAUGUCAGAAAUUGCCACCCCUAGUUACAAUAAAGUUUUAGACAAACACAAAAAAACUCACUUGCCAAACAGAGCCUUUGUUGGAAUUUUUCAUUAGGGCAUUUUUGGUGAUGAUAGUGACAAUUAUAACUCUUUUGUAAGGCAGUUGUUUGGAAGUAUGCAUAUUUGAUCUCAUUUUGCUAGGUCCACUGGUCUUUUGUUGUAUUUGACUUUAUGCAAAUGCAUUUGUGAGCUACUUUUCUUUUGAAUACUUAUGUUAAAAUUAAUACUUCACUCUUUUAUUCAUAAACUACAAUUUCAAAAAUCCAAGGUGUAAACAACACCAACCAAAAUGAGGUUUAUAUAACAACUGCACCACCUUAACUAAAACGAGCUAUCUAUUAAACCAUUUGAUAGCAUUGGUUUAGGAUUUGAAAUAUAAUAAUACCCUAGUAGCCAUCAAUUUUCCCCUUCGAAACUUGUAUCCCUUGCUAGGCCUCUAAAUCCACAUAGAUGCACUAAGAAUUGUCCAGGUUACAAUAAAAAGAACAAUGAGCAUUUUUUUCCUAUUCUUUCUUCCAAGUUUCUUCUUUCAGAUUUUUUACUUGAACUUCCUUUUUCUCAGCUUUAUUUUGCCACUUGAGAACUUGCUCCUGCAAGGCUUCAUUCUUAGUUUUCAGCCUAUUUACUCUCCUUAAAAGACCGGGUAUGACUUGUUUGGAAUGCUCACACAUUUCUUCAUCAUACCAAUCCCAAACCACAACUAUCAACUUAAAAAAAAAUUAUCCAAGUUUUUUUUAGCUAAUAAAUAUCCAAAAAUUUACACAUUAACCUAAUUUAACGAAUUUCCUACAUCUUCACACACUCAUCUCGCCAUGAGCACAUUCAACAUAUCUUCUUGCUAGGUUCCUAUUAAGGCUGCAAACGAACCAAGGCAAGUCGAGUUUUGGUCUAAUCGAACCGAGCCUUAACAUAAUUUUAGUGAACUUAGAGCUGUUAAACGAACCGAGUUGUUCGUUAGCUCGGUUCGUUUCGGCUCGUUCGUAUUCGUUAAAGGCUCGUUCGAAGCCUUAAACGAACCGAACACGAACGAAUUUUUAUGUUCGUUUAAUAAUCAAGCGAACACGAACAUGUUCUCGUUUUAACAAACGUUCGCGAACAAGGACAUAAUUGUCAUUUGACAAAUUUUAGCGUUACUCAUAAAAAAUUCUAAAGCUUUCCCCUUCCCUUUCCAGCCUUACUUCUGUUUCCAUUCCCCAUUGGCCGCUGCUGAAAGUCCAAACUGAUAAGCUCGCUGCUGUUCUAGACUUUCUACCGUCCAAAGUCCAAACUGAUAAGAGAGAGACUGGAGUUUCAGUUGCCCCAAUCAACAUCUUUGGUGGCUGGCUGAGUUCGGAGAUCGCGUGCCUCCCUCCUUUGAUUCGGUAUGAUUUUUCACAGAUCUAUGAUUUGUGUUUCUCAAUCUGGAAUUUUUUAAAUUCAUUAGAUCGAAUUUGAUUGCAAGCUUGAAGGGGUCAAAGUUUUAGCACUAACGCUAGCCAAAUUGUCCCUCACUUGAUGUCUUCGGUUGUAGUUUCAUCUUUUGGCAUCUAAUACUUGAAAUCUUGGAAUAAUACUUGUGCAUAUCAUUUCCUUUUUUUACUUUCAUCAAGACACAUUCAUUAAUCAGUCAAAACUGGCGCAUGAUGAUUUAAGACAUCAAGGCAGUAGCAGCAAGCAGCAAAGCAUUUUUUUUCCUUCCAUUUCCGUGCUUUUGAGCUUCAAGCUGCUAAAUCAAUAGCUAGAGAUCUCAGAAUGGAAACUUGAUGCAGAGAAAGUAAAAUUAUAGGACAAGUAAACCACUGGAUGGAUUAAGUUUGAUGUGAACAAUGGAUUGAGAGGUUGGGGACAUAAUUCUAAGUCUAAGAUGUCUGGUUUUGUUUGACAGAAUUUUUCAAGGUAUGGGAAAUGAUGAUGAUGAUGAACAAGGGUGGAAAAGACAGAAACAAAAAAAAAUUAAAUACCUGUAGCAGUAGUGUAAUUUUGGUCAAGUUUCUCUUUGUCUCUUGAGAUAAAUCUUUCCUGGAUCCAAUUAUUUGAAUUUGGACCACUGGUUGGUUGAUGGUAAUUUGACUUUUGCUGGACAAGAGAUUCGCAAAGAUGACGCACCAUGGCUUGCAAGGCUGACCAAAGCUCAAAAUUUACACUGUUCUGUUAAAUCUUCUAGACUUCCUACUUGUCAAAUAUUGGAGAGAGAUGUGGACAGAUUUCUACAAACAUGGAAAUUCGUUUUUAAGUAGUAGUAAAACAUCAACAAGUUUCAUAUUUAGUACUCAAUUGGGCCACAUACUAAAUAGGAUCAGUACAUAAUUUUUUAAAGAAUUCCAAACUACCAAUAGUACUUUCAGCAUGUAUUAAUUUUAUGUCUUUGCUUCGUACAUAAUUUUGCAGAUUAUGUUUGGUUAAUUUUUCAUUGAUUAGUAGUUUUAUUUUUCAUUCAUCAAAUAGGGUAUGUCAAGCUCCCCUUAUAAUUCACAUCUGGGCUCUUCCACAAGUCCUAUUAUGGAUCCUAGCAAUGAAGAUGUGAUACUUGUUGGUGGUGACGAGAAAGAUGAUGAGAUGCAUGAAGAUGUUGAUAUUGAAAUACUUGCUGAAAACAAGGAAACAAAUGAGGCUAAACCAUAUCAAAAAAAGAGUAGAACGUUGAAGUCUAAAGUAUGGAGUGACAUGGAUUGAGAACCUCAAACUGAUGGAUCAACUAAAGUGACAUGUAAACAUUGCAAAGAGGUAUGGAAGAUGAAUGCUAGUGGCACAACAACAACUUACACUAGGCAUUUGAAGAAUUGUCUACAAAAGAAACUAGUAGACGAGGGGAACAAAAGGAUGCAACAACAAGUUCUUUCCUUCACAACAGAAACACCAUCGGAUGGCAUGACUUCAAUAACAAACUUUAGAUAUGAUCAUGCUAAGGUACGGGAACUUGCAUCCCAUAUGAUUUUGGCACAUGAAUACCCUUUUGCAAUGUUGGAUCAUGAAAUUUUUAAUAAGUUCAUGAAAGCUGUUUCUCCAUAUUAUAUAAGGAUUAGUAGGCAAACUGUGAAGAAAGACUGCAUUUCUACUUAUGAAUUGGAAAAGAAGAAGCUGAUGUCAUUGCUAAAGGGGGUCAGUAAAAUCAGUAUCACAACAGAUUUGUGGAAAUCAAAUCAGAAAAUUCAAUAUAUGGUUGUAACUGGGCACUUUAUUGAUUUCAAUUGGGUGCUACAAAAGCGUGUGUUGAAUUUUUGUAAUGUUCCUCCCCCACAUACUGGAGUUAUUAUAGCUGAUGCUCUUAACAAGUGUUUCAAUGAAUGGGGCAUAGAGAACAAAAUUUGUAGUAUUACCGUGGAUAAUGCUUCAUACAAUGAUGUGUGUGUUAGGAGGCUGAAAGAUGACUUUUUGUUGGGAAAACAAUUAAAUGUUGGGGGAAAAUACUUUCAUGUUCGUUGCUAUGCACAUAUACUUAAUCUUUUAGUGCAAGAUGGCCUUAGUCAAAUUGGAGAAGUGAUUGAUACUGUUAGGGAGGGGAUUAAGUACCUAAAUUAUUCUGAGUCCCGCCUCAUUGAAUUCAGCAAGAUAAAGAAACAGCUUCAUUUAUCUCUAAGAAAGUUGAUUCUAGAUUGUCCAACACGUUGGAAUGGGACAUAUUUGAUGUUAGCUUCAUCUGUAAAAUUUAAAGAUGUGUUUUGGAGAUAUGCAGACAUUGAUCAUGGCUUUCAUUAUGUUCCUAGUGAAUAUGAUUGGAUGAGAGUUGAAGAAGUGUGUCAAUUUUUGGGUAUUUUUCAUGAAAUAACUAAUAUGAUUUCUGGGAGUGAACAUCCAACUGCCAACAUUUUCCUACGUAAGCUUUAUAGAAUCAAAGAGCUUCUGAAUGAAAAAUCUAUUAAUCCUUCUAGCCAUAUAAGGGCUGUGGUUGCAAGCAUGGCUUCGAAAUUUGAUAAAUAUUGGGGUGAAAAUAAUAUUCUGCUUUCUUUGGGUGCAAUUUUAGAUCCAAAAUAUAAAAUGGUACUCAUUGACUAUGCCUUUCCAAUUAUUUAUGGUAGCGAAGCAGCUCCCAUAUACAUUGCUGAAAUAAAAGAGGUUUUGAAUGACUUUUAUAAUGAGUAUGUUUCUUCAUUCACUCCAUGUUCUGCUGAGGAUGUGUAGUUGCCAAAACGCAGAAAAGUUGAAAUUAGUCAUGCUUGUAGUUCAACUUCUAUGGUGGUAGAAGAAAUUGGAAAAAAAUAUGUUAACUGGAAAAGCUAAGUUUGAAAUGCAUGUGAGUAGCCAAGAAGAAAUGCCACCAGAAGAAUCUGAAUUAGAUAUUUAUUUGAGUAAAAAAAGAUACAGUGGUGCUACGAGUGCAAAUCUGGAUGUCUUGAGUUGGUAGAGACAGGAAAGAUGGAGAUUUCGGGUGCUGUCAAAAUUGGCUGCUGACAUAUUAGCUAUUCCAGUUACUACUGUAGCUCCGGAGUCUACUUUUAGUGCUGGUGGGAGAGUCAUUGAUGAUCGUCGUGCUUCCAUGUCUAUUGAAAUAGUGCAAAUGUUACUUUGCGCUAAUAAUUGGGUUCGAAAUUUGUAUGGCCUUUCAAAAAGUCAUUUAAAGGUAAUAUAUAAUAUAUGUUACGUUUCUUUAUUUCUGCAAUUUUUAUAAAUUUACUGUUCUUACUUAAUUGUGAUUCAUUUUUUUCCUUUGGUAGGAAUCAUCAAUUGUUGAUGACUUCAAGGCAUAUGAAGAAGUUAUACUUCCAGAUUGAAAGGAUGCAACUCAUUGUACUCAUUUUAAUUUCUAAAGUUUCAGUCUUCAGUUGGUUGUGUGGAAAUUUUCAAUGUUUGUCAUUCUUAAUUCCUCUAUAUGCGUGUAUGAUGUCUAGUUCCUUUUGAUUGAUAUUUUUAAAACUGAUUGAAAACUUUUGUAGUUGAUUAUUAUUCUAUUCUUUGCAGAGUCUUGGGGAAAAAAAUUCGAUUGCCUUGGCCCACCUAGCUCUUUUCAGCUACAAUGAAUUUGGUCCAGUCACUUCAUUUUCUUUGCCAUGGCUGAUGGAUUCAAAUGGAUAGAUGAAGUGGAUGUAGUAGUAGUCAAAUUGUGAAGUGGAGCACAUUUGUUGUUGUCUUAUGGCUGAAUUUUUAUAUUUGAAGGAUAAAUUACUUUGUUUUAUUUGUUGUUUUUAUGUUAAUGUUGGUUAUGCAUUUAAUGAAUAAUGAAAUUUAGUCAUUUGGUAUUUCAAUUAUUUUUUAGGAUGAUUAAUGAUUUGUAUGGCAUAUUUAAGGCUUAGAAUAAUCUGGAUUCGAAUUUUUCGAGCGUGUUCGCGAACGACUCGUUUAACAUAAACGAGCCGAACACGAACACAAACACAAACUUUACUUAACGAGCCAAACACGAACACAAGUUUAGAGUUCGAAAGUUAACGAACGAACACGAACGGAGUUCGAAGCGCUUAACGAACAGAGUUCAAACAUAAGAUACUCGGUUCGUUUCGAUUCGUUUACAGCUCUAAGUGAACUCGAACUUAAACUCGAGCUCGACGAGCCGACAAUUUCAAACUCGAGCUCGAGUUCGAAAAAAAUAAAAAUAAUUAUUUUUAUUUUUUAAAAAAUAAAUAAAAUAAUUUUUUUUGUCUUAAAUAAAUAAUAAAAUAUUAAGGAUAUAUAUGUAAUUUUACUAUUAAAAUAAAAAAUAAAAAAUAUAAAAAUACUUAAAAUAAAAAAAUAAAAAAAUAUAUACUUAAAAUAAAAAAAUAAAAUAUAUAUAUACUUGAACUCGAGUUCAAGCUCGAUUUGACUCGAGCCAGCUCGAGCUCGAGUCGAGCUUGACUCGCUCGCGAGCGGCUCGGUUCGGUUGCAGCUCUAGUUCCUAUCAGUUCAUGAAGUCUUCAAAUUGGUUUUAGUGCCACAAGACCAAGUCGGAGUUAUUUUCUUGCAUCUUCCUCUCAUGAAACUUGAACACAUUCCCAACAAUUGCAGCUGUUAAUAUUGCCCCUCCUACUCCAUAUUUGAAGACAAAUCUAUUAGAGGAUAAGGGUUUGUACUUUCUAACUGAACUUGGGAGUUGUCUGGUACGUUUACGGGCAAUUUAUGUUGGAAAGUUUCAACGAAAAGGUUGUGCAGAAAAAAUUGCCCGAGAAAAAAUUACUUUCCGUCUCUCAUGAUGGCACAAGUACACGGAGUGACCUAAACUGUAUAGAUUUACUAGUUCAAUAACGUUUUUGGCUAAUAAAAAAGUUGAGUGACCAAAAGUAGCACAUUGCAAUAGUUUAGUGACAUUUCACGCAAUUUGCUUUUAAUUCAAACUUGUUUCUUGCUUCUCAAAAUUGCAACCAAUAAAAAGUCAGUCAUAUAAAAGAAAAAAGAUCAUAUCUCUCCAAUUCUUUCCUUUCCUUUUGUCUCCUAUUUGCUCAACAUGCUAUGAUCCAAAUCAAAGCUAUGGCGAUGUAGCAAUAUGCGCAUAGAAUCUCUCAUUACUAUAUGUGGUUAGAUCUUCAUUGUUGACAGUUGGGUUCAGCACAUUAUUUAUGAAAAGGGGAGCAGGAUUGACUGCUAGGGCUCCACCACGAUCCCUGCUGCUCGGUAUCUUUGUUCUGGGUAAAGCUUUUGAAAAUUUUCACCGAUGACUUGAACAUCUAUAAUUUUUUAAGAAAAGAUUUUUUCACAAUCACAAAAAUUUCACCGAUGACUUGAGUUCCCUUGUGACAGCCCCACCUUCUCUUAAGGCGAACCAAAGGGGUUAGCGGACUGCCUGCCCAACUUUUGCCAGGACUAACGGUGCAGUUUAGAACGAUCUAUUGCGUUCCGGAACUGAUAACGCGCGUAAACAAGUCAAAAUUCCAAAAUAACCCAAAAAAAAAAAAUGAAAUUCGAAAUCGGCCAUGAAUAGUAACCGACCCGUCAUAACCCAGUCAAACAUCAAAAUACAUAUACAACAUAACAUUUAGUAUUUACAAGCCAAAAUGGCAUACAAAAGUGAUACAAAAGUUACUACAUAUAUGGUUUGCCAAAAUCAAAAGUGAAACGGCCCUAAAGGUACAUUUAGGGUUUCGAUUCAUAAGCUAUACAAAAGAGACAUUCAUUUAGCUCAUCCGGCAACCAACUAGCAAGAAUCAUUCCAAAAGUAGUCAUAUGCCUGUAAGGAAAACAAAAGGAACGGUGUGAGCUAAUUGCCCAGUGAGAUACUAUCACUUAAGCAACCAAAUUCAUGUACUCAUACAGUUUUUCAUUUCAAUUCGCCAAAAGUAAAUAAAGGCACACAUUAACGGCGGUGAGAAAAGGAUACGGGUGGCUCUCAAGAGCCCUUUUCCCUCAUUUGCAUUUCUUGAUCGGACGUCAUUGACUCUCCGUCAAUGUUCAAAAAUAACCAACCGUAGACUCCACUUGACUUCCAUUCCUUCCACCUAACAUUUCCCUACCGGGCCCGAACUCCAAACACUUGCACUUUGGUAUUACUCGAGUAAACCGGAAUCGAGAGUCUCUCAUACUACAAGAUUUCAUAUAACACUUCCCCAAGGCACAUCAAUUGGCACGACCAAACCCUCGCCGGCUCGAUUCAAUCAACUAUCAAUGGGGUUGAGCUCAAAGAUGACAAUUGUAGUCGUUGGAUACUCGUCCAAACGACACCAAGCCAUGUACUUUUAUUUCAUGUAACAUUUCAUAUAACAUUUCAAGAACAUGAUAAACAAUAAGUGAGAGUGAUAAAGUACGCUCUCACUUCAAUCAAUUAACAUUCAACGUAUCAAUUUCAAGUAUCAAAGCCAUAUAGUAACACACAAGUGAGUAGUACACUCACCAAGCUUGCAAAUGGUGUUUCAUGCACUUCCGUCAAAAGAACGUCGUGAACCACCAUCACGCCCUAAAACAUGCAAACAAGCACAAUGAGACUCGAUAACGAGUUAUAAACCAAUGCCAAAUACGACCCCAAUAAGGUUCCAUAAACAUAUACAAGCAUUAGAGGAAACCAGAAAAUCCGGAAAUGGAUUUAGCUUUGCCCUGAAAAAAACAGUUUUUGACCUCAUUUUACGGUAAUUGUACCCAAGGCACUAUGAUUACCGGAUGAAGGUACAAGAUCCACCGUUUCGAAGCUAAGAGAUAGGGCUACAAUGUUCCAGAAGGCAACUUUGUCCAGUUUUGAGCGUAGCAAGGUCAAAAAUGUAAGAUACUAUACCAGAACCGGAAAAACAGAUUCACAAAAUGCAUUCUGCUGCAAACAGCAUAACUCAGCCUACUUAAAUCCAAAUCCAGAAAUUCUAAAGCCAUCCGAAAGCUUAGAAAUAGGGCUACAUUUCAUCAGAAGACCUCAACAACCAAUUCUGAAGCAAUUCCAGCCAAAACAACCAAUUACAGGCGCAAUUUUUACAUUCGGGUAAAACCAGGACAGCAAGGGUAAUUUCGACUUUUCUCAUUCUACGCUAUUCCGAUUGACCUGAAAUUUUGUAGGCACCUCUAAAAUAUCAUUCCCUACAACUUUCAUGUUUUAAGUCAAGGCCAAUUCGAUCUCUAAUUAGGAGCUAUAAAACCGGACAGAAUGUUCCCAAUAAAACCCUAACUUUCUAAAAUUUCUUCCAAACCAGAAAUUGGUUGCAAUUAACCACUUUUUUCACCUUCUAGAGUCAUCAUAUACUAUUUCCAAUCAUUAUAGAUAGCCACACAAUUAUGUUCAUAUUAAAACAGAAAAAUCUCCAAAAAUUAUAAAAAUUCAUCAAUUCAACCACAACUUAAAAUAUAAUCCAUAAAAUGGCAUCUCAUACUACCACUAAGCAUGAUUUAAGCAUCAAUAAAGGGAGGAGAGUAGUUCUUCACAACUCACCUUAGAAACAAGAGAGAGAGAGAGCAAUAAGUUCUCUUAACUUUCCAAAUAACUCCACACAAUACCUCACUAUCACUCCCUUAAGUGGUUUUAUGGAGCACAAACAAGAUUGGAAGGUUGAGUGAGUUGCUUGAAGCAAAAUUGAAGCCAAAAACUUGAAGAGUUUUCUUUCUUUUGUUGCUCAAGGAGCUCGGCCAAGAUGAAGAGAAAAUGGUGAAGUUUUGGUUAUUUUUUUUUGAUUUAUUUGGUCAAUGGUAAGAAAAUGAAUAGUGGUCUUACAAGUCCCUCCAACCAAAUGGUGACACUUGUCACUUAUUUAAUGCAAGUUUAUCACUUUGUUUCCUCUCACACCAAUCUAAAUUGCAACCUCUACUUAUCUUUUAACACCUGAUAAAUUACAUCCAGUAUCCAAAACUUAACCUAAUUGGCCGAAUUUUUCUGAACUUUUCGCACUAAUGGGUCCCACGUCCGGUAUACGCUCUUAAUUUCUCAAAAACUAUUCGAUACUAGAAAAAUCAUCUAAAAACUAUAUCUGCUCAUUAAAAAUAUCUAGAAAUUUUCCUAAUCACGAAAAUGCAGAAAACAAACCAUGAAAGAUAAUAAAACCUAGAAAAUGGGAAAAUUUACGGGUUCUCACACUCUCUCCCCCUUAAAAGAAUUUCGCUCUCGAAAUUUCUUACCUUAACUCACGAAAAGUUUAGGGUACUCCUUUCGCAUUUCUUCUUCCACUUCUCAGGUAACUUCCUCUACCCCAUGAUUUCUCCACAGUAUUUUCACUAACGGAAUCUGUUUGUUUAUGAGCUCUUUGACUUUCCGGUAAAGCACUUGGACAGGUUUUUCUUUAUAAGCAAGCGAUUCGUCCACGUCGAUCUCCUCUGGUUGUAAGAUAUAGGAGGGGUCGGGAUAGUACUUCUUGAGCAUCGAGACGUGGAAGACGUCAUAAAUUCUCGAGAGACUUGACGGCAGCUCUAGUCUAUAUGCUACCGCGCCUAUCCUCUGCAGGAUCUUGUAAGGUCCGACGAACCUCGGUUGCAAUUUCUUUCCUCUACCCGCCAUGAUACUCCGUAAUGGUGUAACCUUGAGGAAAACACGGUCUCCAAUUUCGAACUCCAAAUCUUUUUUUCGGUUGUCUGCGUAGCUCUUUUGUCGGUUUUGAGCAGUUUGGAGUCGUUGCCGUAUCAACUUGAUCUUUUCUCGAGUCUCUUCCAUCCAUGGAAUAGUGGUUGGAUCUAAUGCCUUCCUCUCGCCAACUUCAUCCCAGUAGAUCGGUGAUCGGCAUUUUCGUCCAUAUAGUGCCUCGUAUGGAGCCAUUUGAAUCGACGAAUGGUAGCUGCUGUUGUACGCAAACUCUACUAAGGUCAUGUGUUGACCCCAGUUGCCUCCAAAAUCCAGAAUGCAAAUUCGUAGCAUGUCCUCGAAAGUUUGAAUUGUUCGCUCCGAUUGUCCAUCCGUUUGAGGGUGAUAGGUUGUGCUCAAGUUGAGUUCCGUCCCUAGAGUCUCCUGGAACUUUUGCCAAAAUCGAGAUACGAAACGUGGAUCUCAAUCAGAGACGAUACUCACAGGAACACCAUGUAGCCUUACGAUCUCAUCCAUGUACAGUUGGGCCAAUUUGUCCAUGGAAUACUUCAUGUUUACCGGCAAGAAAUGGGCCGACUUGGUUAAUCGAUCGACGAUUACCCAAACGGUAUCGUAUUCUCGCUGCGUCCGCGGCAAACCUGAGACGAAAUCCAUAGUGAUGUUUUCUCACUUCCACUCGAGUAUCUCAAGGGGCUGUAACAAACCCGAUGGUUUUUGAUGCUCUGCUUUAACUUGUUGGCACACGAGACAUUUCUGCACGUACAGAGCGAUUUCCUUCUUCAUAUUGUCCUACCAAUAGGUUCCUUUCAGGUCCUGAUACAUCUUGCUACUCCCCGGAUGAAUUGUAUAAUUGGACCGAUAAGCUUCCUCUAGAAUUUCUGUUUUCAACGACUCCUCUUUCGGCACUACUAUUCGCUUCCGGUAUUUUAAAAUACUCUCAGGACUGAAAUUGAAAUCAGUUGUUUCUCCUUUUUCCACUUUCUCUCCCCACUUUCGUACCAUCACAUCCUCUUUUUGCACUUCUUUAAUCCUUUCCAACAGGGUGGAAGUCACUUUAAUAUUGCCAAAAAUCACCUUAUGACUCCCAAGGCAGGGUCUCCACUCGCAAAUCGACUCGAGCAAGUUCCACUCUCUAAUCAUUAAGCUUGCGACCUAAGCUUUGCGACUUAGAGCGUCGGCCACUACGUUCGCAUUUCCUGGAUAGUAGUUGAUGGUACAGUCGUAAUCCUCCAGAAAUUCCAUCCAUCUCCGUUGCCUCAUGUUCAAUUCCUUCUGUGAGAAGAGAUACUUCAGGCUUUUGUGAUCGGAGUAAACCUCGAAGGUUACCCCAUAUAGGUAAUGUCUCCACUUUUUAAGAGCGAAAACAACGGCAGCUAACUCCAGAUCGUGGGUUGGAUAAUUCAGCUUGUGAGAUUUUAACUUCCUUGAGGCAAAAGAGAUCACAUUUCGGUUCUGCAUUAAUACACAACCCAGGCCUUCUCGUGACGCGUCCGUAUACACAGCAAACCCGUCACCUCCAUUAAGUAAGACCAGAACUGGAGCCAUGGUCAAUCUCUUCUUUAACUCUUGAAAACUUGUUCCACUUCGGGCAUUCCAACUGAACCGACUAUGUUUCUUUGUCAAGUCGGUUAAGGGACCGGCUAGUUUGGAAAAGUCCUUGAUGAAAUGCCUGUAAUAUCCAGCCAACCCUAGAAAACUACGGACCUCGGUGGGAUUUUCUGGCCUCUUCCAAUUAGUCACAGCUUCUACUUUCGCCGGGUCAACUGAAAUACCCUCUUGAGAAAUUACGUGCCCCAGAAAAGUAAUUUUCUCCAGCCAAAAUUCGCACUUGCUGAACUUGGCAUACAGUUGAUGGUCUCUUAGGGUUUGUAAGACAAUUUUCAAGUAUUGCUCAUGUUCUUCACGGGUCUUGGAAUAGACCAGGAUGUCAUCGAUGAAGACCACUACAAAUCGAUCCAGGUAGGGCUUAAAAAUCCUAUGCAUUAGGUCCAUGAAGGCGGCAGGAGCAUUGAUCAGUCCAAAGGGCACAACUGCGAACUCGUAAUGCCCAUAUCUCGAGUUGAAGGCGGUUUUCGGAAUAUCCUCCUUCCUGAUUAAUAACUGGUAAUACCCUUGGAGGAGAUCCAGUUUCGAAAAGACCACUGUUCCUUACAACUGGUCGAACAACUCAUCUAUGUGGGGCAGUGGAUACUUAUUUUUCACCGUAAUAUUAUUCAGACCCCGAUAAUCGAUACACAUCCUCAACCCACCAUCUUUUUUCUUCAUAAACAGCACAGGAUCUCCCCAAGGAGACCCACUCUCUUGAAUGAAUCCCCGCUCCAAAAGAUCCUGUAAUUGCAACUUUAGCUCCUUGAGCUCAGCAGGAGCCAUUCGGUAUGGUGUUUUUGAGAUAGGUGAGGAUCCCGGUUGCAGGUCGAUUUUGAACUUAAUUUCUCUUUCCGGAGGCAGAGCUACUAGCUCAUCAGGAAACACGUCCGGAAAUUCCUUCACUAUGGCCACGUCCUCCACUUUCAACUUAUCCGUAGGGGUAUUAAUUAGAAAGGCUAAAAAUCCUUGCGCCCCUCUACUUAGCAAUUUCCUAGACCGAAUGCCCGAAAUCAAAGCAGAUUAGACUAACCUACUCCUUAUAUCCAACCUUAAAGUCGCCUCACCAGGAAUGCGGAAUUCUACAACUUUCGUUUUACAGUUCAGUUGGGCAUUAAACUUGGCUAACCAAUCCAUACCCAAAAUUACAUCAUACUCCUUAAUAACCAAGCUUAUCAAGUCUCCUAACAAUCUCUUCUUUCCUACCCACACUUCGCAAUCCCUAUAAACCAUACUAGCAACCAAACGUUGAUUCCCCGUAGAUGUACUAACUUCUAGGUCGUAUGGUAAACUAGCAGAUUUUAUAUCAAUGCCACACAUAAAAUCAGGGUUAACAAAAAAAUGAGUGGCAUCAGGAUCAAUUAAAACUUUGGCAAAACGGUGAAAAAUAGGGAUCGUACCUUCUACAACCUCUGAGGAAUCCGAGUCCUGUCGAGGUUCUAUUGAAUAUACUCGAGCUGGCACUUUAGGUUUCGCUCCAUUCCCCUUAUUCGGUCCCAUAUUAGUUUUGGAUGUGGUUUGAACUCCCCUUCCGUCUUGCGUUAAGAGUGGGUAAGUAGCAAGCUGGUAGUCUGCGCUUCCGCAACGCAGACAUUUGCCUCUCUUCUUCCAGCAAUUGUCUUCAGAAUGAUUCGGCUUUCCGCAGUACCCGCAAGGCCCGUGGGACGCCGAACCUGAACCCUUUUGGAAGUUUCCACCUUGGCCUCUCCCAAGUAGGCCGCCCCUAGACUGAGCCCCUCUGCCGGAACCUGACUGUCGUCCACCUCCAACUCCGCGUCCAAAUUUGGAGGGAGUACCUUUGUCCCCUUGUCCAGAGCUGCUUCCAGGAAAACCCCGCUUCUUCGCCUGGAAGUUCCGGACUUGCAAUCGUGCACUCUCUACCCUUUGAACCUUUUCUACGACCUCGCUAAAAGCAUUGAUUUGAGCCACUGCGAGGUCCUUCUGGAUUUCGACGUUCAAGUCCUAGAUGAAACGCCUGAUCCGCCGCUGCUCAGUCAUGAUCAAUUCAGGCGCAAAUUUGGACAGGCGGGUGAAUUGACUCUCGUAUUCCGCCACCGAUUGAUCUCCUUGGCGUAGUCGAAUAAACUCGUCUUCCUUCCUCUCCUGCACCAGAGGAGGAAAGAAUUUCGCAUUGAAUUCCCUGAUGAAAUUCACCCAAGUCCUGGGUGUUUGUUCCCGUUCCCAUUUUUAUCGUAUUACGUUCCUCCAGGAACGGGCCGCCCCUUCUAACUGGAAUACGGCAAAAGUUACCUACCGUUCAUCGGUGUAGUGCAAGGCCGCAAAAAUAUCGACCAUCUUCUCGAGCCAUCUCUCGACAACAUCCGGAUCUGGCCCCCCAAUGAACUUGGGUGGAGCAAACUUUUGAAAAUGUUCGAGAGCUCUAUCUUCGCUCUCGACGUAGUUGCCAGGGUUCCCGGGAUUAGGGUUUGGGUUCUAACCUUGUUGCUGCACCACUUGUGCUAGCAGGUUAGUCAUUUGCUGCAUAGCGGCAGCGAUUUGCACAUUAGGGUCAGGGUUAGCUCCAGUAGAGGUUUUCCCAGUACCCCUAUCCGGUGUGGGUUGUCUAUUUUCGCGCCCACGUCCCCGUCCACUACGUGUUCCUUCAAUAACUUCACUUGGUCCAGACAAUGGUACUAAACCAAUAUAAAACAAUGCAUGUAACUAAAAUCCAAAACUUUUCCAAACAGAUAUAUACAUUCCAAGCAAGGCAAGCAACACACAUAUAUACAAUCAGUCAAAUCAAGUACAGUCAAGCCAAAUACACACCUGAACAAUCCCCAAGGGAAUGGCCUCAACAAAAGAAAUAUACACGUAGCUAAUCUAGACGUACAAAAUGAUUAACUAAGGCUCUUUCCCCUAUCCGCCUAUAUACAAAACAAAACUAUCCCAAAAGACACUAAAAGUCGAGACCUAGUCCGUCGAUGGCCUAGUAGACCCCCUCGAUGGGGUGGAUUCACCCGACAGGGUAGAUCCAGUCCCAGCUUCGGCCCCCGCACAUGAGUUCUCGUUGCUCACGCGCUCGACCACCUCGGCGCAGAGGUUCAGGAUCGAAGUGGCACGAUUCUUCACCUUUCGAGCUCGCUUGGACUCGCGCUCAUAGACUUCCCUCAGUUGAGUGCAGAGGUCAUCAACCCUAUCCUCUGCCUCAAGCACAUCGUACUUCAGACCAUUAAUGCGCUCGACCUGUCCCUCAUUGGCCACCCUAAGUUGGGCCACCUCGACCUCAAGUCUCGCAUUAUCUCUGGCCAACUCCUUAAGCUCCUCGGCCACUGCAAACACUAGAGUGUUAGGGUACGCAUACUUAUGUCGACACUCGCACCGUCUAAGGCGGUUAGACAGGCUCCAACGAACGACGGCCCCUCCUGGCCAUAUCUGGUAUGGUAUCACUGGGAGUGCUCCACGAGGUCUCUCGCCCAAAGGACUAUCACUAGGCUCACCCUGUCCGGCCAUCCUACACCAAAAGAGCAAUUAACGAUAAAUAAGCUUAAAGGCCAUAAACAAAGAACCCUCACACUGAGCAUUUCUAUUACACCCAGGUUAAUUCAAACCUAGAUUCUGAUACCACCUGUGACAACCCCACCUUCCCUUAAGGUGAACCAAAGGGGUUAGCGGACUGCCUGUCCAACUCUCGCCAGGACUAAAGGUGCAGUUUAGAGCGAUCUAUCGCGUUCUGGAACUGAUAACGCGCAUAAACAAAUCAAAAUGGCAAAAUAACCCAAAAUAAAAAAAAAUGAAAUCCGGAGUCGGCCAUGAAUAGUAACCGACCCGUCAGAACCCAGUCAAACAUCAAAAUACAUAUACAACAUAACAUUUAGUAUUUACAAGCCAAAAUGGCAUACAAAAGUGAUACAAAAGUUACUACAUGUAUGGUUUGCCAAAAUCAAAAGUGAAACGGCCCUAAAGGUACAUUUAGGGUUUCGAUUCAUAAGCUAUACAAAAGAGACAUUCAUUUAGCUCAUCCGGCAACCAACUAGCAAGAAUCAUUCCAAAAGUAGUCAUAUGCCUGUAAGGAAAACAAAAGGAACGGUGUGAGCUAAUUGCCCAGUGAGAUACUAUCACUUAAGCAACCAAAUUCAUGUACUCAUACAGUUUUUCAUUUCAAUUCGCCAAAAGUAAAUAAAGGCACACAUUAACGGCGGUGAGAAAAGGAUACGGGUGGCUCUCAAGAGCCCUUUUCCCUCAUUUGCAUUUCUUGAUCGGACGUCAUUGACUCUCCGUCAAUGUUCAAAAAUAACCAACCGUAGACUCCACUUUACUUCCAUUCCUUCCACCUAACAUUCCCCUACCGGACCCGAACUCCAAACACUUGCACUUUGGUAUUACUCGAGUAAACCGGAAUCGAGAGUCUCUCAUACUACAAGAUUCCAUAUAACACUUCCCCAAGGCACAUCAAUUGGCAAGACCAAACCCUCGCCGGCUCGAUUCAAUCAACUAUCAAUGGGGUUGAGCUCAAAGAUGACAAUUGUAGUCGUUGGAUACUCGUCCAAACGACACCAAGCCAUGUACUUUCAUUUCAUGUAACAUUUCAUAUAACAUUUCAAGAACAUGAUAAACAAUAAGAGAGAGUGAUAAAGUACGCUCUCACUUCAAUUAAUUAACAUUCAACGUAUCAAUUUCAAGUAUCAAAGCCAUAUAGUAACACACAAGUGAGUAGUACACUCACCAAGCUUGUAAAUGGUGUUUCAUGCACUUCCGUCAAAAGAACGUCGUGAACCACCGUCACGCCUUAAAACAUGCAAACAAGCACAAUGAGACUCGAUAACGAGUUAUAAACCAAUGCCAAAUACGACCCCAAUAAGGUUCCAUAAACAUAUACAAGCAUUAGAGGAAACCAGAAAAUCCGGAAAUGGAUUUAGCUUUGCCCUGAAAAAAAACAGUUUUUGACCUCAUUUUGCGGUAAUGGCACCCAAGGCACUAUGAUUACCGGAUGAAGGUACAAGAUCCACCAUUUCGAAGCUAAGAGAUAGGGCUACAAUGUUCCAGAAGGCAACUUUGUCCAGUUUUGAGUGUAACAAGGUCAAAAUGUAAGAUACUAUACCAGAACCGGAAAAACAGAUUCACAAAACGCAUUCUACUGCAAACAGCAUUACUCAGCCUACUUAAGUUCAAAUCCAGAAAUUCCAAAUCCAUCCGAAAUCUUAGAAAUAGGGCUACAUUUUAUUAGAAGACCUCAACAACCAAUUCCGAAGCAAUUCCAGCCAAAACAACCAAUUACAGGCGCAAUUCUUACAUUCGGGUAAAACCAGGACAGCAAGGGUAAUUUUGACUUUUCUCAUUCUACGCUACUCCGAUUGACCUGAAAUUUUGUAAGCACCUCUAAAAUAUCAUUCCCUACAACUUUCAUGUUUUAAGCCAAGGCCAAUUCGGCCUCUAAUUAGGAGCUAUAAAACCGGACAGAAUGUUCCCAAUAAAACCCUAACUUUCUAAAAUUUCUUCCAAACCAGAAAUUGGUUGCAAUUAACCACUUUUUCCACCUUCUAGAGUCAUCAUAUACCAUUUCCAAUCAUCAUAGAUAGCCACCCAAUCAUGUUCAUAUUAAAACAGAAAAAUCCCCAAAAAUUAUAAAAGUUCAUCAAUUCAACCACAACUCAAAAUAUAAUCCAUAAAAUGGCAUCUCAUACUACCACUAAGCAUAAUUUAAGCAUCAAUAAAGGGAGGAGAGUAGUUCUUCACAACUCACCUUAGAAACAAGAGAGAGAGAGCAAUAAGUCCUCUUAGUUUUCCAAAUAACUCCACACAACACCUCACUAUCACUCCCUUAAGUGGUUUUAUGGAGCACAAAUAAGAUUGGAAGGUUGAGUGAGUUGCUUGAAGCAAGAUUGAAGCCAAAAACCUGAAGAGUUUUCUUUCUUUUGUUGCUCAAGGAGCUCGGCCAAGAUGAAGAGAAAAUGGUGAAGUUUUGGUUUUUUUUUUUUUUAUUUAUUUGGUCAAUGAUAAGAAAAUGAAUAGUGGUCUUACAAGUCCCUCCAACCAAAUGGUGACACUUGUCACUUAUUUAAUGUAAGUCUAUCACUUUGUUUCCUCUCACACCAAUCCAAAUUGCAACCUCUACUUAUCUCUUAACACCCGGUAAAUUACAUCCAAUAUCCAAAACUUAACCUAGUUGGCCGAAUUUUUCCAAACUUUUCGCACUAGUGGGUCCCACGUCCGGUAUACGCUCUUAAUUUUUCAAAAACUAUUCGAUACUAGAAAAAUCAUCUAAAAACUAUAUCUGCCCAUUAAAAAUAUCUAGAAAUUUUCCUAAUCACGAAAAUGCAGAAAACAAGCCAUGAAAGAUAAUAAAACCUUGAAAAUGGGAAAAUUUACGGGUUCUCACAUCCCUUCCUUCCCAAUCACAAACAUAUUCAAAACAAUAAAUCCUUAUUUUAGAGCUAAAACCAUGCCAGUUUAAGACUAUAUUGAACCUAUAAGUUUUUAGCCUAAUUUUGGGUUUUGGGGGGAAGGGAGUUUUAAACUUUUAUCUGCUAAUGAUUGAGAGAAAGAGAGAGAGAGAGAGAGAGAAAGAGAGAGAUCUAUUAGUAACGAGGGAGAAAAACUUCAAGCAAAAAUUGUUUAGACGAGUUUGGUCCUGAAAAAAUGCGCCUGCAAAUCACGUGACGCCCAUUCCAUUUGAUUUGAUAGUCAAAUUACACGGAAUGACACAAAACAUGUAAUUUGAUUAGUUCAGCGACAUUUUCGACUAACAAAAUAGUUUAAUGACCUGAACUAGUACAAGUGUAUAGUUUAGUGACAUUCACCACAAUUUACUCUAAUUUUAUUAAACCAAAUCUCAAAAACAACAAAAGACAAGUCGGAGACCUUUCACUCUUGUGCUCACGGCUGUCACAAUUCUCACCAGACUCUAACAAUUUCUUGGAGUAGUCCCUCCUCAGUGUUAAUAUGCUAGCAGCAGUGCUCUAUGACUAAUACUUGAAUCAUUACUAUUUGGACCUGGACUCAAUUACGGAAACUAUACCUUAUCAAAACUAGACAUUGAAAUAAGAAACUAAAAGGAUUAGGAAACUAAGUAAUAAAAUAGUUUGGUUUAAUUUCCUUCAUUGCCUCCCUUAAAUCAAGUUUUUGAUGUUGUCAUUUCCAAUGCCAUCACGAGUUUGAAUUUCCAUGAAAAUCUCGGUUGUAGUAUAAACGACACAAAACACUAACUUGCAAUGGAUCUCCAAUUUCAUCUUUACACGUGAUAAUGGACGAAACUUGUACUUUUCGAAUAAUUUCUUGGCUUGAUCACCCUUGUUAAAAUAUUCAAACAUGUCCACCCAUUCUUCAUUAGAUACUCCAUAAUAUAAUUUAAUUCAUCCACAUCACCAAGAAAAUUUCCUGAAAUCACAAAAUCAUACUUUCCAUUACCAAAAAUUUCAAUAUCAUCAUGAACUUGUUUUGAUUCGUCCAUAACAAUGACCACAUUAGUUUUUAGCAAUGCCAUAAUCUUCAACUAAUAUUUCGACCUCACAAUUAUUUUUAAUCAACUUUAUCACUUGAUUUUCUUCUUCAAAAAAUUCAUCAAUUCCAACAAAAUUAACAAUAUCUACAUUGUCAUGAUUUCAAACCACAUCAAUAAUUUCGCUUCUUUCUCAACAACUUGCAAAAUUUCUUUUUUAGCUAUAAAUUCUUCAUCUUCAUAUGUACCCAUAAAUUCUGCAGUUUCUUCUUCUUUGUUUCAUCAACAAAUCCUUUUUCUUCUUUCUUGGCACAACUUUCUUAUGCACCAUGACUACAAUAAGAAUUUAUCAAAACUUUUCAAGCAUCCUUUGCCGUCUUUGCAUGUAUGAAUUUAUUCACUACGUACAAUUGGACAUAUGUGUUGAGAUAGUGGAAUGCCUUACAAUCCAAUUGUCUAUUCCUCUCUAACUCUUUAAGUGCAUCACCUGAUGAUUCCAUGCCUCAUAUAGGUUCCAUGAACCCCUUUUGAACAAUAUUUCAAAUUCCAAUAAUUUGAAAAUCUUUUCAUCAUCUAACUUCAAAUCUCAAAAUUGUUUUAACCAUCAAAGAUAAAACAACACAACAUGCUAAAUAAUAUAGAUCCAUACUUCAACUUCAAGAACAAUCCCUAAGCCCGAGAAUUAAAGUUUAGAACUCUGAUACCACUUGUUAGUACGAAAAAUCACGCACAUAGUGAAAGUAAUUUUAACACAUGUCUACAUUAUAUAUAAGAAGAAAGCCAAGUUGCUAUAACAGCCCAUCUUUUUGACACAUGUAUUACAUAUAUUUUUGACAAAUGGAAUCUUGGUAAUUUUAGCUAAAUUUUUCCUUCCCUUUCUUGAUUCAAUUGGGCCAAAAGGAUUAAAAUAUUUUUUCUUCUUCAGAAAAUCAGCUCCAUCUUUUCUUCUUCUUCUUCUUGCAGCAGCUGCUGUCAUCCCUCACCUUUUUUAUUUUUUAUUUUUUAAAACUAAUCUAACUAAGAUUGUUCCCAUGUUUUUUUUUUUUUGGUUGAGAUGAUUAGCUACUUAGCAAAGAAAAGCCUUUAUUAUUAUUUUUAUCCCAUUUUACAUUUUCUUUUCUUCCUUUUUUUUCAUCUCUAAUUUCUCAUAUUUGCUCUAUUCUUCAAUCAUAAUAUUAUAGCCAGCUGGCAUUUGUUUGUUAAAUUUAUAAGAUGACGUUGUUGUUUGGUAUUUCUUCAUGGAUAAAAGGUGAAAUAUUAAAAUAUAUAAAAAGAUCUUGGAAUUCAUUUUAUACCAAUGAUCAUCUUCUGUGAAGAAUAAAACAAAAAUUCAUUCUUUUAUUUUCUCCUCCCACAAUUUGAUUUCUUACGUCACAUUUUUUUUCCUUUUUUUUUUGUUUUUUGGUCACGUUUUGUAAUUAUCUACAAUUUUGUGUAUUUUUUUAAAGAGAAAAGGUAUAUCAUGUGAUACUUCCAUCAAGAUCAAUCUAAUUAGGCAUUCUUCUACAUCUAUUUUUCUCUGUUUCUUUCUUCCUCCCCUUCCCGCCCUUUGCAAUUACUUUAUGGUCUAUUCAAUUUAAUUGAAGGAUCCAAUAAGAUUUUGUAUAUAUUUAAACUAAUGUUAAUUUUUGUUUGUUUUUUAAUUACUCAAGUGCUGUAGUAUCAAUUGGGCAGGCAUACAAGGAUUGUAGUUGGUGGUGGAAGUCACAAUUGAGACUUUCAACUUAGGGCGUGACUUGACAAAAAAAUUGUUAGAAAAUUCAAUUUUGAUUAGGAAGAUGCUUUUGCAAUAAAAAAAAAUGCUUUAGUUCUAAUUUGUAUAUGUAGAUCUAGAAACGUAACAAUUCAUAUUUUUAUCUAACCUUGAUAUUUAUAUCCUGGAACUGCAGGAUAAUGUUGUCACAUUUAAGCAGGAUUUAAAUAAAUGAAUUAGCUUCUUCCAUCAAAAGAAAGAAAACUAUGGAAGUUUAUAGGAAAAAACUAUAUUGAUGUUGAAUAUUAUGCCAUGUCUUAGUGGCUUUCUAAACUUUUUCUCAUUAUUAAAGUACUAAAAACAUUAUGACUAUUUUUGAUUUAAUUACAACUAAAACUAUACUGCUAUUAAUACAGUAAUGCACUUAUAAUGUAUUAAUUCUCUCUUCUUUUUGGGUAUCAUCAUAAUAGUGGUUCAAAAAUCUUUAUUCAAAUCACAAUAAAUAAGGGGUUGACUUCAUAGAUGGAAUUUCUCUUCACAACAAAUUUUGAUGAAAAAUUUAUUCCUACUCCAUAUUUUGUUAAUUAUAUUCCUAAAUAAAUAAAAACUAUAUCAUAAAAAAUAAUAGUGAAUGUGUGAUUAACAAAAAUGAGAGGUCAAACAACUUUUGUCAAUUUUAAUUGUUUUGAUUCUCAAUUUUUCUCCUAUAUUUCUAUUCAUUCAUCAUGUGCCAAAAUAAUUUGAUUUUAUGUGUUCGACUAAAUUUCUAGGAGGCCCAAGCUGUACUUUGUAUAGCUCAAGUACCUCUAGUAUAAAAAUAUGUAGGAAAAGGGAAAGAAAUAAACUCACAAUCAAACCUCAAUAAUUUUAUUGAAUCAAAUCUCAAAAACAACAAAAGACAAGCCGGAGACCUUUCAUUCUUGUGCUCACUGCUCUCACAACUCUAGCAAUUCCUUGGAGUCGUCCCUCCUCAAGUGUUAACAUGCUUUUAGUAGUGCGAUAUAUAUAUAUAUAUAUAUAUAUAGCGAGAGAGAGAGAGAGAGAGAGAGAGAGACUAACCCAAGGGAGUAAUCAAUUCAAACCAACUAGGAGUUGGACUAACACUUGACUCGUCACUAUUUGGACCUGGCCUCAAUUACGGAAACUAUACCUUAUCAAAACUAGACACUGAAAUAAGAAACUAAAAGAAUUUAGGAAAUUAAAUAAUAAAAUAAUUUGGUUUAAUUUCCUUCAAUAUCUCUACAUUCUCAUUUUUGCUAACCGACUCCUUGGGAGCUCUUUUUUGAGGGAAAAGCACGACGGUUGGCACAGUUGACUCCUGAUCUUUUACCAUAUCUUCACCAUCUUUCUUUUGUAUAGAUGAGCAGGAAGAAAGAACUUCAUCAUCUACACCGUUUGGGAGUUGUGAUAGCUCUCUUUCAUCUCUGGGGAAGCUCGAGUGGUACCUAACCGGUUCCGUUUGUUUUGCUGCAUUCAUUGGACAAUAAUCCUUCACUUCAGAUGGAUUUGUAUGAGAAGUCAAAUGCAGAUUUUGAUCUUUUCUGGUGCUAGUUCGAUGUUGCGAUUGUGCAGCAGCAAUUCCAGGCAUGCGUCCUAAAGUCACAGGCUUCAUGGCCUGAGCUUCCAGGGUUUGCAUGAUCCAAUCAUGCAGUCUCUGGACGAUAUAAAAUCCAUGGCCAAGAAAGCCUCCCAAACUCAAAUGCUGCUUCAAGUCUUGUGCUGCUAGAACUGCAGAACUUGCUAUGAAGAUGAAGAGUCUGCAGAAAAUGGCUAAAGCAUCCCGCACAAAACAUUCUGUAGGCAGGAUGAAAUUGAUGAAUAUGCGAAAAAUGCCAAGGCUUUCAGGGCUGCCCUUUAAUUCAUCCAUAUCCUCCUCCAUUCUUCAGAGGUUGCAUUAAAAACAUUGAGGGCUUGCUUCAUCUGAACGCAAGGUAAUCACGGUGUUAUGGGAGAGAAUCUCCCACACGUCAAGCAACAAGGAUUACUUUAUGCCAGAAAAGUUCUUUUCUUUCUUUUUCCUCUGCCCGAUAUCCACCCAGAGUUGAUUAUGCUUUAAAGAAAUAGGUCGCUUUCGGGAAGAUACAAGAUCCAGUUGCUUGACUGUUACCUUGAAUAUUAGUUGAAGGAUUUACCAUGAGUAAGAAAAAGGAUGACUGUUGAUAUUCCUACAAACAUACAAUUUAGGGGAUAUAAGUUUAGCAUGUACAACAACCUUGGGACCAGUUAGUCAAGAAAGGACACAAGGAAUCUCUAACCUGGUAUGGUCUUCAGUUCCCAGGAAUACCCGAGUCACUUUAGCCCAAUUCUUGAGUUCCGCAAAAUAUUCCUAAUCUUGACUGAAUUUAGCACAUUUGACAUAUAGAUUUGUAGAAAUUUGAAACGGGCCAAAGUGCAAGAUUUGGUAAAGGAAAUGAAUGGGGGGAGGACAACCCCCAAGACUAUUAUCUAUACAUGAAUGCCAGAGAUAAUAACAAAACAUGUUAGUAUGCUUUCAUGUUCAACGAACACCACGAAACCAAUCACAACACUGAAUGAAUGCCAGGGCUUUACCAAGUCGCAAAUUACAAUCCUAGCAGCACUUCAUCUGAAGGGUAAAUUAAUGUUCAGCAGAUUAGAAAGAAUAACAAAAAUGAAAAACCUACCUUUGCUGGUUUUUCAUUCAGUAAAUCUAGUGCAUAAAGUCUUUCCCUUCACCUCCUUUCUCCCCCCUUUGUCGGGAAGAGGUUGUGUUCAUAAACUGAUGUCCUGUGUAGUAACAAACCUUAAUAUGAACCAUGCAUGUAAUUCCACAAAAUGGAUUAUUUCAAAGAUCCAGCAAAUAAGUCUCAAGGUCUGAAAAUUAAAGAUAAAUGAUCCGACUACCCAUGAUCUAAGAUUCCCCAAAAUGGUUAAACAACUAGACCAACAAGAAUUCGAGUAUAUCAAUGCUGUAAAGUACAUAUCCACUGGGAAUUCACAAGUCGUUAGAUGAAUAUCACUUAAAAUAAGUGCAGUGUUCAAAAACUCCAAAACGUCAUCCCCUCAUUCAACUUUACAAGCAUGAAAGCAGCUAUUUGAAUCUGCCCAAUGACUUACAGGGAAUUCACAGUAUAAGCUAUUCGUGGCCAAAAAAAAAAAUUAAAAUUAGUCCUUUACAUCAGAAAUUUUACUGAACAAACAAAUUCUAAAAAAUGAUAAGAUGCCAUUAUUCAAAAUUUUUAGUUUACAAAAUAUCUCCUCAUCAGAUAAAACCUCAUGAAGUGUUGAUUCGUCCACAUAGACGCCAAUAUGCUCCAGGGUGGAAGAGAGAUUUCUCAAAAACCCAUAUCUCACGCACAAGAACCUGAGGCAAAAGGGUAAGCGUCAGGUACAUCUUAUUAUCUUAUUUCAGGAGAGAAGCAAUAGCUUCAGUCCUUGUCAUCAAAGGUGGUGAGCAUCACUGAAUUUCAAAUGGCAUUAGAUUCCAACUCUCAUGGAUGACAAUUAAAUGUGAACAUCUACUAAUAUGAACAACUACCAAAGGGUAGGUUUUCGUUCAUCCACCAUGACCUGUACUAAUCCUCAGUAAGGGUGGGGAUUCAGUUCUCAACUAGUCACCUUUCAGAUUCCUAUAAUCUACAAUCCCCUUUUGUCCAAGAACUAAUCUCAGAAGCAUUGGCAUAUGUAAUCUAUUUACACGCACUUUCAAAUAGGUCCCUAGAAAGUAAGAACUAGAAAGUAAAUGGUUAACUUGUUCAAUGUUCAAAUGCUCUAACCAGGAGGGCUACCACUAAAACCUUCUAAGGGGCUACAAGAUGUUUUGGCAUCUUAUUGGAGGCAUGAAUACUAUCCCGAAGCAAUUUAACUAAUUAAUUUUCCUUCAAACAGGAUUAGAGUAAGGUACAUUUAUUACAAAGACACCCAGUAAAUGGACCAGGUAACCAUGAUGAUAAUACUUACCCAAAAAAAAAAAAACCAUAAAGAUAAUAACAAAAGUUACAGAUUAGCACUCAUUUCUUCAAGAAAAGUUGAGAAAUAAUGUUAUGUGAUAAACUUUGAAAGACUAGAUAAACCCAAUUAGUAACUUCUAUUGGUAUCAUGUAAUUUGUUUACUAAAGUGCCAGAGUCUGGCAAUUCUUCCGUGCAAGGACAAUAUUCAUCCCUCGAGCAGGACAACUAAAUUUUUUCAUAUUGAAACUCUCCAUCAGAUCAUGGCUAACACCUAGAAGCACAUCUCAGAAAAGAUUAGCAAAAUUUUACCAGCAUAUUUUCAUUCACUUCACUUAAGAAGAAUAAGCAUUUAGCACCUACCUCCUUGUCCUUGUCUCCAGCAACAACAGUUCCAUUUGUAUCAUAUGCCUCAUAUUUCUGCAGAAAUAAAUAAAAGUGUAUUGGCAAAAGUAGACAGACAAAAUGAUCAUGAACCAAGCAAACACAAAUGGUGACACUUGUGUAACAAUCUAUAGAUGAUCUUUACUAUUGAACCAGAGCAGUGGGGUUAUAAGAUGAGCUUCUUCAUGCAAGAUUUGUAACUCCUAGGAUAAGCAAGCCCAAAAAGCAUUCUAAUUUCCAAUAGAAUACUGCUUUUAGGCCACAGAUUCGAAACAAAGAAUUGCCAGCAUGUGAAUACGACCACACAUAGACCAUAGACGGCACUGGCCAUAAGCGAUAUAUAACCUUCCUAAGGCAUCCUUCCAAUAUUGAAAUCAUCCUCCUUGGACUUACUAUUAUGUUAGUUGCUAUUUCAUGUGGUUGUACUAUUAGAAAAAGAAGUUACUUGUAGAAAGGUCAAUCUCUACAGCACACUUGGACAUCUGGCACAAUCCUCCACAUCAUGACAUCUGGCAUCACCCAAAGAAAACACAGGAGUUCAGGGUCUCUCUCUCUCUGUAAAAGGACGCUUUGAUCUUAUUCUCUCAGAUCCAUAAUCACUAGUUCCGUUGCUGUGUUAACAUUUCGCAAAAAUCACUAACCAACUAUGCAGAUCUGAAACAUGCACACACCUCAGCAACUUUCACCCUAGAGUUCGCUGCAAGAUUUGACUUGAACCAACUAUGCUUAGUUUUCUGUCCUGUUUCCCGCUUAGACAGAUGCUAAGAAGAGUAUUUCACUUAUUUCUACUUAUAACUCUGCACGCAUGAACAACCAAAUUGAAAAGAAUCAAGUACCAUUGCACAUGGUCCUAAUGCUCGAAUUAACUAAUUGACUAUAAUUGACUAAACACAUUGUAAAUUAUAAUCAAAACAGCAAACAAAAUUCAGCAAACAAUGACAAACCAUUAAACACACUCACAAAGCAGAUUUACCUGUUUAGUCAAAAAUUCAAGUGUAAGCUGUGCAAACGCCUUAUUAAGAUUUUCCCGAUCAAUGGCAAUCUGCAAAGAAACAGAAAUGCCUUAAUGCAGAAUGAAAAUACUGAAAAUGAUAAUCAUCUUAAGGUUAAAUGUAACAAAUGAUUAAAUUUCGCUAUUUGAAUAAUAACUCGUAUCUUGAAAACUAUAUGAAUUUCGAUGACAGCAAUGAAGCAACACUGAUUUGCCCUAUAGACGCUCUUUUUGGUAGAAUUUUAAGCCUUUACACUAGAACUGAUAUUGGUAGAAAGAAGACACUACAAACCCAAAUCCCCUCCAGACAUUGGAAAUUAAACAAACUAGUGGAACACUAAGGAUAGAAAGCAUGAAGGGAAUCCCAUAAAGUUUCAAAUCGUUGUGGAACAGCACUUGCUAUAAAUAAGAUCUGCCACCUAAGGUCCUUCUCAAAGUCAAGACUAAUGACCACAGUAGAAAGAUUAACAAGUAAAACAUGCGUGUACGCAUAAACAGGUAGCAUUCCUGCAAACACAUACAUGCACAUGAAGCAUCCAGACUACAGAAAAUUUCUAUGAAGCAUUCAUAAAUCAAUAAGACAUGCAUUUUUUACCAGACACCACAUGUGUCCGGAAAAAUGUUCAAAGCUCAACCAGCAGAAACAAAGGUCCAUGUCUGGUGUUGGCGCAAAAUAGCAUGCAAAUAAAGAAAAAUCACAAAGAAAUAUGCAAAGAAGCAAAAGAAACAUUGUAACCCAGACACAUUCUCAAGUUUGUCAAACUCUGCUCUGGAAUAUGUUACAACUUGCUGAGGAAAGGAAAUCUAUUGGUUAGCAUUUCAUCUGUGUAGAACCAGAAUAACAAGCAAUGCCUCUACAUCUAUGUUACCUCUUCAGCACAUAAAGAUAAACCUCAAAAUAGCACAGCGUUUAGAAUUUAUGUCAAUGUUCAUAGAUACUUGCCAGUCGAGCACGUAGUGUUCGUAUUUGAACUGCUGGUUCCACCAGUUCCCAAUACAUUUUACUCCACCUGGAUUCUCUUUGCUUGAUUUCAUUCUUGAGAGCCUGUUAUAAGCAAUGAAGGAAUUGAGCUCGUCUGGAUUUAUAUCCAUAUACAAAUUCAAGUGGUUCCUAUAAGUCAGCUUCAAGAAAGGUAGAUGUUUUUAACGUCCAUAUAUAAUUGUGCCUAAAAAAGCACAUUUUAGGAGAAAAGCGCACGUACAGAAUACAUCUUCUCUGUAACUAAUUUCCUCAAUGAUGUUUUGUCUCCAUUAGCAACUUUAGUACUUAUCUGAGAAGCUCAGAAGAAGAAAAAGUUCCAUGAGAAAGAAAUUCCACUAAACACCACAAUCAAAAGGAUAACAGCAAAUAUAACUUGCCAAAGUUCUACCGCAGAGUAAUUUCUUGAUGGCAAAAGCAAACCUCUUUGUACAAGUCAAAAGCUUCAUUAUAGAACUUCUGUUUAGAGUAUCCAGAUUUUCGCAAUUUAGCAAUGGCAUACGCAGUUUUGAGCUGCAAACACAAAAUCAGUGUCUUAAGAACUUAAUAAUCAACAAGAAACAGGUUAAAGAUCUGCAAAGAUUUAUUAUACAUCGCUCAAAUCUAAUCAAAGCUUCUAUAUAAGAUCCACAUACACACGCAUGUGGAGCAUCAGGUAACUAUAAGCACUUCUAUUGAGAUAGAAAAGUACAAAUGUGGAAAUACAAUUUUCAAAUGACAAAUUCAUGCAAGUUUGGACAACUUACAAAUGUGAAUUUCCCGCUGUUUGCUGCAAUAUGAAAUUAGUCCGGAAGGAUAAAACAACUAUCGAACUCACAGAUUGACAAAUCUAAAUUCAAUCGGGUUCAUUACCUCUAAAAUAAGAUCAUCUUUUGUUCUACGCCAACCACUUCUUGUAAACCACCUGAAAUCACAAGACACAAGUAUAAGCCAAGUUGAUCUGUACCCAUAAAUUCCCUAAAGAAUCAUAGAGCAUUUAUAGUUCCAAUGGAACUCAAGAACAUGCUGAUAUCUUUUUAUAAACACUCUAGGGCGUUAAACAAGAGGUCAAGAGAGUCAAAAUGUCUUGCCAACUAGCUAACAGAUCAGCUCUUGAAAUAGUGGGGAGCAGUCAAAAUCAUAAGCAAAGCACAACAUGCUGCUUUUUUAUUUAAAUAGCAGAUGAAAAUUUCAUCAAUAGAACAAAAAUACAACAUAAUUAAUCUUUAUUUAAAGGAAAAUUCAUUCUUUAACUCUAUCAAUUUCUACCAUAACCUUGGUAAGGACAAUAACGUAGAAAAAUGAGAAAUCAAUAGUCUUAGUACAUGAAAGUCUUCAAUGUGUUCUUGGAACACUAGCAUGCCUAUCUGUUAAAUGCUUGCAUUGUUCUCAAAAUAGGUAAGAAAAUGAAACCCAAGAAGGAAAUGAUAUUUCACGGAUGAUAUAGCUGAGGAAUGAUUAAUAUUUUAUAACCAAAGAAUCAUUUUGUCACAAAUUAUAGAAAACAAUACUGGAUAGAUUUGAAACCUACAUUUAGUAAACACAGAUUGACCAUUAGUACAUGUAUACUUUUUUUCACUUUGCUCUUUCGAGUAGCAUAUAUAAUCACCGCAGCUACUAAAAUUAUUUGUAUCCAUAUACUAUAAAGAGUUCGAAUUCUCCUUCACUUUUAAAAUGGUGAAGUUCUUGUCACAAGGAAAACUUUAAUAGUAAUUAGCAUUGUCUUGAAGAGUAUGCUAACCUUCUCCAGAAAGGAAGCUUUUCACGAGGUGCAUAUGGCUCAUACACAAUUCCAGGACUCUGCAUAGAUACCUGAAGUGCUCCCUGCAUAUUAGGAGUGUAAACGAGGCAAUAAGCUAACAAACUAUUUCUUUUACAGCUGAUUAUAUCUUCAUAACCUAGCAUGCACAAACAAAUGAUGCCACCAAGGCUACUACAGGUCAAAAAGAACAAUACAUCCUGGUAAUCUUAAACCAUAUUUCUGCAAUGGCCUCAAGAUAACUUCUCUGAGCAAUAAAGAAUUGCUAUAUGUGGGUUUACAACAUGAUUGCACUUUAGCAGAUUGUUGAAAAGACCAACACUUAAAUGUAUUAGAACACUAGAGGGAAAAAGCAUUGACCACACCAUAAGUAUCCAUUUCAGCAAAACACAAUUAAUUGAAGAUUAGAAAUUAACUAAUUAACUAAUAAUAUUUCUUUUGCUGUUUAUGGAUGAUGUCAACUUUUCCUGUUUCAGAUUCAACAGUUCUAUUUCUGCUCAAAAAAUUGAGGUAUCCAAGUUUUGAUGUUUCUCAUCCCAGGACAUCACCUUUUCACUCUCCAAACAUAAGCAUUAGGGGAAAGAUGCUCGUUUCAGUGUAAAAUAUCAAGUUGGCAGUAAUAUAGAUGCUUUGGUAGUAUAUGUCAUUAGAUUUUUCAUCCUACCUUUAAUUUAUAUGCAAAAGGGAUGUUUAAAAAGUACAAGGGAGUAACAAGAAGGUAAUUAACCACUGGAGGAUGAAGAGUAAUCUAGUUGGAAAGACAUUCAUAUGCUGUAAAUGAAGAGGCAGCACUUAUAAAUAAAUUGAGAGAGCAAAGAACUCAAGCACAAAUCAAGACCAAAAUGAUAUUUUCACACUCUAAUGGGCCAGACAGUCGAAUAAGAUGUUAAGCUAGAUGUAGUAAAAACUGCAAUAGGUAGACCAAUGAUUAAAACCAUAACACAUGGUCAAUAUAUUAGUAGACAAUAGAAAUAGCAAAUCAGAUACAUGACUUUCAGUUACACAUUUUGCCGUUAGUAAAGCAGCUAAACCUCAUAACCCACAGAAUCUAUUGGCCAUUAAUAAUUCACCUGGCAAACAACAUUAACAGCUCUCAAUCAUUUCCAAACCAAAAAUUUGCCAUUAGCAACAAUUUCUUAGGUGAGAACCAGAAUGCUAAUACCAUAGCAAAUUAUCAACUUUUACAACCUUUUGAACAAGAUAUAGGACAGUAUUUGUCACCAUAUGUUACAUUGAAGAAUUAUGACUAGUUGUGCUCCCACUUUAUCUACCUUUUUUCGUAAAAAGACGAUAACACAAUGGGAAAAAAAGCAUGAAAACAUUAUCUAUCAGGAACUUUGAUACCCUUGUGCUCAACUCCUUGUUGCAUACCAAGCAAUUUAAAAAUUGACCAUUAAUCAGCAAUAUCAAGGAUAAACUCCCAUACCAUUAGUCGUGCUUGGGCUGGAGCUUUUGCUUGUGUUGUAACAAAUCUAGCAUAGCCAAAAUUGGAUAGCUCAGCUACCUAUGAGUAAAAGUUAAAUGCUCGGUGAGAUUCAAACAUCACGGUUUAUCAGACAGGAAAUUUGACCAAAAAAAGAAAUUCUAAAGACAAAACAAAUAGCAGCAGCAAACAGCAGAGAAAAAACAGUGGAAGAGAGUCAAGCACAGAAUCCACAAAACUAAGACUCAAGUAGAUGCAUCCAUGUAGGAGGAACAGAAGUCAUCCCAGAAGAGACCAAGCACCAGCAAAGGAAUAUAAUCCAAAACAUGAAAGCAACAUUGCCAUUUCACUUUCAAAAAACCUACCGUUGUUGCUUGAAGUAUGAUUUUAGUACCAGGAGUCCAAGGAAGUCCUCUAGAGUCCUUGGUUACACAGGACGACAUGGUCCUACAAAUAGCUAGUGGAACAGUCCCUGCCAGAAAAAUAUAGAGAAAUCAACAGUGUCAGCCUGAAAUUUCUUGAACUUUUGAAUAAACAAACCAAAUGUGAAAAAAAUACUUUCCUAGAAGUGUAAAAGGUGAAAUGAGAAAGAAUUAAUGAAAACGUAGGAAGUUUCUCCUUACAUUUAUUACAUGAUUGAUGAUUAAGAUAUCUUCCAUCCAAACAAGAGGAAUUGCCCCAGGAUUUGGAAUCUGAUCAUAAAGAACAUUACAGCCCAUCAACCAUACCAGAAUUUAGAAUUACGAGUCCCACAUAACAAGGAGCCAAGUCAAAAUUCAUAGGAAAAACCCAUCUUUGAGAUAAAAAGGGAAUUCAAAUAGGAAAUUAAUGGUCAAAAAAAUUAAAAAGAAAUCAAUAAAUUAGAAAAAGCCUAUAACUUUGUUCAGCAAGCAAAUUUCAGAAGCACUCCUGAACUGUAAAAAAAGACAAUAAGAAUCCCAUUUCGCCUAAUUUAGCUAAUGUAAGCGAGGAAAAUAAUUUUCUUUCUUCUUAACUUUUUUCGAAGGGGAAAACCACUUCCCUGUGUGAUCCGCAUAAAUCAAUUCAAUCCAAAAAAAAAAAAGGCACAGCAGAAACUUUUCCAAUGCAUAGACAUAUUACCAGAAAGAACCAGUCAUACAGAAAUUUUUCUUCAAAAAAAAAGAGAAAAAAGAAAAAAGAAAUACAUGCGCAAAUUACCAUGUGAAAUGACAUUUGAAUAUCUUCCUGAGCUCCCAAGCCUGCAAGACAGUUAUACCAAGUGAAAUUUGAAAUAAAGGGGCAAAAGAACGAUUCUUGAAAGUUUUCAACGUCUUAGGAGUAAAAAUAAAGGAAACUAACAAACGGGAGAAUUCUGGAAUUUGAUUUUUUGCUCGAUAGAGAUUCCGGAUCAAUUGCAAUCGAGGACCCAAACCCAUUUUUGAGUUUCCACAGAGGAGACAGAGACAGAGACAGAAAGAAAGGGUUUUUGGGUUUCAAGGGUUUAAGAUUUCAGGGGAUUACCAGCAGCGCUAGAGUUGCUUUUUUUGGUUCAGUUGAAGGCGCGAUCUAUAUUUCACGUCUUUGAACUUUGGUUUUGGUGGCAAAAAAAAAACAUUUCUUUUGUUGUUUUAUUUUAGGGAAAUAACGGUGCCGUUUGGAUAGUGUAUUAUUUGGGAUAUUCAAACUUGAUUUUUGUGAAUGAUAAAAGUUCCAAAUAAGCGUCUACUUGAAAUAAUUGUUUGGAUAGCUAAAACAUUUAUUUAUCAUUUUCCCACCAAGAGCUAUUCUCUUAUAAGUGGUUCACCACAAUUUGACUAUAAAUGCUUGACAUUGGAGUUUCUACUUACAAUGUACCUAUUUGACUUCAAUCACCAAUUCUAGUUCGCUCCGGUUGGCUCUAGUGUGGCAUUAGUUCCUUGGAUAGUAAUGAUAUUGUCCAUAUUUCAGAUACUGUCUUCUAGCGCCUGCGUCGCCCUUGGGUUACAUACAUUUCAUUAGCCAUUGCAUCUCGUGCUGCCUUUCACGCCUCAACCCCUUCUCGAGAAACAUUUAAUGGCUACAUACAUAUUUUUUCUUUGGGUUGGGGUUAUACCUUGAAAUGGACAUUCUCAUCCUCAAACUCUCAAAAGUAAGCAUCCCUAGGCUAUGCUAUUCUCAAAAAAUUAUGUAACGCGCAGCAUGCAAUUACCAAACUAAUUUGGGUGCUCAUAUAGAAAUUCGGCACUGUGUUUAUGAGGAAUUUAAAUCUUGCCUUCAAUACACCAAAACUGUUCUCUAUAACAUUCCGAAGUUCUGAAUGUCGAGUGUUAAACAACCGUUUGGUUGGGUCUCGUUCACGUACAUUCUUAUAUGGUGGUAAGAAAUUCGGAAUGUUUCUAUACGCUGCAUUGACCAAGUAGUACUAGCCUAUAUUUCCAAAAACUGUAGGGGAUGUUAGCACAAAAAUUAAUAGUCAAACUAUUGCCCCCAAAGUGUGUGUCAAAUAUUAAUGUCACCACUUAUGACCUGAAAGGCAGAAUCAAAAAAUCUGAUGGCGGCAUCAACACAAAUUCAAGAAUGCGAGUAUCAUGGAUACUACCUUCCCAUCCAGCGUACACGUAGUUGAAGCGCAUGUCAAAAUCACAGACUGCUAGGACAUUUUGUGAGUGAAUCCUAUGUCGAUUGGUAUACGUCAUUUGCUCUCCACUAAACGGAUAUGUUGGAAUAUGUGUGUCAUCCAAAGCUCUAACAGCACCCUGUUCAUUUGGAUCUAUCAAGUAUUUUAUUUUGGACUGUCUACACCUCAAAAUUAAUGAGGCAAAUGUUAUGCUCUUUAGCCAGAGUUAACAGCUACACAAAAUGUCAGUUCUUUUUUACUUGAAAACUUAAUAUAAAGUCACGAUAACUUUACCUUGAACCAUUGAUAGAAAUGUCUUGAAUUCGCUAUUCUUGGGUGAACAUUAUCAUGGUCAUACGGCCUUAUUAGUGUGGAGGCAAAUCUGUAUAGGCCAAGUAACUCUGUGCACGUUCCGGUUAAUUGUCCUCGUUAACCGAUUGAAACAUUCGGCUAGCAUACACUGAGUGUGGCGAUGACUGACCAUGACUAAUGUCAUUGCCAAAGCUUCCUCGAUUUCAACCCUUUGCUGAUAGGAUCUAGAUACAUAACCAUUCUGCACUAGUAUGUCACAUAAUCGAAAGAAAUUAUCAAUCAUUAUCCGCAUGUUUUCUAUUUUUCAUCGGUGAUGGCCAUUGAUCAACUCUUCGACCCAUUCACGUCCACUUAAAGAGUUCUCAUGGUGAGAUAUUUUAUCCCUAUUCAAGUCUCGAUGCAAUGUCAUUAAUUCUAUUGCCAAGGGUAGCAUGGCCUCGCCCCGUUCAUUUUCUACAGAUAUAGAGUGCCUUCGUCCUCUUGCUGUAUUCCUAUUGUUAUUUGUCAUGUUCCUAAUGCAUAGAGGAAAUCUAUAUAAUAAGUUAGGGAAUAUGGACAAAUUGACAUAUACAUUAGGACAUGGUACGUGAGUAUGUUUACCUUCAUAGUUAGUAGGCCACAGACAUUUCGAUAGCAGAAAAAUUGAAAUUGUAGAGUGAGAGCAGAGCAUGAGCAAGAGUUUUGCGUGAGUUGUAGUUUCCUUCAGACAUCACACGUUAUACAGGAAUUAAGCCGCUGACACCCAUUAAUGUACGCCAAAGUUUUGCAUGGCUCUCUAUGUUAUGUGCACCCACUUUCUAUUAAGGCUGACAUGUUACAGGUGAAAGUCUGAUUUCCAUUUCAAUGACUACUCAUUCGCUUUCAAAAUUAAGAUGAUAACUUUUUGCUGACUUCUUAUAUAUAAUUAUGGUCUCCAAGACCGGGAACAUAUAAGGAAUCAAAUUGUGAAAGAUAUGGCAGAGAUACGCUCUUGAUUAUAUUAGUUCUUUAAAUAUUAUUAUAUUUCAUAUUAGUCUGUGAAGUAGGACCUUUAAUCAUAUUGGUGCCUUUAAAUAUUAUUAUAUUUUAUAGCCUUGUUUUAUUUUUUUAAAAGAAAAAUUUGCAUUUCUUUUAACAACUAGACCGGUAUACCUGUGGAGCAGAUGACAUUGGUUUGGUUUGGACUUACAUCUUCAUCCUUUCAAUAAUUCAUAUCAACAUGCUUGUCAGCUAUCAGUUCUUUUUUACCUGCGUAGUUAGAAUCUUUUUUAGUAGUCUGGGCAAAGCUGAUACCCCUGUAUCUGCACAUGACAAGCAUAUUUUUUUUUAUAUGUCUAUCACUACAGUUGUUAAAACAAUCCACUCACCUUCCAAAGUGGGAACUAGAUAAGAAAGCAAACUAAAAAACUAAUUGAAUUGUCUUUAGGAAAAACAACAAGACAUACGUCUGUCCAACUUAAAUUUAUACAUAACAAUUUAGACGUUAGACAAAUAAACAUCAUAUAGUAACACAAGUGGAGAAAUAAUUAGUGACCCCACUACACUACUACUUCACAAAUUCAGAAAUUGGAAUUAUAGAUAUAAUAACAGAUUCAAGUUUUUUUCAAUCACACUAAACAAACUGGAUGCUUUCGGACAUGAGCAUGACCACUAGUUCGAAAAUGGUCAACGCCAUAUUCCCUCAAAGCACAACUAUAGUCCAUUAUUAAAGAACACAAGCACAGCAGCCAAAUAGAUACAUUAAAUCAUGCAAUAAUUAACCCCCAAUUCAACCAGCAAGUAUAACGGUCAUUGUUUCUGCUAGGAAUGAAUUGUUACUAUGCCAAACUUUUCUUCCUCAUUAGUCUUGCGACAUAUGCAAUCUGUCUAGCAUCAUUGUACUGCAUAAAGAGAAUGCGUUAACCUAAAUUUGCAUCUUUUGUGAGAGAGGAGUCUGUUUCCACCUUUCACUCAACGGGGACAUCCAUGUUGGAGACAAUGUUUUGACAGUGCUCAACUUUGUACGUUUCAUCUCUAUCCAUGUGGUCCUUUCAGUCGCAAAUCGCCACAUCCGUGAAGUUCCCGAUCUUGCUUAAUGCGUUUUCGAUUCUAUCCAUAGACGAUCGGGUGGAUUUAUUGCCUCUGGAGCUCUCUCGCUCACCGAAGUUUCUCAAACUGGAUGCUGGUUGCUUACCACUACUGGCUUCCGAAAUAGGCUAGAUGUAGUACACAUCCUUCUCUUUUUAAGGGGAGAUGCUAGAAAGAGGUUGGGAUGAAGAUCGGACUUUGGCCUUGCCUUUUGCACUCUUCCUGGAGGUGGACUGAUCAAUUCCCCGCUAGUUGAGAGCGAUGGGCUAGGCUGGCUAGCGGACUGUGCUCGAAUACCUAUAACGAUCUCCCCGAGUAUGAUGAGAGUGAACCGCUUUUAUAGACCACAACUGAAGGACACAGCGAAUUCGACAAAGUCCUGGUUGGACUGUCGGUAAAGAGACAAGGUAAUCAAAAGUCUAAUGUGGCAGCAAUUAUAAGUGAACAUGCAACAUGUUUUAUAUGUAAAGCCUAAGUGUUGUGCAUGGUUUGGUAAAACACAGCAGGAACCUAAUUGCUAUUACAAUUUAAUAAUAGUCGAGUUGUAAGGAGAGAAAACACUAACCGACUACAAAGCAGCCCAAUGGUUAAAGCUAGCAGUGAAAUUCUAGACAUUCUCUUCCUAUCCAAUGCCAGUCUUGAUCUUGUUAAAAGUCCACAAAACAGGCAAAAAAGUUGCCAUUUUUUCUUGAACCGAUAGAAUCUUGAUUGGCACUAGGCUGCUGUGAUUUCAUGACUAUGAUUUUCACGCAAAUGCUCGGCUAUCUGGCCAUAAUUCCAGUCUAGCGGCCUAAAUCGAUCCCAUUUUUUGGACACCUUGAAGGCGAUAUAAGCAUCAAUGAAGUGUUCGUCCAUUUCGGGAGUCCACUCGAAUCUAGCACCAAUCUCCUACAGUAGACAAGCACUUUGUUGAACAAAACUAGCUACAUGACAAGCACUUUGUUGAACAAAACUAGCUACAUAAAUCUUCCAAUUCGCUAGAAACUGAGUGAAUUAUCGUACCUUCUGGUUUGCUUCAAAGUUACUGAUGCACUUUUCUAGAUUGUUCAAAUCAGUGGAUGACUGGACUGUGCAAAUGGAAGUGCAGCUGAUAGGAGAAGGUGAAGACAAAUAAAUAUGUGAAAUUGAUAAUACAACGGAGUAGGAAGUUGUAGUUCAAAGAAUGUGAACCAGGCCUUACACUAACUACACUUGAGCUGGUUGUUCUGUUUGGAGGGGCAUCACCGGAAGCUCUUUGACAUGGCCUUUACAAAACAAAAAAAAUCAACUAUUUCAAAGAAGCGCGAGGUAGGAGGAACUAUAUGCUUUUUCCCGGAGUUGUUGUUGAAAUGAUUCAAUUGCUAUGUGUGUAAUACAACGACUAAGAGAGAAAAAAAUAGUAAUUGAGGAUGAUUGCUAAUUGCUACGUUUACCCUAGAUAACUGAACAACAUACAUUAAAUCAAGACAAUUGUACAUAUUUUUUUUACUUAAACUACACUGUGCAAACAAUUUAUGUAAAAAAAAAAAAUCAAAGUUUAACUGAGUGCCUUCUUCCAUCAAAGGAGCAAGGCUUCAAAUGACUGUUACAUGAAUGAAAGCAACUUUGGAAUGAACAGAAUAAUAAAUUCAGCAACUAUAAGGUUCAUGGGUGAAGAUGCUUAAUCCCAAACCUGAUGCAGGAGGUUGCAGUAGUAGAAAGGAAAAUGCUUAAUACCAAAACGGAGCAUUUGAGGGUUUUUUCUCCUCUUCGCAACAAGAGAUUCAAAGCAAACAUAUAGUCCCAAAAAUUGAUGUGUACUUUGAGGGUCUUUUCUCCCCUUCCCAGAAUUGAUAUAUUUGAAUCUUUACGAAUAUUGUGCUAGAUAGAAAGCGAAAUAGACAUUACAAAUCUGGACUGUGUUGUUUUCAAAAAAAUGAGGCAAUAUGCUUAAGGAGUACAAUUCAAUCCAAUAUUGCUUCAAUUAAUACUAUGGAGUGCGCAAUAUAUUGGUAAUGGAAAAGCGAAUGCAGCAACUGAGCAAGAUGUGGGUGCUGUCAUGGUAACUUAGAGACGACUACCGAAUUCUGUAUAUAGACAAAAGUCGGUGUCGGUUGAACUCUGAUUUGCCGAUGAGCCUUUCUUGUAUUCGUCAAGAAAAUGCCACUUUGUGAAUCGGCUAAAAUCCAAUAAGAUGCUCUAUUGGCAAUUGUGAGCUGAGGUGAAUGGAGAACAAAUCUAAGGGUGUGAUUUUCUUGCCGGUGAAGGUGGAAGAAGUUGUAGUGAUGGAAGUAAGUAAAUGUUCGGUAAAAGUGGCUAUACGAAAUAGUAAAUGUUGGGGUGUGAGUUGUGGUUUUUUUUCUUUUUGUUUGUUGACUACUUUGAGGGGUCUCAUAUUGAGGACCCAACGGAUAAGUAAUCUGAGCCAUCUAUCGGGUUGACAUGCAUCAGUGUGCAUAGAAAGGGUGCAGAUGACAGGGCUGACAAGGCAAAGAUAAUAAACACAUAGAAACAACAUGCUAGGUAAACUAUCCAGUGAAUCUAGACACUUUUUGUAAAAUAUAUUUCAAAUAAACUUAAAUAAUUCAAUCCAAACAGAGCCUUAUUUGCACUCCUUUUUUUUUUGUUAUUUGUACUUCUAUCAUUUAUUUUUUAUUUUUCUAAAAUUACCAUUUAUUUUAUCAUAUAAUCUAAUAAGUAAAACUAUGUGAUUAAAAUUAUAUUGUAAAUAUGAUUAACAAAAGUAGGAGUGCAAAUAGCAUUUCUCUUUAUUUUUAGUUUUAUUUUUAUUUUUUUUCAGUGCUAUUAAGUUAAAAUAUUUUGUUUUCCAAAUGGAGCAAAAUUGGAAAAUAAAAUCCAAUCUAAAAUAAAAAAAAUCAUAAUUAAAAUUAGCAUAACUCUUCAAAAUUCAAAUUUAGUACGAGUGUUAAAUAAUAUAAGUCUUUAAUAGCCUAAAAUGUAUUUUUAAUUAUUUUUAUUUCAUAUUUAAUUAUAAUUAUAUGUAUUUGAAUUUAAAAUUUAACUUUUACAUUUAAAUUAUGGAAUCAAAAUGUAAUAAUAUAUAUAUGCUAUUAGUGUAUAUAUGUUUUACUCUAAAAAUUUAAGAUAAUUAUUCAAAAUGAAACAUGUCAAUGUACAUAAGGGCGGUAAUGGGAUCCCCCGCCCCCCCGUCCCAUUGUCAAAUAACCCCCUCCUCCCCUCCCGAUCCCUCACUCCAUUUUUCCCAUGGGAAAAGAAAUCAAUCUACCAUAAUUAACAAUCUACUCAUCUACAAGACAAUUUUAUUAUUCAUUUUAUUUCAAAAUAUUCAAUAAAGACAUACUCAAGUACUCAACCUUAGACUAAACAAGGAUUUAGGAAAAGAUUACAAGAGAGAAGAAAUAUACUGGAGCCAAAAAGCUAGAGUCAAAUGGCUGAAAGAGGGAGACAAAAAUUCCUCAUACUUUUCAUGCAAUUGUAGCUGCUAGAAGGAAGAAAAACAAUAUAUCUAUACUCUAGAGAGAGGAUGGAAGCUAGUGUGAAUCUAAAGAGGAAGUGGAAGAGGCGAUAGCAGAUUAUUUCAAAAAGAUUUUCACCACAUCAAAUCUAGGGGGAGAGGUGAGAUUCUGAGGAGAAUUCCACAUACUAUUUCUAACUAGGUGAAUAGGAGACUGACUAGACCAAUAUAAAAAAUAGAGAUAAGGGAAGCAGUCUUUCCCAUGCAUCCUAAUAAGGCACCAGGACUUGAUGCUAUGUCCCAUUUCCUUUUUCAAAAAUUCUGGAGUAUUAUUAAAAAUGUUGUAUUGAGUUUUUUACAUUCUGGUAUACUUCUGAAAGCCUUCAAUGAAACAGUAAUUUCCCUGAUUCCCAAAGUAGAACACCCAGUGUUAGUGUCUCAGUUUAGGCCUAUUAGUUUGUGCAAUGUGGCUUAUAAGAUCAUCACAAAGAUACUAGUUAAUAGACUGAAGCCUAUACUAGGACAGUGCAUAAGUCAGAAUCAAUCAGCUUUUGUACUUGGAAGGCAAAUCAUUGACAAUGUACUAAUGGCUCAUGAAUAUAUCCACUGAUUAAAUGGUAAAAGGAAUGGUAAAAAAGCUUGCAUAGCUAUCAAAUUGGACAUGUCCAAAGCUUAUGAUCGAGUAGAAUGGUGCUUCAUAGCCAAUAUCAUGAAAAAAAGGGGCUUUUGAAUGAAGUGGAUUAAGUGGAUAAUGGAAUGCGUAACUUCUGUUUCCUAUAGUGUUAAUAUAAAUAGGGAGAAAAUGGCUAUAUUAGACCCAUUAGAGAGAUAAGACAAGGGACCUUCUCUCCCCUUACCUUUUCCUAAUCUAUGCAGAAGGCUUCACUAGUCUCUUAAAUAUACCAAAGGACAGAUACCAAAUUUCUGGCAUGAAAAUUGCACAUAAAGGCCCAAAUCUAACACAUCUUUUCUUUGCGAAUGACUCUUUAAUUUUCUGUAAAGCAAGUGUGCAGGAAGCAAAAGUUGUGAUUCAGAUUGACAAAGGAAUAUGGGAGAGCAUCUAGCCAAGUGAUAAAUGCAGAAAAAUCCUCAAUUUUGUUCAACAAAAAUUCAAGGGAGGAAGUGAGAUAGCAAGUCCUAUAAGUCAUGGGGGGAAUGAAACAGGUCAAAAAGAGCCAAUAUUUGGGACUGCCUAUGGUGAUUGGGAGAUCAAAGAAUGCAGUGUUCAAAUACAUAAAGGAGAACAUUACAAAGAAACUAAAUAAUUGGAAGCAAAAUUGCUCAUGGUGAUUGGGAGAUCAAAGAAUGUAGUGUUCAAGUACAUAAAGGAGAACAUUACAAAGAAACUAAAUAACUGGAAGCAAAAAUUGCUCAAUCUAGCAGAAAAAGAAGUCCUACUCAAAACACUAGCUAUGACCAUGCCAUCAUAUGCUAUGAACUGCUGCAAAUUACCAAAGGGGUUGUGUAGAGCAAUUAGUAGUGAAAUGGCAAAGUUUUGGUAGGGAGAGGCAGAAAAGGGAAGAAAGGUACACUAGGUCAACUGGGAGAAGUUAUCAAAGGUGAAAGGAAAAGGUGGAUUAGGAUUUAGAGAUAUAGAAAGUUUCAAUGAUGCUAUGCUUGCAAAACAGCUCUAGAGAAUUGUAUCACAACCAAAUUUGCUAGUAAGCUAAACAUUGAAAUCAAGGUAUUUUAGAGGGAAGUCAUUAUGGGAAAUGGAAUCCAAACCAUCAGAUUCUUGGAUAUGGAGGAGUUUGCUCAAUUCAAGGUAUGUCCUCGAAUCAGGAAUGAGGAAAAGGAUUGGUGAUGGAAAAAAUGUUAACAUAUGGAAGGACAGAUGGUUUCCAAAAGGAAGGGAUGGGAAAGUAAGAACAGUAAAGCUAAAAGAUAGCAUGGUGCAGAAGGUGAGUGAACUCAUAAAGAAUGGAGAAUGAUAUCAAAUGCUGCUGGAAAAGACAUUGCAGGAGAGGGAUGUCAAUAAGAUAAUGACAAUUCCCAUUAGUUAAAUAGGAGGGAGAGAUGGGAUGUAUUGGGUGGGAAAUGAGAAAGAAAUCUAUAGUAUAAAAUCUGGGUAUAUAUGGGCAAAGCAGUUGAAACAGAGAAAGAGGAGAGAGGAUAAAGGAGAAUCGAAUUAGAGUAAGAACAUGCAGGGGUCUAGAGUAUGGAAGGAAUCAUGGGGCUCAACAUGAAGCACGAACUAAAACAUUUCAUAUGGAAGUGCUUAAGAGGGGUCUUACCAGUCAAUGAAGUAGUGGCGAACAAAACUGGAAAAGUCCCAUGUGUAACAGAUGUGGAGAAGCAAUGGAAACUUUGGAACAUAUGCUAUUCCAUUGUAGAAGGGUAGCACUGAUCUGGAAAGCAGCACCGAUACAAUGGGACGGGUUAGAGGGGCUAAGAAAUUCUUUCUGGCAUUGGUGGGAAGAACUGAUGCAAUCAACAAAGAGAGAGGAGGGGCGUGAUCAUAUUAUUCUGACAGCAAACUUGCUAUGGUAAUUCUAGAAGGCAAGAAAUGACAGCCAAUUUAAUGAGGUGGAAAGGGACCCUUUCUUUCCAGUCAACAAAGCUUUGGGAGAAUGGAGAGAAUACCAUAAAGUAACAAAGAAUCAGGGUGGUGAAGGAAAUAAGUUGACCAGAGACAAGAUUGAAUGCAAACAUGGGAACCCCUCGAGAAAGGAAGCAUAAAGAUCAACAUGAAUGCAACUUUCAAUAAAAAAUUGAGAAAGGCAGGAUGGGGAAUAGUUGCAAGAGAUGACAAAGGAAGGUUGAUAGCAACAUGGGCUGUCCCAAGAACAUGCAGCCGAAAUGUGAAGAUGGAAGAAGUCCUAGCAAUAAGGAAAGCCAUGGAAAUAGCCACACUGGAAAGCUGGAAAAGGGUGGAAUUUGAGUGGAUUGUAAGGAGAUAGUGGACAAGAUAGCAAAGAAAGAUUGGAAUGAUAAAUGGUUUGGCACAUACUUGAAGACAUCUCCAUAUUGUGCUGCUCUUUUGAGAAAUGUUGUUUGUCUUUUGUUAAAAGGAAUUUCAACUAUGCAAGUCACACUUUGGCACUGUUUGUCACUAACUUUUGUAAAGAAACCUCUUGGAGGAACUUCUUCCCUGUCUAGCUGAUGAAUGUAGCCAGGGUCUGCGAGCAGUUGCUCAAACUUUUGUAACUAAAGUUUAGUAGAUGUGAAAUAUAUUGCUGCUUUUGAAAAAAAAAAAAAAAAGUACUCAACCUUAGACCAUUCAACGAAUUGUAAAUAUUAAUAACUAAAGAAGAUUAGCAGCUUAUCAAUACCAUGAAAAUGACAUAAAAACAUCCAAUUGAGAUGUAAUAGAACCAAGUCACAAUUGUAUGUUCACUUACAAUAAUACAAUUGUAAACAACACUAAAUAAGAUUAAUAGCGGUCAAGAUGGAAACAAAACACAAUAAGUCAAGUUACAUUCCCUUAUUCAACAAACUCAAUCAAGUUGAUUUUUCAUAUUCAACAAACUAAAGAUACUCAGCAAUAAGUCCAACUUUUCUCUUCAUCAACCUAGCACAACAACUUCAGAACAUUUGCUCUUCAUCAAUCUCGAGAUGUGAUAAUUCACUUGAUAAAGCAACCUUGACAUUUGAUGCCAAAAUAAAAGAAGAAGCUUGUCACCAAGCUAUAGUCUAUAACAAAAAAUUGGAGAAAAUCAAUUUAGAUAAAUCAAAUUUCUUUAAUACCUAUUCAGUAACACAAUCAACAUCAUCUUCUUCAUCAAACAAUGUAUUACAUGAUAUCCUUUCGGAAGUAGAACAAGUAGCUUGCACUAAAAUAAAAAAAUAGCUACAUAUUAUGUUAGAGAUAUACAAUUAUGUUAUUAAUUAUAUUAUUAAAUAUAAAGAAUUGGAUUAUAACUAAUUUAUUAUAUUGUGUAUCUAUUUGUAUUAUGUAUACAUCUAUAAAUUUAAAUAUAUAUAAGUUUUUUUGUAUGCGUGGAAUGGGCCGAGUGUAUGUUGCCCUGCCUCGCCCUAUUUCUACCCCUACUAGGUGGGUGCCCGCCCGUUGCGACCUUUAAAUGUAUAUAAGAUUUAAAUGUAAAGAUAAUCAUUCAAUGUAUAGAAGAUUUAAAUGUAAAGAUUUAAAUGAUUACGUGUCAAUAUAAUCAUUCAAAAUGAGAUAUAAAUGUAACGUCUCAAGACGACGCUAAAUAUAGAAAAAGGACAAUUUUUCGUUGGUGCCUGGUUAGAAAAUUAAAUUUUCUAAUCUUUAAUUUAUAAAAGACGUAACGUAAACGUAACGUUUAUACAAAUGUCUAUAUUAUCUUUAUAUAAGUAAACGUAACGUCUAUAUUAUACAGUCGUUUAAAUUAUCUUUAUAUUAAUGAGAUAUAAACAUAAUCAUUAAACGAGAUAUAAUCGUUAAAGAUAAAAAUAGAAAAAGAAUAAUUUUUCGUUGGUGCUUGGUUGGAAAAUCAAAAUUUCAAAUCUUUAAUGGAAAAAAAAUCUUUAGUGGGAAAUUAACCCUUUAUAAUUCAAAUUUGGGACCAGUAUAAAUGCUAAUAAUCCAACUGUAUAAUGCAUGUUCAGCUGGUUCAUUUCCUAUUGUUCAUAUCCUGUUAGCCACUAGAAAAAUCUCUCUAUUUCUUUCCAUCACUCCUAUCCAAAAUACAAUAAUCUUUUUCCUGCCGCUACCGUCGAGGUGUGAUCGGCGGCGGGGGCGGCGGCAACUUUCCGGUAAGGGUAGCUAUUAAAAAGGGUAGCCGUUUGAAUUUGUUUGUAAAGUUUUAUGAUACUUACGGGUUAAAGGUUAUGCUUUCGUGACGAUUUUUAUACCUUUUGCUAUUGGAUUUGGGGGGGGGGGGGGGGGGGGGGGGGGGUUUGUUUUUCCUGUUUCCCUAAAUUUUGUGACAAAGACAGGAAAAAAAAAAAUCUGUGAGGGAGAAUUGUGAAAUUGGGGAAUUUUUUUUGGUAUUAACAUUUUUUUAAGAUUUAUUUGUUUUCUGUGAAGCUUUUGUUUUGUUGAAUUGGAUUGUCAUUUUGGUGAAGUUGAUUAAGAAAAUGCUGCGGGUUGUCUGUUUUUAGUUGUCUUGAACGGAAUGAGAAAGGGUUUUUGCUUACUGCAUUUUGGGCAGAAUUAAAGUUUUCAUUGAUUAAGUUUAUUAGCUUAAGCAAUGGGAAAUGGAGUCUUGAUUAACAACUAUGUAUGGAAAACUAGCAAUUUUAGCUCAUUUGUUGAGUUUACGUAUAUCCCCUGAUACUCUAAUCAGUGAGCUGUGUGUUGUGUUUAAUGAUUUUGGUUGUUCACAUUUUAUAUUGGGAGAAACCUUGAGAAAAAUAGAUCGAAAUUAGGAAUCCAGAUUGUAGUUGAGUGGGUGGAAUUCUGGUCUUUUGCUAACAAAAACUGUUCAUGAAACUAAGAAAUCUGUUUGCAUUCCUUAAAUUUAUGUGGAUGUCCCUAUUUUCCACGUUGCUGACCGUGGAAGAAUUUACAGGCUGUUUAUUUUUUGGAUUGCUUUGUAUUUACCAGUUUCAUUAGUGCUAAAUUCACUUUGCUUUGAUGAACAUCAUGUUGCACUUUUUUCCUGUUUGAUUCUGAACAUCAAGAAGGAUCUAAUGGGAUUUUUCUACCCAAAAUAAUAUUAGGGUUCUAACAGCGUCAUGGCAUCACCAGCAUCACCCUGUAGAUCUUUUAUUUGGUAUCUGUAGCUGCUUUUGGACCUUCUGCUGCGUUAGUAUUGCUCUAAAGAGGAGAAAAGGGCCAAAAGGCCCAUUUUUAGGAGAUGGGAGGGGACAAAAUUAGUGAGAGGACUUUGAGGUACAGAAGGAGGUCAACCAUUGUUGUUGGAGCAAAGAAGCAGAGGUGCAUCCCUAGAAAAAAGCAGAAGACUGAAUACAGACCUUGGGCAGAUCUUCACGAAGACAUGUUGAGGAUUAUCAAGAGCAAGUUAUGCCUUUCUGAUCAAGUAAGGCUUAGUGCAGUUUGUAAAAGUUGGCAGCUUUCUGGGAGACCGCUGAUGGCAAUGGCCUAUUUCUCUAAGCAUUGCUAUUCUGCAAUCUCGCCGGAUCCAUGGGAUGACUCAUCUGAUCGAGAUGUUACCUUUGCAUGCGAGAUUUAUGACUCUUGUGGUGGAAAGAUUCACAAGGCUAGUUAUAAUAUAUCAGAAAGAGGUUGGCCUUCUUUUUUCUACCGAUGGCCAGAGGUUUGUGCUUCCAAAGAGGGCUGGUUGCUUAUAGUGGACUGUGCACACACUGCUGGAACUGUCACCUUUUGUAACCCUUUUUCCAACCUUGUUUUAUCAGUACCCAGAUUGGGACAUCAGAUAGAUGUGGCAACUUUCUCUACAAUCCCUACUUCGUCGAACUGCAUAAUCUUUGUUUUCUAUCGUAGUUGGGGCAAGACACACCUUGGUACUUACCGUUUUGGUGAUAAAAGUUGGACCAAACUAAUAAUUGCCGAGAGAAAAGCUGCAGCAGAAGUAUUGAGCAUGUUAUACAUCGAGGGGGUACUCUAUUAUGUUUUUGAGGAUGGAAUGUUGGGCUGCUUUAGUUAUUCCGGGAAAUAUUGCAGUGUACUUACUGAAAGGUUUCCCAAACGCGAUUCUAAAAGCUCCUUUGUUAGCUAUCACCUGGUUGAACACAGGGAACAGAUUCUCUUGGCAACCGCAGAUGAGGACGCCAAUUGGUGUAUUUUCAGAUAUGAUGAGUCUCAGAUGAAAUGGAUUGCUGGGAUAAGCUUAGGAAAGUGGGCAUUAUGCGUAAGUAGUAAUUCGUUUGUAGUACAAGCUGUUGGGGAUCAAGUUGACCUUGCAGACUGUAUUUGCUACUUUGACUAUGAAACCCAUGAUUUGAAGGUGUACUCGUUAAAGGAUAAGCAAUUGAAGGAUCCGCAGCAUAAAAUACUGACAUCUAGCGGUACUUUCGACCUCAAACAUGACCUUACAAUCUGGAUUGAACCUCCUAAUAUUUGAAAGGGAAUGACCAUGUAAGCUUGCUAAUAUUUGGAAGGGACAGUUUAGUUGCUUUAGUUCUCAUAGACAACAAUUUGGUGGAUCCUUAUAAAAUUUCAGUAUCAAGCCCUUUGGUUGAGGAUAAUUUAAGAAUUUUUCAUUUACUAUGGUGACUUUGUUAUAAAAUGGAUAUCCAGUACAGACUGAGGUGGGAAUAGGAUAUUGCCUGCAAAUGACUCAAAGCCAUUUCGGUUUUCUCAUUGCCAGAAACAUGUGAAAGAGGGGAUCUGAUGUUUGUAUUCAGGGGUUAGAUGAUAUAGUAUAUUGCAUCAAAAGUUGGGCUACUCAGACCAGUGCUGCUGGUUACUUGAAAUGUUUGUCUUGUAAAUAACGAUCUCAAAAAUUUGUUAUUCAUAUCCUUGGCAAAUUCUCAUUACUGGACUUGAGAACGUUGACUGGUACUUUUGUCUUUCCUACCUUUGCUUUCUUCAGCUGUCCCUGCAUGUUAACUUGCUUCUGAUGCAGUGAUAAAACAAUCGGAGAAACUACCCUGACAAAGAAAGAGGGUUUGAAUUAGUGACCCUAUAACGCUUCCAAAGCCCCACCUAAAGGCGUGAACUCUACCCCGUAGGAUCGCGUACUGAUUUGCCGGAUUAGUAACCACGCCUUCAGUUUACUCAAAAUAACAUGUUCUUAGCGCACCAAGUUGACCUAUCUGAGGUUCAGUUGAUUGACUUCAAUUAGGAUACACAUUUCAAAACAAUUUUGGUUAAGAUUGGGGGGGCGGUUUGCCAUUCGGAGUUAUGCAAGAGUACAAUAUUUUGUGUACUCCUGAUUUCAACUGCUUUUCGUUAAUCACUCUAUACCUCAGAUAUUUGCUAAACACACUCAAACCUAAUGCACUAGCUGAUAAAUGACUGUUAACUUUUCCUGUUGGAGACUGUGGGAGUGUAGGGUAAUUUUGUGAGUGAUUCAAAUAUGUCAGUUUACAUGAAUACUAUCAUCUAGUAUCAAACUAGUCCCAUGACAGUAAUUUAAGCUGAUACCAAGCACAUGUUCAAGUGGUAGAUUGAAACAAACAAAAUACAUAUUUCCACAGGCUUCUUAGCAUAUCAUCAGAUAUGCUUAAACAGGGCAGAAAUUCUUGGAGUUGUUGGCCUGAUCUUUUCUGUCAACCUGAAAUGGCUGUAUUUGAGCAAUCGCCGCAAAAUUCAUUCCUGAAUGUAGUUGUCAGUUUGAGUUGUUUAAAUCGGAGGUUUCUCCUGCUGUACUUCUUGGUGAACCAGGAACAAAAGGAACAAAGCCUCGUCCACCGAAAACUGGUCUCAUGAAUUUAUCAUCAAAUUUCCUCCAAAGGUGAUGAACAGUUGAUGUUGGAUGUCUGAUGAACAAUUGGAGUUUACUUCGUCUUGGGGCUGAUUGGUUGUUGCCAUUAUCUACUGGCCCUCCAUUUUCCAGAGACAAGAGUCUCAGGUCUUCUAAACUUACAAAAUCAUUUUCCCUAGAAGUCAAUGGGUUUGCAUUGUUUAGUAGCACUGCUUGAAUCAGAGGCUUUGUCACGGAACCAAAAACCUGUCAAAAAAUGUUCCAGAAAGGAAAAAAUUUGACUUACAAAAGAAAAUGAACAGACUAUAAUAUAUAGUGUAGAAAAAUAUAUAUAUACACUGUUUGAGCCUUCAUGUUUAAUGGUAAAACUUACCACUGUGCUAAAUAGUACAACAAUGAUGAUGCAAGUAAUCAUCAUAGAGUCCACAUUUGCUGAUUUUGUCCCAGACGAUGAGAACUGAAGUUGCAGAUUGAUGCUUCAAUUAGAUUGCAAUUAAACGUACUUCUCACCACUUGAUCAAGAAUUCAAGAAUUCAUCUUAUUCACCUGGUUGUAGGCUAAAGCAAUAGUGACUGCACCUCUUAUUAGCCCUGCCCACCAUAUAAUGAACUGAAAUGCUAAAAGGUUAGCAGGAGGAGGAGGAGAAUUGCUAGUAAGAAAAAGUGUAUUAACAUGGUAUCCAAGACAUACCUGCUUCUUUAUCUCAAUCUCUUCACUGCCUUGUUUAGUGCAAUUUAGAAUGCAAGAAAUAGGAUAAACAAAGGCAGCUCUUCCUACCAAUACGAGUGCAAACAAAGCCAAACUAACAAUAAUUGAAGUUCCUGCACUGAAACACAAAUUAGUGAAGUCCAUUGCAAAACUCACCAAUGCAUCUUCGACUUGAGGAAAAGAAAACAAGGUAGUAACCCUUACCUCGCAUUGCUUUCUUUCCACUUUGUGAUGUCCAAUGCAUCCAUUCCCACGUAAAUGAAUAUAAAAGUUUCUGCUAUGAAAGAUAGUGUGGCAAAUGCGUGCCUGGAAAUGUCUAGAAUAUCAAAUGGUAAUUCUCGAAGCAAUUUUAUUAAAUCAAGUUAAAAUCUGAUGUCAGGAUUCUUCAGAGUCAUUAUACUUCUAAAAGAUGUUUCACUUGUUGUUUGAUUCUCAAAAGCGCUCUGUGACCUAGAACCUGAUCAGAAACUAGGCGGAGUGUAAUGAGAGCUAAACUCAAAUAUGGAUGAUGGAAAAUUUUCAAGGAGUAGAUCCCAGAGAUGAAACAAAUAAUUUGGUCUAUUGCAAGUGUUUCCUCUACCAAAGAGAGAGCUGGUAAUCUCUUGCAUAUAACACUUUUGGUUUUGUAAAAGGUCAAGAAAAGAAAUUACAGAGGUUGAUUUCUUGAUUAAGUUAUUGGCAUUAAAUUGUUCUAAACCUGAUGCAUGCUAAUUUCUGCAAGACACAUUGCCCCUUUAAACAUUCAGUCCGAUAAUCAUGAAGCUAUAUUAUGCAACAAGAUAGUCCCUACCAAUAGAACUAUGCCCAUGCUUAUACAACAGGGAGAUCAUAGAAUUCAAUCAGUAGUAAAUUCUCACUUGGUUGUUACACGAGAGCUUUCAGUUACGUUGUGCCAUGUGUAAUGUGACAUGACAAUACCACAGAAGAAAAUUGUCAGAAUUCCACUUAGCGACAACAGCUGCAAGAUGAGAAUCACUUUCCUCAAUUUUCAGGAACACAAGUACCCAUGGAAUUGCAAUGAUAAUGGUUUAAACAUUCCAUCCUAGUUACUCUAGAAAACUAUGCUGCUCUAGACGUGGAAGUGGUUUACGUUAUUCUGGAAAUUAGGGAUGUGUAUGUUCUAUUACUUUUAACAAUAUUCUGCCAUCAAUCCAUCUUGAAAUAUUAUUCAGAAUAUUCCCCAAUCAUCUGGGGCAUGGCAUGUAAGAUUCCAGAAAACAAUUAUAAAAAACAGUUCUGCAAGUAAGGCAUAUUUUAUACUAGAUAAUGUGGGAUGAAAGAUGGAAUAGAGAAGCAUUAGGUUUUAUUGGCAUAUGGUUAACUGAAAGAUCAUUUCUGCAAAUAAACAGAUAAAGAUGUAUAAAGACCAUGGUAAUGAAAAUGAUGGAUCCAAAGGUAAUGAAAAUGACGGAUCCAAAGGAAAAAAGGGGUGAAACUAUCUGUGUCCGAGUUCUCUCACAUAAUCGAGCAUCAAUUAGUUGGAAAAGAAAAAGUUCUACUUUUACCUAAUUUUUAAUCACCAUGCAGAUUACUACGUGACUAAAUGAUCAACUCUCCAGCUAGAGGGACUCAAACUUGGGGCCUUUUAACUUCAAGUCAUCCAUCUUAAACCUUUUUGUCAUUAAACCAUUUACUUACAGCUUUUGACUUGUAUAUAAGUGAUCAAAUCAUCUGUUUUGGAUGAGAACUUUGAAGACAUAAUGUAUAUGAAAAAACUGGUCUUUGACCAAAUCCUAUUUCAUGAGGAAUUGGUUUCAGUGUCUCCUUUGCAACAGUAGACUAGUGACAAAAGCAUCAUGGAAUGCACUAUUAGUAUAGCAAAACAAAAAAGUGGAAAACAAGUCUACAAUAUAUGUAGAAGGGUGUGGAAACCAGUAAAUAUUGGUACCUCAGCCACCAUAUAUGAUAGAUAUGCCAAGAGCAUCAUGAUUGCAACUUCUCUAUCCGUUGAAUGCCUAUCAAUAUGAAAGAGUUAUAAAGAUGAGUAUCAUGACAGGAAUGCAGUAAAAUGUUGAUUUGAUAUUGUAUUGUCGCCCUUUUACUUACCUUUCCACAAGUACAUCUUGAUUCUAGAAAAACACAAAUUGGUACCUGAAUCUUUUGUUUUCUCGAGUUGUUUAUGCAUUGUGCUGUCAUAGUCAUAUUCAACGUUGCUGACAUAGUUUUGUGGUAAUGUACUUCUAGAUCCAGUAAGCUAUGAACUAGUCUACUUAUUUUCACACUAAAAUAUCAACAGAAGUAAAUUGUCCAAAAACUAUUUCAUGCAUCAGAAACAGAAGGAAUUCUUGUCUAACAUGUUUGUAACUGAUAUUCUUCUCAAGCUCCAAAAGAAGAUAUUUAUGAACAAGGCAUGGUACCAACAAAACAUUACCUCCCAAAGUACAGUGUCUUUAUCCCAAAAGCACUCAAGAGUCCCACCUAAUAUAGAUGCACAGAGACCAAGUUAAACUAUCAAAUAGAGAAGAUGAAAGAUCAAGAAGUUUAGGGGAAUCUUAUUUUGCUUCCUUAAAGAUGAGAAUAUGGUACAGUUAUUGCUUUUCCAAUUACUACUAUAGUAAUUUAUUGUAAAAGAACAAGUUACCAAUUUGCUAACUUAACACAAUUUUUUGUUUCUCUGGAAGAUAAUAUAUAAACUGGCUUAUACAUAGUGGAUCAGUUAAUGUAUCAUCACAAUCACAAGUUACAUAUCGCUCGAAUUUAUGUUUUCUGAGGGUAUACUUACAGCAAUACCCAGAAUAGUACUCGUGAAGAAGAGGUAUAAGAAGUUUCCCAGCAACUUUAAUGCUGUCAAGCCAUCAAUAUCACUGAUGUCAAUUGACUGGACUGCGUUGAAAAGUACAAUGGAGGUUGCAUCAUUCACCACCCCCUCACCAAAGACAGCACUGUAAAGGAAGGGUGUUUGCUCUUGACUGAGGACCUUUUGCAUGGUGUGUGGCGAGAAUUAGUGGAAAUUGUAACAUCUUCAAACGUGACAGGUUUAUGAUCAAUAGCUGAAAGUAUGUAAAUGUACCUGCAAUGUACAUACUGAAUCUGUUGCCGACAAUAUUGCACCAAUAGCUGCAGCAUAAAAUGCCUGGUUAGUGAAUACCUGAAUAUAGAUGGCCUUUGAUGAAAUCUUUAUUUGUCUGUUUUUGUUACCUAGACAAUCUUUCAUAGUCAAGGAUGUUAUACCAAUCUUUUUAAACAGUAGAAAGGCACCUGCAAAUUAUCACGAACAAAUAAAGUUAGUAUAUUUCUAUUUGUUGAGGAAUUAAAUCCAAUUCCUGAACAUAUAUUGCUAUUUCCAAAGUAAAAUCUGCAUUUUAAAUAUGAAGCUGAAUUAAAGUCUUGAUACAAAGUCAAAAGGUGUUUGCUCUUCUGCACUUCAACUUCAAAGGACAAGAGGUACUAUUAGAAUCUAUGCCAGUUUCAAGCAGCAUUAUUGUGAUUUAGAAUAUGUGCAGAAGGAAAAUAUUUAACUAGCAUUAUUCCCGAAAAAAAAAUUUUUUUUUGAGCUUUCACAUAGGAUGACCAUGUUUUUUAUUUUGUUGUAUUAAGAGCUCAUUCAUGAAAGAAAAGCAACUCAAUCAUUGUAGCAAGGCUACUAGAAAAGAAGAUAGUUUUUAGAAGUGGCAGCAAAGAGGAAAUUUCAUGCAAAACAAUUUAUUUUAUAUUUUUCUUUUAACUUCUGUUUGAUAGCAAGUGAUUGGCAUUGCAUAUUAUGAAACACAAAGUACUUUAAAAGAACUGGUGUGAGUUUUGGUCCAGAAAUCAAUGCUGUACUUGGAUUGAAGUUCAUGGAAUGGUGAAAUUUUCUUUUGAUAGCGCUUUUCAGUUUCAAUUAUUAGAUUAGUAGGUACUAACCUUGAUCAAUUUGGUAAACUACUUGAAUUUGGAAAGCAAGAAACAGUAGAAACAGCAAUAGAGACUAGAUGUUACCCAGAGUUAUAAGGCAGAAAGAUAUGAUUGUUCCGAAUAUCCCAAACAACAAUAUCACCGAGAAAUUUUUGAAAAAUCGUUUUUUCUUGACCUGGAAACUGCAAACAUUUCAAAGUUGGAAAAGUUAGAUACAGGAGUCAUCGCGGCCGCUUAAUUCAAAUAUUUCUGGCUAAGAAUUAGACUAUGUCCUUGAUAUUUAAAACAUGAACGGUUCUACUGCUGCAAUUUCAAAAGCUUAACCAGACUUCAACCAAAACAACCUAAUCUUAAACAGCAAAAUGAUGGAUGGAUAAGGCUCUUACCCAGCAUUGAAAAUGAUUGGGGGCAACAGAUAUAUGAAGAAUAAAUCCUCAUUGAAAACCAACACUUGUGAACUUUGGCCUUUUCUGACAAGCAAUACCACAGCUCCAGAAGCCAAUCCCUAUACAUGAAAACUCGGUCUAAGUUCGUAUAUACUAUAAUAAUGAAGACUCGAAUCACAUUGGAAUCCAUUGAAAUUUAGCUUAAAAAAACUUAAAAAAGAUAAAACUAGACUGGCUUUUACUAACCAGCAGAAGGGCAGCUAUUGAUUCAUUAGCCCAUCGAUUCUCUUCCACCAGGUGACCGAUUACUAUGCAUGCACAGAGGAGAGCCACAAAUACAGUAACAGCUAUAACAGUUGGUUGGUCAAGUAUGGCGUUGGCCAUGGAAGAUAAAGUUUGCACCAUGCUGGACAUGGAGGUUGUCUGGGGCUUCACAGUGUAGUAUUCAACUAAACUUAGCUAUUUCUAUGAUCUAAACUACUGUUGACUGCUUAUAUGCGAAAAGAACUGGUGAUCAUUAAUUUUUGUGCAUAAAAACUACGGUCACUUAUCAGGAAAUUAAGCAAAGGUACGAUGAAACUUUUUUUUUUGUUGAAGCAAAGGAACGAUGAAACUUGAUUUCAGAAGAGUUUGGAAGGAGGGAAGACUGGUAGUUGAAGGUUGCAUUGUCUUAUUGUUAGGAAAAAAAAAAAGAACUGUCCGUCACUGGUAAGAUUUUUCUACAGCUUCUGAAUCACAUUUUUCUUAAGGAUCUGUCAAUUAGUGCAUUUAAUGGGGCUUCAUUUUCAGGCAAGUGAUAACAAGUUGGUAGGGCUGUUAGUUGGCUCUCACACAUUUUUUUGAUGAUUUUCACUUGCUUAUGACAAGAGGGGCAUCUGAUUUAGUCUGAAAUGGUCUACAAUGAUCUUGGAAAGAAAAAUUAUGAUAGUGUUUGAUAAAUUCAAACCAUGUAAUUUCUACGCUUAGCUUGAUAUUCUACAUUUAGUCCAACCUAAUUUGUUGAGAGUGGUGCAGGCAACAUCAAGCCAUCUACCUUUCCUGAAGUGUCAAAUUUGAUGGCAUAGGUAAAAAUAUUGCCAAAAAGGCAGAAACCGAAGUGGUUACUUACACUUCCCUGCACAAUGCAAGGGAUAGCUAUGAAAUCCAUGCAAAUGAUUUAUCCCCUGAUGAUCAAGAAUUAACACUUACCAUGGAUUUUUGCAAGGAAAUAUUAACAACCACAAUCUCAAUGGAAUAUAGAAACAGAACUACCCCAAAAGGGAACAUAGACAAAUCAAAAACUCGAUACUUGACAAUAAGACCACGGCUCUAUCUGUACUAGAUACUGACACAGUAGGUCUUAUUUCGGAGAAGAAAUUGCAAACUUUCUUGACUUUUCAGCUAGGAAAGGAACUCCACUGUAGGAUUGGGAAUUUGAACACGAUAAGGUAAUUUGGUUAUCAGCUAUCACGCUCCACACCAAAGACUUGUGUUUCAAUUGUCACUGAAUCAAGCUUGUCCUUCUUAAUCAGUCUUGAAGAUUAGCAUAAGAUAACUGAUGAUUGAAUCUUGGGAAUACAAUUUGAUAACGAGACUCAAAUUUAUGCUUGUCUUGGGUGGAAAAAAUGUAGUGCUUAUCAAAAUGUUAUGUUUGACAAGAUAAUGUUAAUGCGAAUGCUUCAUCAGCUAGAACUGUCAUGUGAUGAUGAGAAUAGAGAUUUUUCACAAUGAUAGAUUAGUUCAAAAUGCCACAAGAUUUAAGGAGAUGAGACUAGCAAUUUUGCACUAACCAAACCAUCUUUUGCUAGGGAAAAUGGAAAUUUCUAUUGAUACGCAACAAAGGACCUAACUGGCAAGGUUCAACAAACGCUCCACGGUUCAAAAAGGAAUUGAAAUAAGUCAAGUGACAGUCUAUGUUUAAAUUUUUAUGAAGACAUCAAACUUUGUGUAUGAACUAAUAAGUAGGAUAGGAAGAAAAUUAGGGGGAAAUAGUGGAGUUUCCAACUUCAUCUAACACAAUAAGAUUUCAUACCAUUUUUUUUUUCUUAUAUAGACCAGGUUUACCAAUAGGCCGUCUCAAACAAAUUUGAUCCCACACUGGCGAGUCCUGCUUGGUCGUGAGAUAGUCUACUGGUAGACCUACUUCAUAUUUUGUACGAGCAUUAAGCAUGUAAUUCACUCCUCUGUCAGCUUAAGCUGAAUAGUAUAGUUUCCAAAAUGAGAAAGAAAUCAAUGUAAUGAUUAAGGAUCUAUCUUCAACACUCCCCCUCUCGUCUGUCUUUCAAUAAGCUAACUCCAAUUAAAGGCAACGUGCAAAACCUGUGAUGGGUUCAAACCUUGGUAAUAACAGUGAGAAGAAAACAAGAAAAGCAGCAGCCUGAUGCAAAAACCUUCUCAGGAUUCAUCUAACAUCAGAGAGUUCAGGUCGUGUGCAGUAAUGCUGAGUUAAAGAGGACAAAUGUACAGUAUCGCAUGAUUGAGUUAUAUAUAUAUGAAAUAUUUAUUUAUAACGUAAUAACAUGCCUGAGUCUUAGACAGAUUCUUAUGCACGUCAAAGAUUCAAACAUGAUUUUACAGCCACUCCAAAAAAAAUAUUAAGAUAAACAAGCCUUUGGGGAAGAAGAAAUUAAUGAAAUGGCAGGUUUUUUGCUAAUAAUACAGUGGUUUGUUUGGUCUCCUUCACCAAUGUCCGCACAAAUUUUAGAAAGAUCCACCCUUGACUCCUAAAAGAAGCAAACAAAACAACCAAUGAAGAUGAAAAUUUGAAGUCAUGAAAAGUUGAUUACAUGUCUUGGAGCUGACAAGAUAUAACAACUAGCCUACUAAGAAAAAUCUCAGCACCCAAAAAGGAAUGGACCAAUCAUUCUCAGCUUCCUGUUUGAAACUACUACAAACAAAAAUUUAGGCCCCUUUCCAGCUUAAGUAAAUCUCUUGCCAUAUGCAUACAACACAUGUAUAUAUCUCUGCUCCUAUAUGCUGCUAUGGCAAAGAAGAAAGUUUUUGCCUAUACCAUGCAUCCUCAGCAGAUAUUAUUCAUAAUGCCUAUUACUGAAAAGGCUUGAGAUAACUGAUGACAGUGUCAGUAUUUACUUUUAGCUGUUAUCUGUAGCAUCUUCUUUGUCCUAGUCAAAAGGAAACUCGGUUUAUGAAAUCUUAGCACCAGAUUAUAGGCUAUAAGACUGUCAACGAGACAGCAGCAGAACGAAGCUUCACACCGUCAUCAUUCCACUUGUACUGUGGUGCAGUAGCUCCAGCAAUAAUGGCCUAAAACAUUUAAAGCAGACAAGAAUAUUGAUGAAACAAAUGCACACCAAAUAAGUCAAAAAAGUUAGUUAAGAAGAGAAACAUAAAUUCAAGAUUACAGGAUAAUUUAAUUCAUUUAGGAAAUUGUUGAAUCCAGUGAUCUGCAAGCAAUAGUGAGAGAUGAAAUUACAAAAGUGUACUAACCAGCAGAAUGAGCACUCUAAUUUUUCAGGACAAAAAGAAUCAAAGCUAUUUAAGAGAAUCGAAGCAACAUACUUUUCCACUAUUUACAGCAGCUACAAGUGCAACAUGUUGCUCAUCUCUACCAAACUCAUAGAAGUAGUAAGUCCUGAAAUGCAAAUAUUAUGGAAAGAUAUAAGGACACAGUUAUACUUAAAUUGCAGGAAUAACAGUAAUGAGAGGUGGUUUUCCUGUAAAGAUAUUGAAGUCAAGAAAGCUUUCUAGUCUGAAAGUGCAGGGAAGAAAGAAAAACAGGGUACUUCUAUGGUUGACAAAAAUCCAAAUUUUCCAUUUACACCUUUUAAAGCUUAAUGUUUUUCUCUCGUAUAGUAUUUAGAAUCCAUUCAUAAACAAGAUAGCAAUGUGUACUGAUAUGCUUUAAGAAACCUGUUCUUACCUAAAUCCUUCAUCCUCCUUUAUUUUUAUUGUGCGGGCAGAAUAAAGGGUUGCUCCACCUGCCAGGCCAUGUUCGGAAUUGAAAUAUCAACACCAAAAAACAGACAAAUCACUUCUGAAAAUGAAAGAAAGAUCUGAGGGGUAGACCAUGAAUUAUCUUGAUGGAUGGAAUGAUGUUCAGGCCUUUGCUCGAAAGUAAAAAGCAGGUAAAUCAACUAAUACCAAAAUACCUGGAACAAAUAUUUUAGCUGCCUCCUUUAUGGAGCCUAAAUCAGUAACAUCUUUGGCCUGCUCAAAAAAUUAUAAGAAGCCAAUUGUAAAUUUAGUAACAGGACUGCACAAUCUGUUCCCUUUCCAAAAAGGUUUUUUGCAUAUGCACAAAAAAUGAAAAACGGAAAUAGCUAAUGACAUGAGUUAUUUACACCAAUAUUGCUUUUCAUAUCAAAGUCAAGCAACCAUUGCUGGUUUUGAUUGAUUUCUGUAAAAUAGAAAUCGAUUUGUCAAAAAUCAGCUUUAAAGUUAAUUUAUAAGAAAGCAACUUCUGUUUUCCUCCUCAUGAUUACUUUUCUUCUUUCCGUUUGCAGUUCACACCCAACACCUUAAUUCCUCUUCCUCCACACCUCAAAAGUACAACCACAAAUAUUGAUGGACCUUACUUCAGUCUUGAUUGCAGUAAUUUCCCAUCUACAGCCAACAGAAGCUGCGAUACAAGCUUUAUUGCCUACAAGUAUGCUGUCGAAGUCCAGCUGCAUAAGCCUUGGAUGUUUGCUACCAUUAUGUUGUCAAAUUGCAGCUGCAAAUAAGCAGGCAAAAGCUAUCCAACUUCUCACCACCUCCCCAUGACAUUCCAAUUACUUUCUUUAGAUCAGUCAUUCACCUUAGUCAUCAAGUGGUAGCAGCUAGAAAUUGAAAACUUUGUAUGGGUCUUUGAAGCUGUAGAAAGGAACUCAUACGUAUACUGCUUCAAGUUCCAGCUUUAUAAAAAGGAACUCAGAAAUCAUAUACUUAUUUGACACUGAACACCUGCUAGUCAUAUAGCAUAACUUAGGAUCACUAGCUAGAAAAACUAAACAACUAAUCCACAGAAACUAAAUUGUCUUGGGGAGCUGGGAGGAAGUUGGCUGGAUAUAAUUUGGAAUUUACAACUGUAUUUUGACUGAAGAAUUGUAGCAAACUUUCAAGGCUUUUGCAGCUGUAUUUUCACAGCACACUUGCAGCAAACUGCCAAGUAUUCUACCAACAUGCAGGCACUAUUUGAUCAGCCACUUGUCCGUCUCUUACAGUAACAGUAUCUUACUUCAUUCACAUCUGACACUUGGUCUGUCUAUUUUUCUCCUUCGUUUGACUACUCAUUUGUUUCCUUCUGAAAACAUGUAAAAUGCUCAAGACCUUGGUUUAUUGUGUUGGUGUCAUGCAAAUACUCAUACUGGUCCAUGUGUAUUUGGUUAUGUCACCCUGUGUGCGUCUUGUGAAUUGCAAAAGGAAAAAAAAAAAAAAAGAAAGAAAACAAGAAAAGGGGAAAAAAGGAAGUCAAUUCCUCUCCAAAAUCGACUUUCAAGUUGAUAUUUGAAAAAUCAAUUUUUAUAUCUAAGGGAACCAAAUAAAAGCAUCAUUAUUUCUUUAAUUUGGAAUAGAAUUUGUAAUAAUAGUGUAUGUAAGCCCAAAUAAAUCAUAUUAAAAAAAUAUUAUCAGAAUAUUCAGUUUUAAACUAUGGGUAUGUCAUAAACAGCAUGCAUAAUUCUUACAGCAACUGUUUCAUUUUUGCUUAAGGUGAAAGAAGCAUUUUCAGAUUGGUUUCUAAAAGAUUGACAUCAUUGUCAACAUUUCAUGAUGAAGCUAAUUGGACAAAUCAAUGUCUGAUGAGCUCAGAUACUUAAAUCAUCUCAUUUUUAGUCUUUAGUACCUUUUACUUGCGAUAAUGCUACAAAAGUAGCAGAUCCUGAGAGCUUUUGCUUUAGUGAAAGGGGAUUAUCUCCUCCAGGGAGUAGGAGUUAGCAAGCACUGGAUCAAGCUCAAAGCCCCACAUACAAGAGCUCAAGAACUCUCUUGUGGCAAUGAAAAUCUCCUUUUACAAAAACAGAAAGCUAAAGUAUGAUAAAAUAUUCUGCAGCUUUUGUCAAAUUACUUCAUACUAACCAUGGAAUAAUUUAUUACAACAUUGCAUGCAUUAUACUACAUAUCACAUCAUUUUGAUGCAUGCAAAUGAAAGUAAUGCUAAAGAAGUAUGCAAUCAAGUGACAGAAAUGGCAGGACACUUUUUGACAGCUUUCAAGUUUACUGUUUGUAAGACAAGCUUCUCUCCUCCAAGGAUGUGUCAGAUUUGAAAUGAGUUUUUAUUGUGGGAGAAGCUCCCGAACUCCAAAAGAUUUUUUGGUGGUGGUAUGUGGGGGGGGGGGGGGGGUGACAAAUGGAACAAUUUUCGGUUUGGUAUGCUUGCUUAUGCUUCUCCAAUGUCUUAUGCCUCAAUCUGGAAAGGUAGUGUAUAAUACAUAUACAUAUGGAAGUAUGAUACAAAAUAAGGCAUGUAUGGGUAUGUUCACCUUGUGGGGCAAACUCAAAAUAUAAGUUAAUCAGAUGUCUGUAUGCUUUAAAUAUUACCCAUAUUCUCCAUAUGAGUUUCCCCUUUGCACGAAAAAAUCAAGGGUGCCAGAAAGAAGUAUGAUGUGCCAAAAGGGGUUGUUCAUGCUUUUAGAAAUGGACAGCUUUUAUGUGUUGUAGGAGGAUUAGAAAACUAACCUUACUAUGUAUGGGGACAGGUUAUCAUGAUUGCUCAAACCAGCAGAAUUGUAAACUUGAAUAUAUUGGCUAAAAUCCAAGUUCAGACUUGGUUGCACACGAACAACAUGCUAAAUUCUUAUUGCACAUGGAAUACCCUCAGAGCAUAAAAAUUAGGUGUCAAUGUCACAUAUCGUACAGACUGUAACUCGGCUGGACUAUUUUAUUCCUAUUCUCAAAUCUCAAUUUAAGAUCAAGCCAUAGUUCUUUUUUCUUGAGUACUAUUGGUGCCAUAGCACCCAUUUUAAACUCAACAGAAACAAGGGAAAAAUGAAUUGGCCAUGCCCAUAACCAAAUUAUGCCACAUCUAGCACAAAUGAACUGAAGCCAACCAAAGUUUGACAAAUACAAGGAUGCCAACUGCAGAAAAGAAAAGGUGGGUUGCUCUUUCUAUAUAUUUCCCAAAUCACAUUAGAGGGGAAAUAGAUAUAUCACUUAGAGAUUACUUCUUGAGCAAAUAUUCUUAGUAAUCACUCUUGCCCUUCAUUUACAAAGUUUUACAAUAACUUACAUGCUUCAAACAAGGUGCAAAUUAUGGCCAAGUCCACCAAAAUAACCACUAGCGACUAGCGCUUCAUUUAUGAUGUUAAACCCAUAAAAAAAGAGAUUUUGACUCCUUUUGAGUCAGGAUUAUUGGGUUAAACUGGAGGAAAACUCCUAGGCCAACCACGGUCUAUGGUGGGAUGUCAAGGAUUUGUUGGAGAACAAACAUUAGAUGCACUUAAGAACAUCCAGUUCCCUAUUUCUCCCAUUUACAUACGAGUUGCUCAAAAAAUCCACCAAAAUGGAUCUCCUCAUCUACAUUGUCUGAUUCAAUUCACAGGUAAAUUUCGCACUGAAUCUGCAAGGUUCUUCGAUAUUAAAUCACCCAAUUCAAAUUCAAUGUUCCAUCCAAAUGUUCAAAGAGUAAGAAAUUCAUCCGCAGUUAGGGAUUACAUAUCAAAACAUUGAGACUUUGUCGAAUGGGGAAACUUCCGACCAGAUGGUUGGAAUAGAUUCUCAUUUAACAAAACGGGGGAGGUAUAUGCUGCUGCGCUUGCCAGGGACGAUAAGGGAAUGGCCCUUGAUGUCAUCAAGAAGGGUGAUCCUCGAUCAUUCAUUAUUCACUACGACAAAUUAUUGAGUAAUCUGGACAAAAUAUUCCAGAAGCCACCAGAACCAUACAUGACUCUCUUCCCUCAGGCUAAACGCGUUCCUACGUUCUUGAUAAAUUGGGCUACUCAAAAUGUAACUGAGGCUGCUAACAGAUCACACAGGCGCAUGUCCAUAAUAAUCGAAAGCCAAGUCGAACAGGUAAAACAUGUUGGGUUAGAAGUCUCAAUCCUCAAGCACACAAUUAUUAUGCAGGUCAUAUUGAUCUGGUCCAUCACUGUAAUAUUAUAGAUGACGUAAACUCUCAAUUUCUCAAACACUAGAAAGAAUUCAUAGGGAUACAAUGAGAUUGGUCAUUCAAUUGCAAAUAUGUCAAACCAAGGAAAAUAAAAGGGGGAAUUCCAACUAUUGUGCUCUGCAAUUCUAGUCUCAAUUUUUCGUAUCAUGACUACUUAAGUAUAUCAGAUUGCGUGGAUCUCCUCAACUGGACUAAGCACAAUGCAGCAUUCUACUUUCUCGAACAGUCUCUAUUCGCACUCACAAAUUAAAAUCAGGCACCACCUGUCCAAGAAAAAAAAGAAACAAACAACAAUAGUUAAGUUCGUAUGUGACUGUAUAUUCCUCAAUUCAGGCAAACUACAACCUCCGCAAAAGAGUCCUGAUCAAAAGUCAUACCCACAUCUUGUCGAGGCUAAUCAGGAGCCGUGCCCACAGGCAGUGUCUCUUGCAGAGGUUGUAGUUUGCCCGAAUUGACACCGACCAAGUGGUGGGACUGGUCUGGAACGUGGUGUCCCUUAUUGCAUCAAUUCCACUGGAGGAAUAUAUAGCCACAUGCAAACUUAAUUAUUGUUGUCCGCCUCUUCUUCGUCUUGUACAGGUGGUGUCGGCUAAUUUCUUAGAUUAUACGUUAAAAAAAAAACAAUCCAUCAAAUACACCUCUGACAUUGGGUGUUUCUUGUUCUAUAGCGGCCGUGCUGAUAAUAAAAAAUUCCACCGUCUGCAAAAAAAUCAGUUUCACAGCAGUGUUAGGUGCGGUGCCCAGUCAGCACGUCCGUGCCUGAGGAAACAGACUUCUGGUCUGCGCAUGUGGAUAGAUUAGAAAACAACCCCACCUCCCCAAGAGCAUCUCAUCUCAUUUUGUCAGUCAGCCAUGUUUGACCAUGCUUUAUGAGAACAAACAAAAUCAUUACUGUUGUAAUUAUGAGCAGUACCUGAUUAAUGUUCUUUUUUUUUUUUUUGAACCUUUUUUUGAUUUAUUGCGAGGUGGGCACGAAUGAAUGCUUCCGUAUUACUUUCUUUUUUUGUUAAAAAAAAUAUAUGAAAUAUCGGAUCGAAUUAGAGAUAAACCUUGACGUCAUUCUCGAAGUAGUAGUAUAGGUCGUCUUCGCUCUGUAGUUAUAACUUAUAAUCAAUCAAGCAGGAAAAAAAAACACUCUGUGAUAAAGAUGCGAUAUAUCUUGUAUAUCCUUUUUUUUAAUUUCGCUAUUCCCAGUACUUUUUGGUUUAAAGGUUUCGUAGAGUUAUUAAUUGAUGUCAAUUGUGAUACCUUUUUUAUUUUUAUUUUUAUCCUAUUGUUUGGUAUUUUCCCUUUAUCCAUCCAAAUUCAAAGGCUUAAUUUUUUUUUUUUGUCAAAAAUGACAUAUCUAUUUUAUUUUUUACAAGAUUACUGACAUAAGAUUUUGUUUACACAUUUAUCCUUUUACUAAUCUAGUUUGUACGUAAUGGCAAUUUAGAAAGACAUUAUUUGAAUUGUCAUUUUUAAAAUAUUUUUAUAUUUUUUGUGAAUAUACUUUUUCAAUUACCUUUUUACUUUACAUAUAUCAUGUCGUUAUAAUAAAUUUAUUUUUUUCACAAAAAUCCUAGAAAAUAGCAACCUAAACGGCUCUUAUAUAUGUUGAUUUGAUGUUGUCAUAGUAAGUCGAUUUUGAGACUAGUCAUAUUAUUGGGUCGGAUCUUACCCAAAUCCAAUAUAAUUGGAUUGCAUUUUGAUUUAAUUUCUUAAACUCACACCCAGACCCUGUAAUUCCAUACCAAAAUCCAAACCCAUGUAUAUAUAAUUAAAUACUAGUGUGUGUGUGUAUCUAUACAUAUAUACUAGUAAAUAUAUAAAAUAAUAUUGGACAUUGAUAUAAAACUUUGAAAAUAAAUAGAAGUAGUUAAUUUAGUUCAUAAUAUUGCACUUCACUUCUUGAAUAUUAAUUUUAUUAUUUGAAAGUAAAAAUUGGAUGAUAUUUAUAUUAUUUUUGAACUCUACAUGUUUUAAUAAUUUUUUAUUUUAGUAUGUUUAGAAAAACAUAACGAAUAUCCGUUGGAUAUUAUAAGGUUUGAGUCUGAAUUUGCUUUUUAGACCCAUAACAGUUUGGAUUUGGGUUUGGAUUUAAUCAAAUUUAAUAGAUCUAGAUUUGGAUAAAAGAGAUUACACUCAGCUUGUACCUAUUAACAUGCCUAAUCAAAAGAUAGAGUAGUUUCUUCAAAAAAAGAAAAGAGAGAGAGAGAGAGAGAGUAGUUAAAAGAGAAGAGUAAUUAUGGGAGAGUGCCAAUUUGUAGUCUGGCGUCUUCAAUAAACAAUAAUAAUGUCAUACAACGUAAAUUAAGUCAACGUAGCUUCCAAGAUACUACUUAACCCCUAAAAAAAAAAAGACUCCUUUUAAUACACUCCUAAGUCAUGAAUGGUAGCAUAUGUACAAUUAUAAUCCCUUUACUAUUUAGAAGGGAAUUAUAAUCCCGCAGACCAGAAGUCUGUUUCUUCAGGAGCACGAGCACGUCCGCGCCAGACAUUUGCGCAGACCAGCAGUCUGUUUGCUCAGGUGCGGACGUGCUGACUGGGCACGUCCGCACCUGACACUGCUGCAAAACUGAAUUUUUUGCAGACGGUGGAAUUUUUUAUUAUGCGGCCGUGCUGACGCUAUAGAACAAGAAACACCCACUGUCAGAGGUGCAUUUGACGGAUUAUUUUUUUUUAACGUAUAAUCUAAGAAAUUAGCCGGUGGUGUCUGAUCUUGAUUUGUAAGUGCGAAUAGGGACUGUUCGAGGAAGUAGAAUGCUGCAUUGUGCUUAGUCCAAUUGAGGAGAUCCACGCGAUCUGGUACAUUUAAGUAGUCAUGAUACGAAGAAUUGGAACCAAGAUUGCAGAGUAUAAUAGUUGGAAUUCCCCCUUUUACUUUCCUUAGUUUGGCAUAGUUACAAUUGGAUGACCAAUCUCGUUGUGUCCCUUGGAAUUCUUUCCAGUGUUUGAGAAACUGAGGGCUUACGUCAUCUAUGAUGUUAUACCAGGUAUUGUCACAGUGAUGGGCCAGAUCAAUAUGGUCUGAAUAGUAAUUGUGUUCCUGAGGAUUGAGACUUCUAGCCUAAUGUGUUUUACCUGUUCGACUUAAGUCCUCAAUUAUUAUGGGCAUGCAUCUGUGUGGUCUGUUAGCAGGUUCAGUUAUAUUUUGAGUAACCCAAUUUAUCAAAAACGUAGGAACGCGUUCUGCCUGAGGGAAGAGAGCCAUGUAUGGUUCUGGUGACUUCUAGAAUAUUCUAUCGAGAUUACUCGAUAAUUUGUCACAGUGAAUGAUGAAUUAUCAAGGAUAGCCCUUCUUGAUGACAUCAAGGAUCAUUUCCUUAUUGUCCUUGGCAAGCGCAACGGCAUAUACCUCCCCCGUUUUGUCAGAUGAGAAUCUGCUCCGCCCAUUUGGUCUGAAGUUUCCCCAUUCGACAAAAUCUCCGUAUUUUGAUAUGUAAUCCCUAACUGCGGAUAAAUUCCUUGUGUCUUGAACAUUUGGAUGGAACAUUAAAUUUGAAUUGGAUGAUUUGAUAUCGAAGAAUCUUGCAGAUUCAGUACGAAAUUUACCUGUGAAUUGAAUCAGACAAUGUAAACGAGAAGAUCUAUUUUGAUGGGUUUCUUGAGCAACUCGUAUAUAAACGGGAGAAAUAGGAAACUGGAUAUUCCUAAUUGCAUCUAAUGCUUGUUCUUUGGUAAGAACACACUUGGAAUAGGUGAGGAAGAUGUUCUUUGCGUUGAUGAAGAAGGAAGAAGGAAUUUGAAAUGAAUGACCCAAAUCGGACAGAGCUGAGCUAGCCCGGUUUAGGCCACCCAUUGUGCACUUGCAACUGCAAACACACCAAAUCCCAAGGCCCAUGGACCAAGGUCUACCUAAGAAUUUUCCUACAAUGAAAGCCAAUACAGGCCCACUGUUUGUCCAUGUUUCAAUGCAUUCAACAUUGCAAUAGCAUCAGUCAUAACGUUGAAAGAACUUACUCCCCUCUAGAGCACCUCCUCUCCCGUUCCACCAAAUGCCUAAAUCUGCUAUGCUCAAAUCUUUUCAUUUAAUUGAAACCUAAUACAUUUGGAAAUCAAUAGGACACUCAGUACAAAUAUUAGCUAUAUAAGCUCAACUUGAAUCCAAACUCAUCAAUGGUAGUAACUAGGGUUACACGACAUAAGAAAAAACAUGGCAUAUAUACUUUCAUGAAUCCUCUAGAAUAAAUUUGAAAAGACCUAGAAAACAUUCAAAAACUACUUUUGCCCAUAUAUCAAUAAACAUAAGGCAUGAGCAACUUUGGUGUUACACCUUUUGAUCGUUCCAAAAAUAUGCUCAAUCACAUGCUACUAUCACAUGGCUACCUAAUAACAACAACAUCCAAUAAUUUUCACUCCUUUUUUUAUGUCAUUUUCUUUUUAGUUCCCUUGCUAAAUCCAUUUUUCUAAAUUGCACAAAUUUUAAGGUGUGAGCUUCCAUUAUGCUAAAAUAUGUCAGGGGUGGGGGUUUGGCAUGUUUUAGUCUUGUUUUAGAUGUGCAAAAGUUUUAUUUAAACACUAUCUACAGUAACUUGUAAAAACACUCAAGUUUUAUAUAAAAACCACCAACGAAAACACCCAACAAUACCAAAAAAACCCACAUCCAUUCCCACUUCCACCACCAUUCCCACUUCCACCACCUACGUUACUAGGAGUUGGGUACGAGUGUUGAAUUCGAGUAUGUGUAAGUGUCUAAUUCGUCAACUAUCUAAAAUUAGGCUGAUUCCUUUGAAUAUCAAUGAAAAAAUCGCACAAAUAUUGUUCUGAUAGGGUGCUUUUCUUCAACUCUGCCUGCCAACUUGGGAAAAUUCUUUUUUUAAAAAAAACACCUAAAGGCUGCCAAGUUGACUAAGCACGACAAGCUUGGGGAAAUUUGAAUCUAGAAUACCGGCUACGUGCAUCACCUUCUGCUGACAUCUACGUUCUCGGGUGAGUUUGAUCAACAAACAAAUCGCCCUUGAUUAUCUCUAAUGACAUCUAAAUUAGGUAACCAAAUUUCACGAGUACUCCUCUCUAAUCCCUUGGACAUUUAGGUUUCAAGAAAUUGUUCCUUUAAACGCUAGUAAUGUCUUGGGUACAGAAGACAACGGGCCAGCUAAAAAAUGGUUAGCACUUAUUAAGAAAACUAUAAGCAGUCUUCUAGGCACAAGUGGUGGUUACUACACGCCUCCCUAGUCCCUGAACAGUCUUCCGGGCACAAGUGGCAGCUGCUACACGCAGGGCCAGCUUUCUUUUUGAAAAGAAUCACCUGACAUGCCCUACAGAUUUCAUCCUUUUUUUCUUUGGCAUCAUUUCUGCCGGGCUGAGUCAUUCAAUUUUUUCAAAAACAAAAAAAAAAAUUAGCUAGGCUGUCGAGCUGAGUCAGCCCGGUAGCCUUCAGAUUUUAUUUUUUUUAAAAAAAUAUUUUCCCAACCCUACAUUUACUAAACCCGGCAGGUAUAGUUGAAGAAAAUCCUGUCAAAACAACAUAUGUGCAAUUUUUUUUCACUGGUAUUCAAAGGAAUUAGCCCUAAAAUUAGGAUAUGCGGACACUUCUAAGGACUCAAAACACGAGUACAUGGGUACAGCAAAAUUUCUAGUAAACAUAUGAUUUGGCAAAUUUCUUAAAUUAAUACUAAAAAAUAUAUUUGUCCUUUAAAUGAGGAAAUCUCCAAUCCGUUUCUCAAUCUAGUGAUGCCACAUCUAUUUAAAUAAAUUUUUUUUCAUUUUUUGGAACAUUGUAUGUGGCACUUCUCACAAAAUUGUAUUUGCAUUUCAAUCCUUGAAUUGAAAUGAAAAUUUUUUUUAAUGACCGUGAGAUAUGCCGCAUCAUUCACACAAUCUGUUAGAGGUGUUGCACACUCACAAUAUAAAAAAAAUUUUUCCAUCAAUGCAGUGUGGCACCUCAAAUGAUUUUAAAAUAUAUAUAUAUAUAUAUAUAUAUUGCAAUGGCUAUAACAGGGCAAUAUUUUUUUAAAUCAUUAAUGGAAAUUUUUUUAAUAUUGUGAGGUGCCACACAGAGCAGCGUGCAGUACCUCUAAUGGAUUGUAAUUAUGAGAGGUAUCGCACACCCUCUCACGGUUAUUAAAAAAAUUUGACAUUUAAGUCUCUAUCUAGGGAUUGAAAUGCAAAUAUAAUUUUAUGAGAUGUGAGCACACUAUUUCAAAAGAAUGAAAUAAAAAUUUAAGUUUGGUGCACUAGAUUGAGAAACGGAUCGAAGAAAUGAGGGGCAAAUUUAUUUUUCGGCAUUAAUUUAAGAAAUUUGCCUAUGUGAUUUAUAGAGUAUAGCCAAACAUACAAGUUAAUAGCCCAAUAAAGAUUGGAGAAUUCUAAAUCAUAGCUCAUUAAGGAUUCCAGUGUAACAAGUCUUCUAUAUCCAUGAGUUUUCUCAACCAUGUCUCCUCCCCAUCAACAUCACAUCUCACAAAAGUCAAAGUUUUUGACGUGUCAAACUUGUAUCCCAUACUAGCACCAGCGUCAGGUCAUGUCAGCACGGGUACUUUGGAGUCAAAUGAAGAGUCCAAGUAACAUAGUCCACCAGCCCACCUCCUCCCACCACUCUCUCCCUCCUUUUCUGCCACCGUUUCUUCUACCCGCUCCCUCCUACUUUUCUCUUCCCUUCUGUUCUUUUCCCCUCCACCACCAAAGCGGCCACAUCCACCCCCUUUUUUCCCCUCUUUUAGAGGAAGGGGUGAGGAGGGAAAGAGAGAGUGGAGGGGGAAAGUGGGGUGGGUAUGGUGGCUUGGAUGGUAGAAGGGGAAGAGUGGGGAGGGGUGGUGGAUAUGGGGAAGGAGGAGAAGUGGAGGAGAAGUGGGGAAGGAGAAGGGGGGAAGUUGGUGGAUAGGGGGAAAGAUGAGGUGGGGAGGAGAAGCGAGGAUGGAGGGGGAAGGGAGUGCUUUCAAAAAUUCAUCAAUUAUAUGAUGUUUUGGAAAAACUCCUAAAACCACUGUCGUGAUCUAUAGUGAAGUUUUAUACAAAAUCCCAAAAAACAACCAUCUAUUUGGACCCAGCAUGGCGAUGCGUGUUUACUCAAACAACAUUAGUAAAUACUUGAAUAUCCCAAAGAAAGGCUUCAGAUGGGCAUGAACUAACUUUUCUGCCAUUUUUGCUACAUGAUAACCAAAUACAUGCAAUAGGAUAUAUAUUAAAAGAAAAGGUUCCAUUUUGCAGGAAUUGAACAGAGAGCACUUGUUAAGAGUCUUCAAUUUUUUGUCUUAAAAUGAAAGUUUGAUUCUCGCUAUCCCCAUCCCCUUUGCUCUCCUUUCUUCCAAAAGCUCGCCUCUAAAUUAUUGAGAAACACAAAGUGGUACUUGAUUGCAUGAAUUGCUCUGCUCACAUAAAAUAGAGGUAUAGACUACCCCUCAAAAGCCUUUCCUUUGAAAAUGAUCAUUUGGCAAAGAGAAAUGACAGCACAUGACAGUUAUCUUGACGGAAACAAAAGGCAAACAAGAAUGAAUGUUAGCUUAGUUUCUCAAUGCGUAGGCAGCCAAAGAAUUUUCUGUUUUGGAACAUCUUCUUAUCUAGCUCAACUACCAGACAGUAGAUGCUUCAAAUGCGACAAUAAAGCAAUAAGAGUGACAAAAGUAAAUCAGUUUCUGGUGUUACUGAAAUUAAUUCAGAGUAAGCACUACAAUUCCACUUACCAACCUCUAAGAAUGUGAUCUUCAGUUGAUUAGAAGGGCGAAUGACAACAGUUAACACUUCGGAUCUGGAUCACAAGCCAAAAGUGUAAAAAUUGAUUGUUAAUGAACACAAAUUCAAGUCUAAAACUCCAGUAACUUAAAAAAAAUUAAAAAAAUUACCAUUACAUGGAAUGGUGAAGGAAGAUGAAGAGGUAGAUGAUCAAGCGAGUAAAGUGAUAAUGGAAAACAUAGAGAUGCUACAGAAUGUACUCAACAAAGCCCUUAAAAUUCACUCAAAAUCCUGUCUGAUCAAUCACCAGGGGAAUUUAUGGCAAACCAAACAUAAAUUCCUGAAGAAGGCAAAAGUUAAACUUUGUAAUAUUAGCAACUCAGAAACAUUCUGUUGUCUCAACUGUUCAUUUUUCCCAAAGUAAUAACUUGAGAAUGCCAAGAACAUUUUCACAUUGAUUUCUUCUAUACAAGCUUCAAUACAUUCAGAUUCUGAUCCAACUUAAAAUACUUUAGAAGGGCUGCAACAACUAACUAGGUUCCUUUUAGGCACUGGAUGAUGGAGGGGCAGACAACAUAAAGACAUGAAUUCAAAGCCCUUUAUUGCGAGGAGACGUAUCUAUAUAAAUCAGUCACUCAGCCGAAAGCCAAUGGAAAAUACCAUAUUCUACAUCUCUUCUUCCACAGCCAUAUGUCAGUAAUUUGAUAUUGAUAUUGAUAUUGCCUUUGUGCAAAAUUUUCAACCCAAAAGGGCCAGAAAGACAAGGCAGUCCAAGAGAAAAGGACUGAGGUCAGGAAAACAAGGUUCUCUAUCUCCUCUUAAGUCACCAAGUAUGGUACAAUAACUAGACUCCUAGAAACAACCAAGAAGAACAAGCUGAAAUGACAAUCCUUAUGCCUGUUGGGAAAAGAAGGUGGCAGUGACUGUUGGAGGAGUGGUCAAAGUUUAGCACUAAGCCUUUAUCUUAAGGGCCAAAACAAAAAUAUACAAGCUAAAAGCUAAUAAGCAUAGGGAUUCCUGGACUCAAAAAGUCUUGCCACCCAUUUGGUUCACGGGUUUUGACACUCCCCACUGGGUAUAGCUGGGAUUGACACCCAUACAUGAUGCUUAGUUUAGCUCUAUGGAUAUGUAUCUAUCACUUUCAAAAAACCUAAAAUUAGGCAAUGGCCAUUAUAGACCAAAUUGGGCAUAGGCACUUUCAGCCCAUAAAAGAAUUUGAAGUGCAAACAAAAACAAAAAAGAAAAAGGAAAAAAGAACACAACAGUGGAUCUCUUCCAAGUUUCUUUCUCCAGUGAUGCACGCCUUCCCCUCACAGCCUGGAAACUCUCAUCAAUUUCCCCUUCUUUUGGCCUCUUCCCUCCUGAAAUUCUCAGCAAUAUCCCCUUCUCUUUUGGGCCCUUAACUCCUGAAUUCUCAUUGAUUCCCCUUCUCUUUGGCACCUCCUAAUUACAAUGCAUAACAACAUGGCAACAUGGCAGUGAAGAUUUUGUGGCAGUGGUCAUGGUUGUUUUGGUUAACAGGCUAAAUUUCAUGAGUCUGGUAUUUGUUUCAACUUUGGUGCAGUAGGUGUCAAUCUAAAUUUUAUAAGUUUGUCUUAUAUUCUAUGGCCUACUUUGAGUUAUAUUAAUUCAGAUUUACCUCUUCCACAUCAAGGGUACUAAUCUGAGUUUGAUCUCAAUUUGAGAAGGGCUGGAGCUGGAGAUGCCUUAGCUGGCAGCGCACUUGUCUGUUAGAGGUGAAGUUGGACAGUAGCAAUGAAAGAGGAAGCUUGCUAUGGAAACAGAUAAAGGAAGGAAGAAUGAAAUUGAUGAAGGAAAAAAAAACUGUGACCCAUUACUGAUGGAGAUUAAACCAAACAACCUAAAAAGGUUUGACCAACACCCAUUGACAUCGAGGAAUUUUCAUAUCCAUUACCAUUGUCAUUGAGGAAUUUUCACAUCAAGGGUACUAAUCUGGGUUUGAUCUCAAUUUCAUUUUCAGAAGGGCUGGAGGUGCCUUAGUUGGCAACGCAUUUGGCUGUUAGAGGUGGGGUUGGACAGUAGCAAUAAAAUAGGGAGCUUGUUAUGGAAAGAGAUAAAGGAAGGAAGAAUGAGACUGAUGAAGGGAGGGAAAACAAACAAUAACCAUGGAGAUUAAACCAAACAACCUAAAAAGGUUUGACCAACAACCUUAACAUUGAGGAAUUUUUAUAUCCAUUACCAUUGUCAUUCCGUAGUAUCUAACAAAUGGGUGGUCACCCAGCCAAAUUAGCAGCAUACCAUAUCAGAGCAAUUCAUUGUACCAAAAAGAGAAAGGACUCCAUCACUUGCUCUUAAAAGGAAGGACGGAAGGUAAUAGGCAAGAGAGAACCAAUAUUACGUUUGUUCUCUUGAAAGUUACUGUGUAGCAAUUUCAAAGUCCUAGCAAGCAACAUUCUUGAAGAAUUACUUUGACGAAUCAAUAUUAUAAUGGUACAAGGUCAAAUAAUGAGAAAGGGUUAGGACAAAGAGGCAUCAGUAAAUGUUUCCUGCCACAAGCAGUUGAUCAACUAGAACAGAUACUAUUGCAGGCCUCUAUGCAAGAAAGAAGUGGAAUUAGAUUUCACAAGCAUAGUUAACACCAAGAACAUUGCAUUAAUCAGAUCUCUAGAAAAUCUUUACUUUAGUUGAAUAACCAGGAUAAGACUUAAAACUUGAUAGCAAGAAAGUGCCACCAUAUUGUCACCAAAUGAGCCAACUUCACAAACUGAAAACCCAGUAAAAAUCACUAAAACACUCUAAUGAGACCUGAAAAUAUCAGGCAUGUUAAUGUCUACUAAGUGCCUCUCCACACCAACCUACCAAAAUUAGAGGGACUAUUUUCCACCUAACUUCUUAACCCCAUAAAACCUGCUCAGCUGCAUUACCAUUGCAACUGAGAGCCAUAUCUUUGACGAGCAAUCUCAAUCACAUGCUAAAUUGUUCAUAAGAAAGAGUCAUUACAUUAUAUAGUGUUCACUUCAGUUUAUGUAUUUUGCUGGAAAUUCUGGGUUCUCAAAAGAUAUUUUUCACAAGUGAAACAAAAAAGGAACAGGACAAGGCAAUUGUAAAUGAAACCAAACAUCAGAACAAUUACCCAUCUGGAGAUGCAAAUCGCGCAGCAAAAGUCUUUGGCUUUGCCUUAUCUCCAUACAGAGACAGUCCAGCGUUAUAAUCCUAUAACACAGAAAAGAUUAGACCCUGUACAUUAACAAAAAUGAGAUAUCUAAGAUAUUAGCAGAAGACCACUAUCAAAACGUAGGAAGCUGGUUAAUUGAGAUAUCAUAGUGUUACUGCAUCAUAACUGCAUUUGGUGAUUAGUAUGCACUUUUACCAAAUAGUGAGUAUUUGGUACCAAAACAUAUUCAAAGGAAGCUGCAAGAUUUAGAAAGAAAGCCACUAAACAAGAUUACAAUUCAUCUGCUGGUAAAACUAAAACAUUACUAGCAAACAGUAAACUUAAAGAAAACUUUGAAAUUUGCUUCAGCUGCAAUGGAAGUCCUUUCAAGAUGUUCCACAGCAAAUUUGAUCCAAAUUACAGUUUUAACUUGGAAUAGAGUCCGCAUUUUAGCUUGAUUUUGUUCAUUAUAAUUGUAAUUUUGAAGAAACUCAGAGUUAGAAUGAAUUGCUUCAGGAAAGUUACGGCUUUUACUGAUCUUAACAACUUUACAGUCAAUCUCAUGAGUUUUCCACAAGUAAGUAAGUUUGGCUAGUUGGAAUACUGUAAUAUGUGAACUCUACAGAGUGGAUAAGAUCAUUGUAUGAGCAUACGGAAUUUACUUUUUAAUUUUUCCAACAAAUCAUUUUGAACCUUUAAAAAAAAAAAAAAAGAAUGAGAAGAAAGUUCCCUAAUGGAUCUAAUCUAGCUUUUUAAAAAAAUGGAGAGUUUCACUAAAUACCAAAAAAUGUUACACAAAUGCAGCUUACCAAACUGUGACAUCAGUCCAAUAAUACCAAUGAAUUACUAAACAAAUAUUUAAAAAAGAACAAGCUUAAAAGAAUUGGUUCCAAACCUCAGGCUCCAAGAUGUCUUCAAACUGAGGUGGGACCCGGAUGGCAAAUCCAUCGCCAUAGAACUGAAACCAAGAUUUGGUAUUGGCAAUUCCUGAUAGAAAAGAAGUUGAUGAUGCUUCAGCAGCAGAAGAUGGGGGGAUUUGAGGGCAUUGAAGGACCAAGGAGAGGACAGAGCUCAGUGAAGUGGUAGUGAAAAUAAUACCAAGCCUCCUUGAGAUAAGAAUGCUGGGGUGCUUGAGAGGUGAAAUGGGCUUUCUUGAAAUGGGGUUUUGAGGGGGUUUCGGAAAGAGGGAGAGGAGGAAAGUGGACAUGGCCAUGAAAGAUGGUGGAGACGAUGGGGAUGGAGACAGGGAGUGGGAUUCAUGGCUGGUGAUGUGGGGAAUAGAUAAUGUGGGACAGUUCUUGGGGAUUUUAUCUGUGGGAAUCUUUUGCGCUUAGGGGGUUGGUGGUAAUUUCAAAAAAUGGAAUUCAGGAUGUGGAGAAAAUUAUAAAGAGGGAAAAUAGCGAGAUUGCACGCAAAGUAAAUUUGACGGUUUUGGAGACAUAUUUGGACAAUGACAAAUUCCAAUUUAUACUCCAAAACUUAAAUGCGUUUGGUAAGAGGUUUCGAAAUGAAAAAUUAAAAUAAAUUUCAUAAUUAUUGUUUGGAUUACUACUAUCAGAAUUGAAAUUUUGGAAUCAUAUAUAAAAAUUUGGAGUUCCCCAAUUCCCUAAUAACCUGGAGAGUUUUUAAAAAAAUCCAAAUCUGAUUCCUGUUUAGAAACGAGGCUCGUCCGGCCAUCCGUUAAAAAAUUAAUAUAUAAUUAUAUACAUAUUUAUAUAAUUAUAUAUAUCAUAUAUAUUAUAUAAUUAUAAUAUUUAAUUAUAAUUAUAUAUUUAAUUAUAAUAUUAGUAUACUUAUUAUAAUAUAUUUAUAAUAAUAAAUAUAAAUAUAAUUAUUAUAUACACAUACAUAAUAUAUUAUAUAUAUUAUAAUUAUUUAAUUAAAUAUAAUUAUAUUGUUAUAAUAUAUAUUAUGAAUUUGUUAAUAUUGUAUAAUAAUAUAUUUAUAUUAUUUAUAAAUAUAUUUAUAAAUUUAUAUUAUAUGUGCACAUAAUUAUAAUAUAUUAUAUGUGUAUAUAAUAAUAAUGCAUUAUAUAAUUAUAUUUGUAUUUAUUAUUAUAAAAUAAUAAUAUAUAAUAAUUAUAUUUAAUAUAUUAUAAUUAUAUAUUUAUAUUAUAAUAUUUGUAUAAUUAUAUUCAGUUAUAUAUAAUAUUUAAUUUAAUUAGCUACAAACUUAUAAUAAUGAUAUUAUUAGUUGUAUAUAUUAUAUAAUGCAUAUUAGUAUAUGUAAUAUAAUUGAUAUUAUCAAUUAUACUAAUAAUUAUACAUGUUUACUUAAAAAUCGAAGCAAGAAUAUCAUUAAUAAAACAUCAACCUAUAGAUCAACUCUCUACAUCAAAAACAAAUGAAAUAGUUAUUUCUGCAAACCCAUUAGAUGAAAAAUAAUAUUUAAAUAUAAUUGAGAGAAUAACAUUUCAAAGAUGGUAUGCUUUAGUAAUAGUAAUGGUAGAAGAUUUUAAGAAAAUAUUUGUAGCAUUAUUAGAUAGUGGAGUAGAUCAGAGUUGUAUAAAAGAAGGAUAAUCCCAACAAAGUAUUGAGAAAGCACAAAUGAAAAAUUAAGAACUGCAAAUGGAGAAAAAUUACAAGUAAAAUAUAAAUUUACUACGGGAUCAAUAUGCAAUAAUAAUUAUUGUAUAAGACAUAAUUUUAUUAUAGUAAAAAAUAUUCACAUAGAUAUAAUUUUAGGAACACCCUUCUUUAUUCAAAUAUAUCCUUUUGCUGUAAAUAGUGAAGGAGUUCACACAAAUAUUAUGGAAAAAACAAUAACUUUUAAAUUUCUAACACCAAUAAAACAAAAAGAAUUACUAGUAUUACAAUCAUCUUCUAUCUAUAAAACAAUAAAUACUAUUCAACAUGUUAAACAACAAAUCAAUUAUUUUAAAGAAGAAAAAUCAUAUUUAAAAAUAGAAGAACAAUUAAAAUAAACAACUAUGCAAAAAGGAAUUUUAGAAUUAGAAGAAAUAAUAAAAAGAGAAGUAUGCACAGAAAUACCAAAUGCAUUGCAUGUAAUUAUAAUAUAUUAUAUGUGUAUAUAAUAAUAAUAUAUUACUCCCUCCGUCCCAAUAUAAGAGACGUUUAUAGGGAAUGCAACUUUUUAUAUACAUUGGUAUCAUUAUUGACAGUCAAGCCUUUGUUCCAAAUUUACCCCGUCGCAAGUACAAUGGUCAGCUGCACUUUGUGUUUUUCAUGGAGUAAUGAUUUCGUGGGUCCCAUCUUAACCAAAAGCAUCCCUUUGUAUGUUAGAGACACGCGCUAUUAUUGGCCUUAUAAAGUGAGAGUUAGUCUCACGUACUCCUCUGACUUUUCCAAAUGGAUAAUAAAUAGAAGGUCCCACCAAAUUUAUUUGGAUUUUCUAGCACAUGCACUAUGAGGGCAAGGACGGAACAUUAGAAGGAAAAUAGUGUAGCGUGACUCUAAUUUUGGGACAAUGAAAAAGGUGAAACAUGCAUUAACAAUGGGACGGAGGGAGUAUAUAUUUAUAUUUAUUAUUAUAAAUAUAAUAAAAUAUAAUAAUUAUUAUAUUUAAUAUAUAAUAUACAUUAUAAUUAAUAUUUAUAUAUAUUAGAUAAUUAUAAUUAUAAUUAUAUAUAUAAUAUUUAAUUUAAUUAGUUACAAACUUAUAAUAAGGAUAAUUAUUAGUUAUAUGUAUUAUAUAAUAUAUAUUAAUAUAUGUAAUAUAAUUGAUAUUAUCAAUUAUACUAAUAAUUAUAUAUAUUUACUAAUAGAAAUUAUUAAUUAGUUAUACUAAAUUUACUAAUACAUUUAUAAUAAUACAUUUAAUUAGUGAAAAUUUCUUAUAUCCUAUUUUGAAAGAGCCAAUGAACCAAACAUCAACUAUAGUAAUGAUAUACUCAAACAGAUAUAUUGGAAUGACUGACUCAUUCCAAACUCAGAAUGAAUGAUUUCAAACCCAAAUCCAAUUCCAAGGUGUGAACCAAACGCCACCUUAUAUCACCUUUUCACUUUAUAAUUUUAAUUUUAAUUUUAAACAUUUUGCAUCCUAACUGUCAAAUUUGUCCCAUUUAAAUCCAAUCAAUAGCUACGUUUGCAAAAUUAACCAGAUAAAGGAUUGUAAAAAUUAAUGACAAUGUAUGGCUUUAAUUACUAAUAUUGUUAGUAAAAUUAACGAGAUAAAUAAUGGUGCAAGUUAAUGCCAAAGUAUCUUUUUUUUUUUUUAACUACGAUACCGUGGUACCUUUUGACCAUUUUCGGCAUAUUAUCAUUGAUUUCUUAUAUCCUCUAUGCACUUAAUUUUUCUAAGUUUUUACUAUUUGGAUUUAAGCAUGAUAAAUUUGAAAGUUCAAGGAGCAAAGUGUCUAAUUUUGGGAAUUUGGGGUGUAAAGUGUUCAGAACUAAACUUUAGGGUAUAAAAAUGGGAAAGUGAUAUAAAUUUAGGGUGCAAAAUAGAAUUAGCCCUUUGGACUAUUGAUAUUUGAAUAUAACUAAACAAUUUGAUUAAAUUCCUAAUCUAAAGUUAAUCAACUAUUCUUAUUCCUCAAUUUUUCGCACGAAGCCUUUUAGAAUUUCAAACUGUUGGACAAUUUGAAUCUUCUACAUUAUAUAUGAUUCCAAACUCAUAAUGUUUCUGAGACUAUAAUAGCGUUUAUUUGUUUUGCUUGUGUUGUUUUAUUUUAUGGCUAUAGCACAAAGAUGAAGAAAAGGCAAUAACAUGUUCCAUAGACAAUACAAUGAAAAGUUACCAAAUUUAUUAGACAGGCUUUUUAGAUUUUCUACAGCUUUGUUGUCAUCCAGAGUUCAGACUUAACCCCUUCUUGUUUUGGGAUAUGGUAGUAUAUUUGUUAUGAUUUGAAACCAAAUUCCAACUUCAAAUAUUUGUUAUAUGUGAAUCAAUUAUACCUCUCUUUUUUUUUUUUUGUCAAAUAAAUUAUACCACUCUCAAUUUUUGUGUUCGAAUAUUCUGUGCAUGUCUUUAUUUCCAAUUGCGAAAACACUUUAACCACAUUUCGAGAUUUUUUUAAUUAAAACAAUUUAUUUAAAAUCAUAUUGGAAUAGCUCCUAAAGUUAAUUAGUAAUAGUAGCUGAAAGAAACUUUGGCAACUUGAGAGUAUUUUUGCCCCAAGGAAUGUCAUUGCUAUACCUAUUAGUCCAGCAAGAGCAUGUUGAGUCCUUAAGUCAUGACUAUAUAAAUAUUUUUCAGUGUUCAACUAUAAAGAAUUCAGACAAUCACUUGCUCAAUUUUAGGUAUUUCAUUUGUAUUUUAGCCAUCAAGACAGGUUUGAUUUAGGAAUUCUUCCAAGCCAUACCCGCCAAAACAGUGUAUGUUGUAUACCCGCCAAAACAGUGUAUGUUAUUAGUCCAAAAGGCCCCUAUCCUUUUUCCAUGGUUCAGAAAUUAGAACGUUAUCUGAUUCAAAUCCAGCCAAGAAUUCAAGCCACUCAAAAAUAUGAACCCCAAAAAUUCAUCAGAAAACUAUCUGAGCAAGAGAAGGAAAAUCACUUUCUGUUUCCAACUUCCAAUGUCCAAAUUCUUCGCUUUCAUAUCCCACCAAUCCUGAUCUGUUGCCGUUUUAGUUUCCCCCUGCCAUGGAAACCAUCCUCUCCCCUUCUUCAUUCUGCCCGCUCUUCAACCCCAAGAUUUCAUCCCUUCAAUCCAAACCAACUUCCCUAGUACUCGGUAAAAGUAGCAGUACCAUUUGCUCUUGCCUCGAGAAACAACCAACUCAGUUAUCUGUUAGUGAUAAACAAUCUUCUUCAUCUCCUACAAAUUGGCUUUCUCAUGUCCAGCAAGGUCUUGCAGCUCUAGCAAUUUCUCUUGCACUCAGUUACUGCCCAAUCUUACCUACUCACUCUGCAUUUGCAUCUGAAUUUGAUGUACUAAAUGACCGUCCACCAACAGAAUCAUAUGUGGUUGAUGAUGCUAAUGUUCUUAGCAGGCUCACAAAAUCCGACUUGAAAAGAUUGUUAUCUGAUCUUGAAUCAAGAAAAGGGUACCACAUUAAUGUCAUCACUGUCCGAAAACUCACUGUAAACCUUUUUACUCUGCCUUUCCCUUAAUUUCAUCAUUUUGAAUAUCCUUUUUCUUUUCCCCUUUUGGAAGACAUAAAAUGGAUUUUUUUUGUGUGAACUAAUUUGCUGUCUUUCACCAUGAAUUGCUCCUUGUUUGUCUUGUGUGAUGCUGAAUUACUUCACCAAUUUAUUAAGACUUGGAAUACUCCACGUCUAUGUCUCUUGUGUCAAACAAGGAUUAGAGACGGUUGGAAUAUUGCUUCCUUGGUGUUUGCCAGAAUCCGGACUUGUCAAAGAUUAGUCUCCUAUGUUUCAUUUUUGUUUAGUACUUUAGAUUCUUUUGACCUCCACUUCCAAGUUUCCUUGAGAUAAUGCAGUUCAUGCACCGUGCAUAUAUUUUGCACGGGGAACUAAAAUGAGAACGAGAAAGGUUUAAUAUGAAGUACCAAAUAUGUUGAAUUUGCAACAAUUUUACUAGACUAGAAGUAAUCUACAAUAUACCAUCAGAGCUGGAACAUUUCCUUUAACAUGUAUUGCAUGCAAACUAUUUUAGGUGCUAUGGUGAAAUUCAAACCUUAACAGUUCAACUAAUACCGGAUGCUGUUAAGGGAAAGGUUUGUAAUUGUUCAUGUUCUUUGGUUGUAGAGCAAAGCUGAUGCUUUUGAGUAUGCUGACCAAGUUUUAGAACGUUGGUACCCUUCUCUUGAAGAAGGCAAUAAUAAGGGGAUAGUUGUUCUUGUCACCAGUCAAAAGGAAGGUGCAAUUACUGGAGGCCCUGAAUUUAUUCAGGCUGUUGGUGAUACUGUUCUUGAUGCCACUGUCUCUGAAAAUCUUCCAGGUAUAGUUCUUCUUUCUUCUUCUUUUGGUUCACUUUACUUUCACUGCACUUGUUUUUGCUGGUAGCAGUGUAGCUUCUGCUAUUAUUGCCAUUGUGUAUGUAAACUAAAAAUACUGGGGCAACCUUCAAACCAAAAUGUUCAUGUUUCUUGGUUAACAAAAAGUGGAGAAAGACUUUCAUUUCUUACAACAAAGAAAAUGUAGGAAUGAGAACAUUCUGCCAAAAGGCAUUAUUUUACCACAGACAUGUUAUCAGACAGAAACCAGAAUAUUAUUUUCCUAUUACAUCCUGAAUCUAUAUAGUAUUAAUUUACCAAACACAAUUAAUAAACUUCAUCUUGAUUGUGCCUAUAUUUGAUUGUUUAGAAUAGAUGUCCAAGUUUGAUGCCGUAGAUGAGCUAGGUUUCAAGUCUUAUACUGUGGAUAUGGCCUCAACACCACUGCUUGUAUCAGAGAUUAUUGUAGGACUCCUAUUAUUUAUGGCAAAAGCUUUCCAAUAGGUGAUCAUGUCUUCAUUUUGCUUGGAAAUACUAGUUUAUGUGCCAAUUCGAUUAGAAAGUAGGACAUUACAUCUCUGGAUCCAAAAUACACCUGUCAAAUAUACUUCUCUGUGCCUCAUCCCACUCCCCGGUCGAAGCAGGAACCAUUUCUUCGACAUGUUCAAUCCAAACGAAAUAACAUAAGAAUCUUAAAGGGAUUUGUAAAGGAAAUCCCUGGAAGUUUGGGAAACUUUCAGAAAUUAAGGUCCAGCUUAUCUGAGUCUGAGGUAAGACAAUGUGCACAUACUGGCUUAAGCAGUAAAGAUCCUUCAGUCGAAAAUACAUUGUCAAACCUAUUUUCCAUCUCUCUUUGUUUAUUUGGGUUAUUUCAAUUAGAGAACCAAACGAAGAAGCUCCAUUGUGUACCCAUUCUUCAACUAAGUUAGUAGCUGCAGAUAAAAGGGUCAAGUUCAGGAGACAGAAACCGCGAUUGCAUGCAUACUUGGGUUUAGUUAUGGGCUUCAUCUGGGGUAUGCAACGUCUGGAGUGUGUCUCAGGGAUGAACAUUGCCCUAAAAUUGUUGCCUAUGUUUCUGCUGUUCUCUAGUCAAAAUAACCAAUAUCUAGAACGGAGGAUAAGCUAAACGAUGCAUGAAGGACAGCUUUUUAUUUGUCAUGCCAACUGCCAAGCAGUUAAGAGCCUGCUAACUAUGAGCAUGUUUUUUUCCUUUCUGUAGUGCUAGCAACUGACGAGAAAUACAAUGAAGCAGUAUACAGCACUGCCAAGCGUCUGGUUUCUGCAAUUGAUGGGCUCCCUGACCCUGGUGGCCCCAAAUUCAAGGAGAACAAAAGAGAAUCUAACUUCAAAUCCAGGGAGGAAACUGAGGAGAAAAGAGGGCAAUUCACACUUGUUGUUGGAGGUUUAUUAGUGAUCGCAUUUGUUGUUCCCAUGGCUCAAUACUAUGCUUAUGUCUCCAAGAAAUGAACUGAUCUCAAUUUGUAGUUUUAGUUGGAUUCUUAUUUUGCUCAUAGCUGAGCAAAGAGGUAUAAAGAUAUUGUACAAAAUGGUCAUUGAAAAGUGACAAAGUGAGUGAAUCCACCUCUCUAACAUUUCUUUAUUUUCUUCUUCUCUUGCUCUUCUGUAAUUAUGUGAAGUCUGCAAGAUAUCAAUUGCACUCUUCAUCACAGUGGUUGCUACAGUUGGAACUUGGAACUCUUUCCAAUUUCGAAUGCUUUUCAAACUUGAUUUUUAUGGAGCAGCAUUUUGCGUACACUCCUUGGCAAAUUUUGAAGCAUGCAAGUUUCUAUGUGUCAAUUCUAGUUAGGAAUUUCAGCAGGCUACUCAAUUUUUACAUUGAAUUACUAGAGGUACUAAUAAGAGACCAUAAUUCCAAGAGACCAUUUCACCUGAAACAAGUCAAUAGUGAUAAUCUCUAUGGAAAAGAGGGAGCAACUUUUACUAAGACCCUGUCCGUCACAAUACUCCCACUUUUUUUCGCAACUUUAUUGAUGCUUUUCAUGGAACAACACCGUAGUCAAGCAAACACUUAAAUUCUUUUUUUUUUUUCUUCGCUUCGAACUUCCCUUCCAUUGAGAAAAUGACUUUCUUUAUUUCAGAUUCUUCAAUAAAUUUAGUUUCAUUACAGAAAAAAAAUGAGAAGCAUAUCUUAGCUUCAUUUUUUUUUUGUUGGAUCUCAAAACUUGAGUUUAAGUAGGAAGGGCAUCUGAUCCGCAAAGGGUGGAUCAGAAUAUUUUCCAGUGAGAAUUUGGGAAGCCACAAAAUGAUUUGCAGCUUCAGUGUAAUGAAUUCCAUCCCAGUUUACAUAUUCAGUACUAUCAUUGCAUGCUUUCACUGUCACUGAUGUUCCAUUCAGAACCUUGGUUUGGCCACAGGUUAUCCGACUGUCAUAGUUCAAUGGUGGACCUCCAGUUCCACAGCAAACCAUUAUAGGUUGUUCAAAUCCUGCAAGUUUAAUGCGGUCACGCAAUCAAAUUUCUUUAUGCUGCAGAACUUUGUUAUGAAAAUACUACAUAUUCAUAAUUCUUGACGCUAUUCACCACAGAUUACUUCCUAUUUAAUACUCCCUCCGCCCCAUUUUAUUAGUCUUGAUUUCUAGUUUGAUUUUUUCCAAAUUAUUUGUCAUGGUCUUAAAAGGAAAAUGCAAAAAAGAAUAACCUCCCUAUUUUACGCUUCAUUCAAUUUCCAAAAAGAGCAGUAAACUUAUGUUUCAACAUUAAAUGUUCUAACAAACUAAUGUAAAAUUCAAAACAACUAACAACGUUUUGAAUUUAAGUUAAGAGCUAAUCAUGGAAAGACUUUUUUAAUACUCCAUCUGUCCCAUUUUGAUAGUCCUAUUUUUUUUUUUUCACAAAGUUUAAGAAAAAAUAGUUAACUUUGUUGGAAAAACAAAUUUAGAUUGCUAUUUUUCUAAAAUACCCUUACAUUAAAUAAAGUUGACUUUUCAUAUAUCAAUAUGUCAUGGAAAAUCUAAAUGCAUUAAAUGUAGUAGGUUAUAUUCAAUACUAACAAUCCAUAUUAAAUAAGGUAGUUUAUAAUAAUAACAAUUUACAUUGAAUAAGGGUAUUUUUGAGAAAUUAAAAAACAACUACAUUAUUCAAUUAGAAAGUGGAUUAUAAUUUGGAACAGACGAAAAAGAAAAAUAGAACUAUUAAAGUGGAACGGAAGGAGUAGUUGAUCAAAAAUUAAAUUUCUUAAACUGUGUGCAAACUGACAGUGACAAAUAAAAUGGAAGGGAGGAAGUAGAAGUUAUUGUCCAAACAAAUGAUGUGGGGAUUCCACAAUUCAAAGACAGAUUGUAUUGGUUUGAACUUCUAGAGUGUAGUACUAGUACCAAGUGCCUACCAACUAGUCCAUUCCACCUAAAAUUCUGAAACCUACCAUUAAUGAGUCACUGAAACUUGGAACUAAAAAAGCAGGAUAAAAUCUGUUUUCAGUGUUGUCUAGACCAUAAAGAAUAUUCAUUAGACUAUCAUGCCAAUAUUGUUAAGUUUAAAUUGAACCAACUUUACUGGUAGGUUAUGCUUGUGAUUUAACGGUCAAAAUGAUAGAGCCAAGAACUUGUUAAAGCCGAUAAAGAAUCCAAAAACCAAUAGUUAAAACAGGUGACAGGAAUUUCACAAUUUGACUUCAAAUGGGCAUCUUAAUUGCAUUUCAACAAGUAAUGAACAAUCUCUGAUUACACACAUUCUUUGUUUUCUAUUAUUGCUCUAGCCAAGAAAACCUUUUUUUUUUUUUUGGUACUUAAAAGGGUUGCUGAUUGCUUAAGAAUACAUAAAUCCGCAUGAUGGGCAAGUAAUGAUUGGGACUGCGUCCGAUGAAACACGUCUAUCAACUAUCAAGCCCGCCUACACAUGUCCCAAAUAAAUUUGCACAUUCAAUUUCCCUAAUCUAAUCACGAUCUAUAUUGUACCAGACAUAAAAUAUUUAAGUUGAAGUUCUUUUAAUUUUGUAUCAAGAAAUAAAAGUUAGUUAAAACCUUUGGAUUCAAGUUAAAGUUGAGCAAAAUAUCAUGUGCAAAUAUAAGCAAAUAAAGGGUGUAAAAGUACUGACCGAAUUUGGAGUAGUUGGCAAUGAGAUUGGAUUUAAUUGAGAAUAUAUCAACAUGUGUAACAUUUGCGUCUGAAUAUUGGCCUUGCAACUUCUUGCAAAGUGCAUAAAGCUGGAGGUUUAGAAGUUUGGAAGCUUGAUUGUGGGUGAUGACACAUCCAAGCUCGUCAAGCUUGGAUGGAUCAGUUCCAAAUUUGGCAAUAUUUUGAGCUAAGCAACCAAGAGGACCCGUGUUGUGAAUCCAAAAAUUCCUUGCUCCUUCAUCAUAUAAUUUCUGCCGAAGCAAACAAAAAAUCCACGGAGGAGGCACAUUUAGAUACGACAAAUCAUUUACAAUAUGAUUAUACGACAAUUACGAAUGAUAUACAUAGAAUUACUAUUGGCAUUUUUAAGGAAUAAAAUUCGUGUUGUUAUCUUAUAUAUAUGUUUUUUGUUGUGCAAAGUAGCUAGACUCUCGCCCCCGGGGGUUAGCUCGGCCAGUCCUGUCGUCUCCUCUUUAGGAGCAAGGUCCAGUAUUCGACUCUCCCCCGUAACGUGCUGGAAUCCUUGGGGCGGGCUCUUCCAGCCUGGGGGAUUAGUCUGGUCAGAAAUGACUGGGAUACCCCCGGUCGACAAAAAAAAAAAAAAAAAAAGUAGCUAGACUCUCCAGAUACUUUUAUCAUGUUACUCAUUUGGAUGAGAACUUAGUUACUACAAGUUUAUUAUAGUUCUAAAACUAUGAUAAUAUUAGUACAUGGCAUAAUUAUGUGUGCCAAGCUUGAUGCAGAAGAAAUUAACUAACAUUUGCGUGUGUUGUCUACAUUUUACCAACCUUAAUGCCAGCUUCAAAUUCUGCUAAAAUGGUUGGGAUUGAAGCAAUAAUUUGAUCGUAUGUCUUCGAAUAAAAGGCACCAGCAAGAUCAUUCUGACCUAUAUCGAAAGUGUAAAGCCCCUUCUGGAAAACAUCUGCUGCUGGAAUAUACUUGUCUGAUUUCCUACCUGCAAUCGAGUCAAUCAAAAUUUACGUUACACAAUUAAAUUGUCCUUCAGUACUUGUAUUUGUACUAGCUUGAGAUGCAAAACAUCAUUUUAACUUAUCUUUGAAGAUAUGCAUCUGUUCAACAUACCUUUGGGCUGAAGGUCAAGAACUCGGCUCUUGAAUCUGAUGAACUGGUCCACUUGAACCCCAAAUGAAAAUGGGCUAAUAGCAUUAGCUGUCGCUGGAAGUAUGGUAGAAGCAGCAACCGCGAAAUCACAUCCCCUUUUGAAACUCGGCGCACCGAUGGAAUCCAAGUAAGGAUUUAGAUAUGGAAGUUCCAGUGCAUCCACUGCAAAAUGGAGAAACACUACCUUAAAGCAGAGAAACAGGGGAAAUGGUUGAAGCUGAAGUGGACGAAACAAAAAAUGCAGCCCCUUACUUAAAAAAUCUAUGAUCAAACGGCCAUCGCAGAACCUGCCAGAUGGUUUUUUGAAGUAAGUUUGUCCAUUUGGUGGAAGGAGGGAUUCUCCCACACCAGCAACAAGGCCACCCGUGUCAGAAUUUGAAUCACCAAAGUUGAACACUGCAGGGUAAUUGAAGUCAAUUGAAUUGGAAAAGGGAAUGCAAAUCAAGAAUAAGGUGAAAAUGUGGACAGUGGAAGCCUUUGAAGCCAUGUCCAGUUUGAGACACAGCUCCAAGGCUUUUCCGUGUUUUGGCUGUGAAUUGAACCGCUCAACCGGCUGGCAUACCCCAUUGAAAAAGGAAUAUCUGGUAGGCUUUUGUGUGUAUCUAAAGUUAUCUUAAAUUAUGGGAAAGCCCAAAAAUAGAAGGGUCCCUAUUGAUCAAUUACUGGGUGUAUAUUUAAUCCUUGCAGUCUUAAAGAUAUGGGCUGCGCACAAUUACCAUUUACCGUACAUGGACGUUGAAGGCAUGGAUUGUAGUCAACAUGUAAUGUUAGCUCGUAUAAUAGCGUAUUAUUAUUUAUUGAAUUUCAGUUUAGAUCCAUUCAUUAGACAUCUACGUUAUUUGAGUCUACAAGUGGCAAUACACCCACGGUUGAACGUAGUUAUGAAAACAAGGGGCAAAAACUUGUUGGAAGGAAAUCAUCUUUUUAUUUGUUAUUUCUUAAGCAAGAGUCAAACUUAAAGAGAGUAAAUACAAAAAGAUUUAAAGAAAGAGCUUUUUGUUUUCAAGCAAAAAAAGUGCAAAAUUGCAAAGACUUGUUGUUAAUGGAUCUUAUUGAGAGAAUGUGUGCUUUGAGUGCACGAAGUGUUAAUCGAAGUACUCUAGCGGCUGUUAACUUUAUUGCUAAUAAUAGUACCAUUUUCUGUACCAUUAGAAUUGAGAGGGUUGUAAAGCGCAAAUAAACUCAAAAAAUCAAAAUGCAUAAAAAAAAAUGAGAUUUUUAUGAAUUUUCUGCUGCAUUUUUUAAUUUUAUAUUAUAUAUUUCUUUUUUUAAACUGUUGUAUUUAUUUUUUAUUCAAUUAAUAGUUAUUGGAUCUUAAAAAAUAAAAAAAGAACUAAAACAUGGUGUUUAUAUAGGAGAAAUAGCAAAUAUAAUAAAAAAUGGGACAGAGAAUGGCACAGGAUGUGGGACAGAAGAUCUGUUGCGCUUAAAUUAUAACAAUUUCAAAAAUUCAAAUUUUAAACAAAUAUCAUCAUUAAGAGAUUUCGAUUGAGGUGAUGCUAUCUUAAAGAAACCAUAGAACUUUACAUCAAAACAUAUGGAAAAAAACAUAUAUUAUGAAGUUUAAAACAUAUUUUUAACUUUGCCCUAUCCUGUAAUUUAAUCUUGAUCGGCCAAUCUGCUGAACCGAUCACUUUCCUAUUUUAUCUAGGUUGGGUUCUUAAGCUCUCCCGACAUGGAACCAACGGAAUUUUUUUAUUUUUUUAUUUUUUUUGGGGGUGGAAACAUUAGUGCAUUAUCCAUGAUCUAUGAAUAAGUCUCCUAAAAAUCAAGAAGAAGAAGCAGGACCAGUUUUUUAAAAAGCAAUUCUGCAAGCCAUGCUUUUCUGUAUUAGCUUCCACGUGUGGGGCAUACUUUACUUCUUGUUUCUUCCUUUUCCAUAUCACGGGUGAGGAAAAUGCAUCAUUCCAAAAUCUUCAAGUCACAAGAAAGAAAAAGAAACAUGUCUUCAAGUAACAAGAAUAAUUAUCCCUUCAUGGGGAAACACAAUUGGUCCCAAAUAAUUAGCAACUGACAAAAAAGAACCUUACCAGAUGCAGCCUGUAAAACUAGAGCCUGUACGAGUGUAAGAUCUUUUCAUUUAUCAAGAAAGAGGGACGCCCAAAAUUCAGGUCCUAGUAAUUUUUGUCCUUCUGGCAAUUGCCAUAGAAAAGUGAACCACGAAAGCAAAGUCGAAAUGUGAAACAAAUCUUCCCAAUGGACAAAGUAAGAAUCCAAAACAAACCGAGGGAUAAGGGUCAGCGUGAUUUCAACUUUGAGAGACUUGACAACUCAUGAAAACUAAGGGGCACUUACCUACUAUACUAUGGAGUGAGGACUAACAUUGCCUUGCAGAAUUUACAGCUAAAUGAGGACGUUAAGAGAUCAUUCUCAACUCAGUAAGGGACCCCUCUUUCAUGCUUGGGAGGAGGGAGACCUCCCUUUGGAGCCAAGCUGGAUCAUCUUCUCGUAUGUUCCUGUCAAUUUUGAGGUCAUUUAGUUUUAACCUCACACCAAAGGAUAUCAAAACUUGACCUCAGCAAUUUUCAGUUCCUUUUUACAGAAAUGAAUAGAUAGGUAGAUUACCUAAACACCGUUUGACAGAAAAUUUUAUGCUCAUGUAACAACUUGUGUUGAAAGAAAAUCCGCGUUUAUGAGGAGCAAAGCUUAAGGAAGUCCAGGUGAGAGCGAAUACCAUAAUUCAUGGAGAUGAAGUUAUACCCCAACAGACGCUCCCUCAGGAAGGUGAUGCAAUUCUAAUGGACUCACCAUCUCUGCCUUUCACCUAAGUCUACUCUUCACCAUUGUCUGUACGCUUUUCCUUCUAAAAUUUUCAAACCUCAAGGUUGUCAAUUUCCUUUCAGUCCGCAUAUUAAGUGGCAUUUCUGCAUGGCGCACCUUGGGCAACCACAUACUGUAGAUGUCAAUUGACUUCGGUUGAACAUAUGCGUAAAUUCAGUAAUAGAUACCAAACGUCAAGCACAACUUCAAAGGCAGCUAAAGAAUAAAAUGAAUAAAAAAAUUCGAAAUUGUCACUAAUCAAGCCAAUCAGCUUUUAAACUGUGCUUCUCAUAUUGAAUGUUUGAAGUUGGACUCCUAAACAAAAGUAACAUAGCAACCAGUGAUCCAUGUAAAGAAACUUAGAAGAGCAUGAAGAACAAAAACUUGUAUUCAGUAACCAUGCAGCUGUUAUCUUAAUUUGUUCCAUGGAAGAAUGAAGGAACCCAAAGGUUGAUGCCGAAAGUCCCACUCAAAAAGCUUGCGCUUCCUUUUGCUUCUUUGUGCAGAGGGUAAGACAUUUCAGUAGCCCUCAAUUUGGCCUUUAGAAUGGCAUUCUGUUCUGUAAGCUGGACAAAUUUGAACCGCAAAAGUAAGUUUAAAACCAUCACCUAUGACCGUUGUAUAUUUUUCAACCAUAACCCAAACAAUUUAAAUUACGUGCAAUGCAUCCUACCAUGUCACAACUCAGUCAUAAUAAGAGACCACAUCUAUGAAGACCGAUUUUGCUAUGGUAACUCGUAUCAAGAAAACCGAAUCCGAUCCUUUCCUUUUCUUUUUGUAAUUAAAAUUUCAAAUUAAAUCACACAUAAUAUGCUGGAUGGAUUAGCUUCUUGUGUUCUGCCUAAAGAAAGCAAGAAAGCGUUUUCUAUUUCCCUCUUACCUCUUCAACCUUGGAAUUCAGAUCUUCAACAGCUUUUUGCAACAGUGAAAUUGUUCUUACUGUAAUGUCUUCAUAAGCAGCUUCCACCUCUUCAACAGAACCUGGAUCAAAGAAAAAAUCAUCCAGUAUAAACAGCUGCUCUAGCAAAUCCACAUCUUCAGCUUUGAAAUUCUCCUUCAACUGCAUAAAUUAUAGAAAGUUCCUUAGGCAUAUAAGAUAAAAUUGAAAUACAGAAGUCAGAUUUACUUUGGUGAACACAAUUCAGAUAAGACCUUGUUGAGUAUCCUCUCACGUAGCUCAUCUUUAUUUAGAGACAUGGCUUCAUGCUUUUUGGCAAUUAUGUCUUCUGGGGAAUUCACACGUAUUGAUGCCUUUAUGUGCUUUGCUCUGCCAAUUAAACAGAAACAUCUUUCAAUAGUUUCCCUUCGUGCAACAUAUAGAACACCAGGAUCCGAAGAAUUUUGUGAAAACAAAAGGAUACCAAAGAAUAUCUGUGUAACUUUCAGUUAUCUAUAAUGAGAAACUGUAUAAAACUUUCAAGACAGGUAGAAUGACAUGCCUCGCACCAAAUCGAAGAGUGGACAGGCUUUCAGGAGCAUUUGAAGGACUUGGUGAGCAGCAGCAAAGCAAAGCUGUUUGGGAUUUACCUCCCUGUAAAAUGGAAGCUUAUUGGCCCUAAGAGGAGUGGAAGCACAACAAACAAUUGGAAUUCAGGAAAGGAAACUAACAAAAACAUCCUGUAGGAUCCUGGUAAGUUUAGAAUCUCGAAAGGGAACAUGAUUUGCUUUUCCAGGGGAACCACCAGUCAGAGCAUUUAUUACAUUUCCCAGAGCUGAAAGGGAUUUGUUGAUGGACUUGGCUUCUUCAAGAACUCUACCUUCAGCUCCAGUUUUUUCAACUUUCUCAGAUCCAGCCAAGUCCACAAGUAUCAACUUUCCAGAUUUUAUCCUGUUCACACAUUCAACAUCUUCAAGUUUCAUUUCAUACAAAUCUUCACAACGCAUAUUGAAGUAUACCUUCUAGUCUUUGUGAUUUCUUGCUGGACAGUGAACGUGUAAAUGCAAUGACUUCUGCUGCUAGCCAUAUUCAUUUCUGGACUUGUUAAACUAUACAAAGUGAUAUGCAUAAAAAAGAAUCUAAGACCUCUAUAAUAUUUAGAAAGGCACAAGACAAAGGAAAGGGAAUUAUUGGAAAGCCAGAAACAAUAAUAAAAAGAUAUGAGGAUACGGGUUUCUCCAACCGCUCUGUUAGCUAUCCCAUUCUGCAAUUCAAUCAGCGAUAAAAACAUCUGUUCUGGUACUUUAACACAUGGAAAAGGACAAGAAUAGAUAUCGUACACAUAGAUUUUGCAGUGCUUCUGUACAAUUGGUAACAUUAAUCUGUAAAAGAGAAAACAUACACUCCUGAGAUCUAACAAGAUAUAAAUGAGCAAAAAUUUACAAAAGCAAGCAGCCAACAUGACAAAGCAUACGAGUGAAGUAACAGAUGAACACCCAGUCUCUUUGGAUGCAAAAGAUUAAGCUAAAAAAACCACUAAAGGUCUAUGUUAAAAAUUUCCAAUGAAGGAGCUCUAGUCAACACGAGCAAAUACCAAGCUUGCACUACCCUGCGAAGGAUUUAGGGCUGGCAGUAGAAAAGCACCAGUUCUUGUUCCUCUAAUACUUAAAAUAGGUGCAGUUAAGCACAGGAUACAAAGACCAAAUAAAACCAAAUUGUGGUAGAGACUUCUAUGAACCUGUCUUCCUCAGGCUCACAUAGACUAUUCUUAUUACUGGCAAAGGUGCACCAUAAUCAAAUUAGGAUAAUAAGGAUGGAGAAGGUAGCAUAUCUUACCUCUGUAGCUCCAUAAAGAAAUAUUCCCUGCUGCCUAUUCUCCUUAAUCUGUAUGUUGUCAUUGACUAAUUCAAACAGGUCCCUAAAAGAAGAGAACGCUUGUUAUUAAGAACAUAAUAUCUCUAAAUUAGUGUACAGGUUAGGUACUGCAAACUGCAAGUCCGAGAAGUAUGUCCCAUUGAGAACGGACCUUACUUUCUCCAUGUAAAUCUCAACCUGAAAGCAUCAAAUCAACAGGUAAGUCAUACAGCAUGAAUAAAGUAAAAAAUGAAAUUGCAAAUCUCAAGUAAGCAAUUAAUAAAACUUUCUACACACCAUGGAUAACUUGAUCAUGGAGCUGGCCGUCUCAUCUGAAAGUGCGAUAGCCUCAAAAAGGCCAUUCACCACUUUUGGCAACAGUCCUUUGUUCUUCUCAUCUCCAUCCAUGAUGCUAGGCCCCUAAAGUUGAGAGAAUUCUAUGAAACUCCUAGUUUAACAUGCAUCUACCUAUUGCAGCUUCACUAGACUGUGUAGCAUCGUCCUCUUACCUCCAUGGUAUAUGUCUUCCCUGCUCCAGUCUGUUGCCAAUAAUAUACAACAGCUUCAUUAAAUCAAAUGUUUUUCAAGUAACACGAGAAAUCUAUUAAUAAGUCUCUGAAGGAAACUUCAUGAUGCAAAAAAUGCAAGUUUCAAUCCUGAUCUCUAAAGUUGAUGAUGUUAAUGGAAGCAUGCCAUUUAAUUUGGCUUUAUCUCACAAAUGUCUCUAGCAAACUGUAUAGUGCUCAAACUCAUCCUGAUCUGAUAUUUUUACUCGAAUUGAAUUUCAUGCUACAUCAACAGUUCCUCAUUAUCUACAAAAAAUGAGUACAUUAGCUACGUGAUGAAUAGAACAAAUCAAUGUUCUUCUUGGACCUUAAUUCGAGCUUGACAUAAUUUGAAAAACAAGAAGAUGUCCUACAAUAUUAAUUAGAAAUAAUUAGACACAUCAACAAAAAUUUUCAUUCAAACUCAAAUCAGGGUCUGCUAGCUGAACCUGCCAUUUCCCUCCGCCCAACCCCCAACACAAACCAACCAAUUGGAAAAAAAAAUAAGAAGAAGAAAGAAAAUAUUGUUUGACACAUGUACAACUUAUUCUUCUGUAGCAAAAUGACCAUAUACACUUCAUAACUCUAGAACAUGUGAACGAAGGACUUUUUUGACACUUAAAUCACCAUCAUGACUCUUGAAGUCAAAUUUCUAACAUAUACAUUCCACAACUUUAACUAUGAUGAAAGUUAAGAUGGGGAAGAAAUUAUCAACAUUUGGAAAAGAAAUUAUUUGGUUUCAUGAGAAUAUGGUGAGACAAAAGCUUCUUUUUGCUCAUCAAAAACUCAAAUAAAUGUAUGGUCAGGUCACUACUUUUGACUUCAGCAGUUAAGCUACUGCAGGAUUUUGAGAACUACCAUAAUGCAGCAUAUGUAGAAUUUCGUUAGCUGAACUCUUGAUAGAAAUUGAGGAAUAAUGUCAGGUAUUCACCAAUAUCAGAACUCUCAAUAACUAAACAGAGUUUUCAUCAUGAAAAACAUGAUACCAGCAAAUCAAGAAAAUAAAUAUUGAUCAACAUUAUCUGCCGUGGCAGCUGCAUACUAUUAUCUCUGACAUUUGGGAACGUAACCUCACUUGUUUUAAUCAAGUGCCUCAUUCUAUGUAAAAUUUAAGAACAAAACAAGACAGAAGCAGCUACAAUCUCAAACAUCUGGAACUUUAUGCCUUCUUUCAUACAAUUCUUGAUUUAUCUUAAUUUUUCCUCAUGAUCAUAAGUAUGCUGUAGUUAUGAUGGUUAAAGCAACAAUUAAGAAAAGCUACAAAGUGGACAUCUCAUGUUUAUUAAUUCUGCAAUUAUUUAUUCUGAGAUGCAUGUUCUGCAAUCAAGAAGUUUGUUAAAUCUGCUUGGAGAAUACUCAAUAUAUUACUACAAAGCCACUGCAGACGUGAAAAGACAAAAAUGGGAAAUGUCGAAUCAUGACUACCUGUCCAUAGGUGAUAAUUGCCCCAUUAAUUCCAUCAACAGCAGCUGUUGAAUCAAAAAAUAAAGAAGAAAAAGAUGUGAACAAGAAUUACAGGUUAAACUUCUUGUUAAAAGACAAAUGUAGGAAGUGAAAGCAAAUCCAAUUGUUCCACUAAUACUGCCUGUUUCAUAAAAAAAAUGGAUCAGCUUAAGUUAAGGUUUACUGACUACAGACAACAAGAGAUGAAAUCGUUCCUGGUUUACAAACACAAAACGAGAUUUUGAAUCUACUAACAUCAACCGCUAACGUCUUCAAUCUUUGGAUGUAACCAAGAUAUAGAGUUUUUGAGUCGUAAUCUUACUAAUGUUCCAGUAUAAAGGACCAGAUCAACUUUGAUAUUUCCAUUCUUUUUUUUUCACUUCUGAUCAACUUAGCAAUUCUAAUCUACAGUUUGCCUCAUCUUUUGUUUAAACCAACAUCAACCAAACAUUAAAAAUUAUAAAAGCGCUAACAACAUUCAAUAAUCUCAUUGUAGAAAGCUGAAACCAGAGAAUCAAUAGAAAUUUGAUACCUUGCACAAGAGGCAGAGCAAUAAAAUCAUACACGUCAGAUUGUGGAGAUCCUGGAUAGAAAACUCUAUCGAAGCUAAAAUUGAAGUCCUCCUUCUCAUCCUACCAUACAUCGACAAAAUUCACAAAAUUUUCUUAUUUCACAAAUUCAUCACUUGAAAUUAAGCUUCGACAACUCAACAGGAUACAAUUUUAGUAGAAAAGCAUAUAACUUUCGAACACAUACUAACAUUAUUGUUGAAAUUGAAAAUUAGAACCUUAAAUAUGAAGGAUUCAGAGUCUACGCCGUGUAUGCAGAUGGAAUCGCCGUGAUCGGCUCUUUCUUUCUGAUUAAGAGGUCUGAAUAGCGCGCAAACUUUGAUUUUCGACAUUUUCCGUGUAUGAAUUGAUGGGAACCUGAAAAUCGACCACAAAAUUCAACUAAAAAUAUUCAAUCGAUUAUUGAUCAAAGUUCGGUUUUGAACUACACAUUCACAGUUCACAGACCAAAAAUGCCUAAGCACAGGGAACUAUACCUGAUCGGAGAAGAAGACUGAAUGCGAAUUCGAGGAUUUUUUUGAAGAUUUUCCCGCCAAAAUCUAGAGAGAGAAAACUUUGGAGUGGAAAAUUAACGGAAAAACAGAAAUUCGGACCUCUAUUUAUAGUUAGCAUACGUGUACACUUGUGGGCAAAAUAUGCUAUUGCCUAGUUGAAGAGAAUUACGUGAAUUGCCCAACUAAAGCCUAUAUUUACCUUUUCGGACCCUAAAAGUUUUUCUUUUCUUUCUUUGUGUUGACAAAUAUUGACAAAUAAAGGAUUAGUGGUUUCCUAUGCUUCAAAUUGAACUGCCAGAAAGCGGAAUAUACCAAUGAAGGGAUCUCAACUCAUUUGUUGGAUUAAAGAUCAAUUUUUACAAGUAGGGUUUGGUUAAGUUUGCCAUAAAACUUAUUAACGAAACUAGAUAGAAUGAUAGCUUUCUGUAUAAUUUAUCCAAGUAGUAUGGCUAUUAAAUGUGACUUUGUUCAUAUUUCUUUCUCUUCUACUUGCAGCGAAUCCAUCUAUAAAGCUCAAGGAAUCCACCUUCCUAUCCUCAUAUGAUACAAAGCAGCAUUGCAGUUUCCCAAAAAAAGCCAUAAGAACAUGGCAACGGUGGCUGCUCAUUGCCAUGAGCUAACCCAAAGUCAAUUCUUGGACCUAGGGGUAACAAUUUUCGGCACGAUUUGAAAACCCGACACGAACUUAAUACGAAAUUAAUGUAUUUGGGUUUAGAUUUUGAGAAAUCGGGUUAGACCCGAAAAAAACAGGUCAAAAUCAGGUUUAAAACGGGUUGACCCGCUAACCCAAUUUUAAAAUAAAAAUAAAUAAAUAAAUAUUAAAAAAGUAUCUAAAAACUUAAUAGUAAAUAACUAAAUAUAAUAUACCAAUUAUCACUUAUCACUACGCAAAAGCAGAAAUCAUGCCGGCCCUAAAUCUUUCUUUUCCUUUUCAACUUUUCUCCUCCAAAAAUCUAAACGCAGCUUUUCUCCUUCAAAAAUCUAAACGCAAAACCAGAUUUAGAUCUAGAUCUGGCUGAUGAUGACACUGAUGCAUACAGGACUGAUUUGAUGACCAUAACCAAGUUUGUAUUGAACGAGCAGUCCAACUGUCUAAGCACGCAGAAUCUCGCAGGGAUUUCACUAUCUUGCUCAAUCACAUUUUGUUUUGGGUUGCAAGUUGAUUUGUUCUACUGUCAACAAGGUCCUUCCGUAGAGUUCUUUACUUCUUUUCCUUUCUUGAGCAUUUUCCCUCUUUUCUAACAACAGAGGCAGAAAGAUGAAACCUUAUGUUUUGUCACUUACAUUUUAACUACAUUAUAUAACCGCUUCCACUUUUUCUCUCUUUCUCUAACACAUACACACACACCAAAAAGUCUCUUCAGUAAAAUGUUCACCGGAAAUCAAUUAACGACCUUUCCAACCUCAGAAAAACAUUUAUUACGAUUUUUCUUGGGCAGAGCAAUCUCAUUCGAUGAAUUAAAUUUCAGGUCAUUUGGGGUCAACUCGCUUGACCCGCCAACUGAAACUUUCGAGUUCGGGUCAAUAUGCUUGACCCGUCAUGGGUUGACGGGGGUCGGGUUCGGGUCAACAAAUUUUUUGACAACGUGAUUUGAAUCCGAUUGUCACCCCUACUUGUAGGGGUGGCAAUGGGGCGAGGGACACCUCCCCCAACCCCCUCCCUGUUGCAUUUUAAUUCCUCCCGUCCCCCGUUCCUUGCUUCCCCCGCGAGGGUAUCUGUGGAGUUAAAAAAAUUUUAUUAUAUAAUUUCAUUAUAAUUAAAUUUGAGCAAAUAAUCGAGUACUAAAAUAUUAAUACAUCACCAAAUUAUUAUUCAUUAUAAUUUCACAAUUGAAACUCAUAAAAAUAAUUAAACAAAUGUUAUUUGAAUACAAUCUAAUAUGAUAAAACAAAUAUAACUAAAAUAAUCAAAUUUUCACUUUUGAUACAAAUACAAUCACUAAAUUAUUAUUGUAUUUUUUUUUAGAAAAAGUAUUAUUCUAUUAAGUGUAGUUAGAAAUUUAACAUAAAUGUAUUAAUAAAUUUAGUAUAAAUAAUUAAUAAUUUUUAUGAAUAGACAUGUAUAAUUAGUAAUAUAAUUGAUAAUAUCAUUAUGUAUAUAAUUAUGCGAGUCUCCUGCCCCCGUCCCGUUUCUAAACGAGGGGAAAAAAUUCCCCCCCCCCAUACCCCCACUCCAAUGACCCCCGCAGGACGGGUGCCUGCCCCCGUUGCCAUCCCUACCUACUUGGACCCAAGCUGCAACAAAUGGUUUCCUAUAACUAUUCAGCCUUCUGCUUAGAUAUGUCUACGACCACAACUGAGAAUCUAAUCGAUAGUAAAUAACCCUUUAUGGUUUCACACUAUGCCACCUGAUUUUCCUUGCAUGUCAAAAAUUUCUUUCUUUGUAUCUCUCUCAUAGUUUUUGACAGAAAGUGGUGACCAUACUGUCGUUAGUUGAAAUGUUAGUAUUGCCUUUUCUGAAAUACUAGCAGAACAACUGCAUAAUGACUUCACAUAAAGUUAUAAAGAAAUCAUGUCAAUAUAUGCAAAACCACAGGGAAGUUGGAAUAGAUUUUAUAGUGUUUUAUCACACACGUUUUUGGAGGUCAAUUGAACGGAAGUACUUUACAUUCACUUUAGACUUCAUAUCAAAUCACAGGGAAGACAGUGGGUUACUAGUAAUUUACCCAAAUAAUUACUAGAUUUCCAUCUGCAACGUCUGAUACAAAAUUGAUACACCAAUAUGCCACCAGAGAGGGAAUCUCUGCAUGGAGAACAGAAUCUUGGCACAAGUUAAUUGUAUGAAAUGCUAAAAAUCCGUAUGGUGGAUCGCUGAUAUGAUUUUGCAUAGGGAAGCAAAUCAAAUGGCUUCGAAUUCUCAGUAAUGUCGGCGACAGUAAGGUUUGCCUCCUUCAUUAGCUCAAGAAAGUAAUUGAAUGUCUCAAUGUUACGAAUCACAGACGCAAUAUAUGCUACAGGGCGUCUCUCCAACGCAUCAUCUUUGUCCUCAACACAUGGAGCACUGCAACUCUCGGCUUUUCCUUUGCUGCUAUCAAACUCGAAAUCCGCAUGUUGCACUUCACUUCUGAUACAUUCAGAAUCUGGUUGACAUCCCUCACAGCGAACACUUCCAUCAUUAGGGAAUGAUGUUCCACGUUUCAGAAGAACAGUCAGGACUCGAACAAGAUGGGGAAGGUAUAAUGGGUCAUAAAUGACAUCUGCACCCACACUGCAGAAUAGUAGAGAGGUUAUAAGGCUUACUUUAACCUAUAGGAGAGGAAAAGCAGAAAAAACUAGGAAGUCUAAUUUACAUGAACUGGAAAAAGGAUGUCAUAUGUUAGAUCUCAACGCUGUAGUUGUGAACUGCUUAAGGUGCAAUUAGCACCAAGAAACCAUGACGGAUAAGUGCAAUGCACAAAGGGAGGUGGCUUUUAAAAGAGAGGCAUGGGUAGAAUGCACAAUAAGGUGGGUUUUGUAAUGACGUGCAUACAGUAUUACAAAUACUGGCUUCUAAGGGUAACAACUCACACCAAGCAAACCAACAUUUAGCAAGUGGUUGAGAAUUGGCAGCAGGAAAGUACGGGAUACCAGAACAGAUUUAAAGGAAGAUGUGUGAGAGAGAAAGAUGCCAGUAUGGAUACUUGGGUAGGGAGGGUAAAGCAGGGAGAGAAUAUGAACAUGGAGCAAUCAGUAACUUCCCAGCUAAAAUAUGCCAAAAAAAAAAAAUCUCUCUUAGUUCCCUGGAAAGCAUUCUAAAAGUUGGAACAUUGAUGAUACAUGGACAAACUAAUCAUUGCAAAACUAACAAGUUCCUUUCUACAUCAGAAAAGAGAACCAAAGGCCUGGAACAAUGUUCACAGUCUCGUAGAAGCCAAAUAGAUUUCUACUGUAUUUUUUAAAAAAAAAACAACAACAAAAAAAAGAAACAAAAAGCAAAAUAACUUACAUUAUGUCUGGUGCAAAGUUUUGCAGCUCAAUUUCUGUUGCAGAUUCCCAUGGUAAAUGAACACACUGCACCUGCAACCAAAAUUAUGUCAAGUUGAUUAGCUGCUUGUCCUUGUCCUAGUAAAGUAAAUCCAUGAACAGCAAGGCAAGCUUUAUAACAAUGAAAAGCUUCUAGCCCUUCGCAGAAAUUACCUCCAAAUUUUAGGAAGGACCAAACCUCAUCAAAAUGACAGCAGAAAUAAGAAAUGUCUUGAAAAUGCAAGGUUUUCAGAUACUUAUAUUCCUAGUUUAACCUUGUAUGUAGUGGUUAUAUAACCAUUAUAAAAGCAUCUCAGAAUAAAUUCUCGUAAAAUUGCACAUCAGAAAAAUUAAAUCUUCGCUUGAACAUAAUAUGUCAUUCAGUCAUUCAAUGCUUUAUUGCACGUCCUCCUGCUACUAAACUCACAAGGAGUUGACCAUGGAUGUAAGUUUCAUGUUAUGAAAAGAAUCCAACAAUGUGACUUUCCUCUUUAGUUCAGUAUUCAGUAGCAUAAGCUAAGCAUAUACACUGAAGUUGAGCAUAAUAAAGGAAAUCAGUUUCUUUACAAUUUAGCUCUGCUAGUUUUAGGAAACCAGAACACAAUACUAAGAAAACCCACAUAUGUAGGAACCAAAGUCCUAUACUUACUGUACUUGCAUCUUUUUUGCAUUCUGGUACAUCAAUUCUUGUGCUGAGCAGAUUUGACUCCAAAUUAAGCCUCAUAUUGGAUAAAGUGGACAGGUCGCCAUCACUCAAAACCACCUGCAUAAAGAAAUCAAUUAUGAUGAUGGUAUCAGAAGUCUUUUAUAUGCUCUCAAGAAUCUUUUCACUCUGAUGAGAGGGAAAUAAAUGCAUAAAAAAUCAUGCCAUUUAACAAAACUGAGAAGGAUGUUCUUGAAAAGACAGUAAACAUACUGUUUAACCAAUGAUAAAAGCAGUUUUAUUGGACAAUUUUAUCUACUAGUAGCAACUGAGACAGAAAUGGUUGAAAAGUUUAGAUGUAUUCCCAGAUAUAGCUCUUGCUUGAAAAGACUCUCAAGAAGUUUACCCAACUAGAAGCAGUCCAAGCCUCAGCAGGAAUCAAAUUUUCUUUGGCAACAUUGACCAAGAUAUCUACAUUUCAAGAUUAUAUUUUUAAAGGUGAAAUUUGGACUCUGAAGCUUUCUCCUAGUUGCUAGAAUCCAUCUACUGAAGACCAUAACAAUUGUGGAUAUUUAGACACCACACAUAGUAUGAUCAAAUUAAUCAACAAAUUAUAUAAGUGCUCCAAACAGAGGAGUUAAAAUGCCAAUAUUGGGAAUUAUUUGAGAUCUCAAACAGUAAGACCCAUAGAGAUAUUAUUACCUAAGGAACAUUGCAACACAGUAAGCGCAUAAAAAAUGUACUGGAAUAAUAAAUUACCAAUUCUAUUCCUAAAGCUGCCAAUCCAAUUUUGUAAGCUGAAUCUUUCCUGAUAAAUAGAUCUAACAUCAAUCGUAAUCUCAAUAAAUAUGUCAAACCUACUGUGGAAUCAACGUGAAUGGAGGCACCAAAAUGCAGGUAUAGGUGUCAAUGGUAUAAACGGUGAAAAAUUUGUUGAUCAAACCAAGAAUUCAACACUUUUCAGUGAAUUGAAUUAAGCAUCUCAGAAGUAUUCAAGCUUUGUUUGCAAAAUCAUAAGAAUUAUCAAAACUGUACUUAUAAAUCUUGAGCUCUCUUUAUGGAGGUUUAGCUUUCCCAAAAUAGUUAUUGGAACAGUUCAUUGCAACUUGCAUUGCUUUGCUACAACCAGGCCUCAACACAAGAAAUAAUACUUUCAUCUCUAACCAAGCUGUCAACAUUUCUCCAAUUUAAAGAGUUAAGAGUAUUCUGAACAAAGCCCAUGAAAAUUACCAAAAUCAGAUGAUUGCUAUUUGUAUACAGGCCUUCAUAAGAGGUGAAGUGCUUUGCAUCAGGUAAUUACAUAAUUGAACAUCAAUCUCAGAAUUGAAAUAUAUCCAGCUGACAGUAAAUGCCAACCAGUGCCCUCAACGAUAAAAAUGAAACUUUUAGGCACACAACUCAAAUUCUAUAUGCGUCUUAAUUGCACAGAAACGAGAAGGGUUCACUGUAUGAUCUUCAAUAUAUUAAGAGUAAAUACAAGUCUCUGGAUAAAGAUGGAAGAAGGCCUUACAUAAAACCAAUAAGAAAGAUGGUUGAAAGCAUAUGGAUGCAUUUUUUUUUUAAUUCAACAAAAAGCAUGCUGGUUCCUUCAACGAACUGUAAUACAUGCAUAACAACUAGAGAGGAGAGAGAGUUUGUGAGAAAAGCACACUGACUGCUUGCAGAAACCAUAAACAUACACAUAAUGGCUUGAGUUAGGGAGCGACUUACAGCAGAAGCUUUCACGUGGGCCAAACAUACACCAACCAAACCUACACCUGAACCAACCUGUUUCUUGGUCAAUUACCACAAAAAUAAAAUUCCACUAGGAAUAUAACAUAAUCAUGAUUAGUAAAAUGAAGAUGAAUAAGCAAGUCAAAUUCACACUCUUCCCAGGGAGUGAAAGAUGGAAAAAACAGAACAGCAACUAAAUUCUGGAAGGCAUACCUCACCUCAAAACAAGAUCUAUUGGAAAAUAUGUUUGGGAAAGAAAGUAUAAACUCUGAGAGGUAAAGACUUGACGGCCAGAUUGAACACCUGUUUAGACCAUGACAGAAAGGAAAUCCAAUGAGGUCACAAACCGAUCUCAGACCAACUAAAGUACAUUAGACAUUAAAAAUAUAAAAAGAACAAUGGUCAGACUAUAGAAAACCACUAAUAGGGACAUUAAAAGAAAAUCUUGUCGAAUUUCAUUCCUAAGAAAAUAAGAACAAAAAUGUUUUUUGAGGAUAUAGCAUUUUCUCCUAUAUUGCAUUUUUGCAUUUGAACAAAUCAGUAGGUCGCAUUUCAGCAACUCAAUAUUUGCCUACUCAUACAUAUAUGCUAAGUUACGAAACAUGCCAAUGAGAACAUGCAAAUAAAAGACACACUAUUAUUGCACGAGGCUCCCCCACUUCAGGUCUAAUUAGAUUUCUUAUUUUUAUCUUUUUCUUUGUUUUACAGGCCCCGGGGGCCCAGGGAGUACACUUACCAGUCUGUUUAAGUUAUUUUCAUUUACUGAACAUUUGACUUCCCAAGUAACAAAACGCAACCUUAGUCUUACUUAUGGUCAAAGAUACAGAAAAAUCCUUCUCCAGGUUUUCCCAACUCCCCAGACCACUUCUUUUCUCAUUUUUAAUCCAGUACAUCCACCCUUCAAAACUUUUCCUGCAACUCAAUGUUAAGCAAACCAAACCUGGUAAACUCAGUUAGAAACAUUCUCUUACUUAAAAAGAGUAAUCAUUUUCACCAUAUUUGAACUACAAAUUCAUAUGCUGCUGUAAUGAACAUCUCAAAUCAGAAAAAAGAGCAACUGCGUAUAUAAGGUCUCUGAAUGACCAGUCUGAAAUCAAGGUAAGACACAAGUUGCCUAUCACCCAGAGUCUAUCUUGCAUCCAUGAUUCAGGAAUCCCAGCCAAGCUAGUUGGCCUUCUUAUUCAGUUACGUCUUCAAAUAUGAAACUAAUUUCUCUGUCAACUUAUGGUCUGUCCUUUUGAGAAGAAGCAUGCCACUUGCACUGAUGGACAUUGAAAAAACAACAUGAAAGUUCUUGUAUCCUUUUCCACAUCCUCCUGGCCAAAAAAGGGGGGGGGAGGAGAAAUGGUAUGUCCAUCUACCCCAUUACUUUGAUCAAGAUUGAGCUCAAUUUCAUAUGUGGCAAUUCCGCCAAGAUCUAUUCAUUAGUUGGGGAGAGAAAACGAGAAGCAGAGUGGGCAUAACAAAGGUAAAACUUGACAAUCAACGUGGAGUAUGAAGAGGGCCAUACAGUAUGGAAAAUCACACACAACAAUUCCCUUCCCAGACACUGGAGAAUUAGCACCUCACAGUGUAAAUAAAAAAUGUGACAAACAUUAUCAUUUCCCUAGGGUUGGUUUGAAGAGACAAGUAGAAUAGAAAUUUUAAACGAAGAAAGCAUGUAUUUGGGAACUAUUAACAUAUCCACAUUCACCACUCAAGAAAGCACAUCGAUAAUUUGUUCACUUUCUGCACUACUUCUAUCCAGCAGCGGGGGUGAGAUUGGCAAAAUAAUACCUAUGCACCAGUAAAGAAAGCAACCUCUUUCCAAAUAUAUUUUCUCAUUGCAAUCCUUACAAAAUUGGAUUCCCUCAUCAACAUUUAAAAUUAAAAGGAAAAAGGGUAUACCCCGUAUCUCCUUCAAGCAUGUCCACUGAACAAUGAAGUGACACUUCCAACUUCUUAGAUUUCGGACAACUUGAAAGUUCACAACAUCCUACAAGUGCCAAAUCAACGCAAAAACUAUUAGUAAUCACAAUAACAAAAGAGAAUAAAUGCAAGGUAUAUAAGCAUAAAAUCCUCACCAUCAGGAAAAAGAAAUGAAAUUCUUUUCAAAACCCUUGAGUUCCCUCCUGAAAAGUGGUCACCCUGGAAAACCCACAAAAAUUGAACCCAAAAAGAAAAAACUUAUCUUUCAAAUAAACUUUUGCAAGAAGGCCAUAAAAUAUAACAAGAAAAAAAAAAUUUAAGAAAAAAUCACUACCUUUAAAGAAGUCAUGAUAAAAGCAUAACGCUCAUAUAAUUCAUCCAACACAACACCUCCAUCUGACUCAAUUUCGCCAAUUAGCUUCUUUAAAACCCUUUUCAAGUAAGGCCCCUGCUGGCAACCACCAUCCCCUACCUAAACAGAUACAUGAAAACCUCUCCCAAAAAAAAAAAGAAGAAGAAGAAGAAGAGGAAGAAAGAAAGAGGACCAGUCAAAAAAUUCAAAAAUUUCAUUAACUUACUGUAGUGUUAAUAUAAUUGUUCCAGAUGAAGCCCUGUACUCUUUCCCCAAUCAAACCACCACCACACUUCCUGACAGUUGUUCAAAAACUUUGCAUGUGAGCCCCAGAAAUUUACCGUUCCGCACAAUAUGAUAGCAUUUGUUUACCUUGCCAAGGAGAUUAGGACGUCAGGGGGUUCCAUUGCAAGAAAGGCGGAAAUCAGAUGUAGAUACGGAGGCUUAGAAAUGUCUACUGCUUGCUGGUUUUCUUGGAUAUCCAUGGCCUUUCUGAACAGAGUAUGCUUGCAGACGACGUGUUUGUUAUUUUGCGCCAAAGACUUUUUUGCUGGGGAAAUAAAAAAAAAACCUUUUUAAGGAAAAAUCGUUUUUCAAGUGGAUAAAAUUUCGCGUCCGAACCUCUUCCGACCAUAUUUUGACCUGAAUCCAUCAUUUUAAAAGCAAAAAUGUUAGAUCUUAUUUAUUAUUUGUAGUUAAACAAAUAAUCCAGUCCAUUUUUAUUUUUGCCAUAAAAGGUCAGAUCUAUUAGAAGUAGCAAAAUGAAUCAGUAUCCACCGAUCCAUCCAUAUAAAUCAACCUUAAAUGGAUUUGAAUGACUCGUACAAAUUCAAUGAUUUUAAAUAAAUAAUUUAUUUAAAUCUAAUUAUGUUGAUAGGUAAACCAGACUCUUCAGUCCAGUCAGCUCCUUGUAAGCAUUCUGCAAUCUUUGAGUCACAGGUCCAACUCGGCCAUCACCAACUAUGCGCCCAUCAAUUCUAAUAAACUGCUCCAGGUUCGUGACAUUACAUCAUUCAUGAUCAACAUAAGCAAAACCAGCAGCAUACAUUAUUAAAAAAUGAUGCACAGGAUUUUGAUGAUUUUAGAUCUUUCAUUGUCUAAUUACAAAAUGACGCGUGGUCUGACGCUACAAUGAGUAUAUUAAGAAGAUUUAAUUGACUACACUACAAUGAACAUAUUAAGAAAUCAAGAUUUUGAACAGCAACCCCUCUUAAGUAGUAGAUGGAUUAAAUGUGACAUCAAUUCAAACACCAUUUUGAGCUGCAUUUCUAACAAGUGCAUUUUAGUAUUACCCAACCAUAUAAAGCCAAUUUGGAUUUUGACAGAAUAUGUAGCUAUAGGAAGAACAAGUUAGCCUUCUAUUGCCACCCAAAGAACAGAUUACAAACCAAAGUCUUUUGAUGAAUGCCUUAGUUCAGUCAAAGAAAAAUUGAAAACAAUAAAAAAAAAAUGACAAGAAGCUGGUGAUAAACAAUUGAAACAGAAAAUUCACUAGAUCACAGAAUGCCACACUGAUUAAAUGAUGAAGUUUGUUUAUUAAAAGGUGUUAAGAGAAUAUAAGUAUUCCUGUAGAUAAUAAAUUAGUAAGGGUAUUUUUGUAAAUAGUUUGUUAGAUUUGUACUAUUAUAAAUACUAGUUGGUCACUCAUAAUAUGGUGAUUAGAUAUUUUUCCUCCCAAAAUACCUAUUGUCAUGGUAUCAGAGCUAAAGUCCUAGGGUUAGGGUUAAACAUCUAAGAAAAGUACCACUGUUCAUCGCGGCACUGUUCACGCUAUUACUAUUCACGUCGUUACUGCUCACGGCGCACGGUUCGUCUCGAGUUUUGACCCUUUUCUUUGGUUUGAAAUGCUAUUCCCUAUGACUAAAAAUUUAUCAAAAAGUGUCAAAAGCAAAGGAGGUCGCGGAGCUUUGACGAUGCUCUAGGUUCAACCGGACAAAAGAGCUUGGCCCAUAUAAUUAUAUAUUUAAUGUAAAAAUUAUAUAUAAUAUUUAUUAAAUAAAAUUGAUAUAAAUAAUUAAUGUCCCGGGGAAUCAUUCUGACUGAAACAAGGGGCGGGUCUUUACGAACUUCAAAAUAUUCGAAUAGUGGAUUUAUUUUGACUCUUCAUAGAUAGCCAGAGAGUAGAGAUGCUUUUCAUAGCGUAGUUUCUUUCGCACCCUUGGCUGUGAAAGCCCGUUUUGAUGCCUGAAACCUAAUGAUGUAAAGGAGCUGAGCUCUUUUUUUUUGACAAAUGAAAAGAGCUGAGCUUGGAUGAUUGAAAUUUGAAUGAACUCAUUUUUUAUAUUUUUAACUGUGAUUGAGCGUGAAAAAUUUAAAACUUGUCCAAUUGACAGACCUACUAUACAUACACACUUAAUAUUAAAUAUGAAUGAUAUGUCUAAAUAUCAUGUACGACGAAUUUUGCAAAUUGCUACUUAUAUAACUAACUAGUAUAAAAUUUGUUAGUGAAGUUAGGAAUCUAAAUAUCAUAACUCUCUCAUUUAAGAUGUAAGAUAUAUAACCCUUUUAAAAAGAAUUAUAACGCCCAAAAUGUAACUCCCAUAAUUCCCAAAAUAAAUUCUUUAGAAAGCUAUGACUCGUCUAAAAUUUGGUCAAUACCAUUUGAUCUUUUAUUAAAAUACCCCAAUAAAGGUUCCCUUGUCUAAUUAUCAACAUGUUUGGAUUGGCAUGAUUUCAGAUAAAAUAAUUUGCUUCACAAAUUCCAAUCACCUUUUUAUCUCACAUACAUCACAUCACAAAAAGUGCUACAGUAAUUAUCUCAAAUAAAUCAUCCAAAUAAACUCCUAUCCAAAGGUGAAUCAGAAGUUGAAGGGUAGAUGAAAAUACUAGAAAUCUAUCAUAAUAAUGUUGAUUCUAACACAAUAAAUGUUGAUACUAAAAUAAUAACAUACAAGAACGUGCUCUGAUACAAUAAAUGUUAAUUUUAAGAUUGCAACAUAUAAAAUCGUCCUUAUACAAUGAAUGUUGGCGCAAAGAUAAUAACAUACAAAGAGAUGCGAUAACUUUUGUCACUUAUUAAAAAUUUUGCCUACAAAUUCAAUUUUCAUCACCUAAUUUUUAAUUACUCCAUCUAUCAAGCAUGAAUCGCUGCCUCCAAUGACUACCGUGACGGCGGAGAAUCCGGAUCUGCGUAAUGGCAGCUCUUGGGGCCUCUGUUUUCAAACUCGGACCGGACCGGCCGGUCGAACCGGUUGAACCGGGAACCGGCCAGGUAGCCGGUCCGAGUCACAUUAGAAAACCGGAAAUUUAAAACCCGGUCAAAGCCGGUCAAAAACCGGGUUUGACCGGGUUUGACCGGGAAAAAACCGGUUUUUCCGGUUCAACAGUAUUUUUUUAAAAAAAAAAUUCAAACUUUUUAAUAUUAUGUUUUGACCCCCUAAAUUGUUAAAACUUAUUGAUAUACCUCAAAUAUUUGAUACUUUAUAAAUAUUGUCCUAAAAUUUGAUGUUAUUUUUCAAUUAAAUUCAUAAUUUUAAUUCUAAACUUGUUAAUAUUUAUUAAAUAAUAUAAAUUGCUACUUGAUUGUUCUAAUUUCUUUGUAUUUUCUUGUUAAAUAUAUUUGAAACAUCAAAUAUAUAUGAAUAUGCCUUUAUUAAUAUCAAUAUAUUAUUAGAUAUUAUAUAUAUAACAUUUUAAUUUUAAAAUAAUUUUUAUUUAUGACGUCAUCCGGUUCGACCCCUAUCGACCCCCGGUCGAACCCAUUGACCCCUGACCCCUGACCUCGGCCGAGUCGCUAUCCGGUCCGGUUCUGAAAACAUAGCUUGGGGCAUGGAAGCGGUCCGAAAGACAACUAAGACGAUACUAGCUAGUCUAGUAAUAACCAGUUAAAGAAUUGUCGUCAUUCAAUUAAAAAUUAAAAAUUGACUUUAGUAGGAAAAGAAUAACUGAAUAAUUAAAGUAGAACAUUUAUUUGUGACGCGUGGUUGGUAGGUUUUAUUAACUACUGCUUUAGGUGUUUGUUUGGACAGCAGAUUAUUUAGUCAAUUAUAUUUGCUUACAUCAUCAUUACAAUUUUUAAUACAUCUUUUUAUCUUCUUAAUUACCUUUCUAUUUCACAUACAUCACAUCACGAAAAGUGCUGCAGUAAAAAUAUCUCAAAUAAUUUACAAUCCAAACAAUUUUAUGUCUGAUGUCCAUGACGCAAGUUUGGAUUAGGUACACAUCUAGCAUUAAUAAAAAAAUGAUUCAUUUGAUGGAUUAAUUGAAAAAAUUAUAUUAAGCAAUUCAUCCUGGUAAAUAUUGGCAGUGUUAAUUUUAUUUGAUUGAGGUUUAUAUCCUUUACAAGAAUCAUUUGGUUGUUAUAACUGGCUUGUUUUAGUUGAAAAUCAUUUGAAUUUGUUUGGAUAAUUCAUAAUUGCAUUUUUGUGAUUUCAUAGAUAUGAAUUAGCUGGAGAGUAGGUAGAGGAAUAGGAUACAUCAAUAUCUUUUUUUUCUUCCUUUCUAGCCAUAUAUUUUCCAAAAAUGAGUCCACUUAAAUUGCUUUUGUAAGCAAUUUCACUAAUACUCCCUCAUAUUUGAUAAAUUUAAAAUAGAUAUUAUAUUGGGCAUAGUAAAUUAACUAUCUAAUGCAAAAACUUGAGGGCUGCCAUGGAGUCAAAUUUUUUUCUCUCUCUUAAUACCAAUGAGUAAUUAAAUGGAUUGUUUUUCUAUUUGAAUUGGAUUGAUUUGUUACAAACUAAUUAAUUUUAGGGGAGGUUUCUGAUAUUUUGAAAACCUCACAGGAGGGCUUAAAUGGUAUUGUCCUUUACUACAGGACUUUUCUUUCCAAAUACUUCCCACAUUUGGACCGAAACUGUAGCUUCCCUUAUUUGUCAAGAAAGAACCGCUGGAUUCCCCUCUGGAGAAAGAAAAAAGUCAAGAGAACCAAAUCGACAUCAGUCAUAUGAGAAACCAACGGCGAGCAAAAUUUGUACCGUUUGACGUCCGACAAGAACAAAAAGCCAGCACUAUCGUCGGUCACCAUUAGGACACGCAUGCGUCAGUAAGGCGGUAAUUUGGCACACUGAAAAAGUCAAAAUUUAUUACUCCUACUCUGCAACUCAACCAUCUUCAAUCCUUUUCAAGAACACAAGAACCCGUCCCAGUUCGUCGCUGUACUUUCCUUUCCAAUCACAGCGAUCCCAGAAAGAAAACAACCAGAAACAUGGCAGAAAACAAUGGAGGAAUUGAGGUGAUUCAUUCAUGGUCUGCUCCCAGGUCUCUCAGCACCAGCCUCAUGUACUCUUUUGCCCAGGUAUUGAAUCCUUGUCAACCGCUUUUAUGAAAUAGUGGCAUUGAUGAAUGUUUCUGUCUGUCUGUCUGUCUCUCUCUCUCUCUCCUUCUUUUAUUCUAAAUAUAUUCAUUUUCAGACGCGGAUUAUGUCUUGUUUCGCUUUAUUCUGAGUCCCUUUUCAAAUUUGUUUCCAUUCUUUCCAUCUACUCUGUUCUUUUUUCCUUCUUCUGUGGUGCUUUUGAUUGUUUUGGUAAUAGAUAUGCAGUUCACAUUUUAUGUAGAGUGUGGAAUGAAUACUAACUGCGUUAUAAGAAUGUCAAUUGUUGGUGAUUUUGGCCUAAUGGUGGUUGUCUCCAGUCUCACUCUCUUGGAUUUCUUGAUUUCAUUAGUCAAUAUUUGAAUUGUUUAUUUCACGUGUUUGCAUUGAUUCUAGUUUGUGCUAACUGAAAGUAUGUAUGUUGCUUCCCAACUGUUUAAUCACCAGGCUAGCUACUCAGUUUAAUUACAGUGACCUCCCCUGUUGUUUGGCCCGUAUGGAUAGUUUCCACAACCUCCAAACUGAAAUUCUAUAGCUAAUAUUUUCAUAGCAUGGAGUAGGGUACUUUUGCAAUCCCACAUCCACUUGUUGCUGGCAUACAGGGAGAGAUAGAUGGUAGAGAGCUGCCUGUGCCAAAAACAUUUUUUAAACUUGAUAUGACCUUGAGAUAACCUCACUCUAAUUUUAACAACCAGAAAGUAGAUUUUUGUAGUUAUCACAAAACGUCAGUCUGUUCAUAGCAGGGUAUAUCGUGCAACCAAAAAUGCCAAAAAGUGAUAUGAAGAAGUCUCGUCCAAAUGUAACUUAUUUGAUCAGCUCAUCUCUGCAAAAUUUGCACGUAUAGUCUCUUGGUUGAACUUUUUGGAAUUAAAGUGUCCAGGUAUGGCCCACUUCUUUUAGGAGGCAUUAGAACUAAUGUACUAAACAGGUGGUCUUCCAGAGUACAAUUGUUGUAUGCUACAUUAGAGAAAGAUUAACCAUGCUUGUAAUUGAUAAAAAUUGUACCUCAUGGCUGCAUAUGCUUAACAAACUAUCUGGAAUUCAGGUUUCACAACCUCAUUAACACGAAGUUCAGUUGCUAAGUAAACUUCGUGGUUAGAGUGUCAUGACAAGUACUUUGUUAGCAAACAGCAGAGAUAAGAAACUGACAAUACAGUACAAAUGCCUUUAUUUAUGAUUCAAUUUAGUAGCUUAGUUGCGUGUAGAUCAACUGAUCACAGGAUUGUGUAGCUUCAUUGACCAAUUAGUCAAAAGAUUUCGUAGUCCACUCUCACAGUUCUGUGUAGAUAAUUUGAUUGUUAUGUGAGGGAGAGAAGUGUACUAUUGAUAGUUGAUCAUUGUUUCUUAAUGGCUUGUGUAAACUUUUAAUUUGAUUUGCGCAGAGAGAUGAUACAGAGGUGCUUGAUGAACCACUAUAUGCGAAUUUCCUGCGCGUAACGGGGUUAGAAAGGCCAUACCAACAAGAACUUCUUUCCAAGUUGGUACGCCCAUAUGGAGCUCUAGCAUGUGCAGUUUGAAUUGCGGAAUCCAUUUCUUUAAUUGUGUUUCUUCUCAAAUUCAGCAGUACAAAUUCAUAGUUUAUUCCCCUAGUUUGAAUUUGCUUCUUUACUAGUCUUAUUCUAGCUUUGCCUUGUGAUGCUGACAUGUGCUGGAUUGUGCUUAUUACUGAACUAUGGGAUAAUUAAUUUUAUGCUUCUAGCAAAGUUAUGUGUUCAUACAAUGUUUUGAGGUGCUUAGCCAGCUAGCUUUCUAGGUGGUAUUUAAAAAGUACAAACUUCAGCAUUGAGUAUAUCUUGAGGAAGUUUGUGUAGUACCAAUGACCUUGUUGCUAUCUGAAGAAAAUUUCAUUGAUGAGCUGAAGAUCAGGUAUAUCAGGCUUGGGAGAGAAUUUUGAUCUGUGAAGCAAUUGGAGACAUAUAUUAGGUUAUGGUGUUGAUCUUAAGUGAUGGUGGUCACCAGGAAUUUUGUUAAAGCAUUGAUGCCUAAGUAAUUCCUCUACUAGGAGGCUAAGAUUUUUGCUUCUUUGUGGGUGGAGUUGAAGAGUUUAAGGUAGAGCAGACGUGCACUUGUUAGAUUGCUGUAUUGGUAAGGUUUGAUUAAAUGAAAGUUUAGGCCUAUUCACGCCAUGUCAUGUCAAAUAAAGCAGAGAAAAUGGAAAUUGUAGGAAGAUCUUGUUAUUAAUAAAUUACUGACAGAAGUCUUCUUGGACCACCUAUACGGAUGCAGUCACCUAGGAUUUGGGGACUAAAACCUGCUGAAGUCACAUUAUUACAUACCAACUGUAUAAUUCAAAUUAUUUGUUACCCUUGACCUAAAUGCUUAAUCCAAGUAACUCAUUGACCUAGGAUAUUGUAUACUAAUCACAUCCUUUACAAACAUUUGAUGUGGGACUUCGGGGGUCUCACAUUCAUUUUCUCAAGUUGAACUAUAACGAAUUACAUAGACUGCAUUCUGAAAAUUGUAGAUAACUAGAUUUGCAGCUCUAAAUCAGUUGAUAAUUUGACGAAGCUUUCCACGCAUAAAAAGUUGCCAAUUAGUAGCACAUACAAGAGCAGGUUGGAAGUUUAUUGCAUAAAAGUUGUACUUUUUUUCAGCUUAGACAACUGUAUUUUUCAAAGACUUACUUUCUUACUUUUAUUAUUUUUUUUUAUCGGGUUCUUUACAUUAACCUUGAUUUCCAUAGGAUGGCAUAUGUUCUAUUUUGUUAUUGAGCUUCUUAUAAGCUUCAGUCAUUGUAAUCUAGUUGUUAUUCUGAAAUGAACAGGAAUCUGAUGGAAAUAAGGUGGUCAGGGAGAUUAUUUUUGGUCCUGGAGGAAAGAAGUAUCGGUUUUGUAAGGUAGUCUUCUGAUACUCCAUAUUGCAGACUCUUUGCUUGCCUCUCUGUUCCUGCAAAUCUGUCCCAUAUUUUGGUCUCUUUGCCUUCAAUUUUUCAUUAAAAAAGAUUUUCUCAUCAUGUGACUGCAUCAUGUUUUAGGUUAAUCUAGUUAUCAGAUGCGAAAAUAUACUCAGUGAAGUUUCCUGUUUUGUUGUUAUUAUGUUUUGGCGGUGUUGAAAUAGGUGAUUGUUGUUCUCAGUGUUUUUCUUUUUCCAUAUUUUCUUUUAAAAAACUAGUACCUAGUAGAGUAUGUGAAGUACAAAACCUUUCAAAGCAGAUGAAGAGUUGGAAAGACAAAUUAGGCUUAGUGAUAUAUGACCAGCUUCUGAUUCCUGCGAGGAAGAAUAUUGGGCUGAGGAUUGAUGUACACAGAUUUUGAUACAAUUUGCACUUCUUCUGGCUUUGAAGUUUGUUGAAAUUCAAUAUAUGUUUGAGUUUUGUGUAUCAUCAAUAUCAAGAAUCAUGUUUAAUGUUGAAGGAUAAGAUUUUUUUUGAUGAUUUUUCAUCAAAUUGUAGGAACUAAUUUGUGUUUUUCUUCAUCUAAUUUAUAGCAUUUGGCUAAACAACUUCUACCUGGUUUGAGUGAAGAUUUGAUGAAGAAAGGAAAGCACUUCAUACUUAUCCGGAAUCCUCUUGAAAUUUUGGUGAGUAUGUACUGUAUUACCUUUAAGUUUCAUCUAUUAGACUUGAGAUUUACUUUGCAAAUUGCAUUUUAAUUCACACUAAAAUACUCUUUCCUUAUCUAACUGCACUUUUGUUCAGUUAUAGGUUAUUAACAGGUUUAUUUUAGUAGUUACUUCAAGGCAAAAGCCUGAGAACAUGCUUCAGAUAUUAUGAUUAAGUGUAAAAGUUUGUAUGGCAACAACUUUUUUUUUUUGUCUGUUAUUGUUUCUGAGUAGAUCUUUGUCUAUUAUUGUCAUUUUUCUGAAUUGAUUUCCUAUAUUGGUUGUCAGCCAUCCUUUGAUAAGGUUGUGCCCCCAUCCUUUUCUGAACUGGGAUUGGCAGGAUUGGUCUCCAUAUACAGUCAGCUAUGCGAAUUGGGAAAGCCUCCAGCAAUCAUUGAUGCGGCAGAACUGCAAGCGGAUCCUGAGGUCCUGAAGAAUUUUCCCCUUCUGUAUGGUUUUCCUUGAGGCAUUGUCUUUCCACUUCUCCUUCAUAUGGGACUUUGACUGCUUUUUUGUGCCUUCUGGUCAUUUCCCCCGAAGUAAAGUUUUGAAUUGUGAUUUUAUCCAGGAUGUCAGGUUAUUACCAACUAAGUGGCCCAUGGUCUAAAUAAUAUAGGAUGGUCAUGGCACUAAAUUCUUUAUGCUCCUAUCUUGAUUUCAUUUUACACAAAGAAGUACAAAGAUAGGUGUGUUGGCCUAGAAAAGAAUAAAACAGGAGUGAGAGACGACACAUAAAUCAAGAAAACAAACAGAUACUCUACUUUUCUUCUUUAGCUUUUAAUGUGGAAUCUAGAGUACUAGUUUCUGCCGAAACAGUUCCAUCUAUUGUGGAACUCUUGCCUAAAUGGGCUUCAUCAUGUUGGAAGUUAGUCUAGGGCUUCUAGCCUACUCCUUAGAACCAUGGGGUUCUAUGUUAGGGGGACAGAGGUUGACUAUAGUUGCAUUCUUUCUCCUUCCCCCUCAUAUGCUGCUCUUCUCACUUGCUGCCUUGCCCUUCAUUUUCUUUUUAAUUUGGUUACAAUAAGUAGAGUUUUAUCUUGAUAGAAGGUCUUAUACUACUUGAAAGUUAAAAAUGGCCGAACCAUUUCACAUCAUUUUUGGGAAUUUUAAGCUAACAUGUAAACCUUUUAAAAGCGUGAUUGUUAGAUGAUAGAAGAUUGCUUUUAUUUGACUAGUUUUGAAAAUCUUCAUCCACGUAUUUGUAGUUAUUAGCGUGCACUGAAUAUCACUUGUACAUUAUUACCUGAUAUUGAACAGCUGAAUCCUUCUACUCCUUUAAGUAAACAUUUUUGUUGCCUAUUGUCCUUCUGCAGUUUGCUUUACGUGGACUUUGUGAAGAUCUUGGCAUUCCUUUUCAAGAUUCAAUGCUUAAGUAAGCCAAAGCGAUGCUCAAACAACCUUCGCUCUUAAGCUUUGCUUCUAAAUUAUUAGUAAACAUCAUUGUAAAUUAUUAUGUUAAGUUGGUAUUUCAUCCUUCAGUUUUGAAACAAACAGCUUGAUUUGUGUUAGGUGAUGUGGACAAAAUGAAUGAUACAUGUUCUUGGAUAAAAAGAAAUUGAAUCGCACAUGUUCUUGGUCCUCUGAGUUGGGUCAAUCCAUUUUGUUUUCUUUGUAGACAUACACCACAAAUAUCUGGAAGUACAUGCCUUUUGGAGAUUACUGCAUAUAAAAUUGGCAUUGAUCAAGCAGCAGAAACUGUUCACUACGUGACAUUAUUAUCUGGGAUUCACAAAUAUUUGAUUUUAUCAUAAAAUGUCACUGAGAAUCCACAGAAUAUACUAAUAUUAUGGCAUUGUAGAACUAUAUUAUCACGUAAAUUCUGAUACCAAAAGGUUAUUCAGUCAAGAAGAUAAUUCCUUAAUGCAUUUUACAGCUAUGACCUUAUUUAGUAGUCUUCUCGGUAAACUUUUUAGAUUUGCAAAACAAGCAUGUAUACUCAGGAAUUCAUUUUGGGAUAAAUAGAUCCACAUGCAUGCACAUACAAACAGGCAUAUAUACAGAUUCCUAUCUUGCAAAAAGUCUGAUAAUAUAUUACUCUAUCUAAUGCAGAAUAUAGGCUUUAUUUUUGCGCCUGCUUCCACGUUGUUCUUUGUUUUUUAAUUGAAUGCCAUGCCUUAUGGUAGUUGCGGAAGAUAAUAUUAAUAUUGACUGUUGACCAAUUUAAUCUUUGUAUUUGUAGAUGGGAAGCUGGACCAAAAUCCUUUGAUGGUUUGUGGGCCCCAUGGUGGUACAAAAGUGUACGUGAAUCAACAUGUUUCACACCCAAUACAAAGUAUCCUUCGGUAGGUAGUAUUGCAGUCAACUACAUUUUGAGUGGCUUCCAAUAUUAUAUAUUGACUUAUAGGGAUAGCUCAAGUGUUGUUCCUCAAAUGUGUUCAGGCACUUUGAGUUGGAAGCUUACAGAAUCUUAGACUUAUGAUGCCAUAGUAUGUUCUCUGGAAUCCAACUUGUUUGCAUGUGUCGACAUUUUAGCUUGACAAAUCUUUCUACUGACCUUUUUUAAUCUAAACAUCUUUACUCUCUUUUCCACUUUCUGUACUGGCUUUUCGGAUUACCUCACUCUUAAUUAAUUCUUCUGUUACUCUUUCAUAGCAUUAUGACAGAUAUACACAAGUCACUAGCAUUAUCUUGUUCUCCUGUUAGAUAUAUGAACACUUAUGCUUCAAUAGUUGUUUAGAAAGUGAGAGUUGGAGUUUCUUAAACUUGAGAUUCCUUGAGUUGAUCUGUUUAUAGAAUAACCAGUGCCUCAAACAGCUGAGAAUUCUGUUGUUCGUAUGAUUUAGAAUGCUAGAUUAUAAGCAUGAUUUUGAAAUUAGAAGUGCCAUUCUUAGCAUGAGAUAUAGAAGGGGCAACACUGAAUCAUCAGAUGACCAUUUAAUUUUAUUAGCUCAAUAUGCACGUGCAUUGGAGAAUAAUAGCGGAUAAUCUGUACAAUGCUUUAAAAAUCUCUGAAAACCAUUUCUAGUUUCCUUUGAUUCUAUAUUUCUUGUGUUUUUUCAGCCCCUUCCACAACCCCUGUAUGACCUGCUGGAGCAGAGUUUGCCUUUCUACAACAUGCUUAGGCACCGAGUAAAACGGAGGUCUUCUUUGCCUCCUCCAAGUCUUCCUGUUCCUGCUAAUGAGAAGCUGCUUGCUUGGGUUGGAGAUGAAAUUGUGCCUCGUGAGAGUGCAAGGGUACUUCUUUACGGAACUUGGCAGGAAAACACUUUAUGAAAUUACAAUGCAAAAUAAACCCUAUUUAGUGAUUAAUGUAUCUUCAAGGUUAAUGAAUCUGACCCUUACUACUGGAAUUGUAAAGGUUUCAGUCUUUGACUCAGUUGUACAAGGUGGCGAUGCAGUUUGGGAGGGGCUGCGGGUGUAUAAAGGAAAGAUAUUUAAGCUUGAGGAGCACUUGGACAGGUUAGUUAAAUGAAGUUAACAGAAUUUUUGGAAUACUUGGUUUUCAUACUACCUGCAUUUCUGAAUUACUGUAAUAUACUUUGCACAGAGACAGAAGGGUUCAAACUACAAACACUAAGGAUUUGACAAAAUUGUCAAAAAUGGUUGACUAUGUUUGUGGAUGAUUAAUUUUAUAUAUUUGAUUUCUAACCUCUUUAUUAAAAUUUAAUAUAUAAACAUUUAGCGCCUUUGCUAGAUCAAAAUAUCUUUCUUCUAGCUGAUGAUUCCUUGAGUAUACUAGCUUCGAUAAUGGACAAGCGGAAAAAAUUAACUAAAUUUGUAACUGCUAAAUGAAGAAACUGAUGCAAUUUUUUCUUGAUCCUUGCAUCACUCUUUUGAAUCCUUCUCCUUUCACCCAUCGCAGAAGUGAGUGUUUUUGAAUUGAGUGGCUAAUGCUUCUCAAAUCUGGUGAUGUCUAAAUGAGCUGUUGGUUGGUAUCCUUCGUACUUGUUAUACUUUUUACUGAAUGUAAUGUCUUUUCUGCUGAAAUAAUAUUCUUGUAAUUAUUUAAAUUGGUAGCAUACAGGCAAUGUAAUCCUCAAUCUUACGUCUUGUAAAGUAGUUCACAUUCUUUGCACAAGAGCAAAUUUUGUUUUUAUGAUUGCUACUAGAAAACUGACCUUUUAUCAUUUCUUAUUUAAAUUGGUAGCAUAAAGCCAACCUAGCUGAAUCCACAAUCAUACUUCCUGUAAUGUAGUUGGCAUUCUUUUUAGAAGUGCAAUUGCUUGUAUGAUUGUAUAAUAGAAGGGUGAGUUUUUGUCAUCUCUUAUUUAAGUUGCCUGGUUCAAAAUUUGUUCUGGAUUUAUGCAGUGUAGUGUUAAGGAUGAAUGCCUUGUAGGAGUAAAAGAUGACCAUUUUAACAGAGUAAAUAAAGAAAUCUAAAUUACUAAGUUCAUGUCUCUUGUCAGAUUGUUUGACUCAGCAAAAGCUUUAGCUUUCAGCAACGUACCAACUCGUGACGAGGUGAUGACUCAAUAUACUUCUUUCAUUUUCUUAUCUCCUGGCAUUAUGAAGCUAUAAUUGUAAACAACUCUACUGGGAUUUUACCAUAAUAGAACACCUAAAAUACCCUUGAAUGUCUGAUGCUGAAAAAUGUUAAUUCUUGAGAGUGAUUCUGCUACAUUAUGCAGGUUAAGGAAGCUAUAUUUAAAACUCUCAUCUAUAAUGGGAUGUUUGAUAAUGCACACAUCCGACUAACUAUGACUCGUGGCAAGAAGGUUUCUACUUCUCAUAUAUCUUUAUCAUUGUAACUGUGGAGAUUUACUAUAUAGAAGCGUCCGUUUUCUUUUUUGUUGUGAAAAUAUUUAUUUACAAAUUUACUAAAACUUUGUGACUAACAUUUUAUUGAUUUUCACAGGUUACCUCUGGAAUGAGCCCAGCAUUCAAUCUUUAUGGAUGUACUUUGAUUGGUAUGAUGGACUUAAAAUUUUCAUAGAUGUUAUCUGCCAAGGGCAUGGCUCUAAUUAUUGUGUAUCUCACUUUUAUUUUGGUUACUACAUGGUAUUGUUGCUUUAAAAGAAUUGCUGGUGUGGUACUAGGUUGGAAUUCUGUGUGUUUCUUGGUAUCUUGUUCUUUCUGAAGAAUCAUCAUUGAUCUCCUUUAUAUAUCUAUAUGUUCCUUAAACCAAAUAAAACAUAUUCCAUAAGGAGAUCAUCAAGUUGAGCCUUCUUGCCCAGUUGAAUAUCCAAAAGAUUUCUAUUUAGUUGUUUUUUACCAUUACAUUUGUGCCUCAAAAUUUUCUGUUGUUUUUGAUGUCUUUUGGUCUAACACUUCCAUUUUUUAUAACAUUAUGAAGGAAUGAUAUAAUGAUACAAGUUCUACAAGUUAACUAGUUGCUAGUGCCAUAAUAUAUCCAAGUUACUUCUGACAUGUGAGACUGUCAACAAAAAAUUAAAAAAAAAAACCUGUGAGACAGGCAAUGAGGUAUAGCAAGCUUCAUUUGCAAUUCAAACAUUGUCUAGGCUGUGUACUUUUCCCUGAUUCUUGAAGAAGCCUACAACUUUUUCCAUUCAUGGAAGCUUAUUUUUACACCAUAGAGACCUAUGCAACCGAAAAUCUUUUAAAAGAAUGACUGAAUCCACAACAGAUUAUGGGUUGCCUUUCUUGACAAACUGACCAUGGAUUUGGGUAUUGGCAAUGACCUAGGCAAUUUUUGAUAUUUUUUAAAAUUAUUACUUGGUCCUCAAACCCUUCAAACCAGACUAAAAGAUGCAAGAUAUGCAUCUUGAUAAACAGUCUGAGAGAGCUUGUUGAGGCUCCGUGACUAACAAUUUUUCGUAUACUGGCAUCUGACUGAUAGAGUUUCCAUGUGCUGUUGAGGAUAGGUUGCUUCUGAGAGAACUCCACCUCAUAUAUUUGCACCAUCUAUAGCAUUUAGAGGGAAUAUGUUAGUUAAUGUAUCAGCUACUUUGUCACUUUUCAUUUCCAAAAAAAAAAAAAUGCAACAAUCUGAUUCUUUACAGGAAAUUUCUCUUUCCAAGUUUGCCUUUCCAAUUAGCUCUGGCAGUUACUCUACAUGAGCAGAAAAUUUUGCCAUAAGAUGUGCUUGAGAACCAAUCCUAAAUUAAGGCAUCUAAUAUAGCAUAUUGGCUAUUUUACUUUACUGUAAUUGUCUCCUUUGUGUUUUGGCAGUGCUUGCUGAGUGGAAACUGCCAGUGUAUGAUAAUACAAGGGGAAUAACUCUGGUGACAGCAGCCACACGUCGUAAUUCACCAAAUGUAAUGUUUUUAAAUGGUUUUUGUUGUUGCCUUCUACUGUAUGCCAUAUUCUUCUCUCAUUUAGAACUGAUCUCAUCAACAAAUUAAAGGGUUUGACAAUUAUGAUUGUUUUCCAUGAGAGGGGUUGGAGUUAUGCAUGGACUAGCAUGUGUAAUUUUAAUCAUCAGAGUAUUCGUGUUGUCCCUAUUUAUGUUAUGACAUAUGACAUCUGGCAUCGUAAUUUCUUAUACUGAUCCCAUUAUCCAUGAGCAUUGUAUUUCUGGCUUGCUUGCAACAUCAUGCAUUAUGCUCAGUGACCUAAUGUCAAACACGUGCUUCCUUCAACAUCAUGACUGCACUCUGUGUGGCUCUCCAUUGUCAGAAUAUUCUGUUUGAUACUCAAACUCAUCUGCUGAAUAGAUAUAUGGGAAAGAAAAUCCAUCUGGGGUAUAUUCAAAACAUGUGGCUAUCAUCAGCAAGUUUCACAAAGAAUUCGCUCUAUGCCAGUUAAAUUCAGUUCAAUAUAAUCAGCCGAAUAUGGAAGCUUAUUUGUUAAUAAAUUAGGACUAUUUUUUUUUUCCAUUAGUGCUUGAGACAAGCAAUUACUGAAGCCUGUUUGUCCUGUUUUCUGUUGAUGCUCCUUGUCAUUGGAUGGAACUUGUUUUGAAUUGGGAAAAAUAUAAAAUUUUUUAAUAUGAAUAAGAAUUUUUCCUUAUCUUAGUUAUAAUAUGUAUUAAGUUGGAAAGUGUAUCCCUGUUGUUUUUAAUAUAUUAUCGCCACCAUUGUUGUCAUUAGCUCACCUGAACCCAAAAACGGCCAUUACUUCCAGCCACAGAUGUAUCAUAUCCAUUGACAAAAGAUUGCACCACCUACAUUGCAAUUUUACUGGCAAGAAAAUAUACAAGAAUGAUGGAUGUAGACCACAAUAUCAGAGGCAUUCCAUGUCAUAGAUUUGCUGUGGUAAUUAGAUCAUCUGAUGUAAAGCUAGUUCUUCAGAUUUUGUGAUGAUAUUGUUGGUACACUCGUAUUUCUUCCUUAGGAAUAACUUCUACAGAGUCUAGCAGUUGAUUCCCAGGUGACCACAUUAACAUUUAUGUUUCAUUUACUGCAUCAUCUAGUUAUAUACUUGGCUAGCGGUGUUGUCUUUCAUCUUCUAGAAAACUUUAUAGGUGAAAAAUGAUCAAUUGUGCCAUCUUUCCGUCUACAGUUAAUAUUGAUAAACAAUCUUUCCAAAGAUCAUAAUGCAAAAGCUUCCUUUGACUAAAUUUUUAUAUGUGACAAUGAAAUCAAUGUUCACUUUUGCAGAAUCUGGAUUCCAAGAUUCACCAUAACAACCUUCUUAACAAUGUUCUUGCCAAGGUAUAAUCUUAUUCCAGGUCUGCAACUUAUUCUUGAAAGAGAUAACAAAAGUACCUAAUCCAAUGUUUUUCCUGUCAACUUCAUAUGAUUGGAAUCCUAUUCUUGACUAAGAUGUCACAUCAUGCAACACGAUGUACAUAUAAUAUCAGAGAACUCCUCUUCAGUAAUUACCUUCGUGCCCCUCUCUCUCUCUCAUGCUGUUUCAUUUUGUAUCAUAAUUCGAAUUUGUUACCAGGAAGAAAAUAAUGCGAAUGGUCUUUUUUUAUCUGCUGUAUUUUGAAAAUUGACAUAUUUUCAAACUGAAAAGCAAACUUGGAAGAAUGAAAAAAAGAAAACUUUGAAGCAUUCAAUCAUGGAGAAGAAUAAUGGUAAAAAGAUGUCCAGUCAACAAUUUCAUUAAAAGGAAUGGGGUGGCAAGCCAUACUUUUCCUGUUGAUAUGCAACAAUGAUACAUUAGUGUUGCCAAUUUGGUGCAGAUAGAGGGGAAUAACGCCAAGGCUGAUGAUGCCAUUAUGCUCGAUAAAGAUGGUUAUGUGUCAGAAACAAACGCUACAAAUAUUGUAAGUUUAUAUGCCAGCUGCAUAUCCUUUGUUUCUCUUGGUUUUUAUUGAUUUUUUUGGCUCCCCUCCCCUUCCUUUUCUCUUUAAUGGGGUUUUCUUGGAGCCUCCUAGAGAUGAGCUCGCAGCAUGAGGAAUUGUCAAUCCUAGAUAACAUAUUCACUCUAUUCAGUCUCUCUCUCUCUCUCUCUCUCCCCCCCCCCCUCCCUCCCCUUCAUGUGGGUCCUUGGGUUUUGUGGCAAUUAUCAGGUCCAGGCUUGUUGCAGCCGGCCUUAUUUGUUUCUAGUUGUCUAUUAAUACCCACCAGCUCUGCACUAAUAAAGCUACUGUGUUUGUACGAUGUUAGGGGGUAGUCUAGUUGCUCCCAGAUGUGCAAUUUUUCUCAUGCCUCUUUGAACUAUUUAAAAGAGAAAUUUCUGAUUGGUUUCCUGAUGAAGUAUUGUAAUGUUACUGUUGCAGUUCUUAGUCAAGAAAGGUCGUGUUCUGACACCUCAUGCUGAUUAUUGUCUUCCUGGGGUGACUCGAGCAACGGUAAGCUCCAUAAUAUUCUGUUGGAUGUAAAAUUCUGAAGAAAGGGAUCUAUCUACAUUUCAGGAGUGGUAUCUUAAUUUUCUCAGAAGUCAAUUCUAACACAUAAAGACACAAAACAUUAGUAAGGCAGGGCACCAGUUGAUGCUUGUUUUGCAUUCUCUUCCAAUUUGCAAGCUAAAGUUGUAUGCAGUUGGCGCGUGUCUGCUUUCGAACAUCCAGAAAACCAGCAUUGCAUGGCCAUUUACUUCUUCUCAUGAAUGUUUCAUCUUCAAUGAUGAUGUAAUCAGAACUUGUUACCUAUAGUUUUUCUUAUUGUUGAUCUGAUAUUUGUUUUGGGAUGUCUGCAACUGCAUGACUCUUAUGGAUGUGGCUUAUAUUUCUUGGACAGUAACACCUACAGAAACAUUUUUUAUCAUACUAUAGAUAAAUGGUUAUAGUAGUAGUCCUGUAUAAGCCAUGAACAGCUAGGAUGGUUGUAAGGGUUCCUAUCUUAAAGCAUAUAAACUCCAUAUAGACUAGACCCAGAUAAAAUCAUGAAUAUCUUCGGUUAGCAUAUGAAAGGACAAAGUUCCACAUGUUGCCAUCUCAUGCAAAUGCUUUAUGACAUCUGCUUGCUAAGUGUAAUGGUAAAUUUUGCGGUAUCCAUAUGCUUGAUCGUAAAUAUUCUUUAAGUUCUGCAGGUUAUUGACCUUGUGGUAAAGGAGCAGUUGGAAAUACAGGAGCGGCGUCUUAGCUUAUCCGAAUUUCAUACUGCAGAUGAGGUCUGGUUUUGUUCUUCUAGAUACUAGCUGAACAUCCCAUUAAGAAAUUUUCUAUUCUGCUUUCUUAUAGUGAAUCUUGAGCUUGGCAAAGUUUGUGAAUGCUUAAGAAAUUACCAAGGUGGAGCUUAUUCUAUUAGGCCAAAACCUCAUCAAGAGGACUGAUCUCAUAUUUACACUAAUGAUAUCCAUUGCGAAAGGUUGCAUAUACUUCUUCACACAUACGUGAGGAUUUCUGUCGGAAAUAUAAAAAAGCAUCCUUCUUUCUUUUACACACUGAGGUUUACAAGUAACUGCAAGAUUCAGAGGAACUUAGGCCAGUAAUGUUUGGAUACCCUUUCAAAAGUUAGUUUGACUUGCAUGACCAUCCUGGCACCAUGACUCAGUAAAUGGAAGUGUCACAGUUAGCUUAUUUUUCUAUUUUCCUGUGGCUGGAACUCCUUCAGGAAGUAGUAUAUUCCUAUGCAUAAAGAUGAAGCAAGGGGUUUGCUAACCCUUUUUUGUCUUCUUCUGCGGUUCCAUUCUUUCUGUCAUUUAACACUUGUGAUGAUGCACAUCAAACUGGCAAAAUGAUGAAACAAUCCUUGCUACAUCAACCGACUAAUGAUAAAUUUCUGAAACUUGCCAUCACCUUCUUAAAUCCUAUCACCUCUCAAGUACAUUGUGAUUUUUAAGCUUCAUUCCUGGACAGUGUGCUGUUCUAACUAGUUGUCUUGCUUCCAGGUCUGGACUACUGGAACCGUGGGAGAGCUUAGCCCGGUAUGUCUGUGUUUUCAUAUCCUUGAGUACGAACUACUAACAUCAUCUUUAUAGCCUUUUAAUAAACAAACUUCAUCAUUUAAUCAGUGUGGCAUUCUGUGAUCUAGUGAAUUUUCUGUUUCAAUUGUUUAUCACCAGCUUCUUGUCAUUUUUUUUUAUUGUUUUCAAUUUUUCUUUGACUGAACUAAGGCAUUCAUCAAAAGACUUUGGUUUGUAAUCUGUUCUUUGGGUGGCAAUAGAAGGCUAACUUGUUCUUCCUAUAGCUACAUAUUCUGUCAAAAUCCAAAUUGGCUUUAUAUGGUUGGGUAAUACUAAAAUGCACUUGUUAGAAAUGCAGCUCAAAAUGGUGUUUGAAUUGAUGUCACAUUUAAUCCAUCUACUACUUAAGAGGGGUUGCUGUUCAAAAUCUUGAUUUCUUAAUAUGUUCAUUGUAGUGUAGUCAAUUAAAUCUUCUUAAUAUACUCAUUGUAGCGUCAGACCACGCGUCAUUUUGUAAUUAGACAAUGAAAGAUCUAAAAUCAUCAAAAUCCUGUGCAUCAUUUUUUAAUAAUGUAUGCUGCUGGUUUUGCUUAUGUUGAUGAAUGAUGUAAUGUCACGAACCUGGACCAGGUUAUUAGAAUUGAUGGGCGCAUAGUUGGUGAUGGCCGAGUUGGACCUGUGACUCAAAGAUUGCAGAAUGCUUACAAGGAGCUGACUGAAGAGUCUGGUGUUUCUAUACCAACCUAUCAGAAAACCUGAAUUGAGGUUCUAAAGGUGUGUCUAUUAGAUUGCAAGAAGCAUUGUCUUUAGACUUUUCUCCACUAAUACAUAAACUGUGAAUUUUCUGGAAAUAAGACCGUGAUGUAAACUGACUCAUGUGGAAGUUUUUAAUGAAAGAGAAAUUUUGUGGAAAGUUUCUUCUUUAAAAACAAAAGUUAACAAGUGAAUCUUUGCAGUAGAGGGAGGAGAGAUGAGUAGCUCAAACAAUCAAAGAUUUGAUUCUGGAAGCUGGAGAAAUUGAAUGAAUUCCUGCUAGUUCCUCCACUUCUUCAGGAGAACUAAAACCACUGUAUUCUCUAUAAUUGGCUUUCAGCAAAUAUUCUUAGAAACUCAACUUGUUGCUUGUACACAGCUGUAAAUGAGUCAAACAUCUCAUUAAUGGUCGCGUAAAUUGUAUGGGGCUUAAAAAAAUUUAGGGAGUAGGGAAUUUUAAUACCGUGAAUUUUUCGCUGAUUUGCUGGGAUUAGAUUAUUUUUUCAUUGCCUAUUGCCUACUAAUUAUUGUUUUUAUCAAUUCCUUCGUAAAACAUAUUGGGGCAGGCUGCCAAGGUUGACAAGAUCUCGGCCAAAAAAAUUGCAUUUCAUUGGUUGAUUCAAUGUAGCAGCUGAAAGCAUGGAGCUGAAGCAAAUGUCACCAGAAAUAAUUUAUCAUUGAUAAGGUUUAAUUUGUGACAGAAAUAAGAGAUGGCAGGGGUGAUAAAUCUACUGGAAAUUUCGGCACAGAGCUAUAUUUUGUAGCUGGAUUCUGUUUCUUUAAUCUUUUUGUACCUUAUUAAGGUGGGUUUGCCUACUUUGUCGCAAUGAUAAAGCUUUGAACUCGUUAAAGAAGUUAUUUCUACUGUCAAACUCUGUUAUUUGGAACGAGGAGUUUAUAUACUUCCAUACAAACUGGAUCUUGUGCCCUCCCUAUAUAUUGUUGAAUAGAAAGCCUGACAGUAAUCCUUUUUCUUUCCUGUUUCAUUCCUUUCCUUCUUAGGUUGCUUUUUUCUUUUCUUUUCUUUUCAAAGAAAAUGAAGGUUUUGAAAUUCUCUCCUAAAUCUUUCUUUGUUUUUGAUUGUUAGACCAUAACUCCAAAAUCCCAGAAUGAUAUGACACCAGAGCUUUUGGAAUUGAGUUCUCCACCCCAAAUUGUAUGAAAAGAAAAAGAAUCUGAAUAAACUUUGAAAUACUUUCCAUGAAAUGUUUCGCAUAUAUUGUGUAUCAAGAACCACUUUAACACCAAGGCUUUAGUAGUAGCAUCCUUCGUAUUUCGCCUGAAUUUUAAAAAACUGUAAAAUUACGAAUGUGUUUUCAGUUUCACUCACAACUAUAUGCUGUCAAGUUUUUCUCUUCAAAAGAAUUCAAUCAUAAAGAGUGACUGAAUGACGCGGCAUAUAAAAGCAAUAGAUGUAAAUACGAGAAUUUUUAAAAUCAGCACGUUUAAGUCAUAGAUACGAACAUAAAAAUUUUUAAAAUUACGGUGUCAGACCAUCAUUUAUUUUGUAUUUGUCAUAUAAGUAAUAUGUCAUUUAGAGCAGGAUUUUCCUUUACAGAAUUAGCUCAAGAGAUUCAAAACCAACUAGAAAGGAAUCAUAAACACCUAAAAGAUAAUAAUACUUACGCUUAUGAGCGGAGGGCAGAAAAGUACGCCAUUUUCUAAAACUAUUUCUAUCAUCCAAUAAAAAUAUAAUAAUAAGAUAAUCUUAAAAAACAUUUUUACAUGUCCAGGAUAAAGUUUGACAAUAUUGAUUGCACUAACAUGUAAAACCCAAUAAAAAUAAAGAAAAGGAAUUUGACUAAUUUCCUAUAGCACAAGGUUCAACUAGACAUUGUUUAUAGCUAAAUACAGGCGUAAACGUGAAAACCUUCAAAUUGAUGGCUGAUGAGGCUGACAAGGGUGAAUCCUGGUCCAGACAAUCUUCUGCACAGUGGCGGAGCUAGGAAUUGCAAUUAGGGGGGCGAGUCUCUGUUAUUUGGACCAAAUCCAAAUAACUUUCAAACAUUAUUGUUUGGGUCCUUGAGAGGGGGCAAAGUGAAAUUUUUAUCAAUAUUUUGGGGGGGCAAAGCAAUAUAAUAAAAAUUUUUUUACUUAGAAAUUUUUUUUAUAACAAUUGGAGGGGGGGGCAAGGUGAAAUUUUUUAUCAAUAUUUGGGGGACAAAGCAAUAUAAUAAAAUUUUUUUUACUUAGAAAAUUUUUUUUUUAACAAUUGGAGGGGGGGGCGGUUGCCCCCCCCUGGCCCCCCCCUUCCCUCCGCCCCUGCUUCUGCAUCCUCAACUGUGGAUAAGAGUUCACAAAAAAUAAUAAGUGGGAGGGUUGGAAAACAUUAUUACUAAUCCUGCCUACGUUAUUUUUUAAUUUUUAUAAAUUUAUAGCCGAAGAUGGGUGGAAUUUAAAAAGCAGUGAGCAAGAAUAGGGAUGCGAUUUGAAUGCACACAUUUAAUUCGUAAAGAAUCAACUUUAACCACUAGACAAGAUCUCCUCGGAGAUAGACUAUCGAUUUUGGGACCAAUCAAAGAAAGAAAAUACUAUAUAUGAAUUUUCUUCAUAAUCCCAAACCUUUAAAAUUAGGGGAAGCUGACCAUCAAAUUCAAAUAACCGACGGACGGUCAAUUGAUCAUGUGUGGACCUGGUGAUUUCGCGUGACCAGAAGCUCCAAUUUCGCCCAAAAAUGGCUUAUCUUGCUGGAUUUCCCCUAUCAUGAUAAACACAAUAAAAUUCAUAUUUAAAUAACCAACGGCAAACAAUUGUCGGCCAACAAUUGCAAUCUUGCUAGAUUUCCACUGUGAGUAACACAAUACAACUCACCAUUUUUGUUCCAUUAUAAGCCACACUAGGUGCAUCUUAGGCUUCCAACCAUAAGAAUAGAGGAACAUGUUACUAAAGAAUUCUAACAAAAUGAUUUUUAGGUACCACUAAUAGUAAGUCAAAAUUUUAAAAAAAAAAAUUUUUUUCUACUCCAUGGUAAAUUUGUGAACUUACAAGAUAAAAGUAAAAUUUCUCACAAAAAAAGAGCAAAAUUUUCUAUUAAUUUGAGGAGCAACCUAAAGUAGGAAGGAAAUUUUGAAAAAUAAAAAAAUUUUGGGGGGCGAUGUAAAAAAAAUAAAGGGAGUAUUUUUAAAUUCAAGGGUGCAAAUGUGAGUCAAAUAAAUAAAAAUAGAAACUUUUACAAGUUACAAUCAUAAUUUUAAAAGUUGACAGCCACCAUCAACAUAGCAUGGCUCUACCCAUGAACAUGGAUGACAAUUAUAACUUAGCAUCUCCAAGAAAAAAACAUUCAAUCAUCAACAUUUAACUUAUAAUAUGAUUGUUAGGUUUUCAAAGGCUGAGUAUUUCUGUCUGUCCGACUUAUAUAACAACUGUUUGCGUUGUAAAUUAUUUGGAAAAAUACUUUAAAAUAAUUUGUAGCACUUUUGGUGAUUGUGGACUUUUUGUAAUAUGAUAUAUGUAACCUAAAAAGUUGUUAAAAAUAAUAUGUGAUUCAAAAAUGUGUUUAGUAAACAACGUUUAUUCAAAAACAUUGGCUAUCCAAACACACUUGUCCUUUAAUUAGUUGGAUGUUAGCAAGGUCUAGCAAACUAGAAUAAAAAACGUUUAUCCCAACCCCCCCCCCCCCCCCCCAAAAAAAAGAAGAAGAGGGGAAAAUGAUGACAAAGGAAAUUUAGAAAAAGAAGUAGUAGAGUAUUAAAACUGAAAUCUGAAAUUUGAAAUUCAAAAUCUUAAGGUGCGUUUGAUAAGGUGCUCUACUCAAUUUAUCAAGAAGUAGUAGAGCAUUAAAUCAGAAAUCUGAAACUUUAAUGGAUUCAAACAUGUUUGAGAAAAUUUUUUAAAAAAGUUUUGUUGUACUGUUUCCUUUAGAAAGAAAAAAAGAAAAACCUAAUUUAUUUCUAAACAUUAAUAUGCAACCACAUAAAUAAUCCUAAUAAUGUCAAAAGCAUACCAGUGAUAAAGGAACAAUGAAGUAUGCAAAAUUGCAGAUGAAUUCAGUAUAGGUUGAAUCAAUCAUGCACAUAAAUUUUAUUCCCGUAUCAUUGUAAACAGUUUAAUCAAUAACUACUCUAAAAGUCAACUCAGAGUUUGAAUUGCAAUUACGGUUAAAAUGCUUUCCUAAAGAAAUGGAUUCUCAGCGAUCCAUACUGCAUAUGUUUCCAAUGUAUACGUUAUUCUACUUGUUAAAACUCUGAAUCCAUUCAUUUGGAUUAGUUAUUUUUUUGGGUGUUUUUCAAAAAUUUUACUGUAGUAGAGUUUUUAUAGUAUAUUUUGGGAUAUUUUGAGAUAUUUAAGAGUAGAAGAGUUUUUAGAAUAUAUUUUAGGAUAUUUUUUAAACAUUAAAAAAGAUAUAAACUACUUUUUAAAGUACUUUUUAGAGUAAUUUUUGGAUGGGACUGUUUUUCAAAAACUGGUUUUUCAAAUACAAUAAAAAUUUUUAAAAAGUACUCUAAAAGGUAAUCUAAAAAUUAGUUUAAAUUUUUUUAAAAUUUUAAAAAAAUCUCAAAAUAUAUUCUAGAAACUCUUCUACUCUUAAAUAUCCCAAAAUAUUUUAUGAAAAUAUCCCAAAAUAUAAUUUAAAAACUCUGCUACAGCAAAAUUUUUCAAAAAUACUCCUAAAAACAGCUAAUCCAGACGGAGCAAGAUCUAUUAUUUAGAUUAUAGCAAUGUAUGUAGCUAUUUAUACACUUGAUUUUGUCCUCUCCCUGUAAAUUCUUGACUAGAAAAGUUGACAAAAAUCCCUUUUCUUUUCUGUUUUCUCUCUUUCGUAUGCUUUUUUUGAUGAUGGGGGAACUAGAAACCACCAUCCACUAUCUUUUGGUUGUGCAGCAGGUUGAACCAUUCUUAAGCUGCGUUUGAUAAAACUGAAAUAUGAAGUUUGAAUCCAUUAAUUUAUUGAAUUGAUAAGUAUUAAAGAAGAUACAUUUGAGUAUAUAUCACAUUCAAUGAUAAGUGAAUGGUUUAUCAUUUAUCUUUGGGAAUAAGUUUUGUUUAGAAAAUUUAGCGCCACUUAAUUAUUUCAGAUGUUCAAUUUUUUAUUAUCUAAACAUAUUAAGAUAUGAAUUUAUUAAAUUUAAAUGCUGAAUUGAGUUGUCAAACAAGAUCUUAGACUUAUUAGCACUUCCAUUAUAGAUCCAAAUGAGAAGAUUGUUGUCCACUUUGUCCAUUAAUUACUGCCUUCUUUGCUAGUGAAUAGAUCAAUUACCAAUAAAACGGAGACUUUAAGCCAAUAAUUAUGAAUUUAUGAGGUCAGAAAUCAAGAAAAAACUAAAAAAUAAAAAAUAAGAAAAACGAAAGUCUCUGGAACUACAUAUGUUGCUAAUGUAUUUUUUAAUCUAAUUUUUGAUUAAAAAGAAAUAACUAUUUUGAAUUAUUUAUUUCUAAUCUCUCAUAUUUCUCAAACUUUCUUUACGCUUGAUGUUCUGGACUAUAUAUAAUAUCACAGAUCCAGAAUUGCAGGCAUAACAGAAUUUCCAUCCCUUUUCAACUCUUGACAGAUUUCUAAGCUAAUCUUAGCUGAGUUGGUGAUGGAAUUGACCUAACAACAAAGGCCCCGGAAUUGAAUCCCCCAUCCCCAGUUGCAUAAAAAAGGCAGAAGAUGCUAUUUAUUUAUUAAAAUUUGGAUGAUUUGCACCAGAUGCUUAUCAAAUAUUAUUUGUUAAGAACCGGUCCACGUAGUUGAAAAUUUUAAUCUACAACAUGCUUAGAGAAAGGUAAACGAAAUAAACCUGAGUGCAUCAAAAGAUUACAUCAAAGUCUAGAAUCUAGAAUCCAGCCGUUUGAACGAGAACCUUAGUAAUAAUAACCGUCUUAGUUUGUUCGGAUCUUCGUUGCUGUAAAAUUGGGAAACUUCUUUCUACAACUGCAGUCAAAUUUUUACUAAUAAUUCUUCUUGAAAACUAGCUAGCCGGAGAAUAUUCAUAGCUGGAACAUACACCACUGGAGAAAAAAGUGAAAAGCCUGAGUGAUAUACUUUUUUUUUUUUUUUUUUUUUGUGAGAGGGGCAGGGGACUCGAUGUGAGUACAGAUUCCAUCGAUGAAGAUCAAUUAAGACCGCCACAAAUUGUGGCAAAUUUUGAUGAGAGGCAAGGAUUGAACCCUUGAAUUCCCAUCUUCCCAAGACUUAAGAUGUCUUUAGGUUACCAACAGUCCAAGAGGCUGUUGGCAAAAAGCCUGAGUGAUAUACGAUAAUUACAAAAUAAAAAUACAAGAAGGGAUAAAAAUAUGAGUAUACUAUCCAAGACGUAGGUUAUCUUUUAGUUUAUGUUUGUUGUAUUAUAGUAGGAUUUUAAAAAAAAAAAAGUAUAGCAUGUAUAUUUUUAUAGACCAUAUAUAUUUGGGUUCCGCUCAUAAUACAAAAAGAAGAAAAUCUCAAACUACAGAUGAAAAAAAAAUGAGAAUCUUAAAAAACAUUUACAUGUACUAAAGGAUGAUAGAUACCCACAAUAAAAUUUGUCAUUGAUAUAGAUUGGAUUAUGAAAUGAAAAAUCCAUUUCAAAUAACCAAAAAAACCAAUGGGAUUAAUUUCCUAUAGAACAAGUUUCAGCUAGAUAUUGUUUACAGCUAAAUAGAGCCUCAAACGUGUAAACCUUCAAGUUGCUAACUGAAGAGACUUCAUCCUUGUAUAAACAGUCUUCUGCAUCCUCAACUCUGGAUAUUAGUACACCAAAGGAAUAACUGUAAAGGCUGGAAAAUAUUAUUGCUAACCUACCCACAUUGUCCUUAACAGCCCACGCAUUCUGAGGCCAGUCGAAAAAGGAAAUACUAAAUAUGUCUUUUGAGUCGAAACAAUUCGUGACCCUUAAAUCCAGUAGAAGUUGACCUUCAUAUACAAAUAACCAACGGUCAAUCAAUCUUGUGUCUACCCAUAGAUGCUGCCAUAUUGUUCUUGCCACCAAUUUUCUUCCACAGGAGGACGAUGAUUUUGUGUGAUCAAGCACCAACAUCGGCUAAUAUAGCCAAAUCAUGCUAGAUUUCCACCAUGAUAAACACAAUAAAACUCACCAUUUUGUUCACUGUAAACUACACUUGAGAUUGGUCGACCUUGUAAAAUAUAACCAACAUCAACUUUUUGUGCACUCUUAGCCUUGAUAACCCAAUACAGUAUUUAAAUUUAAUGGUUUCAGAUUUCAACAUAUUCAUAUGUAUUUGAUAACAAAAAAUAGAACAUCUUAAUUAAUUAAGUGAUAUUUAAUUUUCUAAGCAAAACUUACUCUAAAAAAUAAGUGAUAACAUAUUCACUUAUCAGUUAAUACAAAACAUGCUCAAAUGUUAAGAUUCUAAUAUCUAACAAUUCAGUGACUUAAUAGAUUCAAACUUUAGGUUUCAAUUUUAUCAAACACACCCUUAACUAUGGAUUUCCGUUCUGACUUAUUCAGAAAAUUUUUGAAUAAUUUAUAGCAAAUUUUGUAAAGUGAUGAACGUAAAAAUAAAAAAAUGGUGAAAAAGAUAACAAAAUGAUAGUGAAAUGUGUUUAAUUAUACAAUAUAAAUAUAUUUUCAACAAAUUGGCUAUCCAAACAUACUUAUCCUCAAAUAAGUUGGAUGCCACAUUAAUGUACCAAACAAGAAUAGAAAAAGUUCAUCAUAUGACCAAAGAGAGACAAAACAAAUGUGAUAACCACGAAAAAUAAAAGAAUAAGAUGGUCCAAUUAAUGACCACGGGAAAAAAAUGUAGAGCAUUCAAGUGCUCUCUCUCUCUUCUACCUCUGUGUAUAUGUGUGUUACAGAGAAAAAAAAAAAAAUACUAUGUGCAAUCCAACAAAGAGUUCCAGUCAUGUAGGUUAGAAAGAAGCAUUUUUAAAAAAAAAAAAUAAAUCAUGUAGGUAAAAGUAGUUCCACAUUUUUGUGAAGUAAUAAAUUAAUAAAUAAUGAAAAAGUCAAAUUAGAGUUUUAAACUUAAUUACAAUCAUUGUAAUUAAAAUGCUCUCUUUUAAAAUUGGAUUUCAAUGGUCCGUGAUAUUGUGACCGAGUGACGAUGGCUAAUUUUCCCUGCAUAUUUUUUAAGCAUGUGUGCUUGUUCUUGAACGCUGUACUAGCUGACUGGGGGCCUCAAGUAUUUCCAAGAAAUUACAUAUAACCCCCUGUGGUUUAGCAAUGCUAGAUGAUCCCUUUAAUGUUUUAAAAUGAUCAUAUAACUCCCCUAUAGUUUUAUGUAAAGUGGAAAAUGGGUAGAAUGCAUAAUUAGUUUUAGCGAUUAUAUGAGAUACGCUUCAAAAGUGCGUGUCAUAAAAUCAUAAUAUCUAUUUAACCCCAUAUAAAUUGCAUAAAUAUCCACUUUAUCCCUUAUAGGUUUUGCAUUUAUCCACGUAAUCCCUCUGUAGUUUUAUAUAAGGUGAUUAAAUCAUCAUUUGAUAUAGUAUUUAAGUAAAAGCACUACUGGUAUUUCAACUAAUGAUGUUAUAUAGGUUAUUUUCCAUCAAGUUUCCAUUUCUUAUGACAAUAUAAGAGGUAGAAUGGAUAUUUUGAAAUGUUAGGAAGAUUUUGUGGUAAUAGAUGAAACUAUAGGGGGUUUAUUUGUAAUUUACACAUUUAUAAUUGAACGAGGGCAUUGUGUACUAAUAUAUUCAAUGAGUUAUUGCUAAAAUCAGGUGGUGUAGAUGAAGUUUUUUUUUUUUUUUUUUUUUUGUGCAUAAGGGUACGUAUUUUAACAAAUGCAGAUUAUGUGAAGCAACCAAUAAGGCAUUAUGAAUUGAAUAAUGUCAGAUUUGAUUUAGAGUUUCGCAAAUUCUGGGCAUUGAGUGUAUGUCUAUUAUUUUCAGUAGUAACCGCAUGUAGUGAUAAAAUAUACGUCACCCGAGAAAAGAAAGGGAUUAACGAUGGAUUCGUGUCAAAUAAUUUCCUGACUGGCCACGUCAAAAUGCAAAGCCAAAGCAGGAAUUGUUUAUCCAUCAUAAAAUUUGUCAAAGUCAAUUGCUCUAUGAAAUGCAAAAUCCAUUAAAACAAAAAGGGAAAACCAACAAGAUCGAUUUCCUAUAGCACAAAGGCUCAAUUAAACAUUGUUAACAGAAAAGGAAAAACCAAUGGGAUCAAUCUCCUAUAGCACAAGGAGGUUCAACUAGAUAGUACUGUUUGCAGGUAAAAAAUAGAGGCCUAUACCCAUAAACCUUCAAGUUGCUAACCGAGGAGACUUGAUGCUUGCAUAAACAAUCUUCUGCAUCCUCAACUCUGGAUAGUAGCACAGAAGGAGAAUUACUCGAAAGGCUGGAAAGCAUUACUGCAAAGUUACCCACAUUAUCCUUGACAGCCCACCUGUUCUGGGACCAGUCGAAAUAGGAAAUACUAAACAUAUAUUUCCUAUCCUUAAGAUUUCUAACAAGGAAAACUAGUAGAAGCUGACCCUCGUAUUGAAAUAACCAAUGCCUAAUUGAUCCUGGGACUAACCAUUGAUGCUGCCAUGUUUUUGCUGCCAAUUCUUUUAGAGGUCGACGGUUUUGUGUGAUCACGUCCCAACGGCGGCCAACAAUGGCAAAUUUUGCUAGUUCUCCUCCGACACAAACACAGUAAAAUUCUCCUUUUUGUUCACUAUAAACCACACUUGAAAUUGGUUGAUCGUAUAGAAUAUAACCAAACUCAACUUUUUGUGUACUCCAGUUAUCCUUACCGGAAGAAUAUGUAGCAAUGUAAGUGUCGCCAAGAUGUCGAUACGAUAUGAAAAAUACACAAUCUGGAGCAGUAGGGUUUGUGGAAAAAGUAGCAACAUCAGAAUGAUGAUACGUCAACGUGGGGAGCCAGAAGUAAUCGUUGGAAAUAGGACUGUAGACUAAAAAUAAGGUCUCACAUGGUACCUCAACCUUCCUAGCAAAAAGCAACCAGCCUUUUUUCGAAGCGCAUAAUUUUGCAGCGUCGAUAAAGUCGAAUAUCUUUGUCCGAUUGGCAGUUUUAAGGUCGUAUGAUUCCCUGGAACAAGGGUCAAACAGCUUUGGUUGGACAAGGUAUAGACCCCUCUCUAAGUAGAAUAUCCAUGGUGGACUGCUUUUACGCCUAAUUCCUUUACUUUUGUCCCACCAAUCUUUGCAAACUGCACUCGAACGAACUAGGUCACCAAUGCUCAAUUUCUCCAAGAUUGUCCUGAAAAGAUCCUCAGGAAGACCAGCCCAAGGCGCCAUGAUCAAGCUAGUCCUUAGUGUGUUUCGCCCGAACAGCUCAGCGAAGGUCGAACACCUGAUUCAAGGCAUCCCAAUAUAUAUGUUUGAUGGACCUAUUUCGAGUUCUUGGUACUCAAAAAAAAAAAAAAAAAAAAGAAGCCCUUGUCAGUCUUCACCUUAAUAUGGAAAACUAAUACGAGUUUGGUUGGGAAUGCAUGUCUAAUCUGGGUAGUAAACAGGGAGAUAGCGAAACACUACUAUUUAGCAUAAAUUUAUCCUCAACUAUGGGGCCCAAAUUAAGCUCAAUUCGUUCUUUCUUGUGAUUAGCAAGGAGCGAAGGACCAAUCUGCCCUUGAGAAUUGAACUGUGCGGCCAUGCCCACAGCUCAUUGUUCUGAAUUUCGAAGCUCUAGCCUUGAUAAAGAAAUUUUGGUAAGAUAAUCGGUUUUUAUGAUGUUGUUGUUUGCUCUUGUAUUUAGAUUAUAAAUUUUUUAAAUGAUUAAAAAAGAUAAAAUUCAUAAUCAACCAAAGAGUAGCUUUCACUGAUUCUAAUUGUUACACUUAAUCACUUUCCAUAAUUAGAUUAAUUUUACAUAUAAUCACUUUUCAUAAUCAAAUUCUGUAAAAUCUAAAACAAAUGGGAAUAAAGCCUAACUUGCAAAAUAUUUGACAUUUGAGGGGUAAAACUUACACUAAAAAUUUAAUUUUCACGGGGCGUCAAAAGUUAAUUCACGAAUUUUACAACUCAAAUUCUCAACAAUGAAACCAUCAGAAUCUGCCGUUUCCGAGGAGAACCUUAGUAAUAAUACUCUUAACUUCAAUUGACACAUAUAAUGCCAAUAACUAGACUCAAUCCUUUCCAACUGCAACCUUAGGAAUAAUACCUCUCGUAUUAAUUCAUCCGAAUUCACCACUAUAUGCCUUCAAUUUUUCACCAACGUUUCUUCAAAAGAGCAUUUACAUUUGGAUUAUACGCCACAGGCGUAUGCCUAACUGAUACUCAAUGCUUGCCCAAAAAAAAAGGGGGGGGGGGGGCGGUUGGGUGGAGGAGGAUAAAAAGCAUAAUUUUUUUUUUCAUGAAACCAUUUGUCUUUCAUUACCACUUAUUUACCUAAGAAAAUCUCCAAUAACAAUAUAAUAACGUGAAAGGAAGUUACUUAUUUCCAUUUCCUUGCUUCUUCUUUUUUUUUUUUUUUUUUUUUCUAGAAUUACAACUGAAAAGUUAUUCUUAAGAAGGGUGAUUUUUUGCCAAAAGUGUAACCAAAUAGACAAGUGUUUUCUUUAAUACAAGACUUAGCAGUGCUGUGUUGCAAAUGGGUUUUCAAUUUAUAAUGUGUUGAACCAAGAUUUUUUCCAUACGACAUGGUAGUAAUACCUCAAAUGUUCUCAUCUAAUUAGAGGGGAAAACAAUUAGAAAUUUUGAUUUUGUUACUUACUUCCCAUAACUUUCAGGGAAUACGUUCUUUGGAAUUGUAUGAGAUAUUAUUCUAUAGGAUAUGUGAGAAAAAUCUAUUUUAUUUUUCCUUCCCGACCGACAAUUAAUUUUGUUGAAGAGGCCCGAUCGAUUAUGAUGGCUUCUCUUUUCUUUCUCACUAUUUUUUCCGUUGCUGCAGGCAUAAUUUUCUUCAUCGAAACAAAUUUAUCACGAAUUUAUUUCUCACUAGCUCUUGAUCCUUCCAUUUUUUGUAUGGUUGGAACAGUUUUGCCAAUUUUUGAGAACCAGGCGAAACAAAAGCAUUUCGUAAAACUUAUCGAGUUACCAGCGAUAAAAAUAACUAGCUUAAAUAUAACAUUUUCCGAAGCAUAAUAAUGUUUCUAAGAACAUUGGAAACAAGAAGUACGGUAUAGUACAAGAAGUUGGAAAGAGAAAUAUUUGGGAUGAGAUUAAAACAGACUACCAAUUUUGUAAGGAAUCCUAGAGAUAAAGCAACAGAAAAUUAAAAUUCUUGAUUCCUUAGAAAACCUUUAGCCAUGAUAAAACAUAUGCAACUAAAAGGGUUUUUAAGUGUAUUACCUCAAUCAAUGAAGAAACACACGAGCGUUUGAUGCAGAGAGAUGCGAGAGAUCCGUGUAGCCACUCAAAUGUUCAGCCUCUAACAGUGAUCCACACGAACUUUUAGCCAAAACUUCCAAACCCGAAUAAGCUUAAUCUAGAUUAGUGCUAGUUAUUGCCAAGACACCUCUCACAAAUUGGUUGAGAAAACCCUAGUUUUUCACUAUGAAAAACUUGCCCUAAUAAAAAAAUUAAGAGAUGCGAUUUUUUUCUUAUUUUUUUGGACGACUUUUAGGUAUUUUUUCUCUCAAGAUUUUUCUCAAAAAUCUCACAAGAUAAUUUGGGUAUCCAUUAGUCUUGCAAGUAAAAGUUUAGUGAGUAUUUAUAAAUAAAUAAGUUAUCCAUAUCCUUAUUGGAAACCUCAAACUAGUUUCUAAUAGAAUUCAACUUCCUUAUUCUAAUACAACACCUGUAUUUGGAAGAUUUAAAUUUAUUUGCCAAUUAAACUAUCCAAUACAAAUUAAACUACAAGUUAUAAUACUUAUCCUUCAAGUCCCCGCUUGACAUUUAUUUAAUCCAAUUAAAUAAGUUCUUAAUGUGUGUGGCCCAUUAGAUUCCCAAAUACAUUGAUAAUAAGAACUAAUCAUAGUUUCUAAUUAAUAAGAACUAGAUAAAUUAAAAGAAUUUAUCGUUGAUUUAACUUAUCAAUCAACUCAUUCUUACCGAUCAAAAUUGGCAUCUAGUAAUGUAUCAUGACCACCCAAGUAAUGAGAACGUCAAGUGGAUGACUUCACCUUUCAAUGAACAUAUACCAUACAAUUAAUAUCCUUUUAUCACACUUGUCUCACAUUAAUCAUGGAAUAAGUCAUGUCAAUUUCACUAUAUGAUUAAUGUUCUUUUUCUUGUACCAAAAUAUAACUUCCAAAAGAACAAGUACAUAGAAACAUCUUUCUAAGAUUUAUUCACUUAGUACAAAAUUUCUUGACUUAUAUUUCUACAAAUGCUCGUAAAUGAGAUAACUCCUCUUUCACAAGAGGUGGUAAAUUAUUAAAGAUUAUUCACUACCUUUCCGUAUUUCAAGUAUAUACCCAUAUGUUAAUUUUUUUAGCAUUCCCUUUAUGGGAGCAAACAAAUUACACAGAGUAUAACAAUCUAUACUCAAAGUACCAUGAUAAUUCUAAAUCAAAGAAUCACUUAUAUAAUACAUCAUUUAGAGAUUAAUUCUUUUGGCACAAAAGAAAUCUCUAUACGGAUCAAUAUAGUGAACUUAAUUAUGCUAUCAAGCACUCAUAUACUAAUUUAGUGUCUCACACACUAUAGUAGAUGAGCUUUACUACUUCUCUAAUAGAACCGACAUAGUAUAUGCUAGUUUAACUAUAUUAACAAUGUUUCAAUCUUGUUAAUACUUUGACUAGAGAUAUUUAAAAAUAAAUUUUAUAUUUAAUCAAAUGAACCUCAUCAUCAUAGCAUUUAUGAUUUUAUUGAUCAAGUUUAUUCUAGGAAAUCUAUCAUACAAAUAUAAAUAUACAAGCAAUCAAUAUGAUAAAGAUGUUAUUUAUUAAUGCAUAAAUAGUUCAAAUACAUAUAAAAUUCCUAAAAGUGAUUGUGUUUAGAGCAUACAUAAUUUCAAAUUCAUGGGUCCUUACCACAUAAUCAUUUUCAGUUGAUUAGGGAGCAAUAUAAUUACAGAAGGAUUCUUAUUUAAUCACAUUUGACUUGGGACAAACGCAAUAUGGUGCAAAACAUUUGGCAUCGCAACCCUUCAUUAGUUUACGGUUAUGAGAAGGGAUACCAUGAAGAAGAGGCUCGAGAGUUGGUGUUGCACGGUCGACAUCUGCAGCCGCCAACUGGGCAAAGGAACCUGGAACUGGAUCAUCAUCUGCCACUACUUCUAAAUGAAGGUGGACACUUAGUGCUAACAUGCCUAUUAUUGCAACAAUUAGCAACCCAAUCUUGGCCAUUGCAAAACUUAAUUAAAUUUAAUUUAAUUACUGCUAUUAGAUAGGCCUAUUCUGAACAAUGAAGUAUAUAUACAUAUAUAUAUAUAUAUAUAUAUAUAUAUAUAGGUUUGUCUUCAGAUGUAUUUUAGAUGUACUUUAGAUGUUAGAUUUUAGAAAUAUUAGAUUAAUUAUGGAAAGCAUAUAUAUGCAAGGGGACUAAUUAGUGAAAUUGAAUAAAUAUAAGAGAAAGUAGUAAUUAUUAGCAUGUGUAUAUACAUGGUAGGUUGGCUGGUUGAGUGGAAUGUAGGUAUGUUAACGAAUGCCUUAUAGGCACCUGUCAGAAGAAUCCUAUAAAAAUAUAUAUAUGUGUGUGUGUGUGUGCGUGUGUGUGUAUAAUGUAUUUAUGUAUAUAUGUAUGUAUGUAUGUAUGUAUGUAUAUGUAUAUAUAGAAUUUUAGAAACAAAGUUGUUUGAAUAUGAUUCACAAAGUAGUUUGAAAAGCUAUACAUAACUUCUUCAUAAUUUGGAUUAAAGUGUCAAAGUUACAUAAUUAAUUUGCAUUCCAUAAUGGAAUCAAUUAAAAUAUCAAAAGUACCCCUUUGUGAAGUUGGAAUGUAUAUAUUUUGAAAACUAUAAGGGGGUUAUGUAGUAAAGUACUAAACCAUAAGGGGGUUAUGUAAUAAAAUAUAAAAUCACAAGGGGUUAAAGUGUCAUGUAAAUUAAGUUUAUAUAUGUUGGUCACUUCAAUCAUUUUAAUUUUUAAACAAGGAUAUUCUCGACAUUUAAUUUGGGUUCCAUUGUGGAUGAUCAUUUCCAUUGCAUUAACACUUUAAUUCAAAUUAUAAGGGGACUGUGUAUAGAUUUUGAAACUAUAGAACGGUUAUAAAGAAAAUCGCUAAACCACAGGAGGUAAAGUGUAUUUUACCCUAAAGAAAUAUGGCUAUAUGCACUUGUUAUAGUGGGUUACCUGCGGUGCACUUGUUAUACAGCUAACGUAGCAAUAUGAAAAGAUAUAUGUGGUACAUAUGGAUUGAAAUAUUAUGAAAAUUUGUCAAUUGAUUAUUUGCAAGUAUCGACACCUAAAUGCAGACGAUCAUAUGCUCAUUUUCUCAUAGGUAAAUUUUGCAUGUGUCAAAACACAUAAUGGAUUCCACGUUAUUUAUUUCUUUGAUCUUGCUAUUCUUUAUGUGUUAACUACUACGAAUAUUAAAUGCGUUCUUGCUUCACAGGUCAUAUAGUUUUUUUUCAGCUCUCCAGAGCUAGAAAAUCCUGGGACAGAAUGGAAAAUCUGGGUUCUAUAGCGAUGAUUUGCAAUGCGACUAUUCGUUUCUCCUGAAGCAAGGACAAGAAAGAAUCAAAGCAUAGUGCAUGGCUUGGAGUCCAUGACAUAUCUGCAAGACUGCACCAAUAUAGAUCAACAAUUGCAGAUUCAAGGAGGUUCACCUUAGUUGGCGAAAAUACGCUAGAAGCAUAUUUGCCUGGAAUGGGACUUGAAUAUCUAAUUUCCGGCAAGUCCGAAUGAAGCAUAUUUAUCAGACACGCUUGCAAGGAUUGGUGGAAAAUGCUUUUGUCAUACUUUUCAACUUUUGUUGACUGCCCUUCUCAACUAAGACCAAUUUUGAUUGAUAAGCUGAGGGGUGUGAGCUACCUCAGAUCUGUGUAAUGACUUGACUUCCAUAUAUAUACACACACACGCUACAAGGACUUUGCCCAACGAGUAGCACGUCCUUAAAUGGUGCGAAGAGGGGUCAUUUCAAAAGUUGGAUAUUUUUAGUUCUUUAAAAUAUGCUAUUACCUUCACCUUGUGAUUGUCUUCUGCACAAUGCCAUGCCAGCUGGUUUUUUAUUUCCUUUGGGUUUACCUUGUUCACACUGAUCUCAUGGCAGUAAGAAAAAGCAAUCUUCUAUAUUUUUUUUGGAAUUCUUUUGGUAAAGAAAAAUUUGUAGGUGUUGAACUCCUGUUACUCCAUGAAUCAAAGCAUUGUAGACGCCCUAUUUUUUCAAAAUUUUUUUAAAUUUUUAUUAUGUCUUUGUUUAUGUCAUUGUUUAAACAAUCAUUUUUAUUUUUAUUUUUGUAGGAAAAAGCUGAAAUGAAAAGAAAAAAAAAACAGAAAUGAAAGUGCAGCUUUGCCAAAAAAAAAAUUAAUUUUUUUCAACCCCUCUCAUUUUUGCAGCCCAGGAGCAGGAAACGAGUACAAGGAAGUCGAAUUGCAGCUGCCAUUUUUUGUCUAAUUUCCACUCGAUUUUUUUUUUUUGCCUUUUUCUUUCCUCCAAGCCUUGCUUGUAUGAUGCCAACUCAUAUCAACCAGAAUCACCAUGAAAGAUCUAGAAAAUCAGCCAUCUAUUGGCCCUAAAAUGCCCCAAAAACCCGACCUUAUGUCCACUGUUUAGAUGAGGGUUUUGGGAGCUUUGGUUCAUAUCAAAAGAGUUCAUAACGGAGCAUUAGGGUAAGAAAGAAAGGGGAGGUGGCAGAAAAAGAGAAAAAAAGAAGAAAACAGAGAAAACAGAGAGAAAAAAAGUAAGAAAAAAGUGCAGAAAAUUUCCAGAAAAAUUGAGCCAGGGCUGGUUUUCUGACACUGUUUCGGAUCAAAUUCAAUCUCGAUUUUAGUUCUUUAGGCGAUUUUUUCAUUUCUACACUAUAUAAGUUCACCAAAAAACAACUUUUGUUCAGAAAAAUUCUUGAAAAAAUGCCUCCAGAUCUCUCAAAUAUCAGCUCGAAAUCCACCAAUCAUCAGUUCUUAGACACUUGUCAGCAGAGGUUUGCUGGUCCCAAUCUUGCAUUCGGAUGAAUUUUCUUCAGCCCCUCCGCGUUCAUUUGGCUCCAUAAAGCAUCAAGAGGUAAUCCUCAUUCGCUUUCCUCUCUUUUUCCAACUUGUUUGCACAUAAAAAGCUCAGAAAUCUGGCUCUUUUUGGUUCAUGAUGCAUGCUUUUUGUGAUUUUGUGCUGGGAUUUGAAACUUGCAUUUAGGAAUAGAAAUCUUGUAUUGAUGCUUGGGGUGCAUGAUUUUGGAUUGGGCUCUUACCCAAACUUGCGGCUUGUUUCUUUUAAGCAAAAAAUCUGGUGAUGAUUCUUGAGGUUUCAUGUGUGUUCUUGCGGCACUUGAAGAAUGGCAGCAAUCGCAGAAAGCUGCGAUAGCCUUGCAUGGUGUUUUUCAGAAAUUUACAUUUGGACCCCUUAAUUUUUACCUAAUUACACUAUUGUCCAAAAGCCUCUGCAAAUGAAUCAAUUCUGCCCCUUUUAAACUUUAAUCUUCUUUUGCACAUUUUAAGUAGUAUAUUUUUGAGCAAUAUAUUUUAGGUUUUCAGGGCAUAAUUAGGGUUAAUGAUUUUUAGUUGAUUUAUUAUCUUGCUGGGUUUUGGUAAAAUAGUUUAGCGUUUGGUUGAAGGGUAAUUUGUUUGGGUUUUGAUAGUGGGUUUUCUAUUAUUUUGGUUGGGUUUUGACAUGGGUUUCGGAUGAUAAAACCCAAUGUAUUUCGGUAGGGCUUGAAGGGUAAAAACAACGAGCUUGCCCAUCCUUUUUCCUUGGAUUUUCCAUCGGGCCAAAGGGCUUUCAGCCCACAAGAGGAAAUAAAAAUGGCCCAGUGGACUUUUAAUCAAGAAAUCUGAGGACGGAAAUUGUAGAUUAGUCCAUGUCCUUUUAAGUAAUUUCACUCUGCCUCUAAAACCUUUAGAUUUAUUUCAAUUGAUCCUUAAUUUAAUUGCAAUUUGGUCUCUAAACUUUAUUUUUCUUUAAUUGUGACAUCUAGUCUUUGUAAUAAUUAUAAUCUGACCCUAAAAAGUUCUCAUUUUUGUAAUUAGGUCCCUAAUAACUUUAAUUUCUUAAAUAUAAGUUGUUUAUCUUCUUUAAUUGUUAAUUAUACUUCAUUUAAAUGCUUUAAUUAGUAGAUUUCAUGGUUAUUUCCACUUCUUUAUCAUUUAUUUAUUAAUUAAAUUGGUGCCUCGAUUAUUUUGUUGAUUUUAGAGUAUAAAUAGGACAAAUCCAAUCUCAUUUAACCACUACUUCAAGGGAGGUACCUUCUUUUAUUACUUUAAAUCCUCUUAUGUGCUCCUAUGUGUUUUUGUGUGUGUAAUUGCAUGUUUUGAGUGCUUUUUCUCUUAUUUACUCAUUUUAUUCAUUAUAAGUUUCAUAUAUUUUAUUUAAUUUUGAUGAUUAUUUGAGAGGCAUGUAAAUGCCAAAUUGUAAUAAAUAGAUGCCCCAAGACAUGUAUUUAGCUAGGUUAUGUAAUAGAUAGGUUUUAAUUUUGCCAAAAUGUAAUUAGUUAGAUAAAUAUAAUAGUUAGAUUAUUAUUUUUUCAAAUUGCCCCUUAGAUUGUAGUUAGGAUUCCAAAUGUAAUAGUUAGGUCUUUACGCGCGUUUUUUUGCUUGUGUGCUUGCAUAUUGGUGUGUUUAUGCGUUUAUUUGCUUUCUUUAGGAUCUUUACAUCUAGAUAUUAUGAUUAUGUGCUAUGUGUUCUAUAUGUUUUAUGUGUUUAUUCGCUUUAAUUAUAUUUUAUGUAAUUUAUUUAGUUAUAAUAAAUGCAUGACAUCAUCACACUAGUCCAAUACUAUUGUGGUCUUUCUUUCCGAUUUUUCAUUAGUCCAAUACUAGUGAAGACUUGUAGAAAUGAGCUAAUCCAAUGCUAGACUCUUUGGCCCGUUUUUGUGCUUGAUUCACAUUCAACCGUGACUCCUAAACUUUUUUCUUUUGUUUUUCGAAAAUCUGGAGUCAUCUAAAAAGGGUUUUAUCUAUUUUUUUUUAUUAAAAAUACAUUUUUAGAUGACUUGAUACACCUAAACCUGAUAUCAAGUGGCGACUCUUAUUUUUUCUUAAAAAUUUUUUUUAGACUAUUAUUUUGAGCCCAAAUCGUCACACUUUUUAAGCCCCAUUUUAGGCCCUUUUCCUUUAUUUAUUUUCCAAAAAUCAAAAACUCAUUUUUUCAAUUCACUCAUCUUUUAAUAAAAAUUCAUUUUUCUAACAUCUUAUUUUAUUUUCAAAAAAAAUGGGGUGCGACAAGUAUAUUUCUGAGACCGUGAGCUCUUUAUGAAAAUUCUUAUAAAUUGUUCAUCAAUACAGUUUUUACAUUCACAGCAAACUUGUAGAUUGCCCAUAAAAUGCACGAAAACUCCAAUUUCACAUAAGUUGCAUGCUAUGAAUUGAAAACGGAAGUCUUACUAAUCUAUUAGUUCCUCGUACAUUGGUACAUUUGACAAUUUCACGAAAUGCUACAUAAAUUAAUCCAAAAAAACAUGAAUUUUAUAAAGUAUUCAAUCUCGAUAUAUAAAUUAUUCAAGACUUUGAGUUAUGAGACAAUCUCCAUAUAUAAAAUAUUCAAGAGUUUUUUCAUGUUAAUACCUAAAUGAUAAACAUGUAAACUAGCUUUUUUCGAACAAGAUAAUUAAAGACUUUGCUUAUAUAGCUCUUAAAAUGGAAAUUAGGUUUUAUAAGAAAAAUUAAAUCCUUAAUAUAUCUAGCUCAUGUUUUGCAACUAAGAAGAACUAAUGACAAGAUCAUAGGUUAGCAGAUAUUGGAAGAUAUAGUCUUCUCCUUCAAAAUGUUUGGAGAUUAUUUGAAUCAUUUAUUCUUUUUGGGUUGAGCUACAAGGCAAUUUAAAAUUGUAGUUAGCAAACUAAUACAUGACUUUGACUAAUGCAAGUAUAAACGACAAACACCUUGUAAAUUGUUAUAAAGAGAAGAAGAAAGAAGAAAGGUUGAGAGUCGAACCACAAACCUCACAAUCAUAUGCAUAAUGUUAAUACCAACUAAGCGCACUUGGGGAAAAGGCAGACCUUAAGGAUUGAUUGGCAAAAGUACAAGAGAUUGUAUUCGAUCUUACAAUUAAGAGAGAGGAGAGGAUCGAGACAAAGGGAUUUAGGUUCAAAUUUCUUCUACAACCUUGUGGCAGAUUAGGGAGACAAUUGUAUACUGUGAUUGUACCUACAACCGUAGCAGUUGACCAGUUAAACUUUAACUAGUAGAAUCCUUUUGUUAGGACUGCAGUUUAAGAGAUAAGUUGGAGCCAAAAAGCAUUGGUGCUAUCAUUGAGUUAAGAUGAAGUUUUGAUUUAUGAAAUUUGUUUGAACUAAUGGAAAGAUAGAGAACCCGGGAAGAGAAGAACAUUCUUCUGACACAGAUUUGUCGGCAGGUCUCCUGCUAAGAGUUAGAGAUCACUGAAAAGAAAGGCAUCUUAUCUCACAUAUUUUUCUAUUACCUAUGUAUUUGUAGAAUCAACUGUGUUUGAAUAUUUAACUGCAUACAAACUUAUCUUGAUUGACGUUCCUUUUGCCAACAUAAGAAGGCAUUGCAUGUCCUAAGCAAUGCAUUCUUGAGUACGAGACUUUGACUUCUGAGUAAAUUAGACGGAUUCUCUUCUUCCAUAUAGUGAAGGACUAUUACUCGAUCAACAACAGCAGCAACAAAACAAAGAAAAGGAACUUGUUUGGGGUUAAUUGGGCACUUCUUCUCUUUGGAUUGUUUUGCGGCUACAGGCAAACAUGUACAACAUAUAUAAAGACCAUAGCAAAUAUUUAUACAAAAAUUCUACAGUGAUUCCUGCCCUUUCUGUUGUCAUAACAUAUUUAAGAAACUUCUUCAUGGCAAGAUUGUAAAUGAUCGAUUAGGUUGCAAAAUCUUACAUAUGCUUUUAUCUAUUUUGUUGGCCUAGAUUAAGGAGCUCCGUGGCUAUAUCACUUGGACAUCUCGAGAAUUUUGAAAUAUCUAACAUGUUUUUCAUUAUUUUGUUGAUAAUAAUAUACUUAUUGGUAAUAACGAGAGACUAUUGCAGUUGAACAAAUGGUUAACUACUGCAGCAUUAAAUAGUCAUUUAAGUUGAUUGUUAAGUGUGAAUAUGCAUGACUUUUUUUCGAACUAGUAUGGGAGAAUGUGCUUUGCAUGUUAUCAAUGUUUGUUCUCAUAAUAUAUACUAUAAUAAUCAUAUUCCGAAAAUUAAUUACAAGAAUAGAUGUUUUAACUAUUUAAAGUAUUGUAGUGCUAUCAAUCUACUUCUUUGAUAAAAAAUUAUACAUCACUCAUGAUUUUUUAGAAGCAAUAGAGAAGUAAAUUAAAAAAGAAAGGAAAAUUACAAAAAAAAGAUAAUUACUUUCCUCCAAAUUCUAAAAUAAGCAAACUCCAAAAUAGUUAUCCUAGAUUGGUUGAAGAAUUUGUGACAGCCCCACCUCCCCCUAAGGCGAACCAAAGGGUUCGGCGGACCGCCUGCCCAACUCUCGUCGGGACUCAGACGUACCUCAAGCAACCUUCGGAAUAAAACCACAGGAAUAAGUAUAAUAAUGAUCCAAACUUAAAGUAAAACUUAUACACAUUACUAUUUAAAAAGGAAAUACAACCUUCGAAUAUUCAAGGGUUCUCAAUUCUGCAUACAUCCAGCUCGUGCCAAGCACUAGGGCGAGAACCAUUACAAAAUCAAAGGUCUAGCCUAAGCUAGUCUAUACAAAGCUCCCGUCCUUGCUCGCCUUCCCCUGUUAAGGAGAACAAAACUAAAGGAAUGAGUUAAAAGCUCAGUGAGGUUCCGAACACAUAAUCAAACAAUUAAUCCAAUACAUUAAACAUAGAGCAUCAAUAAUUCAAAGAACAUUUACAACGGAAAGCGAUAAUAACACAUAUAUUAAAAGGAUACGGGCUCACAGGGAGCCAUUUAUUUGUUCGUUCAUUCGUUCUCCUGUCAUUCCCCUUAUUCUUCCAAUCAUUUGAAAAUGCAUUUUUUUUUAUAAAUAAAACCCUCGUUCGUUCUUUCGUUUCAUUCAUCCCCUCCUGGACGUUGGCCAGGCUCCACCAGAAUACAAGAUAAUACUCGAGUAUACCAAAUUCACCCAGGGUCAUCAUAUCGCCCGACCAAGUCCACUUCUGGCUCGAGUCGAUCGGUAAUGAAGGGCAGGGCCCAAUUCAGCCAAAAGGCUUACAUCAUGCGCAACUAACGUUUCAAUCAUUAAAUCAUUGAAAAUUUCACGUUCAUUUAGGUCGAGUGCGAUAAAGUACACACUCGCCUAAAAACUCGUUUUGAAAGUCAUUGAAAGCACUUAACACGUUAUCAAACAAUAACACAAGUCAUGAAGUCAAGAAAAUAUAACAAACAAGGAAUACUCACCUAUUUAUAUGCAAAAUAAUGUCCAAAAUAUCCCGCCGGAUAUUACCUUCAGUCACCGACAAAACCUAGGAUUAAACAAGAGAAAAUAUUAUAGUUCCUCUAGCACAACAAUUAGGUUAAAUCGAAGAAAAUCCGACUAAUUACGAGUAAAACGUAUAAAGAUGGAUUUAAAGUGAAAAGAGGACAUUUGGAUCCGUGGACGGGAAUAACUAGGGUUUCAUAAACCAAACGCAAAACCAAACUAAAAAGGGUUAUAAAAUUCCAACGGAAACUUUUGACCAAGGACAAAUUAAAAUCCAAAUAGAUAGGCUAAGGAAAUAUUCUUUCUGAAUCGUUUGUGUGGCUAAAAGUCAAUAUAUAUUCAAGUAAAGGUUAUAUAGCAAAGGUUUUAAUGAAAAUCAUAUCGAAAAGGAGGACACUUAAAACCUUACUUGAAAGUAGUUCACGUGUGACCGAGAAAACCCUAACUCAUACCUCUAUAUUUUGGUACGGAGUAAAUAACCAUUUGAAGUUUCAAACGGAAGAGGUAUCAUGUUUUGAAAGGGUAAAACGGUCAUGGUAUUCACCAAACUCAUAUAUAUAUGAUCAAAUAGAAACUUAGCCCUCGUACACCUCUCGAGCGAAUCGAUGAAAUUUUUAAUGAAAUACAUUCAACUUGAUACAAACACAUUUCCAAAACCAUUUUACUCAUUUACAAGACAAGAAAAGAAACGGACAGCAUUUCCCCUAAUUUUCCUCACUUCCACCUUACAAUCAAAAACCCAUUACUCAUACCGUUAAUUACAAUCACACACAUGGUCCAUAAGUAAGAAAACAUGUCCAAUUAGGGCACAAAACCCUUCAAUCAAGGCCAAUUAGAGACUCCAAAGCCAACUAUAAGAAAACCUCCAAAUUGAAACCCUAGAACCGGAAAUUAUCCCCACAAGCAGAAAUUUUCCGCAAUCAACCGCAAUUAACGUACAAAGGUCCCAUUUAACACCAUUUAAACCACUAAUCCAAGUCCAAUCCAUGACUAUCAUAUAAAAUCAGAAAAAUCUCCAAUAAAUCGAAAAUCGGACCAACUUCACUUAGAACCUUGAAAUCAUCCACAAUAUAGCACAAUCAACCUCUACUAAGCACCGAUAUACCAUUAUCAAAACAACAAAGAAACUUGUUUAGCAACUCACCUUAUAAGUUCAAGAAAGGUAGAAACUUAGGGCCUCCCUUCCAAAAACAACUCCACCAAGACCUCUAUUCCCCCUUAGCUAGCACUUGUACGGAGUAGAUUAGAUUUCUAACGGUGAAAACUCAAGAUUUGAGUAGAAAUUAAAGUUGGAAAGAUGAAGAGCUUUUCUUGUUUUCUCUCUAUGAUGCACGGUUGGCCAGGAAAAGAAAUGAAGAUAUUUUUGCCCCAAAACAGUAUAAAAAGAGAAGGAAACAGGCGGUCAAAAUUGGUGGCCGCCUGUGCCACGUCACAAUUCGGCCGAAUUCAAGGCAGUAGCUAAAAUAAUUUUUUUUCAAAACCCCUCAACAAUCCGGCCAGAAAUUUUUUGCGGCCGGAUUUGGCCCUUUCCAAAUUUCAGAAAAUGUUUUCUUUCCAAGCGCGAACGUGUGAUGCUCAUCCGUUCUUCCAACAAGGAUAUAUACAUACAUACAUAUAACCUACACGUAAUACACAUAAUCACACGUUCAUAUAUAUGCAAUGAAACCCUCCUUAGAAAUGGAUAGUGAAUGGUUUUCGUUUCAAUUAAAAGGAAAAUGAGAAUAAACAAAAUGUUGAGAAAAUAUGAAACUUUUAGGGUUCUCACAGAAUUGCUUUUGUUAUUAGUUUGAGUGUACUUGUGUUGCACGUUACGCACACACACACAGAGAUAUACAUACAUAGAUACAUACAUAUAUAUAUAUAUAUAUAUCUUUUUUCUAAGAAAUGAUGUGGAACCUAUGGGUGUAUUGGGUGUGUGGACCCAAAAAUUUUCUUAUUUAUCGAAUAUUACAAGUUUACUUAAAUAUUUAAUUACUCAUUUUCUUCGAAUUAUUUAUUUCGACCAUUUAAAAAAUCCAUUUAUAUGGAACAACGCCUCUUUUAUAUUUUAAAGCGUUUUGUUGGAAAAUUCACUUUUCGAAAAUUCGUUUAGUUCAGAACAACGAGUGCACGUCUUUUUAGGCUAUACUUGAAUCGGGAGUGUAUCAAUAUUGGAGAAUUAAGAAUGAUCAAUAGUAGAUUAAGAAAGGUUAAUUGAAAAAUUAAUACUAGACUCCUGUGAGGACUCGCAAAAAUUUAUUAUUUUAAAUUACUAUUUCGAACUUAUUCAAAUAUUUAAUUGCCUGUUUGCUCCGAAUAUUAUUUUCUAAUCUCUUGAGACCUAAUUACAUUGAUCUAUGACUUACUUAUAUUUUUAAAGUGACUCAUUUCAAAAAUUAAUUUUUGGAAGCUCGAAUAAUGAAAAUAGUGAAAACAUGUUUGGAAAAUUUAGUCAAUUGAGAGUACAAUAAACUUAGAAAAUUGGAGACAUGUACAAUGGUCCUAAAAUAGGUAAUUUUAGGUUUAAGUACUCAAGUGAUAGUUAGUGGUACGAUCGUUAUAAGAAUUUCUUGGAGAUUUCACUCUAUCGCGUUUAAAGUGGAGAUACGCGUUUUCACGCGCGCGAUUAAUUGAGGAACUUUAGACCAUUAUUUCGGGAUAAUUAAGAAUGAAUAAUAUUUAUAUGAAUAUAAGUGUAUUAGAGGUUUAGUGCACUAGUGUAACAAACUUAAGAAGAAUCGAGCACAAAACGCACGCACUAAUUGCGAUUGACUUUUGGGCAACUUUGGACCACACACUAAAGCUUCCUUUGGAAGCUUCAUUUCAGAUCAGAAUUCUUUCUUUCCUAGCUCCAUUUCCAGUGUGCAACUCCAAGAGCAAAGAACCAAACUUGCUUCCUCAAUUUCUACUCCAAUUCUUGCACCAAAUCCCAACCAUUUCACACCAAAAUUGAAGACCACUUAGUUUAACACUUGAGAAACUCAUCUAGCUACAAAAAAAAGGAGCUUUCCACGGUUUUCUUGGACCAAGAGAGGACCGAAAUUUCUGCUUAGUUCAUCAACCAAAGUAAGUAAUGAUCAAACCUUCUAGUUUUGAUUUAUGGAAGUUGAUUUACACUUAUGAACUUAGUUAUUCAUGUGAGUGACUUGUUAUUGUUGAAAAAUUUUGAAUGUGGGCUCUAUGAACUCCCACUCUUGGAUUGAUGGCUGAUGUGAUGCUUGAUAAUGGAUUUAAUGUUGGUUUAAUGCUCAAUUUGGUAGAUUAAUGGUGCAUGGCUAGUAUAAACUUCAAGGAGUGCAUGGAUGUAAAGUUUCCAAUUCUGCCCCUGUUAUGAUCGUGCCUCUUUUUGCAGAAUUUUGAGGUUUUAAUAGCUUGUAUAUGAUGUUUAUAUGUUGUAUAGAUGGUGUAUAAAGUUUCAUCGAAAAAUAUUGAGGUUUGGUUGGUCAAAUGGAUUAAUCUCGCAAAGCUAGCAAACCUGGAAAAAUUUUCCCGUAAUGCUCAGACAGCCUUCUUGUUUCAUCCAUAACUCUGUGCUUCGACGUCGAAAUCAAGUGCCGUCAGUGGCAUUUGAAACUAGUCAUUCCCAACUUUCCAACGGUAAUGCAACCCCUAAUUUCACCCGAGUAUCCCGUACCAACCGUUUAAAGAUGACUGUCCUGUUUCUCUGUUUUCCUGGAAUGAAAUUCAGAAGCUGCAACUUGAGGCUUGAAUUUGAGCUAGUUGUUGCUGAAUUUCAAAACAAUUUCUUCUGUGAAAUUAUAGUUUUAUGAAUGUAUUUUCCAACGCCACAAACCAUGCUAAAUUUCAAGUUGAAUUGAGUGAUUUGUGAUCAAAAUACGAAACCUGCUCUGCUCUUGAAAACCCUAAAUUUUGGGCAGAAUUGACGCUAGACUUGGUGUGGACUUGCCAAUUAAAUUUCUUGGAGUUAAAACACUUACCAAAUGUACCAUGAAUGUUCCUUAGGCUUUUCCUACACAAAUGAACCAUGUUUGAAGGAUUUUCCUUGGCCAAAUGUUUGGCAUGGAAAACAAAAAGCUCAAGGCAGUUCUGCCUUAGGAUUUUUCGAAAAUUUGGUUGUUUGGUUGAUACCUUCCCGAAGGUAUUUUUCUAUGAAAUUUGAUAGAGGGAUACCCUUUAUAUAGGAGUAUUAUAUUGCCGAAUUUGGUACCCAUCCGAGUCCAUUUCGCUGCUCGACUAAAUUACCAAAGUUCAAGACUUGAUUUUGGAAAACCCUUGUUUAAUAAGGAAAUUUGGGUAACUUUGAGCUACCAUAUCUUGGUGCUCAAAACUCCGUUUCUCGUUCCGCUUGUUUUGUUGUAAACUUAGAUUAUAACACUAAUAGAUUUACAAAUUUCAAAGGCUAGUUCCAAUCAAGUGAAUUUUGCCGAAUUUUCAAAAUUGGCCAAAAACCAACUUAAAUCUGCCAUAUGAACCAAAACAGCGACUUUGAGCUCAUUUUUGAAUAUUUUUCAUUUGGAAUCUUAGAAAAGUGUAUUCUAGGAACUUUUAGUAUUUUGGAAGAGGUUUCCAAUGCUACCAAGUUUUCCAAUUUUGGAUUUGUAAAGAGUGAGAUACGAUUUUUCCAAAAUCUCGUAUCAAAACUGGAAAAAAAUUUUCCAAGCCUUAAGGAAAUAGAGGUUUUCAAAUUUUCCUUAUUCCUUCGAUGUUACUUGAAUGUAUUAAACUUGAUUUCCAAGAUAAAACCUCGAUUGCUUUUGUGCUUUAAAAUUCCAUCUUUGAACCCCGAUUUACGAGUGAUUGUAGUUCGUUUUCAUGAGAUUUUUUUAGAUUGUACACUAAGUACAAUUUUUGUAAUAAUUGGGGGUUUAUGAGUAAUAAGUCCUUAUCAAUUGUUCAGGCACACAAGAGGAAUUUCAAGAGGACCCCACGGUGGACGCUUGAACUUCGAGUGCCGUUUUUUCUUGUUUAUUUGGUGAGUGUCAAGUGCAUGUUUACUUGAACUCCGUGAACUCAAUACAUGUUACCUGUUAUUGAUACUUGAGAUAUUUAAAAAUUCAAGACGGGGGUGCACUUUAUCGCGCUCGUUCUCGUUUGAAAUAAAUGACUCGUACUUGAAAUACUCAAAUGUCUCAAUUGCUCGCACAUGUUACAUGCUUGCUUGACUUGAAAUAGUAUGCUAUGGCUGUAUACGUCGUUUGAGUGAAUCUCCUCAACACUCAAACAUGCUUGGGGGACGCCCACAUCUCAUUGGCGAUCCUUAGACUCGAGCCGGCAUGGGUUUGGUCGGGAACCUUGGCGAGCCAUGAAAAUCACAUGAUAAGCUUGAUCUAUUGGAGAGAUCUUGCUUGGCAUAUUCGAGUAGUAUUGCCUUAAACAACAAAUGACAGGCGGGCCCGAAACAGGGGUAUGUAAGGUGAAAGGGGAUAGGUUAAAUGUGGAGUUCUACGGACUAAAUCUACCCGAUUGACGGAGUGUCAAUUCGUGGAGAUUUUUGAUCAUGCAAGUGGAACAUAGCUCCUGAGAGCUCCAGUAUCCUUGAAUUGUUUUUGUUUACUUUUCCAGUGAAUUGUUAAUCAUUGAAAUAUUAUUGCUCGACUUGUAAAUUUGGGAUUGUUACUUGAACAAUGUGCUUGUAUGUGUAUUCUUGGCCUCACGAGCGUAUUGCUCACCCUGUAAAUUUGUUUUCCUUAGCAGGAUUGGGUAUGAAAUGAGACUUGGAAGAGCCCUUUUGAUGCACUUUUGGUUUAGGAUUUCUAAUAUAUUUUGGGUUUGACCUUUUAUUGGUCACACCUUUGGGAAACUGAUGUAUGAAUUGGACAUUUGAUGUACCUGGAUGUUAUAUACUUUGGGUAUUGAUGUAACUUUUGGAAAAUGAUGUAAGGGUUGGAUAAUCGUUAUAUAUAUUGUGUUAAGUUUGGAAGCUUUCCGCAUUUUCUUACUUAUCUAGUGUUGUUGAAUAGUUUUUCUUUAAGUUUGAACGGAAAUUGCUUGAAUCCUGGCAAGAGUUGGGCAGGCAUCCCACGGAUACCCUCUAGUUCGCCUUAGGAAGAAGUGGGGCGUCACAUUGGGCUUUUGGAUUUUUUCUAGUCUUCUGAAAAAAUUUGUGCCUUUUUCACUUUCAUUGCUAUGAAUUUUUUUUCUCAUUAUUUUUCUUUUUCCUUGGUAGUGAAUCUAAGCAUAAAUUUAAGCUGGGUUUUGACUUAUAUUUGUGGGUUUUGAUUGACGUGUUUGUUAUUAUUCAGCUCAAUAUUUAUCAGUUAACCAAGAUUGUUCAUUGAUCUUUCACAGUUGUAAACUGAUCUUUCUCAAUGAGGACAAGGUUAUUUAGUUGAUUUCUUUACAAUUAUUUUCACUUUCUCUUUUCUUGGGGUUAAUGUCAUUUUUACUUGCUAGAACUUGGUCUAUUUUUGUGGCAGUUCCUUAUCAUGGAGCAAGAGGUAUCUGCUGGAUAAGGGCGGAGUUGCCUGAUGCCUAUCCAUAUAAAUCUCCUUGAAUUAGUUUUGUAAAAUAAGAUUUACCUUCCAAAUGUUGAUGAAUAGUGACUUUGAGGACAUUGUUGCUUUGUUGAAGUUCUUCAACACUGUUUGAGAUUCCAAUGUCAAUUAUUUAGUGUAGCUUUGUCAUAUAAACUUGCGGAUUCUAGGAAUACUCUCUAGUUUGCUCUAUGCUACACAGGAAUAUGACUUUUUGAAUAUGUUGCUUAAAGUUACAAAUCAAGAUCAUACAUUAAAAUACUACAAUUUAGCUCUCUUAUGCUAGAAAAACUUGUUUAAAGUACUUCAUUUUGGAGCUAACAUAUUAAAGUAUGUCACGUCUUCACUCCUUUACUCUCAUAGCAAGUUUGGAUGGAAAGAUUUGAACAGAAAAGAUAAGAAAGGAAGGAAAAAUUGACUUGUUAGAUGUUUGGGAGAUUUUCAUGAGAUAGAAAAGAAAGGAAGGGAAUGGAUUCGAAGGAUAAAACCUGUGCUAAAGUUUAAAAAAAUUUUCUCACCAAAUUUGAGUGGAAAACAAAAGAAACUUGUUGAAAGCCUACUAAUACUUUCUAAAUACCUAUCUUGCCCUUAAAAAGCUAUUGCAUGAAUUUGUAUUGAUUUAUAUGCCCAAAAUCAUUCAGCUUCUUUCAAAACUCUCAAACAACAUUAGAAUCACUUCUCUUGUCUUCUUUUCUUUUCGUUUCUUUUAUCUCAUAAUUUAAGUUUUCUCAUCCUUUUCUUUUCUAUCCUAAAGUCACAAACUAGCUAUGAUAGUUAGUUUGGGAAAACUGAUUUGAAAAGAAAAAAAAGAUGUUGGAAGGAAAGUGAAAGUAUUCUUUCAUUUGGGAGUUCCAAUAACAAAAGAAAGGAGAAGAAAGGGAAGGAUCUGACAUCCUCCACAAGCCAAAAAAUCUUUCGUCCAAUUAUGGGCAAAAACUGAUUAAAUAGAAAGGGACUUUAAUAACUUUUUUAAUAUACUAGUUUUACCUUUGAUGUUUGCCUUGUGAAAUUAUAUACUAAUAAAUGAGUUCUAAAUUCAAGGAUACUACUGUAAAAUAAGAUCUUUUCCUUCUACUUCUCUUCACUCCCAAACAAAGUAAAAUUACUUCUUUUUUUUUUUCUCUCCCAAAACUCCCAAACAAUAUGAAAGGAUAUAACAAUCUUUUCUCUUGUCUUCUUUUCUUUUUCAAUCUAAACUUUCUCUUCUUUUUUUUUCAUCCUAAACUCCCAAACAAGCCAUUAAUCUCUUAAUUUUGGCAACCAGUGCGUUCAUUCGCCAAUGCUGUAAUUAAUACUAAAGAAACAAAAAAAACCAAAAAAUUCUAUUAGUCUUUAUCUAGUUUCUCUAAUAGAAUGUAUGACCUCACAAUGGUCUUCAUAAGAACUUUUUAGCUUUAUGACUUUAUCUUCUCCAACAUAUUGAUGAAUACCACACAGUUAAAGGGUUUAUGGUGUAUUAUUAUAAUUUUAUAAGUUAUCAAAUCGUUUAAGUGAGAUAUAAUCAAAGUAUAAUCUCUAGGAAAAUUUUUUAAAGUUUAUCAAUUAUUAUCUUUUCUACAUAAUAUCUUAUUAUAGUGUAAAAAACUGCACAUACGCAUGAUGCACGCUGUAUCUGUGAGAUAAUUAAAUUGUUGAAAUAAAUUCUUUGAAAACAAUUAUGUAUUUGAUACCUUCACAAGUUAUAUUGAAUUGUGCCAUACUGGAAAUAAUGGAAAAAAAAAUGAAAAGAUGCAAAGACAAAUUCUUGGACAACUGAAUGGCUUAUGCAACAAAAAAAGAUAAAAAAUUAAAAAUAACUCAUUCUAAAAAUUCAAUUACUUUGCUACGCCCACUUAUAAUAUGGUUCUUGCUUUCGCACAAAAUAUGUUUACCAUUGAUUUUGAACUUUCAAAUUGCUCUACUACUUAACCUACAAUAAGACACAAAGGAAUCUUUUUACUUGAUAAACAACAUCUUUAAUGAUAAAUACAAACUGCCCGUCAUAUUCAAUCAAGUAAUCACUUCAACUUUCUGCCAUAUGAUGACCAUGUUGUGUGAGUAAAUUCCAAUGUUGGUUAGAUAUUGCAUGUCUUUCCUAAGUCUCUUCAAAUUUUUUUUUAAAGUUUAUCAAUUAUUAUCUUUUCUACAUAAUAUCUUAUUGUUGUGUAAAAAACUGCACGUACACAUGAUGCACGCUGUAUCUGUGAGAUAAUUAAAUUGUUGAAAUAAAUUCUUUGAGAACAAUUAUGUAUUUGAUACCUUAACAAGUUAUAUUGAAUUGUGCCAUAUUGGAAAUAAUGGAAAGAAAUAAAAUGAAAAGAUGCAAAGACAAAUUCUUGGACAACUUAAUGGCUUAUGCAACAAAAAAAGAUAAAAAAUUAAACAUAACUCAUUCUAAAAAUUCAACUACUUUGCCAUGCCAACUUAUAAUAUGGUUCUCCAUUUCGCACAAAACAUGUUUACCAUUGAUUUUGAACUUUCUAAUUGCUCCACUACUUAACCUACAAUAAGACACGAAGGAAUUUUUUACUUGGUAAACAACAUCUUUAAUGAUAAAUACAAACUGCUCCUUAUAUUCAAUCAAGUAAUCACUUCAACUUUCUGCCAUAUGAUAACCAUGUUGUGUGAGUAAAUUCCAACGUUGGUUAGAUGUUGCAUAUCUUUCCUAAGUCUCUCCAAAGAGAAAAAAAAACCAAGAAGAAUACACAAUCUAGAGAGUUAAAGAUUUGUUAGAAUGUAGCGACCUCUUACUUAGUAACAUCCCAUGAGGGUAACCAAAUAAAAAGAUUAAAAAUUGGUUAUACAUGAAAAACAAGGUCCAAUUUAGAAAGAUUUUGGCAAAUUGCAACUCGCCAUGUCUUAAAGCUUAGGGUUCUACAUGCUAAGCAAGAUUUAUUUUUUAUUUUCAACUUGUAUUUAUUACACAGUAGGGUUUUCUGGAAUAAUAUAGUUUGAUUAAGAGUUUAAUUUGAGUAAAGCACUUUAUCAACCUAUAAGAGAAUAUCCAUAGUAGAAGAUUUUUUAUAGGUGGAUUUGCAUGAUAAUCAACCCUUAUGAUUUGCAUGAUAAUCCUUUGCCAAUUAUACUUUCUUGGAUGAUUUUCUUAUCAUCUUUGGAAUAUACACCUGUCUUUUUGUAAGGAAUGCUAAGUCAGUUGAACGAAAUACAAAGUAAGAAAUAAUAUGAAAGAAUUCGCAUUCAAGUGCAUCCCAUCAUAAAAAUUAAGGUUUUCGAAAAGGCAUGUAUUUGCAUUGGGUCAGGCAUUCUUAUCUAUAUUUGGAUUUACUGUCUAUACAUAUCUAAAAGAUUCAAAUUGAAGGAAUUAAUUACUUUGUUAUGCUUUUGAACUUAAUCAACAUAAAUAUUUCUCUUAUUCCAUGAUAGAAUAGUAGCAUUUUAUUCUCAACUGUCAAGAUUAGCUCCUUCAAAAUCUCUAUGAAGACCACAAUAAAAGACUUUUGUUUGCAACAAUAAUAAAGUGGGCAUUAGUUUUUGUUUUUGUCACCAUAGAGCUACAUAUAGCAAGGAAAAUGCCACUGUCUCACAUCACCAUUUGAAGUCAAUAUCUAUGACAACAAAAUUCCUAACUAAGUUUCUAGCAAAAGAAAACAAUUAGUUUAAGAAAUCUUUUUUCUUCACUGAGCUUGUCAUUGUCGUUUGAAAAGAAAAUACAACAAAAAGGAUAUAUCCACUUGUUUUGAAGUUUGGAUUAGUUUUAGAUCUUUUUGUUACUACACUAUUAUAAUCUGAUAGAAAAUGCAGCAUAGUUGUUCACUGAUAUUUCUUGAUGGGACCAGGUUCUUUAGAUGAUUUCUUUAUCUCUUGUUUUGGGUUAAUGUCUUUUUUACUUGUUGGAACUAGCCCUAUUCUCAGGGCAAUUCCGUACAAUGGAGUAAGAGGUAUGUGCCGUGUGACGACCCCACCUUCCUCUAGAGCGUACCCAGAGGUUAGCGGAUCACCUGCCCAACUUUCGUCAGGACUCACUCACUAACAUUUUCAAAUCAAUAAAACUAAAAUCCUUCAAUGUAACAUUUAUAUAUUACAAAUCGUCCCAGUAUUCAAACCAAAGUACAGGCCAAAAGAAAAGAACUUAACGACUAGUACCAUGAUACAGUGUCGGCCAAAUACAAAUUCAAGAUUUCCUUUUACAAACUAUUAAUAUUCUUGUCUCUCUCAUCCUGCACUCUGUUAAGGACAAGAAAUAAUGGGGUAACCUAAAAGUCCAGUGGGGUUUUGAGAAAACAUGCAGUCAAAUUAGUAAAUUAUCAAUCACAUAUAUCAAAUCAUAAAGCGAAGAAGGUCAACAAUUACAAGUAAAGUUAUUAACAGUUCACAUAUUCAAAUAAGUAAUUUAACACCAAAAAGAAAAGGAUACAAUACUGAUACGGUGGCUCCCACCAGGAUCUAGGCAGAGCACCCGAGAUUCAAACAUUGAUACAACUGAUAUGGUGGCUCCUGCCAGGUUUUCGGCAGAACACCCAAGAUUCAAACGUUGAUACAACUACAGUGGCUCCUACCAGAUUCUAGGCGUAACAAUUAGUCUCAUUAAAUAUUUCACUUACAACUCAAGAAUGCAGUGGGUUCUUGCAAGUCAGUUCCGCAGCAGUGUUUUUCAAGUCCGUUGAUACUCCGUCAACGUUUGAAAUGCAGCAAUAACAAUGUCCGUAAAUCACCGCUUAAUUUUAAUAUCCGUCCACCGAUCAACCCUCUUGUCAGGCCCGAACUCCAAGAACAUAGAACACUGGGUGGUAAUACUCGAGUAUACCAAUUUCAAAGGACGCAUCCAACGGAUUAAACAAUAAAUACUAAACACUACCUAUGGUUCAUCAAUUUUCUCGACCAAACUCUUGCUGAUUUGAUUCGACUAACUAUCCGAUGGGGUUUAGGAUUCCAAGCACACAGUAUAAUUGAUGAGAUAACAUUUCCAACCAACUUUCAAGUCAUGUACAUGUAUAUCAGUUCAUUUGUAAAUAGUUCACUUAUAAAUAGGAUAGCAAGAGUUCAAUCAAGUUAGGUCUAGUGCGAUAAGGUAUGCACUCACCUAUUCAUUUGCAGUUCAAGAUAUAUAGCAUUAUCAAUCAACUAGGCGAAUUGAGUAUCAUUCAAGUAAAGUUAGGUCGAGUGCGAUAAAGUACACACUUGCCUAUUGUAAUAACAAGUCAAGAUAUCUAGCAAUUUUAAGAAACAAAUCACAUUUCGAUCAACAAAUCACAUAAAACAUCAAUCAAUUAAAUCACAUGGUCCUACCAGGCAUUUGGAACACCCAACAAUUGAUUUCAAUCUUUUCACUUCAUACCUCAGUUCUUUCUCUUGGUCAUUCUCAAGUCCUGUGGUCAUAUCAUACAUCAAGAGUCUAACCACUUAAAGCCAAUGUAAAUGAGUAAGUUUCACUUAACAAAUAUAGCAAUUUGCAAGUUUAAUCCUAGUAUAACUUCCAGAAGGGUAAAGUUUUUUUGUUCAAAUCAAAGGGCAAACCACGUGCUUGUUAAAUCAAUGUCUCAAUCAAAAUAUGGAGUAAAAGUAUGUCGAUUAUAGUCAAGAGUUUAGAAGAAAAUUGGUCAAGACUUUCGAUGUUCAAAAUUGAAAAUUUUGGACGAAAAGUCGGUUUGGAAAAAACUCAUUUCCUUUCGCUUAAAUCUCUUUGUUUGGCUCAAAACCAACACACAUGUGGAGAUCAAAGUCUUGACAAGCAUUUUGAGCAAAAGUAUGUCACAAUCAUCAUACAAAUUUAGCACUAAAACUGAAUUUUUCUAACAAUCAAGCGUUUUGAGGCAAACAUCACUUUCCUUCCCUUAAAUUAUUUUGUUUUUGGCUCAAAUCCAACCUAUAUAUGAAAAUCAAGGGUUUCUCUGAUAACUCGAGCAAUGGUAGAUCAAAAAUAGCCCAAACCUAAAACUCAAAAACUCCAAAUCAACAUACAUGUGAAGAUCAAAAUAUUAGCAAGUAUUUUGAACAUAAUAUGUCAAAACCAUCCCAAACUUUCAACUCAAACAAAAAUUUUCAGCAACUUAUCCUUAAAUUCCUUUCCUCUAAUUUCAAAGUUUCAACCUUAUUUUCAUGAAAAAAAAAUACAAUAAAUCAUGGCUAGCAUAGUAUGUGUCAUAUGGUAUAUACUUGGUCAGAAAAAUCAUCAAAAUCACACAUAUAUAACUUGAAUUUAGGCUAUGCACUUCAUGUACCAAAAUUGAAAUUGAAAAUUGACAAUAUAACUUGAGAACAACAAUCCUUCGAUAGAAAUCCUUCAUUUUCAUCAAAAUUGCACAUAUAACUCUAGACUAAGCUAAAGAGAUUAUGCACCAAAGUUAGAAAAUUACAAUAUAACUUGACAAAAUCAUGAAAUCUUCCAUAAAGAUUCUUCCUUUAACUUCUAUAACAUCAUAUCUCAAAUAAACUCAAAAAUAAGGAAAGAAAACUAAGGUUUCUAGCCAAGCUCACCUCUUUACCUCCAACCCCAAGGAAGGCAAGCAAAUCAAGAAAGAUGCAAAACUUUCUUCCUCCAAGAACUCCACCAAUAGCUUCCUUCCAAGCUUAAUUCACAGUUUUAUGGAGUGGAUUAGGAUUUUAUCUUGUUUUUCUCACUAAUCAAGUAAAAAAUCAAGGCUUGAAUUUGGAAUUUUUAUCUCCCUCUCUCUCUCUCUCUCUCUCUCUCUUUCUCUAUUCAACCAAGACAAGAAAGAAAAAGAAGAAAAAAUUGUGAAGAACUAAAGUUUUGGUUGAAUAAGGCUUAGUCUUGAUUAAGAAAUUGUAGUGAUUUGACAAGUGGUAAGAUAAGGAUUAGUCUUGGUAGUCAAGAUGUUGUAGUGGUGUGACAAGUGGCAAGAUAAAAAUUAGUCUUGGUCAAGGUUUUAUGGAUAAGUGACAAGUGGCAAGAAAUCAAUUUAUCGCUAUCCAAUUGUCUCUAAUCACCAAAAUAUCUAGUGUUUCUCCAAUUAAUUCUUAACAUCUGUUGUCUUAGAAUCCAUUUUGCACAAAACUCAUUCUAAUCCACCAAAUUUAUUACACACAUCUCACUAGUUGGUCACACUAGUACAAUGUACUAUGAAACUUGACAUGCACCAAGUUAAAUAAAACAAAAGGAUAAAAAUCAUAAUUCAACCAUUAAAACAACAAAAAAUGCAAGACAAGUAAGUGAAACUAACAAAAACCAUAAGAAACGAAUUUUCAAAUCCUCAUAGCGGCAUAAUGGUGGAGUUGCUGGGCACUUAUGCAUAUAUAUCUCCUUAAAUUAGUUUUGUAAAUAAGAUUUGCCAUUCAAAUGUUGAUGAAAACUGGGUUGAGGAUGUCAUUGCCUUAUUCAAGUUGAUCAACAAUCUAUAAACUCAAUGAGAAAAGGGAGUGGGAUCUAAUCAAAAUAUAAUCUUUAGGAAAAUUUUCUAAAGUUUAUCAAUUAUUAUAUUUUCUACAUAAUAUCUUAUUGUAGUGUAAAAAAUUGAAUGUACGCAUGAUGCAUGUAGUAUCUGUGAGAUAAUUAAUUGUUGAAAUAAAUUUUUUGAGAACAAUUAUGCAUUUGAUGCCUUCGCAAGUUAAAUUUAGUCGUGUCAUAGCAAAAAUAACGGAAAAAAAUGAAAAGAUGGAAAGACAAAUUCUUGGACAAUUGAAUGGCUUAUGCACCAAAAAAAGGUAAAAAAUUGAAAAUAACUUAUUCUACAAGUUCAAUUGCUUUGCCACGCCUAUUUAUAACAUAGUCCUCCUUUUUGUACAAAACAUGUUUACCAUUGAAUUUGAACUUUCAAAUUACUCCUCUACUUAACCCACAAUAAAACAUGAACAAAUCUUUUUAUUAGGUAGAAAACAUUUUUAAUGAUAAAUACAAAGUGCCCUGUUAGUCCCACAGACAACCAAGAGGGGGGGUGAAUUGGGUUGAUUAAAAUCUUAACCAAGUUUAUGCACUUUUUCUUUAAUGAAAGUUUACCUUCCUUUUUAGUAAUGAUCAACCAAGUAGAUUAGAAGACAAUAGCAAUAUUGAUCAGAGAAGCAAGUAUAGAUAAGCAAUGAAGAUUUUAUUAAACAGAAAAGUAAGAUAGGGAAUCAAACCAAGUGUCUACCAAGCUGUCCUCAAACUUGAAGACCAAACACUAGGAAGAGCAACUUCUCCUUGAUGAAAGAAGAUCAACUAGAUGUACAAUGGAGGGAGCACUUCCUCCUUGCCCUAAGCCGCACUUAGUCAAGCUAAGAAGUUUUACAAUCACUCAGAAAACCCUCAACAAAGCUACACUAAAGAUCCUUUCAACCACAAAAGAAAUGCUCACCAGAAAUUCACACCACUUUAAAACAAAUCUAGCUUUGGAGACUAUUUUCUAGCUAAAAUAUCUCUUGAGAUCUUGUAAACAAAGUGUGCAAAAGUCCCUACUUCGUUCAGACCAGUUUGAUUUUAAAGGGAACCAGAAAUGGGCUUCAUCAAUGCUUCCAACGGAUAGAAGGCAGCUGAAGAGUCAACUAGCCGUUGGGGCUGUCGGACGUCCGACGAUCGAAUCAUCGUCCGAACCAAUCGUCCGAUGAUAGCCAUGUUGAGGUUCGGACGUCCGAUGAGUUUUUUUGUCGUCCGACAGCACAGCGUCCGACCUUGGGCCGAGAGCUAGCAAGUUAUUUUGGAAUUUUUCGGACGUCCGAUCUGGUUGAUAUGCGUCCGAGGUGUGCGUCCGAUCCUUCCGGACGUCCGAUGCUCCCAUAUGAGCGUCCGACAGAGCUUCCUUCCUGAUGUUCUUCAUCCUUUCGGACGUCCGACAGAUUCCUUUCGGCCGUCCGACCUGAUUGUCCUGUUUUUGCUUCACAUUUUGGUUGUUUUGCUUUUGAUGACAUAUUCGAACCUGAUUCUUGGAUAGACAAAAACACUUGUUUUCGAGGAAGGUUAGAUAAACAUUUCAAAGUGCCAAGAAUGACACACAAGACACACUUAAAAGACAGUAUCUUUGAUCGGAACAAAACAAUUACUAAAUUCAUUUAUAUUAUUUCAAUCUUGUUUGCCACAUCCAAAGCAUCGUAGACUGGAGUCAAUCAGACAUAUGCUUUCCUUGUUCCAUCAGGCCUGAUCAAAGUGUUCACUUUCUUGGUCUGUAUAAACGAACUUUUGUGAUCAUCAAAACCAAGAAUAACAUGCCCCUCAUAUUCAAUCAAAUAGUCACUGCUACUUUGUUCCAUAUGAUGACCAUGUUGUGUGAGUAAAUUCCAAUGUUAGUUAGCAAUUGCAUGUCUUUCCUAAGUCUCUCCAAAAAAAAGAAUAGUACAUAAUUUGGAGAGUUAAGGGUUUGUUAGAAUGUAGCGACGUCUUAAUUAGCAACAUCCUGUGAGGGUAACCAAAUAAAAAGACUAAAACUCGAUUGUACAUGAAAAACAAGGUCUAAUUCAGAAAGAUUUUGGCAAAUUGCAACUCGCCAUCUUUAAAGGCUUAGGGUUCUACAUCCUAAACAAGAUUUAUUUUUUGUUUUCAACUUGUGUUUAUUACACAGUAGGAUUUUCUGGAAUAAUAUAGUUUGAUUAAGAGUUUAAUUUGGACAAAACACUUUACCAAACAAUAAGAGAAUAUCUAUGGUAGAAGAUCUUUUAUAGGUAGAAUUCCAUUAAGAUUUGCAUGAUAAUUCUUUGCUGACUAUACUUUCUUGGAUGAUUUUCUUAUCAUCUUUGGAACUAUAUACCUAUCGUUUUGUAAGGAAUGUGAAGUGAGUUGAACUAAAUACAAAUGCAUUAAGUAAGAAAUAACAUGAAAGAAUUCCCAUUCAAAUGCAUCCUAUCAUGAAAACUUAAAGUUUUUGAAAAUGGCAUGUAUUUACAUUGGGUGAAACAUUCUUACCCAUCUUUGAAUUUACUGUCUAUACAUAUCUAAAUGCUUCAAAUUAAAAGAAUUAAUUACUUUGUAAUACUUUUAAAUUUAAUGAACACAAACAUUUCUCUUAUUUUGUGAUAGAAUAGUAACAUUUUAUUCUCAACUGUCAAGAUUAUCUUCUUCAAAAUCUAUAUGAAAACCACAAUAAAAGGCUUUUGUUUACAACAAUAAAAAAGUGGGCAUUAUUUUUUUUUGUCACCAAAAGGUACAUCUAGCAAGGAAAAUGCCACUAUUUCACAUCAUCAUUUAAAGACAAUAUCCAUGACAACAAAAUUCCUAACUAAGUUUCUAGCUAAAGAAAAUAAUUCAUUUAAGAAAUCUUUUGUCCUCACUAAACUUGCCAUUUUCACUUGAAAAUACAAUAGAAAGAAUAUAUUCACUUGUUUUGAAGUUUAAUUUAGUUUUUGAUCUUUUUAUUACUACAUUAUCAUAACCCAAUAAAAAAAUGCAGCAUAGUUGUUUACUGAUAUUUCUUAAUGAAGUCCAGUUUCUUUAGUGGAUUACUUUAUCUCUUGUUUUGGGGUCAAUGUCUUUUUUAGUAUUUGGAGCUUGGCCUGUUCUUAUGGCAAUUCCUUAUAAUGGAGUAGGAGAUAUGUGCCGGACAACGAUGGAGUUGCCAGGUACUUAUCCAUAUAAAUCUCCUUGAAUUAGUUUUGUAAAUAAGAUUUACCAUCCAAAUGUUGAUGAAAAGUGGGUUGAGGAUGUUAUUGCCUUGUUGAAGUUGAUUAACAAUCUAUAAGUUCAGUGAGUAAAGAGAGUGAGAUAAUAUAAUCUCUAGGAGAAUUUCCUAAAGCUUAUCAAUCAUAAUCCGUGCUACAUAAUAUCUUAUUAUAGUAUAAAAUACUGCAUGUACGCAUGAUGCACGCUGUAUCUAUGAGAUAAUUAAGUUGUUGAAAUAAAUUCUUUGAGAACAAUUAUGUAUUUGAUACAUUUACAAGUUAUAUUUAAUUGUGCCAUAGUGGAAAUAAUGGAAAGAAGAAAAUGAAAAGAUGCAUAGACAAAUUCUUGUUCAACUGAAUGGCUUAUGCCGCAAACAAAGGUAAAAAAUUAAAAAUAACUAAUUUCAAUAGUUCAACUACUUUGCCACGCCCACUUAUAAUAUGGUUCUCCCUUUUGCAAAAAACAUGUUUACCAUUGAUUUUGAACUUUCAAAUUGUUCCUCUACUUGACCCACAAUAAGACAUGAUGGAAUCUUUUUAUUUGGUAGACUAUAUCUUUAACGAUAAAUACAAACUGCCUCUCAUUAUCAAUCAAGUAAUCACUUUUACACUCUUCCAUAUGAUGAGCAUGUUGUGUGAGUAAAUUCCAAGAUUGGUUAGCAAUUGCAUGUCUUUCCGAAGUCGCUAAAAAAAAAGAAGAGUACAAUUUGGAGAGUUAAGGGUUUGUUAGAAUGUAGCAAAGCCUUAAUUAGUAAUAUCCCAUGAGGGUAACCAAAUAAAAAGAUUAAAUUUUAGUUGUACAAGAAAACAAGUGUCUAAUUCUGAAGAAUUUUGGCAAAUUGCAACUCAUCAUAUUUUAAAGCAUAGGGUUCUAUACCCUAAGCAAGAUUUAUUUUUAUUUUCAACUUGUGUUUAUUACACAGUAGGGUUUUCUGGAAUAAUGGUCAUAUAACUUGAUUUUAAGAGUUUACUUUGGACUAAACACUUUUCCGACCUAUAAGAGAAUAUCCAUGAUAGAAGAUCUUUUAUAGGUGGAAUUCCCUUAAGAUUUGCAUGAUUAUCCUUUGCUAUCAUUUCUGGAACUAUACACCUGUCUUUUUAUAAGGAAUGCCAAGUGAGUAUAAUGAAAUACAAAGCAAGAAAUAAAAUGAAAGAAUUCACAUUCAAGUGCAUCCCAUCGUGGAAACUUAAAGUUUUUGAAAAAGACAUGUAUUUACAUUGGGUCAAACAUUCUUACCUAUCUUUGGAUUUACUAUCUAUGCAUAUUCAAAAGUUUCAAAUUGAAAGAAUUAAUUACUUUGUAAUGCUUCUAAACUUAAUCAACACAAACAUUUCUCUUAUUUCGGAAUAGAAUAGUAGCAUUUCAUUUUCAACUAUGAAGAUUAUCUACUUCAAAAUCUAUAUGAAGACCACAAUAGAUGGUUUUUGUUUUCAAUUAUAAUAAAAGUUGGCAUCAGUUAUUUUUUUUCUUUUUUUUUUCUGGUCAUCAAAGAACUACAUAUAGCAAGGAAAAUGCCACUAACUCACAUUACCAUUUAAAGGCAAUAUCUAUGACAACAAAAUUCCUAACUAAGUUUCUAGCAAAAGAAAACAAUUCAUUUAAAAAAUUUUCUUUCCUCACUAAACUUGUCAUUGUCAUUUGAAAAUCCAACAAAAAGGAUAUAUCCACUUAUUUUGAAAUUUGAUUUAGUUUUGGAUCUUUUUAUUACUACACUAUCAUAACCCGAGAGAAAAUGCAGCACAGUUUACCGAUCUUUCUUAUUCAGGACAAGGUUCUUUAGUUGAUUGCUUUAUAAUUAUUCUUCAUUUCUCUUGUUUUGGGGUUAAUGCCUUUUUUACUUGCUAGAACUUGGCUUGUUCUUAUGACAAUUCCUUAUAAUGGAGUAGGAGGGAUGUGCUAGAUAACGGUGGAGUUGCUAGGCACUUAUCCGUAUAAAUCUCCUUAAAUUAGUUUUGUAACUAAGAUUUAUCAUCCAAAUAUUGAUGAAAAGUGGGUUGAGGAUGUUAUUGCCUUGUUGAAGUUGUUCAACAACCUAUAAACUCAGUGAGAAAAUAGAGUGAGAUCUAAUCAAAAUAUAAUCUCUUGAAAAAUUUCCUAAAGCUUAUCAAUUAUUAUUUGUCCUACAUAAUAUCUUAUUAUAGUGAAAAAAAUUGCAUGUAUGUACGAUGCACACUGUAUCUAUGAGAUAAUUAAGUUGUUGAAAUAAAUUCUUUGAGAAUAAUUAUGUAUUUAAUACCUUCACAAGUUACACUUAAUCGUGCCAUGGUUGAAAUAAUGGAAAAAAAAUGAAAAGGUGCAGAAACAAAUUCUUGGACAACUAAACGGCCGAUGCAACAAAAAAGGUAAGAAAUUAACAAUAACUCAUGCUACAAGUUCAACUACUACUUUGCCGUGCCCACUUAUAGCAUGGUUCUUCUUUUUGCACAAAAUAUGUUUACCAUUGAUUUUGAACUUUCAAAUUGCUUCUCUACUUAACCCACAAUUAGUUGGUAGGCAACAUUUUUUAUGAUAAAUACAAACUGCCUUCAUAUUCAAUCAGGUAAUGACUUCUCUUUUCUUCCAUAUGAUGACCAUAUUAUGUGAGUAAAUUUCAAGGUUGGUUAGUAAUUGCAUAUCUUUCAUAAGUCUCUCCAAAAAAGAGAAGAGUAUACAAUCUAAAGUGUUAGGGGUUUGGUAGAAUGUAGCAACAUCUUAAUUAGUAACAUCCCAUGAGGGUAACUAAAUAAAAAGAUUAAAAUUAGAUAGUACAUGAAAAACAAGGUCCAAUUUGGUGGGACCAGGUUCUUUAAUUGAUUGCUUUACAAUUAUUCUCCCUUUCUCUUGUUUUGGGGUUAAUAUCUUUUUACUCACCAGAACUUGGCUUGUUUCUGUCAAUUCCUCAUAAUGGCAUAGGAGGUAUGUGCCAGAGAACGGUAGAGUUGCUAGGUGCUUAUCCACAUAAAUUUCUUUGAAUUGAUUUUGUAAAUAAGAUUAACCAUCCAAGGUUGAUGAAAAGUGAGUUUGUGGAUGUUGUUUCUUUGUUGAAGUUGUUCAACAGUCUAUAAGCUCAGUGAGAAAAGAGAGUGAGAUCUAAUCAAGUAUAAUCUCUAGGAAAAUUUUAUAAAUCUUGUCAGUUAUUAACUCUUCUACAUAAUAUCUUAUCAUAGUGUAAAAAACUGCACGUGUUGUAAGGAUCGAAAACAAUCUAAGAGGGGGUGAAUUAGAUUGAUUAGGAAACUAAUCAAGUUAUGAGCAUUUUUGGCUCAAUAUGAAAUUUACCCUCUUUUCUAAGUGAUCACACAAUGAAUCAAUCAAUGAAUGAAUAAAAUCACUUGAGAGAAGUAAAAAAUAUAAGCAAUUUAAAGAUCACAAGAUAACAAUAAGUAAAUAAGAAGGGAAGAAUUGCAAACCAAUUGACUACCAAGUUUCUUUUGAGCUUGUAGAUCAAUUCAAACAAAUUUCUUCAAAUUGAUGAAAUACAACCAAUCUUAUGUACAAAGGAAGACUCACUUCCUCCUUGCCCCAAGAUACACUCGGUCAAGUUAGGAAGUUUUACUAUCCCUUAGGACAACUCUCACAGAACUACACUAUUGAAGUAUUCACUCACAAAUGAAAAACUUACAAAGAACUUCAUACCACCAAGACUACAAAUCUUCUUUGGAGAGUGUUUUCUCACUAAAACUACUCUAUAUCUUUUGUAUCUUCAGUGUGCAAAAGUUGUUUGAAGUUUCUGACAAUCCUCUAUUUAUAUGAGACCAAAAAAGUGUUUCAUUAAUGUUUCCAACGGAUAGAAGGUAGUUGAAGAGUCAACUAGCCGUUAGGAGUAUCGGACGUCCGGUACAACUGAUGCUUGCGUCCGACAGCAGAUAGUGAGUUUGAGAAAUCAUCUUAAUUCUUUCGGACGUCCGGUGAUGGAGUUUUUCAUGCCUCCGAAGUGUUGCAUUAUUUAUCGGACGUCCGAUGUUGUCUUCAUGAGCGUCCGACAGUUUUCAACUUACUUUAUCUCUUGCAAAUGCUCUUGUUCUUUGAAUCAGAUUUGUUUCAUAGCUGAAAAUAUUUCUUGAAGAGAUAUUAAUAUCAUUCAAUUGUUUUAUAAACAUCAAAAGUUAGGGACCAUGGUCAACACGUGUGCAUGAUGCACACUAUAUCCAUGAGAUAAUUAAGUUGCUGAAAUAAAUUCUUUGAGAACAAUUUUGCAUUUGAUACCUUCACGAGUUAUAUUUAAUUGUACUGUACUAGAAAUAAUGAAAAGAUGCAAAAAUAAAUUUUGGACAAUUUAAUGGCUUAUGCAACAAAAAGGGCAAAUAUAAUUCAUGUGAUACAAGUAAAAGCUCAACUAUUACUUUGCCACGCCCAUUAAUAGCAUGGCCCUCCUUGAUCAAUUCUUCGUACAAAACUUGUUUGCCAUUGAUUUUGAACUUUCAAAUUGGUCUGCUAGUUGACCCAUUAGCUAUUGCAUGUCUUUUUUAAGUUCCUCCAAGAAAAACAUGAAUAUUGUGCAAUUUGGAGAGUUAGGGGUUUGUUAGAAUGUGGGUUUGUCUUAAUUAGUAACAUCGCAUUGGGUAACCAAAUAAAAAAGAUUGAAAUUUGGUUAUACAUGAAAAACAAGGUCCAAUUUUGAGCGUUAAAGUUUUUAAAUAACGCAUGCAUUUACAUUGGGUCAAACAUUCUAACCUAUCUUUGGAUUUACUAUCUACAUAUUUAAAAGUUCCAAAUUAAAAGAAUUAAUUAUUUCGUAAUGCCGAAUAACAGUGGAGUUGCCAAGCACUUAUUCAUGUGAAUCUCCUUGAAUUAGUUCAGUGAAUAAGAGUUGGCUUCCAAAUAUUGACGAAGAAAGGGUUUAGGAUAUUAUUGCCUUGUUGUAGUUGUUCAACAAUCUAUAAUUUCAGUAAGAAAGUGUGUGAGAUCCAAUCAAAAUACAAUUUCAAGAAAAAUUUACUAAAUCUUAUCAAUUAUUAUCUAUCUUACAUAAUAUCAUAUUAUAGUCGAAAAAAUUACAUGUACGAAUGAUGCACGCUGUAGCUAUGCGAUAAUUAAAUUGUUGAAAUAAAUUUUUUGAGAAUAAUUAUGUAUUUGAUACCUCCACAGGAUAUAUUUAAUCAUGCCAUAAUGGAAAUAACAGAAAAAAUGAAAAGAUACAGAAACAAAUUCUUGGACAACUAGAUGGCCUAUGUAACAAAAAAGGUAAAAAAUAAAAAAUAACUCAUUCUACAAUUUCAAUUGCUUUGCCACGCCCACUUAUAACCUGGUUUUCCCUUUCGCACAAAAUCUGUUUACCAUUGAUUUUGAACUUUCAAAUUGCUUCUCUACUUAACCCACAGUAAGACAUUAAGGUAUCAUUUUAUUUUUGGUAGACAAUAUUUUUCACGAUAAAUACAAACUGCCCCUUAUAUUCAAUCAAAUAAUCACUCUUACUUUCUCCUAUAUGAUAACCAUGUUCUAUGAAUAAAUUCUAAGGUUGGUCAGCAAUUGCAAGCCUUUCCUAAAUCUCUCCGAAAAAGCAAAAAAGAGGAGUACAUAAUAUGGAGUGUUAAAGGUUUGUUAGAAUGUAGUAACAUCUUAAUUAGUAGCAUCCCAUAAGAGUAACUAAAUAAAAAGAUUAAAAUUUGGUUGUACAUGAAAAACUAGGUCUAAUUUUGAAAAAUUUUGGCCAAUUGCAACUUGCCAUCUUUUGAUGCAUAUGGUUCUACACCCUAACCAAGAUUUAUUUUUUAUUUUCAACUUGUGUUUAAUACAUAGUAGUAGUAUUUUCUUGAAUAAUGGUCAUAUAGUUUGAUUAAGAGUUGAAUUUGGGCAAAUCGUUUAACCAAACAAUAAGAGAAUGUCCAUAGUAGAAGAUCUUCUAUGGGUGGAAUACACUUGAUAUUUGCUUGUUAAUCCUUUGGCAACUAUAAUUGUUUGGAUGACUUUCUUAUCUUCUAUAGAACUAUGCACAUGUCUUUUUGUAAAGAAUGCCAACUGAGUAGAGCAAAAUACAAAGUAGAAAGUAAUAUGAAAGAAUUUCCAUUCAAGUGCUUCGGAUCAUUAAAACUUCAAGUUUUCAAAGAUGGCAUGUAUUUACAUUAGGUCAAAUAUUCUAAUUUAUCUUUGGAUUUACUAUCUAUACAUAUUUAAAAGUUUCAAAUUGAAAAAUUAAUUACUUUGUAAUGCAACAUAACAGUGGAGUUGCUAGGCACUUACCCAUGUAAAUCUUCUUGAAUUAGUUUUGUAAAUAAAAUUUACGUUCCAAAUGUUGAUGAAAAAAGGAUUGAGGAUGCCAUUGCCUUGUUGUAGUUGUUCAUCAAUCUAUAAACUCAGUAAGAAAAGUGAGUGAGAUCUAAUCAGAAUAUAAUCUCUAGAAUAAUUUCCUAAAACUUGUCAAUUGGUAUCCAUUGUACAUAAUAUCAUAUUAUCAUCGAAAAAAUUGCUUGUACGCAUGAUGCACGCUAUAUCUAUGAGAUGAAGUUAUUGAUAUAAAUUCUUUGAGAACAAUUAUGUAUUUGAUACCUUUAUAAGUUACAUUUAAUCAUGUCAUAGUGGAAAUAAUGGAAAGAAAAAAGAGAAAAGGCACAGAGAAAUUCUUUGACAACUGGAUAGCCUAUGCAACAAAAAAGGUAAAAAAUUAAAAAUAACUCGUUUUACAAGUUCAACUACUUUGCCAACCCACUUAUAACAUGGUUCUCCUUUUGUACGAAACAUGUUUACCAUUGAUUUUGAAUCUUCAAAUUACUCCUCCACUUAACCCACAAUAAGACAUAAAGGAAUCAUUUUAUUUUUAAUAGACAACAACUUUAUCGAUAAAUAGGAACUAUCCCUCAUACUCAAUCAAGUAAUCACUCAAACUUUCUCCAAUACGAUGACCAUGUUGUGUGAGCAAAAUCUAAGGUUGGUUGUCUUUCCUAAGUCUGUCUGAAAGAAAGAAAAAAAAGGAGUACACAAUAUGGUGUGUUAAGGAUUUGUUAGAAUAUAGCGAUGUCUUAAUUCGUAAUAUCCCAUAAGGGUAACCAAAUAAAAAUAUUAAAAUUUGUUUGUACAUGAAAAAUAAGAUCUAAUUCUGAAAAAUUUUGAUAAAUUGCAACUUGGCAUAUAUUAAAAUAUAGGGUAACAAGGCUUGAUUUGAGGGGAUGAGCAUGUCAUCCGAUCAGAUAAUCAACCAGGUGUGCAUAUUUCUCGACCAGUUGGGUAGGGGUGGCCUACUUAGGGUGGAGUAUUUCCAAAGGGACACAGAUUGUGCUUGGGUGUAAGGUCAAGGAAAAAGUGGUACAACUUCGUGCCUUUUCUUGGGUGAAACCUCCAGGGCAAGCUGUGAAACUCAAUACUGAUGCAAGUAUCGUAAGCGGGCGUGCAAGUGAUGGAGGGGUGGUGCGUUCGGCUGAGGGUGACUUAGUGUUUGCAUUUUAUAAAGAGUUUGGAGAUCAAGACAUUCUCUCUGCAGAAGCAUUGGCAUUGUUGGAGGGCAUACGGUCUUGCCAGGAUAACAAUCUCCGGGGAUUCGUAGCGGAAGUGGAUUCCAGUACUUUAGUGAGCGUCAUGUCCUCCAAGUUGCCAUCUCGCUGGCCACUAUGCAACAUUAUUAGGCAUAUUCAAUUCUUGGUGGCAAAUUUAGGAGUGUCUUUGGUUCACACGUUCAGAGAAGCAAAUGUGGUUGCAGAUGCUUUGGCCUCCUUGAACCUACGAUCGGAUGUCCGGUUCUCAAGUGAUGCAGAUCUCCCUUCUAAAGUUCGGUCACUUUUGCAGUUAGAUAAGUUGUCCAUUACGUAUGGGAGAUUAUGUACGGUUUCAGGUUAGAUCAGGUCACAUGGUCUGUGUAAUUUCUCGUUUCUUGGCUAAUAAAGAUCGGAUUUUAAAAAAAAAUUAUAGGGUUCUAUACCCUGACCAAGAUUUAUUUUUUAUUUUAAACUUGUAUUUAUUGCACAGUAGGGUUUUCUGGAAUACUGGUCAUAUAGUUUGAUUAAGAGCUUUGUGACGACCCCACCUCCCCCUAGGGCGUACCCCAGGGUUUAGCGGACCGCCCGCCCAACUCUCGCCAGGACUCACUCACGCUUAACUCGAGAAAAGAUAUCACGAUCAUAGAAAAGAAAUGAAAUAAUAAUUUCAAACUUAACAUAUACAUUGAUGCUCAAAUCCAGUUACAAGACUUGUACACAGAACGUUAAAGUGUUUACAAUCCAAAUACAAUCUACCCUAGUUGGGUGCUAGCGCGAGUACAAUUGCAAAAUCCAAAAACUAGACUACGCUAGCCUAUACAAGUCUCACGCCUAACUCGUAUCCCCUGUAAGGAAAACAAAUGGUAUGGAAUGAGCUAAAAGCCCAGUGAGGUUUCAAAUAGCAAGUUGAUCAUUAAUUAAAAGUACAAGUAUCAAUGUGGCAAAACAGCGAGCAUAACAAGUUCAUAAAAGUGAGCGAUAACACUUCAAGUAGGAAAUCUCAAAAUAAGCGAGUGUAAAAUUCUUUUUCUAAAAGAAACAAUAGCACUAUGAAUAACAAUCAAAGUAUAAGGAUACAGAUGGCUCUCAGGAGCCAAAUUCCCGUUGCUUCACCAGAGUUUGAUCAAGUAUUAGUUGACACUCCAUCAACUUUCAAGUAAAGUAACCAAUCCAAUAGUAUUUCGCUUAACACCAAUUUGUCCUCCAUUCAACCCCCUCAUCGGGCCUGAACACCAACUAAACAUUGGUGGUAAUAUUCGAGCAUACCGAUUAGUCGAGGAGAUAGCACUCCACUCGACAACGCUAGAUACCCAUGGUUCAUUGUCUAAUUGACCAAACCCUUGUCGGCUCGACUCGACUAACUAGCCAGUGAGGUUUGGGUUCCCAAGUAGUCACUAUAGUCGAUGACCAAUCGACUUAGUCAAGAGAAAAGUACAGAGACGGGAAUGAGAGGUACCUCCCACUUGUAUCGAUUGUGGUACAUACGGCCACUCAGUACUUACAAGUCAAGUACAAGUACAGGGCAAUGCAAAUCAAGUCACUUGUACAAGUAUGAAUGAGAUAUCAAGUGUUUAGUUGAGUUAGGUCAAGUGCGAUAAAGUAUACACUUACCCGACCAAACCAAGCAAAUCUUAUCCGAUCACGUUGGUAAAGAAUUUAAUUAAGUAUCAAGUUCAAUCAUGUAUUUGGAAGCACUCACCAAAGAUUUAGUGCUUGUCAAAAAUCACGUUCAGGUGUAACUCCUUGGUUGGAGUCCAAAUCUGCGAUACAAUAUCAUUUAAAAGUUUGAAAUCAACUAGGGUUCGAAACAUAGGAGUUUCGCUUCAAGAAAAUCAAAUAAAUGAAACUCAUUUAGAUAAGAUUCAUGUUACGUAUCAAACUCUAGAAAAUUCAGGCUCACUCUUUUGGUGUUGCUAAAGGAGCAACUAAAAUUUUGGAAUUCGCAUUUGAGUCGCAAAGACGAGGAAAACGUAUUUCUAUUGAUUUUUCUAAGGGUACGAGUUUUGGCCGAAUUCUAGCUUAUAUAUCUCUACGAAAGAGAACUCGAAUAACGUAGAUAAUUCAAAUUCAAUUCAACCUCAAUUCUUUACUCAAAUCACAAGUACACACACCUAGUCCUCGAAUGAAAAUUUGGGUGACAUGUCCUUUGUAUUUAGCUAUUUUUCCAGCCAUUUAUGGCUUCUUUGGUUUUUCUCAAUUCAACCCCACAAUCACACACAAGUAAUAUUACUAACAUAGCCCUGCAAUUAGGCUCCACAAUCAUCCAAUUACAACACAAGUGUAAUAAUACAAUCGGAAAUCAGUUUUGAAGACAAAAAGCUAAACAGCAGAUUUGACAUCUUAUAGCAUUUUGGUCACAACUAGAGUUAUGUUUAUUGGAUUGGGGUAAACCUAAUACCAUUUCGAAUCUAAGACAAAGGGUUACAACUUUCAUGAAGACAACUUAAUCCAUUUCAUAGUUGAUCUAGGUUGAAUUUGCAAAUUACAGAACCAGAAGUUCAUGGUCAAUCUGGUUGUCAGUACUAAAUUCAAAUGGCAAUAACUCAAGCUCCACAAUUCCAUUUGAGGCAUUUUUAGAUGCGUUGGAAAUCUGAAACAUAGGGCUAAAAGUUUUGUGUUUUGGCCAAAGGCUGAUUUGAUACGGAUCAAGGUGAAAAACGAAGCCAAACUUGUGAAAUCUCAAAACUGUCCACGAAAUGAGGCUUUUGGCAGUAAGGGUAUUUCAGUCAUUUCACAUGAUACAGUACUCUGAUCGAGCUGAAAUUUUACAGGAAGCUAUAUAAUAUCAUUUCCUACAACUUUCGUGUUUUAACAUAAGUCUAAUUCGGCCUGUAACAUAGACGAAUGAUGCUAGUCAGAACAUGGCAGUUUCAAUCCUUAAAACUGGAAUUUGAUGAAACCAAAGUAGAAAAUGCUCAUUCAUGUCUUACACCACUAUCCCAACUCCCUAUCCAUGAUUAUAUACAUCAUAUGCUCUCUAAACAACAAGAAAUACAACUGAACAACUCAAACCCUAACUCAAAAUCCACCAUAUCCAUCAAAACUACCAAAAGAACUAUCAUUUGCCAUAAGUAUGAGUUGUUAUACACACGUAAGCAAGAGUAAGGAAGUGAUAAAGGAAGAUGGCCAUAAUACCUCUCUAAGAUGCUUGCAAGAGAAAUCCUUCACCUUUCCUUUCAAAAACUUUAGAACACCAAGCUUCCUAAGCUCCCAAUUUAGAGUUUAAUCGGUUUAGAUUUUUGGUUUUCACUCACCUAAGCUAGAAAUCAAGAUGGAAUGAAAUGGUUUUCACUCUUUUCUUUUUCCUCUCAUAAGUCACGACCAAGAUGAAAGAAAAUGAAGAAAAAUGAGCCAAGAAGAAAAAUAAGAAGAAAGGAAAAUGUUUUGGUCAAGACCUUGGUUGGAUUUUUGACAAAUGGCUUAAUUACAAAUAUUUCCACCAAAAUAUCUCUCUUUUCCUUAGUCAAUAAUGGUGGCUGACUUAAGGGUUAAUUAAGAGCUAAUUAGCUCAACUAAAACAAGGAGAUUAAGGUAAUAAAGUGGUGUAUUCCAUCGGUAGCGAACGGUACCCGUCGGUUCAAACCGAUUUUCCUUAAAUCGUGUGUACUAGGGUUUUAUCUUAUGUUUCACUAACUUAUUAUUCUCGCUUCUAAUCACACACUUUCUCUUAUCUAAAACUUACUCUUAAUCACCAAAUUGAGUACACACUCCACACUGAUUAAUCACACUACCAAAAGACAAAAAAAACCCUAGUUUACCUUAACGAUGAAAGUAAAGGGAAAAUCCUUGGUUCUAUGAUUAAUUGUAACUAUUGAUGAAGUGAAUGAGUAGUAAAGCUAUUGUAAAAUAAUGGAUUCCAAAUAAAAGGAAAUUUUUAAGAAAAUAUGAGGAAUUUUACAAGUUCUCACAAUCACACUACCAAAAUGCACACAAAAACACACACCAAAACCCUAGUAUGCACAAAACCCUAACUCAUGCCCUUCCUUCAGAAAAAUCAUAACUUGAGUUAUAAUUAUGAAAAAUUUAUAAAACUUGGCUCGUUAAAAACUAGACUUCAAAUACUAAGAAUCUUUAGAAGACACCUCAAAGAAAUUUAGUUCAUAAGUUGGUCCAAAUUGAGCCAUAAGCUACUACAACAUUCCUAUGUUUACUUGUGCAGGGUAGAAUUUUCAGUCAACUUUGCCAAUUUCCAAGAAUUUAUAGACAUUGAAUCAAACUCUAAAUUUUACAUCGUAGGAAGCUCUCUGAGUCUAGUUUCAAACGCAACAAACGGAACUCAAUUCUGACUUUCGUAUACGAAGUUAUAGCCAAUUUUCCAAAGCUGCGCAGUGCCUUCUGCUAAAAUUUCUAGAUUUUCUAACAACUUGAGAUAAUGAAACUUUUCUUAACAAAAUUCACUCCCUUGGCUUAAAUUCAGCCAUUACAACAACCAAGAAUCUAAGGCAAGUAAGUUCAAAUAAGAGCUAUAAAGACAAGUAAAAUUUCGGAGUCUCACAAGCUUAGUUUGGACAAAACACUUAACCAACCAAUAAGAGAAUGUCCAUGGUAGAAGAUCUUCUAUAGGUGGCAUUCCCUUGAAAUUCACAUGUUAAUCCAUUGCCAACAAUGCUUUCUUGGAUGAUUUUUUUAUCAUCUCUAGAAUUAUGUACAUAUUUUUUUUGUAAGGAAUGCUAACCGAGUAGAAAGAAGUACAAAGUAAGAAAUAACAUGAAAGAAUUUCCAUUCGAGCGCAUCUCAUCAUUAAAAUUUGACGUUUUUAAAUAAGGCCUGUAUUUACAUUGGGGCAAACAUUCUAACCAAUCUUUGGAUUUACUAUCUAUAAAUAUUUAAAAGUUUUAAAUUAAAUGAAUUAAUUACUUUGUAAUGCCGAAUAACUAUGGAGUCAUCGGGCACUUAUCUUUGUAAAUCUCCUUGAUUAGUUUUGUAAAUAAAAUUUAUGGUCAAAAUAUUGAUGAAAAAAUAGUUGAGAUGUCAUUGCCUUAUUGUAGCUGUAAAACAAUCUACAAGCUCAGUAAGAAAAGAGAGUGAAAUCUAAUCAAAAUAUAUUCUCUAGAAAAAUUUUCUAAAACUUAUCAAUUAUUAUCCAUCCUAUGUAAUAUCAUGUUAUCAUGGAAAAAAUUUCAUGUACGGAUGUUGCACGCUGUAUAUGUGGGAUGAUGAAGUUGUUGAAAUAAAUUCUUUGAGAACAAUUAUAUAUUUGAUACCUUCACAGGUUAUAUUUAAUCGUGCAAUAAUGAAAAUAAUGGAAAGAAAAAAAUGAAAAGGCACAGAGACAAAUUCUUGGACAACUGGAUGUCUUAUACAACAAAAAAGGUAAAAAAUUAAAAAUAACUCAUUCUACAAUUUCAACUACUUUGCCACGCCCACUUAUAAUAUGGUUCUCCUUUUUGCACAAAACAUGUUUUCCAUUGAUUUUGAACUUUCAAUUUGCAUCUCUACUUAGCCCACAAUAAGACAUUAAGAAAUCAUUUUAUUUUUUGUAGACAACAUCGUUAAUGAUAAAUACAAAUUGAAAGAAUUCCUAUUCAAGUGCCUUUCUUCAUUAAAACUUAAAGUUUUUAAAUAAAGCAUGUAUUUACAUUGGGACAAACAUUCUAACCUAUCUUUGGAUUUAUUGUCUGUACAUAUUUAAAAGUUUCAAAUUGAAAGAAUUAAUUAUUUUGUAAUACCGAAUAACAGUGGAGUUGUCAGGCAUUUAUUCAUGUGAAUCUCCUUGAAUUAGAUCAGUGAAUAAGACUUGCCUUCCAAAUAUUGAUGAAAAAAGGGUUGAGGAUAUUAUUGCCUUGUUAUAGUUGUUUAACAAUCUAUAAUUUCAGUAAGAAAAGUGGGUGGAAUCUAAUCAAAAUAUAAUUUCUAGAAAAAUUUUUCAAAUCUUAUUAAUUAUUAUCUGUCCUACAUAAUAUCAUAUUAUCGUUGAAAAAAUUACACAUACGAAUGAUGCAUCUAUAUCUAUGAGAUAGUUAAGUUACUGAAAUAAAUUUUUUGAGAACAAUUAUGUAUUUGAUACCUUCACAGGAUAUAUUUAGUCGUGCCAUAAUGGAAAUAACGGAAAGAAAAAAAUGGAAAGAUUCAGAAACAAAUUCUUGGAAAACUUGAUGACCUAUGCAACAAAAAAGGUAACAAAUUAAAAAUAACUCAUUCUACAAGUGCAAUUACUUUGCCAUGCCUACUUAUGACAUGGAUUUCCUUUUUGCACGAAAUAUGUUUACCAUUGAUUUUGAACUUUCAAAUUGCUUCUCUACUUAACCCAUGAUAAGACAUUAAGGCAUCAUUUUAUUUUUGGUAGGCAACAUCUUUAAAGAUAACUACAAACUGCCCCUCAUAUUCAAUCAAGUAAUCACCCAUACUUUCUCCUAUAUGAUGGCCAUGUUCUGUGAGUGAAUUCUAAGAUUGGUCAGCAAUUGCAUUUCUUUCCUAAAUCUCUUCGAAAAAAAGCAAAAAAGAGGAGUACAUAAUAUGGAGUGUUAAGGGUUUGUUAGAAUAUAGCAACAUCUUAAUUAGUAGCAUCCCAUGAGGGUAACCAAAUAAAAAGAUUAAAAUUUGGUUGUACACGAAAAACUAGGUCUAGUUCUAAAAAAUUUUGGCAAAUUGCAACUUGCCAUAUUUUAAUGCAUAUGGUUCUACAUCCUAACCAAGAUUUAUUUUUUAUUUUUAACUUGUGUUUAAUACAAGUAGUAUUUUCCUGAAUAAUGGACAUAUGGUUUGUUUAAGAAUUGAAUUUGGACAAAGCAUUUAACUAAAGAAUAAGAGAAUGUCCAUAGUUGAAGAUCUUCUAUAGGUGGAAUUCCCUUGACAUUCGCAUAUUAAUUCUUUGGCAACUAUACUUUCUUGGAUGAUUUUCUUAUCUUCUAUUGAACCAUGCACAUGUCUUUUUGUAAAGAAUGCCAAAUGAGUAGAAUAAAAAACAAAGUAAGAAAUAAUAUGAAAGAAUUUCCAUUCGAGUGCAUAUGAUCAUUAAAACUUAAAGUUUUUAAAUAAGACAUGUAUUUACAUUUGGUCAAAUAUGCUAACCUAUCUUUGGAUUUACUAUCUAUACAUAUUUAAAAGUUUUAAAUUGAAAAAAUUAAUUACUUUGUAAUGCCGAAUAACAAAGGAGUUGCCAGGCACUUAUGCAUGCAAAUCUACUUGAAUUAGUUUUGUAAACAAAAUUUAUGUUCCAAAUGUUGAUGAAAAAGGGUUGAGGAUGUCAUUGCCUUGUUGUAAUUGUUCAACAAUCUAUAAACUCGGUAAGAAAAGAGAGUGAGAUCUAAUCAAAAUAUAAUCUCUAGAAUAAUUUCCUAAAACUUACUAAUUGGUAUCCGUCGUACAUAAUAUCAUAUUAUCGUCGAAAAAAUUGCUUGUACGUAUGAUGCACGCUGUAUCUAUGAGAUAAUAAAGUUGUUGAAAUAAGUUCUUUGAAAACAAUUAUAUAUUUGAUACCUUCACAAAUUAUAUUUAAUCAUGUCAUAUAGUUUGAUUAAGAGUUUAAUUUGGACAAAGCACUUAACCAACUAAUAAGAGAAUGUCCAUGGUAGAUAAACUUCUAUUGGUGGAAUUCCCUUGAGAUUUCCAUGUUAAUCCAUUGCCAAUUAUACUUUCUUAGAUGAUUUUCUUAUCUUCUCUAAAACUAUGCACAUGUCUUCUUCUAAGGAAUGCUAACUGAGUAGAACAAAGCAAAAAGUAAGAAAUAACAUGAAAGAAUUUGCAUUCGAGUGAUGAGGUUUCUAUUCGAGUGCAUCUCAUUAUUAAACCUUAAAAGUUUUUAAAUGAGGCAUGUAUUUACAUUGGGUCAAAUAUUCUAACCUAUCUUUAGAUUUACUAACUAUACAUAUUUAAGAGUUUCAAAUAGAAAGAAUUAAUUACUUUGUAAUGCUGAAUAACAGUGGAGUUGCGAGGCACUUAUCCAUGUUAAUCUGCUUGAAUUAGUUUUGUAAAUAAAAUUUAGGUUCCAAAUGUUGAUGAAAAAAGGGUUGAGGAUGUCAUUGCCUUGUUGUAGUUGUUCAACAAUCUAUAAACUCGGUAAGAAAAAGAGAUAAUCAAAAUAUAAUCUCUAGAAAAAUUUCCUAAAAUUUAUCAAUUGGUAUCUGUUGUACAUAAUGACAUAUUGUCGUAGAAAAAAUUGAUUGUACGCAUGAUGCACGCUGUAUCUAUGAGAUAAUAAAGUUGUUGAAAUAAAUUCUUUGAAAACAAUUAUAUAUUUGAUACCUUCACAAGUUAUUUUUAAUCAUGUCAUAGUGGAAAUAAUAGAAAGAAAAAAGAGAAAAGGUACAGAGACAAAUCCUCAGACAAUUGGAUGGCCUAUGCAAGAAAAAAAAUAAAAAAUAAAAAAUAACUCAUUCCACAAGUUCAACUACUUUGCCACGCCCACUUAUAUCAUGGUUCUCCCUUUUGCACGAAACAUGUUUACCAUUGAUUUUAAACUUUCAAAUUACUCCUCUACUUAACCCACAAUGAGAUACGAAGGAAUCAUUUUAUUUUUGAUAGACAACAUCUUUCCCUAUAAAUACAAACUGCCUCUCAUACUCAUUCAUGUAAUCACAACUUUCUCCAAUACGAUGACCAUGUUGUGUGAGUAAAUUUUAAGGUUGGUUAGCAAUUGCAUGUCUUUCAUAAGUUUGUUUGAAAAAAGAAAAAAAAAAGGAGUACACAAUAUGGAGUGUUAAGGGUUUGUUAGAAUGUAGUGACGUCUUAAUUAGUAACAUCCUAUAAGGGUAACUAAAUAAAAAUAUUAAAAUUUGGUUGUAUAUGAAAAACAAGAUCUAACCCUGAAAAAUUUUGGCAAUUUGCAACUCGCCAUGUAUUAAAGUAUAGGGUUCUAUACCCAAACCAAGAUUUAUUUUUUAUUUCCAACUUGUAUUUAUUGCAAAGUAGGGUUUUCUGGAAUAAUGGUCAUAUAGUUUGAUUAAGAGUUUAAUUUGGACAAAACACUUAACCAACCAAUAAGAGAAUCUCCAUGGAAGAAUAUCUUCUAUAGGUUGAAUUCCCUUGAGAUUUGCAUGUUAAUCCUUUGCCAACAAUGCUUUGUUGGAUGAUUUUUUUAUCAUCUCUAGAACUAUGCACAUCUUUUUGUAAGGAAAGCUAACUAAGUAGAACGAAGUGCAAAGUAAGAAAUAACAUGGAAGAAUUUCCAUUCGAGUGCGUCUCAUCAUUAAAACUUGAAGUUUUUAAAUAAGGCAUGUAUUUACAUUGGGAAGCAUUCUAACUAAUCUUUGAAUUUAGUAUCUAUAAAUAUUUAAAAGUUUUAAAUUAAACAAAUUAAUUACUUUGUAAUGUCGAAUAACGGUGGAGUCGCCAAGCACUUAUCCAUGUAAAUCUCCAUGAAUGAGUUUUGUAAAUAAAAUUUACGUUUCGAAUAUUGAUGAAAAAGGGUUGAGGAUGUCAUUGCCUUAUUGUAGCUAUUAAACAAUCUAUAAACUUAGUAAGAAAAGUGAGUGAGAUCUAAUCAAAACAUAAUCUCUAGAAAAAUUUCCUAAAACUUAUCAAUUAUUAUCCGUCCUGUGUAAUACCAUAUUAUCAUGGAAAAAAUUUCAUGUACGCACGAUGCACGCUGUAUAUGUGAGAUGAUUCAGUUGUUGAAAUAAAUUCUUUGAGAACAACUAUGUAUUUGAUACCUUCACAGGUUAUAUUUAAUCGUGCAAUAAUGAAAAUAAUGGAAAAAAAGAAAAGGCACAGAGACAAAUUCUUGGACAACUGGAUGGCUUAUGCAACAAAAAGAUAAAAAAUUAAAAAUAACUCAUUCUACUAUUUCAACUACUUUGUUACGCCCACUUAUAACAUGGUUCUCCCUUUUGCACAAAACAUGUUUUCUAUUGAUUUUGAACUUUCAAUUUGCAUCACAACUUAGCCCACAAUAAGACAUUAAGGAAUUAUUUUAUUUUUGGUAGACAACAUCGUUAACGAUAAAUGCAAAUUGAAAGAAUUCCCAUUCAAGUGCAUCUCUUCAUUAAAACUUAAAAUUUUUAAAUAAAUCAUUUAUUUACAUUGGCUCAAACAUACUAACCAAUCUUUUGAUUUACUAUCUAUAUAUAUUUAAAAGUUUCAAAUUGAAAGAAUUAAUUAUUUUGUAAUACCGAAUAAUAGUGGAGUUGCCAGACAUGUGAAUCUCCUGUGAAUAAGAUUUCCCUUCCAAAUAUUGAUGAAAAAAGGGUUGAGGAUAUUAUUGCCUUGUUGUUGUUGUUGUUCAACAAUCGAUAAUUUCAGUAAGAAAAGAGAGUGAGAUCUAAUCAAAAUAUAUUUUCUAGAAAAAUUUCAUAAAUCUUAUCAAUUAUUAUCUGUCCUACAUAAUAUCAUAUUAUUGUCGAAAAAAUUACGUGUACGAAUGAUGCACGCUGUAUCUAUGAAAUAAUUAAGUUGUUGAAAUAAAUUUUUUAGGAACAAUUAUGUAUUUGAUACCUUCACAGGAUAUAUUUAAUCAUGCCAUAAUGGAAAUAAUGGAUAGAAAAAACCGAAAAGAUACAGAAACAAAUUCUAGGACAACUAGAUGGCCUAUGUAAUAAAAAAGAUAAAUAAAUAAAAAAUAACUCAUUCUACAAGUUCAAUUGCCUUGCCACGCCCACUCAUAAUGUGGUUUUCCCUAUUGCACAAAAUAUGUUUACCAAUGAUUUUGAACUAUCAAAUUGCUCCUCUACUUAACCCAUAAUAAGACAUUAAGGUAUCAUUUUAUUUUUGGUAGACAACAUCUUUAACGAUAAAUACAAGCUGCCCCUCAUAUCCAAUCAAGUAAUCACUCCUACUUUCCCCUAUACGAUGACCAUGUUUUGUGAGUAAAUUCUUAGGUUGGUCAGCAAUUGCAUGUCUUUCCUAAAUCUCUUCGAAAAAAAAAGCAAAAAAGAGCAGUACAUCAUAUGGAGUGUUAAGGGUUUGCUAGAAUGUACCAACAUCUUAAUUAGUAGCAUCCCAUAAGGAUAACGAAAUAAAAAGAUUAAAAUUUGGUUGUACACGAAAAACUAGGUCUAGUUCUGAAAAAUUUUGGCAAAUUGCAACUUGCCAUGUUUUAAUGCAUAUGGUUCUACACCCAAACCAAGAUUUAUUUUUUAUUUUCAACUUGUAUUUAAUACACAGUAGUAUUUUCUUGAAUAAUGGGCAUAUGGUUUGAUUAAGAGUUGAAUUUGGGCAAAGCAUAUAACUAAAUAAUAAGAGAAUGUCCACGAUAGAAGAUCUUCUAUAAGUGGAAUUCCCUUGAUAUUCGCAUAUUAAUUCUUUAGCAACUAUAUUUUCUUGGAUGAUUUUCUUAUCUUCUAUUGAACUAUGCACAUGCCUUUUUGCAAAGAAUGCCAACUGAGUAGAAUGAAAUAAAAACUAAGAAAUAAUAUGAAAGAAUUUCCAUUCGAGUGCAUCUGAUCAUUAAAACUUAAAGUUUUUAAAUAUGGCAUGUAUUUACAUUAGGUCAAAUAUUCUAACCUAUCUUUGGAUUUACUAUCGAUACAUAUUUAAAAGUUUCAAAUUGAAAAAAUUAAUUACUUUGUAAUGCUGAAUAACAGUGGAGUUGCCAGGCACUUAUCCAUGUAAAUCUCCUUGAAUUAGUUUUGUAAAUAAAAUUUACGUUCAAAAUGUUGAUGAAAAAAGGGUUGAGGAUGUCAUUGUCUUGUUAUAGUUGUUCAACAAUCUAUAAACUCAGCAAAAAAAGGGAGUGCGAUCUAGUCAGAAUAUAAUCUCUAGAAUAAUUUCCUAAAACUUAUCAAUUGGCAUCCAUCAUACAUAAUAUCAUAUUAUCUUUGAAAAAUUUGCAUUUACGCAUGAUACACGCUGUAUCUAUGAGAUAAUUAAAUUGUUGAAAUAAAUUCAUUGAGAACAAUUAUGUAUUUGAUACCUUCACAGGUUAUAUUUAAUCAUGUCCUGGUGGAAAUAUUCGGAAAAAAAAGUAAAAUGGCACAGAGAGAAAUUCUUGGACAACUAGACGGCCUAUGCAAGAAAAAAGGUAAAAAAUUAAAAAGAACUCAUUCUACAAGUUCAACAACUUUGCCACUCCCACUUACAUGGUUCACCCUUUUGCACGAAACAUGUUUAGCAUUGAUUUUGAACUAUCAAAUUACGCCUCUACUAAACCCACAAUAAGACACGAAGGAAUCAUUUUAUUUUUAGUAGACAACAUCUUUAACGAUAAAUACAAACUGUCCCAUAUACUCAAUCAAGUUGUGACGACUUAAAAAUACGCUUAUAUUUUCUUAUAAUUCCCUCUUAUUUUGAAUAAGUUAAUUUAGAAUUCCUUUUACUACUAAUUUUCUUCCCUCGAUAGUUGUAAUAUAUAAUAGAAUUGAGAGUUUUAUUUUUAUUUUUAUAGUUAGAGCAAAUUAGAGUUUUUGCGCGUUUUGGUAGUGUGAUCACUUGGUGAGGUGUGUGUACUAAAUUUGGUGGAUAAGAAUAAGUAUUAAGUAAGAGGAAGUGUGUGAUUAGAUGUGAGAACCCGAGAAAAUUAUGUGCAUACCCUAAAAUUAUUUUAUUUUGUUUCCUUUGAUAUUAGGAAAUUAUAUAUAACGAAUAAACGGUUACCUUAAAUGCCUAAUUGAAUCCCUAUAAAUUGAGAAUUUAGAAAAUAAAUUCAAUAAGUACAUGUCUAGAAGUGUAGAAAAUUUUAUAAAUCAAAUAAAUAUAUGACGUGCAUAUCGUAAAUUGUGUUAAUUGCAAAUAUUACUAGACACGUAACAUACAUUAGAAAUUUAACAAGGUCAUGUCGAAUAAGUAUUUCUUCAAGGUAAAUAUGUCAAAUCGACUAGAUUAACGUAAGAAAAUUUUCCCCGAAAAUACGAAUGAAGUUAGGAGUCCAUGCAUGAAAUCAUAAAAUUUUAGGCCUGGGUGAGCAAAUAAACUACAACAAAAAGACUAAACUACCCUCAAGAUUUUAGCCUAACUACCAUGAAGCCAAGACAUAAACUAUCAAAGCUUAUAACAAAACCGAGAAAGGAAGGCUUCUGUGAUUGGAACCGAAUGGACGCUAGGCAAUUAUCUGCUAAAUCCAUGCGGUGGGAAGUUAGAAUGUAACUGAGCUUGGGCGGUGAAUUGAGACAGCUGUCAGGAAGGAAAUGUUACUAAGCCAGCUGAGUAAGCAAUAACCAAAUCGAGAGCAGCUUAAAAGAAACAAAAACUGGGCGGUGGCCGAAAGGAAAACAAUCUGAUCUCCUUAAUCAAUAAGGCCGAGAGAGUUGAGAAGAAAAGUUGUCUUCCUUUCUUGCUUUCUUCCUAAAGCAGACUCGAGUGAGUGAGACGGAGUGUGAGGGAAAAGAAAGUGUAAGCUUCACCAUCAGCUAACUAUACGAACGAAAACAGAAGGGAGGUCGAGUGAGGAGUUGUGAUAGCAAACUUGAGCAGUCUGCAUUAUCGAUUUUUUAAGAGAAAAGAGGUAAGAAUCUACCAUAACCUUCUGCUUAUUUGGCACAAAUGAGUAUAUAUACAAGCUGCAUGUUAGUUUUAGCAAGGCACAAUGAGUUUUAACCGAGGAGAAAUCUGAUAAAGGAGAAAAAAUGGGAACUGGACAGAAAUGGAGGGAACCGAGAGUUGUUGUUGAGUUCCAGCCCAUAAAUAAAGAAAAUUUUCUGUAAUAACCUCGUAGUUAUUCAGUACACUUGAAUAUUAAGGUUGCAUGUUGGAUUGUAGCUAAGAAAAACUAAGUUUGGUUGAAGGAAAUAGUUGGAAGUUUCUGCUAUGCUGGCCGAAGGAGGAAAGAUAGAAAUGUCCAGGUUUCUUUAUAUAUUUUGGUUCUAAACUCCUACGUUGAGGCUUAGUUCAUUGCAUAAUAUUUUAGUUUUGGCAUGCAUGUUAGAUUUCGGUAUGAAAUGAAGUAGUUAAUGGAGGAAUUUCUUGCUAAAAGGUUGAUUGCUGUCCGAAGCUUUCUAUCAAGGCCGAGAGAGGGAGAGAGUUAAACCUUUGAUAAGUUUUUCCUUCAAACUCCACUCUGUAAACUUUCACAUCUGAUAUCUAAAGUUACUCUGUAGUUUAAUACUUGUAUUUGGCAUGAUGAGCUGGAGUUAAAACUGAAGGAGUUAUGGUAAAAAUGUUGCAUAUUAAACUGCUGCACUGCUGGAAGCUUUAGUUGUCCAAUGUCUUAGCCGAUGUCAGAUUGUUGUGCGUGGCUUUUGGGUUGAAUAAUUUGUUGAAACUAGAUGCUAAUUGCUUUGGUUUAUGCUGGAUUGAAUGUACCUUAAGUAUUUAGAGCUUUAAGCAAGUGAAAGAAUAGAGUUUUUGCUUAAAGUUUGAAGUAACGUUACUGAAAUUUUUGUGGUUGCUGUCCGAGAGAAUGAAGCAGAAUGUGCUUCUGACCGUCCCUUUUUGGCCUUGAAAACGCGAGAACUGGAUGUCAAUAUCUUCAUAGGAAAUGUAGGUCUAGGUCUUAGCUUCGAAACGCUAUAAAAUUUGCCUCAAUCCGAUGAGUGUAGCUUCAGUUGUGAUCAAAAUAUCAGAGGAUGGCAAAGCUGCCUUUCUCGUUGCUUUUCUCUUGUUUCCCGAAUGUAACUUGCUUUGAUGCUGGCCUUGACGAAACCAUAUUUUGAGCAGCAAUUCUUCUAAUUUCCAACUUUGUAAGCUUACAUAAAUGAUAGUUACGGUUGCCCUAAGAUUUAAUGACUAUAUCUAGUUCUACGAGUAGAGUUAAACUAAGGCAAAUGAGAGGAAAACUUAUGAUAGUUAUGUACAUAAAUUAACUUUUAAUCAUAAUCUUGUCUCACGAAUAUUUUAAAUACUAUAAAAUUAGAGGGACUAGUGUAGUGGAAUAAAUUGGAAGAAUAUACAAACCAGAAUCUAGUUUAAUCUAAAAAGGAAGGAAUGAAAAGUUCACUAGCCUUAAUCUUUAAAUUUGGGUUGAAAAUAGUUUAACCUUAGUUUAAACACCUUACAAGACCUUAAAUUUGGAAUACCUGUAUACCUCCCUUGUUUGAGUUGAUAAAAUUGAUAAAUCUCGAAGAGAAAUGUAAGAAAGAAUUGCUGGAAUUUUACAUCUUGUUUAAUAAGCUAAGGAACUUGGUUUCUAGUGAUUUAAACCUUAAGUUGGUGAGAUUUUAACGCUUAAAACUUCCCUCCUUACACUUUAGAACCUUAGAACUUAUGUUUGUGGUUGUACACAAAAUUCCUAAUCUUAAAAGUGUGAAUCCAAUGGGAGUUUUAAGAGUACUAGAUUGCUUGGAUUAGUUGAACUAUGUUUAGAAAAUCCUAUAACUCUAAAUAAACUUAUUAGAAUACAAUUAAAGAAUACAUGAAUGAUUGUAGUUGUAUUUUACCUUAGGAAUUGAGAGUGAUCAAGGGUUUAACCCAGAAAGUGAAACUUAAUCGACCUUUAACGGUGAGUGUUUUCCAAAUUUAUGUGUUUAACUAUUUAUGUGUAUCUAAGUAAAAUUAUAUGACAAACGUGCUUAUUAUGAAUUAUUACUAAAUGAUUCCUUGUGAAGUGUAUCUCAAUUGUCCCUCGCCUUCUAAGUCGAGAGUGUACUUUAUCGUACUCGACUUAGUUGAGCUUGAAGGUCGAUAAUUGACUGAAUGUUACCGUAAGUGUGCAUGAAUGUAAGCUGUAUGUGUACCUCGCCGCAUUGGCUGAAUUGGGCUCCAAAACCCUCUGUUCAACGGACUAUUCGAACCAGCAAAGGGCUUGGUCUGGUAGGACGGUAGCUUUGGGUAAAUGUUUAGGUAUACUCGAGUAUUACCAUGAGGUUGGGUGAUUAUUGAACUGAUUAUUGAAUGUAGGGGAUUGUUUAUUGUUUUGGAGGACAUAAGGAGGUGACUCGGCAGAAUGUGCAAUGAUAUUGAAAUGAAUGUACAAUGACAGUGAAAUGAGUGUCUUUUGACACUGAAAUGAAUGCUCAAUGACAUUGAAGUGGCUCCAAUGCGAGCACCGUAUCCUUUUAAAAGUGAUUGUUUAGUGAAGUGUUUCCUCAAUUGCUUAAUGAAAGUGAUUGUACUGAUAUUUAAGUGUUUAUUAAAUGUUACUUGCUCGACAAACCUCGCUGAACUUUACCUUAGCCUUUUAGUUUUUUUUUCCUUACAGGAGUUGGAGAUUGAAGAGUGAUUAGAUUGAACUAGAAAGUUAUUUUUGGGAAGAUCCGUUACUCUGUGUAUAUAGUGUAGUCAUGGUUUCUUUUGUAUUUUGAGACGGUUGAAUCUUUUGUUUGAGUUGGUGUGAUAUUAAGAAUUUAGAACAUGUAUUUUGUUUCUUUUAUUAGACAAAUUUAUGUUUCAAACUGAUUGGAGUUGUACUUAAGAGUGAAUGUUCAGUUGUCCAAUGACAGUGUUAUCUCUGAAGUUAAUGUAAAUGAGUGAGCCUUGGCGAGAGCCAGACGGGCGGUCCGCUAUCUUCUAGGGUAUGCCUUAGAAGAGGGUGGGGCCGUCAGAUUAGAAGUGCUAAUAAUAAGUUAGUAAAUCAUAAGUUAAAAUACAAGUACAAGAGAGUUAAGGAAAAUAGACUUGAAGCGACGUGCACCGUUUGUUACCGAUUGAGUACACUACUUGACCACCACUUUCUUACCCUAAUCUCCUUGUUUUUAUUUCAUUUAAUUUCCCCUAAAUUACUCUUAAGUCAGCCACCAUUUUUGACUAAAGAAAGGUGAGAAAAGAAAAAAAAAAGAAAGAAAAGCAAGGGUACCAAGUGUUGGCAAUCCAAAGGAUUGGUUGACCAAGACCAUUUCUUCCUUCUUGGCCAAUUUUCCUUCAUUUUCCUCUUGUGUUGGCCGAAUUUUGAGAGAGAAAAAAAGAGAGAGAAACCUUCCAUUUUCACCUUGAUCUUGCUUUGUUUGAGUUGAAUCACAAAAACUAAACCGAUUAAACUUGCAUCAAGGGUGUUAGGAAGUUUGGUGUGGUGAAAGUUUUGGAAGAAAUAACUUGGUUCCUCACUUUCAAGAAGCUUUUGUAAGGUAUAAGUCUAAAACUUCCUUUAUUUUUCUUAAUCUUGCUAAAUAUGCUAUAGAAGCUUUGGAUCUUGGAAUAUUAUGGAUGAUUUUCAAGUUUUGGGUUGUUUAUCGAAAAUUUCAGUUAGGGUUUUAUAUAUUUUUUUUAGCUUUGAUUAUGUUGUUUAACUAGCAAAUGUUGGUAUUGAGCUUGGAUAUGAAAUUUGUGAGGUGAUUAAUGGCAUGAUUGUGACUUUUUAGCAUUAAAAGAUGAAUUUCUAGCUUUGAUGAAAAAAUUCCAGCUUUGGUAGUGGUUGAUUAUUUGCUAGAAAUGAGUUAUAUUUGGAUGUUUUUAGCCUAGAUAAAGAGCUAUCUUGAUAUAUUUAUUGGUGGUGUUUCAAUUGGGUUGAUUUGAGGAAAAACAUGAAGCCUUAAAUGGGUGAAAAAUUGGACAAAUACAAAGGGUAUGCUGCCCAAAUUUUCAUUUGAGAGAUAAGUGAGUGAACUUGGAACUUGAGCGGUGAUUUGUGGUUGAAUUGAACUUAGAUUGCCUAGGGUAUUCAAGUUUCCUUUAGUAGAGGUAUAUAAGCUGAAUUUUUGCCAAAACUCAUAUACUUUUAAAGGUGAAAGCAGCGACCACUUUAAAAACGAUUUCCUAGGUUUUUUAUCACCAAGUCGCGAACUUAUAAGUUUUAAAUGCUUCUUUAUCGAAAUCAAAAAAGCAGGUUUGAAUUUUCUACUACUUAAACGAGUUUUAUUUACUUGAUUUUCUCCAAGUGAAACCCCUAUAUUUUGAACCCUAAUUGAUUGCAAACUGUUAAAUGGUAUUUUAUCGUAGAUUUGGACUCUAGCCAGGGAGUUGAACUUGAGCGUGGUUUUGAAAAGCAAUAACUCAUUGGUGAGUGUUUUCCAAUGCAUGAUUGAACUUGAUCUUUGAAUGAAAUGAUUUGCUAAUGCGAUUGAAUAAUACUUGACUUGUUUGGAUGAGACGAUGGUGUACUUUAUCGCACUCGUCCUCCCCUUCUUGAAUGAUCUCAUACUUGCUUGAGCUUGAUUGACCUGUACUUGUAUUGGUGCUUGUACUUGACUUAUAAGUGUUGAGCGAUAGCAUGUACCACACUCAAUCUGAGUGGGAGAUGCCUCUCAUCCCGUCUCACUACUUUUAUUAUCACCCUGUUAGUUAGUCAGUCAAAUCAAGCCAGUAAGGGCUUGAUCGAGGAGACUGGCGAAUCAUGGGUAUUGUUUAUUGUAUAAUCCUUUGGAUAUGGUCCACUGGAUUCGGUAUACUCGAGCAUUAUCAUCACUCUUACUUUGGAGUUCGAGCCCGGUAAGGGGAUUGAUUGGUGGAUGGAAUUGGUGUAAAGUGGAGAUCUACGGUCAUGGUUUUACUUCUUUAAACAUUGACGGAGUGUCAACAAGUUUAGAUCAAGUAAGGCAACGGGAAUUUGGCUCUUGAGAGCCAUCUGUAUCCUUAUACUUGGAAAUAAUUGUUACUUGUAGUGUUAUUAUUUUUUUUUAUGAACUUUUACACUUGCUCAUUUUGAGAUUUCAAGUUUUACAUAUGAUCAACUUGCUACUUGGAUCUGCAUGAAGUUUUGGAACCUCACUGAGUUUUGACUCACUCUAUUAGUUUUUGUUUUCCUAACAGGGGGUUACGAGCAUAAGCGUGAAGUUGGAAAGGCUAGUUUUGUCUAGACUUUUAACUUUUGUAAUUCUACUAGCGCUAGUGUUCGAUUAGGGUUAGAAGUGCAACUAGAACUUGAAUCUUUUGUUAUAUUCGGAUAUGUAUGAAUCGUUGAGAUUGCAAUGAAUGUAAAUGUACUUUCUAAACUUAGGAACUAUAGUCUCCUUUACUUUUGAAGUUGCAACUUAUUUUUUUGACAUGAGUGAGUGAGUCCUGGCGAGAGUUGGACAAACGGUCUGCUAAACCUUGGGGUACGCCCUAGGGGGAGGUGGGGUUGUCACACAAGUAAUGACUCCUGCUUUCUCCAAUACGAUGACCAUGUUGUGUGAGUAAAUUCUAAAGUUGGUUAGCAAUUGCAUGUCUUUCCUAAGUCUAACUGAACAAAAGAAAAAAAAAGGAGUACACAAUACAGAGUGUUAAGGGUUUGUUAGAAUGUAGCGAUGUCUUAAUUAGUAACAUCCCAUAAGGGUAACCAAAUAAAAUAUUAAAAUUUGGUUGUACAUGAAAAACAAGAUCUAAUUCUAAAAAAUUUUGGCAAAUUGCAAGUCGCCAUGUAUUAAAGUAUAGGGUUCUAUACCCUAACUAAGAUUUAUUUUUUUUUUCAAUUUGUUUUUAUUGCACAGUAGGGUUUUCUGGAAUAAUGGUUAUAUAGUUUGAUUAAGAGUUUAAUUUGGACAAAGCAAUUAACAAACUAAUAAGAGAAUGUUCAUGGUGGAAGAUCUUCUAUAGGUGGAAUUUCCUUGAGAUUUGCAUGUUAAUCCUUUCCCGACUAUACUUUCUUGGAUAAUUUUUUUAUCAUCUCUAGAACUAUGCGCAUGCCUUUUUGUAAGGAAUGCUAACUGAGUAGAACAAAGUACAAAGUAAGAAAUAACGUGAAAGAAUUUCCAUUCGAGUACAUCUCAUCAUUAAAACUUAAAGUUUUUAAAUAAGGUAUGUAUUUACAUUGGGUCAAACAUUCUAACCAAUCUUUGGAUUCACUAUCUAUAAAUAUUUAAAAGUUUUAAAUUAAAUGAAUUAAUUACUUUGUAAUGCCGAAUAAUAGUGAAGUUGCCAUGCACUUAUCCAUGUAAAUCUCCUUGAAUUAGUUUUGUAAAUUGAUGAAAAAAGGGUUGAGGAUGUCAUUGCCUUGUUGUAGUUGUUCAACAAUCUAUAAGCUCUGUAUGAAAAGAGAGUGAGAUCUAAUUAAAAUAUAAUCUCUGCAAAAAUUUCCGAAAGCUUAUCAAUUAUUAUCCGUCCAACAUAAUAUCAUAUUAUCGUCGAAAAAAUUGCAUGUAUGCAUGAUGCCCGCUAUAUCUGUGAGACAAUUUAGUUGUUGAAAUAAAUUCUUUGAAAAUAAUUGUGUAUUUGAUACCUCCACAGGUUAUAUUUAAUCAUGCCAUUAUGGAAAUAAUGGAAAGAAAGGAAUGAAAAGAUACAUAAACAAAUUCUUAGACAAUUGGGUGGCUUGUGCAACAAAAAAAGUGAAAAAUUAAAAAUAACUCAUUCUACAAGUUCAAUUACUUUGUCACGCCGACUUCUAACAUGGUUCUCCUUUUGGCACAAAAUAUGUUUACCAUUGAUUUUGAACUUUCAAAUUGCUUGUGAGGACCCAAAAUUUUUCAUAUUUUAUAAUUAUUUUGGUUCAUUUUCUUUCAUGCAUUUUCGUACUUUACUUUAUUACCUUAUUUCCUAGAUAAUUUUAUAAGUGAAUAUAGUUUUUAAAUUAUUUUCUUAGUAUAAGUUAGUUCAUGUUAAGUUUAAAGUAUAUUAUGGAUGUGGGACCCGCUAAUGCGAUAACUGCGAUAUAUUUUUGACAAUUAGGUGAAUUUUCAUAAAGGGAUAUUGUUUUACAAGAUAUUAGGAGAUAAUUAGAGGUUAACUAGAUAGAUCAGCUUUGGAGGAUAAGAAGAUGAGAAUAAACCCUAGGAAGGCCAAGUAUCAUGAAACGCUUGGACGUUGGACUUUGACCAAAUUCUUCCUAACUUUACUAAAACUAAAAUUUGACCAAAAUCUUCUCAUUUCUUUGCCUUGCUUGGCCUGCCACGAAGAGGAAAAAGAGAGAAAGAAAGCUUCAACUUCAACCUCUAUUCUUUGCUUGAAUCUUGAGAUUUCACCGAUAAUCUUGCAAAAUACUCUAUCGAAGUUGUUCUCUAAGGAAACUUAAGGGUUUUUGUGGAGUGAUUUGGGAAAAUAAAGGUGUUGGUAACAUCUUUGCAUAAGGUUUAAGGUAUUUAUAGCAAGAAACUCUCUCUACUUCAAGUAAUUGUAAAUUAGUGGCCUAUAGUUGCAAUUUUGGUAGUUUUAUGCAAUACUUCAUGGUUGGAAGUAGUGAUAUGAAAAUUUUCAGUUUUAUAGUGAAUUUUCUGCCCAUAUAUGAAGCUUAAAGGUUGGGCAUGAUUUCCUAGCUUUGCCAUGUGAAAUAUCUAGUGUUUAUGUGCUAGUUUACUUUGCCUAAAGAAAUUUUCAGCUUGGGUGCAAAAAUUUCAGAUUAGGGUUUCCAAUUUUGGUUUGAUUGUGGUUGGUUUUUGGAGCUUUCAUUUGGCUUAAAUUGAAGGGUGUUGUGACCCUAAUUAAGUGCGUUUAAUAACUUUUGAUUUGUAUGUGCAAUUGUGAUUGAAUUGAGAUGUGAUUGGUGAUUAAUUGUAGGAUGAAAAAGUAAAGGAAUUUAAGGGGAAGUGCUGCCCAAUUUUUGGGACUACUUGAUUCCUUCAAGUUUGGGUUGAUUUGGUGAUAAACUUGCUUAAGAUGCUUGGUAUAUCUAUCAGCUUUACUUAGGUGUUGAAUUUUGAUUGAAAUGGAAGAAUUUGCAUUGGUAUUUUCCUCUAAGUUGUUAGCUAAAAUUUCCAUUUAUUGGUCAAGUGAUAGCGAAGUCUAUUACCUUGUUGUUUUCUAACCUUUUCAUGAUUGGUUUUGGCCAAAACCUGUUCCAAACAGUGGUUAAGUCUUUUGUGUUUGAAUUUGAGUGAAAACUAUAUAGAUUAGGGGGUGAAAACCUCAUGAUUUCACUUGUGUCAUGGCUGCGAAAAUUCUGGUUUAAAAGGCAAAAUUGCACCUUUUUACCUUCGAGCCUUAAAGUCUUUAGUUUGGAAGUCUUUAUGACCAACUGUUACUUACUUUCACUCCCAAGCCACAUUUUGCUUUGCAUUAGUAGUUCGUUGGAUAGGCAUACGAUUCGUAAUCGAAUCUCAAUUAUUUUUUUUGUUGUUCUAGGACGUGCCAGCGAUUAAAGCCAUACUUUGGGAGGAAAUUUUUAAAGUUGUUUGCUUGAUUGGUGAGUGUACCACUCCCUUGAUUUGUUGCUUAAUUGGUUUACUUGUACUUGAAAUUUGUGUCUUGAAUGACUGUGAACUCUGUUUAUUCUGAAUGAGAUGAGGGUGUACUUUAUCACACUCGUUCUCUUGCCUGUGUGACUGUUUACUGUAUAAAUUGAAAUAUGUUACUGUGCUUGAUCUGAUGUCGUUUGGAGGUGUAUCCAAUAACCUUCCUGUUAAACCUGAACUCAACCUCAUGGGGAGUUAAUUGAAUCGAGCCGACAAGGGUUUGGUCGAGAAAAAUUGACAAACCAUUAGGGACUAUUCCUGGGGAAUUUUUGGGUAUUGGAGACUCUGAAUUUCCGGUAUACUCGAGUAUUACCAUCCACUGUUACUGUUGAGGCGCUUGGUCCCAGUAAGGGGUAUGUUUGGUGGACGAAAUUCGGUGUAAAAUAGUGCUCUACUGGACUGAUUAUUUUACUCGAAAGUUGAUGGAGUGUCAACUACUACUUGAUCAAGUUCUGGUGAAACAAUGGGAAUUUGACUCCUGAGAGCCACAUGUAUCCUUUUAUUGAAUUACUGUGUUUAACUGAGCUAUUGUUCAUUUUGUAUUUGGUGGGUAUAUGUGACUGAUUAAAAGUGAAGUGCCAUGAUUCUUAACUGCAUGUAUUUUUGGUACCACAUUAAGCAUAAGCUCACCCCAUUCCCAUUAUCUUUGUUUUUCUUACAGAUGACAAACUUUGAAACCAUAAUUUUGGAAGAAAGGGUCGAGUCAGUGUAGACAUUCUUUUAUUUACGCUCCUCUAUAAUAGAAAACCCUAAUUGUAUUUUGAUCAAGUAUCAUAUUUUGAUUUGUAAAGUUUUCAAUGUAUGUAUAUAUAUAAGUGUUUAUUCAUGCGUUAUCCGUGUGUUUUUUUGAGAAUGUACGUUCUCUGGGUUGGCAUGAACUAUACUUGUAUUCCGUUGGAAAUCGGAUGAGCGCGGAGCUUGAACAACGAAAGAAAAAUUUCUGACAGGAAAAUCCUUCAGGGAAUCCGGCCGUAUAUCCAGCCAGUUCUUGGCCGGAUACUUGGCCGGAUUGGCAGGGGAGAAAGAAAAAAAUUGGUUUGGUUCAUUGCCUUGAAUCCGGCCUGAUAUUCGGCCAACUGUUGGCCGAAUCCUAACGUGGAGUUUGUUCUUUUCGCUUUUCGUUGAAGCGUUUAACCAACAUUCUAUUGUAUCAUUUAAUUUAACUAAUUCAGUUUCCGACAAUUCGUUUUCUCGAAGUUCGUUUGCUCGUCUUGUAGGGUUUACGUAUGUUUCGGGUUAGUAGUCUUGGCGAGAACUGGGCAGGCGGUCCGCCGAACCCUUUGGUUAGCCUUAGGGGGAGGUGGGGCUGUCACAGGUAGUAUCAGAGCCGCUUCGCGUGUGUAUGUGCGGAGUGAGUUUGGAUCAAGUGGUGUUAUGGUCCUGAUAUCGUGAAUGAAUUAUAGGGUUAAGUGCUCUUUUGAGCGUAAGUUAUAAAUUAUGAAGUGUUAUAGGUUUCAAACCUUUAUCAUGGUACUUGAGGUACAUAGAUAUGUAUAUCGGGUAGGAAUGUUAAACUUGGUUGAUUUGUACUUGGGAGCGUACGGCCUGAGUCGUAAAUUCUUCUAGUUUUGGAUUCUUGUACUUGAGUACUAAAUACUUUUCCGAAGGGAAUAUUUGUUAAUUCAGAAGGCAUAUAAUCUAGUGUAUUAUGAUGUGAAUUGAAGUCAUAAGUGAAUUUGAGAUAAGUUAUAAUGGCAAAGGUCAGAGCACGGCGAAUUCUUGUAUUGGAUUUGGCAUUUACUCGAUUGAGGAGAUUGGAACGAGGAAUGCUAUCUCGAAUUUGCCCAAUAAAAGUUUGGCUAGGGUUUUGACAGAUUGUGGUGAGAUUUGGACUUUAAUAGUUGCUGUGAAUGUUUAAAGUGUUAGCUUUGCAAACCUAUUUCAUUUUGGUAGUGUGGCUCACUAGUAAGUGUGUAUUAAAUUUAGUAGACAUGAACGGAUGUUAUAUACCAAGGAAUAUAUGCCUAGAAGUGUUAAGAGUGAGUUAGAGGAACAUCGCAUAGAUGAGUGAUUAGAAACUAAAAAAAAAAGGUUUGCCUACUUGUUUUCAAGGUGUUGGUAGAUAUAAUCAUUAGAAACUCCUUUUGUUCUUUAAUCUUGCGAUUAAGUUGUUGAAUAACUUGAUUUUGAUUAAUAUUAUGGAAAUUCUUGUGAUUUUAGAGUUGACGAUGAUAAAUGUCAGUUUGUGAUAAGUUUGAUAUAGGUUGUCCAAUCAUAUUGGAGGGUGGUUGAGCUUUGAUAUGCAUGUUUGCAACUUCAAUAAGUGAUUUUUUUACUUGAAUUUAGAACUUUCAGCUUUGAUGUCUUUCCGUUAAUCUCUAUUUGUGUGAAUAUUGAAGGGCUUUGAUAGAUGAGAAUACGGAUUGUAAUAUCCUAUGACUUGUGGCUUUGAUUGUGCUAGGAUUGCUGUGGUUUACACUUUGAUUUUCAAUGGGGAAACGGACCGAAAAUAGCGGGGUGCAACCGAAACUUUUGUAUCUAGGGUUAAGUUAACAAGAGGUGCCUUAUGUUGUGAACGAUUUGUCCAUAUACCGUGGAUAAGGUAAGAACUCGUAAGAGUAGUAACCACAUUUCAAACCUGCUUUUCAUCGAGAUUGAAGUUGUGUCACUUUCAUCUUUUGAUAUCUUCACUGACUUACUGAUUUUCUUAGCAUAGUGUUUUAGCCAUUGCAUUAGUAAGAUAUUCUCUCUAGAUAGCUUCUGGUAGUGAGCAGAAACUCUUGAGAAGUAGAAGGAAAUACUAUAGAAUCAAGUUUCUGAGCAAAGAAGAGAAUUUCGAGGAUGAAAUUCUUUUAAGGGGAAGAGAGUGUGAGGACCCGAAAUUUUUCAUAUUUUAUAAUUAUUUUAGUUCAUUUUCUUUCAUGCAUUUCCGUACUUUACUUUAUUACCUUAUUUUCUAGAUAUUUUUAUAAGUGAAUAUAGUUUUUAAAUUAUUUUCUUAGUAUAAAUUAAUUCAUGUUAAGUUUAAAGUGUAUUAUGGACGUGGGACCCGCUAGUGCGGUAAGUGCGAUAUAUUUUUGACGACUAGGUGAAUUUUUCAUAAGAGAUAUUAUUUUACAAGAUACUAGAAGAUAAUUAUAGGUUAGUUAGAUAGAUUAGUUUUGGAGGAUAAGAAGAUGAGAAUAAACCCUAGGAAGGCCAAGUGUCAUGAAACCCUUGAAAGUUGGACUUUGACCAAAUUCUUCCUAAAUUUACUAAAACUAAAAUUUGACCAAAAUCUUCUCAUUUCUUUGCCUUGCUUGGCCGGCCAUGGAGAGGAAAAAGAGAGAAAGAAAGCUUCAACUUCAACCUCUAUUCUUUGCUUGAAUCUUGAGAUUUCACCGAUAAUCUUGCAAAAUACUCCAUAGAAGUUGUUCUCUAAGUAAGUUUAAGGGUUUUUGUGGAGUGAUUUGGGAAAAUAAAGGUGUUGGUAACAUCUUUGCGUAAGGUUUAAGGUAUUUAUAGCAAGAAACUCUCUCUACUUCAAGUAAUUGUAAAUUAGUGGCUUAUAGUUGCAAUUUUGAUAAUUUUAUGCAAUAUUUCAUAGUUGGAAGUAGUGAUAUGGAAUUUUCAGUUUUAUAGUGAAUUUUCUGCCCAUAUAUGAAGCUUAAAGGUUCGCCAUGAUUUCCUAACUUUGCUAUGUGAAAUAUCUUGUGUUUAUGUGCUAGUUUACUUUGCCUAAAGAAAUUGUCAACUUGGGUGCAAAAAUUUCAGAUUAGAGUUUCCAAUUUUGGUUUGAUUGUCGUUGGUUUUUGGAGCUUUCAUUUGGCUUAAAUUGAAGGGUGUUGUGAUCCUAAUUAAGUGCGUUUAAUAGCUUUUGAUUUGUAUGUGCAAUUGUGACUAAAUUGAGAUGUAAUUGGUGAUUGAUUGUAGGAUGGAAAAGUAAAGGAAUUUAAGGGGAAGUGCUGCUCAAUUUUUGGGACUACUUGAUUCCUUCAAGUUUGGGUUGAUUUGGUGAUAAACUUGCUUAAGAUGCUUGGUAUAUCUAUAAGCUUUACUUAGGUGUUGAAUUUUGAUUGAAAUGGAAGAAUUUGCAUUGGUAUUUUCCUCCAAGUUGUUAGCUGAAAUUUCUGUUUAUUAGUCAAGUGACAGCGAAGUCUAUUACCUUGUUAUUUUCUAAUCUUUUCAUAAUUAGUUUUGACCAAAACUUGUUCCAAACAGUGGUUAAGUUUUUUGUAGUUGAAUUUGAGUGAAAACUAUAUAGAUUAGGGGAUGAAAACCUCAUGAUUUCACUUGUGUCAUGGCUGCGAAAAUUCUGAUUUGAAAUGCAAAAUUGCACCUUGUUACCUUCGAGCCUUAAAGUCUUUAGUUUGAAAGUCUUUAUGACCAACUAUUACUUACUUUCACUCCCAAGCCACAUUUUGCUUUGCAUUAGUAGUUCGUUGGAUAGGUAUACAACUCGUAAUCGAGUCUCAAUUAUUUUUUUUGGUUGUUCUAAAACGUGCUGGUGAUCAAAACCAUGCUUUGGGAGGAAAUUUUUGAAGGUGUUUGCUUGAUUAGUGAGUGUACUACUCCCUUGAUUUGUUGCUUAACUGGUUUACUUGUACUUGAAAUUUGUGACUUGAAUGACUGUGAACUCUGUUUAUUCUGAAUGAGACGAGAGUGUACUUUAUCACACUCGUUCUCUUGCCUGUGUGACUAUUUACUAUAUAAACUGGAAUCUGUUACUGUGCCUAAUCUGAUGUCGUUUAGAGGUGUAUCCAACGACCUUCCUAUUAAACUUGAGCUUAAUCUCAUGGGAAGUUAAUUGAAUCGAGUCAGCAAGGGCUUGGUCGAAAAAAAUUGACAAAUCAUUAGGGACUAUUCUUGGGGAAUUUUUGGGUAUUGGAGACUCUGAAUUUUCAGUAUACUCUAUGUAAGGCCCGAAGACAACCCAAAAGGGGGGGUAAAUUAGGUUGAUUAAGAAACUAAUCAAGUUAUGGACACUUUUUGCUCAAUAUGAAAUUUAUCCUCUUUUCUAAGAAGACCACACAAUGAAUCAAUCAAUGAAUGAACAAAAUCACUUGAGAGUUGUAUAUGAUAAAAGCAAUUUAAAGAUCACACGAUAACAAUAAGUAAAUAAGAAGGGAAGAAUUGCAAACCAAUUGACUACCAAACUCCUCUUGAGCUUGUAGAUCAAUUCAAAUAAAUUUUUUCAAAUUGAUGAAAUACAACCAAUCUUAUGUACAAAGGAAGGUUCACUUUCUCCUUGCCCCAAACUCUACUCGGUUAAAUUAGGAAGUUUUACUAUCUCUCAAGACAACCCUCACAGAGUUAUACUAUUGAAGUAUUCACUCACAAAUGAAAAACUUACAACAAACUUCACACUACCAAAAUUACAAAUCUUUCUUGAAGAGUAUUUUUUCACUGAAAUUACUCUAGAUCUUUUGUAUCUUUAGUGUGCAAAAGUUGUUUGAAAAUUCUGACCAUGCUCUAUUUAUAGGAGAUUAAGAAAGUGCUUCAUUAAUGAUUCUAAUGGAUAGAAAGUAACUGAAGAGUCAACUAGCCGUUGGAAGUAUCGGACAUCCGGUAGCCUGGUUUCUUGCGUUCGACAGCAGACAUUGAGUUUAAGAGAUUUACUUCGAUUUUAUCGAACGUCCUGUGCUUGCGUCCGAAAACAGACAAUGAGUUUGAAAAAAUAUCUCAAUUCUAUCGGAUGUCCGGUAUUGUCUUUGUGAGCAUCCGACAGCUUUAGUCAAGUUUGAAGGAUCCUAUCGGACGUCUAAUGCUUGCGUCCAAUCGAGGUCAGUGAGUUAUGGGGAAUGUCUUAUUUCCUUCGGACGUCCGGUGAUGGAGUUCUUCAUGCGUCUAAAGUUGCACAAUGAUUAUCGGAUGUCCGAUCCUGUCUUCACAAGCGUCCGAUAGCUUUCAGUAACCUUUGUUUCUUUCAAUAGGAUUUGAUUUUUGAAUCUGAUCUGCUUCAUAACUGAAAGUAUAUCUUAAAGAGAUAUUAGUAUCAACCAUUUGUUUUGUAAACAUCAAAAGUUAGGAACUAAGAUCAACACUCGAGUAUUACCACCCACUGUUAUCGUUGAGGUAUUCAGUCCCGGUAAGGGGUAUGUUUAGUGGACGAAAUUCGGUGUAAAGUGGUACUUUAUUGGAUUGAUUACUUUACUUGAAAGUUGGCAGAGUGUCAACUACUACUUGAUCAAGUUCUGGUGAAACAAUAGGAAUUUGGCUCCUGAGAGCCACCUGUAUCCUUUUAUUGAAUUUCUAUGUUUAACUGAGGUGUUGUUUAUUUUGUAUCUGGUAGGUAUAUGUGACUGAUUAAAACUGAAGUGAUAUGAUUCUUAACUGCGUGUAUUUUUGGUACCUCAUUGAGCGUAAACUCAUCCCCUUCGCGUUAUCUUUGUUUUCGUUAUAGGGGACAAACUUUGAAACUAUGAUUUUGGAAGAAAGGUUCGAGUUAGUGUAGACAUUCUUUUGUUUACACUCCUCUGUAAUAGAAAACCCUAAUUGUAUUUUGAUUAAAUAUCACAUUUUGAUUUGUAAAGUUUUCAAUGUAUGUAUAUAUAUAAGUGUUUAUUCAUGCCUUAUCCGUGUGUUUGUUUGAGAAAGUGCGUUCUCUGGGUUGGCGUGAACUGUACUUGUAUUCUGUUGGAAAUCGGACGAGCGCGGAGCUUGAACAACGAAAGAAAAAAUUCUGGCGGAAAAAUCCUUCAGGGAAUCCAGCUGUAUAUCCGGUCAGUUCUUGGUUGGAUACUUAGCCGGAUUGGCAAGGGAGAAAGAAAAAAUUGGUUUGGUUCACUGCCUUGAAUCCGGCUGGAUAUCCGGCCAACUUUUGGCCGGAUCUAACAUGGAGUUUGUUCUUUUCACUUUUCGUUGAAGCGUUUAACCAACAUUCUAUUGUAUCGUUUAAUUUAAUUAAUUCAGUUUCCGAAAGUUCGUUUUCUCGAAGUUCGUUUGCUCGUCUUGUAGGGUUUAUGUAUGUUUCGGGUUAGUAGUCCUGACGAGAAUUGGACAAAUGGUCCACCGAACCCUUUGGUUCGUCUUAGGGAGAGGUGGGGCUGUCACAUUGCUCCUCUACUUAACCCACAAUAAGACAUUAAGGAAUUAUUUUAUUUUUGGUCAACACCAUCUUUAACGAUAAAUACAAACUGCCCCUAAUAUUUUAUCAAGUAAUUACUCCUACUUUCUCCUAUACGAUAACCAUGCAUGUCUUUCCUAAGUCUUUAGGACAAGAGGAAAAAAAGAAGACUACAUAAUAUGGAGUGUUAAAGGUUGUUAGAUUGUAGCAACAUCUUAAUUUGUAGCAUUCCCUGAGGGUAACUAAAAAAAAAGAUUAAAAUUUGGUUGUACACGAAAAAUUAGGUCUAAUUCUGAAAAAUUUUGGGAAAUUACAACUUGCCAUGUUUUAAAGCAUAUAGUUCUUUAAACAAUAUCUUUAACAACAAAUAUAAACUGUCCCUCAUAUUCAAUCAAGUAAUCGCUCCUACUUUCUCCAAUACGAUGAUCGUGUGAGUAAAUUCUAAGAUUGGUUAGCAAUUGCAUGUCUUUUCUAAGUCCAUCCGAAAAAAAUAGAAAAAAAAGGAGUACACAAUAUAGAGUGUUAACGGUUUGUUAGAUUAUAGCGACGUCUUAAUUAGUAAUAUCCCAUGAGGGUAAGCAAAUAAAAAGAUUAAAAUUUGGUUGUACAUGAAAAACAAGAUCUAAUUCUGAAAAAUUUGGCAGAUUGCAACUCGCCAUGUUUUAAAGCAUAGGAUUUUACACCCUAACCAAAAUUUAUUUUUUAUUUUCAACUUGUUUUUGUUACACUACGGGAUUUUCUGCAAUAAUGGUCAUAUACUUUGAUUAAGAGUUUAAUUUGGACAAAGCGCUUAACUAACCAAUAAAAGAAUGUCCAUGGCAGAAGAUUUCUAUAGGUGGAAUUUCAUUGAGAUUUACAUGUUAAUACUUUGCCAACUAUACUCUCUCGGAUGAUUUUCUUAUCAUCUCUUGAACUAUGAACAUGUCUUUUUGUAAGGAAUGCUAACUGAGUAGAACGAAAUACAAAGUAAGAAAUAACAUAAAUGAAUUCACAUUCGAGUGCAUCUCAACUUUAAAACUUAAAAGUUUUUUUAAAAAAAAGCAUUUACUUACAUUGGGUCAAACAUUCUAACUUAUCUUUGGAUUUACCGUCUUUACAUAUUUAAAAGUUUCAAAUUAAAAGAAUUAAUUACUUUGUAAUGCCAAAUAACAAUGGAGUUGUCAGGCACUUAUCCAUGUAAAUCUCCUUGGAUUAGUUUUGCAAAUAAGAUUUACCUUCCAAAUGUUGAUGAAAAAAAGGGUUGAGAAUGUUAUUGUCUUGUUGUAGUUGUUCAACAAUCUAUAACUUCAGUAAGAAAAGAGAGUGAGAUCUAAUCAAAAUAUGAUCUUUAGACAAAUUUCCUAAAACUUUUCAAUUAUCAUCAUUCUACAUAAUAUCAUGUUAUCUUUGAAAAAAUUAUAUGUAUGCAUGAUAAACGUUAUAUCUGUGGGAUAAUUAAGUUGUUGAAAUAAAUUUGUUGAAAAUAAUUAUGUAUUUCAUACCUUCACAAAUUAUAUUUAAUCGUGCCAUAGUGGUAAUAAUGAAAAGAAAAAAAUAAAAAGUUACAGAAACAAAUUCUUGGGCAACUGGACGGCUGUGCAACAAAAAAGUUAAACAAUUAAAAAUAACUUAUUCUACAAUUUUAACUACUUUAUCACGCCCACUUAUAACAUGGUUCCCCCUCUUGCACAGAGCAUAUUUCCCACUGAUUUUGAACAUUCAAAUUGCUACUCUACUUAUCUCACAAUAAGACAUGAAGGAAUCAUUUUAUUUUUGGUAGGCAACAUCUUGAAUGAUGCCCCUCAUAUUCAAUCAAGUAAUCACUCCUACUUUCUCCAAUACAAUGAUCAUAUUAUGUGAGUAAAUUCUAAGGUUGGUUAGCAAUUGCAUGUUUUUCCUAAAUCUGUCCGAAAAAAGAGGGAAAAAAGGAGUACACAAUAUGGAAUGUUAAGGGUUUGUUAAAAUAUAGCGACAUCUUAAUUAGUAACGUCCCAUGAGAGAGGUUAAAAUUUGGUUGUACAUGAAGAACAAGAUGUAAUUCUAAAAGAUUUUUGCAAAUUGCAACUCUCCUGGUUUUAAAGCAUCGGGUUCUACACCCUAACCAAAAUUUAUUUUUUAUUUUCAAUUUGUGUUGAUUACACAGUGGGAUUUUCUGGAAUAAUGAUCAUAUAGUUUGAUUAAGAGUUUAAUUUGGACAAAUCACUUAACCAACCAAUAAGAAAAUGUUCAUGGUAGAAGAUCUUCUACAUGUGGAAUUCCCUUGAGAUUUGCAUGUUAAUCUUUUGCCAAUUAUAUUUUUUGUGUGUGAUUUUCUUAUCAUCUCGAGAACUAUGCACAUGUCUUUCUGUAAGAAAUGGCAACUGAGUAGAACGAAAUUCAAAGUAAGAAAUAACAUGAAAGAAUUCUCAUUCGAGUGCACGUCAACAUUAAAACUUAAGGUUUUUAAAAAAGGCAAGUAUUUACAUUCGAUUGAACAUUCUAACCUAUCUUUGGAUUUACUGUCUGUACAUAUUUAAAAGUUUCAAAUUGAAAGAAUUAAUUACUUUGUAAUACCCAAUAACAGUGGAGUUGUCAGGCACUUAUCCCUGUAAAUAUCCUUUAAUUAGUUUUGCAAAAAAAAAUUUAGGUUCCAAAUGUUGAUGAAAAAAGAGUUAAGGAUACGAUUGCCUUGUUGUAGUUGUUCAACAAUCUAUAAGCUCUGUAAGAAAAGCGAGCGAGAUCUAAUCCAAAUAUAAUCUCUAGAAAAGUUUCCUAAAGCCUAUCAAUUAUUAUCUGUCCUACCUAAUAUCAUAUUAUCGUAUUAAAAGUUGUGUGUAUGCAUGAUGCACGGUAUAUCUGUGAGAUAAUUAAGUUGUUAAAAUAAAUUCUUUGAGAGUAAUUAUGUAUUUGAUACCAUCACACAUUAUAUUUAAUCGCUCCAUAAUUGAAAUAAAGGAAAGAAAAAAAUGAAAAGAUCUAGAGACAAAUUCUUGGACAACUGAAUGGCCUAUGCAACAAAAAAGCUAAAAAAUUAAAAAUAACUCAUUCUAAAAGUUCAACUACUUUGCCACACCCACUUAUAACAUGGUUCUCCUUUUUGCACAGAACAUGUUUACCAUUGAUUUUGAACUUUCAAAUUGCUCCUCCACUUAACCCACAAUAAGACACAAAAGAAUCAUUUUAUUUUUGGUAGACAACAUCUUUGACGAUAACUACAAACCGCUCCUCAUAUUCAGUUAAGUAAUCACUCCUACUUUCUCCAAUACGAUGACCAUGUUGUGUGAGUAAAUUCUAAGGUUGAUUAGCAAUUGCAUGUCCUUCCUAAGUCAGACCGAAAAAAAAGAAAAAAGAGUAGUGCACAAUAUGGAGUGUUAAGGGUUUGUUAGACUGUAGCGACGUCUUAAUUAGAAACAUCCCAUGAGGGCAACUAGUAAGAAGAUUAAAAUUUGGUUGUACAUGUAAAACAAGAUCCAAUACUGAAAACUUUUGGCAAAUUUCACACACCAUAUUUUAAAGCAUAGGGUUCUACAGCGUAACCAAGAUUAAUUUUUUUUAUUUUCAAUUCGUGUUUAUUUCACAAUAGGGUUUUCUAGAAUAAUUGUCAUAGAGUUUGAUUAAAAGUUUAAUUUGGACAAAGCACUUAACAAAACAAUAAGAGAAGGUCUAUGGUAGAAAAUCUUCUAUAGGUGGAAUUCCCUUGAGAUUCGCAUGUUAAUUCUUUGCCAACUGUACUUUCUUGGAUGAUUUUCUUAUCAUCUCUAGAACUAUGUACAUGUUUUUUUGUAAGAAAUGCUAACUGAGUAGAACGAAAUACAACGCAAGAAAUAACAUGAAAGAAUUCCCAUUCGAGUGCAUCUCAUCAUUAAAACUUAAAGUUUCUAAAAAAGGCCUUUAUUUACACGGGUCAAACAUUCUAACCUAUCUUUGGAUUUAUUGUCUAUACAUAUUUAAAAGUUUCAAGUUGAAAAAAUUAAUUACUUUGUAAUGCCGAAUAAUAGUGGUGUUGCCAAGCUCUUAUCCAUGUAAAUUUCCUUGAAUUAGUUUUGUGAAUAAGAUUUACCUUCCAAAUGUUGAUGAAAAAAGGGUUGAGGAUCUUAUUGCGCUGUUGUAGUUGUUCAACAAUCUAUAAGCUCAGUAAGAAAAGAGAGUGAAAUCUAAUCAAAAUAUAAUCUCUAGAAAAAUUUCCUUAAACUUAUCAAUUAUUAUCUGUUCUACAUAAUAUCAUAUUAUCGUCAAAAAAAUUACAUGUACGCAUGACGCAUGCUGUAUCUGUGAGAUGCAUUAGUUGUUGAAAUAAAUUCGUUGAGAACAAUUAUGCAUUAAUACCUUCACAAAUUAUAUUUAAUCGCGCCACAGUGGAAAUAAUGGGAAAAAAAUGAGAAGAUACAGAGACAAAUUCUUGGACAACUAGAAGGCCUAUGCAGCAUAAAAGGUAAAGAAUUAAAAAUAACUCAUUUUGAAAUUCCAACUACUUUGUCAUGCCCACUCAUAACAUUGUUCUCCUCUUUCCACAAAACAUGUUUAAUUGAUUUUGCAUAUUCAAAUUGCUCCUCUACUUAACCCACAAUAAGCCACAAAGGAAUCAUUUUAUUUUUGGAUGACAACAUCUUUAAUGAUAAAUACAAACUGUCUCACAUACUCAAUCAAGGAAUUACUCACACUUUCUCCAAUACGAUGACCAUGUUGUGUGAGUAAAUUCUAAGGUUGGUUAGCAAUUGCAUGUCUUUCCUAAGUUUGUCCAAAAAAAAAAAAAAAAAAGCAAAAAGAGGAGUACACAAUAAGGAGUUUCAAGGGUUUGUUCAAAUGUAGCGAUGCCUUAAUUAGUAACAUCCCAUGAGGGUAGCCAAAUAAAAAGAUUAAAAUUUGGUUGUACAUGAAAAACAAGAUCUAAUUCUGAAAAAUUUUGGCAAAAUGCAACUAACCAUGUUUUAAUGCAUAUGGUUCUACACCGUAACCAAGAUUUAUUUUUAUUUUCGAUUUCUAUUUAUUAAACAGUAGGGUUUUCUGGUAUAAUGGUCAUAUAGUUUGAUUAAGAGUUUAAUUUGGACAAAACACUUAACCAACCAAUAAGAAAAUGUUCAUGGUAGAAGAUCUUCUAUAGGUGGAAUUCCCUUGAGAAUUGCAUGUUAAUCCUUUGCCAAUUACACUUUCUUGGAUAAUUUUCUUAUUAUCUCUAGUACUAUGCACAUGUCUUUUUGUAAGGAAUGCAAACUGAAUAGAAUGAAAUACACAGUAAGAAAUAACAUGAAAGACUUCCUAUUCGAGUGCAUCUCAUCAUUAAAAUUUAAAGUUUUUAGAAAAGGCAUUUAUUUACAUUGGGUCAAACAUUCUAACCUAUCUUUGGAUUUACUGUCUAUACAUAUUUAAAAGUUUUAAAUUGAAAGGAUUAAUUACUUUGUAAUGCUGAAUAACAGUGGAGUUGCUAGGCACUUAUCCACGUAAAUCUCCUUGAAUUAGUUUUGUAAAUAAAAUUUGCGUUCCAAAUGUUGAUGAAAAAAGGGUUGAGAAUGUCAUUGCCUUGUUGUAGUUGUUCAACAAUUUAUAAGCUCUAUAAGAAAAGAGAUUGAGAUCUAAUCAAAAUAUAAUCUCUAGGAAAAUUCCCUAAAGCUUAUCAAUCAUUAUAUAUCCUACAUAAUAUCAUAUUAUUGUCGAAAAAAUUACAUGAACGUACGCUUGAUGCACGCUGUAUUUGUGAGAUAAAUAAUUGUUGAAAUAAAUUUGUUGAGAAUGAUUAUGUAUUUAAUACCUUCACAAGUUAUAUUUAAUUAUGCUACAGUGGAAAUAAUGGAAAAAAUGAGAAGAUACAGAGACAAAUUCUUGGACAACAGGAAGGCCUAUGCACAAAAAAAGGUAAAAAAUUAAAAAUAACUCAUUCUACAAGUCCAACUACUUUGCCACACCCACUUAUAACAUGGUUCUCCCUUUUGCACAAAACAUGUUUACCAUUGAUUUUGAACAUUCAAAUUGCUCCUCUAUUUAACCCACAAUAAGACACGAAGGAAUCAUUUUAUUUUUGGUAGACAACAUUUUUAAAGAAAAAUACAAAUUGUCCCUCAUAUUCAUUCAAGUAAUCACUCCUACUUUCUCCAAUACAAUGGUCAUGUUGUGUGAAUAAAUUCUAAGGUUGCUUAGCAAUUGCAUGUCUUUCCUAAGUUUGUCUGAAAAAAAGAAAAAAAAAAAAAGGAGUACACAAUUUGGAGUGUUAAGGGUUUGUUAGAAUGUAGCGACACCUUAAUUAGUAACAUGCCAUGAGGGUAGCCAAAUCAAAAGAUUAAAAUUUGUUUGUACAUGAAAAAUAAGAUCUAAUUUUGAAAAAUUUUGGUAAAUUGCAACUCGCCAUGUUUUAAAACAUAGGGUUCUACACCCAAACCAAGAUUUGUUUUUUUAUUUUCAACUUGUAUUUAAUCCACAGUGAGGUUUUCUAGAAUAAUGGUCAUAUAGUUUGAUUAAGAGUUUGUUUUGGACAAAGCACUUAACCAAUAAUACCAAUAAUAGAAUGUCCAUGGUAGAAGAUCUUUUGUAGGUGGAAUUCGCUUGUGAUUUGCAUAUUAAUCCUUUGCCAACUAUACUUUCUUGGAUGAUUUUCUUAUCAUCUCUAGGACUAUGCAUAUAUCUUUUUGUAAGGAAUGCUAAAUGAGUAGAACAAAAUACAAAGUAAGAAAUAACAUGAAAGAAUUACCAUUCAAGUGCAUCUCAUCAUUAAAACUUAAAGUUUUUUAAAAAAGGCAUGUAUUUACAUUAAGUAAAACAUUCUAACUUAUCUUUGGAUUCACUGUCUAUACAUAAUUAAAAGUUUCGAAUUGGAAGAAUUAAUUACUUUGUAAUGUUGAAUGAUAAUGGAGGUGCUUAGCAUUUAUCCAUGUAAAUCUCAUUAAAUUAGUUUUAUAAAUAAGAUUUACCUUCCGAAUGUUGAUGAAAAAAGGGUUGAGGAUGUCAUUGCCUUGUUGCAGUUGUUCAACAAUCUAUAAGCUCAAUAAGAAAAGAGAGUGAGAUCUCAUCAAAGUAUAAUCUGUAGAAAAAUUUCCUAAAGCUUAUCAAUUAUUAUCUGUUCUACAUAAUAUCAAAUUAUCAUCAAAAAAUUGCAUGUAUGCAUGAUGCAUGCUGUAUCUAUGAGAAAAUUAAGUUGUUGAAUCAAAUUUUUUAAGAACAAUUAUGUAUUUGAUUCCUUCACAAGUUAUAUUUAAUUGUGUCAUAGUGGAAACAAUGGAAAGAAAGAAUCGAAAAGGUACAGAGACAAUUUCUUGGACAACUGAAUGCAAAGACAACUCAUUUUACAAGUUCAACUACUAAUUUGCCAUGCCCAGUUACAGUAUGGUUCUCCAUUUUCCAUAAAACAUGUUUACCAUUGAUUUUGAACUUUCAAAUUGCUCCUCUACUUAACCCACAAUUAGUUGGAAGACAACAUUUUUAAUGAUAAAUACAAACAACCCUCAUAUUUAAUCAGGUAAUGACUUUAUUUUCUUCCAUAUGAUGACCAUGUUAUGUGAGUAAAUUUCAAGGUUUAUUAGCAAUUGCAUGUCUUUUGUAAGGCUCUCCAAAAAAAAGAAGAGUACACAAUCUUGAGUGUUGGGGGUAUGGUAGAAUAUAGCAGCAUCUUAAUUAGUAACAUCCCAUGAGAGAGUAACUAAAUAAAAAGAUUAAAAUUAAAUUGUACAUGAAAAACAAGGUCCAAUUUGGUUGGAUCAGGUUCUUUCGUUGAUUGCUUUACAAUUAUUCUCCCUUUCUCUUGUUUUGGGGUUAAUGUCUUUUUUACUUUCCAAAACUUGGCUUGUUUUUUGUCAAUUCCUCGUAAUGGCGUUGGAGGUAUGUGCCGGAGAACGGUGGAGUUGCCAGGUGCUUAUCCAUAUAAAUUUCUUUGAAUUGGUUUUGUAAAUAGAUUUACCAUCCAAAUGUUGAUGAAAAGUAAGUUUGUGGAUGUUAUUUCCUUGUUGAAGUUGUUUAACACUCUAUAAGCUCAGUGAAAAAAGAGAGUGAGAUCUAAUCAAGUAUAAUCUCUAAGAAAAUUUGCUAAAACUUGUCAAUUAUUAUCUCUUAUACAUAAUAUCUUAUUAUAGUGUAAAAAACUACACAUACGCAUGAUGCAUGCUAUAUCCAUGAGAUAAUUAAGUUGGUGAAAUAAAUUCUUUGAGAACAAUUUUGCAUUUGAUACCUUCAUGAGUUAUAUUUAAUCAUACCGUACAGGAAAUAAUGGAAAGAGAAAUUGAAAAGAUGCAAAAACAAAUUUUGGACAAUUUAAUGGCUUAUGCAACAAAAAAGGUAAUAUAAUUCAUGUGAUACAAGUAAAAGCUCAAACUUUCCCAUGCCCAUUUAUAGCAUGGCCCUCCCUGAUCAAUUCUUUGCACAAAAUAUGUUUCCCAUUGAUUUUGAACUUUCAAAUUGGUCCGAAACUUAACCCACUAGCUAUUGCAUGUCUUUCUUAAGUUCCCCCAAGAAAAACAAGAAUAUUACGCAAUCUGGAGAGUUAGGGGUUUGUUAGAAUGUGGGUUUGUCUUAUUUAGAAACAUCCCAUUUGGUAACCAAACAAAAAAGAUUGAAAUUUGGUUAUAAAUGAAAAACAAGGUCCAAUUUUGUACAUUAUUAAGGGUUAUCUUUGGACACCGUACAUUUCCCGUUUAUAAGAAAAUGUCCAUGGUGGAAAAUCUUCUAUAGGUGGAAUCCCCUUAACAUUUGCAUGAUAAUCCUUGCCAACUACACUUGCUUGGAUGAUAUUCUUAUCUUCUCCUGAACUAUAUACCUCUUUUUCUUAAAGGACUACUGAAUGAGUAAAUGAAUGCAAAGUAUUCAUUUAGUUAUACCUUGAACUAUAUACCUGUUUGUCUUAAUUAGUAACAUCCCAUUUGGUAACCCAAUAAAAAAGAUUGAAAUUUGGCUAUACAUGAAUGACAAGGUCCAAUUUUGAACGUUAUUAAGAGUUAUCUUUGGACGCCGUACUUUUUCAACCUAUAAGAGAAUGUCCAUAGUAGAAAAUCUUCUAUAGGUGGAAUUCCCUUAGCAUUUGAAUGAUAAUCCUUGCCAGCUACACUUGCUUGGAUGAUAUUCUUAUCUUCUCUUGGACUAUAUACCUGUUUUUCUUAUAGGAAUGCUAAAUGAAUAGAAUUAAUACAAAUUAAGAAAUAAUAUGAAAGAAUUUCCAUUCAAGAGGAAAGUUUUUGAAAGGCGUAUAUUCAUAUUGGGUCAAAUAUACUUACACGUCUUUUGAUUUACUGUUUGUACAUAUCUAAAAGCUUCAAAAUUGAAACAAUUUAUUAUUUCACAAUGCUUGUAAACUUAAUCAACACAAAUAUUUCUCUUAUUUCAUGAUAGAAUAAUAGUAUUUCAUUCUCAAUUUUCAAAAUGUUCUUAUCAUAGCCAAUAUUUUUAGGAAAAGAGCCGGAGUUUUUCGGGGUAGAGCUAGGUGUAGGUUCUGCCAUUUUGGUGAUUUUUGGUGUAUGCAAAAUAAAAACUGAAUCAAUCAAAAUUACCAAAUCACCCUCAAUGUGGUGUCUUCGUACGUUUCGUACUGGCACCAUGAUAGCGAGCCAAAUUACAAGAAACAUACCCAAUUAAUCCAAACAAAAUAACCGGUCCUCCACUAAAAAGCCACUGAAGUUCAUCUAAGUCACCAAUCAACAAAACCAAUCUAAAUAAAUGGCCAGAUCAAAUAAUUGCACCGCUCAAGUGCACCUUUUAAAUCAAGAGCAAUUGCAAUUCCAAUUGGGAAAAAGAAACCCACAACAAUUGCUCUAAAUUACCAAAUACCAAAAUCCGGUCAUAAUAAAUGGCCCAGUCAAAAUAAUUGAGCAGCUCAAUUCAACACCAAUUGGAAUUCCAAUUGAAAAUUGCUGCUUUUAGUAUGUGUGUAUAUGUAUAUGUAUAUAUAUAUGUAUACAUGUAUAUAUAUGUAUAUAUAUAUAUGAUAUAAACAAUUUAAUACUGUCAAUAUCUGGAUUUGAAUUUACAGUAAACAACCAUAUAAAGGUAAUCAUCCUAGAUACUUCUCAAAGUAUUAAUAACUGUUCUAAAUUUAGAUCUAAAUAAAACUAAAAAAAAUAGUAGUAAAUAAACUUACUCACCGUUCUAAAACUUUAAAAGAAUAUAGCGAGAUAUUAGUAAAUCUUACACUUAUAUGUAAGGAGUAAUUAUUGGACUGAAUUUUUAUAGAAAAUAAAAUUUUAUUAUUGUUUUAGUGUUUUGUUGUAGCUGAUAAAUUGAUAUUACUAAUGCGUAAAACAUAUGUACAACACUCCUGCUUAUUCUUAGUGAUCAUAAUAUAAUCACCCAUUUCCCUCAAAAACAAAUGCAUUCAUUUUCUAAAAGAAGAAUUCUCUCUCUCUCUCUCUCUCUCUAAAAUACCAAAAAUCACUCAAAAAGAGUCCUUUUGCCACCACCCCAUUAUUCUCCUCCUCCUGCAACUAAUGUCCAAAAUCCAAGUUGUCCUUUAAGGUUUUUUUUCUUUCCUAAAUUAGUCAACUUAUUUACAUGCUAUAUCUCCUGAUUUUCUUAUAAAGAUUUUAACAAAUCAAAUGGUGAUGAAUGUACAAUUUUCAAAUUUAUUUGUAUAUGAUACAAAGAAAGUUUGAAUUCAUUCAUUUAUCAAAAGAACCUAAAAUGCAGUUCAAUUUUUGUUCGUUAAUUUGAAAUAAUAUUCCAAUUUGAACUCAAGGUUAGCUCGUUAUACUUAAUAUAUUGAGAUCAAGUUUGAAAACAUUAGUUCACGAAAAUCCAUUUGCAAUUUACUAACUUGGUUCCAGAAAAUGAAUAAAACUAGUUUUAUGUGUAGAAAAAAUGCAAGGUGUUAUACAUGUGUUUGACAAUAUGCAACGUGUAUAUAUUUAUCUUUACUAUUUUUUAUUUAUGUAUGGAUGAGCGAACACAUUUGUUUAGUUCAUGAAAGUGUUCAAGCUGAACUCAAUUAUUAAAUGAGCCAUGUUCAUUGUUCGAGAUUAGUUCUUUUACAAUACGAACUAACCUUCAUUGAAUUUAAAUGAGCUUUAAAUGAGCUUUGAUCCUAAAAGAUCAUUUUUCUUGUGACUGAACGUUGAUAGGUCCGACGGGGACUCUUCCAAGUCAGAAUUUCACUUUCAGUUUUCCCUUUCCUUACUGAUCAAUCUCUAAUAAAAAUUUUCGUUUGACCUCUGUAAUUGUCUCUGCUAAAGAAAGCAUUUUCUAAUUGAGCUAGGACUUUGGCGUUAAUCCUUUCUAUGAUUGAAUUGUUACAACAAAUAAUUCUGUUCUUUUUGGGUGCAAUUAUUGAAUAUAAUCUGCGCACUAUAGCUGUCUUUUUUUAACACCCCUUGUAAAAUUGAAUUUAGGAAUCUGCAAUAUGAAGUUUUUCCCUUGUGAUCUACUUUAUAUUUUUACUUUUUGAUAGGUUAGGGAAUGAAGUAAAAUAGCUGAAGAAUCAUCAACAAGCUAACUCGGAAAACCCCAUCAGCUACACUAUGAAAUAGCUCAAGAAUCAUAAACAUAGAUUCUUGCUCGGAUACAAUGAAAUAGAGGUGGUACUAAGUCCCAAAGACCCAGUAAGAUCCCAUACUGAAACUUAAUUUGGAUGGAAUAAAUAUGUAAAAUAUGGAACUGGGUCUAAUUGAAAAUAUAUCCAAUAAUACCUAUCCAAAAUCUGGGUCUUAUUGAGACUUACUUAGAACUCUCAUGAAUCUUUCUUUUCCCCAAAACUUAAGAAUGCCUAAAAGUCGAAAACCAUCAAAUUUUCCAAAACAGUCAACAGCAGUGUAUGCAUCUAGUGGUAGCAGUAGUGUACUGUUAUUUGUGUGUAUUUGGCAGUAGAAGGAAAGACAAAAGUACAACUACUACUGUACUAGUGAGUGUGUGUGCUUAAGUAGUAGAUGUAGAAAGUGAAUGAUGGUAGUGGGGGAAUGGAUGCUCCACUAAUGGUAGAACGCUAGGAAUAUUACCGAUUACGUAGCAAUCCUAAUACAGUAGUAAAUAUAAAUGCUUAUAUCUUAGGAGGAGAAAUGGAGUGAAUGAUGUGGUAGUCGUAUUCUCAAUUCUAGACAUUAUUGUUGUUGGAUGGGGUGUGGUAGAUUUAGGAUAGACAGAGUGAAACUCGAGAGUUGAGGGAGUAGGAAAAGGAGUAUAGGACAAACACUGAAAAAAAAAAAAGGAAUGGUGUUGGCAGAUGGGGAUGUGGUUGGGUUUGCUUCACUUUUAGCCUUUAGUCAUUUAGUGAAGUUUCCUUAUGUUAAAGCUAGAAAGUUGAUCAUUAAUUGAUAUAAAGCACUGAACUGGUUCUUAUUUAUGUACUUUUAUUUGCAUGAGAGUUGGGGUUUAAAAAAUUUCAUAUCUAGUAAAUUUUGUUUAGUUUGAAAAAUUAUCGCACUACACACACACACACACAUAUAUAGAAAUUUGUAGAACUUUUACAAAGUUGAACAAACUAAUUAAAUGAUAUUAAAAAAUAAAAGCGAUAUUGAGACAUUUGAUUAGGGAAAAAAGAUUUAAAAAUAAAAUGUGAAUUAUUGGAUAUUUAGGCAGUAUUAAAAUGGGUCCAAUCCAUUUUAGUCCCGCUCAUAUUAGUCCCAUGACUAAUAUGGGACUGUUUGGAUAUAACCCAUAUUUGGUAGCUCCAAUUAAGUCUCGCCCAAAUCCCGUCUAUCUUGCCUAUUUACCAUCUCUAAAUGAGAAAGAUGGUGGUGUAACACUUUUGUUGGCCAUUCUACUUUGUUCUGUGACAGCCCCACCUUCUCCUAGGACGUACCUCAAGAGUUAGCGAACUGCCUGUCCAACUCUCGCCAGGACUACAGAGUCAAAUCACUCGAAAACCCUACAAAACAUACAAAAGAACUGCAAGAAAACGAACAAUUGGAAACUGAUCUAAACACGAUUACCAAACUAUACGGUACAAUAGGAUUUCGAUUAAACGCUCCAAUGAAAACGAAACGAGUGGAUGCCACGUUAGAAUCCGGCCGGAUUCAAGGCAGUGAGCAAACCAAAUUUUUUUUAAUCUCUCCUGUCAAUCCGGCCAACUAUCCAGCCAAGAACUAGCCGGAUAUACAGCCGGAUUGUCUGCAGUCAUUUCCCACCAGAUUUCUUGUCUUCCUUGUUCAAUUUCCACACUCGCCCGAUUUUCCAACGGAUAGUUUACAUUACCAAUAAAACAUACCAUCUCAACCAAAUACUAUUGAAAUCAUAUGAGCAAACACUUAUAUAUAUAUAUAUAUAUAUAUAUACAUUGGAGGGUUUAACAGUUCAACUAGCAAUACGAGUCGGACUAUACACAAUUUGUCAAAGUACACGUAGGGUUUGCCAGUACAGAGGAGCUUAAUCAAAAGAAUGUCUACAUCUAGCUCUACUCUUUUCUUCAAAACCACGAUUCCCAACAUUUUGAACCCUGUAAGGAAAACAAAGAUAACGGGAAGGGGUGAGCUUACACUCAAUGAGGUACCACAAGUUCAAGCAGUCAAGAAUCAUAGAACUUCACUUUUAAUCAGGCAAAUGUAUACACCAAAUAAGGAAAUGAACAAACACUUCAAAUAGAAAGGAUACAGGUGGCUCUCAAGAGCCAAAUUCCUUUGUCUUCACCAAAGCUUGAUCAAGUAGUAGUUGACACUCCGUCAACUUUCAAAUAAAGUAAUCAGUCCAGUAGAGCACCACUUUACACCAAAUUUCGUCCACCGAACAUACCCCUUACCGGACCUGAACGCCUCAACAGGAAUAGGGAUGGAGAUACGCGAGUAUACCGGAAAUCCAGAGUCUCCAAUACCCAAAGAUUCCCCAGACACAGGCCCCAUGGAUUGUCAAUUUUCCUCGACCAAGCCCGUGCUAGCUCGAUUCAAUUAACUACCCAUGAGAUUGAGCUCAGAUUUCAUAGGCACGGGAAGGUCGUUGGAUGCAAGCCUCCAAACGACAUCAUAUCAGGCACAAGUAACAGAUUCAAGUUUAUACAAUAAACAAGUCACACAGGCCAGAGAACGAGUGCGAUAAAGUAUACCCUCGUCUCGUACAGAAUAAUCAGAUGGUACAGUCAUUCAAAUCACAAAUGACAAGUACAGAUAAACCAUUUAAGCAACGAAUCAUGGGAGCGAUACACUCACCAGUUUAAGCAAAGAUAACUUCAAAAGUUUCCAUCCGAAGUAUGCCCUAGAUCACCGAUACGUCCUAAAACAACCAAGGAAAACAAAUAAGACUCGAUUACGAGUCGUAUGUCUAUCCAAAUGAACUACAAAUGUAAGGAUACAAAGGUGUGAUUUUGGGGUGAAAAAGAAACAUGAGAACCUAGGGGCUCGAACGACCCAAAGCCCUUCAUUUCUACCCAUGAUUAACCCAAUCUCGAAGGUAUCAAGUAAUCCCAAAAAUUGGACAGCACUUCCCCUUAGAUUCCUUUACUUUCCACCCUAUAAUCCAUCACUAAUCUCAACUCAAAUCAACAACAAUUGCACACACAAUACAUAAGUUAGAAAGCACACCUAAUUAGGGCUGCAAUACCCUUCAAUUUGAGCCAAUUGAUAGCUCCAAAAUGAAUCACAAUAAAGCCUCAAAUUGAAACCCUAAUCUGAAAUUUACUCCCAAAAUCUGAAAUUUUCUUUAAGCAAGUCCAUCUAAUACAUAAUACCCUAAUAUUUCACAUAAUAAAGCUAUCAAACCAUAGCCAAUCAUUACUCAUCACACGAGGGCAGAAAAAUCACCAUAAAAAUUGAAAAUUUCCGUGACACCACUUCAAACCAUCAUAUGUCUCAUAAAACUACCUAUUUUGCAACCCUAAAUCACAAGUAUGCUAAUAUUAGAAGUAGAGAGGGAUUUCUUGGCAAAAUUACCUAGUAACUUCAAGAAAGGUGGUAGUUUAGUACUUCCUUCUCCAAAAUCACUCCACCAACCCCUUCGAAUCUCCUUAGUUAGCACUUUUAUGGAGUAGUUUACAAAGUUGAUAGUUGGAACACAAGAUUGAAGCAAGAAAUUGAAGAUGCAAGAUGAAGUUUUCUCUAUUUGUUCCUCUCAAAGGGUUCAGCCAAGAUGGAUGAAAGAAUGAAGAAAUCUUGGUCAAAAUUGGUGUUUAGUAAAGGUAAGAAAGGUUGGUCAAAAUCCAACUUCAAAUAGUGUCGCGACACGUGGCGCCUUUAAGGUUUGAUCUAAUCCUCUUGCCUUCCAAUGGUUAAUCUAUUUGGUUACCCUCUAAUUAUCUCCUAACACCUUGUAAAAAUAUCCCUUUAUGCAAAACUACACUUAGGCGUCAAAAUUUUAUUGCACUUAACGCACUAGCGGGUCCCACGUCCAAUAUACACUACUAGCGUCACAUAAACUAACUUAUAUUAGGAAAAAUGAUUUAAACACUAUACUCACUUAUAAAAAUGUAUAGAAAAUUAAUAUAUUAAAGGAAAGUAUAAAAAAAUGUAGGUAAGAAAAUAAAAUAAUACUUAGAAAAUACGAAAAUUUUCGGGUUCUCACACUCUUUUCCCCUUAAAAGAAUUUCGUCCUCGAAAUUCUCCUCUUUUGCUCACAAAACUCAAUUCUACAGUGAUUUCUUCUACUUUUCAAGAGUUUCUCUUCACAUAUACCACUAUCACAAUCUAUCUAAAGAUAAAAUCGUGAUAAUGCAAUGACUAAAACGCCAUGCGAAGAAAAAUCAGUGAAGAUUUCAAAAAUUCCCACUUUCGAACCACAAACGAAAAAUUUUCACUUAGUUUCAAGACUAAACUAUAGUAAAAGAUUCAUGAAUCAGGAUCCAAUACUGUCCAAUCACCAAUAUUUAAUAUUACUUAUCAAAACAUCAGGUACCAGAUCCACUACUUCUAUCGGGGAUACACUUACUACAUAAAGUUUGCAUACACAUAGUUCCAUAAAUAUAAUUAUUUCAGCCAACACAUCACUAAUUGCUGACUCUAACUAUUACAACAACUACAUCAUCCAAAAAUUCAUUUGUCUUGGGCAGUUGGUGCCCUAGUUGGCCGCAUCUAAAACAUGCACCAAUUUUCAAAUAACAUAUUCCCGUAUGAAUUUUGUUAUAUGUUUCACACUCAGCAGCUACACGUCUCUUCUUGAAGUGUCCAUUCUUUUUCUUCUUCCUCCCUUUAUCCUUCAUAGCAAAUCUAUCUCCAUACAUUUAUUUAUGUUUCCCUUUGAUAUCACGAGAACUUCCUUCACCUCUUUUAUCUUUAUUACUAGGAAUGUCCAGAUAUGUUAUUCGACUAGACGAAAGCACUAACUCAAACUUACUCCGUACCUCUUCCGGGAUUCCUUCGUAUUUCUUUUUCAAUUCUAUGUUCUUGUGCAGUAGCUCAAUUUUAUCUAAAUACUCCUAUUUCCAUCUCUCUUUCCAGUACUCAGCUAAUUUCUUUUGGAACUCUACUUCCUUUCAGAUAAUCUCUAUUUUUGUAUACAUGUCAGCCAAAUGUGUCAUCUCACCAAUUCGCUUGAACCCAAGUGACAGCCUGUCAAGCAAAUUAAUGGAUCAAAAUAAGUAACUAAGUACACUUGGUAUCCUAACCACAUAACUGUUAAGUUUUCUCACUCCCAAUCCGACCAUGGAAAAUUACACAGAUAUUUCCAAAUAAAGUAGAUGAGAAAGUAGAACAUAAUUAGGGCAACAUCUUAAUAUAUUAUGUGACGAUCCCACCUGCCCCUAGGGUGUACCCCAGGGUUUAGCGGUCCUCCUGCCCAUCACUCGCCAGGACUCACUCAUUUAGUUCAAAUAAAAGAGGUUACAACUUCAAGAGUAAAGGAAAUAACUGUUCCCAAACUGGGAACGUAUACUUACAUACAUUUCUAUCUCAAAGUAAUACAAACCCAAAUAUAACAAAGGUUCUCAAUCUCAAUACUUCCAACCCUAUCCAGGCAUUAGAGCGAGUACAAUUGCAAAAAUUUGAACUAGACUAUGCUAUUCUAUACAAGUCUCUCGCCCUUACUCGCAUCCCUGUAAGAAAAACAAAACUAACGGAAUGAACUAAAAGCCCAACAAGGUUCCGUACGCAAUAAUCAAAUCAAUUAGACAAUGACAUUAAUCAGAUACUAACAAGUCGUCCAGAAAACAUUUACAAUAUAAAGCAAUAAUAACAUAUUCAUUACAAGGAUACAUGCUCACGUGGCGCCUUUCGUUCAUUCAUUCCACCAAUCAUUUCCUUAUUUCUCCAUCAUUAAAAUAAUUUCGUUUGUAAGUGAAAACCCCUCCAUUGUUCUUGCCAUUCAUUCAUUCAUUUCAUUUUCCCCUUAUUGGACAUUGGCCAGUCUCCACCCGACAACGUGGUAAUAUUCGAACAUACCAAACUUUCACCCAAGAUCACCAAAUCGCCCGACCGAGUCCGCUUCAGACUCGAAUCGACAGACAACGAAGGGCAAGGGCCCAGUUAAGCCACAAGGUUUACAUUCAUGCACAACUAGCAUAUAAUCAAAUAAUUAUUGAAAAUUUCAUAUUUAUUUAUGUCGACUGCGAUAAAGUACACACUCGCCUAGCAAAACUCAUUUUCGGCAAUCAUUGAAAGCAUUUAACAUUUAAUCAAACAUCCACAACAAGUUACAUAGUCAAUGGAAACAUAACGUACAAGGAACACUCACCUAUUUAAGCAAAAUAACGUCCAAAGUAUCCUUCCGGAUAAUACUCUCAAUCACCAAAGAACCCUAAUAAUAACUAAGAGAAAAUAUUACGGUUAAACCAUCCAAAGUUUAGGUGAACCAAAGAAAAUCUGAAUAACUACUAGUACAAACUAUAAAUAUGAUUUUGGAAGUGAAAAGAGUGCAUUUAAACCAAAGGACAUGAGUAAAAUAUUUGUAAAACUUAUGCUCGCUCAUAAGACUUUGAAAUCUCCAUUUGAGUCGAAGUGACAAAGAAAACGUAUUUCUAUUAGUCGUAAAUUUCAUUUUACCAAGGGUACAAAUUUCGGUCGAAUUCUAACUUAUAUACCUUGAUAAAAGAAGACGCAAAUAUCCUAGAUGGUUCAAGUGGUAUUCAUUCUAAAAUCCUUACCUAGUUCUCGAGUGUAAAUUUGGGCAGUACGCUCUUUGUAUUUACCUAUUUUCCAGCCAUUUAUGGAUUUAUUAUUUUUCUCAAUUAGUUCCAAAGUCACACACAGAUAAUCUCAUUACAAUAGCCAUUCAAUAGGCUCAACAAUCAUCCAAGUACAACACAAGUAUAAUAAUCCAAUCGAAAAUCAUAUUUUGAAGGCAAAAGCCUAAAUGGCAGGUUCGACAUCUUAUAAUAUUUUAGUCACAACUAGAGUUCCGUUUAUUGGAUUGGUGUGAACUUUAUACCGGCUCAAAACUAAGACAAAGGGCUACAACUUUCAUAAAGACUGCUCAAUCCAGUUCAUAAUUGAUCUAGGUCAAAAGUACAGAUUACAGAACCAAAAUGUCCUUGUUAGUACGGUUGCCAGUACUGAAUUCAAAUGACAAUAACUCAAGCUACACAAUUUCGUUUGAGGUGUUUUCAGUUGCGUUGGAAGACUGAAACAUAGGGCUAAAAGUUUCAUGUUUUGGCUAAAGGCUAAUUUGAUACGGAUCAAGGUGAAAAAAUGCAGCUAGAAUGAGGAAAUGUCAAAACUAUCCACAAAACUAUACCUAUGGUAGCAAGGGUAAUUUUGUCAUUUCUUGUGCUACAGUGCUCGAAUUAAGCCGAAAUUUUACAGGCAGCUAUAAUACAUCAUUUUCUACAACUUUUAUAUUUUAACCUAAGGCUGAUUCAGCCUCCAUCAUAGCCAAAUGAAACUGGGCAGAACAGGAUGAUACAAAAUUGAAAAACUGGAAUUCAUGCAUUCAAGUGCUAAUAUUCACAAUUCUAGCUUGAAACACUACUUCACCUCCUUAUCUAAGGUUAUUCACAUCAUAUUAUAUCUAAACAAGAAGAAAUAUAGCUGAACAAUUCAAAACCCUAACUCACAAAUUCUCCAUAAUCAUCAAAACUACUUGCAUAGCUAUCAAUUAACCAAGAAUAUGAGUUGUAUAGCAACUUAAGCAAGAUUAAGGGAACUAAAGAUGAUGGACAGCCAAUAUACCUCACUAUGAUGCUUGUAAGAGAUACCCCACUAUGUUUUUCCUAGUAAUUUACGAUAACUUGAAAACGAAAGGAAAAACCCUUGAUUCUAUAUUUAUUUGCACUUAUUGUGGGGUAAAUGCUAGUAAAGCUAUUCUAAAGUAAUAAAUUUCAAAUAAAAGGGAAUUUUAAGAAAAAAUAUAAGGAAAUUUUUCCAGUCGUCACAUACUCUCUCUCUUAAAGAAAUUUCGUCCUCGAAUUUUUUUUUUUUUUUACCUUCAAUUGUCUCAGAUGACUCUGGAGGUUGUUGGUUGUCUAAGGCAUAUACCUUUGCCAGUACUUUUGUUCGGUUCUCUUUUUCAUUUACUUGUUUCGGUUUGGUUCCAUCUAGUUGCUAAGCACUACUCUCUCGUGGCUGCUUCAUCGGGCAAGUACUAAUUUGAUGAUUGCUACUCCCACAAAUUAAACACUUUUGCCCUUUCCUCCAACAAUCAUUCUCAGUGUGAUUAGCCAUUCCACAAUAUCCACAGACCAAGUGAGAAGUCACUUUUUGACCUUCUUGAGAAAUUUCAUCAUGUCCUAUCUGACUUCCUCUUGUAGAUCUUUCAUCUAAUGCUCCUAAUGUCCAUGGUGGAUGAGGUAAAUUGUUCACUUUUUACACUUUGGAGGGCAUUAUCUUUUCUCUAGAUUUCUCAGGCAUGCUACUAGAUGAACCUCUUUUUCGUGUUUGAAAAGUUUUUACUUGUGCUUUCGCAUCCUCAAUUCUUUGAACCUUCUCAAGAGUCUCCGUAAAAGUAUUAACUUGAACCGCCACUAAAGCUUUCUGGAUUUCCAAAUUCAAGUCUUGUAUGAACCGUCUUACUCUCCUUUGCUCCGCAACUACCAAUUCGGACGCAAAUUUGGAUAGUUUAGUAAAUUUAGUCUCAUAUUCAGCCAUACUUUGGGUUCCCUGACGCAACCCAAUAAACUCAUGCUUCCUCCUUUUUUGGACCAAAGGUGGGAGGUACUUCUCAUUAAAUUCCCUUAUAAAGUUCGCGCAUAUCCAUGUAGUCUGUUCUCUCUCUCAUUUUGCCCAAAUAACAUUCCACCAUACUCGACCCGAUCUUUCGAAUUGGAAUACAGUAAAGUUCACCUGUGUUUGCUCCGUGUAGUUUAAGGCUGCGAAGAUGUUAAUCAUUGCCUCUAACCACUAUUCAACUAUAUUUGGAUCAUGCCCUCCAAGGAAUUUAGGAGGUACAAACUUUUGAAACCGCUCCAGAGCCCUAUUCUCUCCUAUCUCGGGAUUUUGGGGUUGAUUCACUGGCAUCUGGAUUUGUUGAUCUACCAAUCGCACUAAAAUAUUUGUCAUUUGUUGUAUCGCCGUCGCUACUUGAUCUCCGGCCUCAACCCUCGGUCCCCGAUCUUGUUCAACUACUGUUUCUCUUUUUUCUCUCGGUUCUUGAACUUGCCUAACCCUACGGCCACGACUAGCUCCCCAACCACGACUACGUCUCCCCUCCAUACCCUUUUCUCUCUCUUUUUUUUUCAAAAGGUAAUUUAGUAUGUAACAAAGUAAAUUGACUAAAAUAACAAGAUAUAACACACCAAAUUCACAUAGCUACAUAUCAAGUUGAACAAAAACAAAAUCAAGUACAACAAAUACCAUACACGUAAGUAUCAACAUACCACAAGCCAAAUACAUACGGUAGCAAUGCAGAGGCAAAACAAAAGAAAACACGACAUGCCAUUCCAUACUCGGUUAAAAUAUUUUCCGUCCAAUCUCUCACUUCUAUUACUAUCCGAACUAGACAUCCGUAGAUCCCUUGCACUUGCUCUCACCAAACACUAGCCCAUUCCUGUUCCUCGAAAUGAAGAUUGCAAGUCCUUGGUAUUGCUCUCAACUCCCGCGUACGCAGGUACAAGAAUCCGAGAUAAUUCACCACUCGAGUUGGCCAGCCCCAAGAGUAAAUUAUCUACCAUUGAAAUUCCUACCUGACGUACAUAACUAUUAUCCACAAGUACCAUGAGAAAAAUUUAAGACCUAUAACACUUUAUGGUUCAUAACUUAUGCUCAAAAGAGCACUUAGUCCUUCAUAUUUAUUCAAGAAAUCAGGGCCAUAACACCACUUGACCCAAACUCACUCUGCGUAGAGACCACGCGAAGUGGCUCCGAUACCACUUGUGACGAUCCCACCUCCCCCUAGGACGUACCCCAAGAUUUAGUGGUCUGCCUGCCCAAUUCGCGCCAUGACUCACUCACUUACUUCAAAUAAAAGAUGUUACAACCUCAAGAGUAAAGAAAAUAACAGCACCCAAACUGGGAACACUUACAUACAUUUCUACCUCAAAGUAAUACAAACCCAAAUAUAACAAAGGUUCUCAAUCUCAAUACUUCCAACCCUAUGCAGGCAUUAGAGCGAGUACAAUUGCAAAAAUUUGAACUAGACUAUGCUAUUCUAUACAAAUCUCUCGCCUUUGCUCGCAUCCCCUGUAAGAAAAAUAAAACUAACGGAAUGAGCUAAAAGUCCAACGAGGUUCCGUACGCAAUAAUCAAAUCAAUUAGACAAGGACAUUAAUAAGAUACUAACAAGUCAUCCAGAAAAUAUUUACAAUAUAAGGUAAUAAUAACACAUUCAUUACAAGGAUACAUGCUCACGUGGAGCUCUUUGUUCAUUCAUUCCACCAAUCAUUUCCUUAUUCCUCCAUCAUUAAAAUAAUUUCGUUUAUAAAUGAAAACCUCUCCAUUGUUCUUGCCAUUCAUUCAUUCAUUCAUUUCAUUUUUUCCCUACUGGACAUUGGCCAGUCUCCACCCGACAACGUGGUAAUACUCAAGUAUACCAAACUUUCACCCAGGGUCACCAAAUCGCCCGAUCGAGUCCGCUUCUGGCUCGAAUCGACCGGCAACGAAGGUCAAGGGUCCAGUUCGGCCACAAGGCUUACAUUCAUGCACAACUAGCAUAUAAUCAAAUAAUUAUUCAAAAUUUCAUAUUUAUUUAGGUCGAGUGCGAUAAAGUACACACUCGCCUAGCAAAACUCAUUUUCAGCAAUCAUUGAAAGCAUUUAACAUUUAAUCAAACAUCCACAACAAGUCACAUAGUCAAUGGAAACAUAACGUACAAAGAACAUUCACCUAUUUAAAGAAAAUAACGUCCAAAGUAUCCUUCCGGAUAAUAUCCUCCAUCACCAAGGAACCCUAAUAAUAACCAAGAAAAAAUAUUACGGUUAAACCAUCCAAAGUUUAGGUGAAUCAAAGAAAAUCUGAAUAACUACUAAUACAAAGUAUAAAUAUGGUUUUGAAAGUGAAAAGAGUACAUUCAAACCAAAGGACAUGAGUAAAAUAUUUGUAAAACUUAUGCUCGCUAGUAAAACAUUGAAAUCUCCAUUUGAGUCAAAAUGACAAAGAAAAUGUAUUUCUAUUAGUCGUAAAUUUCAUUUUUUCAAGGGUACAAGUUUCGACCGAAUUCUAACUUAUAUACCUCGAUAAAAGAAGACGCAAAUAUUCUAGAUGUUCAAGUGGUAUUCGUUCUCAAAUCCUAACCUAGUUCUCGAGUGUAAAUUUGGGCAGCACGCCCUUUGUAUUUACCUAUUUUUUAGCCAUUUAUGGAUUCAUUAUUUUUUUCAAUCAAUCCCAAAGUCACACACAGAUAAUCUCAUUACAAUAGCCGUUCAAUAGGCUCAAAAAUCAUCCAAGUACAACACAAGUAUAAUAAUCCAAUCGAAAAUCAUGUUUUGAAGGCAAAAGCCUAAAUCGCAGAUUCGACAUCUUAUAACAUUUUAGUCAUAACUAGAGUUACGUUUAUCAGAUUGGCCUGAACUUUAUACCAAUUCGAAGCUAAGAUAAAGGGCUACAACUUUCAUGAAAACUACUCAAUCCAGUUCACAAUUGAUCUAGGUCAAAAGUACAAAUUACAGAACCAAAAUGUUCUUGUCAGUACAGUUGCCAGUACUGAAUUCAAAUGACAAUAACUCAGGUUACACAAUUCCGUUUGAGGUGUUUUCAGUCGCGUUGGAAGGCUGAAACAUAGGGCUAAAAGUUUCAUGUUUUGGCCAAAGGCCAAUUUGAUACGGAUCAAGGUGACAAAAUGCAGCCAGAAUGAGAAAAUGUCAAAACUAUCCACAAAACUAUACCUAUAGUAGUAAGGGUAAUUUUGUCAUUUCAUAUGUUACAGUACUUGGAUUGAACUGAAAUUUUACAAACAGCUAAAAUACAUCAUUUCCUAUAACUUUUAUGUUUUAACCUAAGGCUGAUUCGGCCUCCAUCAUGGCAGAAUGAGACUGGGCAGAACAGGGUAAUACAAAAUCGAAAAAUUGGAAUUCAUGCAUUCAAGUGCUAAUCUUUACAAUUCUAGCCUGAAAACACUGCUUCACCUCCUUAUCUAACCUUAUUCACAUCAUAUUCUAUCUAAACGAGAAGAAAUAUAGCUGAACAAUUCAAAACCCUAACUCACAAAUUCUCCAUAAUCAUCAAAACUACUUGCAUAGCUAUCAAUUAACCAAGAAUAUGAGUUGUAUAGCAACUUAACCAAGAUUAAGGGAACUAAAGAUGAUGGACAGCCAAUAUACCUCACUAUGAUGCUUGUAAGAGAUAUCCACCACCUCUCCUUGUAAAGUUUUAGCACACCAAUCUUCCCAAGUGCUCAAAGAAAGGAUUAAUCGGUUUAGUUUCUUGAUUUUUCACUCAAAUGAGCUAAACCCCAAAGAUGGAAUGAAGCUUUCUUCUCCCUUUUUUUUUCUCUUAGGUUCUGCCAAGAUAUGUCAAAAUGGAGGAAGAAUGAAGCUUCAAGAAGGUCAAGGUGAUAGAAAUGAGCUUGGGUCAAAGAUGGUUUGAUUGUCUCCAAGUGUCACUCCAAGAUCUUUUCUCAAAUUUUUUCUUUUCCUUUGGUUUUUAUGGUCAAUAAUUUCGGCCAACAAGAGCUGAUUAGGGCUGAUAUUUUGGCUCUAAUAACAAUGAGAUUAAGUUAAUGAAGUGGUGUGUUCAAUCGAUAGUAAACGAUACCCGUCGGUUCAAGCCGAUUUUCCGUAAAUCGCGUGUACUAGGGCUUUUACUUACAAUUCACUGACUUAUUAUUAUUACUUCUAAUCAUACACUUAAUAUUAUCUAAAACUCACUCUAAAUCACUAAAUUUGAUACACACUCCGUGCCGAAUAAUUACACUGUGAAAAGGCACAAAAACCCUAAUUUACGAUAAUUUGAAAACGAAAGGAAAAACCCAUGAUUUAUGUUUAUUUGCACUUAUUGUGGGGUAAAUGAGUAGUAAGGCUAUUCUAAAGUAAUAAAUUUCAAAUAAAAGGGAAUUUUAAGAAAAAAUAUAAGAAAAUUUUUCCAGUCGUCACAUACUAUGCCACUUAUCGCUUAUAUACAUAACGCAACCCUAAAACCUACCUCGUAUCUCAAAAGUUCCACACCUUAUCUCAAGUUUUUUUUUCUUUUUUUUCAUAUGGUAUAGAAGCCAAAUCCCUUUUCUCAAAAUCUCUAUGCUUAAUUCCAAACUCUCGGUCUCGGCACGAUAAUAAUCAAGUCAGGUCCAUACGUUGCCAUUGAUGGAUAUGUAUCAAGAAAUACAUGCAAGAGUAGUUUAUCAAGAACCAAACUACGGGUAUCAAAUAUCGCAAGAGGGGUAGAAAUACCUAUAUAGUUGCAGUUAAACUGUCUCAAAGACAAGUAAACACUUAUCAAACCCUCACAAUCAUAGGAAAAAAGAACAAGUCUUCAAUGCAAAUUUCCCGACAUUCACUAUAAUCUGGUCACUGUUUAUAGAAACCCUAAUCAGACUAUUACUAAAUUAAUCCAUGAUAACAUUUCUAGAUCCAAUCCCUCCGAUCAGUCCAAUUUACUAGGCAAAUGUUAGAAUCUUCAGCGUCUUAACCUUUGCCAUCAAAACUCAUCACAAGUGCAAUCAAGAUACCUACCCUUAUUCUAGUGCUCUCCACUAUUUGGUACUCAAGUACAAAAAUCCACAAUAAGAUAAUUUACAACUCAAGCCGGCCGGUCCCAAGAAUAAAUCAUCCAUAUUAGAGAUUUCUACCCGACAUACAUAUAUAUCUUCCUCAAAUACCGCGAUAAGGGAUUUACACUUACAACAGACACGAUUCAUAGCUUACGCCCAAAAAGAGCAAUUAGUCAUUUACACUUAUUCAUAUAAUCGGGACCAUAACACCAUUUGGCCCAAACUCACUCCGUGCAGAGACCACGCGAAGUGGUCUGAUACUACCUGUGAUAGCCCCACCUUCCCUUAGGACGUACCCCAAGGGUUAGCAAACUGCCUGCCCAACUCUCGCCAGAACUACGGAGUCAAAUCACUCAAAAAUCCUACAAAACGUGCAAAAGAACUGCAAAAAAAUGAACAAUCGGAAACGGAUCUAAACACAAUUAUCAAAUCAUACGAUACAAUAGGACUUCGAUUAAACGCUCCAACGAAAACGAAACGAGUGGAUGCCACGUCAGAAUCCGGCCAAAAAUUGGCCGGAUAUCCCGCCGGAUUAGCGGCUGAAUUCAAGGCAGUGAGCAAACUAAUUUUUUUUCAAUCUCCCCUGUCAAUCCGGCCAAGUAUCCGUCCAAGAAUUGGCCGGAUUGUCUGCGGUCAUUUCCCGCCAGAUUUCUUGUCUUCCUUGUUCAAUUUCCACACUCGCCCGAUUUUUCAACAGAUACAAGAAAAGUUCACAUUACCAAUAAAACGUACCAUCUCAACCAAAUACUAUUAAAAUCACAUGAGUAAACACUUAUAUAUAUAUAUAUAUAUAUAUAUAUAUAUACAUCGGAGGGUUUAACAGUUCAACUAGCAAUAUGAGUCGGAAUAUACACAAUUUGUCAAAGUACACUUAGGGUUUGCCAGUACAAAGGAGCUUAAUCAAAUUAAUGUCUACAUCUAGCUCUACUCUUUUCUUCAAAAUCACGAUUCCUAACAUUUUGAACCCAGUAAGGAAAACAAAGAUAACGGGAAGGAGUGAGCUUAUGAUCAAUGAGAUAACACAAGUACAAGCAGUCAAGAAUCAUGAAACUUCACUUUUAUUCAGGCAAAUAUACACAUCAAAUAAGGAAAUGAACAAACACUUCAAAUAGAAAGGAUACAGGUGGCUCUCAAGAGCCAAAUUUCCUUGUCUUCACCAGAGCUUGAUCAAGUAGUAGUUGACACUCCAUUAACUUUCAAAUAAAGUAACCAGUUCAGUAGAGCACCACUUUACACCAAAUUUUGUCCACCAAACAUACCCCUUACUUGGCCCGAAUGCCUCAACAGGAACAGGGAACUGAACACCUCGAGUAUACCGGAAAUUCAGAGUCUCCAAUACCUAAAGAUUCCCCAAAAACAGGCCCCAUGGAUUGUCAAUUUUCCUCGACCAAACCCUUGUUAGCUCGAUUCAAUUAACUACCCAUGAGAUUGAGCUCAGAUUUCACAGGCACAGGAAGGUCGUUGGAUGCAAACCUCCAAACAAUAUCAUAUCAGGCACAAGUAACAGAUUCAAGUUUACACAGUAAACAAGUCACACAGGUCAGAGAACGAGUGUGAUAAAGGACACUCUCGUCUCGUACAAAAUAAUCAGAUGGUACAGUCAUUCAAGUCACAAAUGGCAAGUACAGAUAAACUAUUUAAGCAACGAAUCAUGGGAGUGAUACAUUCACCAGUUUAAGCAAAGAUAAUUUCAAAAGUUCCACUCGAAGUACGCCCUGGAUCACCAAUACGUCCUAAAACAACCAAGAAAAACAAUUGAAACUCGAUUACGAAUCGUAUGUCUAUCCAAAUGAACUACAAAUGCAAGGAUACAAAGGUAUGAUUUCGGGGCGAAAAGGAAACAUGAGAACCUAGGGGCUCGAACGACCUAAAACCUUUCAUUUCUAUCCAUGAUUAACCCAAACUCAAAGGUAUCAAGUAGUCCUAAAAAUUGGAUAGCACUUCCCCUUAGAUUCCUUUUCUUUCCACCCUACAAUCCAUCACCAAUCUCAACUCAAAUCAACUACAAUUGCACACACAAUACAUAAGUUAGAAAGCACACCUAAUUAGGGCCACAAUACCCUUCAAUUUGAGCAAAUUGAUAGCUCCAAAAUCAAUCACAAUAAAACCCCAAAUUAAAACCCCAAUCUGAAACUUACUCCCAAAAUCUGAAAUUUUCUUUAAGCAAGUCCAUCUAACAUAAUACCCUAAUAUUUCACAUAAUAAAGCUAUCAAACCAUAGCCAAUCAUUACUCAUCACAUGAGGGCAGAAAAAUCACCAUAAAAACUGAAAAUUUCCGUGACACCACUUCAAACCAUCAUAUGUCUCAUAAAACUACCUAUUUUGCAACCCUAAAUCACAAGUAUUCUAAUAUUAAAAGUAGAGAGGGAUUUCUUGGCAAAGUUACCUAAUAACUUCAAGAAAGGUGAUAGCUUAGUACUUCCUCCUCCAAAAUCACUCCACCAACCCCUUGGAAUCUCCUUAGUUAGCACUUUUAUGGAGUAGUUUGCAAAGUUGAAGGUUGGAACACAAGAUUGAAGCAAGAAAUUGAAGAUGCAACAUGAAGUUUUCUCUAUUUGUUCCUCUCAAAGUGUUCAGCCAAGAUGGAUGAAAGAAUGAAGAAAUCUUGGUCAAAAUUGGUGUUUAGUAAAGGUAAGAAAGGUUGGUCAAAAUCCAACUUCGAAUAGUGUCGCGACACGUGGCACCUUUAAGGUUUGAUCUAAUCCUCUUGCUUUCCAAUGGUUAAUCUAUCUAGUUACCCUCUAAUUAUUUCCUAACACCUUGUAAAAAUAUCCCUUUAUGCAAAACUACACCUAGGCGUCAAAAUUUUAUCGCACUUAACGCACUAGCGGGUCUCACGUCCAAUAUACACUACUAGCGUCACAUGAACUAAUUUAUAUUAUAAAAAAUAAUUUAAACACUAUACUCACUUAUAAAAAUGUAUAGAAAAUUAAUAGGUUAAAGGAAAGUAUAAAAAAAUGUAGGCAAGGAAAUAAAAUAAUGUCUAAAAAAUAUGAAAAAUUUCGGGUGCUCACAGUUUUGACCUUAAAUUUUCUCUCGUGCAAGUUACUUGAGCUUCCUUAAAAUGACUGAAGUGGACAAAAUUUUCUAAAUUGACAUAGUUCGGUUUUGUGACUAACAAUUGUCAAUAGAUGAAUGGUCAAAACUAUAAUUAGAAAUGGCAAAUAGGUGGGAUGCGCGAGAUUUGGGUAGGAGUUAAAUGGGGCUGAAAAAUAUGGUCCUAUGCCCAAGCAGUCCCAAACAGGUCAUGAGACCAAUAUGGAAGGGAUUAAAAUACGUUUGACUCAUUUUGAUACUGCCCAAAUACCCAAUAUACUCUAUUUUACUUUUUUUCUCUGUAAACCUUUCUCUUUUUACUUAUAAAAAAAGACUAUACUUCUCUUUAUUCCUCAUGCAAUAAUUUUUCAAAAUAAAUAUUUUUUGUCAAAUUCCAUUUUAGUAGUUUCCUUGAAUUAUUGGACCCAAAAAAUUAAUAAAUAUAUUAAUUUUAUAGGACAAUAUAAGAAAAAUCUAAAUGAGGUGCUUUUGGUUACCAAUUCAAAAAAUUUUUUACUGCUACCUUUUUAAUGUUGUACGAACUAGACUUAUUUCUUUUUUAUUUUAGUCUCAAAGUAUUCUAUGAGGACUUGAAAAAUUAAUCCAUAUAGUCCAUACUUUUAUUUAGAAAAUUGAAUGUGUUAUAUUUACUUUAUUAUUGAUUGAUUUAUGUGUUUAAUUGCUUUCCUUAUAAUUUAAGUGCAUAAGAGUACUUUAAACUAUUGUACGAUCAACCUUUAGGAAAUUAAUAUUAGUUAGAAUAAGAAUUUAGUGGGGUAAUAACAUAAUAGUGUAGAAAUGCAUGGCUCUUGUAGGAUAAAACUUUCUUAUGCAUGCAAGACAACACUUGUUAAAUUCAUGGACACUUGGCAAAAAUGACAUGCAAAAAAAAUUGAAUAAGAAUAAAACUCAUUUUGAACUAACAUUUCUUGCCAUUCUUCCACCUUGAACCUAAUAGAGAGAGAGAGAGAGAGAGAUAGAAACUUGGCUUCCAUUUCUUUCUUUUACUCUCAAACCAAGAGGGAGUUGAGGGUGAAGGAGAGAAUACAUCCUCCUUGCUUCCAAACCUGCUAAGUUGAGGGAAGAAAAUAAAGAAAUUUUGGUUCAUUUCUAUACUUGAAAAUUGAGAGAGAGAAAGAGAAGCUGCAUGCUCAUUUCCAACUUUCAUUUGUGAGAAAAGAGGAGUCAAUAGUGAGCAAGAGGGUAAUCCUAAAACCGAAAUGUCAUUUUUCACUUAGGGAUACGAGAGCAAAAGAAGUCAAGAUUAGCGAUAGCUCGAACCUAAAGUCUUCAUUUUGUAUUUAUUGUAGACAAACUUGUACUAUGAGAAUUAGUGGAUAAAUUCUUACUUUAACUUUAUUGCUUUGAAUGUAAGUGUGAAUGUCAUGGUUGAAUGGAUGGAGUAAAUGUUAUUUUGGGAGUUUAUUGUAGUGAGUUCUGACGAGAGUCAGGCAGGCGGUCCUCUAAACCCUACAAUGCCUUAGGGUGAGGUGUGGUUGUCAUAUAUUCUACUUAUAGGACUAAGACUAAACAUUAGAGACAAAAUAAUAUCUCCAAAUAAUUUACUCACACUAGCAACAAUAAAAAAAACUCAAAAAUUCAUCACACUAAAAACUUAAGCAUCAGAGAGAGUCAACACAUGAUAUUCACAUCUAUGAUGAAAAACAAGUGAGAACAUAAUAUGCCAGCAUCUAUAACAAUGCGACGCCAGCUAGUUUUUUAAUUCCACUGGGUUUAACUUGUUCACACUGGUCCCAUGGAAGGAAGAAAAUUCAAUCUUCUAUAUUUUUUGGAAUUUUUUUGGUAAAGAAAAAUUUGUAUGUGUUGAACUCCUGUUACCACUGAAUCAAAACAUAUUUCUUAGACCAUGAGCUCUUUAUGAAAAUUCUUAUAAAUCGUUUAUCAAUAUAGUUUUUACAUUCACAGUAAACUCAUAGAUUGCCCAUAAAAUGCACGAAAACUCCAAUUUCUCAUAAGUCACAUUCUAUGAAUUGAAAAGGGAAGUCUUACUAAUCUAUUAGUUCCUAGUAGAUUGCUGCAUUUGACAAUUAUAAGAAAUGCUACAUAAAUUAAUCCAAAAAAACAUGAAUUUUAUAAAAUAUUCAAUCUCGAUAUAUUAAUUAUUCAAGACUUUGAGUUAUGAGACAAUCUUGAUAUAUAAAAUAUUCAAGAUUUUUUUCAUGUUAAUCCCUAAAUGAUAAACACAUAAACUAGUUUUUGGGACAAGAUAAUUAAACACUUUGCUUAUAUAGCUCUUAAAAUGGAAAUUAGAUUUUAUAAGCAAAAUUAAAUCCUUAAUAUGUCUAGCACAUGUUUUGCAACUAAGAACAACUAAUGACAAGAUCAUAGGUUAGCAGAUAUUGGAAGCAUAUAGCCUGCGCUUUCAAAAUGUUUGGAAAUUAUUUGAACCAUUUAUUCUUUUGGGUUGAGCUCCAAGGCAAUUUAAAAUUGUAGUUAGCACAAACCUCACAAUCAUAUGCAUAAUGUUAAUACCAACUAAGUGCACUUGGGAAAAAGGCGGGCCUUAAGGAUUGAUUGGCAAAAGAACAAGAGACUCUAUUCGAUCUUGCAAUUAAGAGAGAGGAGAAGAUCGAGACAAAGGGAUUUAGGUUCAAAUUUCUUCUACAACCUUGUGGCAGACUAGGGAGACAAUUGUAUACUGUUGUUGUACCUACAACCGUGGCAGUUGACCAGUUAAACUUUAACUGGUAGAAUCCUUUUGUCAGGACUGCAAUUUAAGAGAUAAAUUGGAGCCACAAUGCAUUCGUGCUGUCAUUGAGUUAAGAUGAAGUUCUAAUUUAUGAAAUUCGUUUGAACUAAUGGAAAGAACAUUCUUCUGGCACAGUAGAUUUGUCGGCAGGUCUCUUGCUAAGAGUUAGAGAUCACUGAAAAGAAAGGCAUCUUAUGUCACAUAUUGUUCCAUUACCUAUGUGUUUGUAGAAUCAACUGUGUUUGAGUAUUUAAUUGCAUAAAAACUUAUCUUGAUUGACGUUCCUUUUGCCAGCACAAGAAGGCAUUGCAUGUCCUAAGCAAUGCGCUCUUGAGUACGAGACUUUAACUUCCAAGCAAAUUAGACGGAUUCUCUUCUUCCACACAGCGAAGGACUAUUACUCGAUAACAACAGUAACAAAACAAAGAAGAAGAACUUCUUUUGGCUUAAUUGGGCAAUUCUUCUCUUCGGAUUGUUUUGCAGUGGCAGACAAACAUGUAUAGCAUAUAUAAAGACCAUAGCAAAUAUUUAUACAAAAAUUCUGCUAUGAUUCCUGCCCUUUCUGUUGUCCUAACAUAUUUAAGAAACUUCUUCAUGGCCAAAUUGUAAAUGAACAAUUAGGUUGCAAAAUCUUACAUAUGCUUUUAUCUACUUUGUUGGCCUAGAUUAAGGAGUUUCGUGGGUGUAUGACUUGGACAUCUCGAGAAUUUUGAAAUAUCUAACAUGUUUUUCAUUAUUUUGUUGAUAAUGAUAUACUUAUUGGUAAUAAUGAAGGAUAAUAAACAACUAUUGCAGUUGAACAAAUGGUUAACUAUUGUAGCAUGAAACAGUCAUUUAAGUUGAUUGUUGAGUAUGAAUAUGCAUGACUUUAUUUUGUACUACUAUGGGAGCACGUGCAUUGAACGUUAUCAAUGUUUGUUCUCAUGAUGUAUACCAUAAUCAGCAUAUACCUAAAAUUAAUUACAAGAAUAGAUGUUCUAACUAUUUAAAGUGUUGUAGUGCUAUCAAUCUACUUCUUUGAUAAAAAAAAUUGCACAUCACUCAUGAUUUUUUAGAAGCAAUAGAGAAGUAAAUUAAAAAAGAAAGGAAAAUUACAAAAAAAAAAAAGAUAAUUACUUUCCUUCAAAUUCUAAAAUAAGCAAACUCCAAAAUAGUUAUCCUGGAUUGGUUGAAGAAUUGCUUUUGUUAAGCUAGAUUGUUUAUUAGUUUGAGUGCACUUGGGUUGCACAUUGUACACACACACGCGCGCGCACACACACAUGUAUAUAUACAUAUCUUUUUCUAAGAAAUGAUGUACAACCUAUGGGUGUAUUGGGCUUUUGGAUUUUUUCUAGUCUUCUUCAAAAAUUUGUGAUGUGCAACCUAUGGGUGUAUUGGGCUUUUGGAUUUUUUCUUAUCUUCUUAAAAAAAAUUUGUCCAUUUUCACUUUCAUUGCUAUGAAAAUUUUUUUCUCAUUAUUUUUCUUUUUCCUUGGUAGCGAAUCUAAGCAUAAAUUUAAGCUGGGUUUUGACUUAUAUUUGUGGAUUUUGAUUAAAGUGUUUGUCUUUGUUCAACUCAAUAAUUUUUAAUUAACCAAGAUUGUUUAGUGAUCCUUCAUUGUUGUUAAUUGAUCUUUCUCAACGAGGACAAGGUUCUUUAGUUGAUUUCUUUACAAUUAUUUUCCCUUGCUCUUUUCUUGGGUUAAUGUCAUUUUUACUUGUUAGAACUUGGUCUAUUCUUGUGACAGUUCCUUAUCAUGGAAUAACAGGUAUCUGCAGGAUAAGGGUGGAGUUGCCUGAUGCCUAUCCAUACAAAUCUCCUUGAAUUAGUUUUGUAAAACUAGAUUUACCAUCCAAAUGUUGAUGAAAGGUGAGUUUGAAGAUGUUGUUGCUUUGUUCAAGUUGUUCAACACUGUUUGAGAUUCCAAUGUCAAUUAUUUAGUGCAGCUUUGUCAUAUAAGCUUGCGGAUUCUAGGAAUACUCUCUAGUUUUCUCUAUGCUACACUGAAAUAUGACUUUUUGAAUACGUUGCCUAAAGUUACAAAUCAAGAUCAUACACUAAAAUACUACAAUUUAGCUCUCUUAUGCUAGAAAAUUUUGUUUAAAGUACUCCAUAUUGGUGCUAACAUAUUAAAGUAUGUCACGUCUUCACUCCUUUACUCUGAUAGCUAGUUUGGAUGGAAAGAUUUGAAUAGAAAAAAUAAGAAAGGAAGGAAAAGUUGACUUGUCAGAUGUUUGGGCGAUUUUCAGGAGAUAAAAAAGAAGGGAAGGGAAGGGAAUGGAUUUAGAAUGAUAAAACUUGUGCUACAGUUUAAAAAAAAUUCCAACCAAAUUCAGGUGGAAAACAAAAGAAACUCGUUGAAAGCCUACAAAAAUUUUUUAAAUACCCAUCUUGCCAUUAAUUAGCUAUUACAUGAAUUUGUAUUGACUUAUAUGUCCAAAAUCAUUCCACUUCUUUUCAAAACUCCCAAAUAACAUUAGAAUCACUUCAUUUCUCUUUGUUUUCUUUCUUUUCUCUCAUAAUUUAAGUUUUCUUAUCCUUUCCUUUUUGCCCUAACGUCACAAACUGGCUAUUUAAUCUCUUAAUUUUAGCAACCAGUGUGUUCAUUAGCCAACGCUCUAAUUAAAAUAAAUAGUAAAGAAACAAAAAAUAAUAAUAAAUUCUAUUAGUCUUUAUCUUGUUUCUCUAAUAGAAUGUAGGAUCUUACAAUGAUUUUCAUAAGAACUUUUUAGCUUUAUGACUUUAUCUCUUCCAACAUAUUGACGAAUACGACACAAUUAAAAAGUUUAUAGUGUAUUAUUAUAAAAUGUAUAAGUUAUCAAAUCUUUGAAGUGAGAUAUAAUAAAAGUAUAAUCUCCAGGAAAAUUUUCUAAAGUUUAUCAAUUAUUAUAUUUUCUACAUAAUAUGUUAUUGUAGUGUAAAAAAUUGCACGUACGCAUAAUGCACGCUAUAUCUGUGAGAUAAUUAAGUUGUUAAAAUAAAUUCUUUGAAAACAAUUAUAUAUUUGAUACCUUCACAAGUUAUAUUUAAUCAUGCCAUAGUGGAAAUAAUAGAAAGAAAAAAAUGAAAAGAUGGAAAGAUAAAUUCUUGGACAACUGAACGGCUUAUACCACACAAAAAAAGGUAAAAAAUUAAAAAUAGCGCAUUCUACAAGUUCAACUAUUUUGCCAUACCCACUUAUAACAUGGUUCUCCCUUUUGCACAAAACAUGUUUACCAUUGAUUUUGAACUUUUAAAUUGCUCCUCUACUUAACCCACAAUGAGACACAAAAGAAUCAUUUUAUUUUUGGUAGACAACAUCUUUAAUGAUAAAUACAAACUGCCCAUCAUAUUCAAUCAAAUAAUCACUCCUACAUUCUUCCAUAUGAUGACCAUGUUGUGUGAGUAAAUUCCAAGGUUGGUUAGCAAUUGCAUAACUUUCCUAAGUCUCUCCAAAAAAAAGAGAGAGUACACAAUCUAGAGAGUUAAGGGUUUGUUACAAUGUAGCGACGUCUAAUUAGUAACAUUCCAUGAGGGUAACAAAAUAAAAAAAAUUAAAAUUUGGUUAUAUAUGAAAAACAAGGUCUAAUUCUGAAAGAUUUUGGCAAAUUGCAACUUGCCAUGUUUUAAAGCAUAGGGUUCUACACCCUAGCAAGAUUUAUUUUUUAUUUUCAACUGGUGUUUAUUACACAGUAGGGUUUUCUAGAAUAAUGGUCAUAUGGUUUGGUUAAGAGUUUAAUUUGGACAAACCACUUUACCAACCUAUAAGAGAAUGUCCAUGGUAGAAGAUCUUCUAUAAGUGGAAUUCCCUUAAGAUUUGCUUGAUAAUCUUUUGUCAACUAUACUUUCUUGGAUGAUUUUCUUAUCAUCUCUAGAACUAUAUGUAGACAAUGAAAUUUUAAUUAAAUUCUAAAAAUUACCAUUGGUCUAUAAAAUAUUUUUGUCCAAUCGGAUAUUGUCAUAUGGCACGUACACUUGGAAAAAUUGGUUAUUAAAUGACCAAUUAUAUUUUGCCACGUGUCAAGGCGAGGUGUUCCAGAUCAAUUCAAAUUGCAGGGAUAUCUCCACCAAUCAGAUUAUAUCAUGUCACAUGUCCAUUGGAUAAAUAUCUAAAUAUUUAUUCCGUAUAAAAGAGAUAAUAUUUAGAGUUAUUUAAUCCAAGUAUAUCUCUUAUAUACUGCAAUAGUUUGGCCAAUCAAACGGCGCCAUGUCACGUGUCCCCACGAGUUUGGCCAAUCGAUAAAUUUCUUAUCUCUUUAUUAAUAAAUAUAAAAUGAAAAGAUAAUAUUUGACUGGUACAGUCCUAAUAUGACUGCACGUCUUGCAAGACAAGUAAAGUGGUACACAGGUUCUCAACCUCCACCUCUUGCUACACCUAUAAAUAGAGGUCUCUUAACCAAAUCAAACACACAGACAGAGACACAGAGAUAUCAAGAAGCAUCUCAUACACUCAAGUAUUGAAGCUUCAAGCUACGAAGGUCUGGGUCUCAAAGCUCCUCAAGUCUUCCGCAUAUCAAGGCUUGAGCCUUCAAGUAUUUUCAAAUCCUUCAAAUCUUCCAUAUCAAGAUUUGAAGGAGUCGGUGGUUGAUCCAAGAACAAGCUGCGAAACCCUUGGAUUGGUGUUCGAGGAGAAGAAUCGAAGGAAGCUCUCCAUAAGUUCGAGAAACUUCCAGAGAUUGUACCUACAUAUUUUUGCUAAGUUUAUAUAGUACAUAUUUGUCGUGUAUUUCUUUUUCUUGUCGUUUUGUAGAUUUGAAAUUUUUAUCGCGUACAAAUUUUUGGCAUGCCCGGUGGGACCAUCUCUGCCUUCCAUCUCUCCUUCUCGAAUAUUUGACUACGUAUAUCACCAAUGGCACCAAAGAGCGACAAAAUCAUGAUUGCACCUUCCAAGGCUAUUGAUGCUAAGCCUGUUCAAGAAGCUGCACAUGUCGCUACCAAUACCCGUGCUGUUGGUCCUGUGACAAGGAGCAUGACGAGAGCCUCCACCCAAAGUAGCAUGGAACCAUCGGCGCCAACUCCCGUCUUCGGGCCAAUAUCACAAAUGAGCUAUUCCUCCACGAUAGGGGUCCAAAACGUUUUCACCUCGAUUAAGAAGGCUCUUGCCAUGCUCGAAAUUGGAUCCGAACCCAAAUUUUAUAAGCAUGACGAUGAUUCAUCAAGCACUGGAUCAGCCUCUUCACAUGAAACUCUUCAUUCAAGAUUUUGUAUUGAAGAUUCUGCUGCUUCUUCUGCUGCAAUGCCUGCUAUGAUGACAAAUACUUUGAGUCUCGAAGAACAAGUUUCGAACAUGUCCAAGAUGAUGGAAACCAUGAUGAAACACAUCAAGGACCAAGAUGCUCUUAUCGCUCAACUGCUCACCCAAAAGGACCACGCUCCUGAGGGAAGCCAUAUGAAUUCUAAGGAGAACCAAGAGCGUGAAAAUCUCUCAUCUAAAGGUAAAGACAAGGUGAAAGAAGUACACGUGACCGCCGAGGGAACUAUCCCCGUAGAACAGUUGAAGGAACUUGUUGAAGGCGUGAUCAAGGACAAAAAUGGGGGUAGUUCAAGAUCGAGUUUUACCUACUCCAAACCCUACACUGCUAGAAUUGACAAUCUAGCAAUGCCUGCUGGAUAUCAACCGCCUAAGUUUCAACAGUUCGAUGGGAAAGGCAGUCCAAAACAACAUGUGGCACAUUUUGUCAAAACCUGCAAUAACGCUGGAACCUAUGGUGACCUGCUAGUCAAACAAUUCGUCCGAUCCUUAAAGGGCAACGCGUUUGAUUGGUACACUGAUCUCACUUCGGGGUCCAUCGACAGUUGGGAACAGUUGGAACAAGAGUUCUUGAAUCGCUUCUACAGCACUAGAAGAACCGUCAGUAUGCUGGAGUUGACUAACACUCGUCAAUGGAAGGAUGAACCUGUGGACAACUACAUUGAUAGGUGGAGAAGUCUGAGUCUCAACUGCAAGGACAGGCUGUCUGAACCCUCUGCCAUAGAAAUGUGUAUUCGAGGAAUGCAUUGGAGCCUAAGUUACAUUUUGCAGGGUAUACGCCCAAACACAUUUGAAGAAUUAGCUAUUCGUGCUCAUGAUAUGGAGUUAAGCAUCACGGCCAAUGCAACUGAUGGACUUCCUAUUCAAAUUCCGCGGGUACAGUCACCUCGACAAAACAAUGAAAGACAAGAAAAUAGAAAAGGGUGCAAGCCUCCUUCAAGAUUCAAUAAUAAGGAAUCCAUGGCAAUAAAUACAGCUCCCAUGAAGAUUGCUACCAAAGUAAGUCGAAAAGUCACCGAAAGAGUAGACUCUCCUCAAAAUAGGUCGGUAAGAAGACCUACUCUAAAAGAAAUGCAAGAGAAGGAGUACCCCUUCCUCGAAUCCGAUUUACAAGGAAUGUUUGAUGAUCUUUUCAAGGAGAAACUCCUUGAACUUCCCGACAUGAAGCGCCCAGAGGAAGUUGGUCAAGUCAAUGAUCCAAAUUAUUGCUGUUAUCAUCGCUUGAUUGGCCACCCUCUCACUAAAUGCUUUGUCUUUAAAGAUAAAAUUAUGGAAUUGGCCCGUCAAGGAAAAAUCCUUCUUGAGGAGGAUAAAGCGUCAGCAAACCAAACAACAAUAAUAUUUGGAUUAGUGUGUUGCCCGAUAGAAGUUCUACCCACAUCAAGCAGUGCUCUGUCUGUACAAACGGAGUUUGAAAAAUCGUCAAUUGAAGAUGUUGUCGAAGAUGAUAAUGAAGGAUGGACUUUAGUCACUCGAAAGAGAACUUGCAAGCCAAAAAUAAAGUACAUCUUUUCGAAAAGCAUCCAUUCGACAAAGCCAAAAGUAACGAUGAAACGACAAAAUGCAACCAGAAAAUAAAAGAGAGUGGCCAUAAAACCAAUUCUUUCAGAUUUUCAGCAGGUUCGGCAGCCCGUGACACUGAGAGAAUUUAUGCCCAAGGGGUAUUUAAGUGACGAUACCGAUGAUUUCACUUCUUGUAAUGUCGUCAAAACUGAAAAUCCUCAAAUCACACAAAUUGGCACUGAAUUUGAGGAAAAACUCAAAGUCGACGAUAAAUCACCGGUGGAUUGUGCAGCGACCAUCAUUUUUGAUGAUGAUGAUUUAACUGUUGAGUUCAAGACCCACAAUCGACCUUUGUUUGUUAGUGCAUAUGUUCGAGAACAAAAGAUGAGUCGGGUACUCAUUGAUAGGGGAUCUGCUGUCAAUAUCAUGUCCGUACGUGCUAUGAAAGAGUUAGGAAUCUCAAGUGAUGAACUCUCCCAGAGCCGCCUCAUGAUCCAAGGAUUUAAUCAAGGGGGGCAAAGAGCAAUUGGCCUCAUAAGGCUUGAAUUGCUCAUUGGUGAGCUGUCUUCAAGUGCGUUAUUUCAUAUCAUUGAAACCAAAACCUCUUAUAACAUGCUUUUGGGAAGGCCCUGGAUUCACGAGAAUGAAAUUAUACCAUCUACUCUGCAUCAAUGUUUCAAAUAUUGUCGAGACGGUAUUGUUAAGAAAGUUACUGCCGACGACAAACCUUUCACGGAAGCCGAAACUCACUUUGCCGAUGCCAAAUUUUAUCUUCACAAAGAAGCAAAAAGAAAGGAAUCAGUAAGGGAAGAAAGUCAAGAUUCCAAAGUACCCAUUUUGCGGUAUACUCCAAAAUCAAAGAGAGAAGAAGGCCAGUCUUCUUUUAUUAGAAAUGACACAUUAAAUGUUCCGCUCACCAAGAUAGAGCCUGUUAAAAUUGAGAAGGUGAGCUUGCAAGGGUUUGUUCCUCCCAAAGAAGAACCGGCAGUGGAACAUUACCCGCUACCAACUAAUCGGACUCAAGAAGGUUUUGAUCCAAACGCCUAUAGACUUCUUGCUAAGGCGGGUUAUAACCCAAAUGAGAAGAAUACAUUGGGCAAACUCCCUCCUGAAGUGACUGGCGAGAGGACUCACGGAUUGACACCUACGCAGAAAAUGUUGAAAGAAAGGGGCUAUAAUGUUGAAAGUUCAUCGAUGGGUCUUGGUUCUCAACCGCCCUCUCCUGUUCGUAUAAUGAUCAAAAUAGCGAGUUGUAACUAUGUGAACGAAGAAAUGGAGGUCACAAGCCGAAAGAGAUCUGUGUUCGACCGAUUGGAAAAUAAGUCAAAACGUACUUCUGUGUUUGACAGACUUGGCCCGCAGCCGAAAAAUCUGAAGUCGCCCGUCCAUGAGAGAUUAGGCAGUAAGAAACAAGAGUACCAAGUUGCCAGGGAAGAAAGUCUUACUCCAAUAAAGAAGAACAGACCAAGAAAGCGAGUCUCCAAUUUCUUCAUGCACUAUGGAGAUUUAUUCAAUGUAAGAAUUGAAACUAUUUUUGAAGAACAGGGUCAAGAAAGUACGGCUUCCUGUCACCAUAUUACGAUCAGUGACCUUGAAGAAGAAGGAGAAGAUGCAGAUGACGCUCUCGCUGAACUUGAACAAGGGGUAAAAAAUACGGUCGAUGAACUAAAGGAGAUUAACCUUGGCACAAGCGACGAUCCUCGCUCAAUUUACAUAAGCUCUUGUAUGACUCCUGAAGAAGAAAAAGAGUAUGUUGAUUUGCUGCUCGAGUUCAGGGACGUCUUUGCCUGGAAUUACUCAGACAUGCCUGGUUUGGAUCCAAGGGUCGCCGUUCAUAAUUUGUCCGUCAAGCGAGGAACAAAAUCUGUCAAGCAAACGCAAAGGCGCUUUCGGCCCGAAUUGAUUCCUUUGAUAGAAAAUGAGAUAAAUCGAUUGAUUGAAGCCGGAUUCAUACGAGAAGUAAAAUAUCCAACAUGGAUUUCAAGCAUUGUCCCUGUGAGGAAGAAGAAUGGGAAAAUCCGAAUUUGUGUUGAUUUUCGAGACUUAAAUGAGGCUUGUCCCAAAGAUGAUUUUCCGCUCCCCAUCACGGAAUUGACGGUAGAUGCUACGACCGGGCACGAAGCGCUAUCUUUUCUCGAUGGAUCGUCUGGCUACAAUCAAAUACAUAUGGCGUCCGAGGAUGAGGAGCUCACUGCCUUCCGCACCCCCAAGGGAAUUUAUUGCUAUAAAGUGAUGCCGUUUGGCUUGAAGAACGCUGGAGCGACAUAUCAAAGGGCAAUGCAAAGAAUUUUUGAUGAUAUGCUCCAUAAGAAUGUGCAGUGCUACGUCGACGACCUUGUGGUGAAAUCAAAGAAGCGAGAGGAUCAUAUUCAAGACCUUCGAAGAGUUUUUCAACGCCUUCGAAGAUACCAACUGAAGAUGAAUCCUUUAAAAUGCGCAUUCGGAGUUACUUCUGACAAAUUUCUCGGUUUCAUCGUUCAUCAACGGGGAAUAGAGGUCGAUCGAUUUAAAAUCGAUGCCAUCGUGAACAUGCCUGAACCGUGAAAUAUUCAUGAAUUGAAGAGCUUUCAAGGGAAGUUGGCAUAUAUCCGGAGGUUUAUCUCUAAUUUGACCGGGCGAUGCCAACCCUUCAGUCGACUGAUGAAGAAAGGGGUACCCUUCGAGUGGGAUGAAUCGUGUAGGAAUGCCUUUACAAGCAUCAAAACGUAUCUCAUGAGUCCUCCAGUUUUGGUUGCACCCAUCCCAGGAAAACCAUUGAUUCUUUAUAUUUCCGCCCAAGAACGGUCGGUUGGGGCCUUACUUGCUCAAGAAAAUGAUGAAGGGAAGGAGCAUGCGCUGUAUUAAUUGAGUCGGAUGAUGACACCUAAUGAGUUGAAUUACUCACCCAUCGAGAAGUUGUGCUUGGCACUUAUAUUUGUCAUUCAGAAAUUAAAACAUUAUUUUCAAGCACACACUAUUCGACUCAUAUCUAAGUCUAAUCCCAUUAAAUAUGUGAUGGCAAAACUUGUACUGUCUGAUCGGCUCGCGAGAUGGUACCUCCAGUUUCAGCAAUUUGAAAUUAUUUAUGUACCUGCGAAGGCUGUCAAAGGACAAAUAUUGACAGACUUUUUAGCCGAUCAUCCCAUACUUGCCGAGUGGGAGUUGACUGAUGAACUGCCCGAUGAAGAGGUAUUUAUGGUCGAAUCCCCGUGAUCAAUGUAUUUUGAUGGAGCUGCUCACCGUGAUGGAGCUGGUGCGGGAGUUGUCUUUUAUACUCCUGAAGCAGAUGUGUUGCCGUACUCCUUCACUUUAACACGCCGGUGUUCAAACAAUGUGGCCAAAUAUCAGGCGUUGAUUCUUGGUCUUGAAACGGCUGUAGAUAUGAAGCAGUUGCAUCUUAGGGUCUAUGGUGACUCAAAAUUGGUGGUAAAUCAACUUCUUGGUAUUUAUGAUGUCAAGAAACCUGAAUUUAUCCCAUAUUAUAAGUAUGCAAGACGACUCAUGGGAUAUUUGGAUAGUGUCACUAUAGAACAUAUCCCUAGAAAUUUUAACCAACAAACUGACUCUUUGGCAAGAGUAGCGUCCAUGAUCACUCUACCUUCUCAUCGAAAUCAGAUUUCAAUAUGUCAAAAUUGAGUCAUACCUCCGAUGUUUGAUGAAAGUAAUGAUAGUGAAGAAGAAAAUACUUAUCAUAUUUUUGUUCAUGAGAUCGAAAAGGAGGAUUGGCGUCACCUCAUCAUUGAUUAUCUUAAUCAUGGAAAGUUACCAGAAGAUCCUAAGAAAAGGGUUGAUAUACGUCGUCGAGCACCACGUUUCAUUUACUACAAAGGGACGCUUUACCGAAGGUCAUUCGAUGGGGUGUUUCUACGAUGUCUUGGAGAAGAUGAGGCCAUGCAAGCAAUGGAGGAGGCUCACUCGGGGAUAUGCGGUGCUCACCAGUCUGGCCCGAAAUUACACUUUCGUAUUAAAAGAAUGGGAUACUACUGGCAAACAAUGGUAAAGGAUUGCAUUGACUUUGCUAGAAGAUGUCAAGCAUGUCAAUUUCAUGGCAAUUUCAUCCAUCAGCCCCCUGAACCAUUGCACCCAACUGUGGCUUCUUGGCCGUUCGAUGCUUGGGGUUUGGAUAUAGUUGGACCACUUCCAAAAUCUUCUGGCGGACAUGUUUUUAUUUUGGCGGCGACGGAUUACUUUUCAAAGUGGGCUGAAGCGAUUCCUCUAAGAGAGGUCAAAAAGGAGAAUGUAGUGGAUUUCAUUCGCUUGCACGUCAUUUAUCGGUAUGGAGUCCCGCGUUAUAUCAUUACCGAUAAUGGUAAGCCUUUUUGCAAUGUAGCAAUGAAUAAACUUUGCGAGAAGUUUCAUUUCAAACAAUACAAUUCGUCCAUGUACUACGCUGCUGCAAAUGGACUCGCUGAAGCAUUCAACAAGACCUUAUGUAAUCUGUUGAAGAAAGUCGUGAAUAAAUCGAGAAGGGAUUGGCAUUUUCGAAUUGGAGAAGCACUUUGGGCAUACCGAACUACUUUUCGAACUCCCACGCAAGCGACCCCAUACGCGCUUGUUUAUGGUGUUGAAGCUGUUCUUCCACUUGAGUGUCAAAUACCUUCGCUAAAAAUUGCGAUUCAAGAAGGGCUCAGUGGAGAAGAUAAUGUCCGUCUUCGCCUUGAGGAGUUAGAAGCACUCGACGAAAAGAGAUUGGAAACCCAGCAACGGAUUGAGUGCUAUCAGGCCCGUCUUUCAAAAGCAUUCAAUAGGCAUGUCCGGCCACGCUCUUUUCAAAUUGGAGAGUUAGUAAUCGCUGUUCGGAGACCGAUCAUUCUCACUCAUGGAGGACAAAGAAAGUUCACUGCUAAGUGGGAUGGUCCAUAUGUCGUUCGAGAAGUAUAUACAAAUGGCUCAUACAAGUUGGUUGCUGAAGAUGGAUUAAGGGUUGGCCCCAUCAAUGGCAAAUACCUAAAAAGGUAUUAUGCGUAAUCGAAACCACGAGAAGCUCCUGGCCCGCAUGAGCUAAAACUGUGGAUGGCAACCACCAAUAGUGUAGCAUGUGGUUAAUCUGCUGAAACACUCCACCAAGUCUAAGGUGGUAAACAAAUAGAUACUCCUGGCCCGCAUGAGGUUAAAAUGUGAAAGGCAGGAACUACGUGUGAUUUGAUUCCCCUUGUUGGGAUACGUAGGCAGUUUGGAGGGCAACUUCUAAGUUCAGUUACACCACUUUAAAUCAAAUCCUUGUUCUUUGUAAAAAAAAAAAAAUUUUUUCUCUUUCAAAAAAAAAUAUAUAAAAAAAUAAUAAUAAUAAUAAAAUGCUCCAUUGAGUUCUUUUCUCUUAAAAAAAAAUAAGAGAUAAGAAAUUAAAAGCGUUCUAUUAUUAAAAAGAAAAAAAAAUUCAUUACAUAGAAAAAAUGAGUGGUUCAAGGAAAAGAAGAACAUGGUGGAAAGCCUAAAUAUCAAAUUUGUAUUCCACUACAGCUACUUUAUAUGAUUCAAGUGCAGACUUCUUGUCCUCAAGUUCCUUCACAGCAUCAUCAGUCAAGAUGCUAGUAUUUUCAAUGGAAGAUAGCUCAUCAUGCGCUUGGGUUAUUUCGGCUUGGAUUUCUUUGAAAUUCGCAUGCUUUUGAUCGAUAGUUGAGGUGAUUUCCAAGUUUUGUUUCUCCAAACUGAUGAGUUCCUGUUGUAAAAUCUUCUUCCUGGCUUCAAUGGAUUGCAACUCUUCUUCAAAACGUUGCAAAUGACAAGUUAGCUCUUCUCCCUUUGCCUUAACUUUCUCGAGUUGGACGGUCGCUUUGGAAAGGAGUUCUGCAUGUGUUUCUUUGCUCAUCCUUUCCCACGAUGAAGAUGCUAGAACAUCAUAAGCCUCUGCCUUGGCAAACAAUUCCAUCAAGUGGUCUUUUAAAGGGAGACCAUUGGCGGGAUCCGUUCUUGUGAUUUCUACAAUGAUUUCCUCUGCACACUCUUUUAAAGAAGAGAUCUGCUCAAUUGGAGUAUCAAGAAUCUGUCCGCGGAAAUCCAUCCACAAACUCUGCAAGUACUUUCUUCGAUGUGCCUGGAUCAACUUUUGGCCAUGAAAUUCCGAAACCAGUGCUACCUUAGGUUUUUUUCGAAUUUCGUGUGAACUAGUCAGCUCCUUCUUAUGCAUUGACGAAGUACCUCCACUGGGGGCAAGUUGUCUUGGAGUACUGAUAGCUACUUCGUCACUCUUGUUGUUUGAGAUUAUAUCAUCAGUUUCGAGUUCGGGUGAUGAAUUGUUACCAACACCUUCUUGACGGAAUUCAAGAAACGGGGGCUGAAAAGGAAAAAGUUAAAAAAAAAAUUUUUAAAAGGAAAAAGAUGGAGAGAUGAUUACCUUAAGUGGCGACACUCCAACCAACGGUGGUGUAAAGGAAAUCUCCUCCAAAUCAGAAGAUGUCCUCAUCUUCGAUCGGUUCCAAUGACGAUCUUGACUACUACUACCGCUCGCCAAUGAAUGGACCCCUUCUUGGGUAGAUCCGAUGUCCUGAACUUGAUUUCCUUCCUUUUCUAUAGCCUCGAUAGAAUCACGAUCGUCCACCGUUUCAAUUUCGAUAUCUUGUUCAGUACGAGUUGCCGAUAAGGAUUUCGAAACUUUGGGCGGCGUCUUUUUCGCUGGAACCGCUGGUUGCGCCUCUUUGAUGGCCUGCCGAGAGUCCUUGGAAGACUUAUUUUUUGCAGCAAUAUUUUUCGAGGGACUGCUAGUAGUUUUGUUCUUUCGCAGGGUGGAUGAGGCAAGACCCGUUACAAUCUUUAUAGCUCCAUUAUGAUGCACUGACUCGUUAGCGGAGGUAAUCUUACCCUUUUUCGAUGAUUGCUGAGGGAUCUUAACGGUGAAUUUAAAGGAAAUUGAAGAGACACUAUUUGACCGAGUCGACCACCAGGCGUCAUAGUCUUUUGUGAUCAAUGGAUGCUUCCUAUGCGCUGGUAUAGUCAUCCGAGAUCGCGUCUGUGUGCGAACUGAAGAAUCCCAUAGUUGAAUAGCCUCGCCCAAAGUGUAAGUAUGAGUGAUUUCUUUCAAGUUGUUGGGAAUGUCUUGACAAAAGCCGAAUUGUCUGCUAAACCUGCAAGGAUUAUAUUUUUCAAUAAUAAAAGUAUUGUCCUUACGUAGAGUUAAAUGGCAAGAGCGUUGACUAAUGAAAUAGCUCGUGAGUCUUGAUGAUAAGGAUCCGUCAUCGAUCAACGCCUUUUCUUCAUUCUCAGUCCAGCACAAUUUAGGGAGCAUCAAAGGAUUCACUUCUUUGAAAAUUUCCUCAUCUUCCAAUUGACCAUAAAAUAUUGUCAUUUUCUUACCACUAAAUCUCGUCAUGCGCGCGUGGUGGCUACUCACUUGAUUAUUCUCGUGAUAUACGUCAAAGUAUUGGCCAAUCCAAGCAUAGACGUAAUGGAUUGGAAAAGCUACCCCGCAUUCUCCAAGGUUAGGGGCGUAGACGAUCUCCCUCAACCCAUGAUAUAUGCUCGCAAGGACGGGAAUUGCAAGACAAAAUCUUUUCCCUGUAGCCAUUAAGCAUGCAACUUUAAAGACACUUGGGCGAAUGCGAUCGAUCUUUUUGCUUGGCAAAAGAAACUUGCAAAUCCAGCACGCUAUGAAUGCCGCAAUAUAGGUUUCCUUUCUUAAAUAUCCUGGAAUGUCCAGUGUGUCGAAAGGGACGUUGAAGUCCUUCGUAUCAGCAAGGUCGUAAGUCUCCACGCUUCCAGAAGGGUUGUAAGUCAUUUUUGGUUUAGAUGUGGUUUUCCUUCUAUUCGCUCUACUCGGAGGAGCACUAUACCUAGUCUCUCCUUUGAACCAGAAGCGAAUCCAGUCUUUCAUCCAUACCCCUUGGUCGUUCGUCCAAAGGUGGUAGUAGGCAGAAAAGAGGUGCCUGCAGCUCUCGGGGAGAAGUGGCUUCCCUUCUUUGUCACGAGUGAGGAGCUCCCGCGCCGAAGGAACAACUUCAUCGAAAAACGCGCCGUCAAUCGAAAGGCCACCAAGUCGAUAAAGGUCCCAAAGUGUGAUGGACAACUCCCCAAAGGGCGUAUGGAGCGUGUUCGUCGAGGGACACCAAUAUUUGAAGAAGGCCCGCAAGAUAUUUUCACAGCGAUCGUAGGAGUAUCUCGACGCGUAGACGGCUUCAAAUAUACCAGCACGUGUGAGUAUGUCUUUAUACCUUCCAAGCAUGUCCUCAACCCACUCCCAAUAAUGGGAGGUGAAACACGCCUCACCGAAGAAGGACGAAGGGAUUUUUCAUGUAGCUUUGUCAACAUUGAAUCCCACGAACGGAAGUGUGAACUUGGCUAUUUCCGGAUCUCCAUUAUGAAGAGACGAGUUUAACACAACCACUUCUUCUUCUCUCGACGUAGUAGAGAAAGUCGACGGCGCCACCACUUCCUUAGUCCACUUGCUAGUCCAAUUGUCAAGAUGAAAGCAUCCUUCGAGGGAUAUGAAGGAUUCAGCGAGCGGGCCAAUUGCGGGUUUGUAAACAUGUAGUGACAAGCUUUUUGACUGCGUGCCUCCCCGUUCAUCUGUCAGCGAAAUAUGUGACAGUGGCACGGCGUAGUCCUUAAUUUGCAUGGUUACUGGAAUUUUGAAAAAAAGGCACGAGGUGGGCUAUCUACGGGAGGACAAGUUAGUAAAAUUGAAAUAUUGACAUGAGGUGGGGUAAAAAAAAAAAGACAAAAAAAAAAAAAAAAAAAAAAAAAAAAAAAAACAAUUGAGGUCGGAGUUCUAGAAAAAAAAAGAAAAAAAAGGAAAAAAAAGAUAUUUCUUGUUCAAAAUAUCAUAUUGGGUAUUGUCCUAAUAGAUAAAAAAAAAAAAAAAAAAAAAAAAAAAAAAAAAAAAAAAAAAAAAAAAAAAAAAAAAAACGAGGCAAACAAAAAAAAAGGGGGCAAACGAAAAAAAAACAACAAACAAGCAAACAAAAAAAAAACAGAAAAACAAAAAAAAACAAAAACAGGGAAAAAAGAAACACUUAGCAAUUAAACAUUACGGACAGAAGAAAGGGAACUUCAAGUACCUGGUGAGCAAAAAGAAAAAAAAUUGUUCAAACACUACCAAUGGAUGACAGUUGAUGCUUGCGGCUCAGUGAAGAUCUUAAGCGUUAGACGCUGUCAAGACAAAUUAAAGCAAGUAUGGGUACCGUCGAUACAAGAAGGUAUGAAGGUGUGUGAACGAGAAUUAGAGCGACUACCUUCAAAGCUAUAGUGGAAGAAGCAACCAGAUCCUUCAAACGGCUUGCAACAUUGACAACGAAAAUGUUGUUUCCGAAUCUAUUGUUGCACAGACUACAAGGGUAAGCCGCGGUUCCAUGCAAAGUAGUAGAACAAGAAACACAAGCAGGGUGGUACCAUAGCUUGGAGGAGUAGUGCGUACCUUAAAAAUAAUCCUAGCGUAGCUCGGCACGUUCUGACCAACUCCAAAUUGAUUCUAUUAGUUUAAGGGGCGGCAAGGCCAAGCAAACUAGCAAAUUGUGAAUGACGGCAGUAGCAAAAAUAGGGGACGUAGCAGCGGCACCUCGUGACAACAAUAUUCGGGAAUCAAAAGGGAAGAGAAAUUUUUUUUUUUUCUUGAGCAAGUUCACGGCUUUGGACUUGGGGGAUUUAUAGGACGAAUCUCUACUACAAAUCCGGAAGAAAGUUGAGUUUAAAUACAACUAGCUUCCUGGUCCGCUUCAAUCGUUUGAAGGAUAUCUUCAGGGGUCCUAGCAAUUAAGUCGGCUGUAUAUUGGGAAGUGGAUUCUACACUGGUUUCAGGGGGCUUGCUUCUAAAAAGGACCAGUUUAUUAUCCCAUGCGAUAUAGCUUCCAUUCAUGUUGGCCUUGGAAGGAAUUCUUGUCGCAACCAACCCCUAUAAGCUGAGCAAGUCAUGUCGGCAUGGAAACUUGCGCAGCGGUGGAGUUCAUGAUUGAUCAAAGAAUAGGAUGUUUGUCUCGCAAUUGAAGUUGAAAACUCUAGGCAAACCAAAGAGUAAUUUGCAUGCAAGGUGCACCAGGACAAAUGCUUACGAGGUAGAGUUCAUGUAUGGUUUCUGUUCGGGUAUUGAAGGCUUGUUGCGGUCAGCUUCUUAUUAAGUGAUUUACCUCACGAGAGUAAUCUCCGCAAAACUUCAGAACUCCAGAAGAGCUAAAUCCUUUGAUCCAAGGAGUCCUUAAGGUGAGUUUGAAGUUGAUUAGAAUCUGGCUUCGGGACCUUCCUGAUUGGUCAAUUGAGAUUGGAAUGUGCAUGUCCCGUAGGCUUCUAGUGAAUUUCAAAUCCUAAUGGAUAUGGUGUUUACCAUCCGAAGCCGAAAUUGGUUUACCGAAGUCUUUGGGAUUGCGUUGGUGUUAGUGGAAUUUGUGAUAACAUAGAGUUUUAAAUCAAUGUGGAGUUGGGCAAGUGAGCAAGCAUGACUUGUUGUGUCGUGGGCUAUGGUUGUGUUUCAACAAAGCCGUGGACUGGAGGUAGUUGCACGUUUGGGUCUUGGAAAUUGAGAUCACUAAUUCACCAAGUUUUGUAUGCAUUUGAUAACAUAGCGGUGGAAUUUAUAAUGUCUUGCAUGACCACCUUAUGUCAAUGAAAGCAUCUCCUUUAAAGUAUCAUUAGUCUAUAUUGGUCUAUGAGGCACUUGAUAAUACCAUGUCGUAUGACUUUGCCGGUGGUUUAAUAGACACGGCAUUGCAAAGGCUUUGGAUAAAGUCCAUGAGUUGAUAUUUGAAUUGCAAAACUUUGAGCAAAGCCAUGACACUAAAUGGACUUUGCUUGGAUUGAUAUUCAAACGGUGGACAUAAGGCUUCCAAAUGGAGUGAUCCGGCCUCGGGAAAUUGAAGGCACUAGUGGUCUUGGAAAUUGAGAUCAAUAAGGCAUGAAUUGGUGGUAUUCCACGUAGCUAUCCUAUAUGAUGCAAGUCAUUGAUAUAAAGUUUGCAAAGCUUGGAAUUUAGCCCAUUUAGGAGUUUUAUUUGAAAGGCUAAAAUAUCAACGGUGUUCAAGUUGAAACAAAAAAAAAUGUCAAAACUUGUCCGUUCAAAAUUUGCUUCGGUCUUCAACAUUCACGAACAAGUUUCGAGAGGGCAUUUGUAGACAAUGGAAUUUUAAUUAAAUUCUAAAAAUUACCAUUGGUCUAUAAAAUAUUUUUGUCCAAUCGGAUAUUGCCAUAUGACACGUACACUUGGAAAAAUUGGUUAUUAAAUGACCAAUUAUAUUUUGCCACGUGUCAAGGCGAGGUGUUCCAGAUCAAUUCAAAUUGCAGGGAUAUCUCCACCAAUCAGAUUAUAUCAUGUCACAUGUCCAUUGGAUAAAUAUCUAAAUAUUUAUUCCGUAUAAAAGGGAUAAUAUUUAGAGUUAUUUAAUCCAAGUAUAUCUCUUAUAUACUGCAAUAGCUUGGCCAGUCAAACGGCGCCAUGUCACGUGUCCCCACGAGUUUGGCCAAUCGAUAAAUUUCUUAUCUCUUUAUUAAUAAAUAUAAAAUGAAGAGAUAAUAUUUGACUGGUACAGUCCUAAUAUGACUGCACGUCUUGCAAGACAAGUAAAGUGGUACAUAGGUUCUCAACCUCCACCUCUUGCUACACCUAUAAAUAGAGGUCUCUUAACCAAAUCAAACACACAGACAGAGACACAGAGAUAUCAAGAAGCAUCUCAUACACUCAAGUAUUGAAGCUUCAAGCUACGAAGGUCUGGGUCUCAAAGCUCCUCAAGUCUUCCGCAUAUCAAGGCUUGAGCCUUCAAGUAUUUUCAAAUCCUUCAAAUCUUCCAUAUCAAGAUUUGAAGGAGUCGGUGGUUGAUCCAAGAACAAGCUGCGAAGCCCUUGGAUUGGUGUUCGAGGAGAAGAAUCGAAGGAAGCUCUCCAUAAGUUCGAGAAACUUCCAGAGAUUGUACCUACAUAUUUUUGCUAAGUUUAUAUAGUACAUAUUUGUCGUGUAUUUCUUUUUCUUGUCGUUUUGCAGACUUGAAAUUUUUAUCGCGUACACUAUAGACCUGCCAUUUUGUAAGGAAUGCUAAGUGAGUUGAACGAAAUACAAAGUAAGAAAUAACAUGAAAGAAUUCCUAUUCAAGUGCAUCCCAUCAUGGAAACUUAAACUUUUUUAAAAAGGCAUGUAUUUACAUUGGUCAUUCUUACCUAUCUUUGGAUUUAUUGUCUAUACAUAUCUAAAAGCUUCAAAUUGAAAGAAUUGAUUACUUUGUAAUGCUUCUAAACUUAAUCAACACAAACAUUUCUCUUAUUACGUGAUAGAACAGUUGCAUUUCAUUCUCAACUGUCAAGAUUACCUUUUUCAAAAUCUAUAUGAAAAGCACAAUAGAAAGCAUUUGUUUGCAACUAUAAUAAAAGUUGGCUUUAGUUAUGAUUUUUUUUUUGUCAUCAAAGAACUACAUCUAGCCAGGAAAAUGCCACAGUCUCACAUCACCGUUUAAAGGCAAUAUCUAAGACCACAAAAUUCCUAGCUAAGGUUCCAGCAAAAAGAAAACAAAUCAUUUAAGAAAUUUUCUUUCCUCACUAAGCUUGUCAUUGUCUUUUGAAAAUACAACAAAAUGGAUAUAUCUACUUGUUUUGAAGUUUAAUUUAGUUUUAAAUUAUUUUGUUACUACACUAUCAUAAUCAUAACAUGAGAGAAAAUUCAACACAAUUGUUUACUAAUCUUUCUUAACGAGGACUAGGUUCUUUAGUUGAUAGCUGUAAAAUUAUUCUCCCUUUCUCUUGUUUUAGGGUUAAUGCCUUUUUACUUGUUAGAACUUGUUCUGUUCGUAUGGCAAUUCCUUAUAAUUGAGUAGGAGGUAUGUGCUGGAUAACAAUGGAGUUGCCAAGUAUUUAUCCACAUAAAUCUCCUUGAAUUAGUUUUGUAACUAAGAUUUACCAUCCAAAUGUUGAUGAAAGUGGAUCGAGGAUGUUAUUACCAUAUUGAAGUUGUUCAACAAUCUAUAAGCUCAGUGAGAAAAAAGAGUGAUAUCUAAUCAAAAAAUAUAAUCUCUAGGAAAAUUUCCUAAAGCUUAUCAAUUAUUAUCCGUCCUACAUAAUAUCUUAUUAUAGUGAAAAAUUGCACAAUAAUAAAAGCAGGCCUUAGUUUUUUCUUGUCAUUAUUUUCCUUGCUACAUCUAGCAAGGAAAAUGUCAUUGUCUCACAUCACAUUUAAAGGUAAUAUCUAUGAUAAUAAAAUUUCUACCUAAGUUUUUAGUAAAAGAAAACAAUUCAUUUAGAAAAUCUUCUUUCCUCAUUAAGCUUGUUAUUGUCAUUUGAAAAUACUACGAAAAGGAUAUAUCCACUUGUUUUGAAGUUUAAUUUAGUUUUAGACCUUUUUUGUUGCUACAUAAUCAUAAUUUGAGAGAAAAUGCAGCACAGUUGUUCACUAAUCUUUCCCAAUGAGGACCAACUUCUUUAGUUGAUUGUUUUACAAUCGUUCUCCCUUUCUCUUGUUUAAGGGUUAAUGUCUUUUAAACUUGCUGGAACUUGGCUUGUUCUUAUGGCAAUUCCUUAUAAUGGAGCAGGAGGUAUGUGCCGGAUAAUGGUGGAGUAGCCAGGCACUUAUCCAUGUAAAUCUCCUUGAAUUAGUUUUGCAAAUAAGAUUUAGCAUCCAAUUGCUAAUGAAAGUGGGUUGAGGAUUUAUUGCCUUAUUGAAAUUGUUCAACAAUCUAUAAGUUCAGUGAGAAAAGAGAGUGAGAUCUAAUCAAAAUAUAAUAAAGUUUAUCAACUAUUAUCCGUCCUACAUAAUAUCAUAUUAUAGUGAAAAAAUUGCAUGAACGCAUGAUGCACGCUGUAUUUGUGAAAUAAUUAAGUUGUUGAAAUUAAUUCUUUGACAACAAUUAUGUAUUUGAUACCUUCACGAGUUAUAUUUAAUCAUGCCAUAGUGGAAAUAAUAGAAAGAAAAAAAUGAAAAGGUGCAGAGACAUUCUUGGACAACUGGAUGGCCAAUGAAACAAAAAAGGUAAAAAAAAUUAAAAAUAACUCAUUUUACAAGCUCAACUACUUUGCCACACCUACCUAAAACAUGGUUUUCCCUUUUGCACAAAACAUGUUUUUCAUUGAUUUUGAAUUUUCAAAUUACUCCUCUACUUAACCCACAAUAAGGCACAAAGGUAUCAUUUUAGUUUAGGUAGACAAUAUCUUUAAUGAUAAAUACAAACUACCUCCCAUAUUCAAUCAAGUAAUCACUCCUACUUUCUUCAAUACGAUGACCUUGUUGUAUGAGUAAAUUCCAAGAUUGGUUAGCAAAUGCAUGUCUUUCCUAAGUCUCUCCAAAAAAAAUGAAAAAAGAAGAAUAUACAAUUUGGAGUGUUAAGGGUUUAUUAGAAUGUAGCGAUGUUUUAAUUAGUAAUAACCCAUGAGGGUAACCAAAUAAAAAAUUAAAAUUUAGUUAUAUAUGAAAAAAAAUAUCUGAUUCUGAAAGAUUUUAGCAAAUUCUAACUCGCCAUGUUCUAAAGCAUAGGAUUCUGCACCCUAACCAAGAUUUAUUUUUUAUUUUCAACUUGUGUUUAUUACACAGAAGGGUUUUCUGGAAUAAUGGUCAUAUAGUUUGAUUAAAGUUUAAUUUGGACAAAACACUUUACCAACCAAUAAGAUAACAUCCAUGGUAGAAGAUCAUCUAUAUGUGGAAUUCCCUUGAGAUUUGCAUGCUAAUCCUUUGCCAACUAUACUUUCUUGGAUGAUUUUCUUAUCAUCUCUAGAACUAUACACCUGUCUAUUUUUAAGGAAUGCUAACUGAGUAGAAUGAAAUACAAAGUAAGAAAUAACAUAAAAGAAUUCCCAUUCGAAUGCAUCUCAUUAUCAAAACUUAAAAUUUUUUUACAAAAAAAGCAUGUAUUUACAUUGGGUCAAACAUUAUAACCUAUCUUUCAUUUACUAUCUAUACACAUUUAAAAGUUUCAACUUGAAAGAAUUAAUUACUUGUAAUGCUUCGAAACUUAAUCAACACAAACAAUUCUCUUAUUUUGUGAUAGAAUCGUACCAUUUUAUUCUCAACUGUCAAGAUUAUCGGCUUCAAAAUCUGCAUGAACAACACAAUAAAAGACUUUUAUUUGCAACAAAUAAAAGUGGGCAUUAGUUUUUUUUCACCAAAGAGCUAUAUCUAGCAAGGAAAAUGCCACUGUCUCACAUCACCAUUUAAAGGCAAUAUCUAUGACAACACAAUUCCUAACUAAGUUUCUAGUAAAAGAAAACAAUUCAUUUAGAAAAUCUUCUUUCCUCAUUAAGCUUGUCUUUGUUAUUUGAAAUUACUACAAAAAGGAUAUAUCCACUUGUUUUGAAGUUUAAUUUAGUUUUAAACCUUUUUUGUUACUACUCUAUCAUAAUCUGAGAGAAAAUGCAGCACAGUUAUUCGCUAAUCUUUCUCAAUGAGGACCAGAUUCUGUAGUUGAUUGCUUUACAAUCAUUCUCCAUUCUCUUGUUUAAGGGUUAAUGUCUUUUAAACUUGUUAAAACUUGGCAUGUUCUUACGACAAUUCCUUAUAAUAGAGUAGGAGCUAUGUAUUGGAUAACAGUGGAGUAGCCAGGCACUUAUCCAUGUAAAUCUCCUUGAAUUAGUUUUGUAAAUAAGAUUUAGCAUCCAAUUGUUGAUGAAAAGUGGGUUGAGGAUGUUAUUGCCUUAUUGAAGUUGUUUAACAAUCGAUAAGCUCAGUGAAAAAAGAGAGCGAAAUCUAAUCAAAAUAUAAUCUUUAGGAAUAUUUCCUAAAACUUAUCAAUUAUUAUCCGUCCUACAUAAUAUCAUAUUAUAGUGAAAAAAUUGCACGUACUUAUGAUACAUGCAGUAUAUGUGAGAUAAUUAAGUUGUUGAAAUUAAUUCUUUGAGAACAAUUAUGUAUUUGAUAGCAUCACAAGUUAUAUUUAAUCGUGCCAUAGGGGAAAUAAUGAACAAAAAUGAAAAGAUGCAGAGACAAAUUCUUGGAUAACUGGAUGGCAUAUGCAACAAAAAAGGUAAAACAAUUAAAAUUAACUCAUUCUACAAGUUCAACUACUUUGCCACACCCGCUUAUAACAUGGAUCUCCCUUUUGCACUAAAUAUGUUUAUCAUUGAUUUUGAACUUUCAAAUUGCUCCUCUAUUUAACCCACAAUAAAACACGAGGGAAUCAUUUUAUUUUUGGAAGACAAUAUCUUUAAUGAAAUAUACAAACUGCCCCUUAUAUUCAAUCAAAUAAUCACUCCUACUUUCUUCAAUAAGAUGACCAUAUUGUGUGAGUAAAUUUCAAGGUUAGUUAGCAAUUGCAUGUCUUUCCUAAGUCUCUUAAAAAAAAAAAAAAAAACAGAAGAGUACACAAUCCGAAGUGUUAAGGGUUGGACAGAAAGUAGCGAUGUUUUAAUUAGUAACAUCCUAUGAGGGUACCAAAUAAAAAGACUAAAAUUUGGUUGUACAUGAAAAACAAGAUCUAAUUUUAAAAGAUUUUGGCAAAUUGCAACUCACCACGUUUUAAAGCAUAGGGUUCUACACCCUAACCAAGAUUUAUUUUUAUUUUCAACUUGUAUUUAUUACACAAUAGGGUUUUCUAGAAUAAUAGUCAUAUGGUUUGAUUAAAAGUUUAAUUUGGACAAAGCACUUUACCAACCAAUAAGAGAAUGUCCAUGGUGAAAGAUCUUCUAAAUGUGGAAUCCCCUUGAGAUUUCCAUGUUAAUCCUUUGCCAACUAUAUUUUCUUGGGAGAUUUUCUUAUCAUCACCAGAACUAUAUACCUAUUUUUUUGUAAGGAUUUCUCACUGAGUAGAAUGAAAUACAAAGUAAUAAAUAACAUGAUAGAAUUCCCAUUCGAGUAGAAUUCAUCAUUAAAACUUAAAAUUUCUAAAAAAAAAAACAAGUAUUUACAUUGGGUCAAACAUUCCAACGUAUAUUUGGAUUUACUAUCUAUACAUAUUUAAAAGUUUCAAACUGAAAGAAUUAAUUACUUGUAAUGCUUCUAAACUUAAUCAACACAAACAUUUCUCUUAUUUUGUGAUAGAACUGUACCAUUUCAUCAUCUUUUUUUUUUAUUUUUAUUUUUUUAACUUUAAUCUUUAUUUAUGAACUGAAAAGAGUACAAAGAGAGACAGCAACCAACUACUGCCUAACAAGCUAAAGAAGCUCUACUCCUACGAAUGUUCGGAACGCCUAACCGAUCAAGAUUAACAUCACCCCUCACCAGGCAAGGCAACUCAGAAAAUGAAACAUAUGUUGAGUUAAACCCAGCGUCCACACCCACAUUGGCCAAUCUAUCCGCAGGCCUAUUCGCUUCCCGAAAGCAAUGAGAAAUCUCUCUAAGCAACCCCUUAGCAUUCAACACCUCCUGUAAACCUCGUUGCAACUGCCAUGGACACCUCACCGUUCCCCGAAUAAUCUGAACUAACACCAAUGAAUCUGAUUCGAUGUGCAAAGCACUGUAUCCCCGAUCUACGGCCAACCGAAUCCCAUGAAGAAGCGCCUCCAAUUCCGCCUGCAAACUUGUUAGCUCCCCAAAAAAACAUGAGAACCCUAGCAGAAACCUUCCCUCAUAGUUACGAAUGAUGCCUCCCCCUCCACUCAUGCCAGGAUUACCUCUAGAGCAACCGUCAGAGUUUAGCUUCACCACCGACUGCUUCGGACACCGCCAACGAACAAUUUGCACAUGAUAACGACGUGCCAAACCAGCCACAGAUUCAAAGAACCUCGGCCACCCGCGGCAAGAAGAAACAGUAUUCUUAAACCUAAUCUGGAAUAGGUCUCGCAGAUCACAAAAAAUUCUAUCACUGACUAUAGCAACAGGCAAACUCUGACCCUCGAACACAAACUUAUUCCGCAUUUUCCACAAGUGCCAACAAAUCAAAGACGGCAGCACACGAAAAAGAAACUGAAGAAACGGGUUCCGAGUAGGCUUCAACCACCAACCAAUCACCUUAUGUCGUAUUGUCGAGAAAACACCAAACCCUCCCACCACCACUUCAAAAGACUCCCAGAUUUGCCGUGGAACCUCCCCAGUGCAGAAAAUAUGAUCCAGAGACUCCUGACAUGGGAAGGAACAACAAAAACAGCGAGACGGCCCGACAACCCCAAGCUUUUGCAAACUAUCCAUCACUGGCAAUCUAGCCCCCAGCAGACGCAGCAUAAAAAAGGACACAUUACUCGGCAAUUCCUGACCCCAGAGGGAGGAGUAUAGACAAGACCUGUUACCAACCCCACGAGCACUUUGGUAGGCCGACGAUAGGGAGAAAUCCCCUGAGGUACUGGGAGACCAGACCAUUCUAUCCGAAUGCGUCUCAGCGGGAGGUUCAACACACAAGAUCUGCCCCACCCACCAGCUGGGCAGCACAGAGCACAGCCUCUGCACGUUCCACCGACCAUGCUCCACGAAAUCGGAUACUGCAUAUUCCUGGAAAGAGUCGACCUGGCGACAUAAAGGACCUUGUCCUAACCAAUCAUCAUGCCAAAAACUUGCCGAUCCAUUGGACAAGACCCAGCGAAUCUGCUGCUCAGCAACCCCCUGAAUAGAUAUCAAUCUCUUCCAAGUCCAAGAACUCCCCGGCGAGACGUCCGCAGAGCAAGGGUGGAAAUUCGGGCAGUAUUUACAAUGUAAAAACUCAGCCCAUAAAGACUUCCGCAAUCUAAACUGCCACCAAAGUUUCAUCGAGAAAGCGUCGAACACAUCCCUCAACGACCUCAAACCUGCACCUCCCCUGUCAUAUGGCUGACACAACUGCUCCCAUUUGAUCCAGUGACGCCCUCUUCACCGCGUCAAAAAUGUUACCGAACUGCUUACGAGACCAAACUUGCAAGUCCCGUUUGACAUUCCUCAGUUUAGCGGUUAAACGACUCAAAGGGCGCCCAGAACAAGGAACUGCCCAACUCCAACUGUCAAGAUUAUCACCUUCAAAAUCUAUAUGAAUAACACAAUAAAAGGCUUUUGUUUGCAACAAAUAAAAGUGGGCAUUAGUUUUUUUUUACCAAAGAGCUACAUCUAGCAAGAAAAAUGCCACUAUCUCACAUCAACAUUUAAAGGUAAUAUCUAUGACAACAAAAUUCCUAACUAAGUUUCUAGCAAAAUAAAAUAAUUCAUUUGGAAAAUCUUCUUUUUUGACUAAAGUUGUCAUUGUUAUUUGAAAAUACUACAAAAAGGAUAUAUCCACUUGUUUUGAAGUUUAAUUUAGUUUUAAACCCUUUUUGUUCUCACACUAUCAUAAUCUGAGAGAAAAUGCAGUACAACUGUUCGCUAAUUUUUUCCAAUGAGGACCAGGUUCUUUAGUUGAUUGCUUUACAAUCAUUCUCUGCUCUCUUGUUUAAGGUUAAUGUCUUCUAAACUUGCUGAAACUUGGCCUAUACUUAUGGCAAUUCCUUAUAAUGGAGUAAGAGGUAUGUGCCGGAUAACGAUGGAGUUGCCAGGCGCUUAUCCAUGUAAAUCUCUUUGAAUUAGUUUUGUAAAUAAGAUUUACCAACCAAUUGUUGAUGAAAAGUGUGUUGGGGAUGUUAUUGCCUUUUUGAAAUUGUUGAACAAUCUAUAAACUCGGUGAGAAAAGAGACUGAGAUAUAAUCAAAAUAUAAUUUCUAAGAAUAUUUCUUAAAACUUAUCAAUUAUUAUCCGUCCUAUAUAAUAUCAUAUUAAAAUGAAGAAAUUGCACGUACGCAUGAUGCACGCUAUAUCUGUGAGAUAUUACGUUGGUGAAAUUAAUUCUUUGAGAACAAUUAUGUAUUAUAUUCCUUCACAAGUUAUAUUUAAUCGUGCCAUAGUAGAAAUAAUGGAAAGGAAAAAAUAAAAAGUUGCAAAGACAAAUUCUUGGACAACUGGAUGACAUAUGCAACAAAAAAUGUAAAAAACUAAAAAUAACUUAUUCUAUAAGCUCAAGUAGUUUGCCACACUCACUUAUGACAUGGUACUCCCUUUUGUACAAAAUAUGUUUAUCAUUGAUUUUGAACUUUCAAAUUGCUCGUCUACUUAACCCACAAAAAGACAUGAAGGAAUCAUUGUAUUUUUUAUAAACAAUAUCUUUAACGAUAAAUACAAAUUGCCCCUCAUAUUCAAUCAAGUAAUCACUCCUACUUUUUUCAAUAUGAUGACCAUGUUGUGUGAAUAAAUUUCAAGGUUGGUCAGCAAUUGCAUGUUUUUUCUAAGUCUCUCCAAAAAGAAAGAAAAAAAGAAGAGCACACACUCUACAGUGUUAAGGGUUUGUUAGUAUGUAGCGAUGCCUUAAUUAGUAACAUCCCAUGAGGAUAACCAAAUAAAAAGACUAAAAUUUGGUUGUACAUGAAAAACAAUGUCAAAUUCUAAAAAAUUUUGGCAAAUUGCAACUCGCUUCAAAGCAUAUGAUUCUACACCCUAAGCAAGAUUUAUUUUUUAUUUUUAACUUGUGUUUUUUACACAGUAGGGUUUUUCGGAAUAAUGGUUAUCUAGUUUGAUUAAGCGUUUAAUUUGGAUAAAGCACUUUACCAAUCAAUAACAAUGUAUCUCAUCAUUAAAACUUAAAGUUUUAAAAAAGACAUGUAUUUACAUUGGGUCAAACAUUCUUACCAAUUUUUGGAUUUACUAUCUAUACGUAUCUAAAACUUCAAAUUGAAAGAAUUAAUUACUUUGUAAUGCUUCUAAACUUAAUUAACACAAAAAUUUCUCUUAUUUUGUGAUAGAACAGUACCAUUUCAUUCUCAGCUGUUAAGAUUAUCUCCUUCAAAAUUUGUAUGAAGACCACAAUAAAAGACUUUUGUUUGCAACAAUAAUAAAAGUAGGCAACAGUUCCUUUUUUGUCUCCAAAGAGUUACAUCUAGCAAGGAAAAUGCCACUGUCUCACAUCACCAUUUAAAGGCAAUAUCUAUGACAACAAAAUUUCUAACUAAGUUUCUAGCAAAAGAAAACAAUUCAUUCAGAAAAUCUUCUUUCCUCACUAAACUUAUCAUUGUCAUUUGAAAAUACUACAAAAGGAUAUAUCCACUUAUUUUGAAGUUUAAUUUAGUUUUAAACCUUUCUUGUUACUAAACUAUCAUAAUCUGAGAGAAAAUCCAGCAUAGUUGUUCACUAAUCUUUCCCAAUGGGGUCAGGUUCUUUAGUUGAUUGCUUUACAAUCAAUCACCCUUCCUCUUGUUUAAGGGCUAAUGUAUUUGUUACUUGCUGGAACUUGGCCUGCUCUUAUGGUAAUUCCUUAUAAUGGAGUAGGAGGUAUGUACCGGAUAAUGAUGCAGUUGCUGAGCACUUAUCCAUGUAAAUCUCCUUGAAUUAGUUUUGUAAAUAAGAUUUACCAUCCAAAUGUUGAUGAAAAGUGGGUUCAAUAAUCUAUAAGCUCAAAGAGAAAAGAGAAUGAGAUCUAAUCAAAAUAUAAUCUUUAGGAAAAUUUCCUAUAGGUUAUCAGUUAUUAUCCAUCCUACAUAAUAUCUUAUAAUAGUAAAAAAAAAAUUGCAUGUACGCAUGAUGCACGCUGUAUCUGUGAGAUAAUUAAGUUAUUGAAAUAAAUUUUUUGAAAACAAUCAUGUAUUUCAUACCUUCACAAGUUAUAUUUAACCAUAUCAUAGUUGAAAUAAUAGAAAAAAAAUGAAAGGGUACAAAGACAAAUUCAUGGACAACUGAAUGGCCUAUGCAACAAAAAAAUUAAAAAUAACUCAUGCUACAAGUUUGACUACUAAUUUGCCAUGCCCACUUAUAGUAUGGUUCUCUCUUUUGCACAAAACAUGUUUACCAUUGAUUUUGAACUUUCAAAAUGCUCCUCUAGUUAACCCAUAAUAAGAUUCGAAGGAAUCUUUUUAUUUGGUAUACAACAUCUUUAACGAUAAAUAUAUACAAACAGCCCUCAUAUUCGAUCAAGUAAUGACUUCUAUUUUCUUCCAUAUGAUGACCAUGUUGUGUGAGUAAAUUCCAAGAUUGGUUAGAAAUUUCAUGUCUUUCCUAAGUCUCUCCAAAAAAAAAAAAAAACAAGAAGUGUACACAAUCUGGAGUGUUAGGGAGUCAGUAGAAUGUAGCAACAUCUUCAUUAGUAGCAUCCCAUGACGAUAACUAAAUAAAAAUAUUAAAAUUAGAUUGUACAUGAAAAACAAAGUUCAAUUUGGUAGGACUAGGUUCUUUAGUUGAUUGCUUCACAAUUAUUCUCCCUUUCUCUUGUUUUUAGGUUAAUGCCUUUUUUACUUAUUGGAACUUAGCCUGUUCUUGUCAAUUCCUUAUAAUGGAGUAAGAGGUAUGUGUCGAGUAGCGGUGGAGUUGCCAGGUGCUUAUCCAUAUAAAUUUCUUUGAAUUGGUUUUGUAAAUAAGAUUUACCAUCCAAAUAUUGAUGAAAAGUGAGUUUGUGGAUGUUAUUUCCUUGUUGAAGUUGUUCAAUACUCUAUAAGUUCAGUGAGAAAAGAGAGUGAGAUCUAAUCAAAUAUAAUCUCUAGGAAAUUUUUCUAAAGCUUGUCAACUAUUGUCUCUUCUAUAUAAUAUCUUAUUAUUUUGUAAAGAACUGCAUGUAUGCAUGAUGCAUGCUAUAUCCAUGAGAUAAUUAAGUUGCUAAAGUAAAUUCUUUGAGAACAAUUUUGUAUUUGAUACCUUCGCGAGUUAUAUUUAAUUGUACCGUACUGGAAAUAAUGGAAAGAGAAAAUAAAAAGAUGCAAAAACAAAUUAUGGACAAUUUAAUGGCUUAUGCAAUAAAAAGGGUAAAUAUAACUCAUAUGAUACAAGUAAAAGCUCAACUAUUACUUUGCCACGCCGAUUUAUAGCAUAGCUCUCCUUGAUCAAUUCUUUACACAAAACAUGUUUGUCAUUGAUUUUGAACUUUCAAGUUAGUCCUCAACUUAACCGAUUAGCUAUUGCAUGUCUUUCUUAGGUUUCUCCAAGAAAAACACGAAUAUUGCACAAUCUGGAGAGUUAGGAGUUUGUUAGAAUGUGGCUUGUCUUAAUUAGUAGCAUCCCAUUUAGUAACCAAAUAAAAAAGAUUGAAAUUUGGUUAUACAUGAAAAACAAAUUUCAAUUCUAAGAGUUAUUAAGGGUUAUCUUUGGACGCCGUACUUUUCCAACCUAUAAGGGAAUGUCCACAGUAGAAAAUCUUCUAUAGGUGGAAUUCCCUUAACAUUUGCAUGAUAAUCCUUGCCAACUACACUUGCAUAGAUGAUAUUCUUAUCUUCUCUUGAAUUAUAUAUCUCUUUUCUUUUCUUUUUUUUUAAAGAAAUGCUAAAUGAGUAGAACGAAUACAAAGUAAGAAAUAAUAUGAAAGAAUUUCCAUUCAAGAGGAAAGUUUUUGUGUGACAGCCCCAUCUCACCCUAAGGCAAACCAAAGGGUUCGGCGGACCGCCUGCCCAACUCUCGCCGGGACUCAGUCAUACCUCCAUCAAAAUCGGAAUAAAACUACAAGAAUUAAAACGAAAUGGAAGGGGCCGCUACCACGUCUCAGUCCAACCAAAUACAAGUAAACUUUGUUUGCUAUGAAAGAAUGUACAUUCCCGAAUCCGUAUGUCACCUAAAUAAGAGGAAACACUUUAAAAUAUUAGCAAAUUUACAAAUCCAAAAGGAAAUAUUAUAUUAAGAUACAUUUAGGGUUUCCAAAUUGUCAAGGAACUAUACCAAAAGAACAAGAGAAUUUCUACCUAGCUCAACACAUUCUUCAAAACAUUGAAGUUCCAAAAGAUGGUUCCCUGUAAGGAAAACAAGGAUAACGGAACGGGGUGAGCUAAAAACUCAAUGAGGUACCAACAGUAUAAAUAGUAGAAUCAGUAGAAUUCAUGAGAAAGCAUUUUGGAGGCACAUAUUCACAUCAAAUACGAGAAAUGAAUGAAUAUCACAAUGUAAAGGAUACAGGUGGCUCUCAGGAGCCAAAUCCCCGUUGCUAUACUUGAUCCAAUCUCGUUGACUCUCCGUCAACGUUCAAAUACAGGAACCAGUCCAAUAGAACACCACUUUAAUGCCAAAACCCCGUUCACCAAACAUACCCCUUACAGGGCCCGAACGCCAAACAGGAACAGGAAUGGUAAUACUCGAGUAUACCAGAAAUUCAGAAUCUCCAAUACCCAUAGAUUCCUCAGGAACAGGCACCCAUGGAUUGUCAAUUUCCUCGACCAAGCCCUCGCUGACUCGAUUCAAUUAACUCUCCAUGAAGUUGAGCUUAAGUUUAACAGGAAGGUCGUUGGAUACACUUCCAAACGACAUCAUAACAAGUGCAAGUAACAAAUUCAAGUAUAUAACAGGUACAAGUAAUAGAUUUCAGUUCGUUCAGUACAGGCAAGAGAACGAGUGUGAUAAAGUACACCCUCGUCUCAUACAAGAUAAACAGUCAGGAAAGACAUUCAAAUAGCAGUUUGCAAGUACAGAAAACCAGUUUAGCAAUAAUUCAGGGGAGUGGUGCACUCACCAGUUCAAGUACAGAUACUUCAAAAGUUUUCAAUUGAACCAAAGUAAAACAAUUGAAGAUUCCACAUCCAAAAUCGAGUAAAUAGAAUGCACAAGUGAGGCUCGACUGCUAGUCGUAUGCCUCGCCAAAUAAUUACUAAUGCAAGGUGCAAAACAUGAUUUUUGGGAACGAAAAGGUAACAUGAAGACCUAGGGUUCAAAUAACCCAAAAGGCCUUCAGUUCUACCAAAAGGCAACUCAAACUUAAAAGAACCAAACGGCCUAAAAAAUUGGACAGCAUUCCUCCUAAAUUUGCUUACUUUUCCGGCCAUCAAGGCUUCCUUUUUCCGUCAGUCAAUCCCAAAGUCACACACAAAAUAAUUUCAUUUCAAUAGCCGUUCAAUAGGCUCCAAGUAGUACAAGUACAAAUUCAAGCUAGUGAAAAGUUCGGAAAGGAAAACAGGUUUGACGUUGUUUUGCGUAACGGACACAACGGAGGCUACGCUUAUCGGAUUGGAAUGUAAUUUAUACUAUUUCGAAGCUAAGACAAAGGCCUAUAACUUUGAUGAAGACCACUCAGUCCAGUUCGUAGUGUAGCUAGGUCAAAAGUGCAAUAUAUGAAACCAGAAUCUCACAAAUAGGUUAGCUAACCGCACUAUGGUUAAACGAAAAUAACUUAGGCUACCGAAGUCCGAAUGAGGUGUAUCUUAUGGCGUUUCGAAACCAAGACAUAUACUUACAUUUCUUAUGAAGACCUACAAAGCCAAAUCAUGCAUUUUCAUGGUCAAAAAUGGAAGUUUCCACGAAAACAGAAAUCUGGGCGCGAAACAGGGUUCAUGGAUAGUCAAGGGUAUUUUGAUCAUUUCACAUGAUACAAUACUUGGAUUGAGCUGAAAUUUUUCAGGCAACUAGCUAACACCAUUUUCUACAACUUUCAUGUUUUAACCUAAGCCUGAUUCAUCCUCUAACAUGCUCAAAUAAAUCCGGUCAGAACAAGACAGAUUUGAAACCCUAACCUGAAAUUUUCCGCACAAGCUGAAAUUUUUCGCAAAUAACCGCAAUUAAUACACAAGAGCUUCAUUUAACACCAUAACAAGCUAUCAAUCCAAGACCAAUCCAUGAUUUUAAUAUAAAAUCAGAAAAUCCCCUCAUAAAUCAGAAAUUCACCAUAAAUUCCUUCAACCCAUGAAAUACUCCACAACAUAACAUACAUGACAACCACAAACCAUUAAUUAACCAAUACUAGAACAAAAGGAAACUUGUAUAUCCAACUUAUCUCAAAUUCAAGAAAGCUAUCAACUUAGAGCUUCCCUUCCAAAACCAAUCCAUCAAAAGCUUUAAACCACCAUAGUGAGCCCUUGUAUGAAAUAUUUUCCAAAAUCAUCGAUUAAAACUCAAGAUUUUGGCAAAGAUUGAAACUAGGAAAUUUGAGAGCUUUCUCUCUAUGAAGCUCGGUCAAGCCAGGUGAAAAAUGAAGAUAUUUUGGGCCAAAAAUAGGAUAAGUAAGAAAGAAACAGCCGGUCAAAGCCUCUGACCGACUGUGACAUGUCACAAUCCGGCCGGAAUCUAGCCGGAUUCGAGGCAGAGGCAAAACUCUUUUUUUUUUCAAAACUGCAAGGCAAUCUGGCCAGAAACUGGCCGGAUUUCCAGCCGGAUUUGGCCCCUUCCUCUUUUGAAAAAUUUUUUCUUCUUUUUUCAAGUUUAAAAACUGCGUUCCUCCGCUCGUCCAACAAAGAUUUAUAUAAAAGGAAAACCCUCCUUUUCGGGGCGUCACAUUUUGAAAGGCAUGUAUUCACACAGGGUCAAAUAUACUUACAUGUCUGUCGAUUUAUUGUCUGUACAUAUCUAAAAGCUUCAAAAUUGAAACAAUUCAUUACUUGACAAUGCUUCUAAACUUAAUCAACACAAAUCUCUCUUAUAUCAUGAUAGAACAAUAGCAUUUCAUUCUCAAUUUUCAAUAUUAUCUCCUUCACAAUCUUUGUGAAGGCCACACUAAAGAGUUUAUGUCGAUAUGAGAAAAGGCUUUUGUUUGCAACUAUAAUAAAAUUGGGUAUUAGCUAUGUCGUUUUUUUUUUUUGUCGCUAAAGACCUACAUCUAGCAAGGGAAAUACCACACUAGUCCCACAUCACCAUUUAAAGGCAAUAUCUAUAAUGUCAAAAUUCCUAGCUAAGUUUCUCACAAAAAGUAAUAAUUUAGUAAAGCAUUUUUUCUUUACUCACUCAGCUUGUCAUUUGAAAAUAAAACAAAAAGGAUAUUCCCACUUGUUUAGGUGUAGAUAGGGCUGCAAACGAGCUGAGUCGAGUCGAGUUUUGGCCUAAUCGAGCCGAAUCUUGACUUAAUUUUAUUGAACUCUAACUCGAUCUUGAGUUCGACGAGCUGACAAUUUAAAAGUUGAGCUCGAGCUCGAAAAAAUAAAAAAUAAUUAUUUUAUUUUUUAAAAAAUAAAUAAAAUAAUUUUUUUUAAUAAAUAAUAAAAUAUUAAGGAUAUAUAUGUAAUUUUACUAUUAAAAUAAAAAAUAUAUAUAUACUUAAAAUAAAAGAAUAAAUAAUAUAUAUUUAAAAUAAUAUAUAUAUAUAUAUAUAUAUAUAUAUAUAUAUAUAUAUAUAUAUACUCGAGCUUGCAAGCCGGGUUUAAUAUUUUGAACUCGAUUUCGACUCGAGCCAACUCAAUAUCGAGCUCGCGAACGGCUCGAUUCAUUUGCAGCCCUAGGUAUAGAAAAUAAACGGAUCCUGUUGUAUUUGGCGAGAAAGAUUCCUUACCAAAAUUCUAUACCUUACGGCAAAAAAAAAUCGAAAAACAAGAACUCCAAAAAUCUGGCCUUUUUAAAGAGCAAUAGAGGACGCUAGGUGAAGAUGUUGGUAAGUUUUUUUUUUUUUUUUUAAGAAAAUGAAAUUUUUCAAAGGAGAGAAAAUUGCAACUGUUAUGAUAUCGUACAUAAACUGAGAACUGAUAAAUUUUGGGAAAUUUUGUUAUGAAGUGGCUCUUUGCUGCCACUCAAAGUAUGGUGACAUCUAACAAACACAUCUCUAAUUGGGCUUGUCAAUUGGGUUGGACUGACCUAAGUUCAGUCCGUUCGGUCUUAAAUUUAUUCGAUUGAGUCUUAUGCAAUGCAAUAAGUUGGACUAAAAUAUUUUACUACUCGAUAUGAGUGUAAAUUGAAUUUGGUCUAUACUAAGGUUAACACACUUAAAAUUCGGCCCGACUAACAUAUGUAUAUUGAAAUGUAUACAUACAUACGUACAUAUAUAUAUUGUAAAUCUAAUUAUUUAUUUUUGGUAUCCACUACUAAAGUACUAUAGUGAUUGUAUUUUAAAUGGCUAAUUUUAUGAUAAAUAUUUUUUCUAUCUCUUAUGGAUGUUUUGGUAAAUUAUAGUACUUCUCAUCAUGAAAUUCAAACUAUUUUUUGUUUUGUUGUUGCAAUUUUAUUUAGAUAUUAUAUAACAUUUAUGAAUUUUCUAAUAGUUUCAUUUAACUAAAUUUCAUUAUCAUGAAAGACAUAUCUUUUUCUUUUUGAGUCAAACAGGAGUUACAAACUUGUGAGUGUAGCUGACUUGAGAUUAGGUUCAAAAGAAUGGUAUGUUAUGUGAAUUGAUUUUGAACGUGUCAAAACUCAACUCACAUAACCCAAUAGAAAAGCCUAUCCCCAACUUAUGAAGCAAAAAGAGUUUUUUUUUGUUAAUUGUGGCAUUUGUAUUAAGCUAUUUGGAAAAAUGGAAGCCCAAGUAAAGCAUAUAUGUGCUUGGUAUUCACUUCACACCGUAUUGGCUUGAGAAUUAUGCAACUUAGCAAAAGCUUGAAGACUUUCAAAAAGGAAGGUUGAUUUUGAAACACAUAAUAGGUGACACCACUGCAGGGCAAAUUUUUAAAGAUGACAUCAAUUUUCGGUCUAUACAUUUUUACUAAUGAAGAUUAUUUGUUUAUUUGUUUUCUAUAGCUUAAAACAAAUGAUCUAUUACUUGAUUGACCAUACAUGAAUUAUGAUGUGCAUACUACCCUGGUAAAAGGACAUGUCUCUGGCGAAAUAGUCUCUGCAACCACCAAAAUACAUCAAUCAGAAGGUGCUAGGGAGACAUCUCGAAGAGUUCUUUUUCAUUACUUAGAAGAUUCAAGUUUGAAAAUUCGUGAUGGAAAGGAAAAUGUUGGUGAAUGAGUGAUCUAUACAUUUCAAAGUACUUUUUCUUCAUCAUGGUGCUACACAACUGGCUGAAAAUUAGUGGAGAACUUCAAGUCAUAACUGAAUCCAAAAAUGAAUCUUGAAAACAUAAGAAUUUUGUCAAUCCACAACAAUCAAGAGACUAAAUUUCCUGUUCACUUUGAUCAGAAAUGAGAACGAAAAAAAGGAACAAAGGCAGAAAGAAAAUUGCUGUCCUUAUCAGUCAUCAUACACCAUGUUACUUUACAUUUUGACAAUUUCGCAAUUCGAUAACCUUACAAGACUAUGUUGACAGAGGCAUAGUUGAAAGAUCAAGAAAACAUUCUUGAAUCUACAUAAACUGCCAUAAUAAACGAAUACGGUAAAUUCAUGCAUACGGUUUCUGAGAGAAACAAAGAGUUUGUUUGGAUAAGAGUUUAUUUGGAUGAUUUAUUUGAGAUAAUUACUGUAGCACUUUUUGUGAUGUGAUAUAUGUGAGAUAAAAAGGUGAUUGGAAAGAUAAAAAGGUGAUUGAAAUUUGUGAAGUAAGUUUUUUUAUUUGAAAUCAAAGUUGUCCAAACAAACCCUUUCCAAUUGAAAACACUUUAAUGUCAUCACAAACAAGGAACUAGAAGAGAAAACAAUUAAAGUUGUCCAGUCAGGUUAAAAUCGCUCUAAUCUGUUAGCAAAAUGCAACUAAACUUUUUACGAUUCAUCUAACAUACAAAUACAACACCAAAAGGAUGUCAAUCUUUAACACAUGGAGGUUCAAUCCACACACUUUGCCGCUCCAUAUCUGCCUUCCAUGAAUCUUCAAUGCUCCAAAUGUUCUAGGCAAUUUGUUCCAUAUUUCCCUCAAUUGCAUUCCAUCCAAGGCUUUCAGGCAAUUUAUACCACUCAUCCCUCAAGGAAUAAAUCCUCCAAAAACUAUUCCGAAAGAAGUAGCAAAUGCAGUCGUCCAGGUCCUCUCCAGCCUCAGCAGCCGGUACACAAAGCGAAGCAUCACUGGCAAACAAUGUUCGCCCUGCCAAGCUUUUCGAAGCCCAUUUCCAGUCAGAAUUUUCAAAGCUAGACCUAUCAAACCCGUAAACCUUCCACAGAAUCUCUCUUGGAAUCCCGUAACCCCUAAUAUCAUCAUCUUGAUUAUAAACUACAGCAGUUGCCUACCGAAUCUCUCCCCAGAUUCAACCAAAUGAACGGAUUCAAUCAGGUAAGCCAACCCCGACCCCCCAAAAAUAUCUCUCAUUUUUUUAUCCAAAAAAUCGAACUAUCACAAAGUUCCAUCCUGGAAAACAAAAUAAAGCAUCGCCUCGACAUGAAUAUAAACCAUACUUUUCACCACUCUGAACUUAAACUCGACAGGGACCAAAUAAGUGCUCCAAGUUCCAACUCCAUUCAUCAUCCCCGAACCUAUACGUGUCAAUGUGGGUAUUUCCACGAUUACGGUGGAAAGAAACGAAGAAAACACAAUCAGGAGAAGUAGGAAUUUACUGAAAAAGUUGCAACAUCAACCUCAUAGCAAAACGUCCCGGGCAACGGGAUAACAUGGUUAGUGAAAGGGUUAUGCAAGUUCAGAAUUUGCGAAACUGGAGAUUCUUCCUCUACUAAAUCUAACCCUUUCUUGAAGCGAAAGCCCUUGAUUUAUACUGCAAUUUGUUAUUACGAGUGAGGUAAGAACUUGAUUUUGGAAGUCCAAAAUAAAUCUUGUGGGUUUUUCCUUCAUGUGGGUCGUAAAGUUUGUACUUCAUGAUGAAUUUCGGGGUGGUUUGUAGUCAAAAGGGGUUGCAGGAGUUGAGAACUGGCCAUGGCAGAUUGCUGAUUGGUCUUUUCUUGUUUGCCAUUUGACGCCAUCUUUUGCAGACUGCUCGGAAACGAAUUAAAGUGGAAGAAUGUAGUUUGUUCUUGAUAACCCUAAAAGAUUUCUUUCAGGAAGAUUAGCCCAGGAUCUGGUGGAGCUGUUGUUUUCGGCUUUCUGCAGUUUCUCCAACACCAUUUUUGGAAGGGCCAAAACUGUUUACUUGGGGGUUAAUCCUUGACCUGCAGAGGCUCUAUCUACAUGGAAAAGCGAUCCUACGGUGGAGAGUGGUUUUGAAAAAUAAGGGACAAAAUCGAUGGCUAAUAUAAAUUGGUUUUAGAUGUCAAAUUUUACAGAACUUCAAUUUUCCUAUCAUUAAGAAAUAGAUUUUUUUUUUGUUUUUUUGGAGAAUACUAGAUAGCCAUUUUUUUGGAAAAUUUUCUAUAUUUAUCACAAAAAUGUUUUUUUUUCUAAUUUCCUUUCUAUUUUUUUAAAUCACUAUAUAACUCGUAGAGAAAAAUGGAAAGAAGGGGGAAUAAUAAAUGAGUUCUUGCAGCAUAAGAUAAGAUAAGAAAAGAAAAUAACUUGCCAUAUACAAAAAAUCCGUGAACUGCAGAUCAAAUUCGUUAAAAGCACAAAACUCGUAUGCAUGCACGCGAACCAGGCAUAGAAGUGGUCAAUACGCUUGGCACUCAAUUAGAUAAUUUUACAUUUUUCCCUUUGGGUAAUUCAGUACAUAUUAAAAGGGUUAACUUGGCUUUUUGACCCUAAAAUACUACCCUUAUCACACUUUCACCCCCUAACUUUAAUCGCUUAUCGUUAUUUUUUUUCUUAUUUUGUGAGUAAGAAAAGAAUAAGAUUUAAGAAAUGAAGAGAAAGGAAGGGAAAUUUGAGAUUUUUUUUGAGUGUGUAUAAGAUUAAUAUCGCUUUUCUUUCUAAGUUGCAACUACCGACGUAUUAUUUCAUUCAAUUUACAUCACAGUUGAAAAGUUAACCAUUGAAAUUCGAAAUUUUGAGAGAACCUCUAAAGCAUAAGUUUCUAUCCUAGUCACUUAUUUUCUUCUACAUAUCUUGUCCAUUUACUAAAAAAGAAUUUAUAUAAGGCACACAUCAACUUAUUUUAUGGGAGCCUUUUGUUUUUACCUGUAUUAUUUUAUUGGAGGAAUGAGACUUAAGAAGUGGAGAAAGGAAGGAGAAUUUGAGAUUUUUGAGCGAGCAUAUAACAUUAAUAACACUUUUCUUUGUAAGUUGCAACUACCAACUUAUUAUUUCUUUCAAUUUGCAUCACAAUUGAAAAGUUAACUAUUGAAGUUCAGAAUUUUGGUAGAACCUCUAAAACAUGGAUUUUUUCGAUCCUAGUCACUCAUUUUCCUCUACAUUUCUUAUCCAUUUACUAAUAAAGAUUUUUAAAAAAUUUAUAUUAGGCAUACAUCAACUUAUUUUAUGGGGGCCUUUCGUUUUUACUUGUAUUAUUUUUUUUUAUGUGUGGCUGGAGUGUGGUUAGUGUCAAUUUCAUUUCCAUCAUCACUAAACGCAAGUGCAACAUGUCAUUAUCAUUUGAUUCAUAUAUGUGUCUCUGUGUGCUUGGAUUAAGUUACAAAUUGACACAAGCAAUGAAGCAAAAGUCAUAGAAACAUUCUUGGAUUCCUUCUCUCGAGGCAGAUGAAUGGACAUGCAGAGCCAUUUGUUUUCAUUACACUCGUGAGACUUUGACUGCAGCUAAAUUUCAAAUCACUACGGCUACGGCACUUAAGACUGGUUCUACUAGUUAAAUUCACGAGCAAUUCCCCACGUUAUGAUGGAUUUAAAAAAUCAUUCCACAAACGGAUUAUUUGUUGUGGCGGCUUCUUGCACCAAGAGCCCUCACACUUGCGGAAUGUGAGAUCUAAGAGUUCGCAAUCUUCAAAUGCGAGGAAAGCAGACCUUUUGCUCCAAAGAAGAGAAUGUAUUUCUUCCUCCUUUCUCUAACAAUUAUCAAUUAUAUCUGACUGAAUAAUUCAAGUUUCUCUUCAAUAGAUUUUGUCAUCUUCUGUAACAAAAGUUAGCAACCACAAAUGAGAAAAUGUUGUCCUUUUUAGAUGAAAUAUGAAUCAAAACUUAGUGAAUUCGGUUAUACCUCGCAUUUGAAAAAUGCAAGCUUAACGAAAAAUGCAAGCACCUCAAAAGCUCACAUUUUUGUGAAUACGAAGAUUCCUCUUGCUGGAAACAUACAUCACAAUCUGCCCUUUUGAAAAAUAAUUUUAGAAUUCAUCAUAAUCUUGGAAUUUUCUCUAAAUUCACAGGGAAGAAAAACUAGAUGAUUGCUGAACUCAAUAGAGAAUUAGAAAAACUCGUAAUAACGUACAUUGGCUUGAGACCUUAGAUGAAUUCUUGACAAAAUAGCACAUGUUUAACACUUACAAUGAAAUUUUUUUUCACACAAAUCUUUAAGGAGUAAGACAGAUAUCCAAUUCCAAGUUCUCAAAAUUACGAGCUUUUAUCAGACCUUUUAUUCAGAACAUUAUUGGCAGUGGAGCAGUACAUCCUUUAGUAUGACAAUUGGUAUCCAAAUAUGAUCCCAACAAGUAUGUUUUCUGAAAAUCUUUAGUGAGCGUUGGGGUGUAAUAUACAAAUGGUUUGUUUGGAUACCAUAUUAUUCCAAAUAAUAUAUAUUUUGCUUGCAUCAUAAACACAUUUCUCAACUCACCUUUUUAUAUUCCCAACCAAUUUUUUAUUUCACAUACAUCACAUCACAAAAAGUUCUACAGUAAUUAAUUCAAAUAACACUCUAUCCAAACAAACUGCAAUUGCUAAUAUUGUUGAUGGUCUCAGUGGAAAUGCCCUGUGGAAGACCGAGUCCAGCUGAAGUUAUUAAAUUAGUUCAUCCAUUCCAUCUCAUUCUCUAAUUCCUCGUGUUGAUCAGGCAGAUCAUUGCAAUGACUGCUUAUGAAAUUCUUCAAGAUAUUGUGCUGCAUGUGGACUAGUAUAACGUGGUGUGACAUAAAGAUGAUAUUCCCAUAUAUUUCGUGUAUCUUUUUUUCUUUUCGUAACAAAAAAGUUUAGGUAGGUUCGACUCCGAUCAUAUUACGAAUUAGAUUAUACCUCUAAGAUCAUAGGUAGUUUAUAAGAAUUCUUAUAAAUCGCCAACUAACGCAACUCUCAUAUCAGUAGCGGAAUUUUCAUAUAUCUUGUGAUUAAUAUGUUAACAUAGAUUCACAAUGCUACUUGUGUUUUUUUGUGGAUUAGAAUUAGGAAAUGAGUCCAUGAACCAUCUCUUCUUCCUCUUUCCCUACACUUGUGAAGUUUAGAGGACUACUCGGUAUAAAAAAAGGCCAUUUUCCAUAAGUUGAUCAGACCUUCAAGGUAUUGCAUUGUCACUGGCUUCAAGAACUAUAUUGUUGUGGGCUGGAAACAGAUGGCACAACCAAGCAAAAAUUGGCAGAAAGAUGGCCAUGCUAGGUCUAAAUUGUGAGUUACCCUAAAUAUAUAUUUUCUUGCUAGCUCUGUUGAUGUAGCAUGGGAUCUACUUUUUUUUUUUUGGGUCACUUAUCAUCAUCUACAUCUAUACCUACUCCUAAUCCUAAUCUAGCCUAUACUAGGGGAGGGACCCAACAGGGUCACGGGAAAUCGAUGGGGACUAAACCACCAUCGGACCAUACGGGUGCACAGCACCCACAUAGAUCUUAAGCAUGGGAUCUACGUCUAGGAGAAAGAUAUCGAUGGUCACACUGAUUGGGAAAUGGGAUCUGAGUCUAAAUUGUGAGUUACGCCAAAGAUUAUGUUCUAGCUAGUUCUGUUGAUGUAGCGUGCUUAGGAAUGGCAACGGGGCAGCGUGGUCCCCCAGCCCAAUGCCUCCCAGUCUUUCCCGCCCAGACUCGCUCUGUUGUCCCCGCGAGGCACUUGCGGGAACUAAUAAAAAUGUGUCCUAUAAUUGUAUUGUAAUCAAUAUUUUUUUGUCAAAAAUCAAGUACUUAAAAUACCAACAUAUAAUCAAAUCAUUAUUUAUUAUAAUUUCACAAUUGAAACCAAUAAAAACAAUCAAACAAAAGUUAUUUGAAUACAAUCCAACAACAUGAUGAGAUAAAUACAACUAGAGUAGUUAAGUUAUCACUUUUGAAUUUUAAGAAUCAUUCUAUCAAAACAUGCCAUUAGUCAUUAAGUCUUCAAUUUCCUUCUUUAAUUGCCAUUAAAAAUGUAAUAUAAAUGUAUUAGUAAAUUUAAUAUAACUAAUUAAUAAUUUUUAUUAGUAUAUAUGUAUAAUUAUUAAUGUUAUAUAUCCUAACAAUAUGUUUAUACCUAAUUAAAUUAUAUAUAUGUAUAGGAUUAAUCUUGUAUAUACUGUUAGUGUAUAUAUAAUCAUUGUUAGAUACAUGACACAUGCUCAAAAUUUGAAUUUGAAAUUAAAAUUUUGAUCAUAUGUCGUCCAUCUAAUGAUGAUAGUGUAUAUACUGACAGUAUAUAUAAGAUUUACUCAUAUAUAUAUACACACACGCGCACGCACACAUAUACAUCUAUAAAUCUAGACCUUUUUGGCAAGCAAGGUUUUUUGUCAAGUUUGUUUGUUACAAGUUUUUUAACAACUUUAGUUACAGUAAUCUCAAAAAUUUUAAACUAUAUACUUCAAAAUAUCCAAAUAUUUACACAUUUCAAAAAUUUUUUUACAACUUCUACAGUAAGUUACAGUAAAGUUUGGAUAAAAUCCAAAAAACUCACUUACCAAAUAGGACCCUAAUUUUUCUAAUGGAUGGUAGGGCAGGGAUGGAGUAAGGGUAUAUUCCCCCCCUCCCCCGGCCUUGUUUUUUAACCGAGAGGAAAAAUCCGCCCCUUCCCGCCCCACCUCCCGCGCCCCUAUUAGCCCUCUGCGGGACAGGUGCCCGCAAUUGCCAUCCCUAAGCAUGCUUACUUUAUUUUUAUUUAUUGUAUUCUUUGUCUAGAUUGUUUGUUUGCAACUUAGGGCAGAUAAGUCUGUAAUUUCGUUUUGCUCUUUGCAAUUAUUAUAUUUGUUAGGAAAAUUUGUUCAAAAAGUCUUUCACAUUUUUGUAAAUGAAUUUUUUCUUCAUUCACUUUUAAAAUGUCAUUUUUAUAUCCCUUACAAAUUCAAGUUAGCAAUAUAUAUUCCCAACCUAAGUUUUUUACCACUAUUUCCCCUAAAAUCAUCAUGUGAUUUACAUGCAAUUAUCUUUCAUAUGCAAAAAAGUUAGAUUCCACUGCUUUAAUGGAAAAAAUAAGUAUGAAUUGGGUCCAAACUCACCUUUUUAGGAAAAAUAAAUAUAAUUCGAUUAGAUCUUACUUUUUUAAAGCAAAAAUGAAUAUAAAUCGGGUUAUUUAUUUAAAUACAAAUAGGAUAUAGUAACAUUUUUAUCCUUAAAAAAAUGACUAUGGCCCUGUUUGGAAACUUGGUUUUUUACCAAAUUUGUAUAAAACUAGUUUUUUAACAACUUUUGCUACUGGAACCCCAAAAAACUUAUCAAAAAUUUUAACCUACACACUUAAAAUAUCCAAAACACAAAAAAAAAAAAAAAAUUCGCUUCCCCUUUUUUUCUUCUUCCUCCCCCACCACCACCUCCAUUGCCAGCUCCAUCACCAAUUUCCGGUGCCGGUCUUUUUUUUUUCCCUCUCCCCCUCUUCCUCCCCUGCCAUCAUCCUCUCUUGUCUUUUUUUUUCUCUCUACAUCCGGCGCAGAGAGGGGUGGUGCAGAGAGAGGCGGCGGGGGGGGCAGAGGAGGGAGGGGGAAGGCGGUAGGGAGGGGGAAGCGGGAGGUGGAGUUGCAGCUGGGGGUAGCGGAGGUAACGGGGAAGAAGAAGAAGAAGAAGAAGAAGAAAAAGAAGAAGAAAAGGAGAGGAAAGAAAAGAAAAAGGAAAGAAAGAAAAAGAAAAAGAAAAAGAAAGGGAAAGAGAAAAAAAAAAGUUUUUCAUCUUACAAAAACUUCUACAAAAUUUUUCACCUUACAAAAAUUUCUACAAAAUUUUUUUAAAAACUUCUACAGUGCACUACAGUAAAGUUUUAGACAAACUCCCAAAAAAUUCAGGUUCCAAACAGGCCCUAUGUGUGGAUCAUGUGAUGAAUUUAGAGUAAAAAGUGAGUGAAAAUCUAAGGUGGGACUAAAUUUAAUCAACUUGAGUUUAUAAGGAACAUAAAGUUACCAUUUUAAAAGUAAAAAAUGAAAAAAUUCAUUUGGCGUAAUGUGAUAGAUAUUUUGAAUGAUUUUUCCUAUUUGUUAUACUAUUUGGUAUAGAAUCACAAUUAUUUGUUGUAUUUGUGAACAAAAUAUAUAUAUAAUAUAAUGUGAUUAUAAAUUAAAGAUUAUAACAAAUGCAACAACAGCAGAGGAUUGAAUAUAACAUAACUGCUCCAGCCUCCAAGUUCGUUUAUUUGUAUCAGAUUGCAAUACCUUUACUGUAUCAAUGCCAGACAAGUUUUUUAGUAGGACCCAAAAAAAAAAAAUCUAGUCCCAAGUUGUAACAGAUCAUACAACACUUGUUAAUAUUAAUGAAAAAUCAGUGGCCAAGAGAGAGUAAACAGACCUACAUUUUUAUACUUUCAAUUCAAUAACAAUUAAUAAUUCCACCCAAAAAUAAUAUAUAUAAAUCAAAUCUGCAAAUCAAAAUAUCUGUUACACUUGUAUUAUUUAAGUCAAUUAAUCUAAUCCCUCCCAAUAUUUAAUCCGAAAAAAAAAAUCCAAAUAUGAGUAGUAUAUCACUAUAUCCCAAACAAGGAUAAAUUACAUAUAACCACCUAUGGAUUCAUUUAUUGUCACACGACUUCAUAAUAUUUUAAAAUAUCCAUUUCACCCCCUAUAAUUUUUAUGUAAAGUGAAAAUUUGAUGAAAAAUAGCCUAUGAAAGGUUGUUAGGUGAAAUACCAAUAGCGCCCUUUUUAAAUGUCAAAUCAAUCAAUGGCUUAACCACCAUAUAUAAAACAUAGGUGAAAUUAUGUAGAUAUAUGCAAAAAUUAAAGAGAGAUUAAGUGAAUAUUUAUACAAUCAAUAAGAGAGUUAUAUGAAUAUUAGCAUUUUAUCACAUGUGUUUUUAAAGUGCAUUUAGUAUAAAUAUCGUAACUGAUUAUACAUUCCAUCUAUGUUCUACUCUAUAUAUAUAAUCACAAAAGGAUUAUGUGAUUAUUUCAAAACUUUAAAGAGAUCAUUUGACAUUAUGUAAAACUAUAGGGGGUAAUGAGUACUUAUCCCAAAAAAAAACACACACACACACACACACAAAAGAAGAAAAGCGCUGAUAAUGCCUUCCUUCCUUCAGUUAACACUCACGAAGGUUGCCAAGUCAACAUUUCGUUCGGUUAGGGGCAGCUUCUUCUUCAACCUCCCUUCCCUCCUCCUACCCCACUAGCCCCGCCGGACCAAGCCCGAUAGGCGAAGACCAGAAUUCUUUUUAAAUUCAAAAUAAACAAAAAAAAAAAAAGAUACAGAGAAAUAAGCAGAAGAACCUUAUCAUACUAGGUAGUUCUGAUUUCUCAAUCGCCCGACCAAAUGGCACGGGCAAGAUUUACUCCGGCGGUCAAGACAAUAAUUCUGAUCCUCUUCUACGUCGUCGUAUUAAACUUCGGUGACGCAGUUUUCUCGCUUCAAAUUUCGCAGCUGGAUUUCAAUAAAACCUUUAUUUUUCCUAACUCCGGCGGUGAAGGUGGAACUGCCGACAAUACUCACCACACCACCAUGUUCCUCCCUCUUUUCCUCUCGCCUCCUCGGAUCAACCACUACUCCUCCUCUUACGAAGUUUCUGUCCAACAGUCCCG
rnacentral:lncRNA from 1 species